rnacentral:lncRNA from 1 species
UUGUGCAAGAAAGCAGAAAACAAGUAUGGGGGAGAUCCCUCAACAUGCUAAACACACUCCGACUACACCACUCCACGAUUCAGGUACACACUCUGCACACUUCACUUUACACAUACAACUAUCUUGAUUAUGCAGAUUACUGUUUCCGAUAUGAUAAAAUAAAAAGAUUAAAAGAUUUCUAAUCAUGAUUAAUCUCAAUCUGUGAUAUUUCCUGAAAAACUUGCAAUUAUUGAAAAUCAUUUUAAAACCCUGUGUCACUUAAGUCAAUAUGGAAUAUAGAGUAUGAGUUUCUUAUUCUUGAUACCAUUGUUACUUGGAGAAUUUAUUUCAAAAUAUUCAAAAUUCUAGCUACCAUCCUCAGUGUUUUAUAUGCCUGAUAAAACUGAAAAUAUUGAUUAUGAUUAUAAAAGCUAUCUACUCUGUAUUGAGUUUGUUCAAAAUGAGUUAGACCCUUGUUGAGAGAUUUAUCAUGCUCCUAAGAUCAAGACAGUAUUUCAGAAAGAUUCACUCUUCCGAAGUAUUAUUGCAUUAGAGGCAUGGGCUAUGCAAAAAUAGAAAUAUUUCGAGGAAAUAAAAAGGAGCAAGUGCUCGACAACCUCGCAGAAAAAAAUGGACAAGUGUCCGGCAGUAGAAUUAGGGGUAUCUCGGUAUCCACUUAAAAAAAUGAUAGCCCAUGGUCCCUCUAAUAAGCAAUAUGCCAGCAAGAGUUGACAAAGAUUUUAAUUUCCAAAGUCUUUGAUCUAAGAGUAUGACAUUUCCCUCCUCGGAUCCCGUUUUGAUCAGGCAAUAAAUGCAAAGUAAGUAUGCUUGAGAAUUUUUGCAAAAAUAAAACAGCCUCAGUGAGAUAUAUACAAAAGAUAAUGAGUGAUCUGAGAGAAUCUAUGAGGAUAAAAAGGUAUGCUAACUUUCUUUCAAAAAUAUACAAAAACUCCAAGUGACAGGAUUGAGAAGAAAGGAUCUUUACUCUUAACCAUAAACUUCCCUGACUAUGGUACACAGUGGAAUUUUUAACACCCUGCAAUUAUAAAGAGAAUGUUUUAAAUGUUUACCCCAAAUAUUGUUCUUAACCAUCCUUUUCUCGAGGACGAGUAAAAGCCUAAGUAUGGGGGUAUUUGUUGACGGUUCUUAAGUAUCAAUUUUAAUUAUCAAAUAAACAAGAGAAAGGACCAAUAUGCAACUAACACCUAGAAUUAGGGUUUGAUCUGACAGAAUUCCACGAGUUUUGUUGUUUAUCUAUUUCUGUAGAGGGUUAUCAAGAAAUAAGGAAGAAAGGCCCACAUGUCGGGACUACAUAGAGAUAUCAACGCACCGCGCAAUUUUCUACCAUCUAGAAGACUCCAGAAGCCACGGGAAGAAGACGGAGGCCAAAAGGGGCCAGGCCCAGGGCGCCCGCCCUGGUGACCUGGGCGCCCGCCCCCCUCUGGAUGCCAAUCAGGACUCUCUUCGCUCGGGAUAUUCCACCGACCUAUUGGAUCAAGAAAAACAUAGUACCACCUCGCCUAUCAACCCAAAAACGCAUAGAAGGGGAGGACUAUAUAAGGAGACCCCCCUGGCCCCUGGAGAAGACAUGAAGAAAUUAUCAUAGAGACUGAGGGGUGCCCUCGAAGGAAAACCUCUUCUCUAAUUAAUAUUUCUUUUUAGGCUUAGCAACCAAUGUAAGGUAGAAAUAGAUCUUCUAGUUUCUACUAGAUUGAGAGAGAUAGAGUGGAGGUGUAGAUUGGAGGAAGCCCGGCCUGUCGGUGUCUACUCCAAGCUUGUACCUGCGGGAUCAAGUUCUCCUAACCCGAAGCUUGUUUCUAGGAUUCUUCAGUAAUUCGACUUCUAAAUUCUAGUAAGUUCUUGUUUCAUUGUUCUUAUGGUUUAUGAGUUUACUUUAAUCUCUUCGCGUAGAGUUUAGAGUAAUCAUUGCUGGCGUAAACGUGGUGUUUAGGCUGGGGUACUCAUAGAUAUUCCCUGACUAGCUGGACCGUGGUAGUAGUGAGGAACGUGACAAUUCCGAGCUACCUUUGUAGAUCACAUCUCGUUAGCAGGAAGGAUAGGGUUUAUAGGUGCGGGUCGAACAUCCUUUGUGUUGUCUAGAUUCCGUUAGCCUCCCCAUUAGAACAGUAGAUCAUCCUUACCAAGGUUAGAAGGAGACUACGGUUGCAGUCUUCUCUAUUUAUCACUCACAUCAAAAGACAUUCUUUGUGCCUAAAGGAUAGUAGUAAUAGACCGGUUAGUCAGAUGCACUCUUUCUCCUAGUGGUAAAAAAAUAAAUACGAUACUCUGGAUAAUUUCCCGGGUGAAGUGCUCACCGAUAUCCGUGCGCUUGCGGAUCAAUUCCUUAUUGCGUUCCCAAAUAUCAACAGUAUUCAAGUGGUGUUAGCAAGUGUCAACAAGCAUUUUUGGCGCCGUUGCCGGGGAAACGGUUGCUGAGUUGACUACGAACUUGCUUAAUCAUUUUCUAAAAAAUAAAAAAUAUAUAUAUAUACUUUUCCUUUUAUCUUUUGCCUUAUCUCUGCUAUUCUUUCUUCUUAUCUAAUCCUUGAUCUCUGGUCUAUUAUGAAUUCAAACAUGUCUAUCUAUGAAUUUCAUAGACCUACGGGCACACAUCUCGAACCACCAAAAUAUUCAAAGCCUAUCAUAGCAUCUAGUUUUGAGAUAGACCCCGAAUACAUAGAAUUUGUUCAAAAACAACCUUUCUCAGGAGAAGGUGAGGAAAACCCAUACACACACCUAAGAGAGUUUUAUCGAGUCUGUGACCUCCUUCGCAUAGAAGGCAUGUCCGAUGAGACCCUUAAAUGGAAGCUCUUUCCGUUCUCUUUAACAGAAAAAGCUAGACAUUAGUACAAACUCAAAGUAGGGAGUGUUCAUGGAAAUUGGAAGGAGUUAUAUAGUAGUUUUCUUUCUAAAUAUUUUCCAAUCUCCAAAGUGGUGGAACAUCGGCGUGAGAUUCUUUCUUUUAGACAACUGGAAGAAGAAUCUCUUGCAAAUCAUGGGACCGCUUUAUUAACCUUACUCUCACUGGCCCAAAGCUUUCUAUUCCAGAAGAAGUUCUUCUAAUUCACUUUUUUGAGGGCCUUAGUAGGAAAAGUAAGCAAACCCUUCAUGCGGCCUCUGGAGGAUCUUUCCACCACCUAUCCGCUAGCGAAGCUUGGAAUUUGAUUGAUUUAAUGAGCGGAAAGUCUCCUAGCUUUUAUAUCCCUGAGAAAGAGACAGAACCAGUUCCUAGACAAGAAGAAGAUGUUUUGAUAGCCAGAUCACAACCACUUCAAUUCCAAACUUUAGCUAUCGAUCCUAAACCAUCAAUACCCCAAAAUUCUCCAAGGGAGGAAGGAAUUCCGACCUUAAAUCUUUCAGAUGCUGAUGGUUUAGACUUCUGGUUCCAUAAGAGACCUUCAAGCAGGGAUAAUUCAAAUCCUCGCAAUAAUGGUUCUCUUAGAGAAUGUCCUGGUUCCUAUUAUGAAGAAGUCAAGGAUGACAUAUCAAGUGAAGGAGAGCUAAGCCAUAUAGAAAAUUCUAACACCUCCCCUUUCCUGAUCACAAGUUCCAAAUGGCUAGAAUGCGUAGAAUGGACGGAUAAGGAAGAAGUUUUAAUGGAUUCUGACUUUGGCUCAAUUUCAAAUGGUGAGUUCUUGACUCCCUUUGAAGAUGAGAUUCAUCCAACUACAGAAGAGGACAUAGGUGAGACCAAUCUAGGAGAAACUCCGAACAUUCAGAUUGGAGACGAAGAUAACAUUAAUGAGCAUGGAAUUUAUUUCAUAGCCACUUCGUUUGCUCCAUGCUCAUAUGAAACAUCUUCCCAAUCUAUUGGUCUCUCCAAUAUCACCACAUUUGAGAUCUCCAACCCCCUCUUCCUUUCUAUUUAUAAAAACUUUAAAAGGGCUGUUGUCGAUGCAUAUGUCUAUAAUAAAUAUUGCAGAUCUCGUUGAGUUGAUCUUGAUAUAGGUCAGCGUUGGAAGGGAAACCACUUCACCGACAUAAAUUGAUGAUUUCCCAAGGACAAGCUUAGUGUCCUAAAACAAGCACUGAUCAGAUCGUCACAUGAGCUUUUAAUUAUUUACAACAUUACCUUGUGUAUUGAGCAUAUAUGGAUAAUUGUAAAAAUAUUCCUUCGGGUAUUCUUGUCACUAACCUUUCCAGGAUUGGAGCAAGAAGAUCAGAUGAAUGACAAGCACAAGGUAUGUCCAACCAAUCUUCAUGCAACACUGAAUUAAAUUCAUCCAAACUUGAAUUUUGCAGAAUUCAAGCUUGGGGGAGUACUUUACAUAAAAACAUCCUUUGCCAUGUCGCUAUGUUGGUUGUCCCUACCUUUGAGACAUGCUCAAUUUGUUAAACACUAAUCAUUCUAUUUUCAUCUCAACUUGAGUAAGAUCUUUAUAAUGCUGUCAUGCUACCUUUGCUAUUCACAAGUAAGUGUUGGUUUGGAAGUACUCGACAUACUUCCAUUGACAUUUAAAUUAAGCGUGGUGUUUAGGUUAAAUAGCCUUCCUUAAUCUGAUUAGACAUGGAGUCUAGUUUGGUUACUGAACUAAAAAAACUGCUUGUGUAGACAUUGGUAUAUUUUGUCGGACUAACCCCUGCAGAAAAACUUUCAAUAUCGAUUUGGGAAGUCCUGAGAUAAACUCACAUUGGAGACAAAGAGAGAGACACAUCAAGUUUAACAAUUUACACAAGGAAGACGUAGCUCAUAAGAGAUGAUCGAUGGAGGGUGCCACGAACACGAUGCACAACCGGUAAGAAAGGAAAGCUUCCACAAGGUGAUACUGUACCAUCACUCUUCAAGUAAGGUAACAUCUUAAGGUACUUGACUAUCACUUUUAUAAGCUUCUCCUUGGUUCUGGCGUUCAUAUGAAUAAAAGAGACAAACAUGUAUGAUUUAUAACUUCAAAUUAACCAACCCAACUGAUUCAACAUGUUUAGUCCUUUAAUCUUUGUUCUUAGUACUACCUCCAUGAUCCCACACUCCUAAUCAUAUGAGCUAAAAUGUUGGACAUUCAAUCUUUGGGAAGAUAUAAAGAAAAAGACAUAUACAUAGAUAGAUUUCCAUAAGGUUGAGCGAUCUGAUCUGACAAAUGUUUUAAAUGCUACACUCAUAAACUUAUCACCCAUCAACUUUGUCUUACUCCCUACGCUUAAGGAUAGAGAAGAAUAAAUAUACUUUUGGUUCUGUUGGUGUUUUCCACCAACAGGGCCCAUGCACAUGAUCUCUGCCUUGUCUCUAUGAGCAGGUACACUUCGAGCAAAACAUGGUGGGGUUUUACAACUCUCAGAUUCCACCAAGUGAAAGACAUGGAUCUACGAGCACAAACACACUGAGCAAGAUACUGCCAACACCGCACUUCGAACUACUGGGCAAACGAAGAACAUGGGUGACACCAUAUUAAGAGGUGCAGACGUCAAGGUCCACAACUGAAUCAAAUGACGCACCUGAAGAAUGAACACGGUGAGAAGUCUUGUUCAGAAGACUUAAAACAUUGAAUCCUCGCCGAAAGGUAAAAUCGGUAGUUAUCCAUAUUUAUCCUUUCUGCAUUCCUUUUUCCCUUUAAUUAUUUACUUUCCUUAAAUAGCUUAUUAGUUAAUCAUGCUGUCUUGAAAAGAAAAUAAAAAUGUUAAAAAAUACUAAGCCCCAUGUGAGUAUGCUCGUGGCAUGAAACCCAUAAGUACAUUCACUGUGGUGGCGUAAAAAUAAAAUAAAUAUAUUCCUGUCCUAUAGAAAUGAAAAUAUAAAAAUAAAUUUAUGAUCCUACCAAAGAGAGUAAUAUUUAUUAGAGGAAGCUCAACAUGAUAAAGGCAAAGAGAUUUUAUGCUAACACUUAACCAGUUCCACAAAGCUUUGUUGUCUAUUUGAGCUCCACAGAAUUCAAGGAUCAAAGAAGACUAGCAGACGGAGGACAUUCUAAUCGCUGUCAGGGUGCUGCCGACAUUCAUAUACACCUCCACCACCUGCUAGCUACAUCAAAAGAAAUUACAUCAAAAUGCAGCUUGGGGGAGAGCACCCCCAUUUAUCCAGCUAAGUAUUUCUAUCUACGUUUAUACUUAUACUUUGUUAAAAUAAUAAAAAGAUGCAUAAUCAUAAAAACCCAAAUAAAGAUUUUAUGCUUAUAUAUAUCUUUUCUUAGUUUGCUAAAUAAAUAAAUAAAUAAAGUUUGCUAUGAACCCUCAUGAUAAACUGUCACAUGGAAAUGAUGAAUAGUUGCUCUGCCAUGACUAGUCAAAAUUGAAAUCUCUCUCAAGUUUAGGCAUGACUGUUAUGAAUUAAGAUUUGCCCUAAACCUAAACUUGUGGGAAGAGUACUUGAUCUAAAGUCUAAGUCGUUAACGGAUAUGAUAUGGGAAGGUUGAGCUACUGUUAAUCUGUUCCUAGAGAUGCUAGAAUUCUGGAGAAUUUUAUCGUUGAAAAUCUUUAAAAUGUUGCAUGAUGAGUUCCUGUAUGAUGAGAGUUUAAAAUCCCACCAUAGCCAUAUAUACAUGCUUAUUAGACUAUGAACCAUACAUUUACUUUUUACUGCUUAUGAGCAUUGAGUGUGGUCAAGCUGUGUAGACCCUUAGGAGCUUGUCAUGCGGUUAAAAUCAAGAUUCACUUGCAUGUUCACUCAUACAUGCUGCUUCUACUCCGGAAGUACGCAUCCACAUACAUCCACUCCUUUCCAUCUCCAGAUUCACCUAAAAUUAUUCUACUCCUAUCCAGGAGAGAAUAGCCAAAAAUAUUAUCAUAUCCCUGUUAUUCCCCGUGAAAUAAAUGCUCUUGAUAUUUUGGUUACUACCACUUACUACAUUAUUCUAGGAGGGUGAGUGCUCUGAAAAAAAAGAGAAAAGAAAAAAUAUAUGAGGAAAUAAAAAGGAGCAAGUGCCCGGAACCUUGAAGAAAACAAAAAGUGAGAUGAGAGGUAAAAAUGGACAAGUGUCCGAUAGUAGAAUUAGGGGUACAAGAUACCCACCUGAGAGAAAAGAAAAAAAAGAGAAAAUAUAGAGCAUCUCAUUCCCCUCAAAAAGCUCCAAAGUGCAAGAAAGGUAUGUAUCCCGUCAAAAGAGCAAAAGUAGAAUUAGACUUUCACCAUUGUUUUCACCAUUAUCACCAUCAUCACCAUACACCAUUCAUUCGCCACACAUGCACAUCUUGAUUUGACUUAUUGACUUGUUUCUCUAGAUCCAUGGUUUGACUAUGCAAUAAAUGUCUUGUAAGUAUGUAUUAGCUGUCUCCCACCUAUGAGCUCCAGAUAUCAAACCUUAUUAGAGUAGGGUGAGAGAGAAGGCAAUAUCACUAUGCCUCAUACCACAAAUACUACAUACUUUGAGAGAAGGCGUAUAUCAUCACUGCCUUGGUAAGGAUCCACAAAUACCACAAAAGAGAGAUUUGAGAGAGUCAUAAAAGGAAUCUCUGAGUUUUAUUUGAAAAUCUAGAAAAACUCCAGAGCUAUAGAUGAUCAAAGAACAAGAGACAUGGCGCUUGAAUUGACCGUUCUAUCUUUUAACUGCUCAAGACACAAGUGACAGUUGCAAGCCCCAUGGUGAAAGGUAAUAUAAGUAAGUUUAAAUCUUAACAGUUUACCUUAACCUAGAGAUGAGAUCUUGUUUGAACGCAUGUGUACCUUUAAGGCAUAAAACCACUGUAGAAACUCUUGAGUCCGUCCUUGCUCACGGACGAGCAAGAGGUAAGCUUGGGGGAGUUGUUGACGGUCCUUAAGUACCAAAUAUAAUCAUCAAAUAAAUAAAGAAAAGGAUCCAAAUGCCACCAACACCCAGACUUAGGGUUUUAUCUGACAGAAUUCCACGAGUUUUGGUGUUUGUCUAUUUCUGCAGGGGGUUAUCAGGAAAUAUGGAGGAAAGGCCCACACGUCGGGUUUACAUAGAGAUAUUAACGUGCCGCGCAAUUUUCUAUCAUCUAGAAGACUCCAGAAGCCACAGGAAUGAACGGGAAGCCGAGCAAGCUCGGGGGUAGGGCGCCCGCCCUAUCCCAGAGUCCAAUCAGGACUCUCUUUGAGGAUUACGCUCCACCGACCUAAAGGACCAAGAAUAACCGUUCAAUCAAUGUCGGUUUGAUCCGAUGGCCCAGAUUCACUUGAGGGGACUAUAUAAGCAGACCCCAUAGCCCCUGGAGGAGGCACCCCUUGAUCAUUAUUCAUUAUUCAUAGACAGAGCAAAAGCUUGGGUUUGUAGAUGAGAGCUCUCCUCUCAUCUCUAAACUAGAAUAGAUCUAGAUAGUAGCAAGAUGGAGAGCGAAGGAGGAUUAGAGGAGAGGCCGGUCUGUCGGUUCUUCUUCCGGUUGUACUUCGUCAUGAUCAAGCUCUAAUCAAGCUUGCUCAUGGGAUGACUCUGGUAAUCUACUUCUAAUUCAUUAUGCAAUUACUAAUCAUGUAUGUUCUGGUUCACAACUCUUUUGAGUACUUUUAAUCUAUAGGACCCUAUAGGUUAGAGUUGUAGUAUAGGUGUAAGCGUGGUGCUUAGACCAAGAUUACUUGUGGAUAUCCCCUAUCUAGCUGUAUCGUGUGGUAGGCCACGUAGGUGCCAGUUACGUUGGUCCCCUGUAGUCCACCUCUCGUUAGCAGGACGGGUAGGGUUUAUCGGCCUAUGGAUAAGCAUCCUUUGUGGUGUAUUCUUAUCACGUGGUUCGUCCCAGACAUAGACAUACCCCUUUGAAGUAGAGAAACCAUAGUUAUCCUCUCUAUUCUGCUACCAUCGCCCAUAUACUAGAUUGCUUUACUCUCUAUUCUCAUAUUAUCACCCAUUGUUAUCUUACCUUUAAUAUUGUUCUUAUUCAAUUCUACCAUCUUUACUAUUUACACUUAUCUAUCUAUCUUUGUUAAGUUAGAGCGUAGUUGGUUCUCCUGUUUCCCUGUGGAUACGAUAAAACCCUUAACCGGGUAAAAGCUACAAUGGUAUCCGUGCGCUUGCGGAUUUAUCUGUGUGCAUAUAAAUACCAUAGUACACUCUAGUGCCAUGCUAGGGAUGACAACCUAGUAUUCAAGUGGUGUUGGCAAGUCUCAACAAUGCCCUCCUCCUCCGGAUCCUUAAGGGAGAGAGUUCUGUGCCCAGCAUCUAUAACUGCACCCCAGUCAGUCAUCUUAUUCAUUCCGAUGAUAACAUCCAAAACCAGCCCUGGCAUGACCACAAGGUUUACACGAAACCUUCGGCCACUGAUAUCCAAGGUAGCCCCUGUUACUGCUUUGUUAGUCAACACAUCAGCCCCUGCUGAACUGAUGCGAUAACCACAACCCAACUUAGUAAUUGGUUGGUCAUGCUUUUGUGCAAAUGCUUGGCUCAUGAAUGAAUGCAAUGAUCCAGAAUGAAACAAAACAACUGCAAGAUGUUGGUUGACAGGAAACAUACCGGCUAUUACCGGUUCUCCUUCCGGGAUCUCCUCUAUCGAGGUAUGGUGCACACGGGCUGGGUAGGUCGUCUGCUGCUUCUUGGGGUAGGGACAUUCUUUAGCAAAGUGCCCCAUCUUGUGGCAGUUAUAGCACGACCGCUUGGUCAUGUUGUUAGCAGCAGGUGCUGCAGCUUGAAUUGCCUUUGGCUUGGUGGGAGCUACUGCUACCUUGUACGGCUUCUGCUGCGUUGGAUGCCCUGUGUUCCUUCUCUACGGCGGUCGGAACCUAGCACCUGGGACAGGAGGACGAUACUGCUGACGUCCUGCCACUGGUGCCUGUUGACAUUCGUUAAGUACAAUAAGAAUAUAAAAAAUUCCGCAAGAGCACAGAACAUCAUCGUAGCAUUUUACCGGGAGUAUUCUAGGUAUCGUUAUUUAUAUUUUACCACUAGGAAGCUAAGGUCAAAGAAUCUGAUAACUUACUAUCAUGCAUCUACUAAUUUAAUAAACCAACUAGACUAAAGUAGGGGUAAAUGAUAUAUGAUAGGUAAUAAUAUAAAGGUGAGAAUUCUAUGAUAAAUGCUUAGAUAGCCAUAGCGGGAGGACAACGGGAGAGACCUGGGUUCCUGUAUACUUCUCUAUUACUUCAGUUCUAUGAUAACAAAGAAUGAAUAGAUAUAGUAAUCACAUAUUAGCACUUUGGGACAUCAGAACACCAACCACAGAAAGAGAACUGGAAGGGGGCUGGGAAGCUCUGACUACGGUCCAACAAACACCGAUCUGAACGAGGUGGAAUACGUCGACCGUUAGGGCUGUCACUACCCAAGGGCUACCACAACAAUCCGCAGGACUGGGUGCAACCUCAGGUAACCUCUAGUAUAGACACCUCAUCUACACUAACGAUUACUACUCUAAUUACCAUGAAUAACUAGAGCACUCGAUGCGAACGGAGAUCCUAUGCCAAAAUAUAACAACUACACUACUCGAUAAUAAUAAAGGCAUAAAUGUAAAUAGAGAAGAUAAAUAUAUUAAAGCAUAAGUCUUACAAUAAUUAUAAAGACAUACCAAAACUCUGAAGACUUCUCCAGAACCGAAGCGCAGCUCCGCUCUCCCUAACUCCCGACUAGAACUAAUCUACUACAUUGGAAUGUCUAGCCCUAAUUCUCUAUAGAGGAAAGGUUAUCUUUCGGCACCUCUCAACUCUAUAAUGAUGUGUUCUCCUCCAAGGGCCAGGGGCCUUUGUGCCUUUUUGGUUCAGCAGGCGAUGUGGUACUAAACUUUCCACCAUAUCUCAUUAAAAUGCACAUAGGCCUUAAUGAACCAAAAUCUGAUUUGGGCCCAAUUAAUCUCGUAGCUCUUUUAUGUGGUGUCCUUCUUUUAUUAAUAUCUCUUGAUUCCAAACUCCAAAUAUAGCAAAUAAUAUAUGCAUUUCGAUCAGCUCGACGAGAUCUUUGUAAUGGUGUACUCCAUUCUGUAAUUGGUGCUUGUACCAGGGCGGGCGCCCCGGCCCCGGGCCCGUCUCGGCUUCGCUUCGGUCGAGUUGCUUCUAGAGUCAUCCUGAUUAUGGAAAAUUACCGCACACAUUAAUUCUCUAUGUAAACCUGACGUGUGGGCCUUUCCUUCGUAUUUUCUGAUAACCCCCUGCAGAAAUAGACAAACACCAAAACUCGUGGAAAUCUGUCAGAUGAAACCCUAAGUCUAGCGGUUGCAUUUGGAUCCUUUUUCAUGAUUAGUUGACGGUUAAAUGUGAGCAUUAAGGACCGUCAACAAGCUCCCCCAAGCUUAACCUUCGCUCGUACCUGAGCCAAGAUGGACUCAAGAGUUUCUGCAGUGGUUUCAUGCCUUAAAGGUACUCAUGCGUUCAAACAAGAUCUCAUCUCUGGGUUGGGUUAAACUGUUAAGAUUUAAACUUACUCAUUUUACCUUCCACCAUGGGGCUUGCAACUGUCACUUAUGUCUUGAGCAGUUAAAAGAUAGAACGGUCUAGUCAAGCGCCAUGUCUCUUGUUCUUCGAUUAACUAUAGCUCUGGAGUUUUUGCAGAUUUUCAAAUAAAACUCAGAGAUUCCUUGUAUGACUCUCUCUAGUCUCUCUUUGUUGGUAUUUCUAGAUCCUUACCAAGGCAGUAAUGGUGUAUGCCUUCUCUCAAAGUAUGUAGUAUUUUUGGUAUGAGGCAUAGUGGUAUUACCUUCUCUCUCACCCUACUCUAAUAAGGUUUUGAUAUUUGGAGCUCAUAGGUGGGAGACAGCUAAUACAUACUUACAAGACACUUAUUGCAUAGUCAAACCAUAGAUCCAGAAGAACAAGUCAAUAAGUCAAAUCAAGAUGUGCAUGUGUGGCGAAUGAAUGGUGAUAAUGGUGAAAAUAAUGGUGAAAGUCUAAUUCUACUUUUGCUCUUUUGAGGGGGUACAUACCUUUCUUGCACUUGAGGCUUUUGAGGGGAAUGAGACGCUCUAUAUUUUAUUUUUCUUUUCUCUCAGGUGGGUAUCUUCUACCCCUAAUUCUACUAUCGGACACUUGUCCAUUUUUACCUCUCGUCUCACUUUUUCUUUUUUUUUUCGAGGUUUCAGGCACUUGCCCCUUUUUUUCCUCGUAUUCACUUUUUUUCAGAGCACUCACCCUCCUGGAAUAAUGUAGCAAGUGGUAGUAACCAAAAUAUCUCAAGCAUUUAUUUUACGGGGAAUAACAGAGAUAGAAUAAUAUUUUUGGCUAUUCUCUCCUAGAUAGGAGUAGAAUAAUUUUGGGUGAAUCUAGAUAUGGAAAUGAGUGGAUGUAUGUGGAUGCGUACAUCUGGAGUAGAAGCAGCAUGUAUGAGUGAACGUGCAAGUGAAUCUUGAUUUUAACCGCAUGACAAGCUCCUAAGGCUCUACACAGCUUGACCACACUCAAUGCUAUAAGCAGUAAAAAGUAAAUGUAUGGUUCAUAGUCUAAUAAGCUUGUAUAUAUGGCUGUGGUAGGAUUUUAAACUCUCAUCAUACAGGAACUCAUCACGUAACAUUUUAAAGAUUUUCAAAGAUAAAAUUCUCCAGAAUUCUAGCAUCUCUAGGAACAGAUAAACACCAGCUCAACCUUUCCAUAUCAUAUCUGUUAACGACUUAGACUUUUGAUCAGGUACUCUUCCCGCAAAUUCAGGUUUAGAGCAAGCUUUAAAUUAUAUCAGUUAUGCCUAAACUUGAGAGAGAGCUCAAAUUUGAAAACUAGGUACUUGGCAGAGCAACUAUUCGUCAUAUCCAUAUAAGAGUUUAUCAUUGAAGUUCAGUUUGGCAUAGACACUUUAUUUAUUUAUUUAGCAAACUAAGCAAAGAUAUAUAUAUAAGCACAAAAUGUUUAAUUGGGUUUUUAUGAUUAUGCACUUUUUUUAUUAUUUGAGUAAAGUAUAAAUGUGAGUAGAAACACUUAGCUAGAUAAAUGGGGGUGGUCUCCCCAAAGCUAGAUUUUAACGUAAUUUCUUCUGGUGUAGCUAGCAGGUGGCGUAGGUGUAUUUGAAUGUUGGCAGCACCCUGAUAGCGAUUAGGAUAUCCUCCGUCUGCUAGUCUUCCUUGAUGCUUGAAUUCUGUGGAGCUCAAAUAGAUAAUAAAGCUUUGUGGAACAGGUUAAGUGUUAGCAUAAAAUCUCUUAGCCUUUAUCAUGUUGAGCUUCCUCUAAUAAAUAUUACUCUCUUUAGUAGGAUCAUAAAUUUAUUUUUAUAUUUUCAUUUUUACACGACAAGAAUAUAUUUAUUUUAUUUUUACGCCACCACAGUGAAUGGGUUUUAUGCCACGAGCAUACUCACAUGGGGCUUACUGUUUUUAACAUUUUUAUUUUCUUUCCAAGAUAGCAUGAUUAACUAACAAGCUAUUUUAGGAAAGUAAAUAAUUUCAGAAAAAAGGAAUGCAGAAAGGAUAAAUAUGGAUAACUACCGAUUUUACCUUUCAGCGAGGGUUCAAUGUUUUAAGUCUUCUCAACAAGACUUCUCACUGUGUUUAUUCUUUAGGUGCGUUAUUUGAGUUAGGUGUGGACCUUGACAUCUGCACCUCUUGAUACGGUGUCACCCAUGUUUUUCGUUUGCCCAGCAGUUCGAAGUGCGGCGUUGGUAGCAUCCUCCUCAGUGUGUUUGUGCUCCUAGAUCCAGAUCCUUCACUUGGUAGAGUCUGGGAGUUGGAAAACUCCUCCAUGUUUUGCUCGAAGUGUAUCCUGCUCAUAGAGACAAGGCAGAGAUCAAGUACAUGGGCCCUGUUGGUGGAAAACACCAACAGAACCAAAAGUGUAUUUGUUCUUCUCUAACCUUAAGCAUAGUGAGCAAGACAAAGUUGAUGGAUGAUAAGAUCUUGAGUGUAGCAUCUAAAACAUUUGUCACAUCUGAUCACUUAACCUUAUGGAAAGAUAAUCUAUCUAAGUACAUGUUUUUCUUUACAUGACUAUCAUUUUCCAAAGAUCGGAUGUGCAACAUUUUAGCAAAUAUGGUUAAGAGUGUGGGAUCAAGAAGGUAGUACGGGAACAAAGAUUAAAUGACUAAACAUGUUGAAUCAAUUGGGUUGGUUAAUUUGGAGUUAUAAAUCAUACAUGUUUGUCUUUUUAUCCAUGUUCAUGCCUAUAACACCCCAGUGUUAUGGUUGCAUCAAUCACAUCCAUGACAUGGGCAUCAUCAUCUACUCAAGCAUAUCAUGAUCAUUAUCUACCUUGAGUCAUGUCAUUUUAUGCAAAAAUGUGAUUUAACUUGUUAAAUUAUGCUUCCUAUGCUUAUGUUUGUUUGUACCAUGCUCAUGUUUGUGUGCUAUGCCUUGGUAAUUAGUUUAUCUAUGAUUAACUCAACCUUAGGAACAAUGUUCAUGUUGAUCACUUCUCCAAAACAGUCACUUAAGUCAUACUUCCAUGAAUAGGCCCUAGAAACCUCUUUUCCUUAGGCUUUUAAAACGAGUUUCAUAAAAUGUUUGCAUGUCAAAACUUUCUACAGCACAGUUGUAGCAACUUUUAUAAGGAACAAAAGUUGUUUUAUGGCUAUCUCGUGAAAAUGAUCACAUCUAGCUCUAAAGUGACCCACAAGGCAGAUUUGGGGCUGUUUCCAACACUUAGAAAAUUUUCUAAGUCUGGGAUCGCAGCAGUUUGCUCGAGGGUACCAGGUUGUUUAGCUUCCAGUUUGAAUUCUAGGCCGAAUCAAACCUUAAUCUUGUAAGCAAUGUUGGAGUCCUCAUGUAGCUCUACAGCAUGGAGCAAUUAGCCAGCAAAAUCAUCGAAUGGGUUAGGAGAUAAUCGCAGUGCAAAAUCGGGUUUCAGCUGGGAUCAGAGACUGAAAUGAGUCGCUGUCAGCAGAGGGGAGCUCACCGGUGACGCCGUGUGUCUGGACUCGUGGCGUCCGUACGUCGCUGUUGGUCCCGCUCGUCAGUCCUCAGCGUGUCCUACAGCUCGCCACGACGCCCCCGGUCGCGUGGACAGCGCCAUUUCCACUCUGGUUCGCCCUCUCUCGCCUUCGUCGUCUUCUCCGUGUCGCCGCCGCUGCUUCGGCGAGCUCGCGCGCUCGCGUCUCAGCGUCUCCGGCCAAGCGACUCCGUCCAGUGCUCCGCUAGCUUCCCCACAACACCGUCGUCGAGUUGGCUGCGGUUGCCGAACCUCGGUAAGCCCGCAUUGUCUUCUCUGUCGCGAGCUUACCUCGCCGGAGCUCCGCCAUGGUCACCGGCGUCGUGGCUAGGGCUCUGUAGUCCACCAUUUCUCUUCGUUCUUGUCCCAAAAGCUCCGCUGACUCAUGCUGAUGCUCGUCCGAGUUCUCUUUCGCCCGGUCUCCGACCAGAGACGCCGGCGGUCGGCCGCACACCACUGCCGUGCCGCCAUUCGCGAGGGCGAGGUACCUAGGGUUCGGUAGAGUUAGGGUUUCUGUUACCAAUCGAUGCGGAAGGGAGAGAGGAGCACAAUGGUGCUCUUGGUCGUCGCCGAGACCUCGCCGUCGACGAGAUCUCCGACGGUCAAGUCGCGCCUCUGCUCUCGGGUCACUGAUGUGUGGGGUCCGUUGACUUGCGGGGUCCCCUGUCAGUCUCUCUUUCUCCUUUGUCUGAUUUAGGUUUUGUGCUGUUUUUGCAAAAAUCAUCUCUCUUAUUCCUGUGAUCCAAAAAUUAUGAAAUAAACUUUGUGAUGUUCCGUGAGAUGGCUAGUUUUUAAUAAAAAUAUAACAUGUACCAUGGUUUCUGGGAAAAAUAAUUGUUAUGAUUUAAUCUUGAUUAUUUAUGUAUAAAUUCAUAUCAUUUUAUAUACUGCUCCUUUUGCUAUGAAAUUUUUAUGGUAGUCUCUGAGUGACAUUAGAAUGCUAGGAUAAAUAUCUCAUGAUUUUUGGAGUAACGUAUCUGUGAUAUGUAAUUUAUCUUUGUCAUAUGGCUUGUUUUCUUACUUAAAUCAUAAUAAAUAUUUGGUGCUUAUGCUGGUGCUGUACUCUGGUGUCAAACUUGUUUAGGGUAAUAAUAACAUGUAAAUAAUCUGAAAUCUGUUGGUUGACACUAUCUAAGCUAUGUUUCUUAAUUUAUGGAAUAAGCACCUUGUCACAUGUUAAAUGCUUAUCUUGAAUUUGGCAUGUGCAAUUGUUCUGAAAGUUUUAUGGUAAUGUCAAGAUGCUAUGAUUGUGUUUCUGUAAUUUUUGUAGAUUUUUCUGAGCACUUUUGCUUGUAUCUUGUCAUUAUGUCCCUUUAUAGAAUUAAAUUAAUAAAUGCCUUGUUGUUAAAUGAUGCUCUGGUAAUCUUAUGAUGUUCUUGUGCUUAUAAACCAUUUGGUUGGCACUAUUUAUGUUUUGGCAUUGUCACCAAAUAAUUAAUUAAAGGGUUAAAAGCUGUUAUGGAUAGCAAGGGAGUAAUCUAACCUUUACUUGUUGAUGUCUUGAUUUUCUGGAAGACUUAUCUAAAUCAAAGUUGUUGUAGAUUUUAUGAACCAGCUGUAGCUCAAAGUUGGGAUCAUUUGGUCCAGUAGUCUUGAAGUUAUGGCUUUUCCAAGUCAGGUUCCAGAAAUAGGUGCUUUCUGUUUUUCUGGGACAGAACCUGGAACUUUGUUUAAUUGACUUGUUUAUGAAUCUUGCCGUGAUGUUUAAAGAUGAAAUGUAGACAAUUUCAUAAGCUUUCCAGAAUGUCCUCAUUUAUGUUUGUUGGAUCUAUAUAGCAAUAGUUAUGACCUGUUUACUGAGCUGUUCUAUUAUGUGAUGCUUGCUGUUUGUAGUUUAACUUGGUAAUCUUGCUAAGUUAUUAAUCAUCUUGUGUGAUCAUGUUAUGAAAGUUACUCCGUGAAUGAGUGUCCAGUGAAGUUCUAAUUAUGUUAUCAAGCACCCAUCCUCAUCUAGGAUGCACACAUUCUUAUUCAUCGUGCAUGCAAUAGGUGCACCGGAAACGACCGCUUCGUACGAGCUCCAGGUGAACCCCGAGGGUCAAGAGAUCACGAGCCCAAAGAGGAGAUUGAGUGCCCGAAUCACGAGCCUGCAUCGUUCGUGAAAGGCAAGCCCCGAAGCAUCUUAUGUCUCCCACUUUAAUUUCGAAAGCUUUCUUUAUUAUGUUAUAUCUAUUGAUGCAUUACGUAUAGGAGUUGCGAUGAAACCCUUGCUGCAUUGUCUUUAUUGUUUGUCCAGAUAUCUUACCAUUGCCUGCUCAUAGAGUUAGGAUCAAGUAGCAGCUUAGCCUUGCUUAAUCGGUAGAAGUCGGGUGAUAUCCUGUCACCUGCGUGAGAUACGGUGUCUCGGAUCACGAUUGUCUAUAUGUGCUAUCGUGGAAGGAACCUGAUUAAAAUGAUUUAAGCCGGGUGGAGUUUUGCAAGGUUGUAGUAACUCCGUUUGUGGCAGCUAAGGACCGAUCGUUGUAUGUUCUCUUGUCAUGUUGAACGCAUGCCUAACACUUAGUUGGCCGGAUAACUCGUUCCGGCCACGAAGCCUAGUAGUAUGACUCAGGCCGGAAGACUGGCAAGUAUAAAGUGCGCACUACCGGAGGAAGUGCGGUGUGCGGGGGACCAUUGGCGUAAGACCAAAGGCAGGUGAGUUAAAAGUCCUGACCUCCUUGGCUGAGUGGUAGCCCUGGGAGUUUGGCGCUGAUCGGAGCCGCGAUUCCUGAGUCAUACCAAAGGUGACCCGCUUGCUCUCCGACGGGGGAUGCUUGGGUGAGUGCUAGGAAUAACUCUCCAGCUGGAUAGGAAUCGAUUCGAAUCGCCGUCUCUCCCGGAUAGUGAGAACUUGACAGAGCAGCGGCAAACGUAGCAUUCACUAAAAGAACAUUGGUUCGGGAUAAUGAUGAUAGCAAGAAAGAGCAUAUGAUGAACUUGAUAUGGUUAUUAUUGUUUGUAAUAAUCAAGUGAAGUGUUUUAGUACAGGCGCUAAUGUAGUGAUAGGCUAAUAAAGAUUAAAUGGAUGUCUUUACAAAUGGUAUGGUAAUCACUUAAGCUUUUGGCAAAUAAUGAGUCAAGCCAGCUACACUUUAUAGUCUAGCUGAGUACAUCCUCGUACUCAGGGUUUAUUCCCACCUAUUGUAGAUGAUAUCUUUUAUGAUGGCUUCUGCAAGACCUGUCUCCAUCCCGCUAGGGAUGAGGACUAAACCGUUGGGCACGGUUCUCUAACAACUUCGUACCUGUGCUUUUGGAGGGAUGGUAUAAGACUCUGGCAAUAACAAAGACUUGUGAACUGAACUUUGGAAUGUGUGUUGUAAACUAUUUUGCUUCCGCUACUACAAACUGGUGUUGUAAUAACUGGGUAACUCCGAUGUGGUGCCACUUCGACGGCAAUGAAUGACUAUGUAACAUUCGCUGUGUUAUGUUGAACUAUUACGAUCUUGGUUUGUUGCAAGUUGGUUUAAAGUCCUUCGAGAUUUCAGUUGACUACCGGGAUUAUAUGGGCUCAAGUUUGGAAACUUGAUUGUUAAUCUAUCGUUUCUACACUUGAUCUCUUAUAAUUUGGUCGGUUCUGUGACAGCUGGCAUCAGCGCAAGUUCAGCAUUAUAAAUGCAGCGUUUGUGUAUUUGAAAACAAAGAAUUUUUAAAUAAAAUGGUGAAAAUCAAUACCUAAGUUAUGCCAGUUUCGAAUCCUCCUUGCCCAUAUAAGGACUUUAGGUGGCUAAUUAAGUACUGACUUGGGGGGGUUUUAUUUAUGCAUCUCCGGCUGUACUCAGGUAUGGAUGUGUGAUGACCGCACUAUGCUACCCUAUGGUCUAAUGGUAGAGGUAGUUAUGGCUAGUAAGUUUCUGGUUAAUCAAUGUGAUGCACUUGUGCUUUUUGAUUCAGGACCAUCGCAUUCUUUUAUGAGUUCCGACUUUGUGUCUAAGCAUAAUCUCAAGGCAUUUACACUUGAUAAGGGCAGUUAUUGCAUUAGUGUUGCUGCAAAUGAUAUUUCUACCAAUCAAAUGGUUUUGGGGGCAACUCUGGAAAUAGGAGACCGUCAGUUUCUUGGUGAUUUGGUUGUGCUACCCGGUGUGGGUAUAGAUGUAAUUCUGGGAAUGAAGUGGAUGAGUGGCAACGGAGUUCUUAUCGACACCACCACUCGCGUAGUGAUGUUGAGAGACCCGAAUACCAAAGAGGCGUUCUUAGUGCAACUUCCUCGUGAUAUUGAUAUACGUAGCACGAUGAAUGCAGUUACAUCUAGGGCCAUCAAAGAUAUUCCGGUAGUGUGUGAGUUCCCGGAUGUAUUCCCUGAUGAUUUGCCCAGGCUUCCUCCAGAUCGGGAUGUGGAGUUCAAAAUUGAAUUGCUUCUAGGUACUGCUCCUAUCUCAAGAAGACCAUAUAGAAUGCCACCAAAUGAGCUAGCUUAGCUUAAGACCCAACUGAAUGAGUUGUUAAAGAGGGGUCUUAUCCGUCCUAGUUCUUCUCCUUAGGGUUGUCCGGCUAUCUUUGUGAAGAAGAAGGAUCAGUCCUUGCCCAUGUGUGUGGACUACCGUCCUCUGAAUACGGUGACCAUUAAGAAUAAAUAUCCUCUUCCUCGCAUUGAUAUCCUGUUUGACCAGUUAUCUAAAGCCAAGGUAUUCUCCAAGAUUGAUUUGCGAUCUGGGUACCAUUAGAUCAAGAUCCGUCCUGAAGAUGUACCUAAGACAGCUUUUUCGACGAGGUAUGGGUUGUAUGAGUAUCUUGUCAUGUCCCUCGGUCUUACAAAUGCACCUGCUCACUUCAUGUAUCUCAUGAAUUCAGUGUUCAUGCCCGAAUUGGACCAGUUUGUAGUGGUCUUCAUUGAUGAUAUCUUGGUAUAUUCUCGCAAUGAAGAAGAGCAUGCUGAGCAUCUGCGUGUAGUGUUGACACGCUUGCGUGAGCAUCAGCUUUACGCCAAGUUCAGCAAGUGCGAGUUUUGGCUAAAGAAAGUACCUUUCUUGGGCCAUGUUUUAUCUGAAGAAGGUAUCUCGGUGGAUCUGGCUAAAGUGCAAGAAGUGCUGGAUUGGAAGGUUCCAACUUCGGUGCACGAGGUUCGGAGUUUUAUAGGUCUGGCUGGGUAUUAUCGUCGAUUCAUUCCGGAAUUCUCAAAAAUAUCCAAGACUAUGACUCGCCUACUCCAAAAGGAUGAGAAGUUUGUGUGGACGAAUGAGUGUGAAGAGGCAUUCCAUAAGUUGAGGACAUUGCUUACAUCAGCUCCUGUCCUAGCUCAGCCUGAUAUCGAGAAGCCAUUCGAUGUCUUUUGAGACGCGUCUGGUAUCGGCCUAGGCUGUGUGUUGAUGCAAGAAGGUCGUGUUAUCGCUUAUGCCUCGCGCCAACUUCGAAAGCAUGAGGUCAAUUACCCUACUCAUGACUUAGAAUUGGCUGCAGUUAUUCAUGCUUUAAAAAUCUGAGGCACUAUUUGUUGGGUAAUCUGUGUAAUAUCUACACAGGUCAUAAGAGUCUCAAGUACUUCUUCACUCAACCUGAAUUGAACACGCGACAGCGAAGAUGGCUUGAAUUAAUUAAAGAUUAUAAUCUUCAAGUGCACUACCAUCCGGGCAAGGCAAACAUGGUUGCGGAUGCCUUGAGUCGAAAAGCGCACUGUCAUUCAGUUCAAAUGGAAGAUCCAUUGUUGUCACACCUUAUGCACCCACUUGUGCUCAACCAGAUUUCUCUCGAGAGUUCUCUUCGCAAUCGAGUUAUCGAAUUGCAGCAAACAGAUGUAGGCAUAUACCAUAAAAAGAGGAAAAUGAAGGAAGAAGAAACCAAGCAUUUCAAAGUCGAUGAGAACAGAAUUCUAUGGUUCAAAGAUCGACUUGUGGUCCCAAAGGACCGUGAGCUGCGAAAUCAGAUUUUAUCUGAAGCUCAUUCAUCCAAAUUGUCUAUCCAUCCUGGAAGUAGCAAGAUGUAUCAGGAUUUGAAACCUCUGUUUUGGUGGACAAAGAUGAAGGAGAUUGCUGCUUUUGUCGCUCGUUGUGACAACUGUUGUCGUGUGAAGGUCGUUCACAUGAAAGCAGACUUACUUUAACCAUUGUCAAUUCCUGGUUGGAAAUGGGAAGAAGUCAGUAUGGAUUUCAUCUCUGGGCUCCCAACUUCUGUUAAGGGUUACGACUCUAUAUGGGUGAUUGUAGAUCGUUUGACCAAGGUUGCUCGUUUCAUACCAGUUCAAACUGAUUAUCGUCCACAUCAGUAUGCAGAGUUGUAUUUCGAGCACAUUGUCCGUCAGUAUGGUGUGCCUCGAACUAUCAUUUCAGAUCGUGGAGCACAGUUCACUGCCCAUUUCUAGGAGUGUCUACAUGAGCAAAUUGGUACGCACUUGGUUCGUAGUUCGGCAUAUCAUCCCCAAACGGCCGGCCAAACUGAACGUGUUAACCAAAUCCUAGAAGACAUGUUGAGGGCAUGUGCUCUCUCUUCAAAGGGUUCUUGGGUAAAGUGGUUGUCGUUAGCUGAGUUCUCUUAUAACAAUAGUUAUCAAGAGAGCAUCAAGAUGGCUCCAUUUGAAGCCCUGUAUGGUCGAAAAUGUCGAACCCCGUUGAAUUGGGUGGAAUCCGGGGAACGAAGGUAUUAUGGCAUCGAUUUUGUGAACGAAGCGGAGCAGCAAGUCCGUACUAUCCAGCAACACCUAGAAGCUGCUCAAGCUCAUCAGAAAAGUUAUGCUGAUAAGAGAAGGAAGCCGAUUGAGUUUGCAGUCGGUGACCAUGUGUAUAUCAAGGUGUCUCCGAUGAAAGGUGUACAAAGGUUCGGAGUCAAGCGAAAGCUUGCACCUCGUUAUGUGGGACCUUAUCGGAUUCUUGAGAAGAAAGGGAAUGUAGCAUACAAAGUUCAAUUACCAGUUGGGCUUCGAGCUAUUUUUGCUGUCUUUCACGUAUCACAAUUGAAGAAAUGCCUUCGUGUUCCAGAGGAACGAGUGGAAAUUCAGGAUAUCAAGUUGAAAUCUGACUUGGUGUAUGAAGAGAAACCUGUAGCGGUUGUUGACCGCAAGGAAAGGGUGACACGAAAUCGGGUGGUUAAGUUCUACAAGGUGUUGUGGAGUAACCACGGGGAGGAAGAUGCCACUUGGGAAACGGAGGACUAUUUAAAAGAAGUUUAUAAAACCUUCUUCGAAAAUCAGUAAGCUUCCAAAUCUCGGGACGAGAUUUUUAUAAGGGGGGAGGGUUGUAACACCCCAGUGUUAUGGUUGCAUCAAUCACAUCCAUGACAUGAGCAUCAUCAUCUACUCAAGCAUAUCAUGAUCAUCAUCUACCUUGAGUCAUGUCAUUUUAUGCAAAAAUGUGAUUUAACUUGUUAAAUUAUGCUUCCUAUGCUUAUGUUUGUUUGUACCAUGCUCAUGUUUGUGUGCUAUGCCUUGGUAAUUAGUUUAUCUAUGCUUAAAUCAACCUUAGGAACAAUGUUCAUGUAGAUCACUUCUCCAAAAUAGUCACUUAACUCAUACUUCCAUGAAUAGGCCCUAGAAACCUCUUUUGCUUAGGCUUUUAAAAAGAGUUUCAUAAAAUGUUUGCAUGUCAAACCUUUCUACAGAAAAUUUGUAGCAACUUUUAUAAGGAACAAAAGUUGUUUUAUGGCCAUCUCAUGAAAAUGAUCACAUCUAGCUCAAAAGUGACCCACAAGGCAGAUUUGGGGCUGUUUCCAACACUUAGAAAUUUUUCUAAGUCUGGGAUCGCAGCAGUUUGCUCGAGGGUACCAAGUUGUUUAGCUUCCGGUUUGAAUUCUAGGCCGAAUCAAACCUUAAUCUUGUAAGCAAUGUUGGAGUCCUCAUGUAGCUCUACAGCAUGGAGCAAUUAGCCAGCAAAAUCAUCAAAUGGAUUAGGAGAUAAUCACAGUGCAAAAUCAGGUUUCAGUCGGGAUCAGAGACUGAAUGGAGUCGUCGUCAGCAGAGGGGAGCUCACCGGUGACGCCACGUGUCUGGACUCGUGGUGUCCGUACGUCGCUGUUGGUCCCGCUCGUCAGUCCUCAGCGUGUCCUACAGCUCGACACGACGCCCCCGGUCGCGUGGACAGCGCCAUUUCCACUCUGGUUCGCCCUCUCUCGCGUCCGUCGUCUUCUCCGUGUCGCCGCCGCUGCUUCGGCGAGCUCGCGCGCUCGCGUCUCAGCGUCUCCGGCCAAGCGACUCCGUCCAGUGCUCCGCUAGCUUCCCCGCAACACCGUCGUCGAGUUGGCUGCGGCUGCCGAACCUCGGUAAGCCCGCAUUGUCUUCUCCGUCGCGAGCUUACCUCGCCGGAGCUCCGCCAUGGUCACCGGCGUCGUGGCCAAGGCUCUGUAGUCCACCAUUUCUCUUCGUUCUUGUCCCAAAAGCUCCGCUGACUCAUGCUGAUGCUCGUUCGAGUCCUCUUUCGCCCGGUCUCCGACCAGAGACGCCGGCGGUCGGCCGCACACCACCGCCGUGCCGCCAUUCGCGAGGGCGAGGUACCUAGGGUUCGGUAGAGUUAGGGUUUGUGGUACCAAUCGAUGCGGAAGGGAGAGAGGAGCACGAUGGUGCUCUUGGUCGUCGCCGAGACCUCGCCGUCGACGAGAUCUCCGACGGUCAAGUCGCGCCUCUGCUCUCGCGUCACUUAUGUGUGGGGUCCGUUGACUUGCGGGGUCCCCCUGUCAGUCUCUCUUUCUCCUUUGUUUGAUUUAGGUUUUGUGCUGUUUUUGCAAAAAUCAUCUCUCUUGUUCCUGUGAUCCAAAAAAAGUGAAAUAAAUUUUGUGAUGUUCCUUGAGAUGGCUAGUUUUUAAUAAAAAUAUAACAUGUACCAUGUUUUCUGGGAAAAAUAAUUGUUAUGAUUUAAUCUUGAUUAUUUAAGUAUAAAUUCAUAUCUGUUUAUAUACUGCUCCUUUUGCUAUGAAAUUUUUAUGGUAGUCUCUGAGUGACAUUAGAAUGCUAGGAUGAAUAUCUCAUGAUUUUUGGAGUAAUGUAUCUGUGAUAUGUAAUUUAUGUUUGUGAUAUGGCUUAUUUUCUUACUUAAAUCAUAAUAAAUAUUUGGUGCUUAUGCUGGUGCUCUACUCUAGUGUCAAACUUGUUUAGGAUAAUAAUAACAUGUAAAUAAUCUGAAAUCUGUUGUUUGACACUAUCUAAGCUAUGUUUCUUAAUUUAUGGAAUAAGCACCUUGUCACAUGUUAAAUGCUUAUCUUGAAUUUGGCAUGUGCAAUUGUUCUGAAAAUUUUAUGGUAAUGUCAAGAUGCUAUACUUGUGCUUCUGUAAUUUUUGUAGAUUUUUCUGAGCACUUUUGCUUGUAUCUUGUUAUUAUGUCCCUUUAUAGAAUUAAAUUAAUAAAUACCUUGUUGUUAAAUGUUGUGGGGUUAACAUAUGAUGUUCUGAUAAUCUUAUGAUGUGCUUGUGCUUAUAAGCCAUUUGGUUGGCACUAUUUAUGUUUUUGCAUUGUCACCAAAUAAUUAAUUAAAGAGUUAAAAGCUGUUCUGGACAGCAAGGGAGUAAUCUAACCUUUACUUGUUGAUGUCUUGAUUUUCUGGAAGACUUAUCUAAAUCAAAGUUGUUGUAGAUUUUAUGAACCAGCUGUAGCUCAAAUUUGGGAUCAUUUGGUCCAGUUGUCUUGAAGUUAUGGCUUUUCCAUGUCAGGUUCCAGAAAUAGGUGCUUUCUGUUUUUCUGGGACAGAACCUGGAACAUUGUUUAAUUGACUUGUUUAACUUAUGAAUAUUGUUGUGAUGUUUAAAGAUGAAAUGUAGACAAUUUCAUAAGCUUUCCAUAAUGUCCACAUUUAUGUUUGUUGGAUCUAUAUAGCAAUAGUUCUGACCUGUUUACUGAGCUGUUCUGUUAUGUGAUGCUUGCUGUUUGUAGUUUAACUUGGUAAUCUUGCUAAGUAAUUAAUCAUCUUGUGUGAUCUUGUUAUGAAAGUUACUCCGUAAAUGAGUGUCCAGUGAAGUUCUAAUUAUGUUAUCAAGCACUCAUCCUCAUCUAGGAGGCACACAUUCUUAUUCAUCGUGCAUGCAAUAGGUGCACCGGAAACGACUGCUUCGUUCGAGCUCUAGGUGAACCCCGAGGGUCAAGAGAUCAACCCGGAGGUAGAGGUCCAGCAAGCCGGAUGUUGAUAUUUGGGAACGCAAUAAGGAAUUGAUCCGCAAGCGCACGGAUAUCGGUGACCACUUCACCCGGGAAAUUAUCCAGAGUAUCGUAUUUAUUUUUUUACCACUAGGAGAAAGAGUGCAUCUGACUAACCGGCCUAUUACUACUAACCUUUAGGCACAAAGAAUGUCUUUCGAUGUGAGUGAUAAAUAGAGAAGACUGCAACCGUAGUCUCCUUCUAACCUUGGUAAGGAUGAUCUACUGUUCUAAUGGGGAGGCUAACGGAAUCUAGACACUACAAAGGAUGUUCGACCCGCACCUAUAAACCCUAUCCUUCCUGCUAACGAGAUGUGAUCUGCAAAGGUAACUCGGAAUUGUCACGUUCCUUGCUACUACCACGGUCCAGCUAGUCAGGGAAUAUCUAUGAGUACCCCAGCCUAAACACCACGUUUACGCCAGCAAUGAUUACUCUAAACUCUACGCGAAGAGAUUAAAAGUGAACUCAUAAACCAUAAGAACAAUAAAACAAGAACUUACUAGAAUUUAGAAGUCGAACUACUGAAGAAUCCUAGGAGCAAGCUUCGGGUUAGGAGAACUUGAUCCCGUAGGUACAAGCUUGGAGUAGACACCGACUGGCCAGGCUUCCUCCACUCUACACCUCCACUCUAUCUCUCUCAAUCUAGUAGAAACUAGAAGAUCUAUUUCUACCUUACAUUGAUGGCUAAGCCUAAAAAGAAAUAUUAAUUAGAGAAGAGGUUUUCCUUCGAGGGCACCCCUCAGUCUCUAUGAUAAUUUCUUCGUGUUUUCUCCAGGGGCCAGGGGGUCUCCUUAUAUAGUCCUCCCCUUCUAUGCGUUUUUGGGUCGAUAGGCGAGGUGGUACUAUGUUUUUCUUGAUCCAAUAGGUCGGUGGAAUAUCCCGAGCAAAGAGAGUCCUGAUCUAGCUCCAGCAGGGGGCGGGCGCCCAGGUCACCAGGGCGGGCGCCCUGGGCCUGGCCCCGUUUCGCCUCAGCUUCGGUCUCGUGGCUUCUGGAGUCUUCUAGAUGGUGUAAAAUCGUGCGGUGCGUUGAUAUCUCUAUGUAAUCCUAACAUGUGGGCCUUUCUUCCUUAUUUACUGAUAACCCCCUACAGAAACAGAUAAACAACAAAACUCGUGGAAUUCUGUCAGAUCAAACCCUAAUUCUAGGUGUAGGUUGCAUAUUGGUCCUUUCUCUUGUUUAUUUGAUAAUUAAAAUUGAUACUUAAGAACCGUCAACACCGGACACAAGGAGCCCGAAGAGGAGAUUGAGUGCCCGAAUCAUGAGCCUGCAUUGUUCGUGAAAGGCAAGCCCCGGAGCAUCUUAAGUCUCCCACUUUAAUUUCGAAAGCUUACUUGAUUAUGUUAUAUCUAUUGAUGCAUUACGUAUAGGAGUUGCGAUGAAACCCUUGCUGCAUUGUCUUUAUUCCUUGUCCAGAUAUCUUACCAUCGCCUGGUCAUAGAGUUAGGAUCGAGUAGCAGCUUAGCCUUGCUUAAUCGGUAGAAGUCGGGUGAUAUCCUGUCACCUGCGCGAGAUAGGGUGUGUCGGAUCACGAUUGUCUAUAUGUGCUAUCGUGGAAGGAACCUGAUUAAAAUGAUUUAAGCCAGGUGGAGUUUUGCAAGGUUGUAGUAACUCCGUCUGUGACAGCUAAGGACCGAUCGUUGUACGUCCUCUUGUCAUGUUGAACGCAUGCCUAACACUUAGUUGGCCGGAUAACUCGUUCUGGCCACGAAGCCUAGUAGUAUGACUCAGGCCGGAAGACCGGCAAGUAUAAAGUGCGCACUACCGGAGGAAGUGCGGUGUGCGGGGGACCAUUGGCGUAAGACCAAAGGCAGGUGAGUUAAAAGUCCUGACCUCCCUGGUAGAGUGGUAGCCCUGAGAGUGCGGCGCUGAUUGGAGCCGCGAUUCCUGAGUCAUACCAAAGGUGACCCGCUUGCUCUCCGACGGGGGAUGCUUGGGUGAGUGCUAGGAAUAACCCUCGAGCUGGAUAGGAAUCGAUUCGAAUCGCCGUCUCUCCCGGAUAGUGAGAACUUGACAGAGCAGCGACAAACGUAGCAUUCACUAACAGAACAUUGGUUCGUGAUAAUGAUGAUAGCAAGAAAGAGCAUAUGAUGAACUUGAUAUGGUUAUUAUUGUUUGUAAUAAUCAAGUGAAGUGUUUUAGUACAGGUGCUAAUGUAGUGAUAGACUAAUAAAGAUUAAAUGGAUGCCUUUACAAAUGGUAUGGUAAUCACUUAAGCUUUUGGCAAAUAAUGAGUCAAGCCGGCUACACUUUAUACUUAGCCUUGCAUGAUCCUUGGUGUCUUUUAUGUUUUACUAGACGGGUAAGUCUAGCUGAGUACAUCCUCAUACUCAGGGUUUAUUCCCACCUGUUGCAGAUGAUAUCUUUUAUGAUGGCUUCUGCAAGACCUGUCUCCAUCCCGCUGGAGAUGAGGACUAAACCGUUGGGCACGGUUCUCUAACAACUUCGUACUUGUGCUUUUGGAGGGAUGGUAUAAGACUCUGGCAAUAACAAAGACUUGUGAACUGAACUUUGGAAUGUGUGUUGUAAACUAUUUUGCUUCCGCUACUACAAACUGGUGUUGUACUAACUUAGUAACUCCGAUGUGGUGCCGCUUCGACGGCAAUGAAUGACUAUGUAACAUUCGCUGUGUUAUGUUGAACUAUUACGAUCUUGGUUUGUUGCAAGUUGGUUUGAAGUCCAUCGAGAUUUCAGUUGACUACCGGGAUUAUAUGGGCUCAAGUUUGGAAACUUGAUUGUUAAUCGAUCGUUUCUACACUUGAACUCUUAUAAUUUGGUCGGUUCUGUGACAAUGCCAGAAUCAAGGACAAGCUUAUAACAGUGACAGUCACAUACCUUAAGAUGUUACCUUAAUUGAAGAGUGAUGGUACAAUAUCACCUUGUGGAAGCUUUUCUUACUCAAUGGUUGUGCAUCUUGUUCGUGGCACUCUUCGUCUCGUUGCAUGGAUUAUCUCUCGAGCUAUGUCUUUCUUGUGCAAAUUGUUAAACUUCAUGUGUCUUCUUCUUUCUCUCCAUUCUGAAUUUAUCUCAGGACUUCUCAAAUCGAUAUUGAAAAUUUUCCUACAUGGGUUAGUCCAACAAAAUAUACCAGUGUCUACACAAGCAGUUUUUAGUUCAAUAACCAAACUAGACUCCAUGUCUAAUCGGAUUAAGGAAGGCUACUUAACCUAAGCACCAUGCUUAAUUUAGAGUACAUUGCACUCACCAUACAACAACUAAUUAAGUGGGUGCAUAUUAGUCCAACAUCUUCUAAUUUGUCCAAUCUAAUACAACAACUAUCUAGGUUGGUACUUAUUGGACCAACAUCUUUAUCAGUUCAAGCCAGCCAUGAAUGACAAUAGGUUGGAAUUAAAAUAAUAUUAUGGCAUAGAAAGAAAAAUGAUCGAGUUAGAAUUUUUCAUAUAUGAAAUCAAUAACAACUUUUAUAUUUGGCCGGAUUCAUAAAUGAUAUCGUAUAGUAAAUGAUUCAAGCUGAUUGAUGGAUGAAACGAGCAUGCUAGGUUCUAUAGCUUGCAAAGAUAGUGAUUCAGAGUGUAAAAAGAUGCGUUGUUACAAUACUUGGACCAUAUAUGCACGAAUAAGCAAGUUCUUGUAUCAAAUUAAACUAACGAGAAGAUUAUGGAUCAAUAUGCACUCACCUAUAUUGUUGUUGUAUUAAAUUGGACAAAUUACAAUAUGUUAGACUAAUAUGCACCCACUUAGAUACUUGUCGUAUGAUGAGUGUAAUUUACUCCUUAAUUUAAAUGCCAAUGGAAGUAUGUCGAGUACUUCCAAACCAACACUUACUUGUGAAUAGACAAAGGUAGCAUGACAACAUUAUAGAGAUCUACUCAAGUGGGGAUGAAGUAGAACAAUUAGUGUUUAACAAAUUGAGCAUGUCUUAAGGGUAGGGACAACCAACAUAGCAACAUGGCAAAUGAUGUUUUUGUGUAAAAUAUUCCCCCCCAGCUUGAACAAGUCAUGUUUGGAUGAAUUUAAUUCAAUGUUGCAUGAUGAUUGGUUGGACAUACCUUGUUGUUAUUCUUCACUGUUUUACUUCAAGCCUGAAUCGCGAAGAUAACGGGAUUGCUUCCCCCAAGCUGAAUGUUGACAUAGUCUUUAAUCUUGAAUCCGCACAACACAGAUGUUCUUCAAUAUUCUUGAGCUUCAAAAUGUCAGUGAUGAUUGCAGCGCUUCCAAGUUGAUGAAGAUAUCUUGAUCAUUGGGGAUUCUCUCUUUAAAUCAUGUUAAACUCAAAUAGACAACAAAACUUGUGGCACCGAUUAAACAUUAGUAGUUGGCCACUUAAGCCUUAGUUGUCCAAGCUUUUUCAAGCUCAAAAAAUUUUAAAUCUGCCGGUAUCUGUUGGUCUAGCACGUCAAUGUUUGAACCAUAUUCAUUUCCAAUUACUAGCGGGGGCACUGAUUGCUUUGAUUGUUCCCCGAGCUGUGCUACACCCUUGCAUGCUCUUUUCUCUUUAUUCUUCUCUUCUUCUAUAUAUUUCCUUAAAGUGCAAUCAUAGUCCAAUAAAGAUGAUGAUUCUUUCUGAGCUUCACGCCUCUUUCUUUGUUGAGCCUCAACCCUUUGUCGUAGAUCUUCUGGCUGUAGUAAGAGGUAUUGCUUCUCAAGGUUUCGCUUGGCUUCUCUUUUAGUCUUAAGUUUCUUGAAGAAACUAUCCACAUCUGAUUUUACCGAACCAUCUAGUUCUGCAUCAGUCUUCUCAUAGGACAACGUCUUAGGAAUGAUAGCUUGUUUCUUUUCGGAGGCUUUCUUUCUUGGCGGCGGGGCGGCCGACACAUUUGAUUGUGUGGCCGGCCUCUUCUUUCGUGUUGGAGCCACGUGUGGAGGCGAUGGGUCGGCCGGUGGUGGUGUUGGAGCCCGAGGAGGCGGCAUUGGAGCCCUAGGUGGUGUUGGAGCCCUAGGUGGCGGUGUUGGAGCCUGAGGUGGUGGUGUUGGAGCCCGAGGUGGCGGUGUUGGAGCCCUAGGUGGUGGCGAUGGAGCCUGAGGUGGUGGCAUUGGAGACUGAGGCGAUGCAGCCGUGUCUUGCACUCCCUCGUCAUCACCCGCAGCACUAUGACAUGUUGGUGACCACCUAUGAAACCAAAAGGUAUAUGAGUAAUCCGCUAACUAAGGGAAUGCAAAAUAGAGUUAGUGAACAAAUGUAUAGUCAAUUUUCAUCCACACCUAGGAUUAGAUUCAUAACGAGGAGGUGGUGGUAGACUACUAGGUGAUGCCCCAGGAAUAAUGAUGUAGUGCUUGUGCCAACAAAUAAAAGUCUUCUCUGCUUCUCCUAGAGUCUUCUCUCCAUCACCUCCUUCUAUCUCAAGCUGCCAUUACUGAAGCCUUUGACAACUCUAUCACCGAGACACUAGCAUAUCCAGGUGGAACUAUUGCCCCAUGGAUCCUUGGUGUCUUCAUAGGGUCGAUAGGAGUUACAACAGCGAUAGCAACCAUGAUUGUGGUAGUCCACUGUGGAAUGUGCAGCUCACAUGUUGUUAGAGGUUCAGUGAUGUCAUCCACCGGAAAGUGCAGCCCACGUCGUCUUGAAUAGUUGGCAUCUCCGUGGAAGCGCAACUGCUUUUGAACUGACCGGGAGGGCUAAUGUUGACUCUAGGCUCUGAUGCAGUUUGCCUUUGUAUAGAACUUACUACCAUCUGCACUUGUCUUUUGAUCUCCUCAUUCAUUCUCUCUUCAAGCGCAUUCUCUCGCGCUAUCGCUUCACGAGCCGCUUCGCGUGACUCCAUCACCAUUGCCUCCAACCUACGCAACCGCUCUGCUUCCUCUUCCUUCUUUCUUUCAAGGCUUCAAUAAGUCAGUCUAUCUUUAGGGAAGCCAUGCUUCCACGAUACCUCCCCAUAGCCUCUUGUUCGCCCACCGUGUUCAGCAGUCUCCAGGGCGUAUGUCAGCUCAUCCUUUUCUCUAUUUGGCUGCCAGGUGCCACUUUCAACUAAUCCUCUAGCAUAGGCCACUCUCUGUCCUACUCUCUCGAGCUUUUCGCCAUACACUAUCUUUCCGGUCUCUAGAUCUAUGGUUCCCCCGUGACUGAAGAACCAAUACUUGGCACGCUCAGGCCAGUGCAUUGAUUUUGGUUCGAUCCCUCUCCCAAGAAUCUCCUGUUCCAACUUUUGCCACUUAGGAAUAGUAGUCCUGUAGCCACCUGAACCCAAGUGAUGGUGGUAUUGCUUUUGUUUAGCAUUUUCCUGAUUCUUGAUCAUCCGUGCCUGACCCUCUUCUGAGUUUUUAAACUCUACGAACUCAUCCCAAAAAGGCCUCAACUUGACGUAGGCCUUGUUGGUGAAAUCCGGUGUCUGGCCAUGUGCAACAAAAAGUCUUGUAUAAUGUCUUCUUCCAAUCUUGAAAUUGUUUGGCCAUCUUCUGCAUAGCCCAUAUUUUAACCUUCUCCUUCAAAGCUUCAUCUUGUGUAUCGAGCGUGAAAUGUUGAAGGAUAUCUAGCCAAAUCAAUUCCUUGUCACGAUCUGAGACAAAACUAAUAUUAGAAUUAUCUUUCUGUUGCCUCCAUUCACGAGCACUGACCGGGAGCCUAUCCCUUACAAGGUACCCCCAGUGCACAACAAUUUUUUUAGAAUUGGCCCCAAGCACUUGUCCUGUACCCUCAUCGAAUUCCGACAGAAUAUACCGACCCUCCAACGGCUUCUUCGAGCCGCGCACUUUUCUACUCUUCUCAGAAGUUGUCGCCGAUUUAGAGGGCCACACAAACAAGUAUAAAUAUAUUAGUACAAAUGCCAUUUAUUUUAAUUUCAUAUAUAUAUAUACAUAUAUACUAGAUUGUAGAUAGACCUCAUCAGGAUUGUCUCCCACAAGUUCUUCAUAAUCAGUAAAGUACUGACUCCCAUCAUCUUCGCCUUAGGGAUCUGGAUUGGCGCCGCUGUUGAUUAGGUCCAUCAUUGCAUCAUCCAUGUUGUCAUUCGGAUUGGCCAUUUCUGCAAAUUGGACGCCAUCAUCUAAUAAUACUUAUAUCUUUUAUAGAAAUGUCAUAAAAUUUUAAAUUGUUUGAUUUCUAAAAAGGAGAAUUGCAUUUUUUCGUGAAUGAAGUAACUUGGCAUAACGAUUUGUAACUUCGCUUAACAAUGUGUUCACUGUGCGUUAGAACAAUCUAGAAACAUGUACGUUUCGCGAGCGCGUGUGUUUGGUCGAUCGGAGUACGACAAGUGUAGAUGUAGAGUACGUUUUGCCGGCAUGGGGAUGCAGAGGAGCGCGGCUACAGCGCCCACCGCGGUGGACGAUACGAUAGCGACGAAGACCGAAUGGCUCCAGAACCACCGGGCCCUCGAGUCUUCAGCAGAGCAAUCCGCAGCACGCCCUGCCAAGCCUGUUUCGACCCCCGACCAGCAUUGCCAAAUACAACGGCGAAACCAAGCCAGAGCUGUGGCUGGCAGACUUCCGGCUAGCAUGCCAGUUGGGAGGUGAUCGAGGAGACCGCUCGCAGAUGGCUAGCAUGCCAAUUACCGCUCUUCAUCUCCGACACCGCUCGCAGAUGGCUUGAGGAGCUCCCCGCCAACUAGAUUCACGACUGGACCGAUUUGGUCUGGGUGUUCGAAGGCAACUUCAAAGGGACCUACAUACGACCCGGAAACUCAUGAGACCUCAGCAAGUGCAAGCAGAAAUCAAGAGAAACUCUCCGAGAGUACGCUCGACGCUUCUCGAAGCAGCGCACUGAGCUCCCGCACAUCCCCGACCACGACAUCAUUCUAGCCUUUGUCUCAGGCACCACAUGCAUGGACCUGGUACGAGAACUAGGUCUAAACUGGUGUCACACCGCAAAAUUCUAACUUUGGGAUAUGACUUAGAAAACACUAAAAACAAAGACAAAGAAUUUAUUUUUUUUAUAAAAUGUUCCAACUUUAUUUAUGUUGACAACAUUUUAGAUAGUGAAAAAUGUGGGUUUCUAAAAUUUUUGUAAAUCAACUUAGUGGUUUGUUGCAUUCAUGUCGUUGCAUAGCGCUUAUGCUUGAAAAAUAAAUUUUGUUUGUUUUCAAGAUACACCUUGGGUUGAUCCCCAACUUCAUCUUUCCAAACAUCAAACCAAUAUCUAAAAGUUCUAAUCAAAUCUUUUGUCCACAAACUAAAUCCCUAGCCUAACCCUCUCCCUCACUCGCUUUCCUCUUCCUUUUUUGGACUCCUACUUAUUUUUGAUCAAGUCCUCCCAACCCCUUAAAUCUAAAUUAUAUGACCACUCUAUAUAUCUCUCUCCUUGUUUACACAAUUCUACCAUCACUUUGAUCAAGCCAAGUUCCUUGUCUUGCUUUGGAUCAAGUCCAAACCAGCCCAAAACAUCCAUCUUUCUCUCCCACCUCAUGCACGAUUCUCUACUUCUCUUUUAUGUAAAAAGGAAAAUAGAAACCCUCCUCACAUCUAUGUGUCGUCAUCCCCUUGGGCAGCACCUGAUCUUUUCCUACAUGCACAAACUUCGUCAACUAAUUGCUCCUUAAUUCCUCCUUUUCAAUUCACUAAUAAUCUUAUUGACUGCAUGUGGAAAGCACCAUGCAUAGACAGUUAACUUUUGCAGCUACACCAGCACUUCCUCUCUUCUCCAUGCAAAGAUAAAUCCUCUAUUAAUUUCCUUGACUUCAUCAAGUAUAUCUUUAUCCCAUCUCACCAGUUGUAUGUAAUGGCAGCCAUGAAUCUCUUUCUCUUUUCCUCAUGACACCUAUCCUUCAUGUAAAAUAACAGCAGCAUUUAACUCUUUAGCCCCUUGAUUACUUUGUCUCUUUCAUGUGGAGAAAUCACCCUUCUCAUCUCUAUGGCGACUGCUCAAUAAUUCUUUCUUUUUAUUUUUUAGACACACUUCAAUCCUUCAUUUGUUUUCCUUUACUUCCAAUGGCAUGCAGCCAUCUAUGCUCUGGCUACACCCACGUUUACUCCUUUUUCUCUCAUGCAAGAGAACAACAACAACUAAUUCUUCCCCUUAAAUUACAAUGGUAACACCUUUGUUUAAUCCUUUCCUUUGAGUAUCCUUUAUCCCAUCAGUGUGCAUGCAACAGGUAGCCAUACCUCUUCUCUUCCUCCUCCCUUACUGCCAAGGGCGCCUCUCCCUUCUCCUCCUGCUCAAUAUUAAUGUGCACCCAUUCAUUCUCCUAUUGACUCACCUCUAUUAUUUCUAUUGCUUUACUCCAUUGUUUCAUUUGCAUGCAUGCAGAAAAUUACAACCAGCAAUAUCUCCUCCCCCUUGCUCACAUGAGCAGGUCAUCACUUCUCCUCCCAAUGGCGCAUCUUCCUUUUCUCUCAUGCAGAAAACUGCAGCCAAUGUUCCCACUUAAUUCCCUUUACAAGCCCCUCUUAUUCUCCAAUGCAGCUCUCUAAUUGCAUGAGUAAUGAAGGGCUCAUGAAACAGCCAUGCAUCACCCUUUCUCCCUUAUUUCUUUUAUGCUCGACACACACAGGAGCUGCCACUCUCUUCCCAUGCAAAACAACUACUACAAAUAAUGCUCUCCUUUGAUUCCCAUGAGACACACACCUGAUUUCAAUAGCACCUAUUUACUCCAUCGGUUUUACUCUCUUCAUUUGCAUGCAUCCAUGCAGGAAAUAGCAGCCAUAUAUUUUCCCUCUUCCUCUCUUUCUCAUGCACAACAACAGCUUUAUUUCCUCCUCCAUUUCUCCUUCACGCACACUGCAGAUGGACAGCCCCUCUUCCCCUCUCCUAUGCCAGCACUGUCUCACUCUCAUGCAGAAAUAAAAAGGCAAUACAUAAUGCUCUUCCUUAAUCACCUAGCCUCUCUUGACUCCUCUUCAAUUGCAUGCAUACAUUCACAGCCAUAUCUCCUCUCUUUUCCCACGCACAACCAGCAAGACCCCUCUUCAAAACCCUCUUGAUAGCACAUAUUUUUUCAUUGCCUUUUUAUUUCACUUCAAUGGCAUGGACACAUGCAGCUGCAGCAGCUAUAAACCCCCCCCCCCUCAUCUCCUCCUCUCUCCCUCACGCAAGCACCAGAGAAGGAGCAUCCCAUCUCCUCCCCUCCCUCCAUCAGUUGGGCGCCCCUCCUCCUCUCUUUUCCCCAUGGCUGCAGCUCCAACUCUCCCUCCUUUCUCUCCACAAAAAACAGCAGCCACCGCCUCUUCUCCUUCCAAUUCCUUCACCAUGGAUGGCCACUCCUCUCCCCUUCAAAUCCCUCUCCAACCUCUCCAUCAAAAUGCACUGCCCUCUCAGCAACAUUUUUGUUUUGCUGCUGCACGUUUCUUCCCAUCAUCGGAGUCAUGGAAUUCUUCACAUCUUUCUUGAGGACGCCAUGGUGCUGCAGCGCUUCAUGGAGCUCACCCCAAUGUCUUUUCCCAUCUCCCAGAACCUGCAGCAGAAACUCAUCGACCAUCAUCGCUGCUGCUCUUGUGCAGACCAUGGUGAGGUCGUCCUUCCCUCUCCUCUCUGUGAUCUUGUUUCAUAUUCCCCACUCAUGCAUCUCUUUGAUCUAUUGUGAGGCAUGGAUGAUCCGCCAAAGCGAAUAUGCCACUGCUCCAUUGAUCACCAACAUUGUCUUUACCUGUCAUCGACACUGACCGCUGCCAUCACAUUCAUCUCCAACUGUUCCUAACCCCAAUGUGAGAACCAAACAUUUUCCUCUAUCUUAUAUGUUCAACUAUAUCAAAGUUUUGUCAUCUUGAUUCAAGUGGAUAGAUUUGUAGUGCAGUUUUGGCUAAGAACGUAUUGUCGUCUAUCAUGGACAGCAGUGUUGCUGCUGGUUAUCACGCAUGUUCCCGGCAAUCUGCACCUCUGUUUUGCAAUUCCUUUAAUCCAUGUGUGUAUCAUAUAUUUGCCCAUGUCUCUUUAAAUUUUUAUGGCCAUAGAGCUUAAUAUGAAAGAGUUAUAAAUGUUCUUGUGCAUGAUGUCCCUGCUGUCCCGCAGCAGAGUUUCUGCCGGUUGGCAUGUGUAUUCCCGAUGAUCCAUCACUCCAGUGAUCAUGUCCUUCAACCACAGCGUGUUUUCUACCUUUGCACACACCCCUGAGAAAUUCCAUGGCAAUAGAAUUCAAGAUGAAAGAGAUAUCAUCAUCUUUUCGGUGUUUGCUGUCCCUGCUGUUUCAGCAGCAUUGUGCCUCUGUUUGAUAGUGUUGUUCCCCAUCAUACAUUGAGUUAAAUCAUCAAACCCUUCAUGAAGCAUGUGUGUCUUAUCAUUGUACACAUCUCUACAGGUUGGCUUGGCCAUAGGUGUCUCAAUGGCUGAGAUGUUGAGGCCAUAGUACCUGCUACUCCUGCUGUCUAGAAAUCAGUCAUGCCACCCAUUUUGAGUUUGUGUUCUCCGCCUAACAGAUGGUCAAACCACCAUUCCCUUUUACAAGAACAUACCUCAUACAGUCCACGAUGACUACAAAAUAUGUAUUGUUCAUUUGUGCUAAUCAGAGCAUGUCAUCAAGGAUCAUAACCCCUGUUGUCCGCUGCCACGCACAUCCUAGGUGCACCGGUGUCUCACCACGUUCCCCACCAAACCAUUGUUCAAAUCACUGAUCUCUCUUGCAUGACUGUGUCUAUGGUUGUUGCACACAAAUCCACCAAAUAUCUAUCACAGAAGCUUAGCAUAGGCCUGCGUUUUGUUGGCAAGAACCACUACUUCCCAUCGCACAUGCAUGCUCAGUCGGUGUGCAGCUCAUUGUAAUCAUAUCCCCUAUGGAUUUAGCUACUUGCUUUGGUGCACUAGUAACCAUAAUAUGAUCCCAUAUGAUCUCUCAUAUGCAGCAGCACUUAUAUAUAUAUAUAUAUAUAUAUAUAUAUAUAUAUAUAUAUAUAUAUAUAUAUAUAUAUAUAUAUAUAUAUAUAUAGAGUAAUCAGGAUGCACAAACCUUACUUGCAGCCUUGCUUCCACCUUAAAUCUAUGGUCGCAUUGCACUCGCGAAGUUCUAGCCAUUCCAACCAUCAUAGUUGUUCUUGCCUCAUUGUGUUCUAUAACCACAUAUAAAUAAUCUUGAUAGUAUCUCACCAUAUCAUCUCACUAUUGUGUAGCCAUUGCCAUGUAUAUGCUUUCUCUCAUCAAGCUUGCAUAGCCAGCACGUGUGAUCAAGCCCUUAAAUCUUCAUAUGCUUACUUCAUUCUUCAUAAUCUGUAGUCUAUCUUGUAUACAAUCCUCUGAUCAUUUAUUAUUCAUCUAUAAAUCCUUAUGCUCUCUAAAUCUUUCAAGUUAGCACACAUACAUCAUGUUUAUUCCAUUCCUAUCAUUUAUCGAACCUUCUGACUUCUACCUUUGAACUUUCAUGUCUUCUAAACCAUAGCUCCGUUUAGUUGUUUUUGCGCUCAACGUUCGUAGUUACAAGCCUUACGUGUUUAAAACCUUUAAGUCUUAUUUUGUAAUGCUUGGUGUGUUGUUUUUAGGUUCUCUUGUGAUGCUUGUAUCGAUUGUUUGCUGACGUUAGAAGUGGAGCUACAUGAGGAGUAUAUCUUUGAGAAGUGGAACCAUUGGCAAGUGUUUUGGAAGGCAAGUGUAACAUGAGUACCCUUGUUACCUAAUAACUAUAUAAUCAUCUUUUCAUAUGCAUGUGUCUAAUUUGAUGAACCCCUAAGGACUUUACCUAGAACUAUUGUAUCUUGUAUCCUUGUUUACCCUGGGUUAUGCAUAUGGGUAGUUUGCUUAGUCCGCAAUCACCAAACUGUACAACAUUAAUACUGAUUAAUGAUUAUGGAAUCAAUAUUAUAAUGAUGCUUUCUAGCAACAUGGAUAUCAGGGGGCUAGAGCAUUGGGCCUCUCUGGGUGCUCUAGUCUGCCCUCCGUAAGGACUGAAUCUUAAAGCAGCAACCCAGGACUUACAAUACAACCAUGAGAAUCACAUGGCUCUGAUCUUAAUCAAGUAUCUAGUACGUCUCUAGCUUGUUAGUGGUUACCGAAAGGCGCAAGAGGGGGGUGCCUCGUGGUGUAUAGUUUUGCUCCUACCUUGGUGUGUACAGUGCCACGACCACAUGUGCCUCUUGGAGGAGGUCUCUAUGCACACUUGCCACUGAAACCUCGCGGCCACUAACUAGUUAGGGUGUCUACUGAAAGGUUACGUAGUGAUCCCUGCCAACUUACCUUGGAAGUGAGUCAAGAGGUUGGCUCCCUUGGGCAAAGGGCAAUCACGACUCAUGGGUCAAGAUGUACAUACUCUGCAGAGUUAUAAAAACUGAUAUAUUAGCCAUGCUCACGGACACGAGCGGCCUGGAUCCUUUUUGAGAUAGAUGGUUCUAUGGAUGGUUUGGGUGAUGAGUAAUGUUGAUGUUAAUUAUACUUCUCACCUUGGGAGCUUAAGCAUAACCUAGAAACAUAGGUCUAAUAACAAAAUAUGACCAACUAAAAAUGCUUAUCGCAGUCAAACCAAGUCAAGCCUUUUGAGCCUUGCAUCCCCUCAUGUUAUACUUGUUGAGUAUGGUGCGCUCACACUUGCUUUACAUUCAACAAUCAAAAAUCCCAGAUGGGUACCAGAUGGUCAGUCAAAGAGAUGUUCCAAGAGAAUAGGCGAGUGUACCCUCAGUCAACCGUCCCUGUGGAGUAUGGAGACCCAAAGUAAAGAUUAAGAAUAGUUUUCGCUAUGCUUUGUAAUAGAUGUAAGCCUUGUUGUAACUAUUUUUUGAUAUGUAAUAAACAUUGUUCUUGAUAUUCUCCAUAUUUGUCGCUAUAUGUGUCGUGUGGACAUCUUGGGCACACAUAUAGUUAGCGCUUGGUAUUCUUUGGAAAACCGGGUGCGACAACCGGCCUCAGACCGUCGACGAACUGAUGGAUAUGGUGGCGAACUACGCUGCGGGUGAGGAAGCGGUCGGUGCUUUCUUCAGCCACGAAGGAAGCAAAGGGAAGGCACCAGUGGACGACGAUGAGGGCCCCAGCAGAGGGUCUAAGAAAGGAAAGAAGAAGAAGAAAGCACGACCAUUCAAGCAAGAGGCUCUCGACGAUGACUUCGUCGCCGCCGUAGAGCGCAAAAAGCCUCGAGGACCCCCAGAGGGGGCCGUCUUCGACAAGAUGCUCAAGGAGCCCUGCCCAUAUCACAAGGGAGGGGCAAAUCACAAGCUUGAAGACUGUCGCAUGCUGCAAAAGUACUUCGACAGCCUGGGGCUGAAGAAGGACGACCAAAGGAAAGACAAGAGCGACGACAAGGGGGGAAACAAAGAAGACGAAGGCUUCCCUGCCAUCCACAACUGCUACAUGAUCUACGGUGGACCCUUGACGCAGCUCACCACGAGGCAGCGCAACAGGGAGCGCCGCAAGGUCUUUGCGGCAAGGAUGGCGGUGCCCCAGUACCUCAACUAGUCGAACACCCCCAUCACCUUCAACCGCGACGACCAUCCCAACAGGGUGGUCGCCCCCGGCGUAUACCCGCUUGUCGUCGACCCUAUCAUCGUCAACACCAGGCUCUCAAAGGUCCUGAUGGACGGCGGCAGCAGCCUGAACAUCAUUUACCUCGAGACCCUCAACCUUCUUGGCAUCGAGAGGGCGCAGCUCCAACCAAGCGCGGGCGGUUUCCAUUGCGUCGUGCGCGGAAAAAAGGCAUUGCCAGUAUGUCGAAUCGACCUGCUGGUGUGCUUCGGCACAGCCGCCAACUUUAGGAAGGAAACUCUCACCUUUGAAGUGCUGGGGUUUCGCAGUACGUACCACGCCAUCAUCGGACGGCCAGGAUAUGCCAAGUUCAUGGCUAUCCCCAAUUACACCUACCUAAAGCUGAAGAUGCCCGGGCCCAAAGGAGUAAUCACCGUCAGCUCCUCUUAUGAGCACGCAUACGAGUGCGACGUCGAAUGCGUCAAGUACGGAGAAGCCAUCGAGAGCAACGCAGAACUCGCUUCGAAGCUCAAGGCCCUCGCCGCCGAGGCUCCAGAGCCCAAACGUCAUGCGGGCAGGUUCGAACCAGCGGAGGGCACGAAAAAAAUCCUGCUCGACCCCAACGGCUCCAACGACAAAGCGCUGAUGAUCAGCACCGACCUUGACCCCAAAUAGGAGGCCGUGCUCAUCGAAUUUCUCCAUGCAAACGCCGAUAUGUUUGCAUGGAGUCCUUCGGACAUGCUUGGCAUACCGAGGGAAGUCACCGAGCACUCCUUGGAGAUUCAAGCCGGUUCCAAGCCAGUGAAGCAACGAUUGCGUCGCUUCGAUGAGGAGAAACGCAAGAUCAUUGGCGAGGAGAUCCACAAGCUUUUGACGGCUGGAUUCAUCAAGGAGGUUCAUCAUCCUGACUGGUUAGCAAAUCCUAUAUUAGUUAAGAAAAAGAAUGGGAAAAUGAGGAUGUGUGUCGAUUAUACGAGUUUGAAUAAAGCAUGUCCAAAGGUUCCUUUUCCUUUACCACGCAUCGACCAGAUUGUUGAUUCCACCGCGGCAUGUGAGACCCUUUCGUUCCUUGAUGCAUACUCUGGCUACCAUCAAAUAACGAUGAAAGAGUCCGACCAGCUCGCGACAUCUUUUAUCAUGCCUUUUGGGAUGUAUUACUAUGUGACCAUGCCCUUCGGGGUUUGAAACGCUGGGGCGACAUACUAGCGAUGCAUGCUCCACGUGUUCGGUGAGCACAUAGGGUCGACGGUCGAGGCAGACGUCAACGACAUCGUCGUCAAAUCAAAAAAACGAGACGACCUGAUUCAGGACCUUGAGAUCGCCUUUAGCUGUUUAUGCGCUAAUAGAAUCAAGCUCAACCCCGAGAAGUGCGUCUUCGGUGUGCCUCGAGGCAUGCUCCUGGGUUACAUAGUCUCCCAAUGCGGCAUCGAGGCUAACCCCAAAAAGGUCUCGGCCGUCGCAAGGAUGGGGCCGAUUCGAGACGUCAAGGGCAUGCAGAAAAUUACGGGGUGCCUGGCGGCGCUGAGCCGUUUCAUUUUGAGGUUAGGAGAAAAGGUGUUGCCGCUGUAUCGGCUCCUGAAGAAAGCUGAACAUUUCUCUUGGACCCCCGAGGCCAAAGAAGCCCUCGACAACCUGAAAAAGACGCUAACCACCACCCCGAUCCUAGUUCCCCCUCAGCCUGCAGAGCCUCUGCUCCUAUACGUCGCAGCAACGACCCAGGUCGUCAAUGCGGCUGUGGUGGUCGAAAGGCCGGAGGAGGGACACGCGUUACCAGUCCAGCGGCCGGUCUACUUCAUCAGCGAGGUGCUCUCGGAAACUAAGGUACGAUACCCCCAGAUUCAAAAGUUGAUCUAUGCCGUGAUUCUCGCCCAACGUAAGCUACAACAUUACUUUCUCGAUCACCCGAUCACGGUGGGCUCGUCCUUCCCCUUGGGAGAGAUCAUCCAGAAUCGAGAGGCCACCGGGAGGAUCGCCAAAUGGUCAGUCGAGCUCAUGGGUGAGACCCUCACUUAUGCGCCUCGCAAAGCCAUCAAAUCUCAAGCCCUGGCGGAUUUCGUCGCGGAAUGGACAGACACUCAGCCCCCCCAGCUCAGGUUCAAGCCGAGCUGUGUACGAUGUACUUCAAUGGAUCCCUCAUGAAGACGGGAGUUGGUGCAGGCCUGCUGCUCGUCUCACCCCUCGGUGUCCACAUGAGGUAUGUCAUUAGGAUACACUUCGCCGCGUCUAACAACAUGGCAGGGGUUCGACGCGUCGACAUUCGAGGCAACUCCUAGCUGGUCAUCGACCAAGUGAUGAAGGCCUCGAGCUGCCAUGACCCAAAGAUGGAGGUGUACUGUAAGGAAGUACGUAGGCUCGAGGACAAGUUCCACGGCCUCGAGCUCGUUCACGUCACACGACGAUACAACGAAGCAGCCGACGAGCUCGCUAAGAUCGCGUCAACUCGAGGCACUGUCCCACCCGAUGCGUUCUCGAGAGAUUUAUAUGAGCCAUCUGUCAACUUGGGCACGGGGGCUAAUGCCAAAACUUCCAAGCCUACCGACGCUGACGAAGCCUUAUUAGCGACAACAGACAUGAUGGAGAUCGAGCAACGCCCAGUUCGACCGUUCGACUUGCGUACGCCGUUCCUUGAUUGCCUGGUCCGGUGCGAACUGCCAGAAGAUCGAUCUAAGGCCCGUCGUAUCGCGCGACGGGCCAAAUCAUACGUAAUCUAUGGCGAAAGCAAAGAGCUAUACCGACGAAGUCCAACAGGGAUUUUGCAGCGCUGCAUCACCAUAGAAGAGGGUCGAAAGCUCCUCGAGGACCUACACUCGGGGGCUUGUGGCCACCAUGCCGCUCCUAGAACCCUUGUAGGAAAUGCUUUCCGACAAGGUUUCUACUGGCCGAUGGCCGUUGCUGACGCCAUAGAGCUCGUUCGCUCGUGCCAUGGGCAUCAAUUCUAUGCCAAGCAAACCCAUCUCCCCACUCAUGCUCUCCAGAUGAUCCCCAUCACCUGGCCAUUCGCAGUAGGGGGUCUCGAUCUCGUGGGCCCUCUCUAGAAGGCGGCAGGAGGAUACACCCAUUUACUGGUAGCCAUCGACAAGUUCUCCAAAUGGAUCGAGGCUCGACCCAUCACAAACAUCCCCUCCGAGCAGGCUGUCCUCUUCUUCACCGACGUAAUCCACUGGUUCAGGAUACCCAACGUCAUCAUCACCGACAAUGGCACCUAGUUCACCCGCAAAAAGUUCUUGGACUUCUGUGACCGGCAUCACAUCCGUGUGAACUGGUCUGUAGUAGCUCACCCUCGAACUAAUGGCCAGGUCGAGUGUGCCAACGACAUGAUUUUGCAAGGACUUAAACCGAGAAUCUACAACUGGUUGAAGAAAUUCGGCAAGAAAUGGGUCGAAGAACUCUCCUCGGUCCUAUGGAGCUUAAGGACGAUGCCAAGCAGGGCCACGAAAUAUACCCGUUCUUCAUGGUCUACGGCUCCGAGGCUGUGCUUCCAACAGACCUUGAGUAUAGGUGUCGACGAAAGCUGGUCGGCAGUCUACCUUGGGGUAUACCCACGGUAGUAGUUUAUCGGUAGACGGUGCGCAAACUACGAACUCGAUGGUGACGCAAGACACGGACAAGCUUUUUAUCCAGGUUUGGCCGCCGAGUUGGCGUAAUACCUACGUCCUACGUCUGGUUGUAUUGAUUUGUGUUGAGAGAAUAAUCCUGUCCUAGGGGGUCCCUUGCCCCUCCUUAUAUAGUCUGGAGGGCAGGGUUACAGAUCUGGAAACUAAUCCUAGUUGGUUACAAUUGCCAUGGAUAAUUCGAUAUCAAUUCCUAUUCUAACCGACUAGAAUCCUGCUUGAUCUCCACAUCUUGUUUCCUUGCGCGAAACUCCAGGCUGUCGGAUCAAGCCUUGAACUCGUCUCGUAAUGGGCCAAGCCUCCUGGCCAAAGCCUAGCCGUAAGGGUAUAGGGGUUUAUACCCCCACAGCUAGUCCCCGAGCACCAUGUAUUGUGAUGUAACACGCCGUCUUGAGCUUCUUCGAUCAGUGAGACUUGACGUCUUCAAUAAGCAGGAAAGUCGCCCAAACAGUUGCAACGGUUCUUUGACCAACUCAAAAGACAGUUGAUCAACAUUGACAUCGAAGAAGCGAGUUGUUCGAAGAAUGCAUGGUGCUCUAAAUUAAAAAAGAUUUCUUUCCUGGUGAAGUGUGCCCACUUUACUUUUUUGAAAGGUAUAAACCUCAAAAAAGCAAGCAUAUUCACCGCAAGGUGAAGUGUGCCCACUUAGUCCCCGAGCCUGGUAGUAGGUGACGUAGGCACGUGGUGCCAGGGUCAAAAUAAAAGUUCUCAAAGAAAUUCUGUAACUGAGAUGCAUCGCUAGAUGCAUCGUACCGAUGUAGUCCCCGAGCUUGCUGGAAGGUGAAGUAUGAGCCUUGUAGCAAGGUCUAAAAAAUUGAAUUUACCAGUCCGUCUGCAAUUGAAUAGACUAAUCGACCAGUCCCCGGGUGUAUAAUAGUAUGACGACCAGUCCCUAAGCACCAAGUGCGCUCCUUAGAAUUCUGCGUUGCUAUACUGUACGACCAGUCCCCGAGCAUCGAGUGCUCGGUGGUCGGUGCAGUCUUUGAAGUUUCGAGCUGAUAGACUGGGCGACCAGUCCCCGAGCGUCGAGUGCUCGGUGGUCGGUGCAGUCCUUGAAGUUCCGAGCUAAUAGACUGGGCGACCAGUCCCCGAGCGUCAAGUGCUCGGUGGUCGGUGCAGUCCCCGGAUUGUUGACUCUCUGCCAUAUUUGUCUUCUUGUUAUUGAAAAGAUCUUUCCAUUUAAAGUUGACAUGACGAGACCUCCUGACGGGGUGUCAGAUGGAUGCAUGAAAAGUUGCGCCUGGCAACUGUGCAACCGCCCUUUGCAUGGUUUGAGAAAAAGGAAACCAUCAAUUGGUACGAAAACUCCGCCGCAUUAAUUGUCUAUAAUCAUUAUAAACCGAAACGCCGCAUCCGCCGCAUGGUCCGCCCACUUCUCGAGAAUACGGGAAGUGGGAGAGGUGGAGUUGCGGGUUAUAAGAGCCUGACAGUUCCGCCUGUACUGCAUACCCUGCCAUUGCCUCCAAGCCUUCCACUCUCGCCUCCUUCAAUCAUCUGCAUCUUCCUAACUCAAGCCCAAUUUCUCACCUCCAAUGGCGAAGAGCGACUCCAAGAAGAGGGCCAAACUGAUGGCCAAGGAGUGGAAAAAGUCCCACAGCACCACGAAAUAUCUUGGUGACCUCGUCGAUAUGGGGCUUCUGCACAUCCCGGAGCUCGGCGGCUGGAGGGCACCGGAAGGGGAGAGCUACCCCGACCCCCGCGCCGGUGAGAUCGUCGUAUUUGAAGAUUUCAUUAAGAGGGGCUUUGGGGUUCCUGUUCAUCCUUUUCUUCAAGGUCUUCUUUUGUAUUAUGAGAUCAGGAUUUGCGAUCUGCACCCGAACUCAAUUCUCCUCAUCUCCACUUUUAUCCACCUGUGCGACGCCUAUGUUGGCAUAGAGCCGCACUUCGAUCUUUUUCGUUAUCUUUUCUGCUUGAGGAAGAAGGGAGCAGUUGGAGGCUCCAAGGUUGCAGGUGGAGUAUACCUCAACCUUCGUGAUGGAAUGAAGAAUCGCUACCUGCACUGUCCAUGGAACACUUCCUUGACCGAAUGGUACAGGAAGUGGUUCUACAUUAGGGAGGAACCGGGCAGCUCCACGUUCUGCGAUGUGGGAUACAUUCCUGAGAAGAGGGUGAGCUGGACCGACCGCCCGGAUUUCGACGGUCAAGUGGCGGAUCUCAUGAAGCUGAUCGACUGUUCACGCCUGGACGGGCUUGGCGUGGUCGGCAACUUCAUUUGUCGCCGGGUGAUGCCCUGCCAGAAGAGGGUGCACUCGGCGUACGAGUAUGCCGGAAGCGUGGACCCGAUCAGGAUGCGGCCGGAGAUCUUGGAGAAGGCGGAGGUACAACAGCUGUUGAACGAGCUGUUCAACUUCGCGGAUGGAGGCUUCAUCCGUGGCAGUGAUCGGGUGCAAGCGUUCAAGUUAGGAUGACCAGCACCAAAGGUAUGUAGCAGAUUAUUUUGUUUUAGCAUUCGUUUAUCGUCUGCAGCUGACUCAUCUUUGUUGCUUUUGUAGAUCGGCGAUGUCGACCGUUGCACAGUGUAUGUAUCACUGGCACCGGGGAUAGAGAAUCCUGCGGGAGAAGACCCGCCAGAAGAGGACGCUGCUCGGUGUACUCAUUACACCAUUAGUGAGGAGGACCAAGCCCGCCCCGUCCCGACCACCGAGGAAAGGGUGGCGGGGAAAAGGCCAAUGCCUGCGGAUCCGUCGCCGGCGCCGACACUGCCGGCAGAGAGCAGCCGAGAGUUAAAACGGUGUCGGUUCGUUCGGAUCGACGACGACGACGAGGAGGAGGAGGCCGUACCGUCGUUGGUACGGAGGCCUCCUAGCCGUCCGGACAGCGGGCCGACCAUUGCUGAUCGAGUGGCCGGCGACCCUCCUGCGCCUCGUGCUGCGGAGUCGGGGGCACAGGUGCCGACUGGCCGGAUGAGGAGGAGGUUCACUGCGACCCACCGUCGCUCAGACCUGUAAGUGUUCGACUUACGUAUUUCAGCGAUUUUUUUUUUGUUCCUUUAGCGCGGCGUCGGAUGUCAACCCCAGCCAUGCUGCUGGCCAGGGGACGAGUGAGCCGGUCAGCGCUGCUGAAGACGCGGCCCCGCAGACCGCAGAGCAGCCUACGGCUGCAGCCGUGCCUGGGAGCACCGAGGAGCUCCCGGCCGCGGCACCGACUACGACAGGCAGCCCGACCAGGGUUGAGGAGGCUACGGGGACGCCUCCCCCAGCUAGUGCCGCGGAAGGGGAGGGCAGAGCCCCGACCCCUCCUCCCGCCGGGGAGAGUGAAGUCCUCACACCGCCCCGAGCAGGAGCCGCUUCGACUGCAGGCUCCCUGGAUCUGGUCCGGGGGCCAGUAAUGCCUGCGACCACUACCGGGGGCAACGCAGCGCGGGAGGAGGAAAACCAGGCGACCUCCGACGACGAGGUGGAGGAGAUUGAGGGUCGUCCUCGUGACGGCCGCCAACACGUGUAUGUGUGGCGUCAACGCGGGGAUCACUUUAUCGGUCAUGAGGAGCUCGCCGAGACCAUGGAGGCCGCCAGGGUGGAGCGCGCGGCCAAACGCCUCGUCGACGAAGUUAAGGUAAGCAAUUCUUUGUACUGCUGUACAUUCUGUGCGCUGUCUUGCUUGGUCGUCAUAUUUUCGUUUUGUAGGGCGCAAUGAAAACGGCGAAGUACCGGAAACGGUGCUUUGACCAGAUAGAAGGCGUCGUGGCCGAGAACAAGGCCUUGGCCGCGGAGGUAGACCGGCUGCGAUCGGAAGUCGGGGAGAAGGUGGCCGAGAUGAACGCCCAGGAGGAGCGUCAUCUCGAGCUCACUCGUCGCUUGGCCGACCUGUACCGGCAGCGAGAAGGUUAGUCACGCGCUCCGAGCAGCUUUGUGUAGUUGUGUAGUUUGCUUUACUGACCAGGUUAUGAUUCACAUAGACUUGGAAGAGGAGGUGGCGCGCCUCCGACAAGAGAAGGAGCAGCUCAGCCAAGAGCUCGCCGGUGCGCUGGAGUCCGGGCGCCGAGCAGGAGAGGAAUUGGGUCGGAAGGACCGGGAGUUAUCUAGUAAUGGGUGCCGCCUCGUUAUCUGCCGCUUGUCGCCCCUUUAGUUUUUGAUAUGCUGAAAAUAAUGUCCUGUUUCGUUUGCAGUGCUCAAGGUGAACGCCAAGAAGCACCUGGAUGAGCUGGUCAAGGACCGGGACUCCUGGAAGGUCAACUAUUGUAAGAUCUGGAAAGGAGUAUCCCCGGUCCUGGACCUGAUCAGUCCCGAGCUCCCGGAGAGCCAGCCCCGCACGCCGAAGUUGACCCCAGUCGAGAAGGCGCAACGGGCGUGGGACUGGCUCCAGCAGUUCGUGAAGGACGCCGGGGAGUUUGCUGGCGCGCAUGUCCUUAGCAUGGUGCGCGCCCAUUAUCUCCUGGUCGACUUGACCAGGCUGGAGAAGGGGUACCCCAAGGAGGUCGUCCCGCAGGAGGCGGACGAGCUUCGGGGUGGUCUGCUGGAUUUGUCGUCGACGGUGAUCGGCGACAUCAAUCUGUGCGGAACGGCCACUCCCCCAGACCAGCCGGGUUCAGAUAGGUCGGCCAGGGAGCUGUCAGGCGCGUCCAUUGCGGGAGAUGGGCGGUCGACGCCUGCGGUCUCGACCAGCCAGGCGCCGGUGGCCCCGACCCCUUCGUCCGGGCAGCAGGGCCAGGCGGGUGAUCAGCCCGAGCAGCUAGGCCAAUAGAGUAGUCUGUAGGAAUAGACUAGUGUCUGCCCGUCAGGGUAUUUAUUGUAACUUUGUAUGUAAAGUUUGUAAUAAAGAUUGCUUUUUGUCAUGACUGUCGUUUUGAGCGUUGUAUAAUUAUCUUAGUGACGUGUCACCGUAUUCGACUUUGUAGUCGCUAAGAGCUUCCGUUGCAGAAGUUUUGCCGAGUUCUGCGUGCAACAAAGUAUAGGCAAAAAAUAGAAAAUUUUAUUAUUGACAAUUAUAAGAUACUUACAAAGGAAAGUUAUGAAAACUUUAUGGAUAAAAUCGUCGCAGUUUGUCUAUGUGCCAAGAGUUGGGCACGCGUGUUCCAUCUGGGUAUGCCAAUCUGUAGGACGUGGGUCGUGUGACCUCGGUGACCACGAAGGGUCCUUCCGAGGGAGUGGAUAGCUUGUGCAUUCCCUCCUGGCUUGUUCUCCACCUAAGUACCAGAUCGCCGACCACGAAAGAACGGUCCUUGACGUUCCUGUUGUGGUAUGGCCUGACUGCCGCGAGAUAUUUUGCUGUUCGGAGACAAGAAUUCAGACGCUUUUCCUCCAUGCAGUUGAUUUCGAGUUCUCUGGCGUUGUCGGCCGUCGCCUGGUCGAAGUGUUCGAUCCUAGGGGAUCCGAAGGUUAUGUCAUACGGCAGGACUGCCUCGGAGCCGUACACCAUGAAGUAGGGAGACACUCCUGUGUUUCGACUGGUCUGAGUUCGGAGGCCCCAGACCACUGCCGGCAACUCUUUCAUCCAUCGACCGGGUGCUCUGUCGUUCUCAGUGUAUAGCCUUUUCUUUAGGGAAUCAAUGAUCAUUCCGUUAGCAUGUUCAACUUGACCAUUGGCCCGUGGAUGAGCCACUGACACGUAUUUUAUGACUAUGCCCCUGUCGUCGCAGAAGUCCCAAAAUGUGGUGCCAGUAAACUGAGUACCCAGGUCGGUGAUUAUGCUGUUCGGGAUGCCGAAUCUGUGUAUGAUUUGAUUGAGGAACUCCACAGCCUUCUCAGAGGUUGCUUUGACCAGAGGCAUGUAUUCGAUCCACUUGGAGAACUUGUCGAUUAACAUGAAAACAAACUUGAAGUUGCCCGGGGCUGGUUUAAAUGGCCCGAUCAUGUCAAGCCCCCAGCAAGCAAAGGGCCAGGACGACGGGAUGGUUUGAAUUUCGUGAGCAGGUACGUGGGUCCUCUUAGCGAAAAACUGACAUCGUUCGCAGUGUCGAACCAAUUUUUCUGCGUCGUUGACCGCGGUUGGCCAAUAAAAACCUGCCCGGAAGGCUUUUCCGACCAGCGUUCUGGAUGCAGCGUGAUUGCCGCAAGAUCCAGCAUGUAUGUCUUCUAGGAGCUUGAUACCAUCAUCUUGGGGUAUGCACUUGAGCAGUAGUUCGGAGCUUGCGUUUUUUCUCAUGAGUUUACCGUCAACCAGGAUGUAGUUCUUUGACCAUCGAAUGAGGCGCUCAUUCUCUGUUUUGUCCUAAAGGCCUGUCCCGUCCGAUAUAUACUUGAUGAACGGGGUACGCCAGUCACUACUACCGGUUGUCGGAGUGGCAUCGUCUAUGAGCAUUGCCUCGGUGGGUUGCUUGUCGACCAGGGUGGAGCCUACGCUUGGCUCGUGAAUGUCCUGGACGAAAAUACCCCGCGGGAUCUGGCCCUGAGAUGACCCUAACUUCGACAACGCAUCUGCUGCUUGGUUCUUAUCCCGGACCACGUGGAUGUACUCUAUGCCAUAGAAGUUGGUUUCCCAUUUGCGAAUUUCUUUGCAGUAGAGAUCCAUCUUCUCGUGGGUUGCGUCCCACUCCUUGUUGAGCUGGUUGAUAACCAAAGCGGAGUCGCCAUAGACAUAGAGGCGCUUGACUCCCAGCUCAACGGCUAGUCUUAUGCCAUGCAGGCAUGCUUCGUAUUCGGCGACAUUGUUUGACGCCGGAAAAAGGAUCCUAAGGACGUAACGCAGUUUGUCCUUGUUGGGUGACACGAACAGUAUCCCAGCGUCGGCACCGUUGAUGUUCAAGGACCCGUCAAAGAACAUUGACCAGUGGUCGGAGACAUCGGGAACGGGAGGCUCAUUGAGAUCCGUCCAUUCAGCAAUGAAAUCGACCAGGGCCUGAGACUUGACUGUGGUGCGACUCUGGAACUCCAGGGAAAAUGGGCAUAAUUCCAUCGCCCAUUUCACGAUUCUGCCGUUGGCGUCUUUAUUGCGCAGAAUGUCCCCGAGAGGGAAACUGGUUGUUACCAAGACUCGAUGGCCGUCGAAGUAGUGCUUCAGCUUUCCUGAUGUUAUUAGAAUGGCGUAUAUAAGCUUCUGUAUUUGUGGGUACCUGGCCUUGGACUCAUUUAAGACCUCACUUAUGAAGUAAACGGGUCUCUGGACCUUAUAGGCAUGACCUGGUUCAUCUCGCUCGACCACUACAUCGGUGCUUGAGUUGGUGCUGGAACCCUGGCCGUCCCGUAGUUCUCGGAUUGUCACCAUGUUGACGUAGUGACGACCGUUCCUUUUCGGCGACCAACCUGCCUUGCUGAAAACGGAUUGGGUGUGCCGUGAGUAAAGAGAGGCCGAGUUGUUCAGGCCGCAGGGAUAAUCUUCCUUCUUGAGCUUAACAGAUCGUCCUGAGGGUGUUGAGGUUAUCGUCAGAGACGUUCCCAGCCGUUCGUGUGUAGCGACACGAGUUGGCCGGCGGGAUUUGAAAAAAUCCGCUGGAGCAGCUUGGUCAGGCUGAUGUAGAAUUCCGUCUACUAGUUGGGAAACUUCAAGUAGCUUGGAGUCAGCGCGAUCAAGCGCUUGGAGAAGGUCCGAGCAGUCGAUCUUCUUUCCCUUGUAGAGCGGGAACGGUGGUCGGGCGCUUGGCGCCGCCACGCGAGUGGUCGGAGACGUCGUGAUCUCAGAUCGGAUCUGAGUUUCUUUCGAAACCGUGGUCGUGAGGCCGCCGCUACACGUCGUCCACGUGAUCUGGCUGACGGUGAACGUGAGGCCUUCAGGCACGAUCGCGGAAGCUGGGAUCGUGACCAUCUUGUUCGCCGGGGAAGUUGCACGCACACCCCCUACCUGGCGCGCCACUGUCGACGAAAGCUAGUCGGCAGUCUACCUUGGGGUAUACCCACGGUAGUAGUUUAUCGGUAGACGGUGCGCAAACUACGAACUCGAUGGUGACGCAAGACACGGACAAGCUUUUUAUCCAGGUUCGGCCGCCGAGUUGGCGUAAUACCUACGUCCUGCGUCUGGUUGUAUUGAUUUGUGUUGAGAGAAUAAUCCUGUCCUAGGGGGGUCCCUUGCCCCUCCUUAUAUAGUCUGGAGGGCAGGGUUACAGAUCUGGAAACUAAUCCUAGUUGGUUACAAUUGCCAUGGAUAAUUCGAUAUCAAUUCCUAUUCUAACCGACUAGAAUCCUGCUUGAUCUCCACAUCUUGUUUCCUUGCGUGAAACUCCAGGCUGUCGGAUCAAGCCUUGAACUCAUCUCGUAAUGGGCCAAGCCUCCUGGCCCAAGCCUAGCCGUAAGGGUAUAGGGGUUUAUACCCCCACAAUAGGUCACCUUGACUCAAAGCCUACAACGAGCAGACAAAUAGGGAGACCCGAGAGAACGUGGUUGACCAGCUCGAGGAAGCUCGAGACAUGGCCCUCCUCAACUCAGCAAGGUACCACGAGAAGCUCCGACGCUAUCACGACAAGCACGUGUGCAAAAGGGAUCUGAACAUGGGCGACCUCGUCCUACGCCGAUGACAUAGUAACCAAGGACGCCACAAGCUGACUCCACCCUAGGAAGGCCCAUACGUGGUGGCCGAGGUCUUGAAGCCGGGGACGUACAAGCUCGCAGACGAAAAAGGGGCGGUCCACACCAACGCGUGGAACAUCGAACAGCUACGUCGCUUCUACCCUUAGAGCUUUGAGGCUUUACAUUUUCAUGCACAUUUUGUACCGAGACCCUGUGAAUGAAUAUGUGAAUAAAUGAGAAUAUUUUUUCAAGUAGUACACGCUAUCACCGGUCAAAUCUCGAUGUUAGGAGGAAGUCCCAACUAUGAACCAUCAUAGUCGACACUCGCUUGGGGGCUAGCAGGGGGGACCCCCCUAGGUUCCUAAAAAUCGAACGACAUUUCCUUUUCAAGCCCUAAGGAAACCCCACAAGAUCAAGUAGCAAAGGCACCUCGAGCCCCUUAAGGGUUGAGAAACGUCGAGCCUGAGAACCCUUACGCCCCCAGGCUAUGGUAACUCUACUGACUUCCUCACCCUUGAGGCAAUCAAAGAUGCCUCAACAAAAGAUCGAACGAGAAUACAAACUUAGGCAGGAAAGGAAACAAAGGAAAUUCGAGCGUAAAAAUAAACAAAUAUACAUGAAAAUCACAAGUCUUAAGACUACUCAAGCCACAUCAUUUAGUUAAGAAAAGUGAUAAGUAUUUUACAAUGGGUCUAAAUACCCAGAAUAGGCUCGCAGGCCUUAGCCCACAUCUCUGCCCUCACCACCGUCUUCUGCGCCCGAGCUAGUCUCAGGGGGGAGUACCUCUAGCUCGAACAGCUUCGCCAGCCUUUCCCUAGGGACCUCCGCGUUGUCGAUCAAGGCAUGGAGCCUCUCCUCGUUCUCGGCGUCGGUUUUGGAAAUAUCAGUGACAAAGCCAUGGGACACCACCUCCAUGUCGUAGGAGAAGCCUGAGCAGACGACCGCCAUCGCUCACUUCACCCCAGUAUGAAGGGCGUCCCGCACCCGAUCCCUCAGCGUGGCACCUAAGUAGCACAACUGGUCGACCAGCGCAUCGCCUCGAGCUGCCUCCCUCAACUCAUCCACAAGCUCGAGCUCCCAAGAGGCUGAAAGGUCACUUAUCGUAGUCCUUAGCCGACUAUUUAGAGCAACCUCCCCAUCGAGCUGUAGAACCGGCAUCGACCUGGGCGGCCAGGAGAUCAUCCUUAAGCCCUACAAAGAUCAAUAAAGGAGAGUUAGAAAGCACGGGAAAGAAACGUGACUAAAAGAAACACGAAAGCCAGACCACACUUACCGCGAAUCCUUUCUUCAAGAGUCGUGUUCUCACCAACUAAGUCGGUGUUGGCCCUCUCGAUCUCCUUAUAAGAGCGAGCCAGAUCAGUAUUUGCGACCCGCAAGUCCUCGAUCAUCUUACCCGCUUGUAAGACGGCUCCCUCCUUCUCCAGCAGCACUUUCUUCAGAUGGUUGUUGAUGGUCCUUAAGUAUCAAAUAUAAUCAGCAAAUAAAUAGAGAAAAGGAUCCAAAUGCAACCGACACCUAGACUUAGGGUUUUAUCUGACAGAAUUCCAUGAGUUUUGGUAUUUGUCUAUUUCUGCAGGGGGUUAUCAGGAAAAAUGGAGGAAAGGCCCACACGUCGGGUUUACAUAGAGAUAUUAAUGUGCACCACAAUUAUCCAACAUCUAGAACAGUCCAGAAGCCACGAGAAUUAGCGGGAGGCCGAGCGGACCCUGGGGUAGAGCGCCCGCCCUCCCCCUGUGGGUGCGCGCCCUGCCUUAGAGCCAAUCAGACUCCACCUCGCGGAUCAUGCUCCACCAACCUAAAGGAUUAAGGAAAACCAUGCGAUUAAUGUCGGUUUGAUCUGACGGUCCAUAUUCAUUUAGAGGGACUAUAUAAGCAAACCCCCUGGCCCCUGGAGGAGAGGACCUCUAAAGCCCUAAUUCAUUCAUCUAUCUCGGGAGAAGAAAUCUCUGAUCAAGACCUAGAGCCUCCACAUCAACUAGAUCUCUAGUUUAGCAUAGCUACAUAGGAUUAGAACUAGAAGGAGUCAAUCUUCGAUUGGUUUUCGGAUCUAUCAAGAGGAUUGUUGGUAAUUCCUCUAUUGUUCUUCAUUUGUUCAUCAUUGUUCUUCAAUAUUAUGAAUAUGACUUUGUUCUACUUCAAUAUAUUGAUUAUGACUUUGCUCUACGUGUUUGUAUUUGCAAUUAUAUCAUUCUUAGUUUAUCAUAGUUAUAUGCUUGGCUUAGUUAGAUUGGAUUUAUAUACAUGUCUAGGAUCGUAUAGCGUUUAUCCAUGUGUACAGUGGGUAAAUGAUAAGUAUUGUGUAGGCGUGGUGCCUAUACCGUAUUUAUCUGUGAUUGUACCCUAUAUGCUAGAUCGCGGGGUAGUUCGUGGUAGUGACAGCUCCAUUGAUUCUUAUAUAGUCCCCCUCUCGUGUAUAGGGCAGGCAGAGCAACAUUAUUACAGGGGAGUGAUUGCUAUGUUUCUCAUCUUUCUUGAUAAUAUCACUAUGCAUGGGCGUAGUCCUGUCUGGCAAUGAUUGCCAAGUAUAAUUGCACUAACUAUGAUAUGCUAGACUUUAUAGUUAAGAAUAACUUAGGAAAUAUUGUUGUAGUUCAUCCUAAUUUCAUGCUAAUGACUAGCUAGAAUAUCUGUUGAGGUGCUUAUCAUUAUUAUAUGUGGCUAGUUAUGCUGAUCAGAUUAAUUAUGUUUGUCACCAUUCAUACUUUAUUUAUAUUUUAUAUGACAUUUAUCCCUGUAUGAAAAAGAUAGAUAAAUGCUCUCUAUUAUACAUGCAAUGAUAGAUACUCAAUUCCAUCUUCCAUUCCAUAAUCAACAUUGAUGAUUAGCAAUCCCUUCCCAGUGGUAAAAAUAUAAAUAACGAUACCUGGAAUACUUCCUGGUUAAAAUGCUACAUCGGUAUUAAUUUGUGCGCUUAUAUAUCCCAUUUAUUAUUUAUCUAGAUGAGUAAUUUCAUAUUUCAAUACCGUGGCUCUCAUGUCAUGGUGGGGAAUGACAACUUGGCUUAAGUGGCAUGAGGGAUAGGUUCGGCAGUUUUGGAGUCAUUAUUAGAAUUAUAAAACUAAGUCUACUUUUGGUAAUGACGUUAAGAAUGCCCAACAAGCAUUUGUGGCGCCGUUGCCGGGGAAGGUUGAUUACUAAUAAGGAAUGAAUACAGAAUUUUGAGUCAUCAUUCGCAUCACUAAUAUGAUUGAGAUUAUCAAUUCUCUCGUAUAGCUUUACGCCUGUAUUUUUCUAUUUUGAUUAUUUUAUGCAGGGUGAUGUAUGAAUAGAAGACAUCUUCCAAGAAAUUUUGUUGACAACCCCGAAGCGUUAUUCAGAAAAACAAUAGCCAAGCUCAAGAAGACAUCGUCAACACUUCAACACGAAGCUUCAUCCAAUUUAGAAGAUCGCCGAAGUUUCAUCCGGAACUUGUCGACUGAGUUCGGAGCCAUGGCGAACAAGUCGAUCCACGAGUACUCAGCUCCCACUACGGACAACAUCCGCACUGGACCUGCUGCAGAGAUCGAUGAUAACUUUGAGCUCAAGCCUGGGCUCAUCAACAUGGUGCAAGCUAACCAGUUCUGCAGAAAGGCGCACGAAGAUGCUAGUGCUCAUCUCCAACACUUCUUGGAGAUUUGCAGCACAUUCACCAUGUCAGGAGUCCCCAGAGAUGCUAUACUACUUCGCCUCUUCCCUUUCUCACUGUUGGGGAGAGCGAAGCAGCGGUUCUACGCUACAAAGGAGAAGAAUACUACUUGGGCACUCUGCUCCACGAACUUUCUGGCUAAGUUCUUUCCCAUGGGCAAGAACAAUGCUCUCCGUGGGAAAAUUACAAGUUUUCAGCAACAACAUGAUGAAUCCGUUCCAGAAGCAUGGGAGCGCUUCCAAGACUACAUCUUAGAAUGUCCCCAUCAUGGAAUGGAGAGCUGGCUAGUGAUGCAGACGUUUUAUCAUGGGCUCGGCAAUAGUGCCCGUGAGACCAUGGAUGCUGCAGCUGGAGGAGCAUUCCUAUCCCUCACCAUAUCACAAGCUACAGCUCUUGUGGAGAAGAUGGCAUCCAACCAAGGUUGGAAUGAAGAGAGGACCCAGACACGCAAGAAGGGUGGAGGUAUGCUCCAGCUCAAGGAGGUAGAUAUGUUGUCUGCCAAGCUAGACCUGCUCAUGAAGAAGCUCAAUGAUAGAGCUGGAGAUAAGAAGGAAGUCAUGCACGUCUACGACUCUCACAUGACUUGUGAGGAGUGUGGAAAUACUGAACACUCAGGCAAUCACUGCCCUGAGAUGCUUGAGGACCUGAACUACAUCAUUAACAACAACAACAAUUACUACAACCGUCCUCAGCAAAAUCAAGGUUGGAAUCAACAGAGGCCUAACUACUCAGGUAAUUAGCAAGGUAACAAUUCUUACAAUAAUAACAAUAAUUUUCCACCUCUGAGAGAGUUAGUGUCUAAUCAAGGAAAGCUAAUGGAUAACCUAUCUAAGAAAUUGGGAUCUAAUGAUAAAAUGCUAGAAAAUAUAAAUAAUAGAAUGGAUAAUUUCUCUUCUGCCAUAAAGAAUCAAAUUAGCUUUAAUAAAAUGAUUGAAUCUCAGUUAAAUCAAAUAGCUGUUGUGGUUCCUGCUACUAACCCUGGUAUACCAUGACAACCGGAAGGAUUAUAAUCUGCAAAUCUUGUAGACAUGUUUGAUAAAGGUAACUACUGGAGUAACCCCGUUGCGGAAGUAACUACUGACCUUCUGUCGGUCAAGAGAGGCGAUCCAGGAUGCCCCGUCAUCCCGAUCUCCAUCGGCAUGGUGGACUUUCCAGAAGCACUCUGUGACUUUGGCUCCAGUGUCAACAUUAUGCCUAGGGUAUUCUAUGAAAAAUUAUUUACAUAUCCUUUACUAGAAACAACCAUGUGUUUGCAGCUUGCAGAUCGGACGCUAAGUUUCCCAAAGGAAAUAUUGAAGAACCUUUGCGUCCGAGUUUGUGCCUUGUACGCCCCAGUAGACUUCAUGUUUAUAGAGACUGGUAAUGAUGAGAGGGCACCCGUCAUCUUAUGGAGGCCAUUCCUGAACACCUCAGGAGCUGUCAUCUACGCUAGUGCUGCCAAGAUCAGUUUCUACAUCAAGGGGAGGAAGGAGACAUUUUCCUUCAAGAACAAGACUGCACAAAUCCUAGAGCAAUCCCGACAUGAACCAAGGAAGAGGACCAACAGGAGGAACAUAAACAAGCAAGUGUGGACCGAGUCAUCUAAGAUGGUCAAUGCAGUUCAUGGAGGUCAAGAUCAUCGACUCAAGUCACCGUUCCUGACCAAGAAGGACGACCCAAGUAUGCCAAGCAUCCAGUGCUCCAUUAAUGGGUAUAACUUCUACAAGACGCUUUGCGACACCGGAUCGGGCGUCAACAUAAAGGCCGUAGUCACCUAUCAGCUCCUGUUCGGAACCAUGCCCCUAAAACCAACAUACAUUCAGCUCUAGAUGGCAGAUCAGACAUUCCGAAAGGUUGAAGGUAUAGUAACUGAUGUCCGUGUCAAAAUAGACGAUCAUUUUGUCCAUACAGACUUUCAGGUUAUUGACAUGGGAGAAGACGAGUAUGAUCCACCAAUCAUCCUUGGGAGACCGUUCCUCAGCACCGUUAAAGCAAUCAUCUACAUUGGAACCGGAGAAGUCCACAUGCACUUCCCCUCUGACAUGGUACACCGCUAUUUUACUGAGCCUAACUAUAUAGUUGAAGACUCUAAGCAGGUCAUGUCAAGAAGAAGACGACGCAACCGAGGAGGCAAAUCAUCAAGGACAGAUGGGCAGACUACGAAGGAGAAGUGGUAAGGUCUGAAGACAUACACCUUGAACAGAACUGUCCUGAGAAGACCGUAGCACCGAGUCAGGUGUGGAAAGAAAAGAUAGUUAUACACGAAGAGGAGGCGCUGCCGAAACCACCGACUACGCCAUCUAGCGAAUCUCAAGACGACUAAGAAAACAGAGAGUCCUGUUCGAAGGACUUAAAACACAGAACACCUUGCCAAAAGGUAAACUUGGUAGUUAUCCUUUUCCUUUCAAUUAUUUAAAAUAGUUUGUCUAGUUAAUCAGGUUAAUAUCAUCUUGAAAAGAGAAAAUAAAAAUGUUAAAACUAGUAAGCCCCAUGUGAGUACACAAGUGGAAUAAAUCCCAUUAGUACAUUCAUUGUGGUGGCAUAAAAAAAAUAAUAAUAAUAAAAUAAAAAUAUUCUUCUGCUCUACAAAAAUAUAAAAAUAAAAUUGUGAUCCUACCAAAGAAAGUAGCAUUUGUUGAGGAGGCUCAACAUGAUAAAGGGCUAGAUAUUUAUGCUAACACCUAAUCAGUUCCACAAAGCUUUGUUGUCUAUUUGAGCUCCACAUAAUUCAAGGAUCAAGAAGACUAGCAGACGGAUGACAUUCUAAUCGUUAUCAGGGUGCUGCCGACGUUCAAAUACACCUCCACCACCUGCUAGCUACAUCAGAAAAAUUACAUCAAAAUCCAGCUUGGGGGAGAGCACCCCUAGUUAUCCCGUUAAGUAUUUCUAUCUAUCUAUAUACUUAUACUAUAUAUAUAUAUAUAUAAAAAUAUACAUAACCAUGAAAAACCAAAUAAAGAUUUUGUGCUUAUAUAUAUAUCUUUUGCUUAGUAUGCUUAAUAAAUAAAUAAAGUGGCUAUGCUAAACUGAAUCUUAAUAAAACUCUAGCAUGGAUAUGGAAUAGUUGCUCCGCCUAAUUUUCAAAUUUGAAGUUCUCUCUCAAAUUUAGACAUAACUGUUAUAAUUUAAAGCUUGCUCUAAACCUGAACUUGUGGGAAGAGAACUUGAUCUAAAGUCUAAGUUGUUAACGGAUAUGAUAUGGGAAGGUUGAGCUGCUGUUUAUUUGUUCCUAGAGAUGCUACAAUUCUGGACAAUUUUAUCUUUGAAAAUAUUUAAAAUAAUACAUGAUGAGUUCCUGUAUGAUGAGAGUUUAAAUUCCUACCACAGCCAUAUAUACAUGCUUGGUAAGACUUUGAGCCACACAUUUACUUUUUACUACUUAUGAGCAUUGAGUGUGGGCAAGCUGUGUAGACCCUUAGGAGCUUGUCAUGUGGUUAAAAUCAAGAUUCACUUGCAUGUUCACUAACACAUGCUACUUCUACUCCGGAAGUACGCAUCCACAUAUGUCCACUCAUUUCCAUCUCUAGAGCCACCCAAAAGUAUUCUACUCCUAAUCCGGGAGAGAAUAGCCAAAAACAUUAUCCCAUUCAUGUUUUUCCCUGUAAAAUAAAUGCUCGAGUUAUCUUGGUUACUACCACUUGCCAUAUUAUUUCAGGAGAUGAGUGCUCUAAAAAAGAGAGAGAAAGGAUACGAGGAAAUAAAAAGGGACAUGUGCCCGGAACCUCGAAAGAAAAGAAAAAGUGAGACGAAAGGUAAAAAUGGACAAGUGUCCGACAGUAGAAUUAGGGGUACAAGAUACCCACCUGAGAGGAAAGAAAAAGAAAAUGUAGAGCAUCUCAUUCUCCUCAAAAAGUUUCAAAAGAGCAAGAAAGGUAUGUAAUCCCUCAGAAGAGCAAAAGUAGAAUUAGACUUUCACCAUUGUUAUCACCAUCAUCACCAUACACCAUUCAUUCGCCACACGUGCACAUCUUGAUUUGACUUAUUGACUCGUUUCUCUGGAUCCAUGGUUUGACUAUGCAAUAAAUGUCUUGUAAGUAUGUAUACUUUAUCUCCCACCUAUGAGCUCCAAAUAUCAAAAGCCUUAUUAAAGUAGGGUGAGAGAGAAGGCAAUAUCACUAUGCCGCGUACCAAAAAUACUACAUACUUUGAGAGAAGGCAUAUACCAUCACUGCCUUGGUAAGGAUCCAGAAAUACCACAAAAGAGAGAUCUGAGAGAGUCAUACAAGGAAUCUCUGAGUUUUAUUUGAAAAUCUGCAAAAACUCUAGAGCUAUAGCUGAUCAAAAAUAAGAGACAUGGCGCUUAACUAGACCGUUCUAUCUUUUAACUACUCAAUACAGAAGUGAUGGUUACAAGUCCCAUGGUGAAAGGUAAAAUAAGUAAGUUAUAAGUUUUGACGGUUUACUCUAACUCAGAGAUGAGACCUUAUUUGAAAGCAUGUGUACCGUCAACUUUUAAAGGCAUUCCAACAACUUCUGAUCCACCACUAAGAUUAUCCAUGCUCAGGGACGAGCAAGAGGUAAGCUUGGGGGAGUUUGUUGACGGUCCUUAAGUAUCAAAUAUAAUCAACAAAUAAAUAGAGAAAAGUCUGCAAAUGCAACCGACACCCAGACUUAGGGUUUUAUCUGACAGAAUUCCACGAGUUUUGGUGUAUGUCUAUUGCUGCAGGGGGUUAUCAGGAAAUAUGGAGGAAAGGCCCACACGUUGGGUUUACAUAGAGAUAUUAACGUGCACCGCAAUUAUCCAACAUCUAGAAGAGUCCAGAAGCCACGGGAAUGAGCGGGAGGCCAAACGGACCCGGGGGCAGGGCGCCCGCCCUCCUCCCUUGGGUGCCCGCCCUGGCCUGAGAGCCAAUCAGACUCCACCUCGCGGAUCAUGCUCCACCGACCUAAGGGAUUAAGGAAAACUGUGCGAUUAAUGUCGGUUUGAUCCGACGGUCCAUAUUCAUUUGGAGGGAAUAUAUAAGCAGAUCCCCUGGUCGCUGGAGGAGAGGACCUCUGAAGCCCUAAUUCAUUCAUCUAUCUCAGGAGAAGAAGUCUCUAAUCAAGCCCUAGAGCCACCACAUCAACUAGAUCUCUAGUUUAGCAUAGCUACAUAGGAUUAGAACUAGAAGGAGUCAAUCUUCGAUUGGUUUCCGGAUCUGUCAAGAGGAUUCUUGGUAAUUCCUCUACUGUUCUUCAUUUGUUCAUCAUUGUUCUUCAAUAUUAUGAAUAUGACUUUGUUCUACUUCAAUAUAUUGAUUAUGACUUUACUCUACUUGUUUAUAUUUGCAAUUAUAUCAUUCUUAGUUUAUCAUAGUUAUAUGCUUGGCUUAGUUAGAUUCGAUUUAUGUACAUGUUUAGGAUCGUAUAGCAUUUAUCUACGUGUACAGUGGGUAAAUGAUAAGUAUUGUGUAGGCGUGGUUCCUAUACCGUAUUUAUCUACGAUUGUACCCUAUAUGCCGAAUCGCGGGGUAGUUCGUGGUAGUGAUAGCGCCAUUGAUUCUUAUAUAGUCCCCCUCUCGUGUAUAGGGCAGGCAGAGCAACAUUAUUAUAGGGGAGUGAUUUCUAUGUUUCUCAUCUUCCUUGAUAAUAUCACUAUGCAUUGGCGUAGUCCUGUCUCGCAAUGAUUGCCAAGUAUAAUUGUACUAACUAUGAUAUGCUAGACUUUAUAGUUAAGAAUAACUUUGGAAAUAUUCUUGUAGUUCAUCUUAAUUCCAUGCUAAUGACUUGCUAGAAUAUCUGUUGAGGUGCUUAUCAUUAUUAUAUGUGGCUAGUUAUGCUGAUCAGAUUAAUUAUCUUUGCCACAAUUCAUACUUUAUUUAUAUUUUAUGUGACAUUUAUCUCUGUAUGAAAGAGAUAGAUAAAUGCUCUCUAUUAUACAUGCAAUGAUAGAUAUUCAAUUCCAUAUUCCAUUCCAUAAUCAACAUUGAUGAUUAGCAAUCCCUUCCUAGUGGUAAAAAUAUAAAUAACGAUACCUGAAAUACUUCCCGGUUAAAAUGCUACAUCGGUAUUAAUCUGUGCGCUUGCAGAUCUCAUUUAUUAUUCAUUCAGAAGAGCAAUUGCCUAUUUCAAUACUGCGUCUCUCAUGUCAUGUUGGGGAUGACAACUUGGCUUAAGUGGCAUGAGGGAUAGGUUCGGCAUUUUUGGCGCCGUUAUCAGAAUUAGAAAACUAAGUCUACUUUUGAUAAUGACGUUAAGAAUGCCCAACAAUGGUCGAUGUCAUCAGAGAGGCUGCGAGAACAGAUUCGCUCUGCCUCGAGGUCCUCACAGGCCUUCUUCCCAGCCUCCUCCGCGGCGCUUCGAGCGAUCUCGCUCUUCACACACUCUUCCUUUAUCUCACGAUAAGCCUCCCGGGCAGAGGCGAGGUCUGGUUUAACGAGGCUCUUCUCCUUAUCAAGCUCGGUGGCCGCAUCUUUGUAAUGCGUGGCCUCUUCCCGGGCCUUGGAAGCUGUCUCCUUAGUUGAGACGGUCCGCUCCCUCAGCUGCACGACCUCCUCUUUCGCUUUCUCUGAGGCCUCCUGAGCCUCGGCCAGGGCUGCCUCCCUCUCUUUCUUCUCCUCUGAAGCCGCCAUGUGGUCCUUGUACGCCUGGAGAAGCUUUUCCUGCGACUUGAGGAGUUGCUCCUUGAGAAGAGGGAGCUGCUCCCAACCGCCUCUCGUCACAUGAAUAAAACCCGACUUUGGGCGGGAGGUCUCUUUCAGAUCCUGCAGCAAGUAACCAAAUAAUAAGAAUACGAGACUAAAAAUUCCCAAAUAACAAAGGUAAGAAGAGGCUUAUAAAGAAAGCCUGGCCGAGCCCAUUGUUGACGAUGUCGGACAUAAGUCCCACAACGUGCUCCAUCCAGAGACGAAGCUCCUCGAGGUGUUCCCACUUCUCCGCCUCCUUCCGGUCGUCCAUCAUGAUAUUAGGCUCCUUCGGAUAGGUAGAGGCUCAAAGGCGGAUCCUCCCAGGGCCCCAGUUCUCCAUCUCCUCCUCCGUGCAUGCCUUGAUGCCCCGGAUGAGCUCUUGAAUGGUCUCGAGCGACCCCCGUGGUGCAAGAACAGGUCAACGAGGGAAGGGAACCGCCCGUCGUCAUCUACCGACCACCAAGUCCCGGCCUCACCAGUAUCGCCUCUGCCUGAGGUCCCAGCUUCAUCCUCCCCAACGGUUCUAAGAUCCACCCAUGGCCGUUGAUCUCGAAGGAACCCAGGAGCGAUCCCCUUGAUACCGUAAAUCAUGCCCUUGAUCUCAGACUGGGGAUCUGCUGGUGUGCGCAUGGCACAAGCGAGCGCCACCAGACCAUCUUCCCGCCCAGGCUCGGCUGGGAUGGAGGCAGGCCCUCCUGGACAGAGCCACGUGGGGGUUGGAGGACCAUAGACCGGUAGUCCCUCUUCCCCGGUCUCGGGCCCUUGCGACGGAAGCGAUUCUGGAUUGCGCGGGCUUCACGGUGGCUAUUCGAGCAGCUCUUCCAGCUGUUGACUCCGCUGCUGCUGCUGUCGUUGAAGCUCCUGCAGGUCUUGCUGCCGGCACUGCUCCAACUGCUCCUCGAGCUGUUCUCCCCUCUGUAGCUGUGGCUACUCCUCCUGUAGCAGCAGCUGCUGCUCCUGCUGCAGCUGCUGCACUUGCGCCUCUUGCGGCAUUUGGCUCUGUUCUUCUUUUCCUUCUUCUUCUCCUCCCUUACGUCCCUCCUCUUCCCUUUUCCUCCUCUCCUCGAUGGGCCAUGGCGUCCGUUUCCCGACAGGAGCGGCCUCGACCUCCUUGUCCACAGUGCGAGCAUCCUUCGAAAGCGGAUCGCCACCGGGCCCAUCGUUGAUGGUGAUGGGGUCACCGAUACCCCCAGACUGCGGAGGCUCGGGGGCUCCCUCCUGGCCCUGAGGGCGAGGCAUCUCGACCCACACAGAUGAGGGCAAGAUGGUUCCAGAGACGUCGCCUCCCUCCAACGGUCGAGGCAGGGUCCCCUCGAUAUUAGUAGACGGUCGAGGAUCGGACACUACUACAGAAUGAGGCAUUGGUCGAUGCCCAAAAUGGCCAAAAACCUUGGCCUUUUUGCGGCCCGAGGUUAAAGGCCCCUUUAACACCCGGUUCGUAACACGAACCGGUGUUAAAGGGGCCUUUAACCUCGGGCCGCAAAAAGGCCAAGGUUUUUGGCCAUUUUGAGCAUCGACCAAUGCCUCAUUCUGUAGAAGUGUCCGAUCCUCGACGGUCUACUAAUAUCGAGGGGACUCUGCCUCGACCGUUGGAGGGAGGCGACGUCUCUGGAACCAUNNNNNNNNNNNNNNNNNNNNNNNNNNNNNNNNNNNNNNNNNNNNNNNNNNNNNNNNNNNNNNNNNNNNNNNNNNNNNNNNNNNNNNNNNNNNNNNNNNNNGGACCCUUUAGCACCGGUUCGUGUUACGAACCGAUGAUAAAGGGACCCCUUUAGCAGCGGCCAGUGCCACGGGCCGAGGCAAAGCCUUUAGCACCGGUUUGUAACACAAACCGAUGCUAAAGGGUGACCCUUUAGCACCGGUUUUUUCCCUGAACCGGUUCUAAAGCUCUGGUUUAUAGGCCCGCCUUCUCCUCCCCUCUGCCCAUUUGAAACCGAUAGCACCAUUGUUGUUCUUGGAGCUUCUUCUUCCUUGUUCUUCAUCUCCGACGCCCAUCGUUGAUCUUCUUCGACUCCGUCAUCGUUUCUUCGUGCUUGGAGGUGACUAACUUUUGUCUUUCUUGUCUUUUUCAUGUUGUUUUUGGCUUGUGAUGUUCCCAUUAUUUUUAGCUCAAAUCCACUUUGUUAUUUUGAAUCAUUCACAUGAAUUAGUAUUCAUAUAUAUAUAUAUCAUAUUUCAUGGUUGACCUAGUAUUAAUGUAGUUUGCAAGAAUGAAUUAUAGUAUCUUUUUAUGAUCUUAGAAAGUAGGAUAGUUCAAAUUAAUUGGUUUGUUAAUAUCACUUGAUUUAUUUUUAUUACUACAUAAUGUCCAUUGUAUAAUUUAGAAGAUUUGUUGAAGUAACUAGACAAAUAAAGGAUAUUAUUAGGCUCUUCUUUAAUCAUACAUGUUUACUAGUAAAUGUGGAAUUUAUAAUUGUUUAAAAAUUGUGUAUGGAUAGUAGAUGGCAACCGUGACCGGGUCUUCGGUCUCUCAACGGGUUCAAAAGUGAUACCGGCCGGAACUCCCUCUCAUUACUUGUGGCAAGUGUGGGCAGAAGAUUGUGAUGGAGUACAAAGUGUCGAAAGAGGGAGUAAACAAGGGUCGUAUAUUCUACAAGUGUUCGGAUCGUAAUGUGAGUUAUUUCCAGACAUUUGCUUAUAUAUGUGCAUAUUUUUUUAAAUGAUAUUAAUUAAACUUUUGAUUCUCUCUUUUAAUUUCAGUGGGACGGUACCGGCGGAUGUACAGGUUGGUACUGGGAGAAAGAAUACAUUGAACACAUUAAGAAAUCUUUUGCACAGGUGGUUGAGGCUGAAGGUGGUGAGGCAGUGAGCCAACGAAAGGAGUUCAAUGAGGUUGAUCAAGCGAAUGAUCUAUCUAUUAUAGUUGGGAUCGGACGCGAACUAAUUAUGUUGCUUAAGUGCAUUUUAGUUUUGGUUUUUUAGUGCUAGUUGCGAUUGUAUUUGUUGUAGCAAAGCUUUCCUGAAUUAAUCAACUAUGUAUCUUAGACAUGUUGUGCAAUAAGAUGAGAAACUAUAUGUGUGCAUGGUUUUCAUAAUAUAUAUGUUAUAUUUAAUGCAGAUGGUAACACGUAAUUGGUUAUAUAAUGCCGAUCGACGCUCCGAAGAGUUCAUUAAUGGCGUGCACUAUUUCUUAAGUGUGGCCGAGACAAAUAAGAGGGACAGUUUCAUGUGCUGUCCAUGUGCCGUGUGCAAGAAUGUGACAGAAUAUUUUAACUCAAGAACUCUUCAUUCACACUUAUUAAAGUCUGGUUUCGUACCAAACUAUAUUUGUUGGACCAAACAUAGAGAAAGCGGGAUUAUAAUGGAUGAAGGUGAAGAAGAAGAAGAAUUAUACCAUGCCAAUAUUAUUGCUCAGUACGGUGGCUUCAAUGAUGUUGCAAUGGGGGGAUAUAAUGAAGAAGAAGUAGCGGCCGAAGAUGAUCGGGGCGGUGAUGCUUUUGGUGAUGCCAUCCGUGAUGCACAAAGAGAAUGUGAAAGUGAUAAAGAGAAAGCCAAGUUCGAGCGCAUGCUGGAGGACCACAGGAAAUCGCUAUAUCCCACCGCUGAAGAGGGGCAAAAAAAGCUGGGUACCACAUUGGAAUUGCUGCAAUGGAAGGCAAAGAAUGGUACAUCUGACAAGGAAUUUGGGCAGUUAUUAAAGAUCAUAAAAAAGAUGAUUCCGAAAGGCAACGAAUUGCCCACCACUACGUAUGAAGCAAAAUAGGUUGUCUGCCCUUUGGGAUUAGAAAUCCAGAAGAUACACGCAUGUCCUAAUGACUGCAUCUUCUAUCGUGGGGAGGAAUACGAGAAUUUGGAUGCAUGUCCAGUAUGUAAGGCAUCACGGUAUAAGAUUAGACGAGAUGAUCCUGGCGAUGUUGAGGGUGAAGAACGUCAUUGGAAGAAAAUUCCUGCCAAGGUUAUGUGGUAUGCUCCUAUAAUACCACGAUUAAAACAUCUGUUUAGAAAUAAGGACAAUGCAAAGUUGUUGCGGUGGCAUAAAGAAGACCGUAAGAUAGACAAUAUGUUGAGACACCCUGCCGAUGGAUCCCAGUGGAGAGAGAUAGACAGAGAAUUCCCACAUUUUGCAGAUGAUGCUAGAAACUUGCGGUUCGCCUUAAGUAUAGAUGGUAUGAAUCCUUUCGGUGAGCAGAGCAGUAGUCACAGCACUUGGCCAGUUACUCCAUGUAUGUACAUCCUUCCUCUAUGGCUAUGCAUGAAGCGGAAGUUUAUUAUAAUUCCGAUGCUUAUCCAAGGACUGAUGCAACCUGGCAAUGACAUAGAUGUCUACCUAAGGCCAUUAGUUGAGGAACUUCAACUUUUAUGGAGCAAACCAGGAGUUCGCGUGUGGGAUUAGUACAAACAAGAGCACUUUGACCUGCGAGCAUUGCUGUUUGUAACAAUCAAUGAUUGGCCAGCUCUGAAUAAUCUUUCAGGCCAGUCAAACAAGGGAUAUAAUGCAUGCACACAUUGUUAUGAAGACCUUGACUAUGUAUUUUUGAAAAAAUGUCGAAAGGUCAUGUACCUUGGCCACUGUCGGUUUCUUCCUGUGAACCACCCAGUACGAAAGAAAGGCAAGCAUUUUAAAGGCAAGGCAGACCACCGGACCAAACCCCUCAAUCGAACCGGGGAUGAUGUACUCGAAAUGGUCAAGGAUAUAAAAGUGGUAUUUGGAAAGGGACGAGGCAGCGAACCUAUUCCCAAGGAUGCUAAGGGACACGUACCCAUGUGGAAGAAGAAAUCCAUAUUUUGGGAGCUACCUUACUAGAAUGUCCUAGAGGUCUGCAACGCGAUCGACGUGAUGCAUCUAACAAAGAAUCUUUGUGUGAACUUGCUCGGAUUCAUGGGUUUCUACGGGAAGUCUAAGGAUUCACUUGAAGCAUGACAAGACUUGUAGCGCAUGAAAGAAUGAGACAACCUGCAUCCAGAAAAGACAGAUGAUGGACGUCAUUACUAAAGCCCUGCUAGCUACACUCUGAGCAAAGAAGAGAAGGAAAGCAUGUUUGAAUGUCUUGGUAGCAUCAAUGUCCCAUCUGGAUUCUCCUCCAAUAUCAAGGGAAUAAUUACUGUGCCAGAGAAGAAAUUCCUGAACUUGAAGUCCCAUGACUGUCACGUUCUAAUGAUGCAAUUGCUGCCGAUGGUUUUAAGAGGAAUUUUACCUCCACACGUAUGUCUAGCCACCGUAAAGCUAUGUGCAUUCCUCAAUGCAAUUUCUCAGAAGGCAAUCAAUCCAGAGCAACUAGCUACUCUGCAGAAUGAUGUCGUUCAAUGUCUCGUCAGCUUUGAGUUGGUGUUCCCUCCAUCCUUCUUCGAUAUCAUGACACACCUCCUAGUUCAUCUGAUCAAAUAGAUUCGUAUUCUCGGUCCUGUGUUCCUACACAACAUGUUCCCCUUCGAGAGAUUCAUGGGUGUCCUAAAGAAAUAUGUCCAUAGUCGUUCCCAGCCAGAAGGAAGCAUUGCCAAGGGCUACGGAACAGAGGAGGUCAUAGAGUUCUGUGUUGACUUUAUUCCAUACCUUGACCCAAUUGGCAUUCCUGAAUCUCGACACGAGGGCAGACUCUGUUGAAAGGGAACACUUGGGAAGAAAACAUAUAUUGGUAUGGGAGACGAUUACUUCAAUAAAGCACACUACACAGUUCUCCAGAACUCCUAAUUGGUGGAACCAUAUGUUGAGGUACACAAAGAUUUCCUACGGUCCCAGUGGCCCGGGAAGAAUGAAGCUUGGAUAAUGCGUUAGCACAUGGAAACUUUUGGUGAUUGGUUGCGCAAAAAAUGUCAAAGUGAUGAAAACAUUGAUGGUCAGCUUUAUUUGUUGGCUAGGCAACCAUCAUGGCAUGUCCUCACGUACAAAGGGUACGAGAUAAAUGGUAACACAUUUUACACAGUUGGCCAAGAUAAAAGGAGCACCAACCAAAAUAGUGGUGUACGCGUGGAUGCCAUGGAUCCAAAUGGGAACAGACAAACAUAUUAUGGACGCAUAGAAGACAUUUGGGAACUGGUCUAUGUAGCUAAUUUUAAAGUUCCUUUGUUCCGGUGCCAAUGGGUGAAGAUGACCGGAGGUGAAGAUUUGAGCCAAUCCUAAACACAUUUGUUCAAAAUCCAAGACGGGUUUUGGUCAAACUUGGUCAAAUGACAAACUAAAUUACUUAAAAUGAAAAAAAAUUUGAAUACCAAGUUGUUAGAUAUCAUCAAGAUCUAAACUUUUUAUAUACACAAUUUUUCCAUUUGAGAAAGUUUAAGUUAACAAUACCCACCAAAUCUUGAAUCUCACACAAACUAUAUGAAACUAUAUGUGUCAAUUGUGGAUUUUCAACUACACCUUCCCAAAACUUUGUCAAAUGCAAAAAUGGUCUAUAUAUUAAAUAUAGAUUUUGAUGAGUGCAACAAUAUUGGUAUUCAUGACUUUUCCAUUCGAGACCAUCUAGGGUUCCGAAACCGCUGCGUGGCUAUGAAUUCUGUGAAAAUUCAAAAUUCAAUGGUUCAAACUUUUCCAAAUGAAAAGUUGACCAUUAGACAGAAUGUAGAACAUGAUGUGUGUAUCAAACUUUGUAUUCAUGACUUUUCCAUUUGGGACCAUCUAGGGUUCGGUCAUAGGGUGUUUUUGUAAAAACCAAUGCUUUGACUUUGGUCAAACUUGAUCAAAUGGCCCAUUUGAUGACUUCAAAUGAAAAAAUUUUGAAUACAAAGUUGUUAGAGAUCAUCAAGAUUUACAUUUGAUAUAUUGACCAUUUUUCCAUUUAGAUAAAUUUGAGCCAAUCAUAAGCAUAUUUGUUUAAAAUCCAAGACGGGUUUUGGUCAAACUUGGUCAAAUGACAAACUAAAUUACUUAAAAUGAAAAAAAAUUGAAUACCAAGUUUUUAGAUAUCAUCAAGAUCUAAACUUUUUAUAUGCACAAUUUUUCCAUUUGAUAAAGUUUAAGUUAACAAUACCCACCAAAUCUUGAAUCUCACACAAACUAUAUGAAACUAUAUGUGGCAAUUAUGGAUUUUCAACUACACCUUCCCAAAACUUUGUCAAAUGCAAACAUGGUCUAUAUAUUAAAUGUAGAUUUUGAUGAGUGCAACAAUAUUGUUAUUCAUGACUUUUCCAUUCGAGACCAUCUAGGGUUCCGAAACCGCUGCGUGGCUAUGAAUUCUCUGAAAAUUCAAAAUUCAAUGGUUCAAACUUUUCCAAAUGAAAAGUUGACCAUUAGACAAAAUGUAGAACUUGAGGAGUGUAUCAAACUUUGUAUUCAUAACUUUUCCAUUUGGGACCAUCUAGGGUUCGGUCAAAGGGUGUGUUCAUCAAGAUAUAUAUUCUUAUAUGAUAAAUAGAUUUUUUAUUUAAUGAAAACUAUACCCAACUAGCAUUCCUAGUAACAAAUAACAAAAAUAAAAAGUUUUACGUCAAUAUGAUGUGAAAAUAGAUUUCCAGUUGAUUGGACAUAGUUUUUGUAAAUUUAUUGGAAUAAUAUAUUUUUGCAUUAACAAAAUACUAAACAUUUCUUACAAAAUUAUUGCAAAUUAUAAAAAGACAGUAAGAUAUUUAAGGUUAAAAAUUUUCAUGUGUACAUUAAAAAAAUUACAAUAUAUGUCUCUGUUCAAAAAAUAUUAUGCAAAAUAUUUAAUUUACUAUACAUUUUAUAAUAUAAACUGUAUAUAUAAACACUUUAAAAACCCUAAAGUAAAAAACAGGGCCUAGCACCGGCCCAUAGUGGGAACCGGUGCUAAAGGGUCCUGAAAAUUUCAGAAGCACGCCCUAGCGCGCGCAGGACCCUUUAGCACCGGCUGGUAACACGAGCCGGUGCUAAAGGGUCACCCUUUAACACCGGCUCGUGUUACCAGCCGGUGUUAAAGACCCUUUAGCACCGGUGCCAGCCACGGACCAGUGCUAAAGGGUCCGCAGGAGUUGCCCUGGAUCCGGCAGUUCCUUCGUCUUCAUCUUCGUCUCUAGCGCCGCCGCGUUCAUCUUCGCCACCGUCGUCGUUUCGACUCCAUCGCCGCCGCGACCGUCUCCACCAGAGCCGCCGCGGCCCUCCACCAACGCCGCCGCCGUGGCCAUCCACCAGCGCCACCGCAGCGGCCCACCAGCGCGCGCCGGCCACAUCUUCCACGUCGAUCGAGAACUCCGGCCGUCUCCUCGCUCCUAUGUACUAGAUCAAUCAAACUCCGGCUAAAUAAUCUGCAAAAUGAAUGAAUUGUUAUGAUAUAUAUAUACAUAUAUAUAUAUACAAUUGUUUAUCAUAAAUAUAUAUAAUAAAUGUAUAUAUAUGUAUAUAUAUAAUAAAUGUAUAUAAUAAAUAUAUAUAUUUAUAUAUAUGUACAUAUAUACAUUUAUAUAUAUUGUGUUUUGAAUUGUUAUGAUAUAUAUAUAUAUAUUAUUUUUUAUAUAUUAUUCUAGUAUAUUAUUAAUUCUAGUGUUUUGUAUAUAUAUUAUUGUUUGUACUAUUAUUCUAUUAUUAUUUUUAGUAUAUUAUUCUAGUAUAUUAUUAAUUCUAGUGUUUUGUAUAUAUAUUGUUUGUACUAUUAUUCUAGUAUUAUUUUUAUAUAUUAUUCUAGUAUAUUAUUAAUUCUAGUGUUUUGUAUAUAUAUUAUUGUUUGUACUAUUAUUCUAGUAUUAUUUUUAGUAUAUUAUUCUAGUAUAUUAUUAAUUCUAGUGUUUUGUAUAUAUUAUUGUUUGUACUAUUAUUCUAGUAUUAUUUUUAGUAUAUUAUUUUAGUAUAUUAUUAAUUCUAGUGUUUUGUAUAUAUUAUUGUUUGUACUAUUAUUCUAGUAUUAUUUUUUAGUAUAUUAUUCUAGUGUAUUACUUGGCUUUAAAGACUUUUUAGUAUAUUAUGAAUUCCAGUGUUUUAGUAUAUUAUGAAUUCUAGUGUUAUUGUUAGUAUUAUUUUUUAGUAUAUUAUUCUAGUGUAUUUCUUAUCUUAUAUAGAAUAUAUAUAUGUAUGGUUGCAGACAUAGAAAUGGCUGACCGUGCUCAUGAUGAUCCUGAUUAUAUGGAAGGUGUCAUUCAAAAUAUGAUCAACGACGGUAGUCAGUACUUUAUUGAUUACAACGAGAUCAUGCAAGGCAAUCCGACUAAACAAUAAGAGGGCAAUACCCCUGAGCAAUAAGAGGGCAAUGCGCCUGAGCAACAACUUGUCGUGCAACAAGAAGGAAAUACUGGCGAGGUAUGUAAAUGUAAACAUAUAUAAUUAAUGCAUCUCUUACAUUAGGUUUUAGACUUACUUGGUUAUUAAUUUAGUAUUUUGUUUCUAUAUCUACGUGUAGCCUUCUGGAUCGACCUCUACGGGGAGAAGCAUACCUCCACAAGGGCCAAAGAAGCCGUUGGAGGGCCGCUAUGUAAUCUCUGAGUUUGAGAUAGCUACAGGCAGAUGACUUGGUGAACUUGCAAAUAAAUAUGUUAGUCAUUGUGGAUAUCUUGUGAGAGAUCAAAUACCGAUCAGUGCUCGUGAAUGGAGAGAGAAGCGAGGUGCUCCUGAGAUCAGUUUUGUCUCUGAUCGUGACAAAGAGUUAGUUUGGAAAGCCGUCACAGACGUUUUCACCUUCGACACCAACGAUGAAGAGUUGAAGGUGCGAAUUUAUGACUGGACUAUGAAGAAGAUGGCGGUACUGUUCUAAAAUUGGAAGAAGACUUUGUACAAUAAAUUUGUCAAGAAAAACGAGACUCCAAAUUUCAACCUCAAGCAAUACGUAAAGCUGAGGGCCUUCUUAGAUGACUUCGUGCAGUACAAAACAUCAGAAGAGGGCGAGGAACGAGCCAUUAGAAACAAAGAGAAUGCAAGUAAAAAGACAUACCACCAUCAUAUGGGAUCAGGUGGUUAUAAGAGUGCUAUUCCCAAGUGGGACUGAAUGGAACAGUAGAUGCUUGCUAGGGGGGUCACACCCGAGACAAUAGCAAAGAAUUGGAGCGAGCGCUCCAAGCAUUGGUUCUACGGUCAUGGGGGAAGCAUGGACCCAGACACCGGGGCGCUAGUUUGGGGCCAAGAAAUCUCUAGAGCAGCUGAGAGACUAGUCCGUGCACGAGAGGCGGUUCAGUCUGGUGAGUUCAGGCCUAACAGGGAGAAGGAUGAACUCACCUAUGCGCUUGAAAAUGCUCAGCACGGUGGGCGUACGAGAGGCUAUGGGGCAGUUCCGUGGCUGCAAUCAUUCCAAACCGAUCAAGAUACCUACAGAAGCUGCCAGAGAAAGAAGGAUGAGGAGGCAGAGUGGAUCCGCUGCCUGGAAGCUUUUGUUCUGCAGUCACAAGAGCGCGAGAAAGCUCGUGAAGAAUGGAUGCAGGCGGAGAUUCAAAGGCAAGUGCAAGCAGCACUUAGUCAAAUGAUGAAAGUGCAAGGUACAUCACAGCCUGAGGUCAACGUUAGCCCCCAGGCUAGUUGAAAAGCAGCUGCGCAUCCACGGAAGUACCAAUCAUUCAGGAUGACACGAAGCUACACUUCCCCGUGGAUGAUGUCACAGAGGCUUUUACUACCUAUGAGCUGCAUGUACCAGAUGGGAAUGCAACAAAAAAGGUGGCUAUCCCUGUUGUCAACCCUAUCGACCGAACGAGACUCCAAGAAUCCAUAAUCGACCAGUACCUGGUGAAUAUGCUAGCGUCUCGGUUGAUAGGGUUGAGAAAGGUUGUGGCAAUGUGCCUCUAGACAUAGAAGGGGGAGACGGAGAGAAGACCUUAGGUGAAGCUGAGAAGACAUUUAUUUGUUGGCGCAAGCGCUUCAUAAUUAUUCCUCAACAUAGGUUUGUGUGUGAUUUUACUUCUUAUAUUAUUUAUUAUGUAUUGAAAUUAAAAAGUUUGCUCACAAAACUUGUAAUUGUUUUCUUUGCAGGGACUCCUCCAACCUAAGUCCAGUUCUCUCCCCAGCGCAUCAUAGUGCUACGGGCGGUGACAAUGCUGGAUCUCCUCCAAUACCUGCGGCGGCCACAUCGACCCCGCCACCGCCUCCACCACGGUCUCCACCUCCUCCACCGAGGUCUCCAACUCCUCCACCGUGUUCUCCAACACCGAAAAGAUUGGCCCCACGACCUCCACCCCCUACACCGCCCUCUCCAAAGAGUACACGGUUGGUCCACUCGCCUCCAAAGCGAGGUAGUCAGAAGCGGUCCGCCCAAGAACGACCGAAGUCAUCGGUCCCACCUCCAAAGAAGGCUGCCUCAGCAAAGAGAGCUAAGACACCAGAAAAAUUAUAUUAUAAAAAGAGUGAAGAGGAGGUAAUUGCUGUAUCCAAAGCUGAGGUGAAACAAUUUUUUGAUAAAUUGAAGGAGGAUAGAAAAAAGCGGCUAAACCCAGAAAAGCCGUACUUUUAUGUAAAGCCAUCGGAACUGAGGCAGAAGGUGGCGGACCAGCAAAAGAAGCAACGCGAAGCUCAGAAAAGGCCAGCACUUUCGGACUAUGAGCGGUCUCUGGUCAAAUCUUCACAGCCUAGAAAGAGAGUAGGAAAGGGGGUCCCAUAGCUUCGAGAAGUAUCAAAACCGGUGCCCCCUUUGAUUGUGCCAAAUCAAUACGGCUCAAAUGAAGACUUGAUGGCAAAGAAAUCCUUAGCGUUGUCUGAGCUAGACUCUCUUGAGCGUUACUUUGGACAGAGCGGUUUAAAUAUGAAAGAAAUUGCCGCCAUUAUUUGAUGCCAAACAUUUGAAAAAGCUGAGAUAGUUGAUCAAUGGAGGGUAAGAUAUGAACCGGGCAGGAGUCUAUUCGACCCUCAGCGUUUACAUGAGCUCGACACACAAAUGUUUGCAAUAAACAAAUGGUGCAUUGAGGCGUCUAAAAGCGGAGAGAAUUGGAUUUCUGUUCGUAUUAGACAACAUCACUACUUCCAUGGAGAUGACCUCAUAUACGUGCAGUUCGAAGAAUUGCACCAAUUAUGUCACCUCGACGCUCUCGACAAAUCUCUUGUCAGCUGCAAACAUAAAGGGCUAAUACCCGAUUCAAACGUUAAGGCGUUCCAGCCGAUUUGACCUUACAAUCGACAAAGGUGGUAACUCGACCACUUUGGUCCCGACAACAGCGAUGUGCCCGGAUGUCACGGCCAAGAGGUGAUCACGCAGAACUUGAGAACGCGCCGAGUUUGACUCGACGAAUUCCUAAGAACUUGUAGUAAAAAGAAAAAUAUGACGAAGUCGUCGAACAAGUAGAUGCUAGAAUAUGAGUAAAAACUUGUGUUUGAUUGAUUGAUAGAUCUCUUCAUUACAAGGCCCUAGGGUGUACAUUUAUACCCUGCUCAAAGAGCUACAAUCAGACACGACUAGGACUCAAAUUCCAAAUUAAACGGAACCCGUAUACAAAACGAAUUCUAAUGACUAAGGAAAACAUUAAACUACCCCCUCGUAACCGAUCAGGACACUGCCACGGAUCAAUCGGCAACUUCCAUGCUUUUCUUCAGAAUCAUCGGCAAACCACCUGUUACAACCAUCGGCAAACAUCGGCUCUGGUCAUCGGCAUGAACACAUCAUCACCCCUGGACUUAGUCAUAUUCAAUUGUUCCCCUAUCGGCACCAUCCCUCCAUCGGCAACUUCCCUGUAGACUAGUUAUCGUUGCUUCAUCUGCUGAUCUAUACUUUACUAACACCAGGUUCACGUCCGAAGAUACGUGUCCAAAAACAGUGUCAACACAUGCCCCCAAUUUCAGAGUAUAAAAUCAUUAAUGCUCCGAAAUUCUCUACAGUAAUGAUGCCUUUCCGCAAUUAAUUCUCCUAAUUUGGUAAUCGACCGUUAAAUCCGAACAACCUUGGCCCGAUUCUCCUAUAGAUUCCUCGAAUUCCUCAACCUCCGGAACCGAAUCUCUCCAAUUUAUGCGCCCAUCGGCAAUAUUACCGUUAGAGGGAACUGCCGAUGAACCGAUCAGGAGAUCUUGUACAGUGAAAUAUCUUCAAAACCGCUUGCUGUCAAAUCACCUGCAGAAUCCCUUGAUUAUCGUGCGAACAGUUACCAUAUCCACCUGAACACCCUCAGAUUUCACGGAUGCGGCAAAGAGAUAAGUCAGAUUUGCCCCUGCCUGAUUUGUCCUAUAAAUAGUUCCUUCUCCGGUACUCCUCCUCCAUCUUAUCAUUCUACAGCCCAAAAUCUACUUUCCUAGCGGCGGCACCACCUGAGGAUUCCAUGAACUUCAACGAAGGUCUUCUCCACCAAUCCCCCAAGUCUUCAACCCUCUUCCAUGCGAGAAAAUGGCCAUCAACUUCGUCAUUCCUGAGGUCAGUUUACCACCCUUCUUUUUCCACACUCUUGCUGUAUUCCUGUUCAUCCGCAAUUCCUUUUACUGAAGACUCCUUUUUCUUUUUGUCCUUUUUAUCCUCAAAAACUUUUAGGAUUUGGCUGAUAAGAUCGUAAUUCCUACCGAUCAACCUCACCUCCAAUGUCUUGGCCCGCUAGGAAAUCCAGAUCCCACCGAUCUAAUAAACGCAGAGACAAACAGAAUCCCCUUUAGUGCCAAAAACUUCUCUCUAGAUCUAUGGAAAGAUGCCUUCCGUUCCUGGCCCAGUCCUACCAAAGGAUGGAAGGAUUGGUUCCUGAGAGUCAGUCACUCAAAUGAGGUUCAAUGGGGCGAGCGGAAGUUAGACCAGUGCAUUAGAUUGUCUCUUGCCUAUAUGGAGAGGAAUGAGUCACUGUUAAUCGCUGCCUCGUACUUUUGGUCAGACACGCUCAAUGCUUUUGUGUUUGGUCAUGGCCCUGCUUCUCCUACACUUGCCGAUGUACUUAUGCUCACCGGCUUAGACAUAUCCACUGCCGAUAACAGCCAUCUAUUUGACACCAAACCCAGUUCUAAGGUAGAAACUCGUGCUAUCGGCGGCUGGUCUGGGUACAUUCAGAAGUACCGAAAAACAGGACUUGUCAGUGCAAAGGAACAGACCACCUUCCUGAAUAUGUGGCUGGACAAGUUUGUAUUCUGUGGCCGAUCGGCAGGACCAACCUCUGUUUAUUUAUCGGCAGCAAAAAGAUUAGCCAAUGGUGGCCGAUUUCCUCUUCGCCGCUACUUGCUCGGUUCUGCUUAUCACCUCCUCCACCAAAUAGCCAAGAAACUUCUGCUGGGUCAAUCCAUCGGCAACCUAGGAGUUCCUUGGUGGUUUAUCAACAUGUGGCUUAGUCUCCACAUGCACAAAUGUCUCGAAUUCGACCUCCUUGCACAGCGCUUCCCCAGGGACAUAGCCGAGGAUUAUGAAUUGGAUGAAGAAGAAUCGGCAACUCGUUCCCCCUUGAACUUUGGCAAAGCUGCCAUAGUUUUACCUGGCACUGGUGGUAAUGAAGACCAUGUCAGCAGAUUCUUUCAGACUCUCUAUGAAGGUCUGACCGGAGAACAGCGGGCAUGGAUGCCUUAUGAAGAUCUAGACACCAGAUUUCCUCUGACUUUCCACCCCUUCAAUGAUACUCUCAACAAGGACUGUGAUGUGAUGAUGGCAAUUAUCACCCCGAGGGCCAUACCAGUGAACUUCUUUGGUAGUGGGAAAGCUUCCAAUCUGACCUAUGAGUUUUACAACCCAUCGGCACUAGCUCGCCAACUGGCUUUCGGUCAACUGCCGAUUGCACUUUGCUACGCCGAUGUGGGAAAGCCGAGGGAAACCAUCACCAGCAAUCUUGAGUGGAUUAGAAUAGCUCAACUUCCACCAAACGCUGAUACAGAUGUCGAUCUAUCGGCUUGGAUUCUGGCUCUCUUCAUUACCUAGGCAUACAAACAGUGGUGGGAGGAGUGGAAAGAGCAGUUGUUCUGCAGAUCGGUCCUCAUAUACCUUGGCAUGAUCGACUCCAAAUACAAAGUCCCCGAUAAUACUGUAAGUAUUUUAACCGAUGCUUCAAUCUUAUUAUUUUUCGCUUUUGUCGGCAACUUACUUCCUCUAUUUUACACAGGUUGACAAUACACCACCAUCGGUCAACAGAAUUGGUAAGCCAAUUGAACUCCCUCCAUCGGGGCCGAUUUCUUUGAUCGGUAAUAAUGCUCCAAGUCUGGCGGCCCUAAUGCACCGGGGCGCACGUCUCAAGAAAAUCACCACCAAGCGGACCAAGACAUCUCCAUCGGUCGCUGCUGCUGCUCUGGCACAAGUUUUCAAGGUAGAAUGUUUUUUUACCUCUUCAAUAUGCAUCGAUUCCGUCCCAUACUUAUAUGGCUUUUUCAGGAUACAUCGGCAGGCAUGGGCACCUCAUCGGUAACUUUCUUAACCAUCAUUCCAUUAAUACUCUGUUACACUCGUACUCAUAAAACCUUCAUUGUUGUAUCAGCAAACUGGCAAAUCGGCCAAGACCAGAAGCGCCAAAGCAAGUGCCGAUGCCCCCCAAGCCAGUCAAACUAAGAGAAAGGACCCUAAGAGCACCAAGUUACAGGCAAAACGCCAGAAAACGGCACCACCUUCUUCUCCUCCCCCAGUGUCACCGAUUCACAUACAAUCGUCCCCUUCUUCACCAGAAGUUCAAACUCAACAAGCACCAUCUCCAACUCAGCCGCAAGAAGAACCCCAACCAGAAGAACCUCAGCCAGAAGAACCCCAGCCGGAAGAGAUAUCAACUGAUGUACACGAGCAGACCGCCGAUCCAGUGAGCUCAAUCAUAGCAUCAGUAGCCUCCUCAAUCCAGACAAGCGUCGCACCCCCUCAAGGUAAAUUACUGCCUAUGAAAUCAUUGCCAAUGGACCUACUUUUGCACUUUAUAAUUAUCUCUGUCAAUCUUUCAGCUGACAUAGUUUUAUCGGCAACUCCAGCCGGUCAACCUGUGGUACCAUCGGCCUCAACUAGCCAGAGGCAAGAGAUAGCUCUGAAACAAGUAAGUUAUUUGAUUAUCAUUCUUUAUUUUACUAAUAUUUCAUCAUCAAAUAACUCAUGUCCUUUUCUCUUUCAAGAACAAGAUUCUCCCAACAACCUGUUCUCCUUUGCCAUAGAAAUCUCCGAAGAUGAAGGUGAGGAAGCGAGUUCUUUUCAAGCAAUUGGGAUCUCAUCGGCAGAAAUUAGAGCAAAGCUGGAGGACCUACUGGCCCUGCUUCACCAGGAUACAGCCCAACUAGUCGAUGACUCCGAUCCAGCCAAGGUUCUAUUUAAAGCUCUCAGAGGCCAGAUCCCUGCCGAUGCCGAGGAAAUCCUCUUCAAGGCCGCACAUUUGGAGAGUCGACAGCUUUAGUACCAAAAGGCCACUCAGUGCCUCGCCGAUAGGGCUAGUUAUGCCCAGCUUUCAGAGGAGGUGAUGAAGGUAAAGCAUCUUGCCGAUGAGAAGCAUAAGAGCAUCGGCAUUCUAAAAUCCUCAAGAGACGUGCUGAAGCAAAAGAUCUCUGACCUAUCGGCGAAAAGAGAAGCCCUGUUGGUAGAACUUUGUCUCAAGCUCAACAAGAAGAAAGCCAGCUACCUGAAGCGAUCAAGACUCUCGAAUAGGAGCGAAACAUCCAAGCUCGCAAGGCACUGCAGAUGAAGAAGAAGCUGAAACCGGUGGAAGGUUCUACCGAUGAAGACAUCAAAGAGAUAGAAGAAGCUGAUCAAAUUCGUCUGCGUGCUAUAUCAGCUAUCCAAGCCUUGCUGAAUGUAUGAACUCUUCAUCGGCGGCGUACUUCGCUUUCUCUUUAAAACACUUCUAAUCAUUUUGGGCUAGCCGAUAGGACUGUUAUCGGCACCCCUUUUAAAACAUUGAGUCCGGCCCCAGAUACACUUUGAUCCAGCCGAUAGGAAUGUUAUCGGCACUUAAACUUUCAUGCAUCAAUCCAUAUGCUAGGAUAAUAUUUCUUUAGGUAUUUGCCAUUCAACUUCCUAGGAAAUUCAACUCCUUCGAGAGUUUCUAAAAUAUAGGCAUUGCCAAGAGCAAAUCUAUUUAUCCGAUAGGGACCCUCCCAAUUGGGAGACCACUUCCCAAAUUUUGAACUUUUAGUCCCGAUCGGUAAGAUUAGUUUCCAUACUAAGUCUCCAUCGACAAACCCUUUAGCCUUUACCUUCUUAUCAUACCAUCUGGCAACUCUCUUUUUAUUUUCUUCUAUACUCAUCAAAGCCCUCAGCCGAUGCCCUGCUAAAUCAUCCAACUCAUCUUUCAUCAAAGUAGCAUAGUCAUCGGCAGUCAAUUGAUCUUGAAAAGAUAAUCACCUAGAUCCAGUCUUAAUUUCCCAAGGUAGCACUGCAUCGUGUCCAUACACCAACUAAUAAGGUGAAACUUUGGUCGACCCAUGACAAGCCAUCCGAUAUGACCAUAAAGCUUCAUUCAAUAAUGUAUGCCACCUCCUAGGAUUUUCUUCAAUCUUCCGUUUAAUAAGCUUGAUAAUUCCUUUGUUGGAUGCCUCGGCCUGCCCAUUAGCUUGAGCAUAAUAAGGAGAAGAAUUUAACACUUUAAUUCCCAUACCGAUUGCGAACUCAUCAAACUCCCCCGAUGUAAACAUAGUACCCUGAUCGGUAGUAAUCGUUUGAGGAAUACCAAAUCGGUAAAUAAUAUGAUCUUUCACAAAAUCAAUCAUAUUGGCCGAUGUAACUUUCUUCAAAGGAAUAGCUUCAACCCACUUGGUGAAAUAAUCAGUAGCAACUAAGAUGAACUUAUGCCCUUUGCUAGAUGGUGGAUAAAUCUGGCCGGUCAAAUCAAUAGCCCAUCCUCGGAACGGCCAAGGUUUAACAAUGGGAUUCAUGGCCAAUGCGGGCGCCCUUUGAAUAUUGCCAAAUUUCUGACAUCCUUGACACCCUUUGAAAUACUUAAAACAAUCCUCAAGUAUAGUUGGCCAAUAAUACCCAUUUCUCCUGAUCAUCCAUUUCAUCUGAAAAGCCGACUGAUGUGCUCCACACACUCUCUCAUGGAUUUCCCCUAUCAAACUUUUAGCUUCAUCCUCACCUAAGCACUUGAGAAGAACUCCAUCGAUCGUUCGAUAAUAUAAUUCAUCUUCGAGGAGCACAUACUUGGUAGCUUGAAACCGAACACGUCUCUCAACCUUCUUAGAUGGAUUCCUUAAAUAAUCAAUGAUUUCUCUUCUCCAAUCAUCGGCAUUGAUUGCCGAUAACGUGUUCAAUAUGGGUUGAUAUCCCGAGGCAUGCUGAGCCAACCGAUUAGCCUCCUCAUUAUGUAACUGAGGAACAUGUUCUAAUCGGAAAUCCUUGAAUUCCUUUAAUAAUCGCAUACUCUUUUCAUAAUAGGCUAUCAAGACCUCGCUUCGGAUCAUAGCUUCCAGCCAAUUGAUUUAUAACCAGCAUAUAAUCCCCGAAGACUUCAACAGCAUCAGCAUGAACUUCUCUUAACAAUUCCAACCCCUUGAUCAAAGCUUGAUAGUCGGCUUGAUUAUUCGUUGACGUGGCAACAAUCGGCAAAGAGAACUCAUACUUCCUUCCCUGAGGAGAAAAUAACACUAUGCCGAUUCUUGCCCCCCGGUCACACGUGGAUCCAUCAAAGAAGAGCGUCCAAGGCAUAAUUUCCAAAGUCUCCACUACACCGCAAUGUUGAGUCACAAAAUUGGCCAUAACUUGCCCUUUAACCGCUUUAGCCGAUUCGUAACCUAGAUCAAAUUCCGACAGUGCCAAAAUCCACUUACCGAUUUGUUGAUGCAAAAAGAUCUGCAAACACAAAGGGCUAAUACCCGAUUCAAACAUUAAGGCGUGCCAGCCGAUUUGACCUUACUAUCGGCAAAGGUGGUAACUCGAAUACUUUAGUCCUGACAACAGCGAUGCGCCCGGAUGUCACGGCUAAGAGGUACUCACGCGGAACUCGAGAAUACGCCGAGCUUAAGUCGACGAAUUCCUAAGAACUCGUAGUAAAAAAUAAAAAGUAUGACAAAGUCGUCGAAAAGUAGAUGCUGGAAUAUAUGAGUAAAACGUGUGUUCGAUUGAUUGAUAGAUGUCUCAUUACAAGGCCCUAGGGUUCAUAUUUAUACCCUGCUAAAAGAGCUACAACUAAACAUGACUAAAACUCGAAUUCUAAAUUACACGGAAUCCGUAUACAAAACGACUUAAAUAAACAAGGAAAUAACAAAGCUAUCCCCCGUGACAAGCUGAAAUCCUUCCAUAAACCGAUCAGCAGUUUCCGGACUCCCCCUCCGUAUCAUCGGCAGACUCUUUGCCAUGGUCAUCGGCAGACUCCCCCAUUAUAACCAUCGGCAUAAACACAUCACUGCCUGCAGACCUAGUCAUGUCCAACCUCUCCUUCAUCGGCAACCAUCUUCAUCGGCAAUUCAUCCUGUAAACAGCACACUGCCACCUUAUCCUGCCAUCCUGGACGCGUGUCUCAAAACGGUGUCAACACAUGCCCCCCAAUUUCGGAGUAUAAAACUAUUAAUGCUCCGAAAUUUUCUGCAGUAAUGAUGCCUUUUCCCGCAAUUAAUGCUCCUAAUCUGGUAACCGAUAACCUCAAUCUGAACAACUCUGAUCCUAUUCUUCCGCAGAUUCCUCGAAAUCCCCAACUUCCUAAACGGGCAUCUCUCUCUCAACCGUACAUCGGCAAUAUUACCGUUACAAAGAUCUGCCGAUGUACUGACCAGGAUGUUCGUACAAACAGCUACCUCCCCUUUAUUCGCCCAUCGGCAAUAUAACCGUUAUAGAAUGCUGCCGAUGGACCGACCAGGAGAUCUCGCACAGUAAAAUAUCUUCAGAUAAUGACCGCUUCCCGUCAAAUCACCUACACAAUCCCUUGAUUACCGUGCGAACAGUUACCAUAUCUACCUGAGUACCCUCGGAUUUCUCGGAUGCGGCAAAGAGAUAAGUCAGUUUUGCCCUUGCCCAUUUUGUCCUAUAAAUAGUUCCUUCUCGGGUACUCCUCCCCAUCACAUCAUUCCACCACCCCAACUUUACUUUUCCAGCGGCGGCGCCAUUCGAAGCUCCCAAGACCUCCGACAAGCACUCCUCCUCACCAAUCCCGGUGUCUUCAAACACUCUCUUCGCAUCAAGAUGGCCAUUGGCUUCGUCGUUCCUGAGGUCAGAUCUCCAUCCCGUCUCAUGUAUAUUUUGCUCGUAUCCCUGUUCAUCCGUAAUUCAUUUUACUGAAUAUCUUCCUUUUCCUUUUUUUCUCUUGUGUUUCCUUUACGCCCAAAAUCACUAGGAAUUGUCCAACAAAAUUGUUAUCCCCACCGAUCAACCACACCUUCAAUGCCUCGGCCCUCUAGGGGACCCAGAUCCAACCGACCUUAUCAACGCAGAAACCAACAGGAUCCCCUUUAGAGCUGAAAACUUUUCUUUAGAUCUGUGGAAAGACACCUUCCAUUCUUGGCCCAGCCCUACCGUAGGGUGGAAAGACUGGUUCUUGAGGGUCAGCAAUUCCUAUGAAGUCCAGUGGGGUGAAAGGAAGCUAGCCCAAUGCAUCAGGCUAUCUAUUGCCGAUAUGCACAGGAACGAAUCACUGUUGAUCGCUGCAUCUCAUUUUUGGUCAGAUACCCUUAAUGCUUUUGUCUUUGGCCACGGCCCUACUCUUGCCGAUGUAGCUAUGCUCACUGGUCUGGACGUGUCUUCUGCCGAUAGCACCCACUUCUUUGAUACCGCUCCUAGUGCCAAAGUGGAGACUCGUACUAUCGACGGUUGGUCAGGGUACAUUCAAAAGUACCGUGGGAAGGGGCCUGUUACCAUAAAGGAACAAACCACCUUUCUGAACAUGUGGCUAGACAAGUUUGUAUUCUGUGGUCGAUCGGCAGGACCGACUUCUGUCUAUCUAUCGGCAGCAGAGAGACUGGCUAACGGUGGCCAAUUUCCUCUCGGCCGAUACUUGCUUGGCGCUGCUUACCAUCUUCUCCAUCAGGUAGCCCAGAAACUCCUGCUUGGUCAGUCUAUCGGCAACUUGGGAGGCCCCUGGUGGUUUAUUAACAUGUGGCUCAAUCUGCAUUUGCAUAAGCGCCUUGACUUCAACUUGUUCACACAGCAUUUCCCAAGAGAUAUAGCUGAAAAUCAUGUGUUGGGCGAAGAGGAAUCGGCAACACGUGCCCCCCUGAACUUUGGCGAAGCUGCCAUAGUUCUACCUGGUUCAGGGAGUAAUCCGGAUCAGAUCGGCCGAUUCUUCCAGACUCUGUAUGAGGGCUUGGCCAGAGAUGAACGACCAUGGUUGGCUUAUGAUGACCCAGACAGUAUGCUCCCUCUAACCUUCAAUCCAUUUGAUGAAGCUCUUGACAGGGACAAUGAGGUGAUGAUGGCAAUUGUGACUCCCAGAGUCAUACCAGUGAAUUUUUUUGGUAGCACAAAAACCUCUCCCCAAACCUAUGAAUUUUUCAAUCCAUCGGCAUUAGCUCGUCAGCUAGCUUUUGGCCAGUUGCCAGUUGCACUUCCUUGUGCCGAUGUGAUAAAACCCAGAGAACCCAUCACCAACUUUCUUGAGUGGAUUCGAGUAGCCCAACUACCACCAAAUGCCGAUACAGAUGUAGAUCUGUCAGAAUGGGUUCCAGCUGCCUUUAUCACUCAGGCAUACAAGUUAUGGUGGGCAGAAUGGAAAGAGCAUCUAUUCUGCAGAUCGGCCCUCUCAUACCGCGGCAUGAUCGACGCCGAAUACGAAGUCCCCGAUGACACUGUAAGUAUUUCAAACCGAUGUUUCAUUUUUUCAAUAUUAUUUCCAUCGGUAGCUUACCCUUGUAUUCCUUUUGCAGGUUGACAACAUCCCCCCAUCGGUUAGCAGGAGUGGCAAGCCGAUCGACUUGUUUCCAUCAGGCCCGAUCUCCUCAAUCGGCCACAAUGCUCCCACUCUGGCUUCCGUCGUGCAUCGGGGUGUGCGCCUCAGGAAAGUCACCACCAGGAGAACUCAGACAUCACCAACGGUAGCUACUUCCACUCUGGCGCAGGCUUUCAAGGCAAUUUGUCAAAUCUUUUUCUUUUACACUAACCAUCUUUAUAUCGGCUAUAUCUGUGCUUAUAAACCCCUUUUCGUUAUUGCAGCAAACCGGUGCAUCGGCAAAAGCCAAACGUUAAAGUGCCGAUGCCCCCCAGUCUAGCCAACCAAAGAGAAAGGGCACCAAAGGUGCUAAGGCUAGAACAAAGCGCCAGAAAGUGGCAACUCCCCCUCCUCCUCCGGUGUCUCCAAUUCCGGUGGAGUCUUCUCCUUCUUCUCCAAAAGUCCAGACACAGCAAGUACCGUCUCCCCAACCAAUGCAGGAAGCACCACAGAUGGAACAACUCCAGCAAGAAGAACCUCAAUUAGAAUUACCCCAAUCUUGAGAUGUGCCGGCCGACGUAGGCGAUCAAACUACCGAUCCAGCAGGUUCAAUCAUACUAUCGGUAGUUUCCUCACUUCAGACAAGUAUCGUCCCUCCUCAAGGUAACGUACUCUCCUCAAAAUUACUAUCGAUGAGCUUCUUCUCUUCGAUCUUAUAACCUUUUCUGUUAACUUUCAGCUGACAUCGUCCCAUCGGCAACACUUGCCGAUCAACCUGUAGCUCCAUCGGUAUCUUUCAGUCAAAGGCAAGAAAUUGCCUUGAAGCAAGUAAGUCAUCCAACUUUCCACUAGUAUUGUCUGCCGAAGCUCUGACCAUAAAAAUGACUUAUUACAUCCUCACUUUCAGGAACAAGAUUCUCCCGACAGCUUAUUCUCCUUCGCCAUUGAUAUCUCCGAAGAAGAAGGUGAGGAAGCAAGCUCCUCUUGGGCAGUUGGGACUGUAUCGGCAGAAACUAGGGCUAAGCUGGAAGAGCUAUCGGCCAUACUUCAUCAAGACACAGCUCAAAUGGUCAACGAUUCCGACCCAGCCAAGGCCCUGUUCAAGACCCUUAGAGGCCAAAUUCCUGCCGAUGCUGAAGAAACCCUCUUCCAGGCUGCACACCUAGAAAGCCGCCAGCUGCAUUACCAGAGAGCCACUCGGCGCCUUGCCGAUAGAGCUGCUCAAAUCCAGCUCUCUGAGGAGAUGAUGAAAGAAAAACUCUUAGCCGAUGAGAAGCACAAGAACAUCGGCACCUUAAAGUCCUCAGGUGAUGCACUGAAGCAGAAAGUCUCUGAUCUAUCGGCAAAAAGAGAAGCCCUGCUGGCCGAACUCAAGCAAGUAGAGGAUGCUCUGUCUCAGGCCCAGCAAGAAGAGAGCCAACUGCCAGAGACCAUCAAGAACCUCGAGCAAGAACGAAAUGCCCACGGUCGCAAAGCGCUGCAGUUGAAGAAGAAGCUGAAGCCGAUAGAAGGUUCUGCUGAUGAUGUUACCAAAGAGAUAGAAACAGCCAAUCAGAUCCGGCUGCGCGCCAUAUCGGCAAUCCAAGCGCUGCUGAACAUCUGAAGCUCUCAUCGGCAACACACCUUUGUUCUUCUGCAUUUCAGCUUUCUUAAUGUCUUAGUCUAGCCGAUAGGACUGUUAUCGGCAUCUUUUGAAACAUUAAGUCCAUCCCCAGAUACACUUUAAUCCAGCCGAUAGGAGUGUUAUCGGCAUUUAAACUUUUAUGCAUCGACCCAUAUGCUAGGGUAGUACUUUUUUAAAUAUUUGCCAUUUAAUGCUCUGGGAAAUUCAACUCUUUCGAGAGUUUCUAGAAUAUAGGCAUUACCAGGAGCCGAUCGACUUAUUCGAUAAGGACCUUCCCAAUUAGGAGACCACUUUCCAAACUUCGAACUUUUAGUCCCGACUGGCAAAAUUAAUUUCCAUACCAAAUCCCCCUCGGCAAACUCCUUAGCCUUCACUUUCUUAUCAUACCAUCUAGCAACUCUCUUCUUAUUUUCUUCUAUACUCAUUAAAGCUUUUAACCGAUGCCCUGCUAGAUCAUCCAACUCAUCGGUCAUCAAGGUGGCAUAAUCAUCAGCAGUUAACUGAUCUUGAAAAGAUAAUCGCCUAGAUCCGGCCUUAAUCUCCCAAGGCAACACUGCAUCAUGUCCAUACACCAAUUGAUAGGGUGACACCUUGGUUGAUCCAUGACAAGCCAUCCGAUAAGACCACAGUGCUUCAUUCAACAAUGUAUGCCACCGCUUAGGAUUUUCUUCAAUCUUUCGUUUAAUAAGCUUGAUAACUCCUUUGUUAGAUGCCUCGGCCUGCCCAUUGGCUUGAGCAUAAUAAGGAGAAGAAUUCAACACUUUAAUCCCCAUACCGAUUGCGAAUUCAUCAAACUCCCCCGAUGUGAACAUAGUGCCUUGAUCGGUAGUAAUUGUCUGAGGAAUCCCAAAUCGGUAAAUAAUGUGCUCCUUCACAAAAUCAAUCAUAUUGGCCGAGGUGACCUUCUUCAAAGGAAUAGCUUCAACCCAUUUAGUGAAAUAAUAAGUGGCAACCAAAAUAAACUUAUGUCCCUUACUAGAUGGUGGAUAAAUCUGGCCGAUCAGAUCGAUAGCCCAUCCUCAGAACGGCCAAGGCUUUAUGAUAGGAUUCAUAGCCGAUGCGGGUGCUCUUUGAAUGUUACCAAACUUUUGACAACCUUGACACCCCUUGAAAUAUUUAAAGCAAUCCUCAAGUAUGGUCGGCCAAAAAUAUCCAUUCCUUCGAAUCAUCCACUUCAUCUUUAAAGCAAUCCUCAAGUAUGGUCGGCCAAAAAUAUCCACUCCUUCAUGGAUUCCUCCCAUCAAACUUCUAGCUUCAUCAUCACCCAAGCAUCGGAGAAGAAUUCCAUCAAUAGUUCGAUAAUACAAUUCAUCUUCGAGGAGCACAUAUUUGGUUGCUUGAAAUCGAACUCGUCUUUCAACUUUCUUAGAUGGAUCUUCUAGAUAAUCAAUAAUUUCCUUCCUCCAAUCAUCGGCACCGAUUGCCGAUAUUGCAUUAAUCAUAGGCUGAUAUCCCGAGGCAUGCUGAGCUAACCGAUUGGCCUCUUCAUUAUACAAUCGAGGAAUAUGCUCUAAUCGGAAAUCUUUGAAUUCCUUCAACAGUCGCACGCUUUUCUCGAAAUAAGUUAUGAGAACUUCACUUCGGCAUUCAUAACUCCCGGUCAAUUGAUUUAUAACCAACAUAGAAUCUUCGAAGACUUCAACAGCAUCAGCACGAACUUCUCUUAACAACUCCAAUCCCUUGAUCAGAGCCUGAUACUCAGCCUGAUUAUUUGUUGAUGUAGCAACAAUCGGCAAGGAAAAUUCAUACUUCCUCCCCUUAGGGGAAACUAAUAUAAUGCCGAUUCCUACCCCCCGGUCACAUAUAGAUCCAUCAAAGAAAAGCGUCCAGGGUACAAUUUCCAAGGCUUCUACUACACCACAAUGCUGAGUCACAAAAUCGGCCAUAAUCUGCCCUUUGACUGCCUUAGCCGAUUCGUAACGCAGAUCGAACUCCGACAGCGCUAAAAUCCAUUUACCGAUCCUGCCACUCAUAAUCGGCAUGGAUAGCAUGUACCGGACCACGUCAUCUUUGCAAACAACAGUGCAUUCGGCCGAUAGCAGGUAAUGCCUCAAUUUGAUACAUGAAAAAUAUAAGCAUAAGCAUAAUUUCUCAAUGGCCGAAUACCUGGUUUCAGCAUCAAUCAACCUCCUACUCAAGUAAUAAAUUACCCUCUCUUUCCCUUCAAAUUCUUGAACUAAAGCUGAACCGAUAACCGUUCCAUCGGUAGACAAAUACAAUCUGAAGGGCUUUCCCUGUUAAGGUGGAACUAGAACUGGAGGAUUCACUAGAUACUUCUUGAUUUCAUCCAGAGCCAACUGCUGUUCUUCUCCCCAAAUAAAUUCUUGAUCGGCUUUCAAUUUAAGAAGAGGACUGAAAGCACGAAUCUUACCAGACAGAUUAGAUAUAAAUCUCCUGAUAAAAUUUACCUUGCCGAUCAAGGACUAGAGCUCAGUAUUGUUGGUAGGGGCCACUAUCUUAUUGAUGGCAUCAAUAGAUCUUCGACUAUUUUCAAUCCCCCUUUGAUGUACCAUGAAACCAAGAAACUGCCCUGCCGAUACACCAAAUGCACACUUAUUGGGAUUCAUCUUCAAUCCAUGCUUCCUUGUGCACUCUAGCACUUUUUGUAAGUCGGCAAGAUGUUUUGAGAAAUCCCCAGAUUUAACCACCACAUCAUCAAUAUAGAUCUCUACCAGCUUGCCGAUGAACUCAUGAAAUAUAAAAUUCAUGGCCUUUUGAUAAGUAGCACCAGCAUUCUUCAACCCAAAGGUCAUGACUAUCCAUUCAAAUAACCCAACAUGACCAGGACACCUGAAUGCGGUUUUUGGAAUAUCUUCCUCUGCCAUGAAAAUUUGAUUGUAUCCCGCAUUACCAUCCAUAAAGCUAAUGAUCUGAUGACCAGCCGCAGCGUCAACCAGCAGAUCGGCAACAGGCAUUGGGUAUCCAUCCAUCGGCGUAGCUGUAUUGAGAUUCCUGAAAUCAAUGCACACCCGAAGCUUCCCGUUUUUCUUGUAAACCGGAACGACAUUGGAAAUCCACUCGGCAUACCGACACUGCCGAAUAAACUUAGCUUCAAUGAGUUUGGUGAUUUCGGCCUUAAUAUCAGGUAGAAUGUUAGGAUUACAUCGGCGAGUUGGUUGCUGAUAUGGCCGAAAUCCAGACUUGAUGGGUAACCGAUGUUCAACAAUUGAUCGGUCUAAACCAGGCAUCUCGGUAUAAUCCCAAGCAAAGCAAUCUUUAUAUUCCUUUAACAAAUUAGUUAAUUGUUGCUUACACUCAUGAUCUAAUUUAGCACUAAUAAAAGUAGGUCUAGGCUUAUCACCACUACCUAUAUCUACUUCUACCAAAUCAUCGGCCGAUGUGAAUCCCUGGCCUAAUUUUCCAUCAUCGGCGAAUCUAUCCAUUAAAAACCGUCGUCAGAACCGACUGCUUGGAUCGGUGAAAUCUCAUAAUCGGCAACUUUGAGAAAAUCUUUCUCCCAAACUUCCCCUGAAAUGCACCUAGUCCUCUCAUAGGUAUCCGCCUCUGCCGAUGCAAUAACAUAAGAAGAAUCCCCUGGGACGAUCUCAAUCUUGUCACCUACCCACUGAACCAAGCAUUGGUGCAUUGUAGAUGGGAUGCAACAAUUGGCAUGAAUCCAAUCUCUUCCCAACAAUAAGUUGUAAGCACCCUUUCCACUGAUGACGAAGAAAGUUGUCGGCAAGGUUUUGCUGCCGAUAGUCAACUCCACACAUAUUGCCCCCUUGACUGGAGACACGUUUCCUUCAAAGUCUUUGAGCAUCAUAUCGGUCUUGGUCAAAUCCUGAUCCCCUUUCCCAAGCUUUCGAUAUACUGCAUAGGGCAUAAUAUUAAUAGCAGCGCCACCAUCAACUAGGAUCUUGGUCAUCGGCUGCCCAUCAACCCUUCCUUUGACGAACAGAGCUUUGAGAUGCUGCCUUUCAUCAUCGGCAGGUUUCUCAAAGAUAGCUGUCAUGGGAUCUAGAGCCAGCUGAGCUAUCUGAUCGGAAAAUUCCAACUCAUCAUCACUGGAUGGUGCAAGAAACUCCAUCGGCAACAUAAAGACCAUGUUAACUCCUGCCGAUGGACCUUCCCUCUUAGUGUCUGAUGGCUGCUGACUUCCAGAGCCCUCGCCUUUGCUUAACUCCUCUUGCCUUUCUCGUUGCAAUCUCCUCUUCUGUGUCUUGGUUAACCAUUCAGGACACCAUGGAGGAAGUGGCUUUUGCCUUGCUGCUGGGCGUCGAUUCUCUCUUGACUCCAUCCGAUGCGUGUUGGCAUCCCUGCAAAAUAUGAACUCAUCGGGAAUCCGCGCAUUAGCCAUCUCUUCGAGCUCUUCCUGGUUCCUGGGAAAAUAUGGGACACGAUCACCCAGGCUAUCGUGCACACUGAGCUUGCCCCCUAGCCGAUCAUGAACUGAUGCUCUUCCUCUGAUCGGCCCAUUAAAUCGCCGAUUGUCAUCAUGAUAACGCCGAUCAGUCCUGUCGUACCGAUCAUAACCAUUGCACUCAGGGCAGUCUCUGACAGUGGGAAGCUUAAUAUUUUCCUCCCAACAAUGGAUGAAGAACGGACAGUUCCAAUGAUCUCUAUGCCGAUUCCACUCCUGUCGGCGUCUUUCUUCCUCUCGUCGAUAAUCUUCUUGCUGGCGCCGAUAUCGAUCUUCCCGUUGCUGCUAGUUCUCUCGAGGCCUUCUAUGAGUUAUAACGAUGCCAGAUCGAGGAGGCCUACCUGAAUUGGUUCCUUCCUGGACCAAACCUUUACCUUUUGCAUCAGCAGUAUUAAUCUGAUGCUGAGGAUCUACCGAUGCACUUUUCUCAGCUGCUUCCGAUGUUAAAACCUUGGCCUUCCCCUUUGCAUCCAACAUGUUUGUCGGGAAAGGAUGUUGGUCUAUCUUCAUCGGCUUCUGAGUCUUGGAACUGUCAAAUUUAAUUCUCCCAGACUCUAUGGCCGAUUGCAGCUGUUGUCUGAAAACUUUGCAUUCAUUGGUGUCAUGAGAAGUUGCAUUAUGCCACUUGCAAUAUUUCAUCUUCUUCAACUCCUCUGCCGAUGGGAUCACGUGAUUAGGAGACAGUUUGAUCUGACCUUCCUGGAGUAGAAAAUCAAAUAUUUUAUCGGCUUUAGCGAUGUCAAAAGUGAACUUCUCUGGUUCCUUCUGCCCAAAAGGGCAAGACAUCGGCUUCUUGUUCUUUACCCACUCUGCCAAGCCGAUGACUGGUUCCUCGUCAGAAUCUGAGCUUGUUGCCUCAUCAACAAAUGAUACCUUCUUGUUCCAUGCUCUUUUGGGCUCGAAAGGCUUGAGGUCUUGAUCAGAAAUCCUCUGCACCAAAUGACUUAAGCUUUCAAACUCCUGAGAGGCAUACUUAUCCCUGAUAUGUGGCAAUAAACCCUGGAAAGCCAAAUCGGCUAGCUGCCGAUCAUCCUGAACCAGACUAUAACAUUUAUUUUUGACCUCCCGUAUCCUCUGCACAAAGCCUUCAACCGAUUCAUCAUUGCGUUGUCUCAAUUUGACCAAAUCGGUAAUCUUCUUCUCAUGAACUCCAGAAAAGAAGUACUUGUGGAAUUGUUUCUCCAGACCGGCCCAAGUAAUCACUGAAUUAGGAGGUAAUGAUAUGAACCAGGUAAAGGCCGAUCCAGACAAUGACGAUGAAAAUAGACGAACCCUUAAUUCGUCCCUGUUACCAGCUUCUGCGCAUUGAAUGAUGAACCUGUUGACAUGCUCCAUGGUUGACGUGUCGUCUUGCCCGGAAAAUUUGGUAAAGUCUGGUACCUUGUACCGAUGUGGAAGCAGGAUCAAAUCAUAUGCGGGAGGAUACGGUGUCUGAUAGGAGUAAGUGUUGACUUUGGGUUUUAUCCCAAAUUGUUCCCUCAUUACUUCAGCGAUCUUAUCGGCCCAAUAUGCAUCGGCAUCCUGCCGAUGUGGCGGCUGCGGAUCUGGCGCCUGGUGGCGAGCCUCCACGUGUCUGUUUGGGGCAUGAUCUGCACGGAACAUUGGGUUGAUCAUCUGACCUCCAAUCUGCGGACCACCAAACUGCUGUCCACCGAUUUGCUGCCCCCCCGAGUUGCUGUCCGAUAUUCAUUGGCUGAUUGGGGAUCCCCUGACUCUGGAAUCUGGGAUAGAUCUGUCCUUGCUGGAACCCUGUAGCCUGGUAACUCUGUUGGGGCGAUUGUGGAAAGACUUGCCGUCCAAGCCAUCCAUUAUUAGCGUUCAUCGGCAUAGGCGCUGCCGAUGAUUGGUAAUUGGGUACCAUCAUUGAAUUGACAUACCCCGACUGGGCCAUAGACCUCUGUUGCAUCAGCAUUGAAUCUGCCGAUGCAUUAGGCAUCUAGAACAUUGAAUCUUGAGGAUUCCCAGUGUGAGGCCUUGCAGUAGUAGUUGUGGUAUACCGAGGACUCUGGUUCCACGACGCAUUGGGGGGCACCGAUGCUAUAGGAGUCUUGCCCCUCAUGUCAGUUAUCUGUGAUGUACCCGGUGUUAAUUUUGGAGGCAUACCGUAACCCCACCAGUUGGGAGGAAGAGUCAACCCUGACAUUGCCGAUGCCAACAUAUCUGUUGUUAGUUUAUUCUGCCCACUUGAAGUCUGUGGGUUGGUUGUCAUCGGCACAGACAGUGCACCAGUAGCUCCCGAUGUGCUUGGAGGGACGGCAGAUUGUGCACCUGUGGCCGUUAAAGCAGCCGAUGGAGCCGUAACCUCUGGUGCUGUUGGUUGAUGAUGAUUAGGGCCCACAUAAUCUGGAGGGAUUUGUCCUUCCUUGAAAGUUCUUGCUACGGCAUUGAAAACCGUAUUAGAGAGAACACCAGCUUGGUUGAUCAAAGCACGGUUGAUAGCACUGUCAACCAUGUCUUGGAGCUUGCCCGGAUUGGCUUCGAAAGUAACCUGCCGUGGCGUCGGCAGAGCAUCUUUCUGGAUCACUUCGCCACUCCUAUUUAUGCUGAAGGACUUCAAACAUUGCAGCCUGUAUUCCUCCAUAGCCUGGGCAAUAGCCUGCUUCUGCUCAUCCUUGAGAUUGGCCUCCGUCAUGGGGAUGACGUUCUCCUGAUCGAAGUCAGAGAUCGACAUGUUGAUCUUGAUCUUGAAUCUGGUCCCACCGGGCGUGCCAAAAGAUGUGUUGAUGCAAAAAGAUCUGCAAACACAAAGGGCUAAUACCCGAUUCAAACGUUAAGGCGUGCCAGCCGAUUUGACCUUACUAUCGGCAAAGGUGGUAACUCGAAUACUUUAGUCCUGACAACAGCGAUGCGCCCGGAUGUCACGGCUAAGAGGUACUCACGCGGAACUCGAGAAUACGCCGAGCUUAAGUCGACGAAUUCCUAAGAACUCGUAGUAAAAAAGAAAAAGUAUGACGAAGUCAUCAAAAAGUAGAUGCUGGAAUAUAUGAGUAAAACGUGUGUUCGAUUGAUUGAUAGAUGUCUCAUUACAAGGCCCUAGGGUUCAUAUUUAUACCCUGCUAAAAGAGCUACAACUAAACACGACUAGAACUCGAAUUCUAAAUUACACGGAAUCCGUAUACAAAACGACUUAAAUAAACAAGGAAAUAACAAAGCUAUCCCCCGUGACAAGCUGAAAUCCUUCCAUAAACCGAUCAGCAGUUUCCGGACUCCCCCUCCGUAUCAUCGGCAGACUCUUUGCCAUGGUCAUCGGCAGACUCCCCCAUUAUAACCAUCGGCAUAAACACAUCACUGCCUGCAGACCUAGUCAUGUCCAACCUCUCCUUCAUCGGCAACCAUCUUCAUCGGCAAUUCAUCCUGUAAACAGCACACUGCCACCUUAUCCUGCCAUCCUGGACGCGUGUCUAAAAACGGUGUCAACACGAUUCUACCACUCAUAAUCGGCAUAGAUAGCAUAUAUCGGACCACAUCAUCUUUGCAUACAACAGUGCAUUCGGUCGAUAACAAAUCGUUCCUCAAUUUAGUGCAAGAAAAAUAUAGGCAUAAACAUAAUUUUUCAAUGGCCGAAUACCUAGUCUCAGCAUCAAUCAAUCUUCUACUUAAAUAGUAAAUCACACGCUCCUUCCCUUCAAAUUCCUGAAUCAAAGCCGAACCGAUAAACAUCCCAUUGGUAGACAAAUAUAAUCUGAAGGGCUUUCCUUGUUGAGGCGGAAUCAAAACUGGAGGAUUUGUCAAAUAACUCUUGAUUACAUCUAAGGCCAACUGUUGCUCUUCUCCCCAUAUAAAUUCUUGAUCAGCUUUUAAUUUAAGCAAAGGCCUAAAAGCACGAAUUUUAUCAGAUAAAUUGGAAAUAAACCGCCUGAUAAAAUUUAUUGGAGCUCAGUCUUGUUGGUAGGAGCAACUAUUUUAUUAAUAGCAUCGAUAGAUCUCCUGCUAAUUUUAAUUCCCCUUUGAUGCACCAGGAAACCAAGAAACUGCCCUGCCGAUACACCAAAUGCACACUUGUUAGGGUUCAUCUUUAAACCAUGUUUCCUUGUGCACUCCAACACUUUUCGUAGAUCGGCAAGAUGCUUUGUGAAAUCCCCAGACUUAACCACCACAUCAUCAAUGUAAAUUUCUACCAACUUGCCGAUGAAUUCAUGGAAGAUAAAAUUCAUAGCCCUUUGAUAGGUAGCACCAGCAUUUUUCAAACCAAAAGUCAUGACUAUCCACUCAAAUAGCCCAACAUGACCAGGACAUCUAAAUGCAGUCUUUGGAAUAUCUUCUUCGGCCAUGAAUAUUUGAUUAUAUCCUGCAUUGCCAUCCAUAAAGCUUAUGAUCCGAUGCCCAGCCACAGCAUCAACUAGUAAGUCGGCAACUGGCAUCGGGUAACCAUCCAUCGGCGUAGCUUUGUUAUGAUUCCUAAAAUCAAUGUAGACUCGAAGCUUCCCAUUUUUCUUGUAAACUGGGACAAUAUUGGAAAUCCAUUCGGCAUACCGACACUACCGAAUAAACUUAGCUUCAAUAAGUUUAGUUAUUUCGGCCUUAAUAUCAGGUAGAAUAUUAGGAUUACAUCAGCGAGCUGGUUGCUGAUGUGGCCGAAAUCCAGACUUGAUUGGUAACCGAUGUUCAACAAUCGAUCGGUCUAAACCAGGCAUCUCAGUAUAAUACCAAGCAAAGCAAUCUUUGUAUUUCUUUAACAAAUCGGUUAAUUGUUGCUUACACUUAGAAUUUAACUUAGCACUAAUAAAGGUAGGCCUUGGCUUAUCACCACUACCUAUAUUUACCUCUACUAAAUCAUCAGCCGAUGUAAACCCCUGACCUAACUUUCCAUCAUCGGCGAACCUAUCCAUUAGAACUCCUCAUCAGAACCGACUGCUUGGAUCGGUGGAAUUUCAUAAUCGGCAACCUUAAGGAAAUCCUUCUCCCAAGCUUCUCCUGAGAUGCACCUGGUCCGCUCAUAGGUAUCUGCCUCUGCCGAUGCGAUAACUUAAGAAGAAUCUCCCAGGACAAUCUCAAUCUUGUCACCUACCCACUGAACCAAUCAUUGAUGCAUUGUUGAUGGGAUGCAACAAUUGGCAUGGAUCCAAUCUCUCCCUAUCAGCAAAUUAUAAGCGCCCUUUCCAUUGAUCACGAAGAAAGUUGUUGGCAAAGUCUUGCUGCUGAUGGUCAACUCGACGCAUAUUGCCCCCUUAACUGGAGACACAUUUCCUUCAAAGUCUUUUAGCAUCAUAUCGAUCUUGGUUAAAUCCUAAUCUCCCUUCCCAAGCUUUCGAUAGACUGUAUACGGCAUAAUAUUGAUAGCAGCCCCACCGUCGACUAAUAUCUUGGUCAUCGGCUGCCCAUCAACUCGUUCUUUGACGAAUAGAGCCUUAAGAUGCUACCUUUCAUUGUCGGCAGGCAUUUCAAAGAUAGCCGUCAUUGGAUCCAAAGCCAACUGAGCUAUCUAGUCAGAAAAAUCCAGCUCCUCAUCAUCACUGGACGGCGCAAGGAACUCUAUCGGCAACAUAAAUACCAUGUUGACAUCUGCCGAUGGCCCUUUUCCUUUUGGAUCCGGCUGCUGCUGAUCUUCAGACUUGCCAAAAUUCUCUCCCCUGUUCAAGUAUUCUCGUCUUUCACGCUGCAGCCUCCUUUUCUGUGUUCUAGUCAAUCCCUCUAGACACCACGGAGGAAGUUGUGGUUGUCUUGCUGAUGGGCGACGAGUUUCUCCUAACUCCACUCGAUAGGUGUUAGCAUCCCUGCAAAAUAUGAAUUCAUCGGGAACCCGUGCAUUGGCCAUCUCUUCAAGCUCCUCUUGGUUUCUGGGAAAAUAUCCAACACGGUCACCAAGUCUAUCAUGCACACUGAGUCUGCCCCCAAGCCGAUCAUGAACUAACACUCUCCCCCUAAUCGGCCCGUUGAAUCGUCGAUCAUCAUUCUGAUACUGCCGAUUAGGUCUAUCAUACCGAUCAUAACAAUUGGAUUCAGGGCAAUCCCUAACAGUGGGAAAUUUAAUGUUUUGCUCCCAACAAUGAAUAAAGAAUGGGUAGUUCCAGUGAUCUUUAUGUCGAUUCUAUUCUUGUCGGCGUCUCUCUUCUUCCCAACGAUAAUCCUCCUGUUGGCGCCAAUACCGAUCUUCUCGUUGCUGCCAAGUCUCCCGAUGCCUUCUAUGAGUUAUUACAAUGCCAGAUCGGGGAGGCCUUCCUAAGCUAGUUCCUUCCUGGAUCAAACCCUUUCCUUUAGCAUCGGCGGCAGUAAUCUGAUGUUGAGGAUCCACCGACGCACUUUUCUCAGCGGCUUCUGACGUCAAAACCUUGGUUUUUCCCUUAGCAUCCAACAUAUUUGUUGGGAAAGGAUGUUGAUCGAUCUUCAUUGGUUUCUGAGCUUUAGAAUUAUCAAACUUGAUCCUCCUAGAUUCUAUAGCCGACUGCAGCUGUUGCCUGAAAACUUUGCACUCAUUUGUACUGUGGGAUGUUGCAUUGUGCCACUUGUAGUAUUUCAUCUUCUUCAACUUUUCAGCCGAUGGAAUCACAUGAUUGGGUGACAACUUAAUCUGCCCUUCCUGAAGUAGAAAGUCAAAUAUCCUAUCGGCUUUGGUGAUAUCAUAUGCAAACUUUUCUAGCUCUUUAUGCCCAAAAGGGCAAGACAUCGGCUUCUUAUUUUUCACCCACUCUGCCAAGCCGAUGACUGGCUCCUCAUCAGAAUCUGAGCUUGCUGCCUCAUCAACAAAUGACAACUUUUUGUUCCAUGCUCUCUUGGGCUCAAAGGGUUUGAUAUCCUGAUCAGAAAUCCUCUGCACCAAGUGACUUAGGCUCUCGAACUCUUGAGAAGCAUACUUAUCUCUGAUAUGUGGCAACAAACCCUGGAAAGCCAAAUCAGCUAGCUGCCGAUCGUCUAGAACCAGACUAUAGCACUUAUUCUUGACUUCUCACAACCUCUUCACAAAGCUUUCCACCGAUUCAUCAUUGCGUUGCUUCAAUCUGACUAAAUCGGUAAUCUUCUUCUCAUGGACUCCAGAAAAGAAGUAUUUGUGGAAUUGCUUUUCUAGAUCGGCCCAAGUAAUCACUGAGUUGGGAGGUAACGAUAUGAACCAAGUAAAAGCCGAUCCAGACAAAGAUGACGAGAACAAACGAACCCUUAACUCGUCUCUAUUGGCAGCCUCCCCACAUUGGAUGAUGAACCUGUUGACAUGCUCCAUGGUCGAUGUGUCAUCCUGUCCAGAAAACUUGGUAAAAUCGGGUACCCUGUACCGAUUUGGAAGUGGAAUCAGGUCAUAUGCGGGAGGAUACGGUGUCCGAUAAGAGUAGGUAUUGACUUUGGGUUUUGUCCCAAAUUGGUCUCGCAUUACUUCAGCUAUCUUAUCGGCCCAAUAAGCAUCGGCGUCUUGCCGAUGAGGCGGUUGUGGAUCUGGCACCUACUUAUAUGCUUCCACGUGUCUCUGAGGUGCACGAUCCACAUGGAACAUUGGGUUAACCAUCUGACCACCAAUCUGCUGACCAAGAUUCAUCGGCUGGUUGAUCAACCCUUGAUUCUGAAACCCAGGUUAUAUUUGUCCUUGUUGAAACCCUAUGGCCUGAUGAUUCUGCUGAGGCAUCUGUGGAAAGACCAGCUGCCCUGUCCAUCCACUGUUAGCAUUCAUCGGCAUAGGCUCUGCCGGUGACUGGUAAUUGGGCAUCAUCAUUGAAUUAACAUACCCUGGCUGUGUCAUAAACCUCUGCUGCGUCGGCAUUAGAUCUGCCGAUGCAUUAGGCAUCUGAAAUGUUGGAGCUUGAGAAUUCCCAGUAUAGGGCCUUGCAGUAGUAGUUGUAGUGUACUAGGGACUCUGAUUCAUCGGCAGAUUUGGAGGUGCCGAUGCCAUAGGAGCCUUGCCCGUUACGUCAGCCACUUGAGAUGUUCCAGGAGUCUUUGCCAUCAUCUCUAGAGGCAUACCAUAACCCCACCAAUUAGGAGGAACAGAUCCCGACAUUGCCGAUGCCAAUAGAUCUGUGGCACGCUUGAUUUGCUCGUCUGAUGCUGACGGACUGGUCGUCAUCGGCGUAGAUUGCGCAUUAGUGAGCCCUAAUGUGCUUGGAGGGGAAGUAGCUUCUGUACCCGCAACGGCUGUAGUAGCCUAUGGAGCUGUGACCAAUGAUGACCCUGGCUGAUGAUAGGCAGGACCAACAUAAUUUGGUGGCAAUUGCCCUUCCUUGAAAGUUCUGGCUACCGCAUUGAAAACCGUGUUGGACAGCACACCAGCUUGAUUGAUCACGGCACGAUUAAUAGCACUAUGAACCAUGUCUUGAAGUUUACCAAGAUUGGCUUCAAAACUAAUCUGCCGAGGUGCCGGCAAUGCUUCCUUUUGGAUCACCUCACCGCUCCUGUUAAUAAUGAAGGAUUUCAGGCAUUGCUGCUUGUAUUCCUCUAUGGCUUUUGCCAUGGCUUCCUUCUGCUCAUCUCUAAGAUUGGCUUCUGUCACGGGAAUAACGUUCUCCAAGUUGAAAUCGGUGUUCGACAUGUUGAUCUUGAUCUUGAAUCGGUCCCACUGGGCAUGCCAAAAGAUGUGUUGGUGCAAAAGUUGAUCUGCAAACACAAAGGGCUAAUACCCGAUUCAAACGUUAAGGCGUGCCAGCCGAUUUGACCAUACAAUCGACAAAGGUGGUAACUCGACCACUUUGGGCCCGACAACAGCGAUGCGCCCGGAUGUCACGGCUAAGAGGUGAUCACGCGGAACUUGAGAAUGCGCCGAGUUUGACUCGACGAAUUCCUAAGAACUCGUAGUAAAAAGAAAAAUAUGACGAAGUCGUCGAAAAAGUAGAUGCUGGAAUAUGAGUAAAAACUUAUGUUUGAUUGAUUGAUAGAUCUCUUCAUUACAAGGCCCUAGGGUCUACAUUUAUACCUUGCUCAAAGAGCUACAAUCAGACACGACUAGGACUCAAAUUCCAAAUUAAACGGAACCCGUAUACAAAACGAAUUCUAAUGACUAAGGAAAACAUUAAACUACCCCCUCGUAACCGAUCGGGACACUGCCACGGAUCAAUCGGCAACUUCCACGCUUUUCUUCAGAAUCAUCGGCAAACCACCUGUUACAGCCAUUGGCAAACAUCGGCUCUGGUCAUCGACAUGAACACAUCAUCAACCCUGGACUUAAUCAUAUUCAAUUGUUCCCCUAUCGGCACCAUCCCUCCAUCGGCAACUUCCCUGUAGACUAGUUACCGUUGCUUCAUCUGUCGAUCUAUACUUUACUAACCCCAGGUUCGCGUCCAAAGAUACGUGUCCAAAAAUGGUGUCAACAAAACAUAUUGAAUCUUGUGCAGUUUUAUCUCUUACCAUCUAAAGUAGCAGUUAAUUGGAGGCCAACAUGAUAGCACAUUCAGUUUGUGUUUCGCUUAGCUAAUCUCUGUAUGGCAACCAAGAUAUGCUUUGAUCAUAUAUCUCCUAAAUCAAUCGGACCGUUUCAAUAUUAACAUAAAUAAAGUGUCCCAGGCCUUCCCCCACCUCUGUAACUUGACUAGUGCCAAGCUGUACUGCUAAUCUGCUAAUAUAUUAGUUGAAUUCCUAAAUCCUCAUGUAUGAGGCAUUAGCUGCUGAAUUAUAUAGCCCCCCUGGAAUUAGCGGCAUUAUUGUGAGUUCUGCCUCUUAAUGCUGUUUUGUUCUAGGUCAGACCAUUUUAGGUAAUUUACUUAUUCUAUAGGGUGCUAGAAGACUGAAUGCCUAUUGAGGUCAGAUCAUUUUAGGUAAUUUACUUACUCUUCUUUAGUCUCUAGUCUCUACCCUCAAAUCGAUAGUGCCAACACUUACUACAACUCAUGCAAAUGCAGACAACAAUUGUGAAGCUAGUAAACAAUUUUCUGCAACCAUCUUUUUGUUUCACUUGAUGUAGUUGUCAUUGCUACCUGUCGUGUCUUCAUGUUUCAUUUCUUACUGUAACCGGGCUCAUUGGUUGGUUCCAUUUAUCUUGUUUUAAUUGUAGAGAGGGACCAGAGAUAUGUGCAGAAGCUGUUGCAUUGCCAACACAAGCCUGUUAGGAAACAGUAGUUACUUGACUCCUACUUAUCAUCUUUUAUUUGUAUGGUAGCUUAGUUAAAUUGAUAAACAGAGCUCUAUAAUACAUUUGCAACAAUAGUGUUUUAGAUGGCAGCUUACUUACACAUGACUAGUUGUGAACUUAAUUAACUGAUUUAGUCUAGAGUGUUGUUAAAACAAUGCAUGAUGUUGGUGUAGUGAGAUCAUAUAUGCAUAGAUUAUUGUAACUAUUGUUUGAUUUCUUCCAGCUUACAUAUGAAAAGUUCCUUUUUGACUUUUUAAUUUGUUUCAACAAGUGAUGUUUGUUUCUAAUGUGUUUUCUACAGGAUAUGGAGAAAUUUCAGCAAGCUAAGCUAUUCACUCAAGCUCCUGACACCAAAAGUCACCUAGUUGCCAGCACCUGUUGAACUAUUAGUUUGGUGACUAAGGUCACUUGUGAGAUAGAGAUGUGAGAUUUCCAUUUGUUUAAAUUAUCUGAGAUAACUUUGUGACUAAGUUCACUUAUUGAACUAUAGUUUGGUGUUCGUGAUGAAUGUAAUAAAUAUAUUGAUGAAUGACUUGUGAACCUGUUGGUUUGGUCAUGAAUGGAAUAUAUUGUUGGACAUACAUUUGUUAAUGUGCAUUGUUUGAUGUGUGGGUGGGGUACGUGAUGGCAUGGAUCGAGCUAAAUCAACGAGUCAUCCUACGUGACAAGGCCUAAGAACCUACGACAUAAAAGUAGAAGUCAUAAACGCUUGUGACAUCUGAAACUAGUGUCAUGGUAUUAUUACAUGAACGCUUAAACGUCACAAGUUAUCAUUAAAGACGUGCAUCUUUUGACAAUUCAAUUUUUGUCAACUUGGUGUCAUAAAUGGUAAUCUAUGACUUAUUUUGCAUGAAUUAUGACAUAUAUCAAAUAUCAAAAGAUGACACAUUUGUUGUAGUGACCCCAAAUGCACGCUCAAUAGCCUUUCUACGUGCCUCUUGACGCACAACAAAGUGAGGUUGCUUGUUACUUUGAGGUUUUGAAAUUGUCUUCACAAAUAUAGCCCAUGAAGGAUAUAUGCAUCAGUAAGAUAAUCUCCCAUUGUGUAGUGGUGACCAUUGACAUCAAAGUCCACGGGAGGUGCUUUCCCAACAGCUAGCCUAGCAAACAAAGGAGAUCUUUGUGAGAUCCCAAAGUACGCAUGCCAAUUCCAUUGGUCUUCUAAUGCAACGGCUUCAAGAAUUACUGUUGGAUCAUGACAAUGUCCGUUGAAUUGCCCGUGCCAUGCGACAAGACAAUUCUUCCACUUCUAGUGCAUGCAUUCGAUGCAUCCUAGCAUACCUAGGAAGCCAUUUGAUGGACCAAUCUCCAUAAGUCUUGCAAUAUCCUUUGCAUUUGGUGCUCGCAAAUAUUUCUCUCCGAAGAUCUCUACCACAGACUAGACAAACUUCUUCAAGCUCUUAAUUACAGUGCUCUUAUCAAUAUGAAUCCAAUCAUCGAGGGAAUCAGCCGGACAACCAUAUGCUAGCAAUACUAAUCAGUGCUUCAAUAUGACUUCAAAAGUCCUAUGUAUUUUUCAUCAAUGCUUAACCUCUAUUUUUUCAACAAAUUAGUAUAGCUGCUAAUAACAAAAUUUAACAUAUCAGAACAUAAAACAAGGCCAGUCAUUUUAGAGAUCCUUUUUAUCAUUUAUUUAUUGAAACUUUCCUUAUUAUUUCAAGGAAUACUGUCGGUGUUUUCCCCUGGGGGGUAGCAUCAACGAGUGAAUUUCUGUGUAUGCUCCCUCUUCCGGAUGGUGAUGCAAGAAGAACACAACGAUUUAUCCUGGUUAGGGCAAAAGAAGGCCCUACGUCCAGCGGGGGGAGAGGAGUUUGUAUUAUCUCGCACCGAAGCACUUGUACAAGGGUAAAUACAAGUAUGAAAGGGUGUGAGGUUCUAAGUCCUCAGGACCUAGCAGUGCGUGGCUAGGGUGUUGGCAGUGUUGCGCGUGUGAGCAUGGGUUUCUAUGUGAAGUGCCUGCCCUGUUCCAAGCCCUGGCGUCCCAUUUUAGAGGCCAAGGGGAGGCUCAGGGUUACAUGGUGCAAGAGCUAGUGUAGGUUACAAUAGGGGUGAGGACACGAGUCAACCCGAGGCCUCCGUACCAGUGUGGCUCGACGGGUCUUGUUGCAGUGUACUUGGUGAUGAUGGCACGUGCGUUCUCUUGCGUGAGUUCCUGUAUAACACUUGGCCAUAGUCAUGUACUUAUAUGCACGUGCACAUAGACUCUUAGGUGUCGCAUCAGGAGUGGUUGGAGCGUAGACUGGUCUGGAGGGGUCUUUCCUAGAAUAGCAUCCGAUGGUCUCGAGGAUCGAGUAAACUGGGCAUGCUCCAUACAGGGAAGCGUUGACAAUUAUGCCUCGAGGGAUUGCUCGUCGGGAUGUUACACCGGGCGUGACAGAAAUGCCUUGUACCUUUUCCCAACUUCCACGACAAAGCCGAUAAAAAGCGGGACAUGAUGGGGGUACGACCCAUCAUCACUGCUGUGGCUGCCAUGGUGUUAGGUGAGAGCCUGUCAGGCAUAUUAAAUGCCCUAGAUCCCGUACUGGUGGGAGGUAGUCAGAAUGUGUCCCGCGCUCGAGAUAGUGUAACUCGCUCGACCAAGAUCCCUUAAUCGAGAGGUAUACAGAAUCGAGGGUCAGACGUCUGCUCGAGCUAUUUUCCAUCAUCGAGACAUAUGCAUCAAGUGGCGCAUUGGUUGUGUCUGCUGUAUCUCGAGUGGAGGGUACAACAAGUAUAUACCCAUCUAGGAGCUCGAUGUCUGUUCCUAGGCCGACCCAUGAUGGUUUGGACGUUGGGGUUUUCUCACCUGUCAUAGCGGGUGGGGAUUUUAUUUCCUUUGGUAUAUAAUAUGGGUACCCCUUAUUGAUAUCCUCGAAAGUAGCCCCUAAGCCCCUAUUUGAGCACUGGUGCUUGAGCAGGGGGUCAUGGUCGCGAAUCAGAGUUAUGGGUAUCGAGUUUCCGUGGGGGAUGUGCAAGCGUCCCCCGCGGGGGUAGCCCCUGAGGACUCAGAGGAGUCGGUAGACUCCAUUGAGGGCUGUGUUUAUUUUUCCUAGGGAUGCUUCUCAGUUCUGGGACUUAUUUGUGAUUCUAGGUAGUUUAGACAACAUGAACUGGGGUCAUCACACCUUACCUAACAGGUCCCUUGGGACAUCGAGCCUUGACAUUUUUGACCCUCUCUCGUCGAGGGCCAUCAGACCUUGUGGAGCCCCUGAGCCUCAUAUGUCCAGGGUCUUACCGAUUCCGAUGUUCAUCUCAUGAGUCCUUUCAAUCGGAUGUGAGGCAAGAAACGUGGUGCUACCCUCAAUUGGGCGAGCCUCGACGUUCUCAUUGAGCUGGUAGCGGGGAAUCCAAGUGAGAACCUGAUGAGGACAUCGCCAAUAUGGAGUCCAGGACGACUCCAAUUCAAGAACGGGAGGACGAUGAGGACAUCACCACGCUGGACACGUCAACACCAUCAUUUCUUUCUCAAGUUGCAAUUCAUCCCGAACUCGGCGACCACGUCACUCUUGGAUUCAGCAGACACAUCGUCAGUGUUUCGAUCAUAACUUCUUCAUACGACAUUGAAACAGGGUGAUCUUGGACUUGUUGGAAAGGGGACAACAACGCCGUCGUUUUGGAUCUAGUCCUAGAUCCAGAUCUUUCAUGGAUUAAUCUGUAUGACUAUGACAAUGUGCUACGCCACCUAUUUUGGGCCAACUUGGCCAUGUAUUGAGUCGGGCCUUUAAGCCCAACUAGUGGGUGCCUCCCCCCAGGUCGCCUCCAACCCUAGGUCGUCUCUCUUUUAUAUUCCAUGCAGCCACCGUUGUUUAGACUUAGGUUUUGUUUAGAGUUUAGUUUUCCAUCGAGAAACUGAAUUAUUCAUUGUAACUAUCGUGACAAAUCCUUUUACAGUGAUCUAGGGUCCCCGUUCUUAAUCUCCUCCACUGUGUUGAUUAGUCCUUUGGAACCGAGUUCUUGAACCCUUUUUGAAUAUUUGCUUCAUUCAUAUUUGCAAUUUCAGAUUGCGUGUUUUUAUCUUCUUGCUUGUGUUCUUGAAUUUGCUUGCAGGAACAACCUUCUUGGCGAGGUCAAUCAAGUUGUGCUUGGUUGAUAACCAAUGGAGCAGUGGUGUAAUGGUUGCAGGGUUCGAAUCAUGCUAAUUUGAAGCCGGAUCACCAACGUCGAGUUCUCCAUAAAUCAAAUUUACCAAUUACCUAUCGGAAGAUCAGGCUUGAACCUCAUCAAUUGGUACAAGAUAUCUCAGGUUUACCGCGAGGUAUAAUCUCAUUUGCCCUAUAUUCAUAUUUGUUCAUUACCUACAGUCCACAAAAAGCCCCAAAAAAUAGUUCAAUUUCCGUUGUCCUAUCACCCGUUGUGCCUUGCAAUUUCUCUUUUAGUUUUGCUUUGUUGAGUUUGUGUCCGUGGUUGAGUCUAGUUGCUGGUUUCGAUUGUGUUUGUUGUCAUAGUUCAAUUGCACCGUUGCUGUUCUUUAUUUCCGCCGCUCUCCCAUCCACCAUUCCUAAACAACAAGUCGAAGCCACCAUAUUACUCGACUUGUCCUCGCUAGCCGCCUUGUAUGAACUCUCCCCGCCACUCUAACCCUAGAUACUAGGUUGCCAACCGCUGUUAUUUUACCUGCAUUGCAGCCCUCUUUACAUCAUCAGUCGAAUACCUAAUACUGUUAGUCACAUGGACGAUUCAUCCUAUGAUCGGUGUUGGAGUUUAGGGACGCUUUUCCCUAACUGCCACUGCUGCUGCCACCGUGUUGUGCCUUCCGAAAAACAUAACUUGAGAUAUCUUCGGUAAAAGAGGCAUAACUUUUUGCUCGUUUAUCAAAAAAAUCUGAAAUUUUUACAGCAGCUUCUUGACACAUUUGGACCAGACCCAAACUUGGCUUCACCCUGUUUGGUUUCAUCAAAAUUACCAAAAUAAUCAGGAAAAUAAACAAAAAAAAUUGACAAGGGUUUUGCACGUUUUUCAGAGAACUUGCUGAAUUUCUAUAGACCACAUCUUACCUCAGUUGUAGUUGGCAAUUUUUGUAGUAACAUCUUUUGUGAUCCUUGUUUAGAGGAAAAUAUAAAAAAAUAGUGAAAAAAAUAAAAAAUCUUGAUUCCUACUAGUGCCUUUUGGGAAAAUCUGGGAAAAAUCAGGAUAAAGAAAAAAUCUGCCCUAUUGCUUGUUCGCUAAGUUCUUUCCAUCAUAAUUUGUUUCACCUUGUUGCACUACAUCUAGACACGUCUUAGCCAUCAAUUGUGAUUUAUCCUUUGGAUACUUAUUGAACUUAGCUAACUCUACAUUCGAAUAUUGCUAAUCCUUGCUACUUAUAUUGUGACUAUCCAAAGCUCCACAUAUACUUCUGUUAGCACAGGUUCCUCUUGCAAAUGUUUACCCAUGCUCAACAAUAGAUUGCUUUGUCGAUUUGGUUUUGCUCCUGUUUGGCUUUGGUAAGAACACUUGUAGGACGGUGGUAAGCUGCUUCUAAUUUUAUAUUCCACUUUCAACACCACCACCACUUGGUUCCUUUUAGUUGAUAGGGAUAAUACUUUGCUGUUGUUUUUCCCUAUUUUCUAACCAUGGUAGGAUCUCCAAUGGAUUUCAAUGAUUAUGUGUCCAAGGGUGAACUUACAACGUUCAUCACUAAACAACGCAAUCUUAUGAACGAGCUGACGCGCAAUGUGAACAAUCUGGUCACCCGUAUUGAACAGAUUGAGCAAUGCCCUCAAUCUCAUCGUGGUGAUGAUGAAGAUACUGAUGCAGAUGGAGAUCUAUCUGAUCAUGAAGAUGCGGAUGAUGACGGUGAUGCAUGCAACCGUCGCCGCUACAACUUCAAUCGUCGCGGUAUGGGAGGUAAUAAUCAUGGUAAUAAUGAUCCUUUUGCUAAAAUUAAAUUUAGCCUACCUCCUUUUGCUGGUAAUGUUGACCCUAAAGCAUACUUAGACUGGAAACUUGCUGCUCAAUAAAAAUUUGAUUCUCAUAAUGUUCCUGCUGAGCAUAGAGUUAGACUUGCUACUAGUGAGUUUACUCAUUUUGCUUUAUUUCGGUGGAGUGAUCUUUGCAAUGCUAAUAAUGCUGCUACUAUGCCUCAGAUUUGGAAUGCUUUAAAACAACAUAUAAUCUCGUUUUGUUCCUCUUUAUUAUCAACAUGAUUUACGUCUGAAACUGCAAACUUUAAAACAAGGAGAUAAAGGCGUAGAAGUAUACUAUCAAGAAUUGCUUAUUGGUUUAGCACGUUGUGGUGUAAAUGAAGAUGAUGCUGAUUCUAGUGCUAGAUUCUUUGGUAGUUUAAAUCAUGAUAUCCAAAACAUUCUUGAUUACAAAGAAUGGUGUAAUUUUUCCCAAUUGUAUCAUCUUGCUAUUAAGGCAGAACGUGAAGUACAGAGACGCAAGAAACACCAGUCUUUCAGGUCUAACAAUGGGAGGAAUUUUUAGCAGCCUUCCGAGCCGGAGACGCCUAAGAUUUCUAUUGCACCACAACCAUCUACACCUGCAUUUUCUUCUAGGGUAAGUAAAUAGACUAAUGUGCAGCCCCCACAGCUGAAGAAAGGUGCCACUCUGGGUGCUUCCACUAGCUCCUCCUCGCCCAGCACUAAAAUCAUUUGUCACCGACACAAAGGCAUGGGACAUGUCAUGAAGGACUGCCCUAGUCAUUGAGCUUUCAUUGCUACCGAGGAUGGAUAUGUAAGUGCUAGUGAUGUUGAAGAUGAUUUAGCCCUUGCUGCUAACAUUGCUGUAGAUUCCACUAAGGGCGAUCAAGACACAGAGACCAUCGCCAUUGACUCCAUGGCUACCUUUGUGGGCUAUCCUACCUUCUUGUGCAGCGUGUGUUGAGUUCACAUGUGGGAUAUGAAGAAGAGAUGCAGAUCCAGCGCCACAAUUUGUUCCACAUGUAUCUCAUUACGCAGGGUUGUCGUGUUCUCACCAUUAUUGAUAGCGGGAGUUGCAAAAACUUGGUGAGUUCAGAUUUGGUUGAGAAGCUUGGCUUGACCACACGACAACAUUCGUAUCCAUACAAACUUCAAUGUUUAAAUAAUAGUGGUAAGACUAAGGUAACUAAAUCAGCCCGAAUUAGCUUUUUCACAGGCAUUUAUCAUGAUACUGCUGAUUUUGAUGUUGUACCUAUGUAAGCUUGUUCAAUUUUAUUAGGACAUCCAUGAGAAUUUAAUAAUGAUGCUUUACACCAUGGUAGAACUAAUACAUACACUCUCAUGCAUAAAGACAAGAACAUUACGUUGUUGCCUUUGUCACCUAUGGACGUUGUUAAACAUGCUAAAGAGAUUAACAAUAAACCUCCAAUAGUCAUUGAUAAAUAUAAUGGGAUUAAGUUACAAGGAGGUGAUCUACUUGCUACAACUUCUGCUACUGCUAAGCUAUGUGAUAAUCUAGAUGCACCAUGUUAUACUAUGUUUUGUCAACCUAUUAUGUCUAGUGCAUUGCCUGCUGUCACUAACUGUUUGCAUGAGUUUGUUGAUGGGGAAGAGUCGAGGAUGACUCCGAUUCUAGAAGGAGGGGAUGUUGAGGACAUAACCAAGAUGGAGUCAAGGACGACUCCAAUUCAAGAAGGGGAGGAUGAUGAGGACAUCGCCAUGCUGGACACGUCGACACCAUCAUCUUUCUCAAGAUGCAAUUCAUCUCCAACUUGGCGACCACGUCACUCUUGGAUUCAGCAGACAUGUCAUCAGUGUUUUGAUCAUAACUUCUUCAUACGACAUCAAAACGGGGUACAUCUUGGACUUGUUGGAAAGGGGACAAUGACACCGUCAUUUUGGAUCUGGUCCCAGCUCCAGAUCAUUCAUGGACUAAUCUGUAUGACCACGAUAAAGUGUUGUGUCACCUAUUUUGGGCCAACUUGGCCAUGUAUCGAGUCGGGCCUUUAAGCCCAAGUUGUGGGUGCCUCCCCUAGGUCACCUCCAACCUUAGGUUGUCUCUCUUUUAUAUUCCACAUAGCCACCUUUGUUUAUACUUGCAUUUUGUUUAGAGUUUAGUUUUCCAUCGAGAAAUUGAAUCAUUCAUUUUAACUAUGGUGACAAAUCCUUUUACAGUGAUCCAAGACCCCCGUUCUUGAUCUCCUCCACUUUAUCGAUUAGGCCUUUGGAACCAAGUUCUUGAACCCUCUUUGAAUAUUUACUUCAUUCAUAUUUGUAAUUUUAGAUUGCGCGUUUUUAUCUUCUUGCUUGUGUUUUUCAAUUUGCUUGCAGGAACAGCCUUCCUAGCGAGGUCAAUCAAGUUGUGCUAGGUUGAUAACCAACGGAGUAGUGGUGUAACGGUUGUAGGGGUUCGAAUCGUGCUGAUUUGAAGAUGGAUUGCCAACAUCGUGUUCUCCACAAAUCGAAUUUACUAAUUACCUCUUGGAAGAUCAGGCCUGAACCUCAUCAGAAUCCAUGCCCCGUUCGAUGGGGGUUGGCUACUAGCCCUAAGGCAAUCCCAUUGAUGCUAGACUCAUAGAUGCAUGGAUGCUAGUCCCAUUCGAUAGGGUCUGGUGGCUCAUCGUCUCCCUCCAUGGGGAUUCCUUGUCUUACCGCUUGUCCCAGCCUUAGAUACUCCCAUUGGGGUCUCGAUGAUUCAAUCUCGAGUCAUGCCUCAUGUCAGCCCCCCUCUAGGUGUUCCUGACUCAAGUACUCAAGGGUGUGUGUCAAACCCUAACUGAGGGUCAGUCCUAGAUCCCUCGAGAUUCUGGAGCGGGCCGGGGCCUGCCCUGCCUUCUUACGGAAGGAAGCGUAGCAGCGUUCAGCCUUCCUGCCUGUUGGGCACGCCUUUUUAGAUUGGAACCAUUGUGGCAUGAUCUUCUUCAAGUAGAAACGGCAAGAUUCUUGUCGUGGGAAUCUAGGAACGGUUAGUCAGCGUAAUUAAUGCUGGGAUUUACCUUCCUUUGAUGUCAGAUUUGCCUGUUGCGUCCGGUCUCUAUAAAUUAGUGGGGUCGGACUUGCUACCUCCGCUGCCACCUUUUCGCCAUCACCUUCUUGCCUUUUCCCUCCUGUCUUUCCACACCUAAGAGAGAGAAAGGGAAAGAGGAUGAGAAAAGUGCUAGGGACCUCCCCUAGUCAUUCCACCAUCGACCUAUGCCACCAUGACGGUGACCCUAGUGCCCGCCAACGAGUGGCGCCCAUCGACCGUGACUAUGGAGCACCAACCUCGACUGUGGCCCCUCCUCGACGUUGUGAAGCAGCUUUGCCAGGAGGGUCUGACAGUGGCCAUCAUCCUCUCGGCUAUUCAUCAUUUGUGGGUGCUCCCAUUGAUGGACCAUCUACUGAGGAUGGACGAGAUGGGAGCACGCAUCACGCCUGAGGAUCUCGAGGCAUGCCGCAUGUCGAGGGAGGCAUUGCCCGGUGUGGAGAUCGUGACAAGGGUUAGGGCCAUUAUCGCUAAUGCUUUCCGAGUCGAGAGCGUCAAAUACAUCCCAAUGAUGCCUGACGAGGGCUAUCUUGACCUAGUGAGUGCCUCGAGCUGCACUACUUUGUUUGCCGUUUUCCUCAUGUGUGGAUGUUUCCACAUAGGGGAAAAUCGACUUUAGUUCAUCGAGGCCCCCAGUGAAAGAAGAUAAGGCAGAAUGUGAGGUAAGACGUCUCUUUGACUAGAAACAUAAGAGAGAGCUAGACACGAAGAAGAAGAAGAAGAAGAAGAAAAAGAAGAAAAACAUCAUUCAGCAGGAGCUCGAGCUGCGUCGCGCAAAGUAGAGGCACGAGGGGAAACUCGAAGAAGAAUCCCCUAAUGAUGACGAAGAUGAGGGUGAUGCUGGCGAUGAUGGCGAGGACGUCGAGGCGAUGGCAGCACACCUCGAGCAUCUCCUUCAACCUCCACCUCGGGCUAACAUGUCAUCCAUGCAAGGAGACGUCCCCGUGGAACUGUGGGAAGAGAGGCAAGACGGCUCCAUGUCUCGGAUGGAGUCUUCGUCUCGUCACCCAUGUGGUAGUACUCCUCCUACCCCCAUCUAAGACCAAACUAGGAUGCCCCCAUGUCUGCCUAAGACCUCUGCACUAGGGCCUCGGACUCGAGGCUGGGGGGAGGCGCACAGGGAGAGCUCAAGCCCUAAAGCGCACCGGAGGAUGCAAUCGAGGCCAGCACCCAUUGUCAGCUUGGGUCUUCAGCAAGGUCCGAUGCAUGGUGUUUCCUCGAGGCCCACGGCACUAGGAGGAGAAUCACUCUUCCUGUGGGGUAAGGUUUCGAAGUCUGAUAUUUUCGUUCACCUCUAGGUCUCCAUUCUGAUACUCUUGUGACUUGCCUAUUUGCUUGUGGUUUAGGCUCAAAUGACAACUAGAGGAGGCGUGAUCUUCUCCCGCUAAAAGGCUCAAGAUAGGGGCAGACGCCAAGACGUCUGGUGGUAUCGAGGGUAUGGUUUUAUUUUUCUCUCACCCAUUGACUAGAACCGUACUAGUGCGGGAUGUUUUGGCUCGAGGUGAGCUAAACGGGUGUCAGUUUGGCCGCAGGACCGUCCAACUCGAGGCCUGCUACCGGGAGUGAUACUGCUCUGCCACAAGCACUAGAAGGUGGGGCCGUCCCUAGAGCCUCGAUGCCAGACCACUUCGCCUUGAGUCAGGCUAAGACUUCUCACUCCAAACGCACAGAAGGAGCUCCCGAGGCCCCAAAGUUAGGAGCAAAGGUCGCUCCGUCCGACGUCAGCGGUGAGAAGACAAUGGGGUCACCUCUGCCAGAAUAGCAUCCCAUGGCGAGGAACAUUGAGGCUCCUCAGACUGAGGGGUGGGCACUAUGGCCCAUCAGGCUCCACGUGGCUGAGGAGGAGAAUAGAAAGAAAGAGCAAAAAGAGAGGAGGAAGUUAGAGGGAGAGGAAGAAAAGAAUGAGAAGAUAGGAGAGGGAGAGGAAGAGAAAGAAGAGAGGGAAGAAAGUGAGAAAAAGGGCGUGUCACCGUCGCUUGGUGAACUCGAGGAGGAAGUUCCAGCCUCGAGCCAGACCUAGACCCAACAACAACAGCUACAGUAGCAAGAGCAGGAGCAGGGGUCACGUCAGCUGGAGCUGCGGGCCUAUGGCCCCAAGACUCCUACAAGGAAGAAGACGUGGCAGCCGUUGGCCCAUCCAGUCGAGUCAGGUCGAGAUGAUAAGGUCGCGGCGCUGGCAUUCCUUCCCCACCCCACCGACCAAUAUGGAGUCGGUACCUCAGAGGACUAUGUAUGGUCCCGAGGGGGUCGCCUCGGGCUAUUUCGUGAGCUGGGAGCCAAGGGCAGACGAGGCUGGCUCUUCUGGGUCUGGAGAAGAGGCCCAGAUGUUUCCCACCUUGGUGGACCUGUUGUUGUGCCAUGGAGGCACAACAGAGUUCAUGGAAAACAUCUUGCGCUUGGUGAAGGAGCACGCCAAGGAGGAACUUCCCGACUGGGGGACCCAAAAACUCCAUCUCCUAGGCCUAGCCCUCCUGGAGUUAAUGCUGCUCGAGAUGGACGACUGCAUGGAGGUUGAGAAGUGGGAGCACAUGGAGGAGCUACAGCUUUGGCUAAAACAUGCUAUGGCCUUGUCCGUCGACAUCAUCAGCAAGGAUCUCGCCUAGGCUUUCUUUGUAUGUGCUUUCUUUCCUACGUGCUUUGAUCUUGCAGGUUUCAGAUAUACACCUAGUGACGUUUGACCUCACACCCUUUUUUCUCAGAAUUUAAAGGGGACCUCCUGGGAGAAAUCCUGUUUUAUUCACGCGACCAAGGGUGGAUGGGAGCAAGUUCCCGUUCUAGAGCAUAAGCUCCUCCAAUCUUAAGAAGCGCUUCUCAAGGCACAAAAGGAGCUGCUCCAGGCUUUGACGGAUAGGCAGAAAAAGGAGGACGACCUGGUCGAGGCUCGAGGCACUUUGGUGACGGUUCAAGGCAAGAUCUACACCGCCCAAGACGUUGCCGAGACAGUCAAGGCAGAUGCUAAAAAGGCUCGAGGGGAGGCCACCCAAGCCAAGGAGGAGGUCGCUUGAGCAAGGGAGGAAAAGAAAGAAGCAGAAGGGGACGUCCUCCUGCUCACCGAGCGGAUAGGGAAGCUCGAGGCUGACUUGACUAGAACCACAGAGGGAUACACCAAGGCCCGGUCGUAAGCUUUAGAAUACAUAGCCGCCAAAGGUGCUGCCCUGGUGGAGGAGAAAAAGGCAAAAGAGGAGCUGGAGAAAGAGAAGAGUUGUGCCAAUGCUUUGGCCCUCAACAUCAAUCGGCUGAAGAAAAUCUUGCUGGAGAAGGAGGUAGCCAUUACCACCGCGGGCAAGCUGAUCGAGGACCUAUGGGUCAAGAAGAUGGAGGUGGCUCGCUCUUUCCAAAGGGUUAAGAAGGCGAACACCGACUUGGUUGGUGAGAACACAUCCCUCUAUGAACAUAUCCGUGGUGAGUAUCUCUAUUUGGAUUUAUCUUUCUGGUCUAUUUGUCCAUUGUGACUAACUUUUGUGUUGGCUUUCAGAGCUCGAGGGCGAGUUGCUCGAUGCUCAGACCACCUCCAAGAUGCUCCAAGUGGAUCUCAAGGGGGAGGUGUUGUUCAUCGAUUGGCUCCGGACCACGAUCAACGAUCUCUCUGCUUCCUAGAAGCUCGAGCCUACAAACAAGGCUAGGGAAAUGGCUCGAGGCAAUGCCCUUGUGGAUCAAUUAUGCUAUCUAGGUGCUACCAUGAAGGACCGAGUCCAGGAUGCCCUUCACGUCGGCGUGAUGUGGGCAAUGGCGGUCGUCUACUCUGGAUUCUCUUAUGACAUGGAGGUGGUCUCCCAUGGCUUCAUCUCUGACAUAACGAAGACCGAUGCUGAGAACAAGGAGAGGCUUCAUGCUCUUGUCGAUGACGCUGAGGGAUCUGGUGGGAGAUUGGAGGCGCUGUUUGAGCUGAAAGUUCUACCUCCCGAGGUCGGUGCUGGAGAUGAUGAAGGUGGUGAGGAUAAGGAUGCUGGUGACGACAACCAGGGUCUAUGAGACUCAUCUAGGUACAAGAACCCAUGUAAUAAGUUAGUUCCUUUACUACAUUAUGCUACUAGGGCUUUGAGACAUACACGCCUGCUUGCUAUAAAGUUUUAUGCUUUGAGUUUUUUUCUUCUUUCUUUCCUAGAUUUUGUUUUUUGACUAAGUUUUUGACACAGACUCGUUGACCUCAAGGGUGGGGGAGUGAGUGGAGUUACCAUAGAGCAGAGGCGUAGGGAUCCUCCGGCUCAAUGUCCCUCGACCCUUAAGGGGCUCGACGUCCCUCGACCCUUAAGGGGCUCGAGGUGUUUUCUACUUACUCGCGUAACGUUUUCUGAAUCGUAAAAGAAAGAGGUAACGUUGAGCUUUGAGAAAAACGUUCAAGUUUUUUGAGAGCCUAUGGGGUUCCCCCCUGUGAGCCCGUGAGGAAGUCUUGACUAUGACGUAGCAUAGACAAGGCUCCCUUUCUUUUUAUGAGUAGAAUAGUAAGUGCUGAAUAUCAAAAGCAUUUUCAUUCAUUCGAGAUGCUGCAAGGGUACCUAACACAGGAAAUGUACAAAGCUUUGAGGCUCUAGGGGUAGAAGCGACGUAGUUGUUCGAUGUUCCAUGCGUUGGUGAAGACCGCGCCCUUGUCAUCUGCUAGCUUGUAUGUUCCUGGCUUCAAGACUUAUGCCACCACGUAUGGGCCUUCCUAGGGUGGGGUCAGCUUGUGGCGCCCUUAGUUGCUUUGCCAUCGAUGGAGGACAAGGUCGCUGACUUGCAGGUCCCUUUCACGUACGUGCUUGUCAUGAUAGCGUUGACGCUUCUGCUUGUACCUUGCUGAGUUGAGGAGGGCCAUGUCUCGAGCCUCCUCUGCUGGUUGACUGCGUUUUCCUGGGCCACCUUGUUUGUCUGCUUGUUGUAUGCCUUGAGUCGAGGGGACCCGUACUCGAGAUCUAUGGGUAGAAUAGCCUCAAAUCCAUAGACCAUGAAGAAUUGGGGUGAAUUUUGUGGCUCGACUAGGUGUCAUCCUUAGGCUCCACAGGACCGAGGGUAGUUAAUCAACCCACUUCUUACCGAAUUUGUUCAGCCGAGUGCAGAUUCUAGGUUUUAGACCUUGAAGGAUCAUGUUAGCCUGAUCAACCUAGCCAUCAGUUCAUGGGUGGGUGACCACGGACCAAUUCACAUGAAUGUGAUGAUGGUCGCAUAAGUCCAAGAACUUCUUACCUGUGAACUGUGUGUUGUUGUCGGUGAUGAUGACAUUGGGGACCCCAAAGUGAUGGAUAAUGUCGGUGAAGAACAAGAUGACUUGCUUGGAGCGUUGUUGGUGAUGGGUCGAGCCUCGAUCCACUUGGAAAACUUGUCAACGACUACAAGCAGGUGUGUGUAACCUGCAGUCGUCCUAUGGAGGGGCCCCAUGAGGUUGAGGCCCUAGACCACGAAUGGCUAGGUGAUGGGGAUCAUCUAUAAGGCAUGAGUUGGGAGAUGCGUUUGCUUGGCAUAGAAUUAGCAUCCAUGGCACGAGCGGAUGAGGUCGAAGGCGUCGGUGACGGUAGUAGGCCAGUAAAAGCCUUGCCAAAAAGCGUUUCCAUCAAGGGUCCUAGGCGCCGCGUGGUGGACGCAAGCCCCCCAGUGUAGUUCCUCGAGGAGCUUUCUGCCUUCCUCGACAGUGAUGUAGCACUGGAGGAUCCCUAUUGGGCUUUGUCGGUAUAGCUCCUUGUCAUCGCCAUAGAUCAAGUAGGACUUGGCCCAUCGAGCUAUGCGGUGAGCCUCUAUCUAGUCUUCUGGGAGCUCCCCUUGGAUCAAGCAGUCGAGAAAAGGAUCGUGCUAAUCGAUCGGCUGCUUGACCUCGGUGACCUCAGCUGCCGCCAAGAAGGCCUCGACCGUGUGCGUGGGCUCGGGUGUUGAUGACGUGACACCAGCUCCCGUGCCUAGGUCAACUGAAGGCUCGAGGAGAUCCCUAGAGAACACGUUUGGCAGGAUAGUGCCUCUAUUGACAAUAGAUAAGUACUCUUUUUAACCAUCAAUAUAGCUUGAGAAAGGAGUUAAAUUAGAAUACUAUCUAGCUAUAAGGGUUACACUAACAGAAUUCCACAAGUUUUGGUGAUUGUUUAUUUCUGCGGGGGGUUAUUGGAAUAAGAACAAAAGGAGGUCCACAUGUUAGAUUUACAUAGAGCGAACAUGUUAAACGUCAACUCAGGAAUACUCUAGAAGGCUCAGGAAGUCAGUUUGAUCCAAGGGCUGUGGUGCUUCCUAAGAGACUAUAAAUAAAGACCCUAACCCCCCUAGAGGAGGAGUUCAUAAUUAUCCUAUGAGAAGAUCAGGAGAAAAAUUAGGAAGAGAGGGGGUCCCUCGAAUGGAUCUGUCGCUAUAGGAUUCUUGGCCACCAUCUCAAUUAGAUCUCUAUAGUUCUUUAGCAUAGCUACAUAGGAGUAGAUCUAGAAGGAGUCAAGUUAAUCUUGAGUCCGGAUCUAUCUUCAAUUAUUGGUAAACUCUUAUUCUAUUUGUUAUAUUUAUAUUAGUUCUUGCUACUAUGAAUAUGAUUUUGAUCUAUUUGAUUAUAUCGGAAUUGACUUUAUUCUAUUUGCUUUUGUUCUUAAUUAUAUUGUUAUUAGCUUACCUUGAUUAUAUACUUAGUGAAGUUAGAUUAGAAUUAUGUUUAUGCAUAGGAUCGUAUAGCGCUUACUCAUUAGAUCGAUGGAUAAGUGGUAAAUAUUGUGUAGGCGUGGUGCCUAGACCGUAUUUAUCUAUGAUUACCCCUUAUAGUCUAGAGCUUGAGGUAGAUCGUGGGAGUGACAGUCCUAUUUAGUCCUUUGUAUUCCUUUUCCUGAUUAUAAGGAUUGUAGAGCACCAUUAUUAUAGGGAAGUUUUUGCUAUGUUCAUGAUCUUUCUUGCUAAUAUCACUAUGCAUAGAUAUAACCUUUUCUAGUGAUAAUGCUAGGUGUACUUGCACUAAUCAAAGUAUGCUUUGAUAGUGUAGUUGGGAUACUUAGGAUUUAUUCUUGUAGAUUGUCCUAAUACCAUGCUAGUGCUAUAGACUUAGAGUAAUCUAAUUGAGAUGAUUAUCAUGUUUAUCUUAUGGCUAUGAAUUCUUAUUUAUCCUCUAUCACUUAUUAUUCAUAUUUAUAUAUUUAUCUUAUGUGACACUUACCCUACAUAAGAGAUAGAUAAAGACAUGGUUAAAGUCUCCACGAUUACAUGCAGUGCUCAUUGCCCAUUAUCCAUUGCAAUUCUCUUCCUUGUGUUAAAAAUAUAAAUUACGAUACCUGGAAUACUCAUAGUUAAAAUGCUACAUCAGUAUUAUCUUGGCGCUUGCAGAUCCUUUAUUUAUUUAUGCCUAGAAAACCAUAUAGAUUUAAUACCAGCACUUCUACAUCAUGUUAGGGAUGACAAACUAGCUUAAGUGACGUUAAGUAAUUUUGACGUCGUUGCUAGGGAUAGGUUUAAGAGUCUAGUUUUAGUAGUUGCGUUAAGAAGUGUCAACAGCCUUGAGUGGACGCAAUCUUGGCGAGCUUGUCCGCAGCUUCAUUGUAUCAUCUAGCGAUGUGGUUGAGCUCGAGACCAUGGAACUUGUCCUCUAGCUUGCGUACUUUAUUGCAGUAAGCCUCUAUCUUGGGGUUGUGGCAACUCGAGGCUUUCAUGACUUUGUCGAUGACAAGCUGUGAAUCUCCUCAAAUGUUGAGGCACCAGACCCUGAGUUUGAUGGUGAUCCUCAACCCGUUUACAAGGGCCUCAUAUUCUGUGGCAUUGUUAGAGGCUGCAAAAUGAAUGCGAAUGGCAUACCGCAUGUGGACACCGAGGGGCGAGAUGAAGAGCAAGCCGGUGCCUGCCCCUGUCUUCAUGAGCGACCCGUCAAAGUACAUCAUCCAGAGCUUGGCCUGAACUUGCGCUGGUGGAAGCUGGGUGUCGAUCCAUUCUACGAUGAAAUCUGCUAGUACCUGAGACUUGAUGGUUUACAUGGGGCGUAGGUGACAGCCUCACCCAUGAGCUCGAUCGGGCACUUGGCGAUCUUCCUAUUAGCCUCCUGGUUUUGGAUGAUCUCGCCCAGACGAAAAGACAAGACUACCGUAACCCGGUGGAUGAUGUUGUAGCUUGCGGCGCGCGAGGAUGACCACGUAGACGAGCUUCUAUACUUGUGGAUAGCAUACCUUGAAAUCUGAGAGCACCUCACUCAUGAAAUAAACUGGUCGUUGCACCAGCAUGGCAUGCCCUUCUUCUAGCCUCUCGACCACUACUGUUGCGCUAAUGACCUAAGUGGUUGCCAUGAUGUAGAGGAGGCGCUCGGCAGAUCGAGGUGACACUAAGACUGGAGCGGAAGUCAGCAUGCCCGUGAGCUUGUUGAGGGCUUCCUUAGCCUCUGCAGUCCUGUUGGCGCAAAAAUUGGUAUCUCGCACCAACAAUCUCUGGGGCUCUCAAAGGGAGUGGAGGAGCUGAAGUCCUAGACCUCCUCAGCCACAAACACACGAGUUUGAUAAAUUGAUUGAGGGGUGUGCCAGUCAAUUUGACCUAAAAUUGACAAGGUAGAAGUACAAAAGUCAAAUUAUGGAAUCUGUCGGUUGUUACGAGACAGUUCCAAAGUGUAUGGCCUUGAGAAGCCGUUGAAAUAAAGGAAAUUAACUAGAAAGUCAACUCCUAUUAAUGAUGCAAAAGAUAUUUGUUAUCAAAUAUAUUAAACAAAUGCAUCUUAUAUGUACAAAUGAACGGAUCGGCUAUUUAGCCAAUAUGCUGUGUAUGAAAGAGAGAUAGUUUACGUGUAUUAUCCUCUUAUCCAUUAAACAAAUGAUAAUCUAUUAAGACUGGUCUAGGCCUGUGGUCCUAAUAAAUUACUUUCAUAAUUGUAUUAAACUUAUAUUCACCUGGUCUAAAGGCCAGCGGGCUUCAAUAAAUACAACUUAGAUUACUAGUUCAUCUAAUGUACACACAGGUUCACACACGCGCGCUAUUCGUUUAAGCUUCACUAGAUCGACUAUUUAGCCGAUAUAGGGUCCAUGAAGCAAAAAUAGGAUCUAUCUAUUUUGUUAUAAUUAGAUCUGAUUAUUGUUACCAAAUUAAUUAUAACAAAAAUAAAUAUCCCAAACGCACAACAUGUAACAACCAAGAUUAGCAGGUUUAUCAUCUUAAUUUCGCUUAAUAAUUAUUGUUUGGCUUAGGGUUCAAAAUAAGCGUAUAGAUUUGAAUUUCAAACUAACCUAUUGAAUCUUGAUUGGGCAAUAUUGUUAAAAUAAAUAAAACAUUGAGCUUUAAACAAUAUUGAUAACUUAAUGAAACUAUUGAAUUGCCAAUUUAAUGGAGUCGAUAACUAACUUGAACCAAUAUUCAUAAGAGAUUGAAGCAAUGCAGCCUUACAAAUACAAUUCAAGUCGAUAACUACUUCAUAGUCGAGCUUGAUAUGAGUUCAAAGGAUACAUCAAUGACAAAUUAAAUAUGAACCAUGACAAAACUUACAAGCAAACCAAAGGUCGAAAUCAACCGAUGCAACUCGAUUCGUUGAAGGCCCCGCCAAGAUAUACUGUUACUCCUACUCCUAAGGUUGGUGGCCGAAGCAGAAAAGGGUUUGUAUUGUGAUUGUGUAUAUUUUUUACAAGGAUCGGGUUCCUAAUAUUUAUAGUCUGAAGACCUAGUGUCAUGUCCUAACACGACUCAUCUCGAAAAGGCAACCCAGACUCUAACUUUUCCUUUUACAAUUGAACCCGACACGUCUUCUUCGUCUUGCCUUGAUCUCUCUCCCUUCUGACUGACUAUUUUCAUCACGCCUCUUAUUUAGUCGAUCCACUUAUCCGGCUGUCCCUUCUUCUGCGAAGUAGGCCCACGGGCAGUUUUCGGACUCGCCAAAAUUUGGGAUUAACACAUGGCCCCCAAUUUUAUGAUAAAAUUAAUUUUAUUCCAAAAUUGCCACUCAAAACCGAUAUGGAUAUAUUGAAUACUUUAUUUCCUCCUCUGUCCCCGUUCAUUGGUCUUAAAAGCUAGGGUUUUCCUUCAAGUAUUCCCAGUCAAAAAUUUGAAACCUAUAUAAUCCGCCAAACCUCCACAUGAUUCAACCUCAAUACACCGAAUCCUUUAACUCGGUGACUUUUGCUCCAAUGGCAUCCAUCAACAAUAUCCCCGAGGUACAUCCUCCUCUUCUACACCUCUGAAUCUUUCUUGCUCUGUCAGCUUGUCUUUAUUUCUUUCUUUUUACUUUCAGGAUCUCUAGGGUCAAGUAUUCAUCCCACUUGAUGGUAAUUUGCACAAGAUCUUCCUGGGUCCGAUGGGCGAUCUAGAUCCUAGCACAACAGUUGUCGCUAAGACCAACAAGGUUCCCUUUAAGGCAUCCAACAUGCACCCAAAUCUCCGGGCCAAAAGGGCAUCAAUAAGGAAUUGGCCAUCAAUCAUCCCAGGAUGGAGGAAUUAGUUGAUCAAAGUAGCAGCCAAGAAGAGAAUAGAUUGGACACUUCGAAACUUGGAUCACUGUAUCUCUCUGUCCCUUUCUGAUAUCAAGAAGAAUGAGCCUAUGCUUCGAGCUGCCUGCUUCUUCUGGUCCAACACCGACAACGCUUUCCUCUUCAAAACUGGAGAUUGGUCUCAAUACAUCAUCAUUGCAGGUGUCCACAUGUCGUAUGUCCACAUGCUGUUGACACCGUUUUUGGACACAAAUUGGGAUAGUCAAUGAGGCUUGAAUCGGCAGUCAGAGAGGUGAUGUGUCUGGCCGAUAAGAAGGUUACCGAUAGCCGAUGAUGCCGAUGAUAGAACAACAGGAGGAAGAUGUUGCUAAGUCUGGUGGUAGUUGCCGAUCAUUGCCGAUUACUAAUGAUUGCCGAUGACGAUAAGGAAAGGUAUGGGAAUUGUUAAAAGAGAUAGAGGGCGUGUGCCGAUGAGGACAAUGGUGGUAUGCCGAUCACUAGGAUGGAUAGGUUUAUUAGGGUUUAUUUUAUGUACGAGUCCUGUUUUGUUUGGAAUUAAAUCCUAGUCGUAUACAGUUGUAACUCUUUAAGACAAUAUAAAUACAGGCCUAGUAGCGAUGUAAGAAAACAAUCAAUCAAUAUAUCAUACACAAGUUUUACAUCUACUUUUACAUCUACUUUUCGACGACUUCGUCAACUCACAUAUUUUCUUUUGUUUACGAGUUCUUAAGGAUUCAUUGAGCUAUACUCGGCGAAUUCUUGAGUUCCGCGUGAGUACCUCUUGGCCGUGACAUCCGGGCGUAUCGCUGUUGUCAGGACCAAAGUAUUCAAGUUAUCACCUUUGUCGAUUGCUAGGUCAAAUCGGCUAGCACGCCUUAACAUUUGAAUCAGGUAUUAGCCCUUUGUGUUUGCAGAUACGUUUAUGCAUUAACUCAUCUUUUGGCACGCCCGGUGGGAUCAAUCUAUCAACAAAAUCAACAUGGCUACUGCUGAUCUCGACACGGAGAAUGUCAUUGCUGUGACGGAAGCUGAUCUUAGGGACGAGCAGAAGCAGGCUAUGGAAAGGGCUAUGGAGGAAUACAAGCAGCUCUGCUUGAAAUCCUUGAGCGUCCACAGGAGCGGUGAAGUAAUCCAGAAGCAAAAGUUGUCGAUGCCUCGGCACGUUACUUUUGACGCCAAUCCUGGUAAAUUGCAAGACAUGGUUGACAAUGCUAUUAAUCGUGCUUUGAUCAAUCAAUCUAGUGUGUUUUUCAAUACUGUUUACAAUGCUGUGGCUAGAACUUUUAAAGAAGGACAGAGACCACCAUUAUAUGUUGGCCUGACCUAUCACCAGCUUGUGUUGUCAUCGGUUACAGCUCCAUCGGCUCCUCUAGCCGUUACGGGUACAGAAGUUACUUCUCCUCUAAGCACAUUAGGGUUGACUAGUGGGCAAUCUACACCGAUGAGACCGAAUCCAGCGACAUCAGAGGGACGAGUUCAGCUUAACACAGAUCUAUCAGCAUCGGCAAUGUCAAGAUCUGUAUUUCAUAAUUGUCAAGUUCCUCCCAAUUAGUGGGGAUAUGGUAUUCCUUUGGAGUUUUUUGCAAAUAGUUCUGGAACAUCUCAAGUGACUGACUUAGCAGGAAAAGCUCCUAUGACAUUGGCACCUCUAGUUUCGCCGAUGACUCAAAUUCCUCAGUAUUCUACGACUACUACUGCAAGGCGUGCUACGGGGAAUUUUCAAAUGCCAACGUUCCAGAUGUGUAAUGCAAAUUCAUCGGCAGAUCCAUUGCCGACUCAGCAGAGAUUUAUGACUCAGAUAGGGUAUGUCAACCCAGCAAUGACAGCCAAUUGUCAGCCAUCGGCAGGACCUACGCCGAUGAAUUCUAACAAUGGAUGUACAGGACAGUUUGUCUUUCCACAUGUGACACAACAAAAUCAUCAGGUUGCGGGAUUCCAGCAAGGACAGAUGCAGGUCGGUUUUCAGAAUCAAGGACCGACCAAUCAGCCGAUGAAUCUCGCUCAGCAGAUUGGUGGCCAGCAAGCUAUGGCCAAUGUUAUGUUUCCUAGAGAACGUGCACCUCAGAGACACGUGGAAGCUUAUCAGCAGGUGCCAGAACUUCAACCCGCACAUUGGCAGGAUGCCGAUGCCUAUUGGGCCGAUAAGAUAGCAGAAGAUAUGAGGGAUCAGUUUGGAAUAAAACCGAAGGUCAAAACUUAUUCUUAUCAGACACCGUAUACUCCGGCAUAUGAUUUGAUUCCAGUUCCAAAUCGGUACAAGGUACCGGAUUUCACUAUAUUCUCACUAUGGAACAUGUUAAUCGGUUCAACAUCUAGUGUGGAGAAGCUGCCAACAGAGAUGAAUUAAGAGUUUGUUUGUUUUCAUCAUCUUUGUUAGGAUCGGCAUUCACUUGGUUUAUUUCACUACCUCCAAACUCAGUCAUCACGUGGGCUGAUCUAGAGAAGCAGUUUCACAAAUACUUCUUUUCUGGGGUUCAUGAGAAAAAGAUUACCAAUUUAGUUAGGUUGAGGCAACGUAAUGAUGAAUCAGUGGAAAGUUUUGUGCAGAGGCUGAGAGAUGUGAAGAACAAGUGUUAUAGUCUGGUUCUAGAUGAUCGACAGUUGGCCGAUCUGGCUUUCCAAGGGUUGUUGCCACACAUCAAAGACAAAUAUGCUUCUCAAGAGUUUGAGUCAUUUGGUGCAGAGAAUUUCUAAUGAGGAUAUCAAGGCUUAUGAGCCUAGAAAAGCCUGGAAUAAAAAGGUGUCAUUCGUUGAUGAGGCAAUGAGUUCUGAUUUAGAUGAAGAACCAGUCAUGGGCUCGGCAGAGUGGGUAAAAAACAAAAAGCCGAUUUUUCAUGUCCUUUUGGUCAAAAAGAACCAGAGAAGUUUUCUUUUGAUAUCACCAAGGCCGAUAGGAUAUUUGAUUUCUUGCUUCAGGAGGGGCAGAUUAAAUUGUCCCCUAAUCAUGUGAUCCCAUCGGCAGAGGAGUUGAAGAAAAUCAAGUAUUGCAAAUGGCAUAAUGUAACAUCACAUAACACAAAUGAGUGCAAGGUGUUUAGGCAGCAAUUGCAAUCGGCUAUAGAAUUUGGGAGGAUUAAGUUUGAUAAUUCCAAAGCUCAGAAGCCGAUGAAAACUGAUCAACACCCUUUCCCUGCAAACAUGUUGGAUGCCAAAGGUAAGACUAAAGUCUUAACAUCAGAAACAGCUGAAAAGAACGCACCGGUGGAUCCGCAGCAUCAAGUAACCACCAAUGAUGCUAAAGGCAAAGGUUUGAUCAAGGAGGGUAGCAGCUCUGGGCAGGCCUCCUCGCUCUGGCAUUGUGAUUACUCAUAGGCGACAUCGGGAGACUUGGCAGCAGCGUGAGGAUCGGUAUCGGCAUCAGCAAGAGGAAAGGGAGCGAGAAGAAUGUAAUCGGCAUAAGAAUCACUGGAAUUGCCCGUUCUUCAUUCAUUGUUGGGAGCAAAAUAACAAACUACCGACUGUCAGAGGUUUUCCUGAGUGCAAUGGUUAUCAUCGGUAUGAUUGGUCAGAUCGACUAUUUCAGAACAAUGAUCGAUGAGCCGAUCAGGGGGAGGAUGUCAGUUCAUGAUCGGCUGGGGGCAGGCUUAGCGUGCAUGAUAAGCUUGGUGAACGUGUUGGUUAUUUUCCAAGGAAUCAAGAAGAGCUUGAAGAAAUGGCAAAUGUACGGGUUCCAGAUGAAUUUAUAUUUUGUAGGGAUGCUAAUACUCAUCGGAUGGAGUCAAGGGAGGUUCUCUAUCAGCCAGUGCAAAAGACAAAGCUUCCCCAAUGGUGCCCAGAAGGGUUAACAAUGACAUAGAAAAGAAGGAUGCAGCGAGAACGUCAAGAUGAUUUGAAUAGGGAAGAAAAUUCUUCUAAAUCUGAGAAUCGCAGCAAUCAGACCGCAAGGGUGAAGGACCGUCGGCAGAUGUUAACAUGGUAUUUAUGUUGCCGAUGGAAUUUCUUGCACCCUUUAGCAAUGAUGAGGAAAUAAAUCUCCCUGACCAGAUAGCUCAGUUGGCGCUUGAUCCAUUGACAGCCAUUUUUGAAAAGCCUUCUGAUGAUGAAAGGCAGCAUCUUAAAGCUUUGUUUGUCAAAGGCCAGGUUGAUGGGCAGCCAAUUUCCAAAAUACUUAUUGAUGGGGGAGCUGCAAUUAACAUCAUGCCAUAUGUGAUGUAUCGGAAGCUUGGCAAAGGAGAUCAGGAUUUGACCAAGACUGAUAUGAUGUUGAAAGAUUUUGAAGGAAAUGUGUCUCCAGUUAAGGGAGCUAUAUGUGUUGAAUUAACCAUCGGCAGCAAGACCUUGUCGACGACUUUCUUUAUUAUCAGUGGGAAAGGUGCAUACAAUUUGCUGUUGGGAAGAGAUAGGAUUCAUGUCAAUUGCUGCAUUCCAUCCACGAUGCAUCAAUGCCUUGUUCAGAGGGUAGGUGACAAAAUUGAAAUUGUCCAGGGAGAUUCUUCAUAUGUCAUUGCAUCGGCGGAAUCAGACACCUAUGAGCGGACUAGAUGCAUAUCAGGAGAGGUUUGGGAGAAAGAUUUCCUCAAAGUUGCCGAUUAUGAAAUUCCACCGAUCCAAGCAGUCGGUUCUGAUGAAGAGUUUUAAUGGAUAGGUUCGCUGAUGAUGGGAAGUUAGGACAGGGGUUUACAUUGGCUGAUAAUUUAGUAGAAGUAGAUAUAGGUAACGGUGAUAGGCCAAGGCCUACCUUUAUUAGUGCUAAGUUAGAUUCUGAAUGUAAGCAGCAAUUAACUGAUUUGUUAAAGGAAUAUAAAGAAUGCUUUCCUUGGGAUUAUACCGAGAUGCCUGGUUUAGACCGAUCAAUUGUUGAACAUCGGUUGCCUAUUAAAUCUAGAUUUCGGCCACAUCAGCAGCCAGCACUCCGGUAUAAUCCUAAUAUUCUUCCGGAUAUUAAGGCCGAAAUAACCAAGCUCACUGAAGCUAUGUUUAUUCGGCAAUGUCGGUAUGCCGAAUGGAUUUCCAAUGUUGUCCCUGUCUACAAAAAGAAUGGAAAGCUUCGUGUUUGCAUCGACUUUAGAAAUCUCAGUAAAGCUACGCUGAUGGAUGGUUAUCCGAUGCUAGUUGCUGAUUUAUUGGUUGAUGUUGUGGCUGGGCAUCGAAUUAUUAGUUUCAUGGAUGGUAAUGCAGGGUACAAUCAGAUAUUCAUGGCUGAGGAGGAUAUUCCCAAGACUGCGUUUAGAUGUCCUGGUCAUGUUGGGUUGUUUGAGUGGGUAGUCAUGACUUUUGGCUUGAAUAAUGCUGGUGCUACCGAUCAAAGGGCCAUGAAUUUUAUUUUUCAUGAGUUCAUCGGCAAGUUGGUGGAAAUCUAUAUUGAUGAUGUGGUGGUUAAGUCUGGAGAUUUCACAAAACAUUUAGCCGAUUUGCGAAAAGUGUUGGAAUGGACAAGGUAACAUGGUUUGAAAAUGAACCCUAAUAAAUGUGCAUUUGGCGUAUCGGCAGGACAGUUUCUAGGUUUCAUGGUGCAUCAGAGAGGGAUUGAAAUUAGCAGGAGAUCUAUUAAUGUGAUCGGCAAAGUAGUUGCUCCUACCAAUAAAACUGAUCGGCAAGAUUAAUUUUAUCAGGCGAUUUAUAUCUAAUUUGUCGGGUAAGAUUCAUGCUUUCAGCGUGUUGCUUAAAUUGAAAGCAGAUCAGGAGUUUGUGUGGGGAAGAGAGCAACAAUUAGCCUUGGAUGAAAUCAAGAAUUAUUUGGUAAAUCCUCCAGUCUUGGUUCCACUUCAGCAUUGAAAGCCUUUCAGAUUAUAUUUAUCUACCGAUGAUGCGGUCAUCAGUUCAGCUCUUAUUCAAGAAUUUGAAGGGAAGGAGCAUGUAAUUUACUAUUUGUGUAGAAGAUUGGUGGAUGUUGAGACAAGGUAUUCGGCAAUUGAAAAAUUAUGCUUAUGCUUCACUACUACAGAAUGAGGCAUUGGUCGAUGCCCAAAAUGGCCAAAAACCUCGACCUUUUUUCGGCCCGGGGUUAAAGACCCCUUUAACACCGGUUCGUAACACGAACCGGUGCUAAAGGGUCCUGCCCAACGGCUACUGACAGGUGCUGUCAGGGCAGGGACCCUUUAGCACCGGUUCAUGUUACAAACCGGUGCUAAAGGGUCCCCUUUAGCACCGGCCAGCGCCACGGGCCGAGGCAAAGCCUUUAGCACCGGUUUGUAACACAAACCGGUGCUAAAGGGUCACCCUUUAGCACCGGUUUUUGCCCUGAACCGGUGCUAAAGGUCCGGUUUAUAGGCCGGAUCCCUCUUCUAUUCCCAUUUGAAACCGAGUGCACCAUUCACCAUUGUUGUUCUUGGAGCUUGUUCUUCCUUGUUCUUCAUCUCCGACGCCCAUCGUUGAGAGGGAGUUCUGACCGGUAUCGUUUCUUCGUGUUUGGAGGUGACUAACUUUUGUCUUUCUUGUAUUUUUCAUGUUAUUUUUGGCUUGUGAUGUUCCCUUUAUUUUUAGCUCAAAUCCACAUGUUCUUGCUUAUUUCAUGGUUGACCUAGUAUUAAUGUAGUUUGCAAGAAUGAAUUAUAGUAUCUUUUUAUGAUCUUAGAAAAUAGGAUAAUUCCAAUUAAUUGGUUUGUUAAUAUCACUUGAUUUAUUUUUAUUACUACACAAUGUCCAUUGUAUAAUUUAGAAGAUUUGUUGAAGUAGCUAGACAAAUAAAGGAUAUUAUUAGGUUCUUCUUUAAUCAUACAUGUUUACUAGUAAAUGUGGAAUUUAUAAUUGUUUAAAAAUUGAGUAUGGAUAGUAGAUGGCAACCGUGACCGGGUCUUCGGUCUCUCAACGGGUUCAAAAGCGAUACCAGCCGGAACUCCCUCUCAUUACUUGUGGCAAGUGUGGCCAGAAGAUUGUGAUGGAGUACAAAGUGUCGAAAGAGGGAGUAAACAAGGGUCGUAUAUUCUACAAGUGACCGGAUCGUAAUGUGAGUUAUUUCCAGACAUUUGCUUAUAUAUGUGCAUAUUUUUUAAAUGAUAUUAAUUAAACUUUUGAUUAUCUCUUUUAAUUUCAGUGGGACGGUACCGGCAGAUGUACAGGUUGGUAUUGGGAGGAAGAAUACAUUGAACACAUUAAGAAAUCUUUUGCACAGGUGGUUGAGGCUGAAGGUGGUGAGGUAGUGAGCCGAUGAAAGGAGUUCAAUGAUGUUGAUCAAGUGAAUGAUCUAUCUAUUAUAGUUGGGAUCGGACGCGAACUAAUUAUGUUGCUUAAGUGCAUUUUAGUUUUGGUUUUUUAGUGCUAGAUGCGAUUGUAUUUGUUGUAGCCAAGCUUUCCUGAAUUAAUCAACUAUGUAUCUUAGACAUGUUGUGCAAUAAGAUGAGAAACUAUAUGUGUGCAUGGUUUUCAUAAUAUAUAUGUUAUAUUUAAUGCAGAUGGUAACACGUAAUUGGUUGUAUAAUGCCAAUACCAACCUUAAGUGUGGCCGAGACAAAUAAGAGGGACGGUUUCAUGUGCUGUCCAUGUGCCGUGUGCAAGAAUUUGACAGAAUAUUCUAACUCAAGAACUCUUCAUUCGCACUUAUUAAAGUCUGGUUUCGUACCAAACUAUAUUUGUUGGACCAAACAUGGAGAAAGCGGGAUUAUAAUGGAUGAAGGUGAAGAAGAAGAAGAAGAAUUGGACCAUGCCAAUAUUAUUGCUCAGUACGGUGGCUUCAAUGAUGUGGCAAUGGGGGGAGAUAAUGAAGAAGAGGUAGCGGCAGAAGAUGAUCGGGGCGAUGAUGCUUUUGGUGAUGCCAUCCGUGAUGCACAAAGAGAAUGUGAAAGUGAUAAAGAGAAAGCCAAGUUUGAGCGCAUGCUAGAGGAGCAUAGGAAAUCGCUAUAUCCCACCGCUGAAGAGGGGUAAAAAAAGCUAGGUACCACACUAGAAUUGCUGCAAUGGAAGGCAAAGAAUGGUACAUCUGACAAGGCAUUUGGGCAGUUAUUAAAGAUCAUAAAAAAGAUGCUUCCGAAAGGCAACGAAUUGCCCACCACUACGUAUGAAGCAAAAUAGGUUGUCUGCCCUUUGGGAUUAGAAAUCCAGAAGAUACACGCAUGUCCUAGUGACUGCAUCCUCUACUGUGGGGAGGAAUACGAGAACUUGGAUGCAUGUCCAGUAUGUAAGGCAUCACGGUAUAAGAUUAGACGAGAUGAUCCUGGCGAUGUUGAGGGUGAACAACGUCAUAGGAAGAAAAUUCCUGCCAAGGUUAUGUGGUAUGCUCCUAUAAUACCAUGAUUAAAACGUCUGUUCAGAAAUAAGGACAAUGCAAAGUUGUUACGGUGGCAUAAAGAAUAUCGUAAGAUAGACAAUAUGCUGAGACACCCUGCCGAUGGAUCCCAGUGGAGAGCGAUAGACAGAGAAUUCCCAGAUUUUGCAGAUGAUGCUAGAAACUUGCGGUUUGCCUUAAGUACAGAUGGUAUGAAUCCUUUCGUUGAGCAGAGCAGUAGUCACAGCACUUGGCCAGUUACUCUAUGUAUCCACAACUUUCCUCCAUGGCUAUGCAUGAAGCGGAAGUUUAUUAUGAUGUCGGUGCUUAUCCAAGGACCGAAGCAACCUGGCAAUGACAUAGAUGUCUACCUAAGGCCAUUAGUUGAGGAACUUCAACUUUUAUGGAGCAAACCAGGAGUUUGCGUGUGGGAUGAGUACAAACAAGAGCACUUUGACCUGCGAGCAUUGCUGUUUGUAACAAUCAAUGAUUGGCCAGCUUUGAGUAAUCUUUCAGGCCAGUCAAACAAGGGAUAUAAUGCAUGCACACAUUGUUAUGAAGACCUUGACUGUGUAUUUUUUAAAAAAUGUCGCAAGGUCGUGUACCUUGGCCACCGUCGGUUUCUUCCUGUCAACCACCCAGUACGAAAGAAAGGCAAGCAUUUUAAAGGCAAGGCAGACCACCGGACCAAACCUCUCAAUCGAACCGGGGAUGAUGUACUCGAAAUGGUCAAGGAUAUAAAAGUGGUAUUUGGAAAGGGACAAGGCAGCGAACCUAUUCCUAAGGAUGCUAAGGGACACGUACCCAUGUGGAAGAAGAAAUCCAUAUUUUGGGAGCUACCAUACUGGAAUGUCCUCGAGGUCCGCAACGCGAUCGACGUGAUGCAUUUGACAAAGAAUCUUUGUGUGAACUUGCUCAGAUUCAUGGGUGUCUAUGGGAAGUCUAAGGAUUCACUUGAAGCACGACAAGACUUGCAGCGCAUGAAAGAACGAGACAACCUGCUUCCAGAAAAGACAGAUGAUGGACGUCAUUACUUAAGCCCUGCUAGCUACACUCUGAGCAAAGAAGAGAAGGAAAGCAUGUUUGAAUGUCUUAGCAGCAUCAAGGUCCCAUCUGGAUUCUCCUCCAAUAUCAAGGGAAUAAUUAAUGUGCCAGAGAAGAAAUUCUUGAACUUGAAGUCCCAUGACUGUCACAUUCUAAUGACACAAUUGCUGCCGGUGGUUUGAAGAGGAAUUUUACCUCCACACGUACGUCUAGCCACCGUAAAGCUAUGUGCAUUCCUCAAUGAAAUUUCUCAGAAGGCAAUCAAUCUAGAGCAACUAGCUACUCUGCAAAAUGAUGUCGUUCAAUGUCUCAUCAGCUUUGAGUUGGUGUUCCCUCCAUCCUUCUUCGAUAUCAUGACACACCUCCUAGUUCAUCUGAUCAAAGAGAUUCAGAUUCUCGGUCCUGUGUUCCUACACAACAUGUUCCCCUUCGAGAGAUUCAUGGGUGUCCUAAAGAAAUAUGUCCAUAGUCAUUGACCGGAGGAGGUCAUAGAGUUCUGUGUUGACUUUAUUACAGACCUUGACCCAAUUGGCAUUCCUGAAUCUCGACACGAGGGCAGACUCAGCGAAAAGGGAACACUUGGGAAGAAAACAUAUAUUGGUACGGGAGACGAUUACUUCAAUAAAGCACACUACACAGUUCUCCAGAACUCCUCAUUGGUGGAACCAUAUGUUGAGGUACACAAAGAUUUCCUACGGUCCCAGUGGCCCGGGAAGAAUGAAGCUUGGAUAAUGCGUCAGCACAUGGAAACUUUUGGCGAUUUGUUGCGCAAAAAAUGUCAAGGUGAUGAAAACAUUGAUGAGUAGCUUUAUUUCUUGGCCAGGCAACCAUCAUGGCAUGUCCUCAUGUACAAAUGGUACGAGAUAAAUGGUAACACAUUUUACACAGUUGGCCAAGAUAAAAGGAGCACCAACCAAAAUAGUGGUGUACGCGUGGAUGCCACGAAUCCAAAUGGGAACAGCCAAACAUAUUAUGGACGCAUAGAAGACAUAUGGGAACUAGUCUAUGUAGCUAAUUUUAAAGUUCCUUUGUUCCGGUGCCAAUGGGUGAAGAUGACCGGAGGUGGGGUAACAAUCGACAAGAAGUAUGGGAUGACAACCGUGGACCUUAACAAUAGUGGGUUCAAAGACGAACCAUUCGUCCUUGCUACAGACAUGAGUUAGGUGUUCUAUGUCAAAGAUAUGUCUACGAAACCAAAGAGAGGAAAAAAUGAUGACCACUCAAUCAUCAAUGAGCCAAAGCGCCACAUUGUCCUUCGUGGGAAAAGAAACAUUGUCGGAAUUGGGGACAAGUGAGAUAUGUCAGGCGAUUACGAAAGGGAUGAUCGAAUUUCGCCCUUCAUAGUCAACAAAGACCCAAGCAUUCUCUUAAACAAUGAGGAUACUCCAUGGUUACCGCAGGAUCAUAACCAAGGGUCAUACGUCAAGAAGUUCAGUGUUCUAAAAACCAAUGCUUUGACUUUGGUCAAACUUGAUCAAAUGGCCCAUUUGAUGACUUCAAAUGAAAAAAUUUUGAAUACAAAGUUGUUAGAGAUCAUCAAGAUCUACAUUUUAUAUAUUAUCCAUUUUUACAUUUGGAUAAUUUUGAGCCAAUCCUAAUCACAUUCCUAUAAAAUCCAAGACGGGUUUUGGUCAAACUUGGUCAAAUGACAAACUAAAUUACUUAAAAUAAAAAAAUUUUGAACACCAAGUUGUUAGAUAUCAUCAAGAUCUAAACUUUUUAUAUACACAACUUUUCUAUUUGAGAAAGUUUAAGUUAACAAUACCCACCAAUUCUUGAAUCUCACACAAACUAUAUGAAACUAUAUGUGUUAAUUGUGGAUUUUCAACUACACCUUCCCAAAACUUUGUCAAAUGCAAAAAUGGUCUGUAUAUGAAAUGUAUAUUUUGAUGAGUGGAACAAUAUUGGUAUUCAUGACUUUUCUAUUCGAGACCAUCUAAGGUUCCGAAACCGCUGCGUGGCUAUGAAUUCUCUGAAAUUUCAAAAUUCAGUGGUCCAAACUUUUUCAAAUGAAAAGUUGACCAUGACAAAAUGUAGAACUUGAUGAGUGUAACAAACUUUGUAUUCAUGACUUUUCCAUUUGGGACAAUCUAGGGUUCGGUCAAAGGGUGUUUUUGUAAAAAACAAUGCUUUGACUUUGGUCAAACUUGAUCAAAUGGCCCAUUUGAUGACUUCAAAUGAAAAAAAAUUGAAUACAAAGUUGUUAGAGAUCGUCAAGAUCUACAUUUUAUAUAUUGUUUAAUUUUACAUUUGGAUAAUUUUGAGCCAAUUCUAAUCACAUUUCUAUAAAAUCCAAGACGGGUUUUGGUCAAACUUGGUCAAAUGACAAACUAAAUUACUUAAAAUAAAAAAAAUUUGAACACCAAGUUCUUAGAUAUCAUCAAGAUCUAAACUUUUUAUAUACACAACUUUUCCAUUUGAGAAAGUUUAAGUUAACAAUACCCACCAAUUCUUGAAUCUCACACAAACUAUAUAAAACUAUAUGCGUUAAUUGUGGAUUUUCAACUACACCUUUCCAAAACUUUGUCAAAUGCAAAAAUGGUCUGUAUAUGAAAUGUAGAUUUUGAUGAGUGGAACAAUAUUGGUAUUCAUGACUUUUCCAUUCGAGACAAUCUAGGGUUCCGAAACCGCUGUGUGGCUAUGAAUUCUCUCAAAUUUCAAAAUUCAGUGGUUCAAACUUUUCCAAAUGAAAAGUUGACCAUUAGACAAAAUGUAGAACUUGAUGAGUGUAACAAACUUUAUAUUCAUGACUUUUCCAUUUGGAACAAUCUAGGGUUCGGUCAAAGGGUGUGUUCAUCAAGAUAUAUAUUUUUAUAUGAUAAAUAGAUUUUUUAUUUGAUGAAAACAAUACCCUACUAGCAUUCCGAGUAAUAAAUAACAAAAAUAAAAAGUUUAAUGUCAAUAUGAUGUGAAAAUAGAUUUUCAGUUGAUUGGAUAUAGUUUUUGUAAAUUUAUUGGAAUAAUAUAUUUUUGCAUUAACAAAAUACUAAACAUUUCUUACAAAAUCAUUGCAAAUUAUAAAAAUACAGUAAGAUAUUUAAGGUUAAAAAUUUUCAUUUGUACAUUAAAAAAAUUACAAUAUGUCACUGUUUAAAAAAUAUUAUGCAAAAUAUUUAAUUUACUAUACAAUUUAUAAUAUAAAUUGUAUAUAAACAAUUGAAAAACCCUAAACUAAAAAAUAGGGCCUUUAGCACCGGCCCAUAGUGGGAACCGGUGCUAAAGGGUACUGAAAAUUUCAGAAACCCGCCCUAGCGCGCUCAGGACCAUUUAGCACCGGUCCGUGGCUCGCACCGGUGCUAAAAGGUCCCUUUAGCACCGGCUGGUAACACGAGCCGGUGCUAAAGGGUCACCCUUUAACACCGGCUCGUGUUACCAGCCGGUGUUAAAGACCCUUUAGCACCGGUUCCAGCCACAGACCGGUGCUAAAGGGUCCGCCCCUAUAUAAGCCGCGGGCGCCUUGGAUCUGAGCAGUUACCUUCGUCUUCGUCGAGACACACCAGAACCGCCGCCUCCAUCACCACAGCGCCGCCGCCGUUUCGUCUGCCCACGCCGCCGCGUGGCCGUCUGCAGCGCCGCCGCGGUCAUCAUCGCCACCAGCGCUGUCUCUUUCUCCGCGGUCUCUUUCUCCACGUCGAUCUCCGGCCGGCCGUCGAUGUCCUAGCGCGCCCGCUCUCUCAAUGUAUUUAUCAAGAUCGAACUCCGGCUCUCCGCAAAAUGAAUGAAUAUAUAUUUUUUGCAGAUUAUAUAUAUAUAUAAUCUGCAAAAUGAUGAAUGAAUGUAUAUUAGUUUUUAGUAUAAUAUAUAUAUAUAUAUAUAAUCUGCAGAAUGAAUGUAUAUUAGUUUUUAGUAUAUUAUAUAUAUAGUAGUAGUAUUUUUUAGUAUAUAUUUGUAGUAUAUGAUUCUUGUAUUAUUCUUGUAUCAUAUUUUAUUUUCUAGUGUUUUGUAUAUAUUAUUGUUUGUCAUAUUAUUCUAGUAUUGUUUUUUUGUAUAUUAUUCUAGUGUAUUGCUUGGCUUAAAAGAUUCUAGUAUUAUUUUUAGAGCCGUUUGAGGGCCGCUAUGUAAUCUCUGAGUUUGAGAUAGCUACAGACAGACCACUUGGUGAACAUGCAAAUAAAUAUGUUAGUCACUGUGGAUAUCUUGUGAGAGAUCAAAUACCGAUCAGUGCUCGUGAAUGGAGAGAGAAGCGAGGUGCUCCUAAGAUCAGUUUUGUCUCUGAUUGUGACAAGGAGUUAGUUUGGAAAGCCGUCACAGACGUUUUCACAUUCGACACCAACGAUGAAGAGUUGAAGGUGCGAAUUUAUGACUAGACUAUGAAGAAGAUGGCAGUACUCUUCCAGAAUUGGAAGAAGACUUUGUACAAUAAAUAUGUCAAGAAAAACGAGACUCCAAAUUUCAACCUCAAGCAAUAUGUAAAGCCGAGGGCCUUCUGGGAUGACUUUGUGCAGUACAAAACAUCAGAAGAGGGCGAGGAACGAGCCAUUAGAAACAAAGAGAAUGCAAGUAAAAAGACAUACCACCAUCAUAUGGGAUCAGGUGGUUAUAAGAGUGCUGUUCCCAAGUGAGACCGAAUGGAACAGGACAUGCUUGCUAGGGGGGUCACACCCGAGACAAUAGCAAAGAAUUGGAGCGAGCGCUCCAAGCAUUGGUUCUACGGUCAUGGGGGAAGCGUGGACAUAGACACCGGGGUGCUAGUUUGGGGCCAAGAAAUAUCUAGAGCAGCAGAGAGACUAGUCCAUGCAUGAGAGGCGCUUCAGUCUGGUGAGUUCAGGCCUAACAGGGAGAAGGAUGAACUCACCUAUGCGCUUGAAAAUUCUGAGCACGGUGGGCGUACGAGAGGCUAUGGGGCAGUUCCGUGGCUGCAAUCAUUCCUAGCCGAUCAAGAUACCUAGAGAAGCCGCCAGAGAAAAUAAGGAUGAGGAGGCAGAGCGGAUCCGCUGCCUGGAAGCUUUUGUUCUGCAGUCAGAAGAGCGCGAGAAAGCUCGUGAAGAAUGGAUGCAGACGAAGAUUCAAAGGCAAGUGCAAGCAGCACUUAGUCAAAUGACGAAAGGGCAAGGUACAUCACAGCCUGAGGUCAACGUUAGCCCCCCAGGCCAGUUGAAAAGCAGCUGCGCAUCCACGGAAGUACCAACCAUUUAGGAUGACACGAAGCUAGACUUCCCCGUGGAUGAUGUCACAGAGGCUUUUACUACCUAUGAGCUGCAUGUACCAGAUGGGAAUGCAACAAAAAAGAUGGCUAUCGCUGUUGUCAACCCUAUCGACCGAACGAGAACUACAAGAAUCCAUAAUCGACCAGUACCUGGUGGAUAUGCUAGCGUCUCGGUUGAUAGGGUUGAGAAAGGUUGUGGCAAUGUGCCUCUAGACAUAGAAGGGGGAGACGGAGAGAAGACCUUAGGUGAAGCUGAGAAGACAUUUAUUUGUUGGCGCAAGCACUUCAUAAUUAUUCCUCAACAUAGGUUUGUGUGUGAUUUUACUUCUUAUAUUAUUUAUUAUGUAUUAAAAUUAAAAAAAAAGUUUGCUCACAAAACUUGUAAUUGUUUUCUUUGCAGGGACUCCUCCAACCUAAGUCCAGUUCUCUCACCAGCGCAUCAUAGUGCUACGGGCGAUGACAAUGCUGGAUCUCCUCCAACACCUGCGGCGGCCACACCGACCCCGCCACCGCCUCCACCACGGUCUCCACCUCCUCCAACGAGGUCUCCAACUCCUCCACUGCGUUCUCCAACGCCGAAAAGAUUGGCCCCACCACCUCCACCGCCUGCACCGCCCUCUCCAAAGAGUGCACGGUCGGUCCCCUCGCCUUCAAAGCGAGGUAGUCAGAAGCGGUCCGCCCAAGAACGACCGAAGUCAUCGGUCCCACCUCCAAAGAAGGCUGCCUUAGCAAAGAGAGCUAAGACGCCAGAAAAAUUACCUUACGAAAAGAGUGAAGAGGAGGUAAUUGCUGCAUCCAAAGGUGAGGUGAAACAAUUUUUUGAUAAAUUGAAGGAGGAUAGGAAAAAAUGGCUUAACCCAGAAAAGCCGUACUUUUAUGUAAAGCCAUCGGAACUGAGGCAGAAGGUGGCGGACCAUCAAAACAAGCAACGCGAAGCUCGGAAAAAGCCAGCACUUUCGGACUAUGAGCGGUCUCUGGUCAAGUCUUCACAGCCUAAGAAGAGAGUAGGAAAGGGGGUCCCACAGCUCGGAGAAGUAUCAAAACCGGUGCCCCCUUUGAUUGUGCCAAAUCAAUACGGCUCAAAUGAAGACUUGAUGCCAAAGAAAUCCUUAGCAUUGUCUGAGCUAGACUCGCUUGAGCGUUACUUUGGACAGAGCGGUUUAAAUAUGGAAGAAAUUGCCGCCAUUCUUGGAUGCCAAACAUUUGAAAAAGCCGAGGUAGUUGAUCAAUGGAGGGCAAGAUAUGAACCGGACAGGAGUCUAUUCGACCCUCAGCGUUUACACGAGCUCGGCACACAAAUGUUUGUAAUAAACAAAUAGUGUAUUGAGGCGUCUAAAAGGGGAGAGAAUUGGAUUUCUGUUCGUAUUAGACAACAUCACUACUUCCAUGGAGAUGACCUCAUAUACGUGCAGUUCGAAGAAUUGCACCAAUUAUGUCACCUCGACGCUCUCGACAAAUCUCUUGUCAGCUGCUUUUGUCUGUAAGUAUUUUUUUUCUUUUUAUUAUACUUCUAACUUCUUUAAUUACAUGUAUAUAAACCUUACACACUUAGGAUUUGUAUGUAUAUAUACAGGCACCAAAUGAGAGAGCUAGAAUCAGAAAUGACAAUAAUAUUGGGUUCGUUGACCCUUAUAUUGUUUUCAAAGCUCCGCAGGCAGUGUGGACAGCAGCUCAUGAGACAUAAGUCUGCACCAAUGUUAUGAGGUUCUUUGUGAACCAAAAAGAAAAACAAAAAAUACUCUUCUCCUUCGAGUGAGUUAUGUAGUUAUUAAGUGCAUGCAUAUUUUAUUUUAAUAAUUAUUACUCGAGACAAGUUUUAUAUAGUUAUAUAUAGGCCUGACUAUAUAUAUGUGUGUGUAAACAGGUUUUACUGGAUACUCAUGGUCAUUGAAAUUCCCAAGAACCGGUUGAUAAUCUUUGACUCAAUGAGAAAACCACAAGAAAAUUAUCAACAAAUGGUAAACAUUAUUCAAAGGUACGUAAUGUCGAUCUCAGCUAGAAGAAUAUCAUAAUAUGACUCUAUAAUUAUUAGUUCAUGAUCCACAAUGGCUGUGUGUAGGGUUUGGGAAAGAUUCAUUGACCGUGAACAUCUCAGUGGAUGUAAAGUGCCGCUUAACAUAAUACAUCCACAAGUAAGUUCUACUAGCUAGCAAACUUUCGCUAACUUUUAGCCUUCUUAUUGUCGUCGUUGUGAAUAUUUUAUAUAUAUAUAUCGUACAGUGGUGUUUAAGACAAGAAGGGGGAAACAAUCUAUGUGCAUAUUACGUGUGCAAAUUCAUGAUGGCACAAGUCAAUCAAACACCCACGGAGACACUCAAAGUACGUUACAUGUCUCUUUUCAUUAUCUCCUGAAUUAUAUUGAAUAACUUAGAUAACUAAUACCUUUUUUAUUUAUUUCAAAUUAAAGACGGAAUGGUUGAGAGAAAAGGUCAUACAAAAAGACCGAAUCAAAGCUAUCCAAGAGACGAUAGCAGGAUUUCUCCGCGAGCAAGUGAUCAAUCCAAACGGCGAGUUUCACUUCAACGGCAACGAGACUUUUAUUACAAACAAUGAUGAUCAUUUGUAUCGUUUGUAGACAUUGAGAGAAAAAACUCUAUGUAUAUAUGUGUUACGAAUUUUGUACAUAUAAAACUAUAUAUAUAUAAAGCUUUUUACAUAUCUAUUUAAUUUUUGAUGCCGCCUAUUCAUUUUAUUAUAGGCAAAGCUUAAUUAUUAAGCUAAGCCUAUAAUUUUCAUUUAUAUAUGCUUAAUAUGCGUGUAAUAUAAAUAUAUUAUUGUAUCAGCAAAAACAUGUAUUGAAAAACCUAUUAUUAUUAUAUAAAAAUAAUAAAUGGAACCGAAGAAGUGAACCAAAAAAAAGAAACACUUUAACACUGGUUGGUAACAUCAAAAUAAGAAAAAGGGUCGUGGAAGGGGGCAGACAAAACGGGACCCUUUAACACCGGUUGGUAUUACCAACCGGUCUUAAAGGGGGGGCAUUAGCCCCGGUUCCCUGAACCGGGACUAAAGGGUGGGCCUUUAGUCCCGGAAGGGCAGCACCGGCUCGGGAACCGGGGCAACAGGCCCUUCCCGACCGGUGCUAAUGCCCGAUCAUGCAGCAGUGCUUGUACUUUUCUUGUGUCAAGUUAAGGCAUUACUGGCUAUCGGUCGAAUGCACUAUCAUAUGCAAAGAUGACGUAGUCAGAUACAUGUUGUCGAUGCCGAUUAGGAGUGGCAGAAUCAGCAAAUGGAUGCUAGCGUUAUCGGAAUUUGACUUACGUUAUGAAUCGGCUAAGGCAGUUAAAGGGCAGGUCAUGGCCGAUUUCGUAACUCAGCAUUGUGGUGUAGUGGAUGCUCUGGAAAUUGUUUCUUGGACACUCUACUUUGAUGGAUCUACAUGUGAUCGGGGGGCAGGUAUCAGUAUAGUAUUGAUUUCUCCUCGAGGAAAGAAAUAUAAGUUUUCUUUAACAAUUGUUGCUACGUCGACAAACAAUCAAGCUGAGUACCAAGCCCUAAUCAAAGGGUUAGAAUUAUUAAAGGAGGUUCAUGCCAAUGCUGUCAAAAUUUUCGAUGAUUCUAUGCUUGUUAUAAAUCAAUUGGUCGGGAUUUAUGAAUGCCGAAGUGAAGUUUUGAUAAUAUAUUAUGAAAGGUGCAUACAAUUAUUGAAGGAAUUUAGGGAUUUCCGAUUAGAGCAUAUUCCUUGGUUGCAUAAUGAAGAAGCUAACCGAUUGGCUCAACAUGCCUCGGGGUAUCAACCCAUCAUGGAAAUAUUAUCGGCAGUUAGUGUCGAUGAUUGGAGAAAAGAAAUUACUGAUUAUUUAAAAGAUCCAUCCAGAAAAGUUGAGAGACGUGUUAGGUUUCAAGCUACAAAGUAUGUACUCCUUGAAGAAGAAUUAUAUUAUCAUACAAUAGAUGGAGUUUUGCUUAAAUGUUUAGGUGAUGAUGAAUCCAAAAGCUUGAUGGGUGAAACUCAUGAGGGAGUAUGUGGAGUACCAAAUAUAAUCAUCAAAUAAAUAAAGAAAAGGAUCCAAAUGCAACCAACACCCAGACUUAGGGCUUUAUCUGACGGAAUUCCACGAGUUUUGGUGUUUGUCUAUUUCUGCAGGGGGUUAUCAGGAAAUAUGGAGGAAAGGCCCACAUGUCGGGUUUACAUAGAGAUAUUAACGUGUCGCGCAAUUUUCUAUCAUCUAGAAGACUCCAGAAGCCACGGGAAUGAACGUGAAGACGAACGGGCUCAGGGAUAGGGCGCCCGCCCUGGUGUUUCGGCCAAUCACGUUCUACUUCGCGGAUCAUGCUCCACCGACCUAAAGGAUCAAGGAAAACCGUGCGAUCAAUGUCGGUUUGAUCCGACGGCCUAGAUUCACUUGAGGGGACUAUAUAAGCAGGCCCCCUGGCCCCUGGAGGAGGCACCCCUUCAUCCUUAUUCAUUAUUCAUAGAUAGAGCAAAAGCUAGGGUUUGGAGAUGAGAGCUCUCGUCUCAUCUCUAAACUAGAGUAGAUCUAGAUAGUAGCGAGAUGGAGAGCGAGGGAGGAUUGGAGGAGAGGCCGGCCAGUCGGUUCUUCCUCCGGUUGUACUUCGCCAUGAUCAAGCUCUAAUCAAGCUUGCUCAUGGGAUGAUUCUGGUAAUCUACUUCUAUUUCAUUAUGCAAUUACUAUCCAUGUAUGUUCUGGUUCACAACUCUUUUGAGUACUUUAAUCUAUAGGACGCUAUAGGUGAGAGUUGUAGUAUAGGUGUAAGCGUGGUGCUUAGACCUAGAUUACUUGAGGAUAUCCCCUGUCUAGUCGGUUCGUGUGGUAGGCCGCAUAGGUGACAGCUAUGUUGGUCCCCUGUAGUCCACCUCCCAUUAGCAGGACUAGUAGGGUUUAUCGGCCUAUGGAUAAGCAUCCUUUGUGGUGUAUUCUUAUCAUGUGGUUCGUCCCAGACAUAGACAUACCCCUUUGAAGUAGAGAAACCAUAGUUAUCCUCUCUAUUCUCCUACCAUCGCCCAUAUAUUAGAUUGCUCUACUCUCUAUUCCCAUAUUAUCACCCAUUGUUAUCUUACCUUUAAUAUUAUUCUUAUUCAAUUGUACUAUCUUUCCUAUUUACACCUACCUAUCUAUCUAGGUUAAGUUAGAGCGUAGAUCAGUUCUCCCGUUUCCGUGUGGAUACGAUAAAACCUUUAACUGGGUAAAAGCUACAACGGUAUCCGUGCACUUGCAGGUUUGUCUGUGUGCGUAUAAAUACCAUAGUACACUCUAGUGCCAUGCUGGGGAUGACAACCUAGUAUUCAAGUAGUGUUAGCAAGUGUCAACAAGCUUUUUGGCGCCGUUGCCGGGGAGACGGUUGCUGAGUUGACUACGAACUAGCUUAAUCUAAUCAUUUUCAUAUAUAUAUAUAUAUUUUCCUUUUAUCCUUUGCCUCAGCUCUGCUAUUCUUUCUUUUUAUCUAAUCCUUGAUUUCUGGUCUAUCAUGAAUGCAAACAUGUCUAUCUAUCAGUUUCAUAAACCUACGGGCACACAUCUCGAACCACCAAAAUCUUCAAAGCCUAUCAUAGCAUCUAGUUUUGAGAUAGACCCCGAAUACAUAUAAUUUGUUCAAAAACAACCUUUCUCAGGAGAAGGUGAGGAAAACCCAUACACACACAUAAGAGUGUUUUAUUGAGUCUGUGACCUCCUUCGCGUAGAAGGCAUAUCCGAUGAGACCCUUAAAUGGAAGCUCUUUCUGUUUUCUUUAGUAGGAAAAGCUAGACAUUGGUACAAACUCAAAGUAGGGAGUGUUCAUGGAGAUUGGAAGGAGUUAUAUAAUAGUUUUCUUUUUAAAUAUUUUCCAAUCUCCAAAGUGGCAGAACUUCGGUGUGAGAUUAUUUCUUUCUCUUGGCAAAUCAUGGGACCGCUUUAUUAACCUUACUCUCACUGGCCCAAAGCUUUCUAUUCUAGAAGAAGUUCUUCUAAUUCACUUUUUUGAGGGCCUUAGUAGGGAAAAUAAGCAAACCUUGCAUACAGCCUCUAGAGGAUCCUUCUAUCACGUACCUGCUAGUGAAGCUAAGGAUUUAAUUGAUUCAUUGAGUGGAAAGUUUCCUAGCAUUUAUAUCCCUGAGAAAGAGAAAGAACCAGUUCCUAGACAAGAAGAAGAAGUUUCGAUAGCCAGAUCACAACCACUUCAAUCCCAAACUUUAGCUAUCGAUCCUAAACCAUUAAUACCCCAAAAUUCUCCAAGGGAGGAAGGAAUUCCGACCUUAAAUCUUUCAGAUACUGAUGGUUUAGACUUCUCGUUCCAUAAGAGACUUUCAAGCAUAGAAAAUUCAAAUCCUUGCAAUGAUGGUUCUCUUAGAGAAUGUCCUGGUUCCUAUUAUGAAGAAGUCGAGGAUGACAUAUCAAGUGAAGGAGAGCUAAGCCAUAUAGAAAAUUCUAUUUGCUCCCCUUCCAUGUUCACAAGUUCUAAAUCCAUCCUUGACCUUAGAGAUUCCUCUUAUCCCUCUCCUUUUCAGUCUCAUGAUGAUCCUAGCAAUCCAUCAAGACGAUCAAACCAUAGGAGUCAUAAAGACCAUGAGGAUGACAUGUCAAGUAAUGUCAUAGAAGGAGAGCUAAGCCACAUAGAAAAUUCUAACACCUCCCCUUUCCUGAUCACUAGUUCUAAAUGGCUAGAAUGUGUAGAAUGGAUGGAUAAGGAAGAAGCCUUAAUGGAUUCUGACUUUGGCUCAAUUUCAAAUAGUGAGUUCUUGACUCCCUUUGAAGAUGAGAUUCAUCCAACUAUAGAAGAGGACACAGGUGAGAUCAAUCUAGGAGAAACUCCGAACAUUCAGAUUGGCGACGAAGAUAACAUUAAUGAGCAUGGAAUUUAUUUCAUAGCCACUUUGUUUACUCCAUGCUCAUAUGCAACAUCUUCCCAAUCUAUUGGUCUCUCCAACAUCACCACAUUUGAGAUCUCCAACCCCCUCUUCCUUUCUAUUUAUAAAAACAUUAAAAGGGCGGUUGUCGAUGCAUAUGUCUAUAAUAAAUAUUGCAGAUCUCGUUGAGUUGAUCUUGAUAUAGGUCAACGUUGGAAGGGAAACCACUUCGCCGACAUAAACUGAUUGUUUCCCAAGGACAACCUUAGUGUCCUAAAAUAAGCACUGAUCAGAUCGUAACAUGAGCUUUUAAUUAUUUACAACAAUACCUUGUGUAUUGAGCAUAUAAGGAUAAUUGUAAAAAUAUUCCUUCGGGUAUUCUUGUCACUAACCUUUCCACGAUUGGACCAAGAAGAUUGGAUGAAUGACAAGCACAAGGUAUGUCCAACCAAUCAUCAUACAACAUUGAAUUAAAUCCAAACUUGAAUUUUGCAAAAUUCAAGCUUGGGGGAGUACUUUACAUAAAAACAUCCUUUGCCAUGUUGCUAUGUUGGUUGUCCCUACCUUUGAGACAUGCUCAAUUGAUUAAAUACUAAUCACACUACUUCAUCUCCACUUAAGUAGAUCUCUAUAAAUGCCAUCAUGCUACCUUUGUUUAUCCUAGUAAGUGUUAGUUUGGAAGUACUGCACAUACUUCUAUUGGCUUUUAAAUUAAGCAUGGUGCUUAGGUUAAACAGCCUUCCUUAAUCUGAUUAGACAUGGAGUCUAGUUCAGUUAUUGAACUAAAAACUGCUUGUGUAGACAUUGGUAUAUUUUGUCGGACUAACCCCUGUAGAAAAACUAUCAAUAUCGAUUUGGGAAGUCCUGAGAUAAACUCACAUCGGAGAUGAAGAGAGAGACGCAUGAAGUGUAAUAAUUUGCACAAGAAAGACAUAGCUCAUUCAUCAUAGAGAGAUGAUCCAUGGAAGGAGACAAAGUACAAAAACAAGAUACAUAGCCACUACGAAUGGGAAGCUUCCACAAGGUGAGAUGGUACCAUCACUCUUCAAUUAAGGUAACAUCUUAAGAUAUGUAACUAUCACUUUUAUAAGCUUCUCCUUGGUUUUGGCGUUCACAUAAAUAAAGAGACAAACAUGUAUGAUUUAUAACUCCAAAUUAACCAACCCAACUGAUUUAACAUGUUUAGUCCUUUAAUCUUUGUUCCUAGUACUACCUCCAUGAUCCCACACUUCUAAUCAUAUGAGCUAAAAUGCUGCACACUCAAUCUUUGGAAGAUAUAUAUAAAAAACAUAAAUAUAGAUAGAUUAUCUUUCCAUAAGGAUUGAGCGAUCUGAUCUGACAAAUGUUUUAAAUGAAGAACUUUGUCUUGCUCACUAUGCUGAAGGUUAGAGAAGAACAAAUACACUUUUGGUUCUGUUGGUGUUUUCCACCAAUAGGGCCCAUGCACUUGAUCUCUGCCUUGUCUCUAUGAGCAGAUACACUUAGAGCAAAACAUGGUGGAGUUUUACAACUCCUAGAUUCCACCAAGUGAAGGACCUAGAUCUACGAGCACAAACACACUGAGCAGGAUGCUGCCAACGCCGCACUUCAAAUUGCUGGGCAAACGAAGAACAUGGGUGACAUCGUAUCAAGAGGUGCAGACGUCAAGGUCUGCACCUGAAUCAAAUGAUGCACCUAAAGAAUGAACAUGGUGAGAAGUCUUGUUUAGAAGACUUAAAACAUUGAACCCUCGCCGAAAGGUAAAAUUAGUAGUUAUCCAUAUUUAUCCUUUCUGCUUUCCCUUUUUCCUUAAAUUAUUUACUUUCCUUAAAUGGCUUGUUAGUUAAUCAUGCUAUCUUGAAAAGAAAAUAAAAAUAUUAAAAAUAGUAAGCCCCAUGUGAGUAUGCUCGUGGCAUAAAACCCAUAAGUAUAUUCACUAUGGUGGCGUAAAAAUAAAAAUAUUCAUGUCCUAUAAAAAUGAAAAUAUAAAAAUAAAUUUAUGAUCCUACCAAAAAGAGUAAUAUUUAUUAGAGGAAGCUCAACAUGAUAAAGGCAAAGAGAUUUUUAUGCUAACACUUAACCAGUUCCACAAAGCUUUGUUGUCUAUUUGAGCUCCAUAGAAUUCAAGGAUCAAAGAAAACUAGCAGACGGAGGACAUCCUAAUCGCUGUCAGGAUGCUGCCGACGUUCAAAUACACCUCCGCCACCUGCUAGCUACAUCAGAAGAAAUUACGUCAAAAUCCAUCUUGGGAGAGAGCACCCCCAUUUAUCCAGCUAAGUGUUUCUACUCGCAUUUAUACUGUACUCAAAUAAUAAAAAGAUGCAUAAUCAUAAAAACCCAAAUAAAGAUUUUAUGCUUAUAUAUAUAUCUUUGCUUAGUUUGCUAAAUAAAUAAAUAAAUAAAGUUUGCUAUAAACCCUCAUGAUAAGCUCUCACAUGGAAAUGAUGAAUAGUUGCCCUACCAUGACUAGUUCUCAAAAUUGAAUUCUCUCUCAAAUUUAGGCAUGACUGUUAUGAAUUAAGAUUCGCUCUAAACCUAAACUUGUGGGAAGAGUACUUGAUCUAAAGUCUAAGUCGUUAACGGAUACGAUAUGGGAAGGUUGAGCUGCUGUUUAUCUGUUCCUAGAUAUGCUAGAAUUCUAGAGAAUUUUAUCUUUGAAAAUCUUUAAAAUAUUGCAUGAUGAGUUCCUGUAUGAUGAGAGUUUAAAAUCCUACCAUAGCCAUAUAUACAUGCUUAUUAGACUAUGAACCAUACAUGUACUUUUUACUUCUUAUGAGCAUUGAGUGUGGUCAAGCUGUGUAGACCCUUAGGAGCUUGUCAUGCGGUUAAAAUCAAGAUUCACUUGCAUGUUCACUCAUACAUGCUGCUUCUACUCCGGAAGUACGCAUCCACAUACAUCCACUCAUUUCCAUCUCCAGAUUUACCCAAAAUUAUUCUACUCCUAUCCAGGAGAGAAUAGCCAAAAACAUUAUCCUAUCCCUGUUAUUCCCCGUGAAAUAAAUGCUCGAGAUAUUUUGGUUACUACCACUUGCUACAUUAUUCCAGGAGGGUGAAUGCUCUGAAAAAAAAGUGAAUACGAGGAAAUAAAAAGGGGCAAGUGCCCGAAACCUCGAAGAAAAGAAAAAGUGAGACGAGAGGUAAAAAUGGUCAAGUGUCUGAUAGUAGAAUUAGGGGUACAAGAUACCCACCUGAGAGAAAAGAAAAAAAAUAUAGAGCAUCUCAUUCCCCUCAAAAAGCUUCAAAGUGCAAGAAAGGUAUGUAUCCCCUCAAAAGAGCAAAAGUAGAAUUAGACUUUCACCAUUGUUUUCACCAUUGUCACCAUCAUCACCAUACACCAUUCAUUCACCACACAUGCACAUCUUGAUUUGACUUAUUGACUUGUUUCUCUGGAUCCAUGGUUUGACUAUGCAAUAAAUGUCUUGUAAGUAUGUAUUAGCUGUCUCCCACCUAGGAGCUCCAGAUAUCAAAACCUUAUUAGAGUAGGGUGAGAGAGAAAGCAAUGUCACUAUGCCUCAUACCAAAAAUACCACAUACUUUGAGAGAAGGCAUAUACUAUUAUUGCCUUGGUAAGGAACCAGAAAUACCACAAAAGAGAGAAUUGAGAGAGUCAUACAAGGAACUGGUGCUUGACUUGACCGUUCUAUCUUUUAACUGCUCAAGACACAUGUGACGGUUGCAAGCCCCAUGGUGGAAGGUAAUAUGAGUAAGUUUAAAUCGUAACAGUUUACCUUAACCUAGAGAUGAGAUCUUGUUUGAAUGCAUGUGUACCUUUAAGGCAUAAAACCAUUGUAGAAACUCUUGAGUCCAUCCUUGCUUAGGGACGAGCAAGAGGUAAGCUUGGGGGAGUUGUUGACGGUCCUUAAGUACCAAAUAUAAUCAUCAAAUAAAUAAAGAAAAGGAUGCAAAUGCAACCAACACCCAGACUUAGGGCUUUAUCUGACAGAAUUCCACGAGUUUUGGUGUUUGUCUAUUUCUCCAGGGGGUUAUCAGGAAAUAUGGAGGAAAGGCCCACAUGUCGGGUUUACAUAGAGAUAUUAACAUGUCGCGCAAUUUUCUAUCAUCUAGAAGACUCUAGAAGCCACAGGAACGAACGGGAAGACGAGCGGGCUCGGGGACAGGGCGCCCGCCCUCCCCCCUUGGGCGCCCGCCCUGGUGUUUCGGCCAAUCACGUUCUACUUCGCAGAUCAUGCUCCACCGACCUAAAGGAUCAAGGAAAACUGUGCGAUCAAUGUCGGUUUGAUCCGACGGCCCAGAUUCACUUGAGGGGACUGUUGAUAUUUGGAAACGCAAUAAGGAAUUGAUCCACAAGCGCACGGAUAUCGGUGAGCACUUCACCCGGGAGGUUAUCCAGAGUAUCGUAUUUAUUUUUUUACCACUAGGAGAAAGAGUGCAUCUGACUAACCGGUCUAUUACUACUAACCUUUAGGCACAAAGAAUGUCUUUCGAUGUGAGUGAUAAAUAGAGAAGACUGCAAUCGUAGUCUCCUUCUAACCUUGGUAAGGAUGAUCUACUGUUCUAAUGGGGAGGCUAACAGAAUCUAGACACCACAAAGGAUGUUCAACCCGCACCUAUAAACCCUAUCCUUCCUGCUAACGAGAUGUGAUCUGCAAAGGUAACUCUGAAUUGUCACGUUCCUCACUACUACCACGGUCCAGCUAGUCAGGGAAUAUCUAUGAGUACCCCAGCCUAAACACCACGUUUACGCCAGCAAUGAUUACUCUAAACUCUACGCGAAGAGAUUAAAGUAAACUCAUAAACCAUAAGAACAAUAAAACAAGAACUUACUAGAAUUUAGAAGUCGAAUUACUGAAGAAUCCUAGGAGCAAGCUUCGGGUUAGGAGAACUUGAUCCCGCAGGUACAAGAGUGGAGUAGACACCGACAGGCCGGGCUUCCUCCAAUCUACACCUCCACUCUAUCUCUCUCAAUCUAGUAGAAACUAGAAGAUCUAUUUCUACCUUACAUUGAUUGCUAAGCCUAAAAAGAAAUAUUAAUUAGAGAACAGGUUUUCCUUCGAGGGCACCCCUCAGUCUCUAUGAUAAUUUCUUCAUGUCUUCUCCAGGGGCCAGGGGGGUCUCCUUAUAUAGUCCUCCCCUUCUAUGCGUUUUUGGGUCGAUAGGCGAGGUGGUACUAUGUUUUUCUUGAUCCAAUAGGUCGGUGGAAUAUCCCGAGCGAAGAGAGUCCUGAUUGGCAUCCAGAGGGGGGCGGGCGCCCAGGUCACCAGGGCGGGCGCCCUGGGCCUGGCCCCUUUCGGCCUCCGUCUUCUUCCCGUGGCUUCUGAAGUCUUCUAGAUGGUAGAAAAUUGCGCGGUGCGUUGAUAUCUCUAUGUAAUCCCGACAUGUGGGCCUUUCUUCCUUAUUUCCUGAUAACCCCCUGCAGAAAUAGAUAAACAACAAAACUUGUGGAAUUCUGUCAGAUCAAACCCUAAUUCUAGGUGUUGUUUGCAUAUUGGUCCUUUCUCUUGUUUAUUUGAUAAUUAAAAUUGAUACUUAAGAACCGUCAACAGGGACUAUAUAAGCAGGCCUCCUGGCCCCUGGAGGAGGCACCCCUUCAUCCUUAUUCAUUAUUCAUAGACAGAGCAAAAGCUAGGGUUUGGAGAUGAGAGCUCUCCUCUCAUCUCUAAACUAGAGUAGAUCUAGAUAGUAGCGAGAUGGAGAGCGAGGGAGGAUCGGAGGAGAGGCCGGCCUGUCGGUUCUUCCUCCGGUUGUACUUCGCCAUGAUCAAGAUCUAAUCAAGCUUGCUCAUGGGAUGAUUCUGGUAAUCUACUUCUAUUUCAUUAUGCAAUUACUAUCCAUGUAUGUUCUGGUUCACAACUCUUUUGAGUACUUUAAUCUAUAGGACUCUAUAGGUGAGAGUUGUAGUAUAGGUGUAAGCGUGGUGCUUAGACCUAAAUUACUUGUGGAUAUCCCCUGUCUAGCUGGAUCGUGUGGUAGGCCGCAUAGGUGACAGCUAUGUUGGUCCCCUGUAGUCCACCUCCCGCUAGCAGGACUAGUAGGGUUUAUCGGUCUAUGGAUAAGCAUCCUUUGUGGUGUAUUCUUAUCAUGUGGUUUGUCCCAGAUAUAGACAUACCCCUUUGAAGUAGAGAAACCAUAGUUAUCCUCUCUAUUCUCCUACCAUCGCCCAUAUAUUAUAUUGCUCUACUCUCUAUUCCCAUAUUAUCACCCAUUGUUAUCUUACCUUUAAUAUUGUUCUUAUUCAAUUCUACUAUCUUUCCUAUUUACACCUACCUAUCUAUCUAGGUUAAGUUAGAGCGUAGAUCAGUUCUCCCGUUAACCUGUGGAUACGAUAAAACCUUUAACUGGGUAAAAGCUACAAUGGUAUCCGUGUGCUUGCGGUUUUAUCUGUGUGCGUAUAAAUACCAUAGUACACUCUAGUGCCAUGCUGGGGAUGACAACCUAGUAUUCAAGUGGUGUUAGCAAGUGUCAACACACAUCAAUCAGCUUUUAAGAUGAAGUGGAUGAUUAGAAGGAACGGAUAUUUUGGCCGACUAUACUUGAGGAUUGUUUUAAGUAUUUCAAAGGGUGUCAAGGAUGUUAGAAGUUUGGCAAUAUUCAAAGGGUACCCGCAUCGGCUAUGAAUCCUAUUAUUAAACCUUGGCCGUUCCGGGGUUGGGCUAUUGAUCUCAUCGGUCAAAUUUAUCCGCCAUCGAGUAAAGGGCAUAAGUUUAUCCUUGUUGCCACUGAUUAUUUCACUAAAUGGGUUGAGGCUAUUUCUUUGAAGAAAGUGACAUCGGCCAACAUGAUUGAUUUUGUGAAAGAGCAUAUUGUUUACCAAUUUAGCAUUCCCCAAACAAUCACUACCGAUCAAGGUACUAUGUUUACGUUAGGAGAGUUUGAUGAGUUAGCAGUCGGUAUGGGGAUUAAAGUGUUGAAUUCUUCUCCUUACUAUGCUCAAGCCAAAGAUUGAGGAAAAUCCCAGACGAUGGCAUACUCUGUUAAAUGAAGCCUUAUGGUCAUAUCGGAUGGCGUGUCAUGGUUCGACCAAAGUGUCACCUUAUCAACUGGUGUAUGGACAUGAUGCAGUACUACCAUGGGAAAUUAAAACUGGUUCUAGGCGAAUGUUUUCUCAAGAUCAGUUAACUGCUGGUGACUAUGCUACUUUGAUGAAAGAUGAGUUGGAAGAUUUAGCAGGGCAUCGGUUAAGAGCUUUAAUUAGCAUAGAGGAGAAUAAAAAGACAGUGGCUAAGUGGUAAGAUACCGAGGCUUUUACUUGUCCUCGAGAAAAGGAUGGUUAAGAACAAUAUCUGGGGUAAAUAUUUAAAAACAUUCUUUAUAUUUGCAGGGUGUUAAAAAUUCCACUGUGUACCAUAGUCAGGGAAGUUUAUGAUCAAGAGUAAAGAUCCUUUCUUCUCAAUCCUGUCACUUGGAGCUUUUUGUAUAUUUUUUUUGAAAGAAAGUUAGCAUACUUUUGAUCCUCAUAGGUUCUCUCAGAUCACUCAUUAUCUUUUAUAUAUAUCUCACUAAGGCUGUUUUAUUUUUGCAAAAAUUCUCAUGCAUACUUACUUUGCAUUUAUUGCUUGAUCAAAACGGGAUCCGAGGAGGGGAAUGUCAUACUCUUAGAUCAAAGACUUUGGAAAUUCAAAUCUUUGUCAACUCUUGCUGGCAUAUUGCUUAUUAGAGGGACCAUUGGCUAUCAUUUCAUUUUUUUUCCUUUUUCUUCUUUUUUUUAAGUGGAUACCGAGGUACCCCUAAUUCCACUGCCGGACACUUGUCCAUUUUUUUUCUGCGAGGUUGUCGAGCACUUGCUCCUUUUUAUUUCCUCAAAAUAUCUCUAUUUUUGCAUAGCCCAUGCCUCUAAUGCAAUAAUACUUCGGAAGAGUGAAUCUUUCUAAAUAAAUGUCUUGAUCUUAGGAGCAUGAUAAAUCUCUCAACAAGGGUCUAACUCAUUUUGAACAAACUCAAUACAGAGUAGAUAGCUUUUAUAAUCAUAAUCAAUAUUUUCAGUUUUAUCAGGCAUAUAAAACACUGAGGAUGGUAGCUAGAAUUUUGAAUAUUUUGAAAUAAAUUCUCCAAGUAACAAUGAUAUCAAGAAUAAGAAACUCAUACUCUAUAUUCCAUAUUGACUUAAGUGACACAGGGUUUUAAAAUGAUUUUCAAUAAUUGCAAGUUUUUCAGGAAAUAUCACAGAUUGAGAUUAAUCAUGAUUAGAAAUCUUUUAAUCUUUUUAUUUUAUCAUAUCGGAAACAGUAAUCUGCAUAAUCAAGAUAGUUGUAUGUGUAAAGUGAAGUGUGUAGAGUGUGUACCUGAAUCGUGGAGUGGUGUAGUCGGAGUGUGUUUGGCAUGUUGAGGGAUCUCCCCCAUACUUGUUUUCUGCUUCCUUGCACAAAAAUAAAGUAGAGACACACAAGACAUAAUAAUAAUAAUAAUAAUAGUAAUACUCUUUAUUACUCUUGAGGCGUUUAUUACAAAAGACUAGUAGCAAACUGAUAACAAACUGAUGAUAAUAGCAAACUGAUGAUAAUUGCAAACCUAAACCGAAUUUAAAGAUAGAUAAUGUUGACGGUCCUUAAUGCUCACAAUUAACCAUCAAGUUUUAUCUAAAUGCAACCAACACCUAGACUUAGAGUUUUAUCUAACAGAAUUCCACGAGUUCUGGUGUUUGUCUAUUUCUGCAGGGGGUUAUCAGGAAAUAUGGAGGAAAGGCCCACACGUCGGGUUUACAUAGAGAUAUUAACGUGCCGCGCAAUUUUCUAUCAUCUAGAAGACUCCAGAAGCCACGGGACCGAAGCGGAAGUCGAGAGGCCUCAGGGACAGGGCGCCCGCCCUAGUCCUGAGGGCGCCCGCCCUCCCCCCUGGACCAAUCAGGGUGAAGUUCGGGGAUCAUGCUCCACCGACCUAAUACUUCAAGGAAAACCACACGAUCAAUGUCGGUUUGAUCCGACGGCCCAGAUUCACUUGAAGGGACUAUAAAACCAGACCCCCCUGGCCCCUGGAGAUCAUACCUCUUCUACAGAAUCAAAGUUAGGGUUUCAAUUAUUCAUCCAAGUAGAGAGGAUCCCUCUAGUUCUUCUAGUUCUACCUCUAGUUCAUCUAGAUCUAGUUCUAGUUCAUCUAGUUCUAGUUCUAGUUCCUCUAGUUCUAGUUCUAGUUAGUUCUAGUUGUAAUCUAGAAAAUAGGGAGAGAGAAGAGGAGAGCGGAGGAGGAGCCGGAUCUAUCGGAUCUUCCUCAACAUUAUACUUUUGCAGCAUCUGGUUCGUUCUUCAUCGUUCUCCAGGUUCUUCAAUUCAUAAUUCCUGAGUUCUUUAAUUACUUUUAUUUACAUUCAAGUUAUUUAUUGGAUUCCCGCUUGCAUCAAGUGCUCUAGUCUUUAUAACGCUAGAGUAGUAAUUAAUAGAUUAGACGUGGUGUUUAGUCUUGCGAUUACCUGGAAUUGCACCCAAUCCUGCGGAUUGUUGUGGUAGCCUUAGGGUAGUGACAGCCCUAACGGUCGACGUAUUCCACCACGUUCGGGUCGGUGUUUGUAGGACCGUAGUCAGACCUUCCUAGCCCCCUUCUCAUCUCUUUCUGUGGUUAGUGCUCUGAUGUCCCGAUAUAGAUAAUCUUGAAGUAAUUCUUGAUUCUUAGAUCAACUAGAGAACUCUCAGGAAACUUCCUCUCUUCCCACCAAAAAUAAUUAUAUAGUUAUCCUUGGGCAAUCUUGGAUCUUAAUUAGUACACUCACGUUCUCUGUGGAAAAUCGAUACUCUGGAAUACUCCCGGGUGAAGGCUACAUCGGUAUCCGUGCGCUUGCGGAUUUUUCUGUUUGCGUUUAAAAUACCCAACAAGCUUUCUGGCGCCGUUGCCGGGGAACGGUAGCUGUGCUAGUUUCAAACCAAGUCGUCCGUGUAUCUUUUUUUCUUUUCCUUUUUACCACACUCACCUUAUCAUUUUCACCGUACCACAUGGAUUUCACUCUAAGCAUUAAUGAGCAUGGAAUUUAUUUCAUAGCCACUUCAUUUACUCCAUGCUCAUAUGCAACAUCUUCACAAUCCAUUGGUCUCUCCAACAUCACCACAUUCGAGAUCUCCAACCCCCUCUUCCUUUCUAUUCAUAAAAACUUUAAAAGGGCGGUUGUCGAUGCAUAUGUCUAUAAUAAUUUUUUUGCAGAUCUCAUUGAGUUGAUCUUGAUAUAGGUCAGCGUUGGAGGGAAAACCACUUCACUGACAUAAAUUGAUGGUUUCCCAAGGACAAGCUUAGUGUCCUAAAACAAGCACUGAUUAGAUCAUAACAUGAGCUUUUAAUUAUUUGCCACAUUACCUUGUGAGUUGAGCAUAUAAGGAUAAUUGUAAAAAAAUUCCUUCGGGUAUUCUUGUCACUAACCUUUCCAGGAUUGGAGCAAGAAGAUCGGAUGAAUGACAAACACAAGGUAUGUACAACCAAUCAUCAUACAACAUUGAAUUAAAUUCAUCCAAACUUGAAUUUUGCAAAAUUCAAGCUUGGGGGAGUACUUUAUAUAAAAACAUCAUUUGCCAUGUUGCUAUGUUGGUUGUCCCUACCUUUGAGACAUGCUCAAUUUGUUAAAUAGUAAUCACACUACUUCAUCUCCACUUGAGUAGAUCUCUAUAAAAGCCAUCACGCUACCUUUGUUUAUCCUAGUAAGUGUUAGUUUGGAAGUACUGUACAUACUUCUAUUGGUUUUUAAAUUAAGCAUGGUGCUUAGGUUAAACAGCCUUCCUUAAUCUAGUUAGACAUGGAGUCUAGUUUGGUUAUUGAACUAAAAACUGCUUGUGUAGACAUUGGUAUAUUUUGUCAGACUAACCCCUGCAGAAAAAAAAAACUUUUAACAUCAACCUGGGAAGUCCUGAGAUAAACUCACAUUGGAGACAAAGAGAGACACACAUGAAGUUUAACAAUUUACACAAGGAAGGCAUAGCUCACAAGAGAUGAUCCAUGGAUGGUGCCACAAACACAAUGCACAACCGCUAAGGGAGGAAAGCUUCCACAAGGUGAUACUGUACCAUCACUCUUCAAGUAAGGUAACAUCUUAAAGUACUUGACUAUCACUUCUAUAAGCUUCUCCCUGGUUCUGGCGUUCACAUGAAUAAAAGAGACAAACAUGUAUGAUCUACAACUCUAGAUUAACCAACCCAAUCGAUUCAACAUGUUUAGUCCUUCCACCUUUGUGAUUCCACACUCCUAAUCAUAUUAGCUAAAAUGUUGCACACUCAAUCUUUGAAAGAUAUAUUUUAUAAAAAAAACAAAUCAACAUAAAUAUAGAUAGAUUAUCUUUCCAUUAGGUUGAGCGAUCUGAUCUGACAAAUGCUUUAAAUGCUACACUCAUGAUCUUAUUAUCCAUCAACUUUGUCUUGCUCAUUAUGCUUAAGGUUAGAGAAGAACAAAUACACUUUUAGUUCUGUUGGUGUUUUCGACCAACAGGGCCCAUGCACUUGAUCUCUGCCUUGUCUCUAUGAGCAGGUACACUUCGAGCAAAAUAUGAAGGAGUUUUACAACUCCCAGACUCCACCAAGUGAAGAACCUAGAUAUAUGAGCACAAACACACUAGAGAUACUGGACACUCAUGCAAACACUGCCCUGAGAUGCUUGAGGAUGUAACUACUGGAGUAACCCCGUUGUGGAAGUAAUUACUGACCUUCUGCCGGUCAAGAGAGACAAUCUAGGAUGCACCGUCAUCCCGAUCUCCAUCGGCAUGGUGGACUUCCGAAAAGCACUCUGCGACUUUGGCUCCAGUGUCAACACUAUGCCCAGGGUACUCUAUGAAAAAAUUCUUUACACAUCCUUUAUCAGAAACAACCAUGUGUUGCAGCCUGCAGUCAGACACUAAGUUUCCCAAAGGGAAUAUUGAAGAACCUCUGCGUCCGAGUUGGUACCUUGUACUCCCUAGCAGACUUCGUGGUGAUAGAGACUGGUACUGAUGAGAGGGCACCCGUCAUCUUAAGGAGGCCAUUCCUGAACACCUCAGGAGCUGUCAUCCACGCUAGUGCUGCCAAGAUCCAUUUCUACAUCAAAGGGAGGAAGGAGACAUUUUCCUUCAAGAACAAGACUACACAAAUCUUAGAGCAAUCCUGACGUGAACCAAGGAAAGGACCAACAGGAGGAACAGGAACAAGCAAAUGUGUACCGAGUCAACUAAGAUGGUCACUGCAGCUCAAGGAGGCCAAGAUCGUCAACUCAAGUCACCUUUCUUGAUCAAGAAGGACGACCCUGGUGUUCCAAGCAUCGAGUGCACAAUCAACGGAUAUUCCUUUUAGAAGACACUCUAUGACACCAGAUCUGACAUCAACAUAAUGGGCGCAGUCACUUAUCAGCUCCUGCAUGGAACCAUGCCCCUACAACCAACAUACAUUCAGCUCCACAUGAUUUUAAGGUUAUUGACAUGGGAGAAGACAAGUACGAUCCACCCAUCAUCCUUGGAAGACCGUUCCUCAGCACCGUUAAAGCAAUCAUCUACAUUGGAACUAGAGGAGUCCACAUACAGUUCCCCUCUGAGAAGGUACGCUGCUAUUUUACUAACCCUAACUAUAUAGUUGAAGACUCUAAGCAGGUUAGGACAAGAAGAAGACGACGCAACCGCAACCAGAGGAGGAAAAUCAUAAAGGACGGAUGGGCAGACUAUGAAGGAGAAGUCGUAAGAUCUGAAGACAUACAGCUUGAACAGAACUGUCCUGAGGAGGCCGUAGCACCGAGUCAGGUGUGUAGAGAGAAGAUAGUUAUACACGAAGAGCAGGCUCUGCCGGAACCACCGACUAUGCCAUCCAGCAAAUCCCAGGACGACUGAGGAAACGGAGAGUCCCGUUCGGAGGACUUAAAAACACCGAACGCCUUGCCAAGAGGUAAACUUGGUAGUUAUCCUUUUCCUUUCAAUUAUUUAAAAUAGUUUGCUUAGUUAAUCAGGUUCAUAUCAUCUUCAAAAGAAAAUAAAAAUGUUAAAAAACAGUAAGCCCCAUGUGAGUAUGCUCAUGGCAUAAAACCCAUAAGUACAUUCACUGUGGUGGCGUAAAAAUAAAAUAAAUAUAUUCCUGUCCUAUAAAAAUGAAAAUAUAAAAAUAAAUUUAUGAUCCUACUAAAGAGAGUAACAUUUAUUGAGGAGGCUCAACAUGAUAAAGGCUAAGUAUUUACGCUAACCCUUAACCAGUUCCACAAAGCUUUGUUGUCUAUUUGAACUCCACAGAAUUCAAGGAUCAAAGAAGACUAGCAGACGGAGGACAUCCUAAUCACUGUCAGGGUGCUGCCGAUAUUCAAAUACACCUCCGCCACCUGCUAGCUACAUCAGAAGAAAUUACGUCAAAAUCCAGCUUGGGGGAGAGCACCCUCAUUUAUCCAGCUAAGUGUUCUACUCACGUUUAUACUUUACUCAAAUAAUAAAAAGAUGCAUAAUCAUAAAAACCCAAAUAAAGAUUUUGUGCUUAUAUAUAUCUUUGCUUAGUUUGCUAAAUAAAUAAAUAAAUAAAGUUUGCUAUGAACCCUCAUGAUAAGCUCUCACAUGGAAAUGAUGAAUAGUUGCUCUGCCAUGACUAGUUCUCAAAAUUGAAAUCUCUCUCAAGUUUAGGCAUGACUGUUAUUAAUUAAAAUUUGCUCUAAACCUGAACUUGUGGGGAGAGGACUUGAUCUAAAGUCUAAGUCGUUAACGGAUAUGAUAUGGGAAGGUUGAGCUGCUGUUUAUCUGUUCCUAGAGAUGCUAGAAUUCUGGAGAAUUUUAUCUUUGAAAAUCUUUAAAAUAUUACAUGAUGAGUUCCUGUAUGAUGAGAGUUUAAAUUCCUACCACCGCCAUAUAUACAUGCUUGCAAGACUUUGAGCCACACAUUUACUUUUUACUGCUUAUGAGCAUUGAGUGUGGUCAAGCUGUGUAGACCCUUAGGAGCUUGUCAUGUGGUUAAGUCAAGAUUCACUUGCACGUUCACUCAUACAUGCUGCUUCUACUCUGAAAGUACGCAUCCACAUAUAUCCAUCCAUUUCCAUCUCCACAACCACCUAAAAAUAUUCUACUCCUAAUCAGGGAGAGAAUAGCCAAAAACAUUUCUGUUUUCCCUUGUGAAAUAAAUGCUCAAGUUAUCUUGUUACUACCACUUGCUAUAUUAUCUCAUGAGAUGAGUGCUCUAAAAAAAAGAGAGAGAAAAAAAAAGAAAAAAAGAAAAAAAGAAAAAAAAGAGAUACGAGGAAAUAAAAAGGGGCAAGUGCCCGGAACCUCGAAAGAAAAGAAAAAAGUGAGACGAGAGGUAAAAAUGGACAAGUGUCCGACAGUAGAAUUAGGGGUACAAGAUACCCACCUGAGAGAAAAGAAAAAGAAAAUAUAGAGCAUCUCAUUCUCCUCAAAAAGUUUCAAAGAGCAAGAAAGGUAUGUAUCCCCUCAAAAGAGCAUAAGUAGAAUUAGACUUUCACCAUUAUCACCAUCAUCACCAUACACCAUUCAUUCGCCACACAUGCAUAUCUUGAUUUGACUUAUUGACUUGUUCUUCUGGAUCCAUGGUUUGACUAUGCAAUAAAUGUCUUGUAAGUAUGUAUUAGCUGUCUCCCACCUAUGAGCUCCAGAUAUCAAAAGCCUUAUUAGAGUAGGGUGAGAGAGAAGGCAAUGCCACUAUGCCUCAUACCAAAAAUACCACAUACUUUGAGAGUAGGCAUACACCAUUACUGCCUUGGUAAGGAUCCAGAAAUACCACAAAUGAGAGACUAGAGAGAGUCAUACAAGGAAUCUCUGAGUUUUAUUUGAAAAUUUGCAAAAACCCAGACCUAUAGCUGAUCAAGAAUAAGAGACAUGGUGCUUGACUAGACCGUUCUAUCUUUUAACUACUCAAGACAGAAGUGACGGUUACAAGUCCCAUGGUGAAAGGUAAAUGAGUAAGUUUUAAGUCUUAACAGUUUACUCUAACCAGAGAUGAGAUCUUGUUUAAACGCAUCUGUAUCUUUAAGUUAUGAAACCACUGCAGAAACUCUUGAGUUCAUCUUUGCUCAGGGACGAGCAAAGGUUAAGCUUGGGGGAGCUUGUUGACGGUCCUUAAUGCUCACAAUUAACCAUCAAUUAAUCAUGGAAAAGGAUCCAAAUGCAACCAACACCUAGACUUAGGGUUUUAUCUAACAGAAUUCCACGAGUUUUGGUGUUUGUCUAUUUCUGCAGGGGGUUAUCAGGAAAUAUGGAGGAAAGGCCCACACGUCGGGUUUACAUAGAGAUAUUAACGUGCCGCGCAAUUUUCUAUCAUCUAGAAGACUCCAGAAGCCACGGGACCGAAGCGGAAGUCGAGAGGCCUCAGGGACAGGGCGCCCGCCCUAGUCCUGAGGGCGCCCGCCCUCCCCCCUGGACCAAUCAGGGUGAAGUUCGGGGAUCAUGCUCCACCGACCUAAUACUUCAAGGAAAACCACACGAUCAAUGUCGGUUUGAUCCGACGGCCCAGAUUCACUUGAAGGGACUAUAAAACCAGACCCCCCUGGCCCCUGGAGAUCAUACCUCUUCUACAGAAUCAAAGUUAGGGUUUCAAUUAUUCAUCCAAGUAGAGAGGAUCCCUCUAGUUCUUCUAGUUCUACCUCUAGUUCAUCUAGAUCUAGUUCUAGUUCAUCUAGUUCUAGUUCUAGUUCCUCUAGUUCUAGUUCUAGUUAGUUCUAGUUGUAAUCUAGAAAAUAGGGAGAGAGAAGAGGAGAGCGGAGGAGGAGCCGGAUCUAUCGGAUCUUCCUCAACAUUAUACUUUUGCAGCAUCUAGUUCGUUCUUCAUCGUUCUCCAGGUUCUUCAAUUCAUAAUUCCUGAGUUCUUUUAAUUACUUUUAUUUACAUUCAAGUUAUUUAUUGGAUUCCCGCUUGCAUCAAGUGCUCUAGUCUUUAUAACGCUAGAGUAGUAAUUAAUAGAUUAGACGUGGUGUUUAGUCUUGCGAUUACCUGGAAUUGCACCCAAUCCUGCGGAUUGUUGUGGUAGCCUUAGGGUAGUGACAGCCCUAACGGUCGACGUAUUCCACCACGUUCGGAUCGGUGUUUGUAGGACCGUAGUCAGACCUUCCUAGCCCCCUUCUCAUCUCUUUCUGUGGUUAGUGCUCUGAUGUCCCGAUAUAGAUAAUCUUGAAGUAAUUCUUGAUUCUUAGAUCAACUAGAGAACUCUCAGGAAACUUCCUCUCUUCCCACCAAAAAUAAUUAUAUAGUUAUCCUUGGGCGACCUUGGAUCUUAAUUAGUACACUCACGUUCUCUGUGGAAAAUCGAUACUCUGGAAUACUCCCGGGUGAAGGCUACAUCGGUAUCCGUGCGCUUGCGGAUUUUUCUGUUUGCGUUUAAAAUACCCAACAGAUAACUAAGAUCUAUUGCCUCAAGGUCUAAUCUAGAUAACUUAGCGGCGCUCUAAUUCCUUGAUCUUCUUGUUGGCACUGGCAAGAUCCUGCCUAAGGCCUAGUAUAAUGGUGUUAUGGUUAGAGAGCUGCCUAGUGAGGGAAUUAAUCGAGGACUGGAGAUCUAUGAUAACUCUGUCUAGCCUGCGAACGUCCUCAUCAAUAUCGACUAUAGUCUUCCGACGUUUGGGAGGUGUCUCAAAAGCAUUGAGAGCGUCCUUCGGGGCUGCCUUUGGAGGGAUGAAACGGACUUUGGCUGCUCUAAUCCCUUCGAAGUAAGGCCUUUCCUCCUCUGUAGUGUAGCGUACGCUGCUGAUCUUGCCGCUCCGGUUGGUCUUGACUCCAAUGACCCUCUCAUUGGAUCUAGGUGGAAGGAUCCUUGUGCCGCUUGACACCUUGAUAGCGGUCUUCGUCUUGGAUGAUGAUCCUUUGAGGAGUAGGGGUUGUGGUGGUGCGGUGAGAACUGGUUGAGCAUGGUAAGAUUGGGCGGAGCUGCGUUGGCGUAAUGGCAUGGCUUCUAGCUGUCGCUCUGUGUUGGCCGGGACGAGAGCACGGGCAUCGGGGUCUUCCACAGGCUCCAUGUUGAGGUUGAAGGGGACGACUUCCCAAUCAUCGUGGUACUUCUCGGCCAUUUGAGCAGCAAGGAACUAAUCAAACUCUAAUUGAAGGAGAGCUAAUCAAGCUCUAAUUGAAGGAGAGAAGGCUUGGUGGCUUGGUGUUUGAAAACUGAGGUCAGGGGUCUGUUUAUAUAGGGGUCAAAAGAGUGCCUUCAUGGGUUGUUCGGGUUGCUCCCGUCGACUUGCGUGGGAAACUUUCCAUCUGAGGGAUUAUUCAAAUUACCAUAAGUGCAUUUUCCAUAAGAGAGAAAGUCGGGACCGAGGGGGAACAGGAGCUGGGCGCCCGCCCACUUGAUCUGGGCACCCGCCCUCUCUCUGGCCCCUCUGUGGGCCCACUUUCCGAGCGCGUUUCCAGAUGCGAAAUUAUUUAGAAAAAUAUAUAUAUGACCGAAAAACAUCAGACCAAAAGUGUCGGGCUCUAAUUCUCUAUGGGAAGGUAAAAAUGGACUACGUCUAUUUCUUCUAAUUCCUCAUUGGGCUCUAAAAAUAAUUUAAGACGUUGACCAUUUACCUUGAAUAACGUACCUUCGUCAUUUUGAAGUGUGAUAGCUCCGUGGGAUGAUGAAUUAAUUACCUUGAAUGGUCCUUCCCAUUUGCUCCGGAGUUUUCCAUGCCCGAAAAGCUUCACCCUGGAAUUAAAAAGUAAUACCUUAUCUCCGGGUGUGAACUCCUUCUUCUUGAUUCUCUUGUCAUGCCACCUCUUGACUCUUUCUUUGUAGAUCUUUGAGUUGUGAUAUGCCUUUUCUCGCCAUUCUUCUAAUUCUGAUAGUUGCAUUCUUCUAUAAUCUCCAGCAACAUCUAGGUCCAUAUUCCAUCUCUUUAUGGCCCAGUGUGCUUUGAACUCUAGUUCAACAGGUAGAUGGCAAGUCUUUCCGUACACCAAUUGGUAUGGAGACAUUCCAAUUGGGGUCUUGUAUGCUGUCCGGUAUGCCCAGAGUGCAUCAGGUAACUUGUCUUUCCAUGCCGUUCCCAUUUCAUUUACUGUCUUCUGAAGAAUAUUCUUGAUUUGUUUGUUGGAAGUCUCUGCUUGGCCACUUGUCUGAGGAUGAUAGGGGGUAGCGACGUUGUGACGGAUUCCAUGUCUUGAUAGAUAUUGCUUGAAGUGUUUGUCGAAGAAGUGUGCUGCUCCAUCACUUAUCACUACACUGGGGAAUCCAAAUCUUGAAAAUAUAAUUUCUUCAAACAUCCUCUUUGAACUGACGUUGUCGGCAUGCUUGCAAGGUAAUGCCUCUACCCACUUGGAGACAUAGUCAACUGCCACCAAGAUGUACUCGCACUUCUUUGAUGAAGGAAAUGGACCCAUAUAGUCUAUUCCCCAGACAUCAAAGAGCUCAAUCUGAAGGUUGUUGGUGAGUGGCAUUGCAUCCCUUGUAUUUAUGUUUCCGUGUCUUUGACAUGGCCCACAUCUUCUGAUAUAUUGCUUCGUGUCUUCAUACAUUGUAGGCCAAUAGAAUCCACACUGCCAGAUCUUUGAAUGUGUACGGAAUGCUCCAUAGUGACCUCCAUAUGGUGAUGAAUGACAUCUGUUGAUGAUCUUCCAUCCUUCCUCAGUGGUCACACAUCUCCUGAGUAAGCCAUCAGAGCAUACUCGGAAGAGGUAUGGCUCAUCCCAUAUAUGUGAACGACUUUCUUGAAUAAGCUUCUUCUUGUUUGCUCCUGGUGGUACAUACCCUGAAACCAUAAAAUUAACAAUAUCUGCAUACCAGGGGUCAGACCUGUUAAUCCCGUAGAGCAUGUCGCCCGGAGUGAAUCAUUGAUGGGGGUUUCCUGUGGACUCUUAAAAUACAUUCUAGACAAGUGAUCAGCAACAGAAUUUUCUACUCCCUUUUUAUCUUUUAUUUCUAAGUCAAAUUCUUGGAGUAAUAAGAUCCAUCUAAUCAGGCGAGGUUUAGCAUCUUUUUUAGUGAGCAAAUAUUUCAGUGCAGCAUGAUCAGUGUAAACAAUUAUUUUAGCUCCAACUAAAUAAGAUCUAAAUUUAUCAAUGGCCAGAAGGUCUUUUUCAGUGGUUGCAUAGUUAAGUUGAGCUCCUGUCAAAGUUUUACUGGCAUAAGCAAUUGCAUGAUGCUCCUUAUCUUUAGUUUGUCCCAAUACUGCCCCCACACCAUAAUCACUGGCAUCACACAUAAUUUCAAAAGGCAACGACCAAUCAGGGGGUUGAAUGAUUGGUGCAGAGAUGAGUGCUUUCUUUAAUAAAUUGAAAGAUGUUAGACAUGCAUCAUCAAAUUCGAAAGGAGCAUCCUUGGCUAGCAAAAGAGUAAGUGGUCUAGCAAUAAAUGAAAAAUCUUUUAUGAAUCUACGAUAAAAACCAGCAUGACCAAGAAAGCUUUGAAUUCCUUUUAUGUUCACAGGUGGAGGUAGUUGUUCAAUUACUUCAAUUUUAGCUUUGUCUACCUCAAUUCCUCUUUCAGACACUAAGUGUCCCAGCACUUAUUCCUUCUCUAACCAUAAAAUGACAUUUUCCCAAUUAAGGAUUAAGUGCUUUUCUUCACAUCUUUGCAAAACCUUGUCUAAGUUUUCAAGACAACUAUCAAAAGUUUUUCCAUAAACAGAGAAAUCAUCCAUGAAAACUUCCAUAAUCUCUUCAAUCAUAUCAGAAAAUAUAGACAUCAUGCAUCUUUGAAAAGAAGCUGGUGCAUUACAUAACCCAAAAGACAUUCUACGAUAAGCAUAAGUUCCAUACGGGCAUGUAAAAGUGGUUUUGCUUUGAUCAUCGGGAUGGAUCGGGAUCUGAUGAUACCCUGAAUAUCCAUCUAAGAAACAAAAGAACGAAUGGUUCGCUAAUCGCUCUAGCAUUUCAUCUAUAAAAGGUAAAGGAAAGUGAUCCUUUCUCAUGGCUUUGUUUAGUUUUCUAUAGUCUAUGCACAUCCGCCAUCCUGUGACGGUGCGUUGUGGAAUUAGCUCGUUCUUUUCAUUCAUAAUAACAGUCAUGCCUCCCUUUUUAGGCACAACUUGUACUGGGCUCACCCACUCACUGUGCGGCACAGGAUAUAUAAUCCCUGCAUGCAGCAACUUUAUAACUUCCUUUUUAACUACCUCUCUCGUAGUGUUAUUAAGUCUACGUUAGGGUUCUCGAGAGGGUGAAACAGAAGGAUCUAUUGGAAUACGAUGGGUACAAAUCAUAGGACUGAUUCCUGUAAGAUCUUCGAGUGAGUAGCCGAAAACUGAGUGAUGUUUCUCAAGAAUGGUCAUUAAUCGCAGAGUUUGAUCCUGAGUGAGUUUAUCGCUAAUGAUCACAAGGAACUCUGGAUUAUUGUUUAGGAAAGCAUAGGUAAGAUCGGGUGGUAAAGUUUUAAGCUCUAUGGGGGGUCUAGGUGUUUCUGCAAACUCAUCUAAAGGUUCAGGCUCAGAAGGUUUGUCUUCUUCUUCUGUGAAGAAAGGAGUUUCGUCUUCUAAGUCUGGUUCAUCUAAAAGCUCUAGAGAUGCAGCCUUUACUUCCUCCAUAGGAUCAGGCAAAAGAUAUGACUCGGCCUUAUUGUUUAAGGAGUGUGAAAUUAUUAUUGGGAAUUUAAAGGUUUUUCCAAAAGAAAUGUGUAGCUUUCUAGUAUGACCUUCAUAAAGGAGUCUUCUAAAAGGUUGUCCUAUUAACAGGUCAAAGUCCCAUGUAUCAAAGAUAUAGAAGUUCAAAUGAACCAUGGAGCCUUCUACCGUAAGAGGUAGGACAUUAAUAAUUCCAAGACUGGGGACUAAUCGUCCCGAAGAUUCCUUUAUGACCUUUGUUGUGGGGGUUAAGACAAGAUUUUUAAAUAGUUUAAGUGCAAAAGAUUCAGACAUGAUGUUGAUCCCCACAACAGGAUUAUAGAGAGCAUUAAAUCGAUCAGAAUUAUAAGCACAGCGUAUAGUUAUAGAGGGUGUGUCCAAACAGAUCACAUCAGAGGAAAGUUCUGAUUCCUCCAACCAUUCGCUAUUCAUUACUGAGAUAAGCUCUCUCAAUUGAUAUUCACUUGGCAAAUAAAUGCUAAACUGGCCGUUUUGGGGUUUGUCAAUAGAAUGGUAGUUUGAAAUAUUUCGAAAAUCGGCAAAAAGAUCGGAUUCUAUAUCCAUCAUGAAGUCCGGUGGUGGAAUUUCUUCCUCUUGUGGCUUAGAACUUGGGAUAGCUAAAGUAGAUGAAGAAUUUGGCAGAGUGUCUACUUCGGCUUCGUAGGUUUCAUCAUGAAGGGUAUUAUCCAUCUCAGCUUCUAGGAUUCUAUCUAGGAUCACUCUAGCUUCAUCAGCAGGGAUGCGAAAGAAAGAACCUCUAGACAUUGUGUGUAGCAUUUGUUUGUGAUUUUUCUGAAGACCUCGAAAAACAUGGAAUAAAAGAACAGGGUCUUCAAGAUUAAGGUUUGGACCAGAUUCUAAAAGAUCAGAAAAACGUUUCCAGGAUUUUCCCAAAGUUUCAUUAUCUUUUUGUUUAAAAGAUAGGACUUCGAGUCUAAGGUCGGCUAUACGGUCAAGGGAAUAGAAAUCUAGACAAAAGUUGGCUCGUAAAACUCCCCAUUCACCUUGUUGUUGACUUACCUUCUGACUGUACCAUUGUCUAGCUUCUCCCCUUAAAGAAAAAGGAAAAAGCUUCCAACGUAAAGUUUUAUCAGAAAUGCCUUCAACGCGAAGACAAUCACAUGUUUGCUCAAAAUCUCUAAUAUGAAGGUAAGGGUUUUCGUCUUCCUUUCCCGAAAAAGAUAGGUUUUGAAUCAUGGCAAUCAACCUAGAACUUAACUUAUACUGGGAUGUUUGGAUAGGCUGUGAUGAUUCCCAUGGUAAAAGGUCAGUUGCUAAAGGGAUUGCAGAUUCAUGGAUCGAUUUAGAAUUUUGGUUUUCCAUAAGGUAAGAGAAAAAUAAAUAAAGAAUAUAAAAGAUAAGAAAAGAUAAAAGUAUAGAUACAAGCUAAUAGUAAGACUCAGGUUAUCUCAGCAACCGUCUUUCUCCCCGGCAACGGCACCAGAAAUGCUUGUUGAUAUUUGGGAACGCAAUAAGGAAUUGAUCCGCAAGCAUACAGAUAUCGGUGAGCACUUCACCCGGGAGGUUAUCCAGAAUAUCGUAUUUAUUUUUUACCACUAGGAGAAAGAGUGCAUCUGACUAACCGGUCUACUACUACUAACCUUUAGGCACAAAGAAUGUCUUUCGAUGUGAGUGAUAAAUAGAGAAGACUGCAACCGUAGUCUCCUUCUAACCUUGGUAAGGAAGAUCUACUGUUCUAAUGGAGAGGCUAACGGAAUCUAGACACCACAAAGGAUGUUCAACCCGCACCUAUAAACCCUAUCCUUCCUGCUAACGAGAUGUGAUCUGCAAAGGUAACUCGGAAUUGUCACGUUCCUCACUACUACCACGGUCCAGCUAGUCAGGGAAUAUCUAUGAGUACCCCAGCCUAAACACCACGUUUACGCUAGCAAUGAUUACUCUAAACUCUACGCGAAGAGAUUAAAGUAAACUCAUAAACCAUAAGAACAAUAAAACAAGAACUUACUAGAAUUUAGAAGUCGAAUUACUGAAGAAUCCUAGGAGCAAGCUUCGGGUUAGGAGAACUUGAUCCCGCGGGUACAAGCUUGGAGUAGACACCGACAGGCCGGGCUUCCUCCAAUCUACACCUCCACUCUAUCUCUCUCAAUCUAGUAGAAACUAGAAGAUCUAUUUCUACCUUACAUUGAUUGCUAAGCCUAAAAAGAAAUAUUAAUUAGAGAAGAGGUUUUCCUUCGAGGGCACCCCUCAGUCUCUAUGAUAAUUUCUUCAUGUCUUCUACAGGGGCCAGGGGGGUCUCCUUAUAUAGUCCUCCCCUUCUAUGCGUUUUUGUGUCAAUAGGCGAGGUGGUACUAUGUUUUUCUUGAUCCAAUAGGUCGGUGAAAUAUCCCGAGCGAAGAGAGUCCUGAUUGGCAUCCAGAGGGGGGCGGGCGCCCAGGUCACCAGGGCGGGCGCCCUGGGCCUGGCCCCUUUCGGCCUCCGUCUUCUUCCCGUGGCUUCUGAAGUCUUCUAAAUGGUAGAAAAUUGCGCGGUGCGUUGAUAUCUCUAUGUAAUCCCGACAUGUGGGCCUUUCUUCCUUAUUUCCUGAUAACCCCCUGCAGAAAUAGAUAAACAACAAAACUCGUGGAAUUCUGUCAGAUCAAACCCUAAUUCUAGGUGUUGUUUGCAUAUUGGUCCUUUCUCUUGUUUAUUUUAUCAUUAAAAUUGAUACUUAAGAACCGUCAACAGGGACAAUAUAAGCAGGCCUCCUGGCCCCUGGAGGAGGCACCCCUUCAUCCUUAUUCAUUAUUCAUAGACAGAGCAAAAGCUAGGGUUUGGAGAUGAGAGCUCUCCUCUCAUCUCUAAACUAGAGUAGAUCUAGAUAGUAGCAAGAUGGAGAGCGAGGGAGGAUCGGAGGAGAGGCCGGCGUGUCGGUUCUUCCUCCGGUUGUACUUCGCCAUGAUCAAGAUCUAAUCAAGCUUGCUCAUGGGACGAUUCUGGUAAUCUACUUCUAUUUUAUUAUGCAAUUACUAUCCAUGUAUGUUCUGGUUCACAACUCUUUUGAGUACUUUAAUCUAUAGGACUCUAUAGGUGAGAGUUGUAGUAUAGGUAUAAGCGUGGUGCUUAGACCUAAAUUACUUGUGGAUAUCCCCUGUCUAGCUGGAUCGUGUGGUAGGCCGCAUAGGUGACAGCUAUGUUGGUCCCCUGUAGUCCACCUCCCGUUAGCAGGACUAGUAGGGUUUAUCGGCCUAUGGAUAAGCAUCCUUUGUGGUGUAUUCUUAUCAUGUGGUUUGUCCCAGAUUUAGACAUACCCCUUUGAAGUAGAGAAACCAUAGUUAUCCUCUCUAUUCUCCUACCAUCGCCCAUAUAUUAGAUUGCUCUACUCUCUAUUCCCAUAUUAUCACCCAUUGUUAUCUUACCUUUAAUAUUGUUCUUAUUCAAUUCUACUAUCUUUCCUAUUUACACCUACCUAUCUAUCUAGGUUAAGUUAGAGCGUAGAUCAGUUCUCCCGUUUCCCUGUGGAUACGAUAAAACCUUUAAUUGGGUAAAAGCUACAAUGGUAUCCGUGUGCUUGCGGUUUUAUCUGUGUGCGUAUAAAUACCAUAGUACACUCUAGUGCCAUGUUGGGGAUGACAACCUAGUAUUCAAGUGGUGUUAGCAAGUGUCAACACACAUCAAUCAGCUUUUAAGAUGAAGUGGAUGAUUAGAAGGAACGGAUAUUUUGGCCGACUAUACUUGAGGAUUGUUUUAAGUAUUUCAAAGGGUGUCAAGGAUGUUAGAAGUUUGGCAAUAUUCAAAGGGUACCCGCAUCGGCUAUGAAUCCUAUUAUUAAACCUUGGCCGUUCCGGGGUUGGGCUAUUGAUCUCAUCGGUCAAAUUUAUCUGCCAUCGAGUAAAGGGCAUAAGUUUAUCCUUGUUGCCACUGAUUAUUUCACUAAAUGGGUUGAGGCUAUUUCUUUGAAGAAAGUGACAUCGGCCAACAUGAUUGAUUUUGUGAAACAGCAUAUUGUUUACCAAUUUAGAAUUCCCCAAACAAUCACUACCGAUCAAGGUACUAUGUUUACGUUAGGAGAGUUUGAUGAGUUUGCAAUCGGUAUGGGGAUUAAAGUGUUGAAUUCUUCUCCUUACUAUGCUCAAGCCAAUGGAUAGGCCGAGGCUUCUAACAAAGGAAUUAUUAAGUCAUUAAGCGAAAGAUUGAGGAAAAUCCCAGACGAUGGCAUACUCUGUUAAAUGAAGCCUUAUGGUCAUAUCGGAUGGCGUGUCAUGGUUCGACCAAAGUGUCACCUUAUCAACUGGUGUAUGGACAUGAUGCAGUACUACCAUGGGAAAUUAAAACUGGUUCUAGGCGAAUGUUUUCUCAGGAUCAGUUAACUGCUGGUGACUAUGCUACUUUGAUGAAAGAUGAGUUGGAAGAUUUAGCAGGGCAUCGGUUAAGAGCUUUAAUUAGCAUAGAGGAGAAUAAAAAGACAGUGGCUAAGUGGUAAGAUACCGAGGCAGUAUCUUGGUUGAUGCAUGAAAGUAUAUAUGCCGAUAACAGUCCUAUCGCUUGUAAUACUCGAUUUUAAGGACAAAAUCAGAUAUGCACCAUAUGCGAGUUUUAAAAGGCAAAUCUCACAUAUAGCUACAAAUAAGGGGUAAUAUCAAAGGAAAAUGCGUAAACAUAUAACGUACUUAGUAUAAAAGAGAUAACCUUUAGUAUCAAACAGCGGAUAGACAACUCCAACUUCGGGUAUUAACUUCUCUCUAUAGGAUCCAACUGACUGGUUGAUCACAAGCCUAAACUUCUCCUGAGGUUUGGGGGAAAUAGCAAGAGUGAGUCCAUGUCGAACUCCACAAGUAUAGCAACUAGAUUAUAUAGAUCCCACAAUCUCAUGAUCAAUGUGACAUAAAUAAUGUAGAGUAUUAAACAAUAAACAAUGAGCAUAUUUAACACACAAGAUUCAUCACCCUUAAUGUAGAUGUCCCCAAGGCCGCUCCUGACCGUGAGCUCGGCUAGUAUACUAGUUUUUAACACUAUGCGAAGGUUGUACAUCUUUACCCAUGAGUCAUGAUUUACCCUUUCGCCCGAGGUAGCUAAUCUCUUAACCCCCUUCCAAGGGAGGUCGGUAGAGAUCACUAUGAAGUCUUUCAAAGGUUCGUCUAACAAGUUAGGGCCGCUUGGUUUCAUUAGUCAAUCCAUGUGAUUCACCCGCAAGAAUCCACGGUCUGCUAUUCCCCAAUUGUGCCACACGGGUAACCGCUAACGAGCUAGAAAAGUUACUCAUACUUAACUAAAGCCAGAGCCAUUAUAGCCCUCAUGGUUGCAUUGUUGUCCCGGGUGAUCAUGUACAGAUAAAUCAUCAAGUUGCUAAAAAGUCAUUUUUACCGUUUAUUACUUAACAUUAAUCCAGUCACAAGAUCAUGGUCACAGAAAUAAAAUCCAAAUGCUAUACUUGCCUUGAUCCAAAUGCUCUUGCUGAUCUUGCUAAAUGUCCAAGUACUGAUCUUGCUUGUUGUAGCACUCUUGAUCACCACAGAUUAUUCACCGUCUAAUCACGAUCAUCGAUCACUCAAAUAAUCGAAGAAAACAUACAUGAAACAAACAAGGCUACAAUUAGAACAGUACACCAAUCAUAUGAAAACAGUAUGGAAAGUUUGUAAAACAAUUCUACGCAUCGCUACGAUCUCACAGACGUAAAGAUCACGAAAAUCGGAUUUAAAACGGAGAAGAUAUGAAUUUUCUAAGAUUUUAUAUAGAAAAACAAUUAAUUAAAUAGUACCACAAAUUUAAAAAGUUUCAAAACAGUGAGAUAGUAUUUUUAACAUAUAGAGCUCGUAAAUACGAACCUAACGCAAUUUGAAUGAACCAAAUCGGAUUUAAAAUGAGCAUGUUAUAAGCAAUUUAAAUCUGGUGGCAAAACUGUAAAUACUGUAAAGCGUAUUUUGAACUCAGCCGGGUCGUUUUACGUUUUCAGAAUCGAGAAGAUGUAUUCUAGGCUUUACGCAAAGGACUGCGGGUUACAUAAUGAAAAAGGUCGGGGUUUCUUUAGCAAAACUGUCAGGCCAAAGGGGUAUCGGCCUCUAUGGGCCAUCGGAUUAGAAACGGAUGGCGCAGAUUAGAUCGGGAAGGGAGAGAGAGAGAGCUCCGGGCGGCUACAGUGGCCAGCGCGGUGGCGCCAUUGCCGGAGUUCGUCGUCCCGAUGAUUUCGUGCGCCAAACUGAAAAAUAAAACCACCGGGAUAAAACUUAGGUCAAGGCGAACUCACCCAAAGACGUUUUGGAGGCAGAGAGAGUUCGAGGACAACCGACUUUGUGAUAUGGCGGACGCAAACCUCCUAAGCACAUCGGCGACCAUAAGUGGUUGAAUCAAAGCACAAGAGAAAGAAAGAGGUAUCUUGGAGACUCGUGGGAGCGUUGUGAAGCUCGGCCGAGAUUCGAAUUCGACGGCACGACCGCGUAUAGGGCGCUCCACGGCGGCGGCUUCCUACACCUUUCAGCGAGAUCCGAAACCCGGCUAGAGCACGUCCAGGGUCGCGGAAAUGGGAAAGAGAAGCGCAGAGAAGGUUUAGGUCUUUAUAGGGGUGGCUUACGCGCGUUUGGAGGCAGCAAAUCCCGUGCUAAUCGGGAUUUGGUGGCACCGUACGGAGUCCUGCUCGAGGACGACGUGACGAAGAAGAAGGAAGGAAAGGUGGGUCGCUGACGUGCGGGCCCGAUUGGCAGCGAGAGGAAGGCAGGGGGGAAAUGUGCUGCUCGGCUUUUGCUGGGCUUCUGCUGACUUGGGCCGAGGCCGAGAGGGGAGGGGAGGGCGCUGGUCCGCGCAGAGGGAGGCGAGGCCUCUAGGCCUGAUUCCAGGAAGGGGUGAGGGGCUUCCUUUCUUUUUUUUUUAUUUCGAAGCCUAUUUCCAAACAAUUUGAAAACCAUUUUAAAGUCACUUUGAAUUAUUUUGAAUCUUGGGAUCAAAUUACUCAGCAAACAAAAAAAUGAAUUCUCCAGCAUGAAUGCACAUUCAUGUUACUAGGUCCUAUGAUAAUUUUUACUAUAAAGAAAAAUAUUAUUUCACCUAUAUUUUCAUGAGUACAAAAAUGCAGAAUUAAAUCAAUUUUCAUUUAUUUCAAAAGGAACAAUUUUUAGGGUGUUACAAAUCUACCCCCCUUAAAAUGAAUCUCGUCCUCGAGAUUCGAAAAAGAUACGGAUUCCAAAAGAGAAACAAGAACAAGAGCUUGAUAUCUAUUUCAACUUCACAACUUGUAUUCCAAUGUAAACACUUACGUCUCGGGAUCACAACUUGUAAACAAAACAUCCAUAAAAUGUCUAUUAUUCAUAAAUGAUUAAAAUCCAUCUUGACUACCAACGUUUUGACUUAUACAACUCAAAGACAUGAUAACUUAGCAUGGAUAUGCCUCCUCAUGUAGGAGUGGACCAUCUUGAUACUCAAUUCUUUUCCCUGAUGGUGCGGUUAAGAAAAGUUUCCACUGGGUAGCAUAGAUCACUGCCUUGUGUGCAUAUAACCAUCCAUUGCCAAGAACCAAAGAAAUAUUGAGUGACUCUAGCACAAUGGGGUUUACUGUGAAGUUCUCCUUGCUUAUGACCAGAUUAAUAUUCGAGCAAACCUGGUCUGCCUGUAUUUCUCCCUUUGGAGUUUGAACUAACAAAGACUUCCUUGUUGGACACUUCACCCACUCAAUUGUUAUUACCAAGUUGGCAUAAAUGAAAGAAUGGGAAGCACUUCGGUCAAACAGAGCAAAAACCAACACUGAGUCCACUUGAACAUAACCACCCACCACUUUGGUGACUCCUUGAAUGUUAUUCAUAUCCACAUUGUUUAGUCUUUCAUUGAUAUAAUUUUGCUGUACUUUAUUUCCGUGAGCAGGCUUCUUACGAGCUUUCCUUUUACGCUUCCGUCGUUGUGGAUUUUGAUUUGAUUCAUUGUCAACUUGCUCCUCAAUAUUAUUAUUUUGAUAACACUCAGCUUUGUCAUACUCAUAGCAUCUUUCUUCAAAGGCAAGAUGAUCAUAAUCUUCCCACCUAUCCAUGAGAGGCAUCAUAUUGUGCUCCGGAUUCAUGGGACACUACACUCCCUGUCAUCAAAUGACCAACGUCAGUAACACGGCAAGGAUAGAUGAUCAUAACCAUAGAAUAUCUCAGAAGACAAUUAUCACUUCAAGCUAGUUUUAAAAUGCAUCAUCUGUGAUAUCAAGGUACUACCCCCCUUAAAAUUAGAUUGAUUGGGGGACACUAGAGACUAGUUCUCCUAUCCUUUUUGGACGCCACACAUCAUAGUCUUUUACAUUCGUGGUACCGAGUCUCUUGAUCCAACAUUAUCCAAUUCUUCUCCAUGUAACCCCUUUAUUUAGGCUACCCCCCUUAAGAAAGGUCAACUAGGGGACACAAGAAAGGUAGCUAGCAUGUUUUCCAGACAAGUUAACUAACAUUGAGAACGUAUGACAUCCCAAAGAGCUUCCGUGCAAGAGAACUAACAUGUAUCCUGAAAUUUUCCCGCGAUAUGAAAAAACACCAGCAUAGAAAAACAGGUAUAACUCUCAUUCUGUUAAUCCAAUAGAGUUAUAGCUUGUAUCGUUAGAAAACUUAUGAAAUUCACCUCAACUUUCCUGUAGUAGACCUCCUUAGAUUCUGUCUUUAAGCUUAGGUAAAACAACCAAACAUAAUAUCCUUCCUGAUAAUGUCUCAGCAAAGGUGCUGUAACUUCCAAAAAUAAUAUCUCGAGCUACUUACCUAAUCUGGAGAUGAUCCUUACAUUUUUGAAAAGCUUAGGAAAUCCUCUACAACUUUCGUACACCACGUUUUCCCAGUUUCAGUUUUUAUCUUGGCUGAGAAUAGGAAAUGCCAGAUCUGUCCAGAUUAUGAAACAGAACAGAGACAUCCAGGUGUAAAUAUCAUAUCUCAGGUUCUACUAAUCCAAAUGAGUUCUAGCUUAUACCGUUGGAAAGCGUAGAAAAUUUUCUACAACUUUUCUAUAGAAUACUUUUCCAAAUUCUAUAGUUAUAUUUGUCUUACACAUUAAGUAACAAAAACUGGUCCAGAUUCUUGACAGCACAUCUGUAUCAUCUUGUGAUUUUUGUAACUUCCAAACCAUAACAGCUAUGAGGGUGAUUCUUGCGGUCAGAGAAAGAUCCUGAAGUCUGGUUGUUCCCAGAAACAUUUGGUAAACUUUGCACGAUCAGAUCUUGGUAUACAGUAUGAUUAUUGCAGACUGCUCCAGAAAACAGCAAAAGAUAGAAAUAGGAUAUAACCAAACCGAACUACUUAUGUCAUUACUCCUUAUGCCUUAGUUCUAUAAACUAAAUGAAAUUGUGAAGAACUCACAAAAUCAUUACACUCAUUACAAAGAUCCAAAUCAAACAUACACAUAAUAGCAAGCAAUUAAGCAUUAAAGGUUCACAAGGCAUACAAACUCAACUUUCGCUACUAGCGUUUUUAUUACACAAGGGGACACAAACUCCUAAAUUUUAGGCUCGGUGUGGCUACUUUCAUGAUGCAUCAGUUGCUUCUUUUGUGGACAAGAGCUUAUAUAAUGUCCUUCUUGUUGACAGUGAAAACACCUUCUCUUAGCUGGAUCCUUUGUGAUGUUACUUUCCACUGAAGUGUUGCUAGGUGUGUUACCAACUCGCUGACUCUGAUGGUUUAUCUUUGUAUGAUUAGAUUUCUUCCUAUAUUGCUUGAUCCUCCGAGGUUGAAAUUCUCUAUAAGUAAUUGUCCACCCAUCUAUGCAUACCUCAUGAGCAGUGGGGUUAACUUGAGAAGUUUCUUUAUCUCCAAGGUUUGAAUUUUUCUGACAAGAAUUCGAAGCUACAUGUGACAUCUUGGGAUUUGGGUGUUGAUCACUUCCCAGUGUCGGCUCUAGUGCUUUUGCCUUCCUCUUCUUAUCCUUAUUAGUCACACAAGUUGGUUUUGUCUUAACUUCCUUUUUAGAUGACAUAUUCCGAAGACAAGGAAGACCAUAAUGCUCACAACAGUGGCAUCGAUCAUGAUAUCCUGAUGUAUUACUCCCAACGCUUCUAUGAUUUCUCAUAUUGUUCCAAGCUUCUGCUACUUGUCUCCUCACUGGUCCUGAGAUGCAUUGUUGAGAGUUCUUGUUCUGAGUUAUUCCUUUCACUACUUGUGUUUGCAUGGCUAGAAGCUUCUCCCUGUCGAAUGCUUUUAUGGUUGGCAAUUCUAGGUGCUUUUGUUCCUUCUUGUCAAAGGUCUCCUCGUUAUGAUCCAUCUAAAGAGACAACGAGGGAGGAUUUAGAAUAGAGACAAGAUUUUAUAAAAGAACUGGGCAAGAAGUAAGCAUAAAUUUUAGCAACUAUCAAGGUCAAGGUGAAAGCAAGAAGUAUGCAAAGAUAGAAGCAUGCUAAAACGUCCAGUUCUACCUAGGCUUGCGUCCUACAGUCAGCAUUGCUCUGAUACCACUUUGUAAUACCCGAUUUUAAGGACAAAACCAGAUAUGCACCAUGUGUGAGUUUUAAAAGGCAAAUCUCACAUAUAGCUACAAAUAAGGGGUAAUAUCAAAGGACAAUGCGUAAACAUAUAACGUACAUAGUAUAAAAGAGAUAACCUUUAGUAUCAAACAGCGGAUAGACAACUCCAACUUCGGGUAUUAACUUCUCUCUACAGGAUCCAACUGACUGGUUGAUCACAAGCCUAAACUUCUCCUAAGGUUUGGGGGAAAUAGCAAGAGUGAGUCCAUGUCGAACUCCACAAGUAUAGCAACUAGAUUAUAUAGAUCCCACAAUCUCAUGAUCAAUGUGACAUAAAUAAUGUAGAGUAUUAAACAAUAAACAAUGAGCAUAUUUAACAGACAAGAUUCAUCACCCUUAAUGUAGAUGUCCCCAAGGCCGCUCCUGACCGUGAGCUCGGCUAGUAUACUAGUUUUUAACACUAUGCAGAGGUUGUACAUCUUUACCGAUGAGUCAUGAUUUACCCUUUCGCUCGAGGUAGCUAAUCUCUUAACCCCCUUCCAAGGGAGGUCGGUAGGGAUCACUAUGAAGUAUUUCAAAUAUUCGUCUAAUAAGUUAGGGCCGCUUGGUUUCAUUAGUCAGUCCAUGUGAUUCACCCACAGGAAUCCACGGUCUGCUAUUCCCCAAUUGCGCCACAUGGGUAACCGCUAAUGAGCUAGAAAAGUUACUCAUACUUAACUAAAGCCAGAGCCAUUAUAGCCCUCAUGGUUGCACUGUUGUCCCGGGUGAUCACGUACAGAUAAAUCAUCAAGUUGCUAAAAAGUCAUUUUUACCGUUUAUUACUUUACAUUAAUCCAAUCACAAGAUCAUGGUCACAGAAAUAAAAUUCAAAUGCUAUAGUUGCCUUGAUCCAAAUGCUCUUGCUGAUCUUGCUAAAUGUCCAAGUACUGAUCUUGCUUGUUGUGGCACUCUUGAUCACCACAGAUUAUUCACCGUCUAAUCACGAUCAUCGAUCACUCAAAUAAUCGAAGAAAACAUACAUGAAACAAACAAGGCUACAAUUAGAACAGUACACCAAUCAUAUGAAAACAGUAUGAAAAGUUUGUAAAAUGAUUCUACGCAUCGCUACGAUCUCACAGACGUAAAGAUCACGGAAAUCGGAUUUAAAACGGAGAAGAUAUGAAUUUUCUAAGAUUUUAUAUAGAAAAACAAUUAGUUAAAUAGUACCAUGAAUUUAAAAAGUUUAAAAACAGUGAGAUAGUAUUUUUAAAAUGUAGAGCUCGUAAAUACGAACCUAACGCAAUUUGAAUGGACCAAAUCAGAUUUAAAAUGAGCAUGUUAUAAGCAAUUUAAAUCUGGUGGCAAAACAGUAAAUACUGAAAAGCGUAUUUUGAACUCAGCCGGGUCGUUUUAUGUUUUCAGAAUCGAGAAGACGUAUUCUAGGCUUUACGCAAAGGACUGCGGGUUACAUAAUGAAAAAGGUCGGGGUUUCUUUAGCAAAACUGCCAGGCCGAAGGGGUAUCGGCCUCUAUGGGCCAUCGGAUUAGAAACAGAUGGCGCCAUUGCUGGAGGGCAGAACUCCUCGCCGGAGUUCAUCGUCCCGAUGAUUUCGUGCACCAAACUGAAAAAUAAAACCACCGGGAUAAAACUUAGGUCAAGGCGAACUCACCCAAAGACGUUUUGGAGGCAGAGAGAGUUCGAGGACGACCGACUUCGUGAUAUGGCGGACGCAAACCUCCUAAGCACAUCGGCGACCAUAAGCGGUUAAAUCAAAGCACGAGAGAAAGAAAGAGGGAUCUUGGAGACCUCGUGGGAGCGUUGUGAAGCUCGGCCGAGAUUCGAAUUCGACGGCACGACCGCGAAUAGGGCGCUCCACGGCGGUGGCUUCCUACACCUUUCGGCGAGAUCCGAAACCCGGCUAGAGCACGUCCAGGGUUGUGGAAACGGGAAAGAGAAGCGCGGAGAAGGUUUAGGUCUUUAUAGGGGUGGCUUACUCGCGUUUAGAGGUAGCAAAUCCCGUGCCAAUCGGGAUUUGGUGGCACCGUACGGAGUCCUGCUCGAGGACGACGCGACGAAGAAGAAGGAAGGAAAGGUGGGUCGCUGACGUGUGGGCCCGAUUGGCAGCGAGAGGAAGGUUGGGGGAAAUGCGCUGCUCGGCUUUUGCUAGGCUUCUACUGACCUAGGUCAGGGCCGAGAGGGGAGGGGAGGGCGCUGGGCCUCGCAGAGGGAGGCCAGGCCUCUAGGCCUGAUUCUAGGAAGGGGUGAGGGGUUUCCUUUCUUUUUUUUAUUUCAAAGCCUAUUUCCAAACAAUUUGAAAACCAUUUUAAAGUCAGUUUGAAUUAUUUUGAAUCUUGGGAUCAAAUUACUCAGCAAACAAAAAAAUGAAAUCUCCAGCAUGAAUGCACAUUCAAGUUACUAGGUCCUAUGAUAAUUUUUACUAUAAAGAAAAAUAUUAUUUCACCUAUAUUUUCAUGAGCACAAAAAUGCAGAAUUAAAUCAAUUUUCAUUUAUUUCAAAAGGAACAAUUUUUAGGGUAUUACACGGCUAGACCAAAUUAUUAAUGUUUUUGAGAAAGAAGUUAAACAAGUUGCCGAUGAAGAGUUUAUAGGUCCAUCAAGGUUUGGAUGGUCGAUAUUGCCCGCAGACGAAUCUGGUUUGCCUCAUCUAUCUCUCGGGUGUCUUCAUCGGUCGAACCUUCCACUGGCUUCAGCUUCUUCAUUUCCAAUGGCUUACGAGCUUGGGCAUCCCUCUCUUGUUGAAGAGUCUUGAGCACAUCGGGCAGUUGGAUUUCCUCUUGUUGAGCUUGAGUCAGGGCUUCCUCCAAUUGUUUGAGUUCAGCCAGCAGAGCCUCCCUCUUUGCCGAUAGAUCGAAGAUUCUCUAUUUUAGUUCGGCACUUGAAGAUUGCAGAAUGUCAAUGCUCUUAUGCUUCUCAUCGGUUGCAUGCUUCACUUGCAGCAUCUCCUGUUUAAGCUGGGCAUGAGCGGCUCUAUCAACAAGACGCUAGACGGACUUUUGUUAUUGGAGCUGGUGACUCUCUAGGUGAGCCGCUUGGAAGAGCAUCUCUUCAUCAUUGGCAGGAAUUUGGCCACGGAGAUUUUGAAUAUGUCUUUGGCGGGAUCAGAGUCAUCCACUAGCUGGGCUGUGUCUUGCUGCAAUAGGGCUAGUAAAUCUUCCAGCCUGGACUUGAUCUCAGCCGAUGCGAUUCCAAUUGCCAUUGAGGAGCUUGCCUCUUCGAUUUAAUCAUCCGAAAUGGCGAUAACAAAAGAGAACAAGCUAUUGGGGGAAUCUUGCUCCUAGAAAAGGGAGAGGAUAAGUUACCUAGGAUUAAGUGUCGGUAAUGCAAAGUCUGAUAGAUCAGGUGACUUACUUGUUUCAGAGCAAUUUCUUGUCUCUAGCGUGGAGAUGCGGCUGGCACUAUGAUUUGAUCGGUUGGAGCUGCCGAUGGAAUAUCUUCAACUGAAAAUUACUAAAGAUGACGAUGGUAUUUGUCACAGAACCGACCAAAUUAUAAGAUUUCAAGUGCAGAAACGAUCGCCAAGCAAUCAAGUUUCUAAACUUGAGCCCAUAUAAUCCCGGUAGUCAAUCGAAAUCACGAAGGACUUCAAACCAACUCGCAACAAACCAAGAUCGUAAUAGUUCAACAUAAACACAACGAAUGUUACAUAGUCAUUCAUUGCCGUCGAAGCGGCACCACAUCGGAGUCAUUAAGUUAUUACAACCCAAGUUCGAAGUAGCGGAAGCAAAAUAAUUACACACACUUAUUCAAAGAUCAGUUCGCAAGUUUUUGUUACUGCCAGAGUCUAUGCCAUCCUUCCAAAAGCAUCAAAGACGAGAAGAUUAGAGAACCGUGCCCAACGGUUAGUCCUCAUCCCCAGCGGGAUGGAGACAGGUCUUGCAGAAUCCGUCAUAGAAGAUGUCAUCUGCAACAGGUGGGAAUAAACCCUGAGUACGAGAAUGUACUCAGCUAGACUUACCCGUCUAGUAAAACAUAAAAGACAUCAAGGAUCAUGCAAGGCUAAAUCUCAAGUGGAGCUAGUUGACUCACCUUUUGCCCAAAAGCUUAACUUACAACUAAGUUAUUUUAAGAGCAUCAUAUUUAUUUAUCAUCAGCCUACCACUAGAUUAGCACCUGUACUACAGCACAUCACUUGAUUAUUACAAACAAUAAUAACCAUAUCAAAUUCAUCAUAUGUUCUUCUUGCUAUCAUCAUUAUCAUGAACCAAAUUCAUUAGUGAAUGCUACGUUUCCCGCUGCUCUGUCAAGUUCUCACUAACCGGGAGAGACGGCGAUUCGAAUUGAAUUCCUAUCCAGCUGGAGGAUUAUUCCUAGCACUCACCCAAGCUUCCCCUGCCGGAGAGCCAACGGGUCACCUUUGGUACAACUCAGGAAUCGUGGCUCCGAUCAGCGCCGCACUCCUAGGGCUACCACUCUGCCAGGGAGGUCAGGAAUUUUAACUCACCUGCCUUUGGGCUUACGCCAAUGGUCCCCCGCAUACCGCACUUCCUCCGGUAGUGCGCACUUUAUACUUGCCGGUCUUCCGGCCUGAGUCAUACUACUCGGCUUCGCGGUCGGAACGAGUUAUCCGGCCAGCUAAGUGUUAGGCAUGCGUUCAACAUGACAAGAGGACGUACAACGAUCGGUCCUUAGCUGCCACAGACGGAGUUACUACACACUUGCAAAACUCCGCCCGGCUCAAAUCAAUUUAAUCAGGUUCCAUCCACGAUAGCACAUAUAGACCACCGUGAUCCGACAUAACCCUAUAUCGCGCGGAUGACAGGAUAUCACCCGACUUCUACCGAUUAAAGCGUCGCUAAGCUGCUACUCGAUCCUAACUCUACAACCAGGGAGGGUGAGUUAUCUGGACAAGGAUAGAGUAGAAUGCAGCAACAGUUUCAUCACAACUCCUAUACGUAAUGCAUCAAUAGAUAUAACAUAUUAAGUAAACUUUCAAAAUUAGAGGGAGGCUUAGAAUGCUCCGGGGCUUGCCUUUCACGAACGAUGCCGGCUCAUGAUUCGGGCACUCAACUUCUUCUUCGGGCUCCUCGAGUCCGACUUGCUGGACCUCCACCUCCUGGUUGCCUUCCUGGCCUUCGGGGUUCGCUUGGAGCUCGAAGGAAACUGCCACGUCCGGUGCACCUAUUGCAUGCUCGAACAAUAAGAAGAUGCACAUGCUAACGAUGAAUGCUUAAUAACACAAGCAACUCACUGGACACUCAUUUACGGAACAAAAGUUAUACUAACUCGCAUAAUAAAUAAGUUGACACAGCCCAAAACCUAUCAUGACACUAAAGCAGCAAACAACACAAAACAAGUAUGCUCAGUAAAUAAAUCAUAACUAAUGAUAGACAGAUCCAACAAACAUGCGUGCAGACAUUCUGAAAAGCUUAUGAAAUUGUCUACAACUCAUCUUUAAACAUGAUAGCAAGAUUCAUACAUGAAACUAGUCAUUUAAACAAAGUUCCAGGUUCUGUCCCAGAAAAACAGAGAACACCUAUUUCUGGAACCCAACUUGGAACAGCUAUAACUUUUAAACUACUUGGCCAAAUGACCUCAAAUUUAAACCACAGCUAGUUCAAUAAGUUUAGAACAACUUUGAUUUAGGCAAGUUUCACAGAAAGUCAAGUUAUCAUUAAGUAAAGUUAAAUCCUUUCCUUGCUGUCCAGGACAGCAUUUAACCCUUUAGUUAAUUAUGUAAUGACAUGAUCAAAACACAAACCAUGCCAACCACAUGGCCUAUGAGCACAAAUAUAUUACAAGGUUACCAGAUCAUCAGAUGACAACCCAAAAACAAUUACUUAACAAGGCAUUUAUUAAUUAACUCUAGUUAAGAGCAUAUUUACAGGAUACUAGUUAAACUGCUCAGAAAAAUCUACAAAAAUUACAGAGGCACAAGUAUAACAUCAGAGCAUCACCAUAAAAAUUUCAGAGCAAAUGCACAUGCCAAAUUAAAGAUAUGUAUUUAACAUGUGUCAAGGCAUUUAUUUCAUAAAAUCAGAAACAUCACUUAUAUGGUGUCAAACAACAGAUUUCAGAUUAUUUAGAUCUUAAGAAUACCAUACACAAGUUUACCACCAAAGUAGAACACCAGCAUAAUGACCAAUUAUUUUAUAUGAUUUAAUUAAAGAAACAAGCCAUAUUUCAAACACAAAUUACAUAUCACAACUGCAGUGCUCCAAAAAUCAUGAAAUAAUUACCAGAGCACUCUAAUGCCCUGCAAAGGUUACCAUAAUUUUUUCAGAGCAAACUAAGCAGUAAAACAAGAGAUAUGCAUUUAACCAAGAAUAAGAAGAUUAAAUCCUUAAUAAAUAAUUUCCCAGAAAACAUGAUUCAUUUUAUAUUUUUAUUAAAUACUAGCCAUCUCAAGAAAUACCACAAAAUUUGUUUCACAAUUUUUGGAUCUCAGAAACAGGAGAUAUGAUUUUUGCAAGAAAGCCAAAAAUCCAGAUUUUGAAUAAAAGAAAAGGAGGGAAAGAGGUGACACUGACAGUGGACCCCCACUGUCAGGUCCUUCUUCCUCGCGGCCGAGGCGACUUUCGCCGGCGAUUUCUCCGCGACGGCGAGGUCUCCGGCCAAACCAAGGGCAUCAGCGUGAUCCCCAAACCCUAACGACUCGAUUGACCCCCUUUUCCCCCCGGCGGAGCCACCGGAAGGAGCUUGCUGUCGACGAGGGCGGCUCGGCGGAGGUGCUCGGCGUUACGCCGGAGCCCUCAGGCUGGUAGAGCGUGACCUAAGGCCUUCUACAGCACCAGCAGACUACGGCGAAGCUUCCUAGGUACACGGCUUGGCCUGGAUCCUCGUGGAGCACGCUGGCCACGAGAGCACCCAACUCCGGCGGAAGCACAGCGGCGCUGCGCACCGUGUCCGGCGACGGAGAACCUGGUAGAGCGUCCACCAAGUGGCGCAAAAGCUUGCUAAGGACCUAAGCUACCUCUAGGACCUAACCAGAGACGACGAGAGGCUUCAUAGAGCUCGGCAUUGAGUUCGCCGGAGAAGAAGGUCACGGCGACCCGAUUUGGGGAAAGAAGGAAAUGUCGGCUCACCGGUGGGUUUCUCGGCGAGUUAGAGGGUGGAGGUUGGAGAGCGGCUCACGGCGGAGCUUUGGGUGGAGUUUGGUGGACAGAGACGCAGCGAGGAGCGCACACGAGCUCGCCGGAGUGAGCUCGCGGCGGAGAGCUCGCUGCGGGCGAGUUUCAGGCGAGAGAGGGCGAGGCAGAGCGAAUGGACGCGUCCACUUCGCUCGGGACGUCGCCGUCGAGGUCAUGCACGCGACGGGAGCUGACAAGCGGGGCCAGACGCGGCGUACGGUCGACAAAUGGCGACGGAGCUCUGCCGGCGGUCGGCCACGUCGACAAGCUCAGGUUCGAUUCAGAAGAAACAGUGUUUGUCUGACAGAGCCACUUCACCGACGAUUAUCUCCCAAACCAGAGCGAAUUCGGAGAUGGCGUAGUUGACAAAGUUGGAGUACUAGGCGAGAUCUACAACUUUGUCAAUUGGAGCAAGAGCUAAAUCGGCCUGGAUUGAGAGUUAUUAAGUUUUCAAUAUCAAUCGAGCAAACUGGUUUCGUUCCAAGACUUAGAAAAUUUUCUAAGUGUUGAAAACAGCCCCAAAUCUGCCUUGUGGGUCACUUUUGAGCUAUUUGUGAUCAUUUUCAUGAGAUGGCCAUAAAACAAAUUUUGUUCCUUAUAAAAUUUUCUACAACUUUGCUGUAGGAAGGUUUGACAUGCAAACAUUUUAUGAAACACUUUUUAAAAGCCUAAGCAAAAGAGGUUUCUAGGGCCUAUUUUCAUAAGUAUGACUUAGAAGCAUAUUUUGGAGAAGUGAUCAACAUGAACAUUGUUCCCAAGAUUAAGUUAAGCAUAGAUAAACUAAUUACCAAAGCAUAGGGCACAAACACAAGCAUUGUUCACUCAAACAUAAGCAUAGGAAGACUAUUUAAGCAAUUUAAACCACAUCUUUGCACAGAAUGACAUGUCUCAAGAUAGAUGAUGAUCAUGGAUGCUUUGAAUGGAUGAUGAUGCUCAUGCUAUGCACAUGACUAAUGCAAUCAUAACACUUGGGGUGUUACAGCCCUCCCCCCUUACAAAAAUCUCGUCCCGAGAUUUGAAAGCUUACUGAUUUUCGAAGAAGGUUUUGUAAACUUCUUUUAAAUAAUCCUCCGUCUCCCAAGUGGCAUCUUCUUCCCCGUGGUUGCUCCACAACACCUUGUAGGGCUUAACCACACGAUUACGCGUUUCCCGUUCCUUGCGAUCAAGAAUCGCUACGGGCUUCUCCUCAUACACCAAGUCUGACUUCAACUUGAUAUCUCGAAUUUCCACUCGUUCCUCCGGUACACGAAGGCACUUCUUCAAUUGUGAUACGUGGAAGACAGGGAAGAUAGCUCGAAGCGCAACUGGGAGUUGAACUUUGUAUGCCACAUUCCCUUACUUUUCGAGAAUCCGAUAAGGUCCCACAUAGCGAGGUGCAAGCUUUCGCUUGACGCCGAACCUUUGGACACCCUUCAUCGGAGACACCUUGAUGUACACAUGGUCACCAACUGAAAACUCAAUCGGCUUCCUUCUCUUGUUGGCAUAACUUUUCUGACGAGCUUGAGCAGCUUCCAGAUGUUGCUGGAUAGUACGGACUCUCUGCUCCGCUUCGUUCACGAAAUCGAUGCCAUAAAACCUUCGCUCUCCAGCUUCUACCCAAUUCAACGGGGUUCGACACUUCCGACCGUACAAAGCUUCAAAUGGAGCCAUCUUGAUACUCUCCUGGUAACUAUUGUUGUAGGAGAACUCAGCUAAUGGCAACCACUUAACCCAAGAACCUUUUGAAGAGAGAGCACAUGCCCUUAACAUAUCUUCAAGGAUCUGGUUAACUCGUUCAGUUUGACCAGCUGUUUGGGGAUGAUAAGCAGAGCUGCGGACUAAAUGAGUACCAAUUUGCUCAUGCAAACAUUCCCAAAAACGAGCAGUGAACUGUGGUCCACGAUCGGAUAUGAUUGUUCGAGGCACACCAUACUGACGAACAAUGUGCUCGAAAUACAACUCCGCAUACUGAUGUGGACAAUAGUCAGUCCGGACUGGAAUAAAUCGAGCAACCUUGGUCAAACGAUCUACAACCACCCAGAUGGAAUCGUAACCCUUAACAGAAAUUGGGAGUCCACUGAUGAAAUCCAUGCUGACUUCUUCCCAUUUCCAACCAGGAAUUGACAAGGGUUGAAGCAAACCAGCUUUCAUGUGAACAGCCUUCACGCGACAACAAUUGUCACAACGAGCGACAAAAGCAGCUAUCUCCUUUUUCAUCUUUGUCCACCAAAACAAAGGUUUCAAAUCCUGAUACAUCUUGCUACUACCAGGAUGGAUAGACAAUUUGGAUGAAUGAGCUUCAGAUAGGAUCUGGUUUCGCAGCCCACGGUCUUUUGGGACCACAAGUCGAUCCUUGAACCAAAGUAUUCCGUUCUCAUCGACUCGGAAAUGCUUGGUUUCUUCUUCUUUCAUUUUCCUCUUUAUAUGGUGGAUGCCUACAUCUGUCUGCUGCAAUUCGAUGACUCGAUUGCGAAUGGUACUUUCCAGAGAGAUCUGGUGGAGCACAAGUGGAUGCAUAAGAUGUGACAACAACGGAUCUUCCACUUGGAUUGAGUGACAGUGCACUUUCCGACUCAAGGCAUCCGCCACCACGUUUGCCUUGCCCGGAUGAUAGUGCACUUGAAGAUUAUAAUCUUUAAUCAACUCAAGUCACCUUCGCUGCCGCAUGUUCAGUUCAGGUUGAGUGAAGAUAUACUUGAGGCUCUUAUGAUCGGUGUAGAUAUUACACAGAUUACCCAGCAGAUAAUGCCUCCAGAUUUUCAAAGCAUGAACAACCGCUGCCAAUUCUAAGUCAUGAGUAGGGUAAUUGACCUCAUGCUUUCGAAGUUGGCGUGAGGCAUACGCGAUAACGCGACCUUCCUGCAUCAACACACAGCCUAAACCAAUGCCCGAUGCGUCACAAAAGACAUCGAAGGGCUUCUCGAUAUCAGGUUGAGCUAGGACAGGAGCUGAUGUCAGCAAUGUCCUCAACUUGUGGAAUGCCUCUUCACACUCAGGUGUCCACACAAACUUCUCAUCUUUCUGAAGCAGGCGAGUCAUAGGCUUGGAUAUUUUGGAGAAUUCCGGAAUGAAUCGACGGUAAUAUCCAGCAAGACCGAGAAAACUCCGAACCUCGUGUACGGAAGUUGGAACUUUCCAAUCCAGCACUUCUUGCACCUUGGCCGGAUCCACCGAUAUGCCCUCUUCAGAUAAGACAUGGCCCAAGAAAGGUACUUUCUUUAGCCAAAACUCGCAUUUGCUAAACUUGGCAUAAAGCUGAUGUUCGCGCAAACGCGACAACACUACACGCAGAUGCUUUGCAUGCUCCUCUUCAUUGCAAGAAUAUACCAAGAUAUCAUCAAUGAAGACCACCACAAACUUGUCCAAUUCGGGCAUGAACACCGAAUUCAUAAGAUACAUGAAAUGAGCAGGUGCAUUUGUAAGACCGAAGGACAUGACAAGGUACUCAUACAACCCAUACCUCGUCGAAAAAGCCGUCUUAGGUACAUCCUCAGGACGGAUCUUGAUAUGAUGGUACCCAGAUCGCAAAUCAAUCUUGGAGAAUACCUUAGCUUUGGACAACUGAUCAAACAAGAUAUCAAUGCGAGGAAGAGGGUAUUUGUUCUUGAUAGUCACCGCAUUUAGGGGACGAUAGUCCACACACAUGCGCAAAGAUUGAUCCUUCUUCUUCACAAAGAUAGCCGGACAACCCCAAGGAGAAGAACUAGGACGAAUAAGACCCUUCUUCAACAACUCAUUUAGUUGGGUCUUAAGCUCAGCUAACUCAUUGGGUGGCAUUCUAUAAGGUCUUCUAGAGAUAGGAGCGGUGCCUGGAAUCAAUUCAAUUUUGAACUCCACAUCCCGAUCCGAAGGAAGCCCGGGUAGAUCAUCAGGAAAAACAUCCGGAAACUCACACACCACCGGAAUAUCCUGAAUAGCCUUAGAUGUAACUGCAUUCACAGUGCUACGGAUUUGAAUAUCACGAGGGAGUUGCACUAGAAAUGCCUCCUUGGUAUUUGGGUCUUUCAACAUCACUACACGAGUGGUGGUGUCGAUAAGAACUCCAUUGCCACUCAUCCACUUCAUCCCCAGGAUUACAUCUAUGCCCACACCGGGUAGAACAACCAAAUCAGCAAGAAACUGACGGUCUCCUAUUUCCAGAGUUGCCCCCAAAACCACUUGAUUGGUGGAAAUAUCAUUUCCCGCAGCACUAAUACAAUAACUGCCCUUAUCAAGUGUAACGGCCUUGAUGCUAUGCUUAGACACAAAUUCAGAACUCACAAACGAAUGCUAUGCUCCAGAAUCAAAAACACAAGUGCAUCAUGUUGAUUGACCAGAAACUUACCAGCCGUGACUACCUCACCAGUAGGGAUUGCCUCCACAGUUGUGUAAUGAACACGCCCCUGACGGACGUUCCCCUGGUUGCCCUUCUUUGGCGGGUAAGGACAGUUGCUCUGCUAAUGCCCGGUCUGAUUGCAGUUCCAGCACGGACGGUUGGCAGGUGGAGUCUUGGCAUAGUUGGGACCCGUAUUGCCCCUAGGAAGAGCAAUAGAGUACCCCUUGUGAAAACCCGUCUUGGCCUGAUUCUUCUUCACCGGAGGGCGGUAUCGCUGGUUGGGGGUUGGAGCACGGAAUGGGGCUUAGCUGCCACUGGAGCCUUGGACUGAGAUGACCCGGCACCGGCCUCAAAAGCCCUCUUGCGAGUCUUGGUCGCAGUGUACACAGUGUUAUAGUUCUCUUGGGUGAGAGCAUCACUGACAAACUCAUUGAAAGUUGCACACUUAGUGCGGCCCAUAGUCUUCAGCAAUUUGGGGCCCAAACCCCGCUUGAAACUAGCGAUCUUUUUCGUCUCCGUGUUCACAAACUCAGGAGCAUACCUAGACAAAUGAUUGAAAGCAUGCAAAUACUCCUUCAGAGUCCUGUUGCCCUGAGUUAACUGCAUGAACUCGGUGUGCUUCAUCUCCAUAACACCAGGAGGAAUGAAAUGCCCUUUGAACGCCUCACGGAAAAGAUUCCAAUCAAGCACGGUGCCGGCUGGAAGAGCUUCCCGAUACUGAUUCCACCAGAUACCUGCCGGUCCUUGCAGUUGGUGAGCCGCAUACUCCGCCUUCAAACCCUCAGUCAACCGAAGUAGGCGAAACUUUUGUUCCACCGUAUUCAGCCACUCUUCAGCUUGAAGGGGUUCUUCAGCUUCUCGGAAAGGUGGGGGCUUCGUAUCCAUGAAGUCCUUGAAGCUACUGUAUUGGUUAGGAGCUGGCCCUUCCUGUGCAUUACGACCACCCUGAUUUGCCAUACGAUUGAUGGUCUCAGUGAGCAUCCUCUGAUUUUACACCAUCAUUUGCAUCAAUUCAGCUGGAUUUGGUGGUGGGGAAGGAGGGGGUGGAUUCAUGUUUGCACGCUGUUCCGCACCUCGGGUGCCACGAGACAUUUGUAAAGACACAGUCAGUGAGCAUUGAUGAUGACAAGAUUUGUCGUAGAACUUAUAUUCAUGCCUGAAAGUAUUCGAGAGAAUAGCUUUACAGAAAGGCACAACAAUUCAAUUCCACAAAACAACAUCACCAAUCCAACACAUGACAUAGAUAUCUGUAAUACGCACCACAACGGAAAACAUCGUCAUAACAUAACAAACAUGUUAAGAUUGCACAUUGGGUCCUCAAAGUUAUUACACCAUCACAGUACAUGCCAUGAGUCAAGGUCAAAGUUUCGGAUUACAACAUGGUUACAAAAGCACCACGGCUGACUGGCACACUACAAAAGAUCCUCACAACACUACCCACUACUCCUACACUCCAGGCUCGUCGUCCGAGUCAGCGUCGAAGAUUGCCUCUCCAUCCUCGUCGCUAACCGGCUCAAGCUCCUCGUCCUCCAUGUCCUCGUGCAAAGGUGGUGCGGCCGCUGCUGGUCCAUCGACCUCCAUACCAUCAUCAUCGGCCACAAUCACCUGAGGUCCCACCUCUGGAUACACGGGUAUAGGGCGAGGAAUAGGGUGUAGCAAGUUGUUGAGACGGUGAAUCUCCACAAGACCAGCCUCAAUCUGAUCCUGCAGAUAGUUCUCCCGCUCAAGCGACUGAACUCGGUGCAUCUCCCAUGCUUGGCGCCUGUUCUCCGACACACGGAGUGCAGUAUCCCUCUCACGAGUUAGCUGCACCAAGCGCUCCUGCAAGGUCUCCCUCUCUCUAGCUAACUGGCUCAUCUGAUCCUGCUUAUGAUCUCUCUCCCUAAUGGCUUUCGCCCACUGCUGCCUACGGUACUCCGCAAUGCCUUCCCAGUCAUUGCGGUCCUUCUGAGCUUGCUCCAGGAGUCUAGCUUGCUUGCGAAACUUGCGAGCAUGCUUUUCAACCUUCCGCUGCAUCUCCUGGGCUCUGCGAACAGCCACCAUCACCUGUGCAUAGGUGCCCUCUCGCUGACUAAUCAGCUUGAGCACAGCCAUCAUAGCACUCAUAGCAGGACUAGAGCUAUCAGAUCUCUCUCCCCUGCCUCGAACCAAAGCACAGCCGUCAGCCUGUCUCCACUCUGCGGCUGCUGGGUCAGCACUAGGAAUGGAGGCCGCUGGUCCUCCCGUCAGCUCGUCACCACACCUCUGAUAGAUAUCGAGCAGGAUAGUCUGGGCUGCAACCUGAACUGCCUCCCAGGGAGUCUGCCCAUCUGAGCUGCAAGACCAGCCAGUCCAUGCAGGCUUGUCCCCAUGUGGAGGGACAACUCCCUGCACAGCAAACCACUGGAUACCUCCUGUGCUCUCCAUCUCCCACCAAGAAUACUGAGGUGGCUCAGUAUACCCAACAGUCCGUAACACUCUCCAGAGCAGGGUAGGAGUACCAAACUCGUGCAAGAAAGUGUCACUGGGACGGGGUGAAGCAGGUGCGUCCAUCUGUAGAAAGGAAUAGGAAUACCAUGGGUAAAAGAGGAUUAGUUUAAGCAACAUUUAUUUAUUGGAAAGAGACGAAAUUGUAAGGGAAGGAGUAGACAGAAUGUAUGUAUGAAUGCGACAUGAUGCAUGCACGAACCGUACGUCCUCACAAACUUAGAAAAUUAAUAUUCUAACGGAUAUACGGUGGCAUACAUUCGUCUCUCGAUACGAUAACUAUCGGUUUACACGUGCGCUGUUAGAGUACCUGCAGAAAACUUCAUUUCAGCCCAACAGUUCCCAAAAUAUCACAUAAGAAAGCAGUAAACUAAGUGCACAUUGCUUGGACAUGCCCCACAUGCACAAACAAUGACACCACAUCUACCCGAGAAAUUAAGUACUCCCCAAUUAAGUUUCUUUCGUGGUUCCAUGGUUUCAACAUGUAACCACUCUAGAAAACCACCGCGAACACUCCCCUAGACCGUCGUUUGGACGAUCAUGCUCUCACAGCUCACACUUACCUGCGCGUAGGUGCGACGUUGCAUAAUUUAAAUCUAGCGACAUAUGUGGCUAAUUCACAUAUGAAGGCUACCUCCACCAUUAGACCACAGGGUAGCAUAGUGCGGUCAUCACACAUCCAUACCUGAGUACUGCCGGAGAUGCAUAAAUAAAACCCCCAAGUCAGUACUUAAAUAGCCACCUAUAGUCAUUAUGUGGGCAAGGAGGAUUCGACCACUAGCAUAACUUAAUUAUAUAUUUUACACCCUUUUAUUUAAAAACUCUUUUGUUAAAAUACACAAACGCUGCAUUUAUAAUGCUGAACUUGCUCCGAUGCCAGCUGUCACAGAACCGACCAAAUUAUAAGAGUUCAAGUGCAGAAACGAUCGCCAAGCAAUCAAGUUUCUAAACUUGAGCCCAUAUAAUCCCGGUAGUCAAUCGAAAUCACGAAGGACUUCAAACCAACUCGCAACAAACCAAGAUCGUAAUAGUUCAACAUAAACACAACGAAUGUUACAUAGUCAUUCAUUGCCGUCGAAGCGGCACCACAUCGGAGUCAUUAAGUUAUUACAACCCAAGUUCGAAGUAGCGGAAGCAAAAUAAUUACACACACUUAUUCAAAGAUCAGUUCGCAAGUUUUUGUUACUGCUAGAGUCUAUGCCAUCCUUCCAAAAGCAUCAAAGACGAGAAGAUUAGAGAACCGUGCCCAACGGUUAGUCCUCAUCCCUAGCGGGAUGGAGACAGGUCUUGCAGAAUCCGUCAUAGAAGAUGUCAUCUGCAACAGGUGGGAAUAAACCCUGAGCACGAGAAUGUACUCAGCUAGACUUACCCGUCUAGUAAAACAUAAAAGACAUCAAGGAUCAUGCAAGGCUAAAUCUCAAGUGGAGCUAGUUGACUCACCUUUUGCCCAAAAGCUUAACUUACAACUAAGUUAUUUUAAGAGCAUCAUAUUUAUUUAUCAUCAGCCUACCACUAGAUUAGCACCUGUACUACAACACAUCACUUGAUUAUUACAAACAAUAAUAACCAUAUCAAAUUCAUCAUAUGUUCUUCUUGCUAUCAUCAUUAUCAUGAACCAAAUUCAUUAGUGAAUGCUACGUUUGCCGCUGCUCUGUCAAGUUCUCACUAACCGGGAGAGACGGCGAUUCGAAUCGAAUUCCUAUCCAGCUGGAGGAUUAUUCCUAGCACUCACCCAAGCUUCCCCUGCCGGAGAGCCAACGGGUCACCUUUGGUACAACUCAGGAAUCGCGGCUCCGAUCAGCGCCGCACUCCCAGGGCUACCACUCUGCCAGGGAGGUCAGGAAUUUUAACUCACCUGCCUUUGGGCUUACGCCAAUGGUCCCCCGCACACCGCACUUCCUCCGGUAGUGCGCACUUUAUACUUGCCGGUCUUCCGGCCUGAGUCAUACUACUCGGCUUCGCGGUCGGAACUAGUUAUCCGGCCAACUAAGUGUUAGGCAUGCGUUCAACAUGACAAGAGGACGUACAACGAUCGGUCCUUAGCUGCCACAGACGGAGUUACUACACACUUGCAAAACUCCGCCCGGCUCAAAUCAAUUUAAUCAGGUUCCAUCCACGAUAGCACAUAUAGACCACCGUGAUCCGACAUAACCCUAUAUCGCGCGGAUGACAGGAUAUCACCCGACUUCUACCGAUUAAAGCAUCGCUAAGCUGCUACUCGAUCCUAAAUCUACAACCAGGGAGGGUGAGUUAUCUGGACAAGGAUAGAGUAGAAUGCAGCAACAGUUUCCUCACAACUCCUAUACGUAAUGCAUCAAUAGAUAUAACAUAUUAAGUAAACUUUCAAAAUUAGAGGGAGGCUUAGAAUGCUCCGGGGCUUGCCUUUUACGAACGAUGCCGGCUCGUGAUUCGGGCACUCAACUUCUUCUUCGGGCUCCUCGAGUCCGACUUGCUGGACCUCCACCUCCUGGUUGCCUUCCUGGCCUUCGGGGUUCGCUUGGAGCUCGAAGGAAACUGCCACGUCCGGUGCACCUAUUGCAUGCUCGAACAAUAAGAAGAUGCAUAUGCUAACGAUGAAUGCUUAAUAACACAAGCAACUCACUGGACACUCAUUUACAGAACAAAAGUUAUGCUAACUCGCAUAAUAAAUAAGUUGACACAGCCCAAAACCUAUCAUGACAGUAAAGCAGCAAACAACACAAAACAAGUAUGCUCAGUAAAUAAAUCAUAACUAAUGAUAGACAGAUCCAACAAACAUGAGUGAAGACAUUCUGGAAAGCUUAUGAAAUUGUCUACAACUCAUCUUUAAACAUGACAGCAAGAUUCAUACAUGAAACUAGUCAUUUAAACAAAGUUCCAGGUUCUGUCCCAGAAAAACAGAGAACACCUAUUUCUGGAACCCAACUUGGAACACCUAUAACUUUUAAACUACUUGGCCAAAUGACCUCAAAUUUAAACCACAGCUAGUUCAAUAAGUUUAGAACAACUUUGAUUUAGGCAAGUUUCACAGAAAGUCAAGUUAUCAUUAAGUAAAGUUAAAUCCUUUCCUUGCUGUCCAGGACAGCAUUUAACCCUUUAGUUAAUUAUGUAAUGACAUGAUCAAAACACAAACCAUGCCAACCACAUGGCCUAUGAGCACAAAUAUAUUACAAGGUUACCAGAUCAUCAGAUGACAACCCAAAAACAAUUACUUAACAAGGCAUUUAUUAAUUAACUCUAGUUAAGAGCAUAUUUACAGGAUACUAGUUAAACUGCUCAGAAAAAUCUACAAAAAUUACAGAGGCACAAGUAUAACAUCAGAGCAUCACCAUAAAAAUUUCAGAGCAAAUGCACAUGCCAAAUUAAAGAUAUGUAUUUAACAUGUGUCAAGGCAUUUAUUUCAUAAAAUCAGAAACAUCACUUAUAUGGUGUCAAACAACAGAUUUCAGAUUAUUUAGAUCUUAAGAAUACCAUACACAAGUUUACCACCAAAGUAGAACACCAGCAUAAUGACCAAUUAUUUUAUAUGAUUUAAUUAAAGAAACAAGCCAUAUUUCAAACACAAAUUACAUAUCACAACUGCAGUGCUCCACAAAUCAUGAAAUAAUUACCAGAGCACUCUAAUGCCCUGCAAAGGUUACCAUAAAAUUUUCAGAGCAAACUAAGCAGUAAAACAAGAGAUAUGCAUUUAGCCAAGAAUAAUAAGUUUAAAUCCUUAAUAAAUAAUUUCCCAGAAAACAUGAUUCAUUUUAUAUUUUUAUUAAAUACUAGCCAUCUCAAGAAACACCACAAAAUUUGUUUCACAAUUUUUGGAUCUCAGAAACAGGAGAUAUAAUUUUUGCAAGAAAGCCAAAAAUCCAGAUUUUGAAUAAAAGAAGAGGGAAAGAGGUGACACUGACAGUGGACCCCCACUGUCAGGUCCUUCUUCCACGCGGCCGAGGCGACUUUCGCCGACGAUUUCUCCGCGACGACGAGGUCUCCGGCCAAACCAAGGGCAUCAGCGUGAUCCCCAAACCCUAACGACUCGAUUGACCCCCUUUUCCCCCCGGCGGAGCCACCGGAAGGAGCUUGCCGUCGACGAUGGCGGCUCGGCGGAGGUGCUCGGCGUUACGCCGGAGCCCUCAGGCCGGUAGAGCGUGACCUAAGGCCUUCUACAGCACCAGCAGACUACGGCGAAGCUUCCUAGGUACACGGCUUGGCCUGGAUCCUCGUGGAGCACGCUGGCCACGAGAGCACCCAACUCCGGCGGAAGCACGGCGGCGCUGCGCACCGUGUCCGGCGUCGGAGAACCUGGUAGAGCGUCCACCAAGUGGUGCAAAAGCUCGCUAAGGACCUAAGCUACCUCUAGGACCUAACCAGAGACGACGAGAGGCUUCAUAGAGCUCGGCAUUGAGUUCGCCGGAGAAGGUCACGGCGACCCGAUUUGGGGAAAGAAGGAAAUGUCGGCUCACCGGUGGGUUUCUCGGCGAGUUAGAGGGUGGAGGUUGGAGAGCGGCUCACGGCGGAGCUUUGGGUGGAGUUUGGUGGACGGAGACGCAGCGAGGAGCGCACACGAGCUCGCCGGAAUGAGCUCGCGGCGGAGAGCUCGCUGCGGGCGAGUUUCAGGCGAGAGAGGGCGAGGCAGAGCGAAUGGACGCGUCCACUUCGCUCGGGACGUCGCCGUGGAGGUCAUGCACGCGACGGGAGCUGACAAGUGGGGCCAGACGCGGCGUACGGUCGACAAAUGGCGACGGAGCUCUGCCGGCGGUCGGCCACGUCGACGAGCUCAGGUUCGAUUCAGAAGAAACGGUGUUUGUCUGACACAGCCACUUCACCUACGAUUAUCUCCCAAACCAGAGCGAAUUAGGAGAUGGCGUAGUUGACAAAGUUGGAGUACUAGGCGAGAUCUAAAACUUUGUCAAUUGGAGCAAGAGCUAAAUCGGCCUGGAUUGAGAGUUAUGAAGUUUUCAAAAUCAAUCGAGCAAAGUGGUUUCGUUCCAAGACUUAGAAAAUUUUCGAAGUGUUGAAAACAUCCCCAAAUCUGCCUUGUGCAUCACUUUUGAGCUAUUUGUGUUCAUUUUCAUGAGAUGGCCAUAAAACAACUUUUGUUCCAUAUAAAAUUUGCUACAGCUUUGCUGUAGGAAGUUUUGACAUGCAAACAUUUUAUGAAACACUUUUUAAAAGCCUAAGCAAAAGAGGUUUCUAGGGCCUAUUUUCAUAAGUAUGACUUAGAAGCAUAUUUUGGAGAAGUGAUCAACAUGAACAUUGUUCCCAAGAUUAAGUUAAGCAUAGAUAAACUAAUUACCAAAGCAUAGGGCACAAACACAAGCAUUGUUCACUCAAACAUAAGCAUAGGAAGACUAUUUAAGCAAUUUAAACCACAUCUUUGCAUAGAAUGACAUGUCUCAAGAUAGAUGAUGAUCAUGGAUGCUUUGAAUGGAUGAUGAUGCUCAUGCUAUGCACAUGACUAAUGCAAUCAUAACACUUGGGGUGUUACAAUAUUUAUAAAAGAAAUCAUUGGUAAUGAUUCUGUGAUCGGCGCUUUACCUUGAGGAGGAAUAGUAACUGUUUGCUCAGGGGGAACAGCCGAUGAUGCGCCCAGGUCAACUGGGUCGGUAAUCUGUUUAGACGUAUCGGUUGGGUCUGCUUGUGUCUGAGGCACUGAUGGAGGAGGAGAAGGUAUUUCUUGCGUCUGGGGCACUGGUUGAGGAGGAGAAGGUGCUGUUUGGAUCUGGGAGUUGGAUGAGGUGGAGAAGAUGGUGCUAUCUUCUACCACUUUGGCUGAGUCUUGGUACUUUUGGGAGCCUUCCUCUUGGGUGGAGCCUAACUGUACUGGGGGGCAUCGGCACCCGAUGAUCGAGCGCUUUUGGUUUUUGCUGAUGCACCAGACUGUUGUUACAAAGAUCAAAGUCCUAUGGGUUAGAUGUAAAAGUAGGGAAAUAUUAUUGAAAUUUGAAAGAACAGAAUGUUACCGAUGACGUUCUGGUUGCAGCCGAUGCACCCUAAAAGGACAAUGUAAGUAUAGGAUGGAGUCAGUAUGAUUGAAAAAUUAAGAAUUUACCUUAAAAGCUUGUGCCAGAGUGGCGGCAGCUACCGAUGGAGAAAUUUUCAACCGCUUGGUGGUCGUCUUCUUGAAGCGGAUGUUUCGGUGCAUCAGGGCUGCUAAACUUGGUGCAUUGUGGCCAAUUACAGAGAUUGGACCUGGUGGAAGAAGGUCGAUCGGUCUCCCACUUCUGCUUAUUGUCGACGCUGGGUCAUCGACCUGUUAAAAUAAAAGGGGUUAGUUACCGAUAAAGUCAAGGUUAACAAAAGGACUAAAGUAUCGGUAAGAGACUUACAACAUCAUUUGGAACUUCAUACUCGGGAUCGAUCAUGCUGCGGUACAUGUGAGCCGAUACCUGGAACAGAUGCUCUUUCCAUUCUUCCCACCACCAUUUGUAUGUGUGAGUGAUGAAGAGAGCUGGAACCCAAGCUGAUAGAUCAAUGUCUAACGUAUCGGCGUCUGGUUAGAGCUAAGCUAUUCUGAUCCACUCGAGUCCACUGGUUAUCACCUCUCUCGGCUUAACCACAUCGGCAUAACAAAGCUUGAUGGGUAGCUGGCCAAAAGCCAACUGGUGAGCUAGUGCCGAUGGGUUGUAAAACUCAUAGGUGGUGUUGGUGUUCUUUCCACUACCAAAGUUAUUCACCGAAAUUGCUCUUGGGUGACGAUUGCCAUCAUCACAUCAUUAUCUUUGUUGAGAGCAUCAUCGAAGGGAUGGAAAUUGAGCGGGAAUCUGGACUCUGGGUCUUCAUAGGGCAUCCAUGCUCGCUGAUCUUUUGAAAGACCAUCAUACAGAGUUUGAAAGAAUCGAUCGACCUAGUUUUUGUUUGCAUCAGUACCGGUGAGCACUAUAAUAGCUUCGCCAGAAUUAAGAGGUGAGCGUGUUGCCGAUUCAUCCUCUGCUAGUUCAUAAUCUUCGGUAAUGUCACGUGGGAAUUGUUGUGUAAAGAAAUCCCACCGAAGGCAUUUAUGCAUAUGAGCGUUGAGCCACAUGUUAAUGAACCACCAAGGACCUCCCAGGUUGCCGAUGGGUUCACCAAACAGGAGUUUCUCGGCUACUUGGUGGAGGAGAUGAUAGACUGAACCCAGCAGAUAUCAGCCAAGAGGGAAUCGGUUACCAUUAGCUAGUCUUUCUACUGUCGAUAAGUAAAUAGAGGUUGGCCCUACCGAUCGGCAGUAGAAUAUAAAUUUGUCUAACUACAUGUUCAGAAAGAUGGCAUGCUCUCUCUGACCGACUGAUCCAGUUUGCCAAUAUUUCUGAACAUAUCCUGACCAGCUGCCGAUGUUGCGGGUUUCUACUCUAUAUUCGGUUUUUCAGCCAAAAAUACCGCCAUCAUCGGCAGUUGCAGUAUCUAAGCCAGUAAGCAUGAGAACAUCGGCAAGUGUGGGGGAAGCUGGGCCGUGACCAAAAAUGAAAGCGUUGAAGGUGUCUGACCAAAAAUAUAAAGAUGCUAUCGUCAUCGACUCAUUCUUCUCCAUAUCGGCAAUGGAGAGUCUGAUGCAUUGGUCUAAUUUGCGUUCCCCCAAUAUGUUUCAUUUGUUUUGCGAACUCUCAGAAACCAAUCUUUCCAUCCUUUAGUGGGUUUUGGCCACGAUUGGAAAGUGUCCUUCCAUAGAUCUAAAGAGAAGUUCUCAGCUCUAAAAGGGAUCCUAUUGGUUUCUGCGUUAAUCAGAUCGGUGGGAUCUGGGUCACCUAUUGGGCCAAGACAUUGGAGGUGGGGUUGUUCGGUGGGAAUAACAAUUUUCUCACUUAAAUCCUGGAGUUUGGAGAUCAAAAGAACCUAAAGAAAUGGGGAGAAAAGGCUGAGUAAAUAAACUUGCAAAAAAUUAAAAGGAUUGCAGUAAAGGAAAAAGAGGAUGGGAAUAGAUUGACCUCAAGCACGGUGAAGUUGUCAGCCAUUUCUUCCCAAGGAAGAAGAAGAGUCGAAGACUUGAAGAUUCUGGGGAAGGCUUUUGCUGUUGGGGUUCUUGAGUUCUUCGUCAAUGCCGUCGUCGGGGAGAUGAAUUUGGGAAUGGAGGAUGGUAAGGUGAAGAAAGAGUGUUGAGGAAGGAAGUAUUUAUAGGUUGAAGUGAGCAGGUGUAUUUUUGACUUAUCUCUUUGCCGUAUCCGUGAAAUUUGAGGUUGUUUAGAUGGAUAUGGUAACUGUUUGCACAGUAAUCAAGGGAUAGUACAUGUGAUUUGACAGCAUGUAAUCAUGAUUUUAGGGGAUACUCCACUAUACACGAUCUUUUGGUCGGUCCAUCGGCAAUCAACCCUAACAGAACAGUUGUCGAUGAGCGUGUUUCUAUGAGAUUUGGCUUGGGUGGUUGAGAGGUUCGAGGUAUUUGCUGGAGAUCCAAAUUAAGGUUGUUUGGAUUUGGUAAUUAAUUGUUGCUAGAAGGAAAUAAUUGUGAAAAGGUCAUCAUUAUCAGGAGAGAAUUUCAGAGCAUUAAUGAUUUCAUAUUCUGAAAUUGGGGGGCAUGUGUUGACACUAUUUUUGGACACAAAUUGGGAUAGUCAAUGAGCUUGAAUUAGCAGUCAGAGAGGUGAUGUGUCUGGCCGAUAAGAAGGUUACCGAUAGCCGAUGAUGCCGAUGAUAGAACAACAGGAGGAAGAUGUUGCUAAGUCUGGUGGUUGUUGCCGAUCAUUGCCAAUUAAAAUGAUUGUCGAUGCCGAUAAGGAAAGGUAUGGGAAUUGUUAAAAGAGAUACAGGGCGUGCGCCGAUGAGGACAAUGGUGGUAUGCCGAUCACAAGGAUGGAUAGGUAGUUAUUUUCCAUAUCUAUUAGGGUUUAUUUUACGUACGAGUUCUGUUCGGUUUGGAAUUAAAUCCUAGUCGUAUACAGUUGUAACUCUUUAAGACAGAUUAUAUAUAUAGGCCUAGUGCAAUGUAAGAAAAGAAUCAAUCAAUAUAUCAUACACAAGUUUUACAUCUACUUUUCGACGACUUCGUCAACUCACAUAUUUUCUUUUGUUUACGAGUUCUUAAGGAUUCAUCGAGCAAUACUCGGUGAAUUCUCAAGUUUUGCAUGAGUACCUCUUGGCCGUGACAUCCGGGCGCAUCGCUAUUGUCAGGACCAAAGUAUUCAAGUUAUCACCUUUGUCGAUUGCUAGGUUAAAUCUGCUGGCACGCCUCAACAUUUGAAUCGGGUAUUAGCCCUUUGUGUUUGCAGAUACGUUUUUGCAUCAACACAUGCUUACAAGCCGCAACAUUGCAAGACACAUCAACCCCUUUGGUUUGAGGGUGAAGCCUUCUGUCAAGCUGGAUAGCAUAAGAAGUGGAGAUUGGUCUCAAUACAUCAUCAGCCACAAAUCUAAUAAUAGGUCUGUGUGUGCCAGAGAGCACACAGCUUUCCUGAACAUGUGGCUGGAUAGAUAUAUCUUCUAUGGAUAGGCCUGUUCUGCAAUAUCCAAUUAUCUUACCUUGGCAGAAAAGAUAUUAGGCAACUCUAAAAUUCCACUUGGCAAGAACCUCCUUGGAGCUUUGUAUAGUCUUCUAAAUAGUGUUUGUCAACAUAUAAUGCAGAAUAAAAAUGUCCCAACAAUCACAUGCCCCUGGUGGCUGUUGCAAUUAUGGCUCAAUUUACAUCUGCACAAGCUAGUGGCCCCAGAGCUGAUCAAUCUGUCUUACCCCUUAGAAUACCCAGAAGAGCAAGAAGAUCAGCUCCCAACAAAUCAGAAAUUUUGUCGAUGCAUGUCUUUUGGUGAGGCAGCAUCAACAAUCACUAUCGACAGAUCAAUUACUAAUUUCUUCAAGCUCUUCUACAGAAACUCUCUAGAAAUAGCUCUAGAAUGGUUUGUCUACUCAUACAUCCCAGUAUUUAAACUCCCAUCAUCAUUUAGAUUCGAGAACAUUUAUAGUGAUAUUGAGGAAUUCAAAAUUUUACGCGAUCUAGCAAGGCCCUGUCUUCUGCCUGUUGAAGUUAGGCAUGGUAGAGAGAAACCUCCAACUUUCUAUGAAUUAUUCUAUCCUUGAGUAGUGGCCAGACAAAUGGGCUUUGGCCAAUUGCCCCCAGCUUUGUUUUUUGCUGAUAAGAUGAAGCUGAGGGAAACUGUCAAUGUUGGAAUAGAGUACAACAGAAUUUUUCACUUUGAACAAUCUCUGCUGCCAGAAGCCAUUAGUGGAUGGGAAUGUACCCAUUUCACUUCUACAGCUUUUGAUCAUUGGUGGCAAGAGUGGAGUCAACACAUCUUCAAUGACCCAGUAUCUGUUUACUGCUCCUCGAUCUAAACUUUCAAGCUACUCCUAAGGUAUGUUUCUAUACAUUGUAUUUCUAGAAUUUCGCACCUCAGAAUAUGUUCACUUAUUUAAAUUGUUUAUAGGAUCUUGCUGGCUUGGUCCCUCCAUGGGUGAACUAUGACAUAUGGUGUCCUAACCCCAGACUAGGCUCUGAUGCACCUUCCCUCAAUGUUUUGAUGAAGAAGCCAACAUCAGACCUACCUGAUGAUCAGCCGAUUGCUACACUAAAAAGAAAGCAACCGACUGCUUCUCAAAAUACAACCUCAAAGAAGACUAAAGUCACUUCUUCAAAAUAGCUUAAGUCUUUAGCUAAUGCAGCCACUGAGGUAACCUUUCUGUUAACUCAUAAGUAUACAAUAUACCUACACAUUAGCUAGUUCUUGACUCUUCCAAGAUGUUGCUCAAAAACAGACUACUGAAAAGGGACCUGAAUUUCCUGACCCACUAGAAGUCUUAUCUUUUUCCAGCAGUGAUGAUGAUGUUAUCCCCAACCUAGGCAAUAUUCCAUAAGUUUCUUCAGGUAACAUCACAUAAUAGCCGAUAGGAUAAAUCCUUUUGCUUAUAUUAACUUGCAUAUAUGAAUUCAAACCUUCAACUUCUUGAAGUUACUUCAUCGGCUAUUCCUAGUUCCACCACUGAUAUGACCAUGACAGCAAGCAAGAUGUCACAAGCUCCAAGUCAAGCUACAACCACUCAAGUUUUACCUACACCGACGCCAGCCCAAGUCAUCGAUGGACCGGUUACACGUAGUCGUGCAAAGAAGCUACAACAAGAGGUCCACGCGCUACUUUGUGAGAUUCAUUUUAAUGUUAAUGAAAAUUAUAUUGUACCUAAGUGUUCUACCUUGAUUGUACUCAGGUAUAUAGAAGAAGAGAAGGAUGAAUCGGACCCUGAAGAACGAACCAGUGCAAGUCCUAGAAGACACGUCAAAAACGGACCAGUGGAAGUCAAAAACGGACCAGUGCAAAGAAAUCUUCAUAACUUUUUAAUUACAGAAGCUAUUGAAAGGUCCUUGUUUGGUUUAGGUAAUUGAGUGACAACUUAGGUGGACUAAUAGUGUUUAUGUGAGAUACACAGGAGAUUAGUCCACAGGUGAUGAUGUGAUGAUGGAGGAGCUCAUUGCAUAUGAGACAUGACAUGGAGUCAUGUGACCAAGGUGGAUAAGAUCAAUAUGAGGCUUGGCUUGAUGGACCGGUUGCAAGAGUGAAGGGAAAGUCAGAGGCUUUGAAGUGAGUGACCGCGUGUGACGGUGAAGCUUGAGCAAGACUUGGCGCCGAUGGACCGAGGCAACGGUGAAGAGCAAGUGAGGUCAAGAUCGAUGAACCAAUACGGUCACGUGAUGAUAUGAAGUGGAUCAUAUCAUUUGGUGAUUGGUUGGUGCAUGUGUUGCAUCAACAUUGGAGGAGAUGAAAUCAAAUGUGCAAGGCAAAGGUAUAACCUAGGGCAUUUCCAUUUCACCGGUCAUAGGUGUGUAGAGAAGUUUAUGACCGGAUUUAGGAUAGAUGGUCGUACUAUCAAGAGGGGCAAACUAGUUUGCAUAUCGGUCAUCUAGUGCCACUUGAGCGAUCUAACUUUGCAUAUGUGUUAGGAUCGAGUGGCAUGGCAAGUUGAGAGGCUAACUCCUUUGAGAAAAUGUUUGUGACAAUGCUAACACACUUGCACAUGGUGGUGUACACUUGGUGGUGUUGGCACAUUUACAAAGGAGGUGGAGUUCCUAGGGUUGAGAGGGGUGUGUUCGGCGCUUUUGAGAAAAUUUAGUGCAUGUUUUAUAUUGCGCCGGUGGGAAAUUUGGAGAAGUCGUGGGAGUGUUUCUUGCCGAGAAACACUCACCGGACGCUGAUGGUGGCAGCACCGGACGCUGGUCCAGAGCGUCCGGUGUGGUGUCUGUGGCUCAGGUGUGCAGAGCGCACCGGACGCUGGCACCGGACGCUGGGCGGUUACUGUUCGAGCGUCCGGUGGUGUGCGAUGUCAGCGAGUGCACGCGAGGUGUUUCUGAUCAGUGAGCACCGGACGCUCAGGGUGCGUCCGGUGGCUUGCGUCCGGUGACCGUGCGAGUUUGCGGAGCUCUCUGCGCACGAGUCCGAUGUGCACCGGACGCGUCCGGUGUGGACUAGUUGAGCAUCCGGUGGUGCUGUGUCAGGCGCGAGCGCGAGGUAGCCAUUGGCGGCAACGGUCGAGUUCAAACGGCUAGUGACACGUGGCUGACGCCAGAGCACCGGACGCUGGGGGUUGAGCGUCCGGUGGCUCCUUGCGAGCGUCCGGUGCCCACGUGUUUUGCCCAGUGAAGGGGCAACGGCUAGUUUAGCCAUGGAGCUAUAAAUAGAAGUAGUGGCCGGCCUUGGCUGGUGCUGAGCACCCUUGGGACUUAGUGUCCAUGCUUGGGGAGUGCUAGUAAAGCCUCUAACUCACAUAUGCUUGAUAGUGAUCAUCCGAUUGUGUGAGUGAGCGAUUCUAGUGCGUUGCAUUAAGAGAUUGCAUAGAGUGGCACUAGAUGUUCGUGUUGCAAGCUGGUGGUGCUUGUUAAUCUUGGAGGUUGCCACCUCCUAGAUGGCUUGGUGGCUUGUGACUCCGUCGAAGCACGCAAGGAGAUUGUGCGGUGCUCCGGGGAAGAGAUUGUGAGGGGUACGGUGCUCACCCGCGGGGAUCGCGAAGAGCAACUCUAUUGGAUCGUGCGUGUCAUUGAGCUACCUCACUUGUGGGUAGGUUCUUGCGGUGUCCUAGUGGGGACGAGGUUCGUGUAACACCUCUUAGCCGCCGAACCACCAAGUGUUGGUCGACACAAUGGGGACGUAGCUUGGUGGCAACCAAGUGAACCUCAGGAGAAAAUUAUCGUGUCAACAUUGUUCUUCCCGUUGGUUUGCAAGUCCCUAACACAAGCUUGUUCUUACUUCAUAUAUUUGUGCUUGUGUAGUUGCUCUUGUAAUUAGUUAGCUUGUGUAGCUUGCUACUUACCUUCUUGCUUGUGUAGCUAGAAGUAGUUCCCUUGCGUGACUAAUUUGGUUUGUGUAACCUUGUUAGUCACUUUGCUUAGUUUGUGUAGCUAAGUAAGUUGCGCUCUCUAAUUUGGCAUUAGUUGCCUUGUUUUUGAGUUUGCUAGUGAGCUUAGGCUUUGUGCGCUUUGCCUCACUAGUUUGUGUAGGAGCUCCUCCUGUUUGCAAAGUACUAGUUGCAUAGGUUUGUGUGACCUUGCUCCUAGAAUUGUUUAGGUGAGCUCUUGCUAAGGUAGCACCUUGUUUGCUUGUUUAGGAUCUUUUACAAGGUGCUGGAGAACUUAGAUAGAGGGGUGUAGUCUUGGCUAGACCGAUAGUUUUAAUUCCGCAUUUGUUUCGGUUAGUCGACGUAAUAUUUUUUAGAAAGGACUAUUCACCCCCCCUCUAGUCUGCCAUCUCGACCCUUCAAGUGGUAUCGGAGCUAGGUCUCACAUUUGUGGUCUUCACUGACUCGAGAGGAUGGCGGCUUAUGGGCUAGAUGUUGAGUGUCCACAUAUUUUUUAUGGCACACACUUUGCACUGUAGAGAAAUUGGAUGCAAUGCAAUUUUAAGUUUAUUUCUCCUCAAGUGUGGUGGAUCGUAGAUGUGGGCUUUUCUUGUGCAAUUGAUAAAAAGGUUGCAACUCAAGCGCAAAAGAAAUGCCUACAUCUUGAUUGCCAAGCUACUAACAUCUUCUAAUCAUCUAUGAAAGAUAAUAUAUUUGGUGAGAUCAUGGAUAUGAAGUCCGCCCAUGAGAUUUGGGUAUUUCUCAAUGAGAAAUAUGAGGCAAUAUCCAAAGAAGAUGAUGUGCCAAAGGUGGACGCAAAUGAGGAUGUUGAGCAUGACCACAACAUGGUGGUUGUGGAGGAUUGCUCCACCUCAUGGUCAAGUGAAGAAGAAGAUGAUGAUCAUUCUACAAGAUCACUUGACAAGGAUGAUGAUGAUGCCUCAAGUGAUGCAAAUGAUGAUGCUACCUCAUGCACACUUGAUGGUGAAGAUGAUGGCUUUGAGAGUGAUGCUUCCACAAGCUCAUCUACUACAUCACCACAUUGCUUCAUGUCACAUGGUGACACUAAGGUAUCUAUUGGUGAUGUGAUUAUUGAUUGUGAUGGUCCAAAUUUUGAGCUUGUAUGCAAACUCUCAAAAGCUUUAAGAAAUGAGUUAGCAAAAACAAAUAAAUUGAAAAAUGAAAACUCAUUUCUAAAGACCACAUGUGAACAACAAAAGCAUCUACUUUAUGUUACUACUUGUUCACAUGAGGAGCUAAAAUUGGUUCAUGAGGAACUUUGUGUUGCUCAUGACAACUUGGUAAAAGAUCAUGCUUUUCUCACUAAGAAGAUUUCUAAUGAAGAAAUUAAAACUAGUGAGAGCUCAUCACUUGGGUCAAAUGUGUUGACGGUCCUUAAGUAUUAAAUUUAAUUAUCAAAUAAACAAAGAAAAGGAUCCAAAUGAAAUCAACAUCUAGACUUAGGGUUUUAUCUGACAGAAUUCCACGAGUUUUGGUGUUUGUCUAUUUCUGCAGGGGGUUAUUAGGAAAUAAGGAAGAAAGGCCCACAUGUCGGGAUUACAUAGAGAUAUCAACGCACCGCGCAAUUUUCUACAAUCUAGAAGACUCCAGAAGCCACGGGAAGGAAGCGGAGGCCGAAAGGGGCUAGGCCCAGGGCGCCCGCCCUGGUGACCUGGGCGCCCGCCCCCUGCUGGAUCCUGUUCGGUACUCUCUUCGCACACGAUGUUCCACCGACCUAUUGGAUCAAGGAAAACAUAGUACCACAUCGCCUACCGACCCAAAAACGCAUAGAGGAGGAGGACUAUAUAAGGAGACCCCCCUGGCCCCUGGAGAAGACAAGAAAUUAUCAUAGAGAUUGAGGGGUGCCCUCGAAGGAAAACCUCUUCUCUAAAUAAUAUUUCUUUUUAGGCUUAGCAACCAAUGUAAAGUAGAAAUAGAUCUUCUAGUUUCUACUAGAUUGAGAGAGAUAGAGUGGAGGUGUGGAUCGGAGGAAGGCCGGCCUGUCAGUGUCUACUCCGAGUUGUACCUACGGGAUCAAGUCUCCUAACCCGAAGCUUGCUUCUAAGAUUCUUCAGUAAUUCGACUUCUAAUGCUAGUAAGUUCUUGUUUUAUUGUUCUUUGGUUUAUGAGUUUACUUUAAUCCUCUUCCGGUUGAGUAUUAGAGUAAUCACUUGCUAGCGUAAACGUGGUGUUUAGGCUAGGGUACUCAUAGAUAUCCCCUGACUAGCUGGACCGUGGUAGUAGCGAGGAACGUGACAUUUCCGAGUUACCUUUGUAUCCCAUAUCUUGUUAGCAGGACGGGUAGGUUUAUAGGUGUGGGUCGAACAUCCUUUGUGUUGUCUAGAUUCCGUGAGCCUCCCCAAUAGAACAGUAGAUCAUCCUUACCAAGGUUAGAAUGAGACUACGGUUGCAGUCUUCUCUAUACAUCACUCACAUCGAGAAACAUUCUUUGUAGCCUAAAGGGAUGGUAGCAAUAGAUUUGGUUAGUCAGAGGCACCCUUUCUCCCAGUGGUAAAAAUAUAAAUACGAUACUCUGGAAAACCUUCCAGGUGAAAUGCUCACCGAUAUCCGUGCGCUUGCGGAUCAUUUCCUUAUUGCGUUACCAAAUAUCAACAAGCAUUUCUGGCGCCGUUGCCGGGGAGAAAGACGGUUUGCUGAGAUAACUUUGAGUCUUGCUAUUAUCUUGUAUUAUACUUUUAUACUUUUAUUCUUUUAUCUUUUUAUUUUUAUCUUUAUGGAUAACUCAAAUUCCAUACCUAUUAUUGAAUUCUUUGCACCUUCGGAGACCAGCCAUAGACCAUGGGAGUCAACACGUCCUGCCCCUAAUUAUGAUCUGUGUCCGGAGUUGAUUGCAAUAGGUCAAAACCAACCCUUUUCUAUAGCUGAGGUCCUAUCUUUUAAUCAAGAAGAUAAUGCACUUUUAGCUACACUAGGGAAUCUUUUAAUCUUUCUAUAAAUUCUGGUUUAGACCUAGUCCUACAAGACCAUGUUUUUCCUAGAUAUUUUCACAUUGGUCUUAAUCAUAUAACCUUUGGUAGAGUCCUUCUUUCUUUAUCUAUUAGUAAAGGAAGGUAUGUCUUCAUUUGUGGACAUCCUUCUUGCACUAGUCUUCAUAGAAAAAUCUUAGAGAUAGAGAAGGAAUCAUCUCCCAAACAAGGAAAGGAAGUUUCAAUAGCCGAUUUCCAAACAUUCCAAUCCCAUGAUUCGGCUAUCCAAUCCAUCAUUGAGCCUAAUAAUUUCUACUAUGAUCUUUCUCUUGAACCUCCCGAUGAUCCUAUGAAUCUCUCUAGACAUCCCAUGCAUAAGAGUCACCAAGACCAUAAGGAGGAUCGAGAAGAGCAACAUCAAUGGCAUUAAAAAUUCAUGUGCUAUCACCACAUUUGAGAUCUCCAACCCUCUCUUCUUUUCUAUUUAUAAAAACUUUAAAAGAGCGGUUGUCGAUGCAUAUGUCUAUAAUAAAUAUUGCAGAUCUCGUUGAGUUAAUUGAUGGUUUCCCAAGGACAAGCUUAGCUAAAACAAGCACUUCUAAUUAUUUACAUUGCUUUGUGUAUUGAGCAUAUAAAGAUAAUUGUAGAAAUAUUCCUUCGGGUAUUCUUGCCACUAACCUUUCUAGGAUUGGAGCAAGAAGAUCAGAUGAAUGACAAGCACAAGGUAUGUCCAACCAAUCAUCAUGCAACAUUGAAUUAAAUUCAUCCAAACUUGAAUUUUGUAAAAUUCAUGCUUGGGGGAGUACUUUACAUAAAAACAUCCUUCGCCAUGUUGCUAUGUUGGUUGUCCCUACCUUUGAGAGAUGCUCAAUUUGUUAAAUACUAAUUACACUACUUCACCUCCACUUGAGUAGGAUCUCUAUAAUUGCUCUCAUGCUACCUUUAUUUGCUUUAGUAUAUGUCUAGGUUUGGAGUAGUUUCAUUUAUCUCUUAAAUCAAGCAUGGUGCUUAGUUUAGGAAUGAUGAUCUUACUUCCAAAGGAUUUUUUAAAUUAAACAUGGUGUUUAGGUUAAAAUGCCCCCUUAAAUCAAAUUAGACAUGGUGUCUAGGUUGAUUUUUGAGCCGAUAGUAUGCUAUAGUAGAUUUGGGAUAUUUUAUUGGACUAACUCCUGCAGGAAAACUUUCAAUAUCAACCUGGGAAGUCCUGAGAUACAAACUCAUUGGAGAUAAAGGAGACACAUGAAGUUUAACAAUUUGCCCAAGAAAGACGUAGCUCAUAAGAGAUGAUUCAUGGAGGGUGCCACAAACACGAUGCACAACCGCUAAGAAAGGAAAGCUUCCACAAGGUGAUACUAUACCAUCACUCUUCAAGUAAGGUAACAUCUUAAGGUACUUGACUAUCGCUUUUAUAAGCUUCUCCUUGGUUCUGGUGUUCACAUAAACAAAGAGAUAGACAUGUAUGAUUUAUAACUCCAAAUUAACCAACCCAAUUAAUUCAACAUGUUUAGUCCUUUAAUCUUUGUUCUUAGUACUACCUGCGUGAUCCCACGCUCCUAAACAUAUAAGCUAAUAUGUUGCACAUUCAAUCUUUGGAAGAUAUAAACAAAACAUAAAUAUAGAUAGAUUAUCUUUCCAUUAGGUUGAGCCAUCUGAUCUAACAAAUGUUUUAAAUGCUACACUCAUGAUCCAUUAACUUUGUCUUGCUCACUAUGCUUAAGGUUAGAGAAGAACAAAUACACUUUUGGUUCUGUUGGUGUUUUCCACCAACAGGGCCCAUGCACUUGAUCUCUGCCUUGUCUCUAUGAACAGGUACACUUCAAGCAAAACAUGGAGGAGUUUUACAACUCCCAGACUCCACCAAGUGAAGGACCUGGAUCUAUGAGCACAAACACACUGAGCAUGAUAUUGCCAACACCGCACUUCGAACUGCUGGGCAAUCGAAGAACAUGGGUGACACUGUAUCAAGAGGUGCAGACGUCAAGGUCCACACCUAAUCAAAUGAUGCACCUAAAGGAUGAAGAUGGUGGAAAGUCCUGUCCAGGAGACUUAAAACCUUGGAUCCUUGUCAGAAGAGGUCAACAUCGUCGACUCAAGUCACCUUUCUUGAUCAAGAAGGACGACCCUGGUGUUCCAAGCAUCGAGUGCGCAAUCAAUGGAUACUCUUUUCAGAAGACACUCUACGACACCGAAUCUGACGACAACAUAAUGGCCGCAGUCACUUAUCAGCUCCUGCAUGGAACCAUGCCCCUACAACCAAUAUAUUCAGCUCCAGAUGAUUUUCAGGACAUUGACAUGGUAGAAGACGAGUAUGAUCCACCUACCAUCCUUGGAAGACCGUUCCUCAAAUACUAUCAAAGCAAUCAUCUAUAUUGGAACUGGAGAAGUCCACAUGCACUUCCCCUCUGAGAAGGUACGCCACUAAUUUAAUGAUUCUAACUAUAUAGUUGAAGAUUCUAAGCAGGUCAGGACAAGAAGAAGCCAACACAACCGCAACCAGAGGAGGCAAAUCAUCAAGGACGGAUAGGUAGACUACGAAGGAGAAGUGAUAAGGUCUGAAGACAUAUAGCUUGAACAGAACUGUCCUGAGGAGACUGUAGCACCGAGUUAGGUGUGGAGAGAGAAGAUAGUUAUACACGAAGAGGAGGCGCCACCGGAACCACCGACUACGCCACCUAGCGAAUCCCAGGACGACUGAAAACACAAGGAGUCCCAUUCGGAGGAUUUAAAAACACCGAACGCCUUGCCAAGAGGUAAACUUGGUAGUUAUCCUUUUCCUUUCAAUUAUUCAAUUAUAGUUUGCUUAGUUAAUGAGGUUCAUGCUAUCUUGAAAAGAAAAUAAAAAUGUUAAAAAAUAGUAAGCCCCAUGUGAGUAUGCUCAUGGCAUAAAACCCAUAAGUACAUUCACUGUGGUGGCAUAAAAAUAAAAUAAAUAAGUUUUCAUCUUACAAUAAAAAAUAUAAAAAUAAGAAGUGCCUGAUCCUGCUAAAUAAGUAACAUUUAUGGAGGAGGCUCAACAUGAUAAAGGCUAGAUAUUUAUGCUAACACUUAACCAGUUCCACAAAGAUUUGUUGUCUAUUUGAGCUCCACAGAAUUCAAGGAUCAAAGAAGACUAGCAGACGGAGGACAUCCUAAUCGAUGUCAGGGUGCUGCCGACAUUCAAAUACACCUCCACCACCUGCUAGCUACAUCAGAAGAAAUUACGUCAAAAUCCAGCUUGGGGAAGAGCACCCCCAUUUAUCCAGCUAAGUGUUUCUACUCGCGUUUAUACUUUACUCAAAUAAUAAAAGAUGCAUAAUCAUGAAAACCCAAAUAAAGAUUUUGUGCUUUUUAUAUAUUUUUGCUUAGUUUGCUAAAUAAAUAAAUAAAUAAAUAAAGUUUGCUAUGAACUUUCAUGAUAAACUCUCACAUGGAAAUGAUGAAUAGUUGCUCUGCCAUGACUAGUUCUAAAAAUUGAAAUCUCUCUCAAGUUUAGGCAUGACUGUUAUGAAGUAAGAUUUGCUCUAAACCUGAACUCGUGGGAAGAGUACUUGAUCUAAAAGUCUAAGUCGUUAACGGAUAUGAUAUGGGAAGGUUGAGCUACUGUUUAUCUGUUCCUAGAGAUGCUAGAAUUCUGGAGAAUUUUAUCUUUGAAAAAUCUUUAAAAUAACACAUGAUGAGUUCCUAUAUGAUGAGAGUUUAAAUUCCUACCACAGCCAUAUAUACAUGCUUGCUAGACUUUGAGCCACAUAUUUACUUUUUACUGCUUAUGAGCAUUGAGUGUGGUCAAGCUGUGUAGACCCUUAGGAGCUUGUCAUGUGGUUAAAAUCAAGAUUCACUUGCACGUUCACUCAUACAUGCUACUUCUACUCCGGAAGUACCAUCCACAUAUAUCCACUCAUUUCCAUCUCCACAUUCACCCGAAAUUAUUCUACUCCUAAUCCGGGAGAGAAUAGCCAAAAAUAUUUUCCUAUCCCUGUUAUUCUCUGUGAAAUAAAUGCUCGAGUUAUCUUGGUUACUACCACUUGCUAUAUUAUUUAAGGAGAUGAGUGCUCUAAAAAAAGAGAGGAAAAAUACGAGGAAAUAAAAAGGGGCAAGUGCCCGGAACCUCGAAAGAAAAGAAAAAGUAAGACGAGAGGUAAAAAUAAAAAGAGGCAAGUGUCCGACAGUAGAAUUAGGGGUACAAGAUACCCACCUGAGAGGAAAGAAAAAGAAAAUAUAGAGCAUCUCAUUCUCCCUAAAAAGGUUCAAAAAGCAAGGAAGGUAUGUAUCCCCUCAAAAGAGCAAAAGUAGAAUUAGACUUUCACCAUUAUUAUCACCAUCAUCACCGUACACCAUUCAUUCGCCACACAUGCACAUCUUGAUUUGACUUAUUGACUUGUUUCUCUGGUCCAUGGUUUGACUAUGCAAUAAAUGUCUUGUAAGUAUGUAUUAGCUGUCUCCCACCUAUGAGCUCCAGAUAUCAGAACCUUAUUAGAGUAGGGUGAGAGAGAAGGCAAUAUCACUAUGCCUCAUACCAAAAAUACCACAUACUUUGAGAGAAGGCAUAUACCAUUACUGCCUUGGUAAGGAUCCAAAAAUUCCACAAAAGAGAGAUCUAAGAGAGUCAUAUAAGGAAUCUCUGAGUUUUAUUUGAAAAUCUGCAAAAACCCCAGAGCUAUAGCUGAUCAAGAAUAAGAGACAUGACGCUUGACUUGACCGUUCUAUCUUUUAACUGCUCAAGACACAAGUGACGGUUACAAGACCCAUGGUGAAAGGUAAAAUGAGUAAGUUUUAAGUCUUAACAGUUUAUUCUAACUCAGAGAUGAGAUCUUGCUUGAAUGCGUGUGUACUUUUAAGGCAUGAAACCACUGCAGAAACUCUUGAGUUCAUCCUUGCUCAGGGACGAGCAAGAGGUAAGCUUGGGGGAGUUUGUUGAUGGUCCUUAAGUAUCAAAUUUAAUUAUCAAAUAAACAAAGAAAAGGAUCCAAAUGAAAUCAACAUCUAGACUUAGGGUUUUAUCUGACAGAAUUCCACGAGUUUUGGUGUUUGUGUAUUUCUGCAGGGGGUUAUGAGGAAAUAAGGAAGAAGGGCCCACAUGUCGGGAUUACAUAGAGAUAUCAACGCACUGCGCAAUUUUCUAUCAUCUAGAAGACUCCAGAAGCCACGGGAAGGAAGCGGAGGCCGAAAGGGGCCAGGCCCAGGGCGCCCGCCCUGGUGACCUGGGCGCCCGCCCCCUGCUGGAUCCUGUUCGGGACUCUCUUCGCACACGAUGUUCCACCGACCUAUUGGAUCAAGGAAAACAUAGUAUCACAUCGCCUACCGACCCAAAAACGCAUAGAGGAGGAGGACUAUAUAAGGAGACCCCCCUGGCCCCUGGAGAAGACAAGAAAUUAUCAUAGAGAUUGAGGGGUGCCCUCGAAGGAAAACCUCUUCUCUAAAUAAUAUUUCUUUUUAGGCUUAGCAACCAAUGUAAAGUGGAAAUAGAUCUUCUAGUUUCUACUAGAUUGAGAGAGAUAGAGUGGAGGUGUGGAUCGGAGGAAGGCCGGCCUGUCGGUGUCUACUCCGAGUUGUACCUACGGGAUCAAGUCUCCUAACCCGAGGCUUGCUUCUAAGUUUCUUCAGUAAUUCGACUUCUAAUGCUAGUAAGUUCUUGUUUUAUUGUUCUUUGGUUUAUGAGUUUACUUUAAUCCUCUUCCGGUUGAGUAUUAGAGUAAUCACUUGCUAGCGUAAACGUGGUGUUUAGGCUAGGGUACUCAUAGAUAUCCCCUGACUAGCUGGACCGUGGUAGUAGCGAGGAACGUGACAUUUCCGAGUUACCUUUGUAUCCCAUAUCUUGUUAGCAGGACGGGUAGGUUUAUAGGUGCGGGUCGAACAUCCUUUGUGUUGUCUAGAUUCCGUGAGCCUCCCCAAUAGAACAGUAGAUCAUCCUUACCAAGGUUAGAACGAGACUACGGUUGCAGUCUUCUCUAUACAUCACUCACAUCGAGAAACAUUCUUUGUAGCCUAAAGGGAUGGUAGCAAUAGAUUUGGUUAGUCAGAUGCACCCUUUCUCCCAGUGGUAAAAAUAUAAAUACGAUACUCUGGAAAACCUCCCGGGUGAAAUGCUCACCGAUAUCCAUGCGCUUGCAGAUCAUUUCCUUAUUGCGUUACCAAAUAUCAACAAAAUGAUCAAUCAUAUAUUGUUACUAACCCUUGUGAUGUAGGAAAGAAGCAUGUAUCCACCUCUUGUGAUGAUUUAUUAUCUAUGUCAUGUUCUUCAAACAUAGAUGCUUGUUCUACUUCCAUGUCUUGUGAGACUAACCUUUUGAAAGAGAACAAUGAGCUUAAUGAACAAGUGAAGAAUUUGAGCAACAAGUUGGAGAGGUGCUACUACUCAAAAGUCACCUUUGAGAAUAUAUUGAAGACCCAAAGAAACUAUGGUGACAAAUGUGGCCUUAGCUUCAAGAAGAAGAUGACAAAGGGAGAAAGAAAGUAAGAAAAGAGGAAGCUUUCUCAUUUCAUGUGCUAUCAGUGCUAUGAAGUGGGACAUCUUGCUAAUAGUUGCCCAAACAAAGAGAACCUCAAGAAGAUAAAAGAAGAAGAAAUUGGUGAAGCAACAAGAAGAGCCUCAACCUAAGCCACAAGUUGAGCAAGAAAAGAAGCCCCAAGCUCAUGUCAAGUUCAACGAUCACGGUGAUUUGAUGAUGAAGAAGAAGAAAACAAGAAGGGGUGGAAGAGCAAGGCAUCCAAUGCAAAUCCAAGAUGCCAAGAUGGUGAGCAAGAAUGAAGACAAGAAGAAAGGUUAUGCUCACAUCAAGUGCUUUGAGUGCAAGGAUUAUGGACACUUUGCCUCGAGGUGUCCUACCAAGCUUGAGAAGAAGGCUCAAGCAAUUCUCAAAGGCAAGGCAAUGAGAAGCAACACAUGAGCAAGGAAGAAAAGGCUCAAUCUAAAAGAAGUUGCUACUUAUGCCGGGAAAGGGGACACAUGGCUCAUUCAUGUCCCCUAGGUAAUAAUUCUAAGCCUAUUUCAAUUGAUGAUAUUACUAUGCUUAGAAAGGAUGGUAAUGGUACCUCUAUGGUUGCUAUUGCAAAACAUCCCGCUAUUCAUACUAAGGCUAUGCCUAAGUAUGUUGCACCUAACUUGAGAGGACCCAAACUAGUUUGGGUACCAUCAAAAAGUGGAUGAUUGUUUGUAGGUACCAUCGGCAUUGGAGGCUUAUUUCAAUUGAUACUAUAUUGUUCAUCAUAUGAUUGAACCAAGUAUUGAAGCCUAGUGCACAUCCAAACCCAAUGCCAUGACAAGAUAGUGAAGUCCAAAUGUGCUACAACAUACAAGUGUCAUAUUCAAGUUGUGGUAUUUUAUUGGAUUAUUUGAUGGCUUGCAAAUACAUGAGUUGAAUCUUGCAAAUUAAAUGAUCAUGAGCUAACCAAGGAAUAUAUUUGUUGAUCACAUUCAUUUGGGUGCAUAUAGGUUGAUUGAAUUGGAUAUAUAUGCAAUGUUGCUUGCUAUAAGAUGAUUGAAUGGAUUAAAUGCUUAGUAAUCAAGUUUGGAUUGGUAUGAGAUGGAUAAGUUCAUGAGAUGACUUUUAGUGAGUGGAUUGAAUGGAUAUAUGUCUUGUGAAAGUAUUCAAUCAAGUUGAUUUCAAGUUUGAUUCAAUUUGAACAAGUAUAGCUCAAUUGCUUGAAAUCUGUCUAAAUUUGAAAAACUGAGCUAGCAGUGAUCAAGUCUGAGUUUGAGUGAUCAAAUCUAUUUGGAAUGGCUUGAAAUUUGGUAUGCAUGCUGUACACCUAUCAUAGAAGAUGCUGUAGAAAUUUCAUGAGGAUUGGAUAAGGGAUACUUCGGUUUUGGAGUGGAUCUUAUCAGCUAUAGUGCAGCAGUUUUCAGCAUGUAGCAGUGGUGGAAGAAUUGAAAUCUGGUAGCAAUCUAGAAGUCAAAUGAAGCUCAAAUUUUUACAGCUGCUAAAAGACUUAGUGAAUCACAUCUCCACCAAAUUUCGUAGCAUUUGGAUCUGUACAUUGUGAGAUAUAGAUAUUUCUUUAAAGGGUACAGAAUCUAUCAGAAAAGUGACAAAUAUUGGAUUGAUCUAGAGUCACUUAAAUUGAAAGGUCCUCAAGUUGGAAAUAUGAUUAUAAGUGUUUGAGGCACCUAAGUUUGGUUUUGAAUUGAUCUAGAAGCAUGACAAUUAAUGAGUACAAGGUCAUUUGAUUGUGGAAUGUACUUGGUGUACACAUUUAGUACUCAAAUUGAAGAUCAAGAUCAAACUCAAGAUGAAGAUGAAGUUUAAGUUCUAGUAACUAUUGGAAAUCAUUUGGUAGAAAGAAAAGGACUUAAACUAGUAGAAAUAAAAGGACUUAAAAAGAAAAGGGAUUCAUGGUUACUCAUCACAUUAAGUCCGUCACUUGAAUCAAUCAAUCAAAGGCAAUUCAAAUAAGUGUCAAAAAUGGUUCUUUGGAGAGAGGUCACUUCUCCCUAUGUGAGGGGCGUGCCGCCCGAGGAGUGGGUAAACCAAGUGUGGUGCUUGGAAGGCUGACAUGGAAGUGGUGAUCUAAAGGGCAUUUGAGAUGCUUAGUUGAAGCAAUCAAAAGGAUUGAUCAAGAAAGCAAGCAACAACCCAAAAGAGAGCUAGUCAUGCUAUUUCAAGUAAUAUUCUUAAUAGUUCUCUCAUGCAAGCAAUGGUCAAAAGAAAAAGCAAGCCAACCACAACAAGAUAGUGCACUUGAUCAAGAAGUGGUUCUCCAUUCAUAUGGGUGAAGAUUUGAUCUAUCAAUUGGCAUUUAUAUUUGGUCUUCACCAAGCUUAUAGUUGGACUUCACAUUGCUAUUUGGAGCUAAAUUGGAAUCUUAUUGACUAUCCUCUGCUCCAAGAUAGCAAAGGUACCAUUGUAAUGUGCAUGAUCAUUUCAUCCCUUACUAGUAUGCGGUUAGUGCACAUAGUACAUGCUUAAUAGGAUCAUGCAUGACAAAUGAAAAGGUUUAAAUUCAUAACCUACCACUAUUGCUUGAUUGACUAGUUGAUCUAGUGGUAUGUAUAUGAGUUUGUUAAUGAGCUAGUGAACCCAAGUACUUGAUCUAUUUCGGAUUGUUAACAAGUGACAAGUACAACAUUGGCAAGAUAACCCUUAAUGUGAGGUGUGAAAAAGCUUGUCAUUGGUUCAAAUCGGACUUGGAAGCUUAGGCAAUCAACUUAGUUCAAGUCAACAAUUAGAAGCUCAUGAAGAUAAGAAUACAAGAACAAGACAACAAUGCAAGCGGAUAUCUAGAUUCAAAUGUUUCUUCAAUUGGUAUCCUACAAUUUGUACUCAUGAUAGCAAAUGUUCAAGAUUGCAAAUAAGUGGUUCCAUACUAGAAGAUCCUUAAUUGGUAGAAGAAUCCCAUAUGGUAUCAGACAAGAUAUUUCAAGUGAUAUCACAUUUAUACAUAUGGUAUCUAUCAUACAAGAAGGUGGUUCCACAAGUGAUCCUUAACUUUAAGUGAUCAUCAAGCAAAGAAAGUUCCCUCACCAACAAGAUUGACAAGUGAAUGACCCAUGCUAUGACAUAGGGGGAGUGCCCCACCAAAUGGUAUCAAGGUCAAAGAUCCUAUGUGGUAUCUGUUGACGGUCCUUAAGUAUCCAAUUUAAUUAUCAAAUAAAUAAAGAAAAGGAUCCAAAUGAAAUAAAGAUCUAGACUUAGGGUUUUAUCUGACAGAAUUCCACGAGCUUUGGUGUUUGUCUAUUUCUGCAGGGGGUUAUCAGGAAAUAUGGAAGAAAGGCCCACAUGUCAGGAUUACGUAAAGAUAUUAACGUGCUGCGCAAUUAUCUUACAUCUAGAAGACUCCAGAAGCCACGAGACCGAAGCGGAGGCAAAUCGGGGCCAGAGACAGGGCGCCCGCCCUGUCCAACUGGGCGCCCGCCCUGCCCCUAAGUCCAAUCAGGACUCUGCUUUGCAGGAAGUCUCCACCGACCUAAAGGAUGAAUCUAAACCAUACAAUCUAUGUCGGUUUGAUCCAAGGGCCCAUAUUCAGUUGAAGGGACUAUAAAACCAGACCCCCUGGCCCCUGGAGGAGAGAGCCUCUCAACCCUAAUUCAUUGUUCCAUCAAGGGAGAAGAAGCCUCUGAUCAAGAUUAGAGCCACCAUAUCAAUUAGAUAUCUAGAUUAGCAUAGCUACAUAGGAUUAGAACUAGAAGGAGUCAAUCUUCGAUUGGUUUCCGGAUCUGUCAGGAGGAUUAUUGGUAAUUCUCUAAUUGUGCUUCUAAUUGCUUUCUAAUUAUCUUUGUUCUUCAAUAUUAUGAAUAUGACUUUGUUCUACUUCAAUAUAUUGCUUAUGACUUUGCUCUAUUUGCUUAUAUUCAAGAUUAUAUUGUUCUUAGUUUAUCAUAGUUAUGUACUUGGCUUAGUUAGAUACGAUCUAUAUACAUGCUUAGGAUCGUAUAGCGUUUAUCCAUCGGAUCCAUGGGUAAAUGAUAGAUAUUGUGUAGGCGUGGUGCUUAUACCGUAUUUAUCUGCGAUUGUACCCAAUAUGCCAGAUCAUGGGGUAGUUCGUGAUAGUGACAGCUUCAUUGAUUCUUAUAUAGUCCCCCUCUCGUGUAUUGGGCUGGCAGAGCAACAUUAUUACAGGGGAGUGAUUGCUAUGUUUCUCAUAUUCCUUGCUAAUAUCACUAUGCAUGGGCGUAGUCUUGUCUCGCAAUGAUUGCUAAGUAUGCUUGCACUAACUAUGAUAUGCUAGACUAUAUAGUUAAGAAUAACUUAGGGAAUAUUCUUGUAGUUCAUUCUAAUACCAUGCUAAUGACUUUCUAGAGUAUCUAAUUGAGGUGCUUAUCAUAUUUAUUAUGUGGCUAGAUCAGAUUAGUUAUCCUUGUCACUAUUAUCAUUUCAUAUAUCUAUUAUGUGACACUUAUCCCUGUAUGAAGAGUUAGAUAUAAUGUUCUCAAUUAUACAUGCAAUGAUAGAUGCUCAAUCUCAUAUUCUAUUCUGUAAUCAAUAGUGAUGAUUGAUUAAUCCCUUCCCAGUGGUAAAAAUAUAAAUAACGAUACCUGGAAUACUUCCCGGUUAAAAUGCUACAUCGGUAUUAAUCUGUGCGCUUGCAGAUCCCAUUCAUUAUUUAUUUAGAAGAGCAAUUGCAUAUUUCAAUACCGCGUCUCUCAUGUCAUGCUGGGGAUGACAACUUGGCUUAAGUGGUGUGAGGGAUAGGUUUGGCAUUUUUGGCACCGUUGCUAGAUUUAGAACUUAGUCUACUUUUGGUAAUGAUGUUAAGAAUACCCAACAAGCAUUUUUGGCGCCGUUGCCGGGGAAGGUUGAUUACCAAUCAGGAAUGGAAUAAAAGAUUUUGAGUUAUCAUUCGCAUCACUAAUAUGAUUGAGCUUAUCUAUUCUCUCAUACAGUUUUACCCCGAUAUUUUUCUAUUUUAUCUUAUGUAGGUGAAUGUAUGAAUAGAAGACAUCUUCCAGGAAAUUUUGUUGACAAUCCUGAAGCAUUAUUCAAGAAGACGAGGGCCAAGCUAAAGAAAUCAUCAACACUUCACGAAGAAGCUUCAUCCAAUCAAGAAGAUCACCGGAACUUGUCUUCAGAGUUCGAAGCCAUGGCGAACAAAUCGAUCCGCGAGUUCUCAGCUCCCACUAUGGACAACAUCCGCACUGGACCUGCUGCAGAGAUCGAUGGCAACUUUGAGCUCAAGCCUGGACUUAUCAACAUGGUGCAAUCCAACCAGUUCUGUGGGAAGGCACACGAAGAUGCUAGUGCUCAUUUACAACACUUCCUGGAGAUUUGCAACACAUUCACCAUAGCAGGAGUUUCCAAAGACGCUAUACUACUUCGCCUCUUCCCAUUCUCACUGUUAGGAAGAGCGAAGCAGUGGUUCUACGCUACAAAGGAGAAGAAUACUACGUGGGCACUCUGCUCAACAAACUUCCUGGCAAAGUUCUUUCCCAUGGGCAAGACCAAUGCUCUCCGUGGGAAGAUUACAAGUUUUCAGCAACAAAAUGAUGAAUCUGUUCCAGAAGCAUGGGAGCGCUUUCAAGACUACAUCCUAGAAUGUCCCCAUCAUGGAAUGGAGAGUUGGCUAUUGAUGCAGACAUUCUAUCAUGGGCUCAGCAACAGUGCCCGAGAGACCAUGGAUGCUGCAGCUGGAGGAGCAUUCUUAUCACUUACUAUACCACAAGCCACAGCUCUUGUGGAGAAGAUGGCAUCCAAUCAAAGCUGGAAUGAAGAGAGGACCCAGACACGCAAGAGAGGUGGAGGUAUGCAUCAGCUGAAGAAGGUAGACAUGCUGUCUGCAAAGCUAGACCUGCUCAUGAAGAAGCUCGAUGAUAAAGCUGGAGACAAGAAAGAAGUUAUGCACAUCUACGACUCUCACAUGACUUGUGAGGAGUGUGGAGACACUGGACACUCAGGCAACCACUGCCCUGAGAUGCUUGAGGAUGUGAACUACAUCAACAACAACAACUACUACAACCGUCCUCAACAAAAUCAAGGUUGGAAUCAACAGAGGCCUAACUACUCAGGUAAUUAUCAAGGUAACAAUUCUUACAACAAUAAUAAUAAUUUUCCACCUUUGAGAGAGUUAGUGUCUAAUCAAGGAAAGCUAAUGGAUAACCUAUCUAAGAAAUUGGCAUCUAAUGAUAAAAUGCUAGAAAAUAUAAAUAAUAGAAUGGAUAAUUUCUCUACUGCCAUCAAGAAUCAAAUUAGCUUUAAUAAAAUGAUUGAAUCUCAGUUAAAUCAGAUAGCUGCUGCUGUUCCUACUACUAACCCCGGUAUACCAUCACAACCGGAAGGAUUAGAAUCUACAAAUCUUGUAGACAUGUUUGAUGCAGGUAAUUGGAGUAACCCCGUCAAUGAAUUUUCUACUGACCGUCUGCCGGUCAAGAGAGGCGAUCCAGGACGCCCCGUCAUCCCGAUCUCCAUCGGCAUGGUGGACUUCCCAGAAGCACUCUGCGACUUUGGCUCCAGUGUCAACAUUAUACCCAGGGUACUCUAUGAGAAAUUCUUUACAUAUCCUUUAUUAGAGACAACCAUGUGUUUGCAGUUUGCAGAUCAGACGAUAACUUUUCCAAAAGGAAUAGUGAGGAACCUUUGUGUCCGAGUUGGUACCUUGUAUGCACCAGCAGACUUCGUAGUGGUAGAGACCGGAAAUGAUGAGAGAGCACCUAUCAUCCUAGGGAGGCCAUUUUUGAACACCACGGGAGCUAUCAUCUACGCCAGUGCUGCUAAGAUCAGUUUCUACGUCAAAGGGAAGAAGGAAACAUUUUUCUUCAAAAACAAGACUACACAAAUUCAAGAUCAAUCCAGACGUCAAUCAAGGAAGAGGACCAACAGGAGGAACAGGAACAAGCAAGUGUGGACCGAGUCAACUAAGAUGGUCACUGUAGUCCAUGGAGGCCAAGAUCACCAACUGAAGUCACCGUUUUUGACCAAGAAGGACGACCCAGGAAUGCCAAGCAUCUACUGCUCCAUAAAUGGAUACAACUUCUACAAGACGAUUUGCGACACCGGAUCAGGCGUCAACAUAAUGGCCGCAGUCACCUAUCGGCUCUUGUUCGGGACCAUGCCACUAAGACCAACAUACAGCUCCAGAUGGCAGAUCAGACAUUUCGAGAAGUUCAAGGAAUAGUAUCUGAUGUCCCAGUCAAAAUAGACGAUCAUUUUGUCUACACAGACUUUCAAGUUGUUGACAUGGGAGAAGACGAGUAUGAUCCACCCAUCAUCCUUGGAAGACCGUUCCUCAGCACCGUUAAAGCCAUUAUCUACAUUGGAACCGGAGAAGUCCAUAUGCACUUCCCCUCAGAGAAGGUACGCUGUUAUUUUACUGACCCUAACUAUAUCAUUGAAGAAUCUAAGCAGGUAAGAAAACGACGCAACUGCAACCAGAGGAGGCAGAUCAUUAAGGACGGAUGGGCAGACUAUGAAGGAGAAGUUGUAAGGUCAGAAGACGUAGAGUUUAAACAGAAUUAUCCAGAGGAGAUUGAAGCACCGAGUCAGGUGUGGAAAAUGAAGAUAACUAUACAAGAAGAGGAGGCGCUGCCGGAAGUACCGACUACGCCACCCAACGAACCUCAGGACGAUUAAGAAAUUGGAGAGUCCCGUUCGGAGGACUUAAAAACACCGAACGCCUUGCCAAGAGGUAAACUUGGUAGUUACCCUUUCCCUUUCAGUUAUUUUAAAUAGUUUACUUAGUUAAACAUGCUCAUACUGUCUUAAAAAGAAAAUAAAAAUUUGAAAAAUAGUAAGCCCCAUGUGAAUAGACGAGUGGCAUAAAACCCAUACGUACAUUCACUGUGGUGGCAUAAAAAUAAAAUAAAUAUUUUUUCUGCUUUAUAAAAUAAAAAUAUAAAAACAGGAAGUAAUAAUUAUUAAGGAGUCUCAAGAUGAUAAAGGCUAGAUAUUUAUGCUAACACUUAAUCAGUUCCACAAGCUUUGUUGUCUAUUUGAGCUCCACAGAAUUUAAGAAUCAAGAAGACUAGCAGACGGAGGACAUUCUAAUCGCUGUCAGAAUGCUGCUUUCAAAUACACCUCUGCCACCUGCUAGCUACAUCAAGAGAAAUUACGUCAAAAUUCAGCUUGGGGGAGAGCACCCCCAUUUAUCUCGAUAAGUAUUUCUAUCUAUCUAUCUUAUAUUUAUAUUAUUUUAGAAUAUUAAUACACAUGUUGACACCAUUUUUGGGCACGUGUCUAGGAUGGCAGGAUAGGGUGGCAGUACGAUGCGGGUUGCUGAUGAGGAUGGUUGCCGAUGAGGGAGAGGUUGAAUGUGACUAAGUCCACAGGCAGUAAUAUGGUGCCGAUAGCUGGAUAAAAAGGUCUGCCGAUGACUAUGGCAAGGGGAUUGCCGAUGAUGCGAGGGAGGAGUGUGGAAGCUGCCAGUUGUCAUGUGGAGGAGUUUCGGUUUGUCACGAAGGAUAGUUUUAUUAUUUCCUUAAUUAUUUGCAUCGUUUUGUAUACGGAUUCCGUGUAAUUUGGAAUUCGAAUUCUAAUCGUGUCUGGUUGUAGCUCUUUGAGCAGGGUAUAAAUAUAAACCCUAGGACCUUGUAAUAAUCAAUCAAGAAAUCAAUCAAACACACGUUUUUACUCAUAUUCCAGCAUCUACUUUUCGACGACUUCGUCAUACUUUUUUCUUUUUAUUACGAGUUCUUAGGAAUUCGUCGACUUAAGCUCGGCGUGUUCUCGAGUUCCGCGUGAGUACCUCUUAGCCGUGACAUCCGGGCGCAUCGCUGUUGUCAGGACUAAAGUAUUCGAGUUAUCACCUUUGCCGAUAGCAAGGUCAAAUCGGCUGGCACGCCUUAACGUUUGAAUCGGGUAUUAGCCCUUUGUGUUUGCAGAUCAGUUUUGCAUCAACACAUCUUUGGGCACGCCCGGUGGGACAGAUUCAGGAUCAAGAUCAACAUGUCGAUCUCUGACCUCGAUCAAGAGAACGUCAUCCCCGUGACGGAGGCCAACCUCAAGGAUGAGCAAAAGCAAGCUAUUGCCCAAGCCAUGGAAGAAUUCAAGCAGCAAUGCCUGAGGUCUUUCAGCAUAAACAGGAGCGGCGAAGUGGUCCAGAAAGAUGCACUGCCGGCACCACGGCAGGUCACCUUUGACGCCAAUCCUGGCAAGCUUCAAGAUAUGGUUGACAAUGCCAUCAAUCGAGCGUUGAUUAACCAAGCUGGUGUACUGUCUAAUACGGUUUUCAACGCCGUGGCAAGAACUUUCAAGGAAGGACAAAUCCCGCCAGAUUAUGUGGGGCCCUCCCAUCAUCAGCCAACGGCACCAGAGGUCACGGCUCCAUCGGCUGCCUUGACGAAUGCAAGUGCACAGUCUGCCGUCCCUCCAAGUACAUUGGGGACUACUGGUGCACUAUCUAUGCCGAUGGCAACCAACCCACAAAUUUCAGUUGGGCAGCAUAAACUGACAACAUAUAUGUUGGCAUCGGCAAUGUCAGGGUUAACUCUUCCUCCCAACUGGUGGGGUUAUGGUAUGCCUCCAGAGUUGACGCCGGGAACAUCACAAAUAACUAACAUGAGGGGCAAAACUCUUAUGACAUCGGCACCUCCCAAUGCGCCGGUGAACCAGAGUCCUCGGUAUACCACAACUACUACUGCAAGGCCUCACACUGGGAAUCCUCAAGAUUCAAUGUUUCAAAUGCCCAACGCAUCGGCAGAGUCAAUGCUGAUGCAACAGAGGCCUAUGGCCCAGUCGGGGUAUGUCAAUUCAACGACGGUACCCAAUUACCAAUCAUCGGCAGCACCUAUGCCGAUGAACGCUAAUAAUGGAUGGCUUGGACAGCAAGCCUUUCCACAAUCGCCCCAGCAGGGUUAUCAGACUACAGGGUUCCAGCAAGGGCAGGUCUAUCCCGAGUUCCAAGGUCAGGGGAUUCCCAACCAGACAAUAAAUUUUGGACAGCAACUCGGAGGACAGCCAAUCAGUGGACAGCAGUUUGGUAGUCCGCAGAUUGGAGGACAGGUGACCAAUACAAUGUUCCAUGCAGGUCACGUCCCAAACAGACACGUGGAGGUUCGCCACCAAGUGCCAGAUCCGCAGCCGCCUCAUCGGCAAGAUGCCGAUGCGUAUUGGGCCGAUAAGAUUGCUGAAGUAAUGAGGGAACAAUUUGGGAUAAAACCCAAAGUCAACACUUAUUCUUAUCGGACACCGUAUCCUCCAGCGUAUGAUUUGAUCCCGCUUCCACAUCGGUACAAGGUACCGGAUUUUACAAAGUUUUCCGGACAGGACGACACGUCAACCAUGGAGCAUGUCAACAGGUUCAUUAUUCAAUGUGGAGAGGCUGGUAACAGGGACGAAUUGAGGGUUUGUCUAUUUUCAUCAUCAUUGUCUGGAUCGGCCUUUACUUGGUUCAUAUCAUUACCUCCCAACUCAGUAAUUACUUGGGCCGAUCUAGAGAAGCAAUUCCACAGAUACUUCUUCUCGGGGGUUCAUGAGAAGAAGAUCACCGACUUGGUCAAGUUGAGGCAACGUAAUGAUGAGUCGGUUGAGGGAUUUGUGCAGAGGAUACGAGAGGUCAAGAAUAAAUGCUAUAGCCUGGUUCUGGACGAUCGGCAGCUAGCCGAUUUGGCUUUCCAGGGUUUGUUGCCACAUAUCAGGGAUAAGUAUGCCUCUCAGGAGUUCGAAAGUUUAAGUCAUUUGGUGCAGAGGAUAUCUGAUCAAGACAUCAAGCCUUUCGAGCCUAAGAGGGCAUGGAAUAAGAAAGUGUCAUUUGUUGAUGAAGCAACAAGCUCAGAUUCCGAUGAGGAACCAGUAAUCGGUUUGGCAGAGUGGGUAAAAAACAAGAAGCCGAUGUCUUGUCCUUUUGGGCAGAAGGAACCAAAGAAGUUUGCCUUUGACACCGCCAAGGCCGGUAGGAUAUUUGACUUUCUACUUCAGGAAGGUCAAAUCAAACUGUCACCUAACCACGUGAUCCCGUCGGCAGAAGAGUUGAAGAGGAUGAGAUAUUGCAAGUGGCAUAAAAAUAAAAUAAAUAUUUUUUCUGCUUUAUAAAAUAAAAAUAUAAAAACAGGAAGUAAUAAUUAUUAAGGAGUCUCAAGAUGAUAAAGGCUAGAUAUUUAUGCUAACACUUAAUCAGUUCCACAAGCUUUGUUGUCUAUUUGAGCUCCACAGAAUUUAAGAAUCAAGAAGACUAGCAGACGGAGGACAUUCUAAUCGCUGUCAGAAUGCUGCUUUCAAAUACACCUCUGCCACCUGCUAGCUACAUCAAGAGAAAUUACGUCAAAAUUCAGCUUGGGGGAGAGCACCCCCAUUUAUCUCGAUAAGUAUUUCUAUCUAUCUAUCUUAUAUUUAUAUUAUUUUAGAAUAUUAAUACACAUGUUGACACCAUUUUUGGGCACGUGUCUAGGAUGGCAGGAUAGGGUGGCAGUACGAUGCGGGUUGCUGAUGAGGAUGGUUGCCGAUGAGGGAGAGGUUGAAUGUGACUAAGUCCACAGGCAGUAAUAUGGUGCCGAUAGCUGGAUAAAAAGGUCUGCCGAUGACUAUGGCAAGGGGAUUGCCGAUGAUGCGAGGGAGGAGUGUGGAAGCUGCCAGUUGUCAUGUGGAGGAGUUUCGGUUUGUCACGAAGGAUAGUUUUAUUAUUUCCUUAAUUAUUUGCAUCGUUUUGUAUACGGAUUCUGUGUAAUUUGGAAUUCGAAUUCUAAUCGUGUCUGGUUGUAGCUCUUUGAGCAGGGUAUAAAUAUAAACCCUAGGACCUUGUAAUAAUCAAUCAAGAAAUCAAUCAAACACACGUUUUUACUCAUAUUCCAGCAUCUACUUUUCGACGACUUCGUCAUACCUUUUUCUUUUUAUUACGAGUUCUUAGGAAUUCGUCGACUUAAGCUCGGCGUGUUCUCGAGUUCCGCGUGAGUACCUCUUAGCCGUGACAUCCGGGCGCAUCGCUGUUGUCAGGACUAAAGUAUUCGAGUUAUCACCUUUGCCGAUAGCAAGGUCAAAUCGGCUGGCACGCCUUAACGUUUGAAUCGGGUAUUAGCCCUUUGUGUUUGCAGAUCAGUUUUGCAUCAACACAUCUUUUGGCACGCCCGGUGGGACAGAUUCAGGAUCAAGAUCAACAUGUCGAUCUCUGACCUCGAUCAAGAGAACGUCAUCCCCGUGACGGAGGCCAACCUCAAGGAUGAGCAAAAGCAAGCUAUUGCCCAAGCCAUGGAAGAAUUCAAGCAGCAAUGCCUGAGGUCUUUCAGCAUAAACAGGAGCGGCGAAGUGGUCCAGAAAGAUGCACUGCCGGCACCACGGCAGGUCACCUUUGACGCCAAUCCUGGCAAGCUUCAAGAUAUGGUUGACAAUGCCAUCAAUCGAGCGUUGAUUAACCAAGCUGGUGUACUGUCUAAUACGGUUUUCAACGCCGUGGCAAGAACUUUCAAGGAAGGACAAAUCCCGCCAGAUUAUGUGGGGCCCUCCCAUCAUCAGCCAACAGCACCAGAGGUCACGGCUCCAUCGGCUGCCUUGACGAAUGCAAGUGCACAGUCUGCCGUCCCUCCAAGUACAUUGGGGACUACUGGUGCACUAUCUAUGCCGAUGGCAACCAACCCACAAAUUUCAGUUGGGCAGCAUAAACUGACAACAGAUAUGUUGGCAUCGGCAAUGUCAGGGUUGACUCUUCCUCCCAACUGGUGGGGUUAUGGUAUGCCUCCAGAGUUGACGCCGGGAACAUCACAAAUAACUAACAUGAGGGGCAAAACUCUUAUGACAUCGGCACCUCCCAAUGCGCCGGUGAACCAGAGUCCUCGGUAUACCACAACUACUACUGCAAGGCCUCACACUGGGAAUCCUCAAGAUUCAAUGUUUCAAAUGCCCAACGCAUCGGCAGAGUCAAUGCUGAUGCAACAGAGGCCUAUGGCCCAGUCGGGGUAUGUCAAUUCAACGACGGUACCCAAUUACCAAUCAUCGGCAGCACCUAUGCCGAUGAACGCUAAUAAUGGAUGGCUUGGACAGCAAGCCUUUCCACAAUCGCCCCAGCAGGGUUAUCAGACUACAGGGUUCCAGCAAGGGCAGGUCUAUCCCGAGUUCCAAGGUCAGGGGAUUCCCAACCAGACAAUAAAUUUUGGACAGCAACUCGGAGGACAGCCAAUCAGUGGACAGCAGUUUGGUAGUCCGCAGAUUGGAGGACAGGUGACCAAUACAAUGUUCCAUGCAGGUCACGUCCCAAACAGACACGUGGAGGUUCGCCACCAAGUGCCAGAUCCGCAGCCGCCUCAUCGGCAAGAUGCCGAUGCGUAUUGGGCCGAUAAGAUUGCUGAAGUAAUGAGGGAACAAUUUGGGAUAAAACCCAAAGUCAACACUUAUUCUUAUCGGACACCGUAUCCUCCAGCGUAUGAUUUGAUCCCGCUUCCACAUCGGUACAAGGUACCGGAUUUUACAAAGUUUUCCGGACAGGACGACACGUCAACCAUGGAGCAUGUCAACAGGUUCAUUAUUCAAUGUGGAGAGGCUGGUAACAGGGACGAAUUGAGGGUUUGUCUAUUUUCAUCAUCAUUGUCUGGAUCGGCCUUUACUUGGUUCAUAUCAUUACCUCCCAACUCAGUAAUUACUUGGGCCGAUCUAGAGAAGCAAUUCCACAGAUACUUCUUCUCGGGGGUUCAUGAGAAGAAGAUCACCGACUUGGUCAAGUUGAGGCAACGUAAUGAUGAGUCGGUUGAGGGAUUUGUGCAGAGGAUACGAGAGGUCAAGAAUAAAUGCUAUAGCCUGGUUCUGGAUGAUCGGCAGCUAGCCGAUUUGGCUUUCCAGGGUUUGUUGCCACAUAUCAGGGAUAAGUAUGCCUCUCAGGAGUUCGAAAGUUUAAGUCAUUUGGUGCAGAGGAUAUCUGAUCAAGACAUCAAGCCUUUCGAGCCUAAGAGGGCAUGGAAUAAGAAAGUGUCAUUUGUUGAUGAAGCAACAAGCUCAGAUUCCGAUGAGGAACCAGUAAUCGGUUUGGCAGAGUGGGUAAAAAACAAGAAGCCGAUGUCUUGUCCUUUUGGGCAGAAGGAACCAAAGAAGUUUGCCUUUGACACCGCCAAGGCCGGUAGGAUAUUUGACUUUCUACUUCAGGAAGGUCAAAUCAAACUGUCACCUAACCACGUGAUCCCGUCGGCAGAAGAGUUGAAGAGGAUGAGAUAUUGCAAGUGGCAUAAUGCAACUUCACAUGACACCAACGAGUGCAAAGUAUUCAGACAGCAGCUGCAAUCGGCUAUAGAGUCAGGGAGAAUCAAGUUUGACAGUUCUAAAGCCCAGAAGCCGAUGAAGAUAGACCAACAUCCUUUCCCGACAAACAUGUUGGAUGCUAAGGGGAAGGCUAAGGUCUUAACGUCGGAGACAGCUGAGAAGAGUGCAUCGGUAGAUCCUCAGCAUCAAGUUACUACUGCCGAUGCAAGAAGUAAGGGCUUGGUCCAGGAAGGAACUAGCUCAGGAAGGCUUCCUCGAUCUGGCAUCGUCAUAACUCAUAGGAGGCCUCGAGAAAAAUGGCAACAACGGGAAGAUCGGUAUCGACGCCAGCAGGAAGAUUAUCAACGGGAAGAAGAAAGACGCCGACAGGAGUGGAAUCGGCACAGGGAUCAUUGGAAUUGCCCAUUCUUCAUCCAUUGUUGGGAGGAAAAUAUCAAGCUUCCUACUGUCAGAGACUGCCCUGAAUGCAACGGUUAUGAUCGGUACGAUAGGAACGAUCGGCGUUAUCAUGAUGAUGAACGGCGAGCUAAUGGGCCGAUCAGAGGAAGGGUGUCAGUUCAUGACCGGCUGGGGGGCAGAUUCAGUGGGCACAACAGACUUAGUGACCGUGUCCAGUAUUUUCCCAGGAACCAAGAGGAGCUCGAAGGAAUGGCUGAUGCGCGGGUUCCCGAUGAAUUCAUAUUUUGCAGGGAUGCUAACACGCAUCGCAUGGAGUCAAGGGAGAAUCGACGCCCGACGGCAAGGCAAAGGCCACUUCCUCCAUGGUGCCCUCAAGGAUUAACCAAGACACAGAAAAGGAGAUUGCAACGAGAAAGGCAAGAGGAGCUAAACAAGGGAGAGAACUCUGGAAGUCGGCAGCCGUCAGACACUAAGAGGGAAGGUCCAUCGGCAGGCGUCAACAUGGUCUUCAUAUUGCCGAUGGAGUUUCUUGCACCAGCCAGUGACGAUGAGUUGGAAUUUUCUGAUCAGAUAGCUCAGUUGGCUCUGGAUCCGAUGACGGCUAUCUUUGAGAAACCUGCCGAUGACGAGAGGCAGCAUCUUAAAGCUUUGUUCCUCAAAGGAAGGGUUGAUGGGCAGCCAAUGACCAAGAUCCUAGUUGAUGGUGGAGCUACUAUUAAUAUUAUGCCGUAUGCAGUAUAUCGGAAGCUUGGGAAAGGGGAUCAAGAUUUGACCAAGACCGAUAUGAUGCUCAAAGACUUUGAAGGAAACGUGUCUCCAAUCAAGGGGGCGAUAUGUGCAGAGUUGACCAUCGGCAGCAAAACCUUGCCGACAACUUUUUUCGUGAUCAGCGGAAAAGGUGCCUACAAUUUAUUAUUGGGGAGAGAUUGGAUUCAUGCCAAUUGUUGUGUCCCAUCUACAAUGCUUCAGUGCUUGGUUCAGUGGGUAGGUGACAAGAUUGAGAUCGUCCCAGGAGAUUCUUCUUAUGUUAUCGCAUCGGCAGAAGCGGAUACUUACGAAAGGACCAGGUGCAUUUCAGGAGAAGCUUGGGAGAAAGAUUUUCUCAAAGUUGCCGAUUAUGAGAUUCCACCAAUCCAAGCAGUCGGUUCUGACGAUGGUUUUUAAUGGAUAGAUUCGCCGAUGAUUUAAAAUUAGGCCAGGGAUUCACAUCGGCCGAUGAUUUGGUAGAAAUAGAUAUAGGUAGUGGUGAUAAGCCUAGGCCUACUUUUAUUAGUGCUAAAUUAGAUCCUGAGUGUAAGCGACAAUUGAUUAGUUUGUUAAAGGAAUAUAAAGAUUGCUUUGCUUGGGAUUAUACAGAGAUGCCUGGUUUAGACCGAUCAAUUGUCGAACAUCGGUUACCCAUCAAGUCUGGAUUUCGGCCACAUCAGCAACCAGCCCGCCGAUGUAAUCCUAACAUUCUACCUGAUAUUAAGGCCGAAAUCACUAAACUUAUUGAAGCUAAGUUUAUUCGGCGGUGUCGGUAUGCCGAAUGGAUUUCCAAUGUUGUUCCGGUUUACAAGAAGAACGGGAAGCUACGGGUGUGCAUUGAUUUCAGGAAUCUCAAUAAAGCUACGCCGAUGGAUGGAUACCCAAUGCCUGUCGCCGAUCUACUGGUUGAUGCUGCGGCUGGCCAUCGGGUCAUCAGCUUCAUGGAUGGUAAUGCGGGUUACAAUCAAAUAUUCAUGGCAGAGGAGGAUAUUCCAAAAACCGCAUUCAGGUGUCCUGGUCAUGUUGGACUAUUUGAAUGGAUAGUCAUGACUUUUGGGUUAAAGAAUGCUGGUGCUACUUAUCAAAGGGCUAUGAAUUUUAUAUUUCAUGAGUUCAUCGGCAAGCUCGUAGAAAUUUAUAUUGAUGAUGUGGUGGUUAAGUCUGGAGAUUUCUCAAAGCAUCUUGCCGAUUUACGAAAAGUGUUGGAGUGCACAAGGAAGCAUGGAUUGAAGAUGAAUCCCAACAAGUGUGCAUUUGGCGUAUCGGCAGGGCAGUUUCUUGGUUUCAUGGUACAUCAGAGGGGUAUUGAAAUUAGUCGAAGAUCUAUUGAUGCCAUCAAUAAAAUAGUGGCCCCUACCAAUAAAACCGAGCUCCAAUCCUUGAUCGGCAAGGUGAAUUUUAUCAGAAGAUUUAUAUCGAAUUUAUCUGGGAGGAUUCGUGCUUUCAGUCCUCUUCUUAAAUUGAAAGCCGAUCAAGAGUUUGUUUGGGGAGAAGAACAGCAGUUGGCUCUGGAUGAAAUCAAAAAGUAUCUAGUAAAUCCUCCAGUUUUAGUUCCACCUCAACAAGGGAAGCCCUUCAAAUUGUAUUUAUCUACCGAUGGAUCGGUUAUCGGUUCAGCUUUAGUUCAAGAAUUUGAAGGGAAAGAGAGAGUAAUUUAUUAUUUGAGUAGGAGGUUGAUUGAUGCUGAAACCAGGUAUUCGGCCAUUGAGAAACUGUGCUUAUGCUUAUAUUUUUCAUGUAUCAAGCUGAGACAUUACCUGUUGUCGGCUGAAUGUGCUGUUGUUUGCAAAGAUGACGUGGUCCGAUACAUGCUAUCUAUGCCGAUUAUGAGUGGUAGGAUCGGUAAAUGGAUUUUAGCGCUGUCGGAGUUCGAUUUGCGUUACGAAUCGGCUAAGGCAGUCAAAGGGCAGAUUAUGGCCGAUUUUGUGACUCAGCAUUGCGGUCUAGUGGAAACCUUGGAAAUUGCACCCUGGACGCUCUUCUUUGAUGGAUCUACCUGUGACCGGAGGGCAGGAAUCGGCAUUGUAUUAGUUUCUCCUAAGGGGAGGAAGUAUGAGUUUUCCUUGCCGAUUGUUGCUACAUCAACAAAUAAUCAGGCUGAGUAUCAAGCUCUGAUCAAGGGAUUGGAGUUGUUAAGAGAAGUUCGUGCUGAUGCUGUUGAAAUAUUCGGGGAUUCUAUGUUGGUUAUAAAUCAAUUGGCCGGAAGCUAUGAAUGCCGAAGUGAAGUUCUCAUAACCUAUUUCGAGAGAAGUAUGCAACUGUUAAAGGAAUUCAAGGACUUCCGAUUGGAGCAUGUUCCCCGAUUGCAUAAUGAAGACGCUAAUCGGUUAGCCCAGCAUGCCUCGGGAUAUCAGCCAAUGAUUAAUGCGACAUCGGCAGUCAGUGCCGGUGAUUGGAGGAAAGAAAUUAUUGACUAUCUAAAAGAUCCAUCCAAAAAAGUUGAAAGACGGGUUCGAUUUCAAGCGACCAAGUAUGUGCUCCUUGAAAAUGAAUUGUAUUAUCGAACUGUCGACGGAAUUCUUCUCCGAUGCUUGGGUGAUGAUGAAGCCAGAAGUUUGAUGGGGGAAAUCCAUGAAGGAGUGUGUGGAGCGCAUCAGUCAGCUUUUAAGAUGAAGUGGAUGAUUCGAAGGAAUGGAUAUUUUUGGCCAACCAUACUUGAAGAUUGUUUUAAAUAUUUCAAGGGAUGUCAAGGUUGUCAAAAGUUCGGUAAUAUCCAGAGAGCACCCGCAUCGGCUAUGAAUCCUAUAAUAAAACCUUGGCCGUUCCGAGGAUGGGCCAUCGAUCUGAUCGGCCAGAUUUAUCCACCAUCUAGCAAAUGGCAUAAGUUCAUUCUAGUUGCCACUGACUAUUUCACUAAGUGGGUCGAAGCUAUUCCUUUGAAGAAAGUCACAUCGGCCAAUAUGAUUGAUUUUGUGAAGGAGCAUAUUAUUUACCGAUUUGGGAUUCCCCAAACGAUUACUACCGAUCAGGGCACCAUGUUCACGUCAGGGGAGUUCGAUGAAUUCGCAAUCGGUAUGGGAAUUAAAGUGUUGAAUUCUUCUCCUUACUAUGCUCAAGCCAAUGGGCAGGCCGAAGCGUCUAACAAAGGAAUUAUCAAGCUUAUUAAACGAAAGAUUGAAGAAAAUCCUAGGCGGUGGCAUACAUUGUUAAAUGAAGCACUAUGGUCUUAUCGGAUGGCUUGUCAUGGAUCAACCAAGGUGUCACCCUAUCAAUUGGUGUAUGGACAUGAUGCAGUGUUGCCUUGGGAGAUUAAGGCUGGACCUAGGCGAUUAUCUUUUCAAGAUCAAUUGGCUGCCGAUGAUUAUGCCACUUUGAUGACCGAUGAGUUAGAUGAUUUAGCAGGGCAUCGGUUAAAGGCUUUAAUGAGUAUAGAAGAAAAUAAGAAGAGAGUUGCUAGAUGGUAUGAUAAGAAAGUAAAGGCUAAGGAGUUUGCCGAUGGGGAUUUGGUAUGGAAGUUGAUUUUGCCAGUCGGGACUAAAAGUUCGAAGUUUGGGAAGUGGUCUCCUAAUUGGGAAGGUCCUUAUCGGAUAAGACACUCGGCUCCUGGUAAUGCCUAUAUUCUAGAAACUCUCGAAGGAGUUGAAUUUCCCAGAGCAUUAAAUGGCAAAUAUUUAAAGAAGUACUACCCCAGCAUAUGGGUCGAUGCAUAAAAGUUUAAGUGCCGAUAACACUCCUAUCGGCUAGAUUUAAAUGUUUGGGGGCAGACUUAAUGUUUCAAAAGAUGCCGAUAACAGUCUUAUCGGCUAGACUAAAAGCUAAAAGCGGGAAAACAAAGGUGUGUUGCCGAUGAAAGCUUCAGAUGUUCAGCAGCGCUUGGAUUGCCGAUAUGGCGCGCAGCCGGAUCUGAUUGGCUGUCUCUAUCUCUUUGAUAUCAUCAUCGGCAGAACCUUCUAUCGGCUUCAGCUUCCUCUUCAGCUGCAGCGCUUUGCGGCCGUGGACGUUUCGUUCUUGUUCAAGGUGCUUGAUGGUCUCCGGCAGUUGACUCUUUUCUUGCUGGGCUUGGGACAGAGCAUCCUCUACUUGCUUGAGUUCGGCCAGUAGAGCUUCUCUUUUUGCCGAUAGAUCAGAUACUUUCUGCUUCAGUGCAUCACCUGAGGACUUUAAGGUGCCGAUGUUCUUAUGUUUCUCGUCGGCUAAGAGUUUUUCUUUCAUCAUCUCCUCAGAAAGCUGGAUUUGAGCGGCUCUAUCGGCAAGGCGUCGAGUGGCUCUCUGGUACUGUAGCUGGCGGCUUUCUAGGUAUGCAGCAUGGAAGAGGGUUUCUUCAGCAUCGGCAGGAAUUUGGCCUCUAAGGGUUUUGAACAGGGCCUUGGCUGGGUCAGAAUCGUUGACCAGUUGAGCAGUGUCUUGAUGAAGUAUGGCCGAUAGCUCCUCCAGCUUAGCCCUGGUUUCUACCGAUACAGUUCCAAUUGCCCGAGAGGAGCUUGCUUCCUCACCUUCUUCUUCGAAGAUAUCAAUGGCGAAGGAGAAUAAGCUAUCGGGAGAAUCUUGUUCCUGAAAAUGAGAAUGAAAUAAGUCAUUUUUAUGGUCAAAGCUUCGGCAGACGAUGCUGUGGAAAAAUUGGAUGACUUACUUGUUUCAGGGCAAUUUCUUGCCUUUGACUCAAAGAUACCGAUGGAGCUACAGGUUGAUCGGCAGAUGUUGCCGAUGGAACGAUAUCGCCAAAAAGAAGACAGGAAGGGUUAUGAGACUAAAUGAGAAUAAGUUUAUCGGCGGAAGUAUUGUUGAGAUAUGUUACCCGGAGGAGGAACAACAGUUGUCUGAAUUGGGGAAACCGCCGAUGAUAUAACUGGACCUGCCGGGCCAGUUGUUUGUUCACCCACGUCAGCUGAUGUACCUUCUGUUUGAGGUUCUUCCUGCUGGGGUUCUUCCAUCUGUGGUGCUUCCUGCAUUGGUUGGGGAGAUGGUGCUUGCUGUGUCUGGACUUCUGGAGAAGAAGGGGAAGAUUCCACCGGGAUUGGAGACACCGGAGGAGAAGGGGGAGUUGCCACUUUCUGGCGCUUUGUUCCAGCCUUAGCACCUUGGGUGCCCUUCCUCUUUGGCUGGCUAGACUGGGGGGCAUCGGUACCUUGGCGUUUGGCUUUUGCCGAUGCACCAGUUUGCUGCAACAACAAAAAGGAGUUUAUGAGCAUAGAUAGCCGAUACAAAGAUAGUUAGCAUAAAUGAAAAGGGUUUGACAAAUUGCCCUGAAAGCUUGCGCCAGAGUGGAAGCAGCUACCGUUGGCGAUGUCUGAGUUUUCCUGGUGGUAACUUUCUUGAGGCGCGCACCCCGAUGCACGAUGGAAGCCAGAGUGGGAGCAUUAUGGCCGAUUGAGGAGAUCGGGCCUGAUGGGAACAAGUCGAUCGGCUUGCCACUCCUGCUAACCGAUGGGGGGGUGUUGUCAACCUGCAAAAGGAAUACAGGGGUAAGUUACCGAUGGAAAUAGUAUUGGAAAAUGAGACAUCGGUUUAAAAUACUUACAGUGUCAUCAGGGACUUCGUAUUCGGGGUCGAUCAUGCCGCGGUAUGAGAGGGCCGAUCUGCAGAAUAGAUUCUCUUUCCAUUCUGCCCACCAUAGCUUGUAUGCCUGAGUGAUAAAGGCAGCUGGAACCCAUUCUGACAGAUCUACAUCUGUAUCGGCAUUUGGUGGUAGCUGGGCUACUCGAGUCCACUCGAGAAGGUUGGCGAUGGGUUCUCUGGGCUUUAUCACAUCGGCAUAAGGAAGUGCAAUCGGCAACUGGCCGAAAGCUAGCUGGCGAGCUAAUGCCGAUGGAUUAUAAAAUUCAUAGGUUUGGGGAGAGGUUUUUGUGCUACCGAAGAAAUUCACUGGUAUGGCUCUGGGAGUCACAAUUGCCAUCAUCACCUCAUUGUCCCUGUCGAGAGCUUCAUCAAAUGGAUUGAAGGUCAGAGGGAGCAUGCUAUCUGGGUCGUCAUAAGCCAGCCAUGGUCGUUCAUCUCUGGCCAGACCCUCAUACAGAAUCUCAAAGAAUCGGCCGAUCUGAUCCGGACUGUUCCCUAAACCGGGUAAGACUAUAACGGCUUCGCCAAAGUUCAAGGGGGCACGCGUUGCCGAUUCCUCUUCACCCAACACAUGAUUUUCGGCUAUAUCUCUUGGGAAGUGCUGUGAGAACAAGUUGAAAUCAAGGCGCUUAUGCAGGUGCAGAUUGAGCCACAUAUUAAUAAACCACCAGGGGCCUCCCAAGUUGCCGAUGGAUUGGCCAAGCAGGAGUUUCUGGGCUACCUGAUGAAGAAGGUGGUAAACAGCGCUGAGCAAAUAUCGGCCGAGAGGAAAUUGGCCACCGCUAGCCAGUCUUUCUGCUGCCGAUAGAUAGACAGAAGUCGGUCCUGCCGAUCGACCACAGAAUACAAACUUGUCCAGCCACAUGUUCAGAAAGGUGGUUUGCUCCUUUAUGGUGACAGGCCCUCUCCCGCGGUACUUCUGGAUGUACCCUGACCAACCGCCGAUAGCGCGAGUCUCCACUUUGGCACUGGGGGCAGUAUCAAAAAAGUGGGUGCUAUCGGCAGAAGAUAUAUCUAGCCCAGUAAGCAUGGCUACAUCGGCAAGGGUAGGAGAAGCAGGGCCGUGGCCAAAAACAAAAGUAUUGAGAGUGUCUGACCAAAAGUAGGAUGCAGCUAUCAGCAGUGACUCGUUCCUGUGCAUAUCGGCAAUGGAUAGCCUAAUGCAUUGAGCUAGCUUCCUCUCACCCCACUGGACUUCAUAAGAAUUGCUGACCCUCAAGAACCAAUCUUUCCACCCUACAGUAGGGCUGGGCCAAGAGCGAAAGGUGUCUUUCCACAGAUCUAAAGAAAAGUUUUCGGCUCUAAAGGGAAUCCUGUUGGUUUCUGCAUUGAUAAGGUCGGUUGGAUCUGGAUUCCCUAGAGGGCCGAGGCACUGAAGGUGUGGUUGAUCGGUAGGGAUGACAAUUUUGUUGGACAACUCCUAGUGUUUUGGGGAAUAAAAAUACAAAGAAAAAGGAAAAGGAAGAUAUUCAGUAGGAUGAAUCGCAGAUGAACAGGAAUGCGAGAAAAGGUACAGGAGAUGAGAUGGAAGUCUGACCUCAGGGACGACGAAGCCAAUGGCCAUCUUGUCGUGAAGAGGACGUUGGAGGGCACCGGAGUUGAUGAAGAGGAAUGCUUGUCGGAGAUCUUGAGGGUUGUAAAUGGCGCCGCCGCUGGAAAAGCAAAGUUGGAUAGUAGAAUGGUGUAAUGGGGGAGGAGUACCCAAGAAGGAACUAUUUAUAGGACAAGACGGGCAAGGGCAAAUCCGACUUAUCUCUUUGCCGCAUCCGAGAAGCCCGAGGGUACUCAGGUAGAUAUGGUAACUGUUCGCACGGUAAUCCAGGGAUUGUGCAGGUGAUUUGACGGGAAGCGGUCAUUAUCUAAAGAUAAUUUACUGUGCGAGAUCUCCUGGUCGGUCCAUCGGCGAUAUUCUAUAACGGUCAUCUUGUCGAUGGGCGGAUAGAGGGGAGGUAACCGUUUUUGCGAAUAUCCUGGUCAGAGCAUCGGCAGAUCUUUGUAACGGUAUUGUUGCCGAUGUACGACCAAGAAAGAUGCCCGUUUAGGAAGUUGGGGAUUUCGAGGAAUCUGUGGAGGAUUAGGAUCAGAGUUGUCCAGAUUGAGGUUGUCGGUUACCAGAUUAGGAGCAUUAAUUGCGGAGAAGGCAUCAUUACUGCAGAGAAUUUCGGAGCAUUAAUAGUUUUAUACUCCGAAACUGGGGGGCAUGUGUUGACACCAUUUUUGGGCACGUGUCGAGGAUGGCAGGAUAGGGUGGCAGUACGAUGCGGGUUGGUGAUGAGGAUGGUUGCCGAUGAGGGAGAGGUUGAAUGUGACUAAGUCCACAGGCAGUAAUAUGGUGCCGAUAGCUGGAUAAAAAGGUCUGCCGAUGACUAUGGCAAGGGGAUUGCCGAUGAUGCGAGGGAGGAGUCUGGAAGCUGCCAGUUGUCAUGUGGAGGAGUUUCGGUUUGUCACGAAGGAUAGUUUUAUUAUUUCCUUAAUUAUUUGCAUCGUUUUGUAUACGGAUUCCGUGUAAUUUGGAAUUCGAAUUCUAAUCGUGUCUGGUUGUAGCUCUUUGAGCAGGGUAUAAAUAUAAACCCUAGGACCUUGUAAUAAUCAAUCAAGAAAUCAAUCAAACACACGUUUUUACUCAUAUUCCAGCAUCUAUUUUUCGACGACUUCGUCAUACCUUUUUCUUUUUAUUACGAGUUCUUAGGAAUUCGUCGACUUAAGCUCGGCGUGUUCUCGAGUUCCGCGUGAGUACCUCUUAGCCGUGACAUCCGGGCGCAUCGCUGUUGUCAGGACUAAAGUAUUCGAGUUAUCACCUUUGCCGAUAGCAAGGUCAAAUCGGCUGGCACGCCUUAACGUUUGAAUCGGGUAUUAGCCCUUUGUGUUUGCAGAUCAGUUUUGCAUCAACAACACAUAAACUAUGGGAAAACCAAAUAAAGAUUUUAUGCUUAUAUAUAUAUAUUACUUAGUGUGUUUAAUUAAUAAAUAAAGUGGCUAUGCUAAUCUGUAUCUAAUAAAACUUAAGCAUAGAUAUGAUGAAUAGUUGCUCUGCCUAAUUUGCACAUUUUAAGUUCUCUCUCAAGUUUAGACAUAACUGUUAUAAUUUAAAGCUUGCCCUAGACCUAAACUUGUGGGAUGAAAACUUGAUCUGAAGUCUAAGUUGUUAACGGAUACGAUAUAGGAAGGUUGAGCUGCUGUUUAUCUGUUCCUAGAGAUGCUAGAAUUCUGGAGAAUUUAUCUUUGAAAAUCUUUAAAAUGUUGCAUGAUGAGUUCCUGUAUGAUGAGAGCUUAAAUUCCUACCACAGCCAUAUAUACAUGCUUGCUAGACUUUGAGCCACACAUUUACUAUUUACUGUUUAUGAGCAUUGAGUAUGGUCAAGCUGUGUAGACCCUUAGGAGCUUGUCAUGUGGUUAAAUCAAGAUUUCACUUGCACGUUCACUCAUAUAUGCUACUUCUACUCUGGAAGUACCAUCCACAUAUAUCCAUACAUUCCAUCUCCAGAAUCACCCAAAAAGAUUCUACUCCUAAUUUGGGAGAGAAUAACCAAAAAUAUUUCUGUUUUCCCCUUGUGAAAUAAAUGCUCAAGUUAUCUUGUUACUACCACUUGCUAUAUUAUCUCAAGAGAUGAGUGCUCUAAAAAAAAGAAGAAGAAGAAAAUAAUACAAGGAAAUAAAAAGGAGCAAGUGCUCGGAACCUCGAAAGAAAAGAAAAAGUGAGACGAGAGGUAAAAAUGGACAAGUGUCCGACAGUAGAAUUAGGGGUGCAAGAUACCCACCUGAGAGAAAAGAAAAAGAAGAGCAUCUCAUUCUCCUCAUAAAGUUUCAAAAGCAAGGAAGGUAUGUAUCCCCUCAGAAGAGCAAAGUAGAAUUAGACUUUCACCACCAUUGUUUUCACCAUUGUUUUCACCAUUGUUAUCACCAUCAUCACCAUAUACCAUUCAUUCGCCACACAUGCACAUCUUGAUUAAACUUGUUGACUUGUUACUUUGGAUCCAUGGUUUGACUAUGCAAUACAUGUCUUGUAAGUAUGUAUAUUUUAUCUCCCACCUAUGAGCUCCAGAUAUUAAAGCCUUAUUAGAGUAGGAUGAGAGAGAAGGCAAUGUUACUAUGCCUCAUACCACAAAUACCACAUAUCUUGAGAGAAGGCAUAUACCAUCAAUGCCUUGGUAAGGAUCCAAAAAUACCACAAAAGAGAGACCUGAGAGAAUCAUACAAGGAAUUCUGAGUUUUAUUUGAAAAUCUGCAAAAAUCCCAGAGCUAUAGCUGAUCAAGAAUAAGAGACAUGGCACUUGGCUAGACUGUUCUAUCUUUUAACCACUCAAGACAGAAGUGACAGUUACAAGUCCCAUAGUGAAGGUAAAGUAAGUAAGUUUUAAGUCUUGACAGUUUACUCUAACUCAGAGAUGAGAUCUUAUUUAAGAGCAUGUGUACCGUCAAAUUUUUAAAGAUAUUGCAGCAACUUCUGAUCCAUAGCUGAGUCUAUCCUUGCUCAGGGAUGAGCAAGAGGUAAGCUUGGGGGAGUUUGUUGACGGUCCUUAAGUAUCAAAUUUAAUUAUCAAAUAAAUAAAGAAAAGGAUCCAAAUAAAAUAAAGAUCUAGACUUAGGGUUUUAUCUGACAGAAUUCCACGAGUUUUGGUGUUUGUCUAUUUCUGCAGGGGGUUAUCAGGAAAUAUGGAAGAAAGGCCCACAUGUCAGGAUUACGUAAAGAUAUUAACGUGCUGCGCAAUUAUCUUACAUCUAGAAGACUCCAGAAGCCACGAGACCGAAGCGGAGGCGAAUCGGGGCCAGAGACAGGGCGCCCGCCCUAUCCAACUGGGCGCCCGCCCUGCCCCUAAGUCCAAUCAGGACUCUGCUUUGCGGGAAGUCUCCACCGACCUAAAGGAUGAAUCUAAACCAUACAAUCUAUGUCGGUUUGAUCCAAGGGCCCAUAUUCACUUGAAGGGACUAUAAAACCAGACCCCUUGGCCCCUGGAGGAGAGAGCCUCUCAACCCUAAUUCAUUGUUCCAUCAAGGGAGAAGAAGCCUCUGAUCAAGAUUAGAGCCGCCACAUCAAUUAGAUAUCUAGAUUAGCAUAGCUACAUAGGAUUAGAACUAGAAGGAGUCAAUCUUCGAUUGGUUUCCGGAUCUGUCAGGAGGAUUCUUGGUAAUUCUCUAAUUGUGCUUCUAAUUGCUUUCUAAUUAUCUUUGUUCUUCAAUAUUAUGAAUAUGACUUUGUUCUACUUCAAUAUAUUGCUUAUGACUUUGCUCUAUUUGCUUAUAUUCAAGAUUAUAUUGUUCUUAGUUUAUCAUAGUUAUGUACUUGGCUUAGUUAGAUACGAUCUAUAUACAUGCUUAGGAUCGUAUAGCGUUUAUCCAUCGGAUCCAUGGGUAAAUGAUAGAUAUUGUGUAGGCGUGGUGCUUAUACCGUAUUUAUCUGCGAUUGUACCCAAUAUGCCAGAUCGUGGGGUAGUUCGUGAUAGUGACAGCUUCAUUGAUUCUUAUAUAGUCCCCCUCUCGUGUAUUGGGCUGGCAGAGCAACAUUAUUACAGGGGAGUGAUUGCUAUAUUUCUCAUAUUCCUUGCUAAUAUCACUAUGCAUGGGCGUAGUCUUGUCUCGCAAUGAUUGCUAAGUAUGCUUGCACUAACUAUGAUAUGCUAGACUAUAUAGUUAAGAAUAACUUAGGGAAUAUUCUUGUAGUUCGUUCUAAAACCAUGCUAAUGACUUUCUAGAGUAUCUAAUUGAGGUGCUUAUCAUAUUUAUUAUGUGGCUAGAUCAGAUUAGUUAUCCUUGUCACUAUUAUCAUUUCAUAUAUCUAUUAUGUGACACUUAUCCCUGUAUGAAGAGUUAGAUAUAAUGUUCUCAAUUAUACAUGCAAUGAUAGAUGCUCAAUCUCAUAUUCUAUUCUGUAAUCAAUAGUGAUAAUUGAUUAAUCCCUUCCCAGUGGUAAAAAUAUAAAUAACGAUACCUGGAAUACUUCCCGGUUAAAAUGCUACAUCGGUAUUAAUCUGUGCGCUUGCAGAUCCCAUUCAUUAUUUAUUUAGAAGAGCAAUUGCAUAUUUCAAUACCGCGUCUCUCAUGUCAUGCUGGGGAUGACAACUUGGCUUAAGUGGUGUGAGGGAUAGGUUUGGCAUUUUUGGCACCGUUGCUAGAUUUAGAACUUAGUCUACUUUUGGUAAUGAUGUUAAGAAUACCCAACAGUAUCUCAAGAGCAAUUCAAGUAAUGUCAUUCCAACACAUAUGGUGAUGUCCAUCAAAAAUACAAGAUUCAAGCCUCAACCAUCUAUCCCAAUGCAAUCCUUCGUCACAAUGAGAUUCACACUUUUUCAAUUGGUAUGAAGUGAUUUGAUUGGUAUCACAUACCUUUUAUGGAAAUUGAUGACAAAGGAGGAGAAGUUGGAACAAAGAUAUGAUCAUGGGAGAUGUUGGACAACAAAAGAUUGGAAGUUGUAUGGACAUGGACAAAGAGGGAGCAACAUUAAGGAAAAAGUUGGAUCAAAAGUCUUGGACAAAAGAAAAGCACACAAGUAGGGGGAGCAAGCUCAUGAACCUUGUUUGUUUGCAUUUGAUCUGUGCAUAUUCAUGUGCUUGCUUGCAUUGCAUAAGUUUUUAAAUUCAAUAUGCAUGCUUGUGUGGUGUAUGCUAGUUAUAGAACUUGAUUGAUGAUAUGAUAACUAGCAUGCAUAGGUUGGUAGCUAGACUUGUGUUCUUCAAGUAAAGACUAGACCCUUGCUUAUAAUGUUGAUCUCACGGGGUUUCUAGUGUUUUUGUUGUCUAGCUACACAUGGUGCUAAGGAUGGUGUACAAUUGAAUGCUUCAAAUGCUAUCGAUUUUGGUAUUGAGCUACAAAGGUUUAUUCUAUACACCUUAGCACUUAGUAGGGUUUUAUGGUGCUUAUCCAAAUUUUGACAUAGAGCUUAAAUGUUGGAUAAGUAGCAUAAAAUCCAAAACAAGUUAGCAAUUUACACUUGUGUGAAGUGCUAGCUUGAAAAAGCUUAAUUUCCAUAACUUUAUAGAGUUGUCAACAAUUACCAAAAAGGGGGAGAUUGAAAGGUCCUUGUUUGGUUUUGGUAAUUGAGUGACAACUUAGGUGGACUAAUAGUGUUUAUGUGAGAUACACAGGAGAUUAGUCCACAGGUGAUGAUGUGAUGAUGGAGGAGCUCAUUGCAUAUGAGUCAUGACAUGGAGUCAUGUGACCAAGGUGGAGAAGAUCAAUAUGAGGCUUGGUUUGAUGGACCGGUUGCAAGAGUGAAGGGCAAGUCGGAGGCUUUGAAGUGAGGGACCGCGUGUGACGGUGAAGCUUGAGCAAGACUUGGCGCCGAUGGACCGAGGCAACGGUGAAGAGCAAGUGAGGUCAAGAUCGAUGAAUCAAUACGGUCACGUGAUGAUAUGAAGUGGAUCAUAUCAUUUGGUGAUUGGUUGGUGCAUGUGUUGCAUCAACAUUGGAGGAGAUGAAAUGAAAUGCGCAAGGCAAAGGUAUAACCUAGGGCAUUUCCAUUUCACCGGUCAUAGGUGUGUAGAGAAGUUUAUGACCGGAUUUAGGAUAGAUGGCCGUACUAUCAAGAGGGGCAAACUAGUUUGCAUAUCGGUCAUCUAGUGCCACUUGAGCGAUCUAACUUUGCAUAUGUGUUAGGAUCGAGUGGCGUGGCAAGUUGAGAGGCUAACUCCUUUGAGAAAAUGUUUGUGAAAAUGCUAACACACUUGCACAUGGUGGUGUACACUUGGUGGUGUUGGCACAUUUACAAAGGAGGUGGAGUUCCUAGGGUUGAGAGGGGUGUGUUCGGUGCUUUUGAGAAAAUUAAGUGCAUGUUUUCUAUUGCGCCGGUGGGAAAUUUGGAGAAGUCGUGGGAGUGUUUCUUGCUGAGAAACACUCACCGGACGCUGAUGGUGGCAGCACCGGAUGCUGGUCCAGAUGGUGUCUGUGGCUCAGGUGUGCAGAGCGCACCAGACGCUGGCACCGGACGCUGGGCAGUUACUGUUCGAGCGUCCGGUGGUGUCCGAUGUCAGCGAGUGCACGCGAGGUGUUUCUGACCGAUGAGCACCAGACGCUCAGGGUGCGUCCGGUGGCUUGCGUCUGGUGACCGUGCGAGUUUGCGGAGCUCUCUGCGCACGAGUCCGGUGUGGACUAGUUGAGCGUCCGGUGGUGCUGUGUCAGGCGCGAGCGCGAGGUAGCCAUUGGCGGCAACGGUCGAGUUCAAACGGCUAGUGACACGUGGCUGACGCCUGAGCACCGGACGCUGGGGGUUGAGCGUCCGGUGGCUCCUUGCGAGCGUCUGGUGCCCACAUGUUUUGCCCAGUGAAGGGGCAACGGCUAGUUUAGCCCUUGGGGCUAUAAAUAGAAGUGGUGGCCGGCCUUGGCUGGUGCUGAGCACCCUUGGGACUUAGUGUCCAUGCUUGGGGAGUGCUAGUAAAGCCUCCAACUCACAUAUGAUUGAUAGUGAUCAUCCGAUUGUGUGAGUGAGCGAUUCUAGUGCGUUGCAUUGAGAGAUUGCAUAGAGUGGCACUAGGUGUUCGUGUUGCAAGCUGGUGGUGCUUGUUACACUUGGAGGUUGCCACCUCCUAGACGGCUUGGUGGCUUGUGACUCUGUCGAAGCACGCAAGGAGAUUGUGCGGUGCUCCGGAGAAGAGAUUGUGAGGGGUACGGUGCUCACCCCGCGGGGAUCGCGAAGAGCAACUCUAUUGUAUCGUGCGUGUCAUUGAGCUACCUCACUUGUGGGUAGGUUCUUGCGGUGUCCUAGUGGGGAUGAGGUUCGUGUAACACCUCUUAGCCGCCGAACCACCAAGUGUUGGUCGACACAAUGGGGACGUAGCUUGGUGGCAACCAAGUGAACCUUAGGAGAAAAUUAUCAUGUCAACAUUGUUCUUCCCGUUGGUUUGCAAGUCCCUAACACAAGCUUGUUCUUACUUCAUAUAUUUGUGCUUGUGUAGUUGCUCUUGUAAUUAGUUAGCUUGUGUAGCUUGCUAGUUACCUUCUUGCUUGUGUAGCUAGAAGUAGUUCCCUUGCGUGACUAAUUUGGUUUGUGUAACCUUGUUAGUCACUUUGCUUAGUUUGUGUAGCUAAGUAAGUUGCGCUCUCUAAUUUGGCAUUAGUUGCCUUGUUUUUGAGUUUGCUAGUGAGCUUAGGCUUUGUGCGCUUUGCUUCACUAGUUUGUGUAGGAGCUCCUCCGGUUUGCAAAGUACUAGUUGCAUAGGUUUGUGUGACCUUGCUCCUAGAAUUGUUUAGGUGAGCUCUUGCUAAGGUAGCACCUUGUUUGCUUGUUUAGGAUCUUUUACAAGGUGCUAGAGAACUUAGAUAGAGGGGUGUAGUCUUGGCUAGACCGAUAGUUUUAAUUCCGCAUUUGUUUCGGUUAGUCGACGUAAUAUUUUUUAGAAAGGACUAUUCACCCCUCUCUAGUCCACCAUCUCGACCCUUCAGCUAUGAAGGCCUAUGAGGACUUGUUGGAAAGCUUGUCGAGUCUACUUUCCAAUGAAUCUAGUGGUGACCAGUUUGGAUACUCCGUAUUGCCUGCAGACCAGAAUUCGUACAGACUGCUCAGAAGGUCAACAGUCUGUCGUGACAGAGUGUUGGUACAAAUUGCCAUGCAAAACUGUACCAAUCUACAAUGUUUCGUGGUGCAUGGCAUAUAUUGCUGGAAAGCACUUGGAGUCUAGUUUCACACCCAAGAAACGGUUCAUCAUUUGGACUUCCCAAUAAGAAGUUAUGGCCAGUUUAUUGGAAACUGCUCUGGAGGCCAACAAUCACGCGAAGCCAUUUCGGGAGUCCAUUCCGAGGGGGCCUUUCACAUUGCCUUCCCUCAGAAACUCUAUUUCGUUUUCAUACCUAUCUAGGAGGGUUGUUCCUAGUAUAAAUAUACCCUACCUCUAAGCUAUCAGCAACCUUUGAUCAUUUGAUAAACUACAUGAUAUUGCAGCCGCGCUGCUGACUGCCUUACUCAACCUUUCUUCUUCCUUGUUCUUCUUGGACUUGUGAAGAGAAUCCUCUGGGUUCCCCUACUUCGUGCUCUACGGCUUCCGUUCGGCUGCGCCGUAUUGUGUGGAUUAGUUCCGGAUUGUGGUUCUGCGGUCGUUCGGAGAUCGAGUCGAAGUCUUCGUGGUUUCGGUGCCUAUCUCCCCGUCGCUUGGUCGCAUCCAACCUUUGUCACGUAUAAAGCUAGGUACCCGCUGUUCGCAGCAAGUUAUCCUUGUUCUUUUGAUCUACUGUCAUGAAGAUCGGGCCACCCUCGUGCCGAUUCAUAUCGGUACCCUAUCAACCACUGUUUCAGUAGAACAGGUAUGUUAGACCACUUCUUUUUAUCUAGUAAUAUCUUCUGAUAAACACUAAUCUGCUCAUCCUAAUAUAGGAAUAGGUUUCUUCACCUGAUCUGCUAUUCUCCUUAGAUGAAUAUCUUGAUGAAGAACCAAUCGUGAUCUCAGAAGAUACUCCACCAAAGAUCCCUGACUACAUCAAAGCUUAACUACAACAGUUGAUCACCCAUCUAGAGCUAGAUGUUUCAGUUUUGGUUCAAGAUGUAGGAUCUAUCAGAGAUAUUUUCAAUCAGAUUAAAGAUGAUCUCCCUUCUUCUUUGAAAGGAAUGAUUCAGCCAGCUGCAUUCUUGGAAGGUAAUGACCCCAAAUUCCUUAGUGCCCAAUCCACAUUAGCAGAUAGAGAAGCUAAAAAAACUCAACUGCUGGUGAAGGCCAAUGCAUCUAAGAAAUCCUAUCAGUUAAGAAAAUAGUCGAUCUCCUUAAAGAAUUCCUUGUUGAAAUCAAUAAAGAUCUAGCUGCUCUUAACAAAUAAAGGACACAACUAUUAGCUUAGCUGAAGACUGUUGAAGAUGCAAUCAGACAGAAGGAAGAAGCCUUAUCUCAGAUCCCUGCAUCGUUAGCCGAUCAUAAGAAGAACAUGGCAUCCUUGAAAGCUAGGCUUGACAAAGUUAAGCAAGACAAGAAAGCCAAGACUCCUGGAUCAGCUGAAGAAGAUCAGCAACAGAUAGCCGAAGUAGAUAACAUUAGGCUUUCGACUUCAAAUUUCAUCAAGUCUGUUCUAAAUGUGUAAUUUAAACACUUUCUUCAUUUACUUUGCAUCUUGUAAUCCUCAGACUUAACUUUUGUUUACUUAGACUCAUUUUUUCUUCUUUAGCAAUUAUAUACUUUUGUUUAAAGUCUCAUCAGAAAUACCAACCGAAUCUAAGUAAAGUAGAACACUAUCGGCAAAGUUAGCCAAUCCACUACUCAGGUCUUCCGCACUCACAGUUAAGUUGAUCAGCUAUUUUCUAUCGUCCACAUCCCUAGGAUUACGGGGACGUUUUAACUUUAGCCGAUCCACUCACCCCAAAUUCAAGGAACCAUCUUCAUGAUAGCCGAUCCACUUUCUCUAUCUUUCUGUGACAUUGCCCAUCAAGGCAAUUCCUAGUAUGAUUCUGUAUCAGCAAAACUUCUCUGUGUUCCUAAUUUUUGUGCUAAAGGCGAUAUCUGUUAUAUCGGCUAUAAAAUUUUAGGUCUAAACACUAAAUAUUAUAGUCUCUGCAUCAAUUCCUUUACUGCCCAAACCCUUAAAUUUUUGAACUAAAGGCGAUACUCAUUGUAUUGGCUAUGUUCCUGACAACUUAACACUUUGAAUUUUUAUACUAAAGGUGACACUUGGUGUAUCGGCUGUCAAAACAUCCCUUCUGAAUAACUUGAUCAACUAAAGCAAACCAACCUAGACGCUAGGGUAAUACUUCUUAAAAUAUUUUCCAUUAAUAGCUCUAGAAUACUCUUCUCCUUCUAGAGUUUCAUGAAAGUAAGCAUUUCCAUGAGCAACCUUAGUAAUCUGAUAUGGUCCUUCCCAAUUAGGUGACCACUUGCCAAAUUUACUGUCUUUAGAUCCAAUUGGCAAAAUUACCUUCCAAACCAGUUGACCUUCACUGAAUCUUCUUUCUCGAACUUUCUGAUUAUAGAACUUGGCAAUCCUGAUUUUGUUAGCUCUAAUAUUUUCUAAAGCCUUUAGCUGAAGAAACUUCAAAUCAUCUAAAUUUUCCAACAUAAGAUUCUUGUAGUCAUCGGCUAUCAAUUUGUCUUGUUGUGAUAUCCUUCGAGAUCCUAGAUUAAUCUCCCACGGCAAUACAGCUUCAUGCCCAUAAACCAACUCAUAAGGUGAAUAUUUAGUCAAUCCAUGACAAGCCAUCCUAUAAGACUAAAGAGUUUCACUAAGUACUGAAUGCCACUUCCUUGGAUUUUCUUUGAUCUUUUUCUUGAUGAUCUUAAUAAGAAUCUGAUUAGAAGCUUCUGCUUGUCCAUUAGCUUAGGCACAGUAAGGAGAUAAAUUGAUCAAUUUAAAACCUGUACUGGCAGCAAAGUCUUCAAACUCCUUGGAUGUAAACAUCUUCCCUUGAAUCAGUUGUAAUGGACUGAGGGGCCCCAAAUCUAUAAAUACUAUGUUGAAGAUGAACUCAAUCACAUUAGCUGAUGAUGCUACCUUUAAAGGAAUAGCUUCCAUCCAUUUAGUAAAAUAAUCUGUUGCUACCAAUACAAAUUUAUUUGAAGAUAGAAAUACCUGGCCAAUCAGAUCUAUUCCCCAACCUCUAAAUGGCCAUGGUUUCAUAAUAGGAUUCAUAGCCGAUGCUGGAGACUUCUUAAUACUGCAAAACUUUUGACACUCUUGACAUCCUUUAUAAUCCUUGAAGCAAUCCUCCAACAUGGUCGGUCAAAAAUAACCUGCUCUUCUAAUCAUCCACUCCAUCUUAUGAGCAGACUGAUAGGCACCACAAACUCCUUCAUGAAUCUCUCCCAUCAAAACCUUAGUUUCUUCUUGGUUAAGACACUUAAGGAGCACACCAUCAACUGUUCUAUGAUAUAGCUGAUCAUCAAUUGCAUCCUGUCGCUGGUAUAAGUAGAGGGUGUAUUAAACUCUGUAUCGCGUAAGGCUGGUUGUAAACCUGUGUGGACUCUGUGUUCUAAAGAGCGAAAAGGGGCGCUGUCGCCCUGGCGGUUGCCGUGCGUUCCACCGAGUUCAUUGAGCUUUCAUGUGUUUUGCUUAGCCAGUUUGAUCAUUAGUGCUGUGAUUGUGAUCCUGAGGCCAUCACUGAAUACGUUCGCAAGAAGAAAAUAGAAGUCUGAACCGUCAUUAGGUUUUCAGCUGUGCCUUGCUUAAUGGGCUUGUUCGAAAUGCUCUUGUGGCCUUGUGAGCUGCAGCCUGUCGAAGCUUUUACAGUUUUGCCUGUUCGUUUUCUAGCGACCAGCGCAAACGACACGGCCGCCUGGCACAGGACCGCUCCAAAUUCCUAUCCUGCUAUCGCGAGGAAGAGUUCGUGACUUUGCCGACUGCGAGCCGGUGGCCGGCGAUGCGGCAAUCACGUGCCUUCGCCGAUCCGUUUUGGGCUGCGACUGCGACAGGCCGAGAAAGCGAGCCGGCGAGCGGACAUCACACACCACACAACGAGCUGAUCAUCAUGGUAAGUCCUCCAACUCAAAAAUCUGACACUUUUAUAAUUGUCUAGUAAAACAUUUUGAGAGACCAUCUAUAUGUUCAAGACUUUGCUCUACCUUAGAUUUUUUUUUCAUACUCCGCCACUGAAUGCAAUAAUCAAUAUUGAUGAUUUAACUCAGUUAAAAGGAUACAAACACUACCAUAUUGGUGGAGUUCUCCUAGUGUUUCUAAUUAGUAACAAAACACUAACACUAGUCAUAGCACUAGGGAAUCCUCACUAGGAGACAUUUACUAGGAAAAGUUUAUACUAAAAUUUGAAUGCUAAAACACUAGGAGAAGUCCACAUUGCUAGGAGAAGUUGAAAAUUUUGGUUGUGAAAUUUACUAUUGUAAUAUACAUAUGUGAUAUGAACUUCUCUAGUACACACCCAGCGGCGCAUAAAUCAAUAAGACCGCACCUCGGGACUUGCUCUCCUGUCCUGGCCAACUUGUACGAGCAGCAUUGCAGAUAUAAUGAGUAAAGAUGUUAACUAGCUUGCUAGAUUUUAAUUACAUAUGAUCAACGAAAUAAAUUUGCAAGAGGGACCAGAGAAGAUCUAGAUCUUCUUCUUGAAGCCCUCCCUUGCAGAUACAGAUGAAGCUUUGCGGCCCCAAAAAGGUCAUACUACUCGCAUAGCAUCAAGAGCAAUCAGCCUUACAGGUAUCCUUCUCCCUUACCAGAAUGACUGCUCAUGAUGUUAUGUUUCCCAGCAACCAUGCACCACCCUUGUGAUGAUACUUAGAGAGCUGUGUCUACCUGUGGCCUCAUGAACAUAUACUUGCACGAAACAGCAGCUCGCCACAUCAAGACAACGACUAUGCAUGCAUGCUUCAGUGGUGGUGAAUGCUCUAGCGGAGGAUCCCACCGAGCGGCGCCGGGGCCCAGUAGUCAGCGGCAUUGUCCCCUCCAAAGUGCGAUGUACAUGACACCGGGACGAGGCACAGCCCUCGGCUCCUCAAGUCCUUCUUCAUGUCGUCAUUCACACCCUUGACGAAUAUAUGUAAAUAUACCAAGUCAUCAGCUAUACUUUUUUCAGAUUAUUCCUAACAUAGUAUAAAUGGGAAAAAGAUCUACCAAUGUUGAAGUAAAAUGUGUUGGGACCUGCAUGCCCUUGGGAAAAAAAAUGCACAUGCAUGAUUAUCGUGUUAUUUGUUUUUAUGUAGAAUAGUGGGUACAUAUAGCACUACCCUAGCUAUAUAUAUGUACACGUGUAUGCAGAUGAUUGAAAAUGACUUGGAAGCAAAGCAAAGUGGGCUUGAAUACCUGCUGCUCAUCAGGCUGGACUGCUGCAGGCUGCUGUGCUCCAGUGUUGUUAUUAUGGUUUAGCAACUGCGCAAGGAACCAGGCGCAAAAGAUGUAUAUGAAUGAAAAGCGGUUUAAGCAGGGCUGUAAAGGGCUAUAUUCUUACAUCAGGAAUCAUGUGCAAUCACAGGGGUUUAUAGGUUACCUGGCCCGGGAAUUCUGGGAAGAGCCCUGCAGGGUUCCUUUCUCCAAUUGGUCCCUGUAUAAAUGAAUAAUUAAAAAGAAAGCACCGUGUCACAUGUCAACGUUGCACGUACAAGCGUGCGAGAAAAGCCGCAGAGAAUAAUCUCCCAGAUGGGAUAAAUAUGAUUGAACCCAUGAGGAGUACUGGCCCAUGGUUGUCUCAAUGCAAGCAAGCUGACCUAGGGUUGUGCAAGCUGAAACAAGCUGUUAUGGCCAUAUCAGUGCAGUUUUAUACUUCUGUUUGUUACUGUUUGGGAUCUCCCAGGAUCACUAACUUUUAAUAAUCUCCUUCUUUGCUAGUAAAAAUGGUCCAUGGGCUGUGCCCCGUUCGUUAAAAGAAAAGUUAUGGAGCUUGCAGAUUUUGUCCCUCUCUCCCAUCGUACCCAUUCCCCUCCCUCACCUCUCUCCCAACUAGUCUAGCACCCAUUCAUGCUCACUCCUUCCACACACGCAGAUCUCUCUCACUAAUGCCGUCGUGGUCGCGGAGGCCGGGGCCGCGGCAGCGACGACGUGUGUGGUGUGUAUACAAGCAAGGAGAGAGAAUGUGGAUAGGAUAGGUUGGAGGACAAAGUGUGACUUUCCCAUCGAUUAGCCCAUUCAGCUCCCAUUGGCUAGCUAAUAAUUAGCUUACACCGGGUAUUUUUUAGCCAUACCCAUUUGGAUACGUCACCGACAAAAUUUUAGCAGCUAGUAGCUAGUCAGUAAUAUCCAAAUAUGCCCUUCAUUAGUGGGAUAAAAAUGUGAACCUAAUGAUUUGAAAUAUUUGUGGUGAUGAUCUAUAUGUUAAGUUAAAAAGUAAUAUAAGGAAAAGGUACAUUUUUCAUUGGUACCAUAUUUUUUCAUAGUGAUGUAUGGAGCUUUUUCUUAUGGAAUAGGCAACAUCAAGUACAAUAUGAUUAGUUUUUCUAGUGCAUAUGUGAAACAUGUACUAAAUUGAGAUAAUUAGCUUUUUCGUAGUAAUAAUGUGGCUUCAAGUUCCUCCAAAGAUUAUGGACUUACUUGUAGACUAAGUUCAUUUUAUGCUCUAAUAAUGUGAAUCGAUAACAAAUUCCACAAAUCUACAAUGUCUAACAAAACACUAAACCGUUGGUGAAAUGUUGUGUUUAGUAUAUUCAUACUAUACACCUUUUAAAUGGUCUAAGCGACACUGCAUGAUCAUUGUUUAAAGGAAUAUAAAGGCGUUCCAUAUAAUAUUUGUACAACUAAACCUAUGCCUGAAUGUCAUAAAGAAAUUCAGAUAUAUAUGAUCAGUCUUUUCUUACUUGAAAACAAUGCUUCACAUAGGUUUUAUUUAUAUGGGCCUUUAUCUCAUAUCACCUAUUAUCUCAUAGUCAAUUCAAAUCUAUUUUUAACGGAAUAAGAAAACGCUGUAUCAAUAACCUUAGAAACAAACUCCGUUUGUAAGUACACAAUUCAGUUAUCUAAUUUUGCAUCAUUUUCCAUUCCCUAACCAUUCACAAAAAUUUCAUUAUUCUUCAAGUAGCACACCCACUUUUGUUCAAGAAUUAACGAACUAAUUAAAAUUACCAAUCCAGCUUUGAAUAAAAGUUAAGGUAAAUAUUUAUCAUUGUUAGUUCCUCUAAUAUUAGUAUCAAUGUAUGUUUUACAGCAAGACGACAACGCAUAAUAUAUUCUCAUACAUGUUUGAACCAUAUAGAAACAUUUAGACCAUAAAUUCUUAUAUUUGCAUGCAUAUUGUGGUGGUUCUCCGUUAACAUCUGUUUUGUAAUGUCUACUGUGUAUAUAUUUCAGAGAAGAAUAGAAAUUCAAACAAGCUUAAAAUUUACUUUAAAAUUAGCCAUAUUUUAUGAAAAAAAUGUUAUUUGUUAAUGGGUUAGUACACGUGAGCUCUCUUAUUACAUGCAGUCAAAAUAAUCUAACAGACAUGUACGUAUUUACCAAGGACUUAAUAUUGCAAAGUAUUAAUCAUAGCUUUAUCUACAGGUAACACAAACUCGCAGAACUUAAUUAUGUUUACUGUUUGUUGUGGGAAAAAAUCGUUUUUUGUUCUAUUACCACACACAUGAUAAAGAGCCUAAAAGGUCUAAAGUCCUUUUUGACAAAGGUUAACAAAUAAAAGGAUCAGUUCUACUGAGGAAGCCUUGGUAAAAGGCUUCUUUAAUUAGAAAUACCUUUGGCAAAGUAUAUUUUUGGCCAACCUUUGCUAAAGGUUUUGCUAAGGCACUAUUGUUGUGUCCUCCCUACAUACAAAGUGUGCCAAAGUCUAGACCGGCUAACAAUUUUACAUACGAAUGCACGUGCAUAGGCAUAUUAAUUGUUAACCUCGCACGUAAGAUUCCUUCCAGCCUGCGCUCGUGUGUGUGUGAGAGAGAGAUAGAAAGAGAUAGAGAGAGAGAGAGGGGCAUGCAACAUACAUUUUGAAUGGAGGUCCCAUGGCCCAUGUAGGGGUAGCUGAGAGCCUGUCAAAGAAGGAAGAAAAAAACUACACUGGUCAUGAAAUAUGAGAGAGAGAGAGAGAGAGAGAGCAUGCACAUAGUCCAGUGCAGUCGUCCCUGAAACACAAGACGCUACAAGACAGAGCAGCGCAUCGGUUCAUCCAUCUCGCUGCUGCAGUUGCUGAUUCUGCGUGCGCGCGCGCGCCCAUGCAAAGCGAUCAACUUUAACAGCGUGCUCUUGCACCCGUCCCUACCCUCCCCAUGCAUAUUCUCUUUUUGUUUCCCGCGCACCCAGCUUUUUUUCCCAACUCUCUGCGGUAACAACACCUAGCAGCUGCUAUUGCUGCCACUGGCAUGUGGGCCGGAAUAGACAGCGUUGCUGUUUGUGGGGUCAGCUAUAUAAGCAGUGACAACAAGAAGGGUUUAAUUUUUUACUGUGCUGAUUGCUUAAGGUAGAAACAUCUUCAAACUGGCAUGUGGGGAGUGCGAGGGCCACAUUGUUCUUUGUUCACCCAUACUGCAUGCUCUUCUGAUGGUCCUAGCUAGCUAUAUGACCAUGACUUAUGAAUUUUUCCUUUCCAACAUACACACAAAAGCACACGAUGAGAGAGAGAGAGAGAGAGAGAGAGAGUUGGACCUCAAUUUGGCCCAGGAGGAAUCUGAUAUAGCCAAUGGUCUCUUGCAGUACAGACGCCGUGUCAGUCUGUAAAAAAGAGGCACGUGUGUCAGGGAAAUGCUUUAGAUGGACACAACCCCUCGAGUGAAAGCAGGAGCAAAACAAGUUAAAGCAGAUGCAUGGCAACAACUAUAGACAACUGCAACAACACAUGUAUCUACUGUGGUCGGAGCGAGGAAACACAUGCACUCAGAUCAAACGACUGAUCUACCGUAUCUUUCUUUCUACUAGUCACAACCUCACAAGCUGCUGCUGGCUAUUUACAUAAUGAAUCGGUCCAUGCAUGUUGUAUUUUUUUUUUGUUCUGACUAACCUUGCCGAACGGGGAAACAAUCUGGUGAAGAGCAGUUAUUCUAUCACCCAAUCUCUCCUUUCUCACCUGCAUCAAACCAUAAGUCACACAGUCAUAUCUAAGUAAAUAAGUUAUAGCUAGCAUGCUAUAUAUAUAUAUAUAUAUAUAUAUAUAUAUAUAUAUAUAUAUAUAUAUAUAUAUAUAUAUAUAUAUAUAUAUAUAUAUAUAUAUAUAUAUAUAUAUAUAUAUAUAUAUAUAUAUAUAUAUAUAUAUAUAUAUAUAUAUAUAUAUAUAUAUAUAUAUAUAUAUAUAUAUAUAUAUAUAUAUAUAUAUAUNNNNNNNNNNNNNNNNNNNNNNNNNNNNNNNNNNNNNNNNNNNNNNNNNNNNNNNNNNNNNNNNNNNNNNNNNNNNNNNNNNNNNNNNNNNNNNNNNNNNAUAUAUAUAUAUAUAUAUAUAUAUAUAUAUAUAUAUAUAUAUAUAUAUAUAUAAGUUAUCACUAUUAUAUCACAUGUCAAAUUCUCAGUGUACUCUUGCUGCACAAAUUUUGAGAGAGAGAGAGAGAUAUGCACACAAAAGAUGAGCCCGGUUUGGGUUAUGGAAAGCAGUGAGAUGAAGAAGAAACCUUUAGAGUAGAUUGUGCCGAAGAGGAGGCCUGAACCCUAGGCUUCUUGUUGGCUGAACCUGUAGCAGUGCUGUUGCACUAGAGAAAGACAAAGAAACAAAGCAAGAACAAUCAUGAUCUCAUUUCGACCUGUCCCAUGAAACAACACACUAACUCUUGGUAAAGUGAAUUCAUUCCCAGUGGUUCUAGCUCUCAAUAUAAUGCGGACAAGCUAUGGGAUCAUGUACCAGGACCAUAUAAAUAAUAAAUAAAACAGUAGGUCAAGAAAUGUGCUAAAUCCGUCUAGGAAAGAAUACCAUUCCAACUAUAUUAAGUCAAACCAUCUUCACACCGACAAAACCUAAAAUUGCAUUUUUCUCAAAAUUAUAAAGAACCAAUAUUGUGUAAUCAUAAGUAGAUUUGUUAUGGAAUAUAUUCACACAAUAUACCUAUUGUAAUCAUAAAUGAUGCUACAAUUUCCUUUAACCAUACCUAGAAUUACAUUUUUUUUGGUGUGUCUGGGGUGGGGCGUGGGGGGUGAGGGAGGAUGGAGGGAGUAGUAAAUUAGUAGAAACAAAAAGAGGUAGCCCUUUCAAUAUGGGUGCAUGCCGUAACACUCUGACCAAGAGAUUAUGAAAUAGCGUGCAUGAAAAUACCACCAGCUUGGUUGACAAAUAAAGUGGAUUUGCAUAUGACAUGGAAACAUGCAUGUCUGUACUACUAGCAAAUAAAGCAUCUUUUCAUGAAAAGAAGCAUAGUACUACUGCCUUUAUUUUGUUUCAGUUAAUGGAAGAUAGAAUGCACCGUCACCAAGAGAUCUUAUUGACAGUAUAGCCCCCCACCCCCCAUCCCAUCCUAGUCGUCGGUUAAAGAUGAGAUAACAUAAUCAUGGUAUAUCUUUCCAUCUCAAACUAAGAUGAAUGGAGUGCCUUUUGAAAGUACCAUCUCUUCCCGAGGGCGAUCAAGAUGAAACAUUGUGUAAUAAAGUAGGCAUAACGAAUGCAUUCCAUGUCGAUCGGAGCUUAAAUAAUUAAUUUGAAUCUAAAUACAUGUCUUCCAUAUGCAUGAAUAAAGUCGAUAAAUUCCUUGAUGAAUGUAAGUUUCUUCUUUAAUUUUUAAAAAAGAAUCAAAAGACGAAAUUGAUAAUGUUGAAAAAAAACAAAGGGAUUGGAAAGAACAAAUCAGAAAACAUCCUACGAACUAGCAAUGGUUGACAUUAGUUUCCCGGAUUAUAGACCAAGGUAGCUCAUCUCACCUCGGAUGAGUUAUCAGAGAUAUGAUGGUGGCUCUUUAGCUCCGGAAGUGGCGCGCUGUUUGAGAAGUCGAGCAUGUUGCUGCCGAGGCUGGUGGUGAUGCACGACCUAGGAGACGAGGCCAGGAGCAUCUGGCUCAGCUGAGACUUGCUGGCCCCUCCUGGCGCCGGCAUCUCAUGGUCACCAGCAGCGACGUGGCUGUGGCUCCCAUAGAAGUUGUACGGAGGUUGAGGCAUGGCGGAGCCCUCCUCCUUCAUACCACCACCACCCACCAUGCAUGCACUUGCUGCAGUUUCAGCGUGAUCCCCCCAAUUCUCUAUGCCCUUUGACGGGAGAGCUGCGGUGGCGCUGUAUCGCUCAUGGUCUCCUGCAACUAACCCCCCUCUGCACAUGUAGUUAUAGAUGAGCACAGACAGAUGAGUCCAUGGGGAUAAGAACAACUGCAAGUUAGCAUCAGAGUAAAACGAACAUGAAUAAGAUGAUUAGAGACAGGAAGGUAGAUUAACACUGGGAAAGGCUUGAUCCGCUAUAGGACAAAGUGGGUUAACCACUUUAUUCCUUCACCUAGAGCUACUGUUAAGUAUAGCUAGGGUACAUGGAUUGUGGAGGUCUGUAAUUGUGGAUCUGUUGCAUGAAUAAAUCUUAAAAGAUUUAACCAGUAAAGAACGAAUGAGGGCCGCUGGGGAAGAGACUCAAGAGAGAGAUAGACAAAUAAGAGAGAGAAGAGUGCUUACAGAAGCAUCUGGCUCCAUGAUUCUGGCAUGUGGUUCUCCUGACCGCUGCCGCCGUCUUGCAGACUUGGAAGAGAACCAGCCGCGCCGCCGUUGAUAUGACCUAGCUGGCCUGAAGAGGUACCGGUGUGCAGAAACUGCUGUGGGAAGAGCAUGGAUGGAGACGACAAGGAGGGCAGGAUGGGGGAGGCCUCUUGAUCCUCAUGGCACGACUUGAAGCUGCUCAUGAUAUUAUUGCUGCUGGCUGUGGCAGUAUUGCCGCCGCCACUGCCGGUACCGCUCCAGAUCAUCUGCUGGACAAGGGAGGUCUGGAAUUCUCCUCUGUUCAUCACCGGCCGCGCGCUGGAGAGAGAGGAGAGCUAGAGAUGAGCUCUCUUACUUCAACAAAUGCUAGCUGCUGCUAUCUCUUCCUUGCCAGAGGCUCUCUAGCUCCUCUUGCACUCUUGGUGUGGAAGUAGUCUCAGGUCAAUCUUAAAGGGGCCAGCAGUGUCGCUCGUCGCAAUUUCCUUGAGGGAGAUGGGCUGGGCAGGGCAUAUAUCUUCUCUUCCUCCUAUAGAGAGGGGGGGAGAGAGAAAGAAGGGAACAACAACAAUACCAAACAGAAGAAAAAAAGAGGUGAGAGGAGCUGAAUAAAAAAGCAUAGGCGCUGUUCGGAGAGGAAUCUGGGCUUUGUUUUGUUUUCCGCUUCCUUUUGCUUCACUCCUUUAUUUGUGAACUUUCCCUUGCUUUCCUCCAGCCCCUUUCUCUCUCUCUCUACAUACCCCCUCCUCCUCUUUCUCAUUCUUCUUUUGUAUGUUAUACACAGACACACACAAUUAUAUAUAUUUUUUCUUUAUUUCCCUUCUCCCUGUCACUUUUGCUUUAUCACAAUAAAGUGAUGUAGGAAAGGUAUGUGAGACACAGCAUUUGGGACCAAAAGGAGCCGUUUCAAGACGUGGCGGUGCUUGUUAAUCUAUAUCAUCUCAUCCAGCUUGUGUAUGUCACCACCUUUCAAACCACCAAUUAAGUAGACGCCACCUGAUAAUUGCAGUUGCACGCAGUGAUGAAUGAAGCUUAGACUAGCUAGAUGCACACGUACAAAGAUAUAACCUCCACAACACGCACAUACACAGGAACACAGUAGUGCACGCAUGCACGCACAAAAAUAAAGUGGGAUCGGAAGGCAUGCCGAUGCGGAAAGAAUGUCCCAUCCGAUCGGUUUUGGCUUCAUAUAUUCAUCCCUCUAACUUGUUACAUGCAUCAGGGAAACCGAAAUGAUGUACUUAUCUUGCUAGAUUUAAAUUGUAUAUGAUCGGACGAAAUGUAUGUCGAUGAAGUAUAUGAUUAUACUAUAUAUAUAUAUAUAUAUAUAUAUAUAUAUAUAUAUAUAUAUAUAUAUAUAUUGUAUAUGAUCGGAUGAAAUGUAUGUCGAUGAAGUAUAUGAUUAUACUAGACCAUUUAUGUGAUAUAUAAGUUAAGUAUGCAUGCAUACAUAGAGUAUAUGGUUAUACUUAUUGUAUAUAAUAUAGUAGAGACAUUAUAAGUAUUAUUUUAAAAUUAUGAAUUUCUUUGGAAAAUUUUCGCGUGGUAAGAUCUAGAGUAUCUUAAUAUGAGUAUAUAAACAUACUCAAACUCAUAAACAAGUAUGAACACAUACACAAUGUGGUUUAUUGAAAAUAAGAGUAACUACAUGUACGUGCGGAAAAGAAUUUCAUAUAUAUAUUUGAGUAUAUAUAUAUAUACCGUACUCCCGGGAGUAAUUACUCUCAUCUUCAAUAAACCACAUUACAUAUAUUCAUACUUGUUUAUCGGUUUGAGUAUGUUCAUAUACUUAUAUUAAGAUACUCUAGAUCUUACCAUACGAAAAAUUUUCAAAGAAAUUCAUAUUUUUAAAUAUAUUACUAAAAUGCCACUACUGUAGUAUAUAUAAUAAGUAUAACCACAUACAGUAUGUAUGCAUACAUACUUAACGUAUAUACUACCUUAGAUGGUUUAGUAUGAUCAUAUACUUCGUCUAUAUACACUUCAUCGGGCCAUAUACGACAUAAAUCUAGAGAUAUACACAUAGAAGUAACUACUAUUGGGAGUAAAAAGGAAUUAUCCUAUAUAUAUUUUGUCAUAUAUGGCCACCAUUAGCCAUUUUGAAAGAACGGUCUAACGGAAGUAGCUACACCUUUAUUAUAUUUUGUCAUAUCAGCUAACACUACUACAGAACAGGGCUUUGGACGAUGCCUGAAAUCUACAAUUGUCUCAGCUUUUUUUUGCCUCGGGGUUAAAAAGACCUUUAGUCCCGACCCGUAACACGUGCCGGGACUAAAGAGUCCUGCCCAACGGCUGCCUAACGGCUACCUGGCAGGGCUAUCGGGGGAGGGACCUUUAGUCCCGGGGCAAGCCACCAGCCGGGACUAAAGAUUUAGCCCCGGUUGGUGGCUUGCUUUGGGACUAAAGGGAGCCCGUUUAGUCCAUGUUCUUUCUUCAGCUCGGGACUAAAAGCCCACACUGUAAAUCACGGUCCCUUCUUCCUGGUCGAGACUGAGCCCAUUCAAAUUUCAGUGAGCUAUUCUUGCUCUUGCCAUUGCUAGUUCUUGCUUGUUCUUCAUCUUUGGCGCCCAUUGGUGAUCAUCUUCGACGCCACCAUCGUUUUCCCCCGGUCUAGGGGUAACUAACUUCAUCAUCCCUUGUCAUUUUCAUGUUAUUUUUCUCUUUGUGAUAUCGCCGCCAUUUUUUUGAGCUCAAAUUCAAUGGUCAUAGUUUGAAUCAACGUCACCGGCACCCAUUGGUGAUACCGCCCGGGAUUAAUGGGGGCCUUUAGUCCCAGAAGCGUAGUCUCGGCUUGGAAUCCGGGGCUAAAGCCCCUUCCCGGCCGGGACUAAAGCCCCUUUCUGCAGUUGUGUAAAAAGUGAUAUGCCAAAGUUCCUAAUUGACUAGCUUUGCACACGAACAGAUAUUCAUUUAUUAACCUAUAUUCUGUUUGCUGAAUCAAAAUAUGAACUUUCUAAUGAAUUAUUACUCCACCAAGUCAAAACUAUAAGGUUUUGUUUACAUGCUAGCGUACGGACGGAUAAUUAUUAAGCAUGUGGUAACCACAUGCUAGAUCGAAAACACCAGAAGUUUCACAACUAGAUCCAAACCCCCUUCUCAACCAGUGGUUGUGAUACCAUGGGUAUCUAUCUUGGUUUGAAAACCUAAAUAGAAAAAUACAACCAUGCCUACCGGUUCCUGACUCGAUCUCGGACCAGUUAUGUACCUAAGAGCUCGACAACCGGUUGGUAUCAAGAAUCAAGAUGUAAGCAUCUUUGUUCCCAAGACAAGUGGUAAUUUUGGUGAUUGCUGAUUAUUUGUGAUCCUUGGUCUAAAAAAAUAAUUAGUAACCAUAUAGAUAUUGAUGUAGCUUUUACAGUAACAAAAACAAUUUUUAGAAAUGUCCCUUUUUUAGAGGCAGGGAAUGUUCUAGUUUGGUUUUGGUAAUUGAGUAACAACUAUUGUACUAAUGCUUUCAAUAGAGAUGAUUGAGCUAGGUCCACAUGAAGGAGUUGAGCAAGGCUAGGACAUGGUGAAGAUGAUGAUAAUGACUGUAUGUCGUGAGGUGUAUGUCCACGUGGAUUUCGUGGUGCUUGACACGCGGAACAUCGAAGACAUACCCCUCAUCCUUCGGAGGCCAUUGCUCGAGACCACGAACAAAUGAAUUUAUGUGGGUCUACACAAAUCCAUUUCUAUGUUGCCAAAAAGAAGGAGAAGUUCGCUUUCACCUCUUCCGUUCCUACCUAUCAUACUAAUAAGGAGGUCAAUGCAAAUUGGUCCAAGAGGAAGCCCCGAUCCACAACAUGAAGGAGGUACUAACCUUAGAAGAAGAAGAAGGUCAGACCGCCAAGCCAUAACCAAAACCCAAAUGGGUUAGGUGGAAGGAGAUGCAACCAUCUCCGUCCCCAUCUACAUGACCAACUGAUGCACCCGAACAAUGAACCCAAAUGAGAAGUCCUGCUCUAAGCACUUAAAACCAUUAACCCUCGAUCACUAAAAGGUAAUUCGAUAUGUAUCACAUUUUUACUAUUUCACUUUGAAUUUUUCAUAUUUUAUUUUUUUUGACAAACCAUUUUCCUUAUCUACACAUAAAUUUGAGAAAACAUUUUCAAAAAAUUUGAGAAAUCCAAGAGAAAGCAUCUUGAUUGUUUGUGAAGGAGGAAGAGGGGAUCCCAUGAGGCCUCCAAGCCACUGCCUUCUAUGGCUAUAAAAGGCCUUGCAUUGGUGCCUCAUCUCCAUACUCAAAGCUUUAGAAACAUUUCUAGUUUUUCCUCCCCAUUUCUCUCAAGUUCUUCUGAAGUUUCUCUCAAGUUUAGCCACAAAAAGAAAAUGCUAUUAAAUAUUUUUUGUUUUUCCUUCUCACCUUAUAGUUCCUCUUUCAAGCUUGUCUUUUGAUCUUGAUUUGCUCUCCAAGAAUGUUUGUGGUGGUCUUAUAUCCCACUAGAAUGAUUUCUGGAGUGUAGCAACCAUAAGAACAGUUUGUGAAGGCAACCACACCCCACUAGAACAACAAACUUAGGAUGACUAACCACAAACACUAAUGCUAAUCAUUGUUGUCCUAGUCUCAUUUCUAUUCUCUCUUUAUUUGAUGCAAGAAUGAAGAGCCCAUUCAGGAAGAUAGUCAACAAGGCAAGAGAGGCCGAAAGUGGGAGCUCACCAAGGCGCUCCCACCAUUUCCAUAACGGCUCUCAAGGAAGGAUGCCUUCUCAUGACAACGAGAUUUGACUCUCGGGGUCAAAUGAGGAACAAGGAGGUGCCUCCCCCCAUGACACCAAGGUUUGACUCUCAAGGUCAAAUGAGGAAGUGGGAAGCGAAGGACAAUACCAUGGUGUAUAUGGAUAAGCUACACAAGUGGUGGAUCUUGAGAUACAACUCAAGUUCUACAAUGAACAAGAGUGCAACAACUUCCUCGCCACCAGGAACCAAGGUUUUGACCACACCAAGGUAUAAGAUCCAAACCUCCUCGUCAAGACAUGUAUAGACCCAUAAUUCAAAACUAUUUUUAAUGUUAUUGGGUUGCAAUGUUUUGUGGCAUGGUGAGGUAGCAAGCUUCUCACCAUAGAGUUCCUAUGCUCUUUGCAAUAUUCUCUUGAUGAAGUUUAUUUUCUAUCACACCCAAACAUUUCAAUUUCGGGUUGUAAAUAGAAAACAUUAAAUAAAAUGAAUGGAUUUAAUAUUUGGACAAAAUUUCUCAAGUUUAGUUUAAGUUAACACAAAUUUAGUUAUAAGAAAAUGUUAGUUUUUAAACUUUUCUAAAUUAUAAUUUGAUGGGUGUUUCGAUGUUGUGGUGUUUGAAUAUUGCAUGAGUUUGUGUGUUGUUAGUAAAUUUUUUUUAAAACACAUUUUGUCUUUGUCUUUUUCUAGAAUCAAAUUCAUUGUUUCCCAACUUAAUCGUUGCAUUUGAAGUUUCCCAUAAUCUUUUUCCUCUGCUCUAAACACUCCUUUUGGCUCAUCAUUCAUCAACCAAUCUCUAAAAACUUCUUGAGUAUUUUUUCUGGCUUCUUCUAGAUCUUUUUUCAACUUGUUUAUGAGCAGAAUCUAAUUUUUAGAUGCUCUAAAAUAUUUUUUUCAGGAGCUCUAAAUACUUUAUUUGAGUUCCACAUGUUCCGAUAUGUCUCUAGGAUUUUUUUUUGUGAAUUUUGGGUGCUUACGGAGGUUUUUUUGGCUUCAAUAUAAAGUCUAGACUUUUUUAAAAAAUAUUUUAUUUAUGAAAUUAAUUAUUUCUAAAAAUAAUUAAAUAUUCUAUUCUUUCACUUGCUAAAACCGUAGAUGUAUAUAUGCUGGCGCUCAACGUACGUGCUCGGCACUCCUUUUAAAAGUGCAGCUCGUUUUCGUAGUCGCUGCUCCUAUUGUCUCAAAUCUAAAGCCAAAGUUAGAAAAGCUAUGUUUUUGGCGAGUUUUGGCUGUCAACCCAUUAUGUUUUGAUGCAAAUCACCAUUCGUCUGGUUGUUGUCUAUGCUGCGGUGUUUUCCUUUUAGCAAAUCCAUACCCGAAUCAUCUAUUAUCUCGUUUUCCUCUCUUUUGCUAGCGAGUUGUCCGGUGAACUCUAUAGAUCACUACUGCACACACAUUGAUCUGUGUAACACUCUAAAUUUUGCUUCUUUAAAAAUAAAGCUAAAAUAAUUUAUUUUAUAUUUCUGUGUUUAUGAAAAUAUAGUAACAUGAAAAUUUUCCUUAAAUUAAAAUUCAUCAUAGGGUUUAGCAACGUUGUUGUGCAUACAUGCUGGUACAUAUAUUUUAUAUGUUUUAUGUGAUGUUUGUUUGUUGCUCCUUUGUGUGUUGAGACUAAGCAAAGUUUUUAAAAUUUCGUUUAGUAGAACGAUCUUCAUACAUCUUUAUCUUUAUCUACAACCAAAUUCCUUGUUUCUAAGCUCAAGUUUUUAUCAGGAGCUUCCUAAAAUCUUUUCUUUGUCACUCAAAGCACUUCUUUUAGUUCCUCGUCCAUCAAGUAGUCUCUACAAACUUUGUAGGAAUUUUCCAGCUUCCAUUCUCACUUUUCUGUAAGCAUAAUAUAAUUUUUAGAUGCUCCAAAUUAUCUUGUCAUGAGAUUCAAAUACUUUAAUUGGUUUUCUCAUAUUCCAUAAUGUCUCCGAGAUUUUUCCUUGAAUUUCUAGAAUAUUUGGAGUAUUUUUUCAUGGCUUAAAUCAUAAUUCUGGACUUUUCUAGGAUUAUUUUAUUCGUCAAAUUAAUUAAUUUCGAAAAUAAUAAAAUCUUUCAUUUUAUCCCACGCUCAAGCCCAUUAUCUUAAUGGUCAAUGUCUUUAUUUACCAAUGGGCUUUAAUAAUUAAUUAGGCCUAUUAGUAAAGAUAAAGGUUGCAAAUCAAUUAGUACCAUAUCGCUAGUUGACGUGGAGGUGGGGAGUUUUUCUCCAUAUAUAUAUAUAUAUAUAUAUAUAUAUAUAUAUAUAUAUAUAUAUAUAUAUAUAUAUAUAUAUAUAUAUAUAUAUAUAUAUAUAUAUAUAUAUAUAUAUAUAUAUACUAACCCCUUAGGCAAAGCACAUCAAAGACUAUCAUAUGGGAAGCCUCUAAUUUGAGAAUUCCUAAGAUAGUAAAAUAAAAUUUAUAUUUUCUUCUCUACAACGUGAUCGCCAUCGUCUCUUCUAUACACGACAUCUACGAACGGUCGGCUGCUCCGGCGUUGCUGUAGCUCCAAGAAAGCGUCACUGCCGGCUGUCCACCAACGUAAGCCCCAAUCACUUUGUCUUUCAGUUUGAAAAACACAAACAGCUCGGUUUUAGAUUAAAAAUACGUUUUCACUAUUUACAGAAUUGCCACUGACUUUCUUUUGGCCAUAAAAUAUUCAUCUUAACUCCAUUUUGACCCAUUCAAAUUGCGUUGGAUUCGUAUUAAUGAGCUCUACAUGUUAGUAACAUUAUUUUCUCAGUUUGAAACUUUUUAUUUUCGUGACCCUAAUUAAUUAAUUACUUUUCUAUAUAAAAUCUUAGAAAAUUCAUAACUUCUCCGUUUUAGCUCCGAUUUUCGUGAUCUUUACGUCUAUGAUAUCGUAGCGAUGCGUAGAAUCAUUUCACAAACUUUUCAUACUGUUUUUAUAUGAUUGCUAUACUGUUCUAAUUGUAGUCUUGCUUCGUGUAUGUUGUCUCCGAUUAUUUGUUUGUGUGAUCGAUGAUCGAGUUUAGACGGUGAGCAAAUCGUGGUGAUCAAGAGUGCUCCAGUGAUCAAGAUCAUAGCCUUGGACAACUAGUAAGACCAGUGAAAUCAGCAAUAGCAUUUGGACUAAGGCAAGUAUAGUAUUUGGGUUUUAUAUUCUGUGACAAUGAUCUUAUGACUAGAUUAAUGUUAAGUAAUAAAUGGUAAAAAUGUUAAGUAAUAAACGGUAAAAAUGACUUUUUAGCCAUUUGAUGAUUUAUCUGUAAGUGAUAACCGGGACAACAGUGCAACUGUUGAUGGUCCUUAAUGCUCAUAUUUAACCAUCAACUAAUCAUGGAAAAGGAUCCAAAUGCAACCAACACCCAGACUUAGGGUUUUAUCUGACAGAAUUCCACGAGUUUUGGUGUUUGUCUAUUUGUGCAGGAAAUACGGAAGAAAGGCCCACAAGUCGGGUUUACAUAGAGAUAUUAACGUGUCGCGCAAUUUUCUAUCAUCUAGAAGACUCCAGAAGCCACGGGAAUAAAGCGGAAGCCGAGAGGCCUCAGGGACAGGGCGCCCGCCCUAGUCCUGAGGGCGCCCGCCCACCUUUUUCCACCAAAUAGAGUCCAAUUCAGGGAUCAUGCUCCACCGACCUAAAGGAUCAAGGAAAACCGUGCGAUUAAUGUCGGUUUGAUCCGAGGGCCUAGAUUUAUUUGAAAAGACUAUAUAAGCAAGCCCCCUAGCCCCUGGAGAUCAUACCUCUCCUACAGAAUCAAAGCUAGGGUUUUAAUUCUUCAUCCAAGUAGAGAGGAUCCCUCUAGUUCUUCUAGUUCUACCUCUAGUUCAUCUAGUUCUAGUUCUAGUUCAUCUAGUUCUAGUUCUAGUUCCUCUAGUUCUAGUUCUAGUUGUAAUCUAGAAAAUAGGGAGAGAGAAGAGGAGAGCGGAGGAGGAGGAGCCGGAUCUGUCGGAUCUUCCUCAACAUUGUACUUUUGCAGCAACUGGUUCGUUCUUCAUCGUUCUCCAGGUUCUUCAAUUCAUAACUCCUGAGUUCUUUAAUUACUUUUAUUUACAUUCAAGUUAUUUAUUGGAUUCCCGCUUGCAUCAAGUGCUCUAACCUUUGAAACAUUAGAGUAGUAAUUAAUAGAUUAGACGUGGUGUUUAGUCUUGCAAUUACCUAGAAUUGCACCCAAUUCUGCAGAUUGUUGUGGUAGCCUUAGGGUAGUGACAGCCCUAACAGUCGACGUAUUCCACCUCGUUCGGAUCGGUGUUUGUAGGACCGUAGUCAGACCUUCCUAGCCCCCUUCUCAUCUCUUUCUAUGGUUAGUGUUCUGAUGUCCCGAUAUACAUAAUCUUGAAGUAAUUCUUGAUUCUUAGAUCAACUAGAGAUCUCUCAGGAAACUUCCUCUCUUCCCACCAAAAAAUAAUUAUAUAGUUAUCCUUGGGUGAUCAUGAAUCUUAAUUAGUACACUCACGUUUCCUGUGAAAAAUCGAUACUCUGGAAUACUCCCGGGUGAAAGCUACAUCGGUAUCCGUGCGCUUGCGGAUUUUUCUGUUUGCGUUUAAAAUACCCAACACCCACCUCGUUGCGUGCGCCCACCGGCGCACACCCCCUCCUCGGUCCACCGUGGACCUUUGGACCACGCCUCAGCCACGGUCCAUAGUGCCGCCCGUAGACCGGCCAGUGCCGAGAAGCCACGUGGCCAGCUUGGCCAGCUGCCCGCGCCGCUCCCUGGCCGUUUUGCAAAAAGCCCCCUGCAGAUUUUUGUAAUCAACCCGCCAUCCAAAGCAGUUCAAAAUAAUAAGAAAUAUGUCCCUGCCUUUUCUGUUUUAGCCCCUGUGUUUUAGAGAAAUGGUGCCCGCAGUCCAAAACUUCUAAAAUGCCGUCUGAUUUAUUUAAAAUAUAAAAACAUGUUCUGUUUAUUCACAGUUUUGCCACUCAUCUUGUUUUGGCCAUAGAAUCCGCGUGUUAACUCCGAUUGAGCCCGUUCUUGUCGCGUUAGGUUCGUAUCGACGUAAACUACGCUUUAGCAGUAAUAGUUACCUCGUUUGACCAUUUAGGUUUUCACCAUAAAUAUAAAAUGAUUAAUGUCUAAUUAAAUGCCUUUCUAAUCUAUGCAAGUAAUUUAAGUUUAUAACUUUAGUUUUUCUUAAACAAAUAUUAAUAUGUUUAAUGUCAUUGUGAUUUGUCUUUUUAAGUGUGACUUACUUAGUCUAACCUCUUUUCAUAAAUGCUUUGUACAAGUUAUGUCACCAAUUAUAUGUUUUCUAGGCUAUAAAAGAUAAAGUGACUUAAAUGGUAUAUAAUUGUUUAUAAUUAGAAGAUGACUAAACAUUUAGUCCUAACCUUUAUAAUUCUUUAUAAUUUGGUAAACUCAACUUUCAGAUAUUUCUUUGAAUAAUCCAUCACCUGUUUUCUUAAAAUACGACCAACAUAUAGUCGUCUUCUCCGUUUCACUUCGAACCUCAAAAAUCGUGUCCGUUUAACUAUAGCUCUGUUCUCAAUCAUUCUUGCGUUGUCACGAUCGUAGCAUUAAGUCGUGUCGUUUAGUGCGCUCUUUCCAAGCUUUUCUUUUGAUUGUCGUUUGUUCUUAAUCGUGAUUGUUUGUUUGUCUGUUCGUGUUGCUUGGUUGCUACGAGUAGAAGCGUGGUUGAUCAAUAGUGAAGACCAAGAGCUAAGGACCGACAAUUGAAGCAGAAGUUGAAGAUCUGGAAGAUAGAAACCGAAGACUUCUAAGCAGUUAUACACUGGGAAUAAAGGCAAGUGCAGGCACCCUUUGAUCAUAUUGUACCUAUGAACUUUAAAUACAUUUACUUUCAUUGCAUGUGUCUUAAUACUGCAAACCCUAAGGACCUGACUAGUCUUCUACUAUAUUUCUUGUACUCCUGGGUUUUAUACAUGGGUAGAAUAGUGAACAGUAGUUAUGCUUAGCUGCUCUACUCAUCUAAUCUAUAUGAUAAUAAAAGUAAUAAUCUUGCCUAAUGAAUUCUUCAAUGAUGAUUAAUGUUUAAAUGAUGAACAAUGGUCACUUCGGUGACGGAGAUGUUGCGGUGCUUGUGAGCAUCGUGGUUUGUUGAGGAAAGGGGGAGCGGGUAUUGUUGGUUGGCCCGGUUGCCAUGCGUACCCGUCUCUACUCUCCGUAAGGACUUAGUCAUGGAGCGGCCCCCUGGGACAUACAGUGCAGCUCCAAGCUAUAUGGCUCUGGCUUGACUAAUUAUCAGGACCUCCACUGGUAGGGUGUUACUUUUCGGGUAGGCGUAAGGAAGUAGCUUGGGUAUUUAUAUUAAGAGGUCGGUCAGUUCGGGGUCCCAUUACUAUGGGCACGACUGCCGCGCGCCCCGGCAAAAACUUACGAGUGGCAUCCUAUUAGUUGGACCCUGUGAAAGGUCUCGUAGUGAAACCUUGCCUGCUCACCUUGGCAGUGUUUUGGGGAGUCGCGACCCCGGGCGAAUGGGAAUCAUGACUUGGAGUGAACGUGCACACCUCUGCAGAGUGUAAAACUGAUAUAUCAGCCGUGCUCACGGUCACGAGCGGCCCAGACCCUCACAUGAUGAACAAAUUGGAAUCACAUGGAACUUGGAGGCAAAACUUGGUUGAGGUUGCUACUUCGUGCUUUGGCAGAAUGGCUAUUCCGUGUUGGCAGGAUUGCUAUCCUGUGCUCUUAAUUGGGAUUGUUAUCCCAUAAUCUUAAUGGGGUUGCUAUCCUGAGUUACUAUUCGAGGUUGCUACCUCAGUGAUCUUAAUAAUAAUAGUAAUUAUAAUGAUGACUAAUAAUAUUGCUAAUUAACCUUGAUCUAAAUAAGGGUUGGGAUGCUCUACUCACAACUAGUAAUAGGUUGUUUAAUAAUAAAGUUGUAAUAAAAUUUUACCAACUAAAAAGCUCACCUACAGUCAAACAGUGUCAGCUUUUCCUUUGAUUAAGCCUUGCAUGUCAUUAUACUUUCCACCUGUACUUGUUGAGUUCGACAUGAACUCACCCUUGCUAUUUCCCCCACACCCCAGUGUGUAGUAAAGUGCUGCUCAGAAGAAGGACAUAGAUGCUAUGGAGUUUUCUAGAAGCUUAUCAGAAGUGCUUGGUGUACGGAGCCCCCGGUCAACCGUCCCUGAGAAGAUUGGAGCCUAAGAAGUUUAGCUAUUGUUUCCGCGUACUCUGAUGUUUGUAAGUGUUAAUAUAAAUAUGUUUUCCGCUAUAUAUAACAUUAUUUUUGAUAUUUCCAUUCUUUGUUGUAUGUGUGGACUUCCUGGGCACACAUAUGACGACUCUGGUCUUAUUUUAAAAACCAGGGUGUGACAUACAUUUAGCUCCAGAUGGCAGAUCAGACAUUUCGAGAGGUUAAAGGUACAGUAACUGAUGUCCCUGUCAAAAUAGACGAUCAUUUUGUCUACACAGACUUUCAGGUUAUUGACAUGGGAGAAGACGAAUACGAUCCACCCGUCAUCCUUGGAAGACCGUUCCUCAGCACUGUUAAAGCAAUCAUCUACAUUGGAACUAGAGAAGUCCAUAUGCACUUACCCUCAGAGAAGGUACGCCGCUAUUUUACUGACCCUAACUAUAUCGUUGAAGACUCUAAGCAGGUGAGGACAAGAAGAAGACGACGCAACCGCAACCAGAGGAGGCAAAUCAUCAAGGACAGAUGGGCAAACUAUGAAGGAGAAGUUAUAAGAUCUGAAGACAUACAACUUGAAUAGAACUAUCCUGAGGAGACCGUAGCACAGAGUCAGGUGUGGAGAGAGACGAUAACUGUACAUGAAGAGGAGGCGCCACUGGAAGCACCGACUGCGCCACCCAACGAAUCCCAGGACAACUGAGAAAAUAGAGAGUCCCGUUCGGAGGACUUAAAAACACCGAACGCCUUGCCAAGAGGUAAACUUGGUAGUUAUCCUUUCCCUUUCAAUUAUUUAAAAUAGUUUACUUAGUAAAUCAUGUUCAUACUAUCCUAAAAAAGAAAAUCAAAAUGUUAAAAAAUUGUAAGCCCCAUGUCAGUAUACGAGUGGCAUGAAACCCAUAAGUACAUUCACUGUGGUGGCAUAAAAAUAAAAUAAAUAGUUUUUUCUGCUUUAUAAAAUGAAAAUAUAAAAAUAGAGAGUAACAUUUAUUGAGGAGGCUCAACAUGAUAAAGGCUAGAUAUUUAUGCUAACACCUAAUCAGUUCCACAAAGCUUUGUUGUCUAUUUGAGCUCCAUAGAAUUUAAGAAUCAAGAAGACUAGCAGACGGAGGAUAUUCUAAUCGCGGUCAGGAUACUGUCGACUUUCAAAUACACCUCUACCACCUGCUAGCUACAUCAGAAGAAAUUACAUCAAAAUUCUGCUUGGGGGAGAGCACCCCCAUUUAUCUCGCUAAGUGUUUCUAUCUAUCUAUCUUUAUACUUAUACUAUAUUAAAAUAUAAAUAUACAUAACUAUGAAAAACAAAUAAAGAUUUUGUGCUUAUAUAUAUAUAUAUAUCUUUUGCUUAAUGUAUUUAAUAAAUAAAUAAAGUGUAUAUGCUAAACUGGAUCUUAAUAAUAAAACUCUAGCAUGGAUAUGAUGAAUAGUUGCUCUGCCUAAUUUUAAAAUUUGAGUUCUCUCUCAAGUUUAGACAUAACUGUUACAAUUUAAAGCUUACUCUAAACCUAAACUUGUGGGAAGAAAACUUGAUCUGAAGUCUAAGUUGUUAACAGAUAUGAUAUGGGAAGGUUGAGCUGAUAUUUAUCUGUUCCUAGAGAUGCUAGAAUUCUGGAGAAUUUUUAUCUUUCAAAAUCUUUAAAAUAUCACAUGAUGAGUUCUUGUAUGACUAGAGUUUAAAUUCCUACCACAGUCAUAUAUACAUGCUUGCUAGACUUUGAGCCACACAUUUACUUUUUACUGCCUAUGAGCAUUGAGUGUGGUCAAGCUGUGUAGACCCUUAGGAGCUUGUCAUGUGGUUAAAUCAAGAAUCACUUGCACGUUCACUCACAUAUGCUGCUUCUACUCCGGAAGUACACAUCCAUAUAUAUCCACCCAUUUCCAUCUCCAGAACCACCGAAAAAUAUUCUACUCCUAAUCCGGGAGAGAGUAGUAAAAAACAUUUCUGUUUUUCCCCUGUAAAAUAAAUGCUCCAGUUAUCUUGGUUACUACCACUUGCUAUAUUAUCUCAUGAGAUGAGUGCUCUAAAAAAAGAAAAAAAGAGAUACGAGGAAAUAAAAAGGGGCAAGUGUCCGGAACCUCGAAUAAAAGAAAAAGUGAGAUGAGAGGUAAAAAUGGACAAGUGUCCGACAGUAGAAUUAGGGGUACAAGAUACCCACCUGAGAGGAAAGAAAAAGAAAAUACAGAGCUUCUCAUUCUCCACAAAGUUUCAAAAGAGCAAGAAAGGUAUGUAUCUCCUCAAAAGAGCACAAGUAGAAUUAGACUUUCACCACUGUUAUCACCAUACACCAUUCAUUCGCCACACAUGCACAUCUUGAUUUGACUUAUUGACUUGUUUCUUUGGAUCCAUGGUUUGACAAUGCAAUAAAUGUCUUGUAAGUAUGUAUACUUUAUCUCCAAUCUAUGAGCUCCGGAUAUCAAAAGCCUUAUUAGACUAGGGUGAGAGAGAAGACAAUACCACUAUGCCUUAUACCACAAAUGCUACAUAUUUUGAGAGGAAGGCAUAUACCAUCACUGCCUUGGUAGGGAUUCAGACAUACCACAAAAGAGAGAUAUAAGAGAAUCAUACAAGGAAUCUCUGAGUUUUAUUUUAAAAUCUGCAAAAAACUCUAGAGCUAUAGUUGAUCAAGAAUAAGAGACAUGGCACUUGACUACACUGUUCUAUCUUUUAACUACUCAAGACAGAAGUGACAGUUACAUGUCCCAUGGUGAAAGGUAAAGUAAGUAAGUUUUAAGUCUUGACAGUUUACUCUAACCCAGAGAUGAGAUCUUAUUUAAAAGCAUGUGUACCGUCAACUUUUAAAGGCAUUUCAACAACUUCUAAUCCAUCGCUGAGAUUAUCCUUGCUCAGGGAUGAGCAAGAGGUAAGCUUGGGGGAGUUUGUUGACCGUCCUUAAGUAUUAAAUUUAAUUAUCAAAUAAAUAAAGAAAAGGAUCCAAAUGAAAUCAACAUCUAGACUUUGGGUUUUAUCUGACAGAAUUCACGAGUUUUGGUGUUUGUCUAUUUCUGCAGGGGGUUAUCAGGAAAUAUGGAAGAAAGUACCUUAUGUCAUGUUUACAUAGAGAUAUUAACGAGCCACGCAAUUAUCUUACAUCUAGAAGAGUCCAGAAGCCACAGGAAGGAAUGGGAGAACGGACGGGCUCGGGGGCAGGGCGCCCGCCCUCCCCCCUUGGGCGCCCGCCCUGGCCAAGAGUCCAAUCAGAACUCUCUUUUGGGAUUAUGCUCCACCGACCUAAAGGAUCAAUGAUAAUCGUUCAAUCAAUGUCGGUUUGAUCCAACGACCUAUAUUCACUUGGAGGGACUAUAAAACUAGACCCCUUGGACCCUAGAGGAGCAGAGCUCUCAACCCUAAUUCAUUAUUCAUCAAGGGAGAAGAAGCCUCUGAUCAAGCCUAGAGCCACCACAUCAAUUAGACAUCUAGAUUAGCAUAGCUACAUAGGAUUAGAACUAGAAGGAGUCAAUCUUCUAUUAGUUUCCGGAUCUGUCAAGAGGAUUCUUGGUAAUUCUCUAAUUGUUCUUCUAAUUGUUCAUCUUUGUUCUUCAAUAUUAUGAAUAUGACUUUGUUCUACUUCAAUAUAUUGCUUAUAACUUUGCUCUACUUGUUUAUAUUCGCAAUUAUAUUGUUCUUAGUUUAUCAUAGUUAUAUACUUGGCUUAGUUAGAUUGGAAUUAUAUACAUGUUUAGGAUCAUAUAGCGUUUAUCCAUCGGAUCCAUGGGUAAAUGAUAGAUAUUGUGUAGGCGUGGUGCUUAUACCGUAUUUAUCUACGAUUGUACCCUAUAUGCCAGAUCGCGGGGUAGUUCGUGAUAGUGACAGCUUCAUUGAUUCUUAUAUAGUCCCCCUCUCGUGUAUAGGGCUGGCAGAGCAACAUUAUUACAGGGGAGUGAUUGCUAUGUUUCUCAUUUACCUUGAUAAUAUCACUAUGCUUGGGCGUAAUCUUGUCUCACAAUGAUUGCUAAGUAUAAUUGCACUAACUAUGAUAUGCUAAACUAUAUAGUUAAGAAUAACUUAGGAAAUAUUCUUGUAGUUUGUUCUAAUUCCAUGCUAAUGACUUGCUAGAAUAUCUAAUUGAGGUGCUUAUCAUAUUUAUAUGUGGCUAAGUUAUGCUGAUCAGAUUAAUUAUCUUUGUCACUAUUCAUCACUUUAUAUAUCCUUUAUGUGACACUUAUCCCUGUAUGAAAGAAUUAGAUAACUAUUCUCAAUUAUACAUGCAAUGAUAGAUACUCAAUCUUAUAUUCUAUUCUAUAAUCAACAUUGAUGAUUACUAAUCCCUUCCCAGUGGUAAAAAUAUAAAUAACGAUACCUGGAAUACUUCCCGGUUAAAAUGCUACAUAGGUAUUAAUCUGUGCGCUUGCAGAUCCCAUUUGUUAUUUAUUUAGAUGAGCAAUUGCAUAUUUCAAUACCGCGUCUCUUAUGUCAUGUUGGGGAUGACAACUUGGCUUAAGUGGCAUGAGGGAUAGGUUUGGCAUUUUUUGCACCGUUAUCAGAAUUAGAAAACUAAGUCUACUUUUUGUAAUGAUGUUAAGAAUACCCAAUAGUAGUCCGCAUAGGUGACAGCUGCGUCGGUUCCUCUUUAGUCCACCCCCCGUACAUAGGGCUAGCAUGGGCGCGGUCGCGAAGGAGGUGAUGGUUGCGUCUUAAAACCCUCAUUAGUUGAUGCCUCUUUACAUGUAAUUAUGAUAGAGGGUUGACUUAACGAUGAUUUCUAGAUGUAAUUUAACUAAUUAAAGUUAUUCAUUGGUGUAGUUAUAGAAUUACCUUUGAUCCAACUCCCUAGUUUAUCCAUUGGCUAACUAUUAUUAUGACUAGUAGAUGCUCUGAUGAUUAUCCUUAAUUAUGAUACUUGAUGACUAUGCUAUCACUAUUAUUUACCUAUAUUUAUCUUGUGACCUCUACCUGUUAUGAAGUAGACUAUACGACUUGGGUAAUAUCAUUUAUUCAUCCUAUAUAGUUUCUUAUCAAUAUAAUAGAAUAUAGUUUACACUUAGCCUUCCUAGUGGCAUAAAUAUAAAUCUACAACCUAGAUACUUCCCUAGGUAAAAUGCUACAAUGGUAUGAUUAUCUGUCCGCUUGCAGAACCCAUUUAGUUUAUAAUUAUAUUCAUAUUUGUUAUUCUCUGUAUUAAAUUAGGGAUGACAACCUACUUCAUGCUUAGGAAUGUUAGAGUGGUUUGUUGCUAUUUGAUAAGUUAAUGAUAUACCGUGCAUUUCUGGUGUUGUCGCUGGGAGUACAGUUUAUCUCUAUUUUUAGUGAUGAUGGUAGUAAAUGUCAACACUUACCUAGAGAUGUUACCUUUAGUAUUGAAGCAUGUUGAAGCCAUAACAUCUUGUGGAAGCUUUCCUCGCUUGGCUAGUCACGUGUCUUGUUCAUGGACAGCUUGUCUCCUUUAUUGUACUCCUUUCUUACCUUAUGCCCUUAUUGUUUGCUCUCUGUCUAAAUUGUGCUUGGACCUUUAGCUCUUCUUAUACUUUUAUCCUUGCAAAUCAUUAGUGGACAACAUACCCGAAGGAAUAUACAAGUAAUAAUAAGAGCAUUGUUGUAACAAAGCUAAGGUCACUUUCUAUGCUACAAAGAACUUGCUUGAUAGCACAUUUAUUAUUCACAAUUACUUCUUCGUAAAGGAUUGAUUUUAUCUUAUGUUUUGAUUCACAAAUAUAGGCAUCAUGAAUCAACUCAAACUUAUAGAAAUAAAGUAAUAGUGAAUUUAGAGAUUGCAAACUAGCGUGUGGAGCGAUGAGAAAGAACUUGGUUGGAUCAGCUAGAGGACUUGGCCUUUCUUCAUCAUGUCUUAGCUUCAUGACCUCAAUGGUGAGAGUGCAGAUCUUUACAUGCUUUUCUCUUCUCAAUCUUUUCUUGAUUCCUGAUAAUUAGUGAUUAACAAGAGAAUGCAACUCCAUGGAGUGAGUGCUUUGAUCAUGGAUCAUGUUUUGUAGCACCCUUCUUUCUUCUUGGCCAUGAGUGAGUUGUCACCCUUGUGCAAAAUUAUGUUGUCUCUCUUCAUCACCAGAGUGAGUUCAUAUCAGGACUUUCCCAUUUUGAAUUUGGUAUUAAAUGUUUUCAUGCAGGGGUUAGUCCAACAAAAUAUCCAAUAUAUACUACAGCAUACCAUCUGCUAAAAAAUCAACCUAGACACCACGUCUAAUUUGAUUCAAGAAGGCAUUUUAACCUAAGCACCAUGCUUAAUUGAAAAUCCUUUUGAAGAAAGAUCACUACUCCUAAACUAAGCAUCAUGCUUCAUUCAAGAGAUACGAACAUACUUCAAAGCCUAUGCAUACUAUAGUAAACAAAGGUGGCAUGAAAGCAAUAUAGAUGUUUACUCAAACAGUGAUGAAAGAGCAUGAUUAUUGUUUAGCAAAUUGAGCAUAUCUUAAAGGUAGGGACAACCAAGAUGAUUUAGCAACAUGGCAAGAGAUGUAUCUAUGAAAACAUUUCCCCUAAGGUAGACUUUUGCAAAAAUCAAGAUUGGAUGAAAGUAAUUCAAUGUUGCAUAAUGAUUGGUUAGACGUACCUUGCAUUUGUCACUCCUUUGAUCUUUUGCUCCAAACCUGGUAAGGUUAGUGACAAAAAUACCCAAAGGAAUAUUUUCAAAAUUAUAGUUUUAUGCUCAAUUAACAAGGGUAACACAGGAGGAAGGUGAACACUCAUGUCAUGGUCUGAACUAUGCUUAUUUUAGGACACUAAGCUUGUCAUGGGGAAACCUUCAAAAUGUGAUUUGGUGAAGUGGUUUCCCUUCCAACACCAAUCUAACUGCACUACUCUCAAGAUUCACCACAGUGAGAUCUAAAAUAUUUAUGAUAAGCAUAUGUGUCUACAACCACCCUUUCAAAAACUUUAGGAAGAGGAAGCAUGAGGGGGUUGAAGAUCUCAUGUGGAGCAAUGUUAGAGAGACUAAGUGAAUCAGGAGAUUUUUCAUAUGAGAAAGGAACUGAUGUGGUGUUAAUGAAGUAGCUCCCUAGCUCAUUGAAGUCUUCAUCAUUUUCUACUUCCAAGGGUGAUUCGUCAUAAAUGUUAAAAACCUCCCUUGGAUUGCCUUUCAAAUUGGUCUCAUAUAAGGCCUCAUCCUCACAUUCAAUGGCAAUAGCAUAUUGGUUUUUAAUGCUCAUUAGCCAUUGAUGUUGCUCUUCUCGAUCCUCCUUAUAGUCUAGAUGAUUUCUAUGUGUGGGGUGUGUAGAUGGAUUUCUAAGAUUGUCACGAGGUUUAGGAGAAAGAGCAUUAGAGGAUUCAUUUGAGUUUAGGAUGGGUUCAAUGGUGGGUUCAUAAAAGUCAUCUAAUGUGAGCAUAGAAGGGGAGAAGAUAGGAUUGUAUUCUAGGUGGUUUUGCUCUCCUACUAUGGCAUCACUAGACUUUCCAUCCUUCCAUCUUCUAAAGGAAGUAUUAUCAAGACCCGUAUAAGGAUGUUGGAGAAGAACAAGGUCUUGUAAGGCUAGGUCUAAACCUAAAUUUAUAAGAAGACUGUAAAAUUCCCUUAGUGUAGCCAGAAGUUUAUUACCUUCUUGACCAGAAGAUAUGACUUUGGCUAUAGAAGAUAUUCCCAUGCUUCUAGAAUGGUUUCUAUCUUCUGUUGCUGAAAAUUGGUAAUCCUUCCUCUUAAGGCAUUGGUCUUACCUAUCAGGAAGAAUCUUUCUAGAAGGGCCUUCGAACACUUUGCCCAUGUGUUGAUGUCUUCUUUAUUGGCAUAAAACCACUGCUUCUUUCUUCCCACUAGUGAGAAUAGAAAGAGGUGAAAUAGUAUGAUACCUUGAUUAACUUCUUCUAUGGCGAUAGUGCUUCUAAUCUCCAGGAAAUUCUACAGAUGUGCACUUGCAUCUUUAUGUACCUUUCCACUAAAUUGAGUAGCUUGCACCAUAUUGAUGAGGCUUGGCUUGAGUUCAAACUCAAGAUUUUCUAUUUCCAGUGCUAGACCUGUGCGGAUAUUCUCAACUCUAGGAGCAGAGAAUUCACGUAGGGUUCCUACAGCCAUAGCUUCAGGAAUUGGUCACGAGCUUCUUCCUUGAUUGAUCUAAUUCUGAUGAUGUAGAGUUGAGUGAAUCAAAAUCAAUCCUACUAAUACCCUAUAUAAGAUAUAAAUAUAGAAAAACAAUAGGGUGAUACUAUCAAAGUAGAGGUACCUUAUUAUGAUUUCUCAUUUUCUAAUAAUCUAUUUAUGCAAUUUUCUCAAAAGUUUAUUUCUUCCCUGGCAACGGUGCCAGAAAUGCAAACACUUCUAAUGCCACUUCCUUGUUUAGAUCCAAAAAGUUUUUGAAUUUUAAUAAUUUAGCACUUUCAUUUUUAUUUGACAAACAUUGUCCAAUCAUGGAGUAACUGGGCUUAAAUGAUUCGUCUCGCGAUUUACAGGUAAAGUGUGUAAUUAUUUUUUGUUUUCAUCUAUAUUUAAUGCUCCAUGCAUGUGUCGCAAGAUUCGAUGUGACGGGGAAUCUUGAAAAGUUUUUGGUUUUUGGGUUGAACUAAACAAGGCCUAAGUUGUCAUCCCUAGCAUGAGACCAGAAGUGUUUGGUAUAGAACUGCUCCGCCUAGAAUAAAUAUGGGAUCCAGAAGCAUACAGAUAAAAUACCAUUGUAGCACUUCAUCAGGAAAUAUUCCAGGUAUCGUUAAUUUAUAUUUAGCUCGAGGGAAAGAACUAAGGACUUAAACUCAAGAUGGAUUUGCAUAAUACAUCUACUUUUGAGAAAUCAAUCACACAAUCACUUAUUUUUGUAGGGGUAAGCCAUAAGGGAUAAAUAAAGAUAAUGAAUUAUAAAGCACAGGGUAUAAAUCAUGGAGAGAUUAGAGAUAGACUACUCAUCAUAAAGGUAGGCCGAUGUCUGAUUAGUUCAAGAGAUAAAAAUCUAGGUAGGUUCUAAUCUACUAAGCUAUUCGUCUACUCUAGCAAACACACAAUCAUAUAUAGUGUAAAGGCCCUUCAUCUAUGUAACUUCAAUUUUCCCUAUCCUAUCAAUGGGGGGUGGACUAUAUAAAACUCAACAAAGCUGUCACUUUUGUGAACAACCACAUGACCCUACCAAUAGGAUACAUUCAUAGGUAAAUAGCAUCUAAGCACCAUGCCUACAUGUGAUCUACCACUUAACUCCCUCGUGAAGAAAGCUAAGCACUUUGCAAACUUAUACAAAAACUCUUUAUCAAUCAUAACCAUAUAUCAAAUGCACUACUAGAGGAAACUAGGACCAUAAUAAAUAGAAACAUAAUGAUAUUUAGAAUAAAGUUAUAGAGCAAAGAUACAAGAUAGUACCAAUACUUUGAUGAUGAAGAUCUGAAUCUCAAUCACAAUCGCCCGACUCUUCCUCUAUCUAGUCUAAACCUAUGUAGAACUUGAAGAACUGGAGUAUCUAUUCUAAUUCUCUAGUGGAGAGAACUCUCUCUAAACCCUAGCUUUGUUGACGGCUUCCUCUAAUGAGUUUUUAAUGAAUUCUAUCUAAAUAAGGGUUUCUCCUAGGGUCAGGGGCUCUGUUUUAUAGCCCUCUAGGAAGCACCACAACCCUUGGAUCCAACCGACCUUGAUCUACAAUUAUUAUUCAUCCUCAUAGGCGGUGGAGGCAGAAUCCGUGAGGUCGCUCCUAAUUGGUUCUCUGUCCUUGGCGGCCGCCCAAGGGGUGGGGGCAGGCACCCCACCCGUCAGGCUAGAUGGCCUCCUGAAAGGUCCUAAUAUGGCUAGAGGGGGGGUGAAUAGCCUAUUUAAAAAAUCUACAAACUCACUAGAGCAUGAGGUUAGUAAAUAACAAAGCGAAGCUUUUUGCUCUAGCUCUAAAGGGGUGUUUGCAAGCCACCUAUCCAACAAUUCUAGUUGAUAUGAUCACUAGGCACACAAGAGCUAUGUCACUACUUACACUAGAAAGCUACCUAAAGUUUCUAUACAAGUAAGUAAGCUACUCUAGUUUACGGGAAUGUAAAAGAGAUGGUUUGAUCUUUAUACCGUCACGUAGAGGAGAUGAACCAAUCAAUAAUAUGAAGUCCAAUUACUGGGAGAAAUCCAAUGAACAAACUAAAUGGAGACACACAAUUUUCUCUCGAGGUUCACGUGCUUGCCGACACGCUAUGUCCCCGUUGUGUCGACCAACACUUGGUGGUUCGGUGGCUAAGAGGUGUAGCACAAACCUCGUCUUCACUAGGACACCGCAAGAACCUAUCCACAAGUGAGGUAGCUCAAUGACACGCGCAAUCCACUAGAGUUGCCUUUGGCUCUCCGCUGGGGUAGGCACAAAACCCCUCACAAUCACCGGGAGAUGGCCACGAACAAUCACCAACUCGUGCCAAAGCUCUUCCACUGCUCCAAACCGUCUAGGUGGCGGCAACCACCAAGAGUAACAAGAAAACCACAGCCAAAUCGAUCCCCAAGUGCCACUAGAUGCAAUCACUCAAGCAAAUGCACUUAGAAUCACUCCCAAUCUCACAAAGAUGUUUAAUCUAUGAAGGAGAUGAGUGGGAGGUGUUUGCUUAGGCUCACAAGGAUGUCAAGUAUGCUAAAAUGCCAAGAGUGUGAGCCCUAAGCCGGCCAACACGCAUUUAUAAGCCCCUCAAACAAAUAGAGCCGUUGGCUCUUUUACUGGGCAAAACACGGGGUCACCGGACGCUCAAGCAGGAGACACCGGACGCUCAACCCUUGUGUUCGGUGCUCCAGAAACGGCCACAUGUCGCCUAUUGAAUCUCACGCGUUGGAGUCUAACAGUAACCUGCAAAGCACCGGACGUUGUCAAGUGUGCACCGGACGCCUCCGGUGCACACCGGUCUUAAACACAGAGAGGUCUGCAAACUCGCAGGGUCACCGGACGCACCCCACCGGACGCACCUGGAGCAUCCAUUGCUCUCAGUUAGGAUUACUCACAGAAGACAGAUAACACUGGACGCAUGAACAGGAGUCAACCUAUGUCCGGUGUUCAUCGUCCGGUUCUUAACCCUAGCCGAGUUAAGCACAACAACACACCGGACGCUUAGGCUCAGCGUCUGGUACUGCGUCCGGUGAGUAUUUCUCCGCAAGAAACACUCCCGAGACUUCUCCAAAUUUCCGACCGGCGCAAUAGAAAAUAUGCACUUUAUUUUCUAAAAAAGCGCUGAAUCCCCCUUCUCAAAGUAUGCCAACACCACAAUGUGUAAACCAACAUGUGCACGUGUGUUAGCAUUUUCACAAAUCAUUUUCUUCGAAGGAGUUAAGUGAGCUCACUAGGUUCUAAAUGCAUGCACAUGAACAAUGACACCUAGUGGCACUUGAUAACCACUUAGCCAAAGAAUUCACCUCUUUAUAGUAUGACUAUCUAUCCUAAAUGUGAUCACACCCUCUAUGGUGUCUUGAUCACCAAAACCAAAACCCUAAGCAAUACCUUUGCCUUGAGCUCCAUAGGGUUUUGUUUUUCUCUUUCUUCUUUUCCAAGUUGAGCACUUGAUCACCUUGUGGUCAUCACUAUCAUCACCAUGAUCAUCUCUUGCUCCAUCACUUGGCAUGUACCAACCUCAUUAAGUCUACACACACUUAGUAUAGAGGUUAGUACUACGGUUUCAUCAAUCAUCCAAAACCAAACUAGGGCUUUCACCUCCGUCUUCGCAGGGUUGCCUUCCAAGUAUUUUAGAUUCCAGAAAAGUUAUUUAUAGUUUUUUGUCUGUAUGUAAACCUGACUUGUGGGCCUCUUUUGGUUGUUUCCCGAUAACCCCCUAUAGAAAUAGACUUUCACCAAAACUCAUAGAAAUUGUCAGUUAAAACCCUUAAGUCUAUGGUGUAGCUUAUUUUAACCCGUGUUUUGACUCUUUGUUGACUUAUAAAAUUGAUGGUUAAGAAGUAUUAAUAGUUGGCAUUAUAGUAAUUUCAUUAGAAUCCUUGGCCUCAUCAAUCCAUUCUUGACUUACAAUAGUGGAUGGAUUCUCCAACUGCCAUUGUUUCUCUACUUGGUGAGAUUUAUGGCCCUCAUGACUUCCAUGCCUUGGGUGUCUUAGUUAAUCUCCAAAGAUAAUGACUGGAUCAUCAUAGGACUUACAAAGAGGGGCACCGUUGGGAUUAUCAGGAUCAGGGAUGAGUUUAGAGACGAGUUCAAUGGACAUGCCAGAUGUGGGCAUAGAAGAGAAGAGGAUAGAUGUUUUCUUUUAUGCAUCUUAGUUUUUCUUCUAUGGGUGCAAAAGGCAUUUCUUUUGGAAGUUCAUCCAGGAUCCUAGGUUUUUCCUAAUGUGCUACUUGAGAACUCGAGGCAUAAAAUGGUGUUGAUUUGGGAGGUUUCCAAAGAGAUUUCUUCUUAAGAGGGUUUGAAAAGUGUUUCUUGGAAGGUCUCUUAUGGGAAUUCCCAAAACUAGUGGGAUCAUCUGAGAGUUUGGUCUCGAAAUCGAAGGAGUGAUUUAGAGGAUGGGUUUCUUCCUCCUUCGAUGUUUGUGGUAUUUGUAGUUCUAGUUUGAUAGCUAUAGAGGUGGAUAAUGGAGUUUUGGAUGUUGUGGUUUCAUCUCUAGGAGUUUGAUCUGCCUUAGGAGCUUCAUUAUGAUCAUCAAUGUAGGGGGUGUUCUUGAGAAUAGUCACAAGAACGUCCUUACCUUCACUAAUGGGUAGAUGAAGGAAUGCUCCCUUAGAGGAUAAAUCAAAGAAUUGUGCAGAGGUUUGUCUAAGACCAAGGUAGAAAUGUUGCAUAAGUGUUGGCUCAGUUAUAGAUAAAUCUAGGCCGGAUGAUGCUGAGUUUGUAAGAUGUGCCCAGGCCUCACCUAGAGACUCAUUUUCUUCUUGCUUGAAGUUUAGGAUGUCUCUAUGAAGAUGAGAUACGCGGGAGAUGGGGAAGUGAGUUAAACAAAACUUGGCUUGUAGCUUCUCCCAUUCUCCUCCUACACUACGUACAUAGCGCGUAUACCAUUGUCUGGCUUUUCCCAUAAAAGAGAACGGAAAUAGCUUCCACUUAAGGGUUACUCACCUAAUCCCUUGGAUGUGAAUACACAAACAAAGUUGUUUGAAAUCGCAUAGGUGUGUAUAGGGAUUCUCAUCUCCUUCUGCCAAAAAGGGAUUCUCCUGAACCAUCGAUAUAAGACUGGGGUGAAGCUCAUAGUGAACGGCCAAAAUGGCAUGUGUGAACUAGGCGGCUCCAACUCAAUUCCCGAUGGAGCAGCGUAAUCGAAGAGGGUUGUUUGAUCCAUUUAUAGGUGUGGUAAAAUGUUUUAAUCAAACAAAGAUAACUCAUCGAUUUUUACCCUAGUUAAAACAUCUACCAUUCCUCGGCAAUAGCGUCAGAAAGCUUGUCGACACAAGAAGUGGCAAACGGAUAUACCGCAAGCGUACGGUAGUCAAUGUAGCCUUCGCUGGGAGUAUUCCAGGUAUUUUAAUUUCCAUAGAGAACGUGAAGUGGUUCAAGUAGGUUCAAGAUCGUCAGGUGAUGAUUGAAGGGUUUAGGAUUAGGUAUAGAGAGGUUUGUCUAGUAGAAAUAUCUGACCACAGUAUUCUAUGUAUAACGAGGUAUUAUAGAGAGGGCUCAGGUUUUUCACUCUAGGGUGUGGAUGAAAAAGUAGGAGAUAGAACCCCUACUAAGGCAACUACCAUGCUUAGCCCCGCUAUUAUGGACAACUUGCCUAACAAUACAUAUGAGGAACUCUAGACACUAGCUAGGCCUGUCACCCCUUACGCUAGCAUGUCUCACAAUGCGACAAGAAGCUCACACUAGUAAGAUCUAGUCUAGACUCUAUGUCUACACUAAUAUCACUACUCUAAGCUUAGCUAAAGCAUCAAGCACUUCAACAAGUAAAGCAGUAUGCUAGUAAGAAGACCAUAUACUUAAAGUAACAAACUAGAAUAUUAAAUACUAGAUGGAGUGAAAUGUAAAACUUACAAGAAGAUUUGCUUCCGCUAAGGCAUACCUUGGAGAAGACUCCCAAUAGGCAGAGACUCCACCUUGGAGACUCCUUACUAUCUUCCAUCUAUCAUUGUACUAAAGCUACUAAAGUAGUAUUUCUUCCUAAGAUGCACACCCUAGAGUGAAGGCCUAUGGGGGUAUUUAUAAGGGGAGAUGGAGUAGCACCAUGUCAUCAAUCAAUGUGCCUUUUCUCCUUGACCUUUGGAUAAACCGAUGUUGAACUGACCUUGGAUGGACGCCUUGGAUUCACCACGUGCACCAUUGCCUGCUUGAAGUCGGUGGGAGGAAGCUAAGCUUCCAAGCUGCCAAGGUGGGGCCGACCGACCCCAUCUAUGGCCGGUGGGCCCCAAGUUGGGUGUCCCCACAUGUCAUUGAGUCUAACCUAGAUAUUGUUUGAAUUGUUGUAACAUCGGUUCUUUAGUUGUGGGACUAUGGAUCCAUGUGCUUUGAUCUUCCAACAUUGAUUUCAAGCACACUUGUGAUCCAAGGGUGGAGAUUGAGCUUGAAGUGCUUCACUUGGAUAGUGCAAGCUUAGCAUGGUCUGGGCCCACAGGACAGGGGUUGGGUGACCCCCUCUUUGUGGCCCUAGCAUGUCAGCCUUUGCACAUUGCUCCUUUCUUACAUGGAACUCAUAUUUAUGUAGUCAACUUGUAUUUCUUGAUUAUUGCUACUUCUUCCCUUUUAGGCUUCUAGACCCUGAAAAGUACUUGUUCUAGUACCUGCAACCAAAUAAUGCCAUGUACAUGUGGAACCAGGUUAUUUGUACCUAUAUCACUACUUGUUUGGUAGUUUCUUCCCCAUAAUUAGUGUUUGGUUGAUGAUUAUGUUGGUAGAAAACAAGGUACAAUUAUCGUCAACACUCACAGACAUGAGCGGCCUUGGGAACAUCUACAUUAAGGAUGGUGAUGCUUAUUAUGUUAAUAUGUUUAUUCACUUAUCAUUUAUGUUGAGUUAAUUAUACUUAUAUUGAUCAUGUGGUUAUGGGAUUAUAUGCUACCUUAUUGUUGCUACUACUUGAUAAAUAUGAUACAUACAUAAAUGCUAAAUGCAGUCAAACCAGUGUCAGCUAUUUAAGCCUCAUGAACCCCUGGUUAUGCUUGUUGAGUACGAAAUAUGCUCACUCUUGCUAUUUUAUAAAACCACAGGAUGUGCUACUGAAGAUGACUAGAAUGAGGACUAUCAUAAUGAGUACUAGGCUUGGAGUCAACCAGUCGACGUUUCUCCCCGUGUGGUGCUUCCAUUAAGAGACUAUCUAUUACUAUUAGUAUUAUUGUUUAAGACUAUGUGCUAACUAUUCAUUUGUUAUGUAAUAAACAUUGUGAUGAUGUUAUUUGAGAUUUGUCAAUUUAUGUGUGUGACUAUUUCUAGGGUGCAUAUGAGACUUUUAUACAUUCUAUUUUGUCCUAGAAAUUUGGGUGUGACAAGGGUGUAGGCUCUGCGGGCGCAUCCGCCAGUAGGGCAGACCCCAUGGCCAUGGCACGCGUGGUGGCAGCCUAGACAUCACGUGGGGAUGCGGGAGGUUGUCCAUGGGAGCAUGGAGGCCAUGUCUGGGAGGUUGUCACGCUCCAUUCCUUCGCCAAGGGCAAGCCAGGACACCUUCUAGCACCACUCUAUCCCUGUGCACCCUGUCCCACAAGCUCUACCCACCAUGGCCACUUGUGCCCUGGCCCGCCAUUGUCGACGGUCCUCUCUCUUUCUAUUCAGGUGAAGGAGAAGAGGCAAAAGAGGAUAAGAUAUAGAGAAAGGGUGAGACGUGGUAUUUUGGACAUCUUUACUGGUCAGGCUCACAUGUUAGAGCUGCUAAAUGGUGAAAACUCGACGGAAGAUAGACGAAAUGGCUUGGGAGGAAAAAAAAGAAAAGUGUCAUAGUACAGAGGUCUGCUCCAAGUUUUUAGUUGCAUGGAGGAAGGGACCAUAUUUUUUAAUGGCACACAAGGAAAAGCCUCCAGAGCAUUGGGCUUUUUCGUGCCAUAUGUCGUUUAGAUUUGACUUUUGCCCCAUUCUAUGCUCUCCUCUAUUUGUUCAAUAGGGUCCUCGUUCUAUUCUAAACCCAUUGCCAUCCAUAGUUUCCUUGUCAACGCGAAGGGGCAAGUUAUAGGGCUCCAAUUUCUCUAAGUAAGGACUGAUAUGUAAGCAUCAACCUAGGACUUAUAGUACAACCACGAUGACUACAUAUUUUUGUUCUUUUUCUUAAUACUCUGAGCUUUUCUAGCUUGUUAGUGGUUACCAAAUGUAGUAAAAUGGGUGUGACAGGGGUGACCGAAUCGGGCAUAGGAUGACUCCUAAUGUUGAAUACUUUUGCGCAAGUGUGCCAUGAUGUUAGGGGGGUCUAUGUUUUUGGGCCAUGGAAAACUAGUGGAGAUCAAGUUUUUCAUUGUUUUUAGCUUCACCAUUAGAAUAUCAACUUACAUCGUGCCAUGUACUACUGAAUUAAGUAAAAAAAUGUUGUAUUUAAUUGGGUUUAUCCAAUUUUUAUUAAGCAAUUAAAUCAAAGAAAAUUCCAAAAUCAAAGUUAAUACUAGAUAUAUUUUGUUGGGUCCUUUAUGCAGUGUAAUUGAUGGUUUGAUGAGUGUUAAGUGCAUGGCGACCAUUAUGUGUUAGUGGAUUACGAUGACUGUUGUUUUAGUGGUUUCUGUUAGUAGUAACAGACAUUGAUUUGUUAGUUUCAUAAGUUACUAGUAACGGACAACAGUAUGACGGUCACUAUCUCUUCAUGUGCUUGGCUCUUCAUCUUCAUCUUCCUCGGUUGCUAAAUAAAAAGGGCACUCUUGUUUGUGAGUGAGAAGGCACAACCAAGAACACCACCUUGCUGUUGUUGUGCUAUUCGAGCUUUCCUGUCCUGGUUCCUCCGUGGAUAUUGAAAGGGAGAGGAGGUCUCCAAAACCACCCCAUCCUCUGUUUUCGUCUGCUGAUUGAAUCCCGACAGUCAAGGUUUUGGAGAGCAUCUUCCACAUGGCUGCUCAACCUUCUUCCUGAUGGUUGCUAAUUCUUCUUCCAGCUACUUCCUGAUGGUUGGUCUCUUGUGGUGGUGAUCGGCAUUGCUAUUUUUUACGCUGCAAUGAGUAGGACGACUACAUCAAUAAAUGUUAUGUCGACCUACAAAAAUGGCUCGGGUGCGGUUGGUUAUGCUACUAUAGCAACCAUCUUUCUCUUUUCUAUGUUUGAAUCCAUGCUUAGUAUCAUGCUCGUUAACUUGCUUGCAACUUGAUCACACAUGCACCUCUCUGAAGUCAGAAACAUGUUGUUAAUAUUUUUUUGGAUUAAAUUAAAACUGAGUUUGCCCAAAUUUCUAACAAAGUAAGUUCUAUUUAGUUUUGAAGUUUUAAUAAUCUCUCUAUUCCAAAUUAAUUAUAAGAGAUUUGGCUUUCGAACACAUACAUUGCUUUUGCUAUGUAUAUGUAAGUUGACAUAAUGUAUAUCUAAGUAUAUGUAGCAAAAAUUAUAUAUAUUUUUUUUGAAUUACUUGAGAGAAGUUAAAACAUCUAUAUAUAGUUUGAAAUGGAUGGAGUACUAUAUUAAUUCUAGAGUUAAAUCUUGGACGAAGACAACCCCAAAGAAAACGGAGAUGAGCCUUGUAAUACCUGAUUUUAAGGACAAAACCAGAUAUGCACCAUAUGUGAGUCUUAGAAGGCAAAUCUCACAUAUAGCUACAAAUAAGGGGUAAUAUCAAAGGACAAUGCAUAAAUUAUAUAACAUACUUAGUAUAAAAGAGAUAACCUUUGAUAGCAAACAGUGGAUAGACAACUCCAAACUUCGGGUAUUAACUUUACUCUACAGGAUCCAACUAACUGGUUGAUCACAAGCCUAAAGAAUCUCCUAAAGUGUGGGGGAAAUAGCAAGAGUGAGCACAUAUCGUACUCAACAAGUAUAACAAGGGGUUCAUGAGGCUCAAUAAGCUGACACUGGUUUGACUGUGUUUAGCUUAUACAUAUAUAUAGCAUAUUAAAUCAUUGGAAAGCAAAUAUCAAUGUAGCAUAAUUAAUCCCAUAACCACAUGAUCAAUGUAUACAAAAAUUUAAGAAUAACACAUAUAAACAACAUAAUAAUCCAUCAUUUAUCAUCAUUAAUCAUGUUCAUCACUGUUCAUCUAUUCCGUCAGUUUUUCGGGCCGCCCGUAUCCGUGGGCACGGCUAGUAUACCAGAUUUAAACACUCUACAGAAGUUAUACAUCUUUACCCAUGAGUCAUGAUUUACCCUUUCGCCCGAGGCCCGUCGACCUCUUAACCCACUACCAAGGAGGUCGGCAGGGAUCACUAUGAAGUCUUUUAAAGGUUCGUCUAACAAGUUAGGGCCGCUUGGUUUCAUUAGUCAAUCCAUGUGAUCCACCCGUAGGAAUCCAACUAGAAAAAAUUACUCAUACUUGACUAAAGCUAGAGCCAUAUAGCCCUCAUGGUUGUACGUGUUGUCCCAGCUUUUGCCAAGGGAUAAGUCCUUAUGGAGGGUCAAGAUUAGUCUAGCAAAAGCCAGAGUUCUUUCCACUCUUUAUAUUCAAGUUGCUAGAAAGCUUAUUUUAUUGUUUAUUGUAUAUCCAAACAUUCAUGUUACAAGAUCAUGGAUUAUAAUCAAGCACUAGCAAGAACUACCCAAAAUGCAUAUCCAAAUAGGUAUCAAGGAAUUCAAGAUAACAAUCAUCUAUGAUUUUACUAGGGUUGUCAAGGUGGACACAUGCAUAUGAUAUAUGUAUUAAAAGUGUAUAGGUAACAAGGAUGGUCCCAAGUUAUACUUGCCUUGAUCAAAGCUCUCCUGAGCCUGCUGGUCGUCAAAAGUUUGAUCUUGCUCACCAACGUAUGACUCACCGUCUAUCCACAACAUCAAUCAACAACACGCAAUCUAAUGUAAGCAAUCAUACACAAAGCAAACAAAGCUACAAUUAGAACAGUACACCAAUCAUAGAAAAACAGUAUGAAAAGUUUAUAAAAUGAUUCUACGCAUCGCUACGAUCUCACAGACGUAAGGAUCACAAAAAUCGGAGUUAAAACGAAGAAGUUAUGAAUUUUCUAAAAUUUUCUAUAGAAAAAUAAUUAAUUAAAUAGGGUCACAAAAUUAUAAAGUUUCAAAUUAGUGAAACAGUGAGACUAUCAUGUAGAGCUCAUUAUUAUGAAUCCAACGCAAUUUGAACGGGUCAAAUCGGAGUUCAAAUGAAUAUUUUAUAGCCAAAAGAAAAUUAGUGGCAAACUUGUAAUUUGCUGAAAACGUAUUUUCAACCAACCCAGGCUGAAUUAGGCUUUCAAAGUCAGAUUGCGUAUUUUAUAAAAGACGUUACGGAGCGCGGGUUUUAAUACAGAAAAAGGCAGGGUCUCUUUAGAGAAAUUUACCCUUAAGGGGUAUCUUCUAAUGUGGGCCCUUGAUCUUGAUCUGGACGGCUCAGGUUAGAUCGGGGCUUGGGGAAAGAGGGCGCCGGCGGUUACUGUAGCCUGACGGCGGCGCCAUCGCCGGAGGCUCGCCGGAGUUGGGCGAGAAAACGCUUUGGUGCACCAAACUUGAAUCCGAAGGCAUGGGGAGAAUGAAGAGAGCAAGGGGAAAUCACCUAGGGGGUUAUCGAGGCUCGGGCGAUCUCUGGGGAGGCACGCGACGCAAAACCACGGACGGCUCUUCCUGUGCAGGUUCGGCGCUGAUGUGAGAACAAACGAUCACGGUAGAAAGUUAGGGAAGGAGCUUGGAAGCUUCGUUUCCUCAACGCGAAGCUCGGCAGGGGAUCCAAUUCGUGCAAUGGCAGCGAAACGCGAACUGCUUGAUGGCGGCCGUGUCCAAGCUCGACGAGAUCAUGUUCUCGGUAUCUAUAGCGGCUAGGGUCUCCAAUGUUGCAACAAGAGAGAACGGGGAGUGGAGCGAUAUCACAGAGCUUAAUAGGGCAACUCGGCUCGCUCCCACAUGACGAAUCCCACAAGAAUCGGGAUCACGCGGAUUUGUUUACCGUGAUGAGGUCCGGCUUAAGCACGACCUAGGGGAGAAGACGGAAGGGGAAGGGGAACACUGACAGGUGGGGACCGGCUAGCAGAGAGAAAAGGAGAAAGGGGUGGCGCAGGGCUUGUCCCAGCUGGGCUGUGCUAUGGCGUACUGGGCCGGUUACGCAAGAUGGCCAAUGGGCUGAGGAAGAGAGGUGGGGAGGGGGAUGGCGUGGGCUCGUUGCACGGGCUGGCCACUCAGCCGAGGGGGAAGAAGCCAGGCCUUCGUGCCAGAAAGGAGAUGGGGAAGUUUUUCUUUUUUUCUUUUGUUUUGUUUUCUUUUUUUGUUUCUUUUUUAUUUCAAAGCCAUUUCAAAAACAAAUUUGAAAAUCAUUUUAAAAUCAGUUUGACUUACCUUGAAUUUUUAAUUAAAUCCACACAAUGCAAUAAAACAAAUGCCCCAAAAAUGAAUGCACAAUCAUGUUGUUAAAUCCUAAAAUAAAUUUUAAUUUAAUGAAUAUUAUUAUUUUCUCUAUAUUCCAUGAGCACAAAUAUACAAAAUUAAAUCAAUUUUUACCUAUUUCAAAAGGAACAAAUUUUAGGGUGUUAGAAAUCUACCCUCCUUAAAAUGAAUCUCGUCCUCGAGAUUCGAAAGAGAUACGGAUUCUCUGAGAGAAGACAGAAUAAAGAUCUUGAUAACAAUUUCAACUGUACAACUUGCAUACCAAAGAUAAACUCAACUUUUCUGUAGAAUGUCUAUUAUUCAUAAUUGAUCAAACUCCAUCUUGACUACCAACUUUCGACUUAUACAACUCAAAGACAUAAUAACUUAGCAUGGAUAUGCCUCCUCAGGUAGGAGUGGACCACCUUGAUACUCAAUUCUUUUCCUUGAUGGUGCGGUUAAGAAAAUCUUCCACUGGGUAGCAUAGAUCACUCCUUUGUGUGCACAUAACCAUCCAUUACCAAAGACCAAGGGAAUGUCGAGUGACUCUAGCACAAUGAGGUUUAUAGUGAAGUUUUCAUUCUUUAUGACAAGUUUGAUAUUCGAGCAAACCUGAUCUGCCUAUAUUUCUCCCAUUGGGGUUUGAACUAACAAAGGCUUCCUCAUCGGACACUUCACCCGUUCGAUCGUCUUUACCCAGUCGGCAUAAAUGAAAGAAUGCGAAGCACUUCGGUCAAACAGAGAAAAAACUAGCACUGAGUCCACUUGAAUAUAUCCACCCACAACUUUGGUGGCUCCUUGAAUGUUGUUGCUAUCCACAUUGCUCAGUCUUCCAUUGAUAAUUUUGCUGCACUUCACUUCCAUGAGAAAGCUUCUUAUGAACUUUCCUUUUACGCUUCUGUCGUUGUGGAUUCUGAUUUGAUUCAAUGUUAACUUGCUCUUCUGUAUUAUUAUUUUGAUAGCACUCAGCUUUGUCAUACUCGUAACAUCUUUCUUCGAACGCAAGAUGAUCAUAAUCUUCCCACAUAUCCAUGGGAGGUGUCAUAUUAUGCUCCUGAUCCAUGGGACACUACACUCCCUAUCGUCAAGUGACCAAUGUGAGUAACUCAGCAAGGAUAGUUGAUCAUAACCAUAGAAUAUCUCAGAAGACAAUUAUCAGUUCAAGAUAGUUUUAUAAUGCAUCAUCCUGUGAUAGGAGCUACCCCCCUUAAAAUGAGAUUGAUUGGUGGAUGGUAGGGACUAGUUCUCCUAUCCUUUUUGGACGCUACACAUCAUAGUCUUUUACAUUCGUUGUACCGAGUCUCUUGAUCCAAGGUUAGUUUCAUCACUAAGUUCCAAUUAUCGGUACCUUUAUCACGGUUAAGUUGCUUUACUCUCACAUUAUACAUAUAGCUUUGUAAACUUUGGUGUCAUCUGAUCCCCAUACACAACUCUUAAUCUAUGAGUAUCACCAACGACAUAUACCUCCAUUGUUAUUUUCUAAAUGAGAUGAUAUCUUGAAACAAAACUAAAUUCACCAAACACUUGUGAUCCUCACAUAUGAUCCAACAUUAGCCAAUCCUUCUCUUUGUAACUCCUUUAAUUAGGCUAGCCCCCUUAAAAGGGUCAACUAGGGGAGACAAGAAAGGUAGCUUGCGUAUUUUCCAGACAAGUUAACUAACAUUGAGAACUUCUGACACCCCAAAGAUCUUAUGUGCAAGAGAAUAAACAAGUAUCCUAAAAUUUUCUCAUGAUAUGAAAACACCAGCGUAGUAGAAUAUACAUAACUCUUAUUCUGUUAAUCCAAUAGAGUUGUAGCUUAUUCUGUUAGAAAACUUAUGAAAUUUCCUACAACUUUCAUAUAGAAUACUUCCUUAGAUUCUGUCUUUAAGCUUAGGUAAAACAACCAACUUAAUAUUUAUCCUGACAAUGUCUCAGCAAAGGUGCAGUAAAUUGCAGAAGUUAUAUCUCGGUCUCCAUAAAUCCUUUGGUGACGAUCCUUACAUUGUUGAAAAGCAUAUAAAAUCCUCUACAAUUUUGGUAUACAACAUUUUCCCAGAUUCUGAAUUUAAUUUAGCUAAAAAUGGGAAAUACCAGAUUUGUCCAGAUUUUGAAACAGAACAGAGACAUCUAAUUGUAAAUAUUAUAUCUUAUGUUCUACUUAUCCAAAUAAGUUCCUGCUUAUAACGGUGGAAAUCUUAGAAAAUUGUCUACAACUUUUCUAUAGAUCACUUUACCAAAUUCUAUAGUAUAUUUGUCUCAAACAGUAAGCAACCAAAACUGGUCCAGGUUCUUGACAACACAGUUGUAUCAUCUUGUGAUUUUUGUAACUUCCAAACCAUAACAGCUAUGAGGGUGAUUCUUACGGUCAGAGAAAGAUCUUGAAGUACGAUUUCAUUCAAAAGUUUCUCAUAAUUUUUGGUUAUCUGAGAACAGAGACAUGGACCGAUAAAGAGAGGAUACUCCGGAAAGACAUGAUAAGAUAACAAAAGAAGAACCAAAACCCAACUAUUUAUGUGAUUAAUCCUUAUAACUUAGACCAACUAAAUGAAAUUGUGAAGAAACUCACAAUAUCACUACACUCAUUACAAAGAUCCAAAUUAGGCACAAGUAUAAUAACAAACCAACUGAGCAUUGAAGGUUCACAAUUCACUCAACUUGCGAUACUAUCGUUCUCUUCAGAGUAAGGGUAAAGAUCCUAAAACUCCUCUUCUGAUUAUGCAAGCAGGUGGUAAGAGAAGAUUCUAAAAGCAUAACAAAUCAAGGAAUGACUAUGAGAACAAGUACUUUCAAAAUAAGCAUCAAGGUAAAGAUGAAUAGCAAUGGAAAGAAUAUAGUGUAGAGAAAAAUAUUAAGAUUUACAGAACAAGGAUUUUAUAGCAAUUUUAAAAUCUUAAGACAACCAAUUUCUAACUAGGCUUACGUACUACAGUCAGCAUUGCUUUGAUACCACUUUGUAAUACCCGAUUUUAAGGAUAAAACCAGAUAUGCACCAUAUGUGAGUUUUAGAGGUCAAAUCUCACAUAUAGCUACAAAUAAGGGGUAAUAUCAAAGGACAAUGCAUAAAUUAUAUAACAUACUUAGUAUAAAAGAGAUAACCUUUGAUAGCAAACAGCGCAUAGACAACUCCAAACUUCGUGUAUUAACUUCAUCUACAGGAUCCAACUGACUGGUUGAUCACAAUCCUAAGGCAUCUCCUGAAGUGUGGGAGAAAUAGCAAGAGUGAGCACAUAUCGUACUCAACAAGUAUAACUAGGGGUUCGUGAGGCUCAAUUAGCUGACACUGGUUUGAUUGCGUUUAGCUUUUAUAUGUAGAUAGCAUAUUUAAUCAUUGGAUAACAAAUAUCAAAAUAGCAUAAUUAAUCCCAUAACCACAUGAUCAAUGUAUACAAAAAUUUAAGAAUAACACAUAUAAACAACAUAAUAAUCCAUCAUUUAUCAUCAUUAAUCAUGUUCAUCAGUGUCCAUCUAUUCCGUCAGUUUUUCGAGCCGCCCGUAUCCGUGGACACGGCUAGUAUACCAGAUUUAAACACUCUACAGAAGUUGUACAUCUUUACCCAUGAGUCAUGAUUUACCCUUUCGCCCGAGGCCCGUCGACCUCUUAACCCACUACCACGGAAGGUCGGCAAGGAUCACUAUGAAGUCUUUCAAAGGUUCGUCUAACAAGUUAGGGCCACUUGGUUUCAUUAGUCAGUCCGUGAGAUCCACCCGCAGGAAUCCACGGUCUGCUAUUCCCCAAUUGCGCCACACGGGUAACCGCUAACGAGCUAGACAAAAUUACUCAUACUUGACUAAAACUAGAGCCAUAUAGCCCUCAUGGUUGUAUGAGUUGUCCUAGCUUUUGCCAAGGGAUAAGUCCUUAUGGAGGGUAAAGAUUAGUCUAGCAAAAGCCAGAGUUCUUUCCACCCUCUAUAUUCAAGUUGCUAGAAAACUUAUUUUAUUGUUUAUUGUAUAUUCAAACAUUCAUGUUACAAGAUCAUGGAUUAUAAUCAAGCACUAGCAAGAACUAUCCCAAAUGCAUAUCCAAAUAGGUAUCAAGGAAUUCAAGAUAACAAUCAUCUAUUGUCAAGGUAGACACAUGCAUAUGAUAUAUGUAUUAAAAGUGUACAUCGUAACACCCUAAAAUUUACUCCUUUUGAAAUAUAGAUAAAAUUAUUUAAUUUUGUAUUUUUGUGUUCAUGAAAAUAUAGGAAAAAUAAUAUUUUUCAUUAAAUUAAAAUUUAUCAUAAGGCGUAGCAAUAUUAUUAUGCAUACAUGUUGGUGCAUAUGUUUUGAUGUGAUGCUUGCUUGUUGCUCCUUUAUGUGUUGAGUGAGCAAAGUUUUUAAAAUGCGUUUAGAAAAUCGAUCUUCCUUGACCAGUACGUCUUUAUCUUUAUCUAUAACCAAAUUCCUUGUUUCUCAGCUCAAGUUUUUAUUAGGAGCUUCCUAAAAUAUUUUCCUUGUUAUCCAAAUCACUUCUUUUAGUUCUUGGUCCAUCAAGCAAUCUCUAUAAACUUCUCGAGAAUUUUUCUAGCCUUUUCCGUGGAGCAUAAUCUAAUUUUAGAUGCUCCAAAUUAUCUUAUCAUGAGCUCUAAAUACUUUAUUUUGGUUCUUCAUGUUUCAUAAUGUCUCCGAGAUUUUUUCCUUGAAUUUUUGGAGCAUUUUGAGUAUUUUUCAUGACUUAAAUAAUAAUUCUGGAUUUUUUAGGAUUAUUCUAUUUGCCAAAUUAAUUAAUUUCCAAAAUAAUAAAAUCUUUCAUUUUAUCCCAUGCUCAAGCCCAUAAUCUCAAUGGUCAAUGUCUUUAUUUACUAAUGGGCUUUAAUAAUUAAUUAGGCCUAUUAGUAAAAAUGAAGGUUGCAAAUCAAUUAGUACCAUAUCGCUAGUUGACGUGGAGGUGGGGAGUUUCUCUCCCUAUAUAUAUGUACCAACCCCUAAGGCAAAGCACACCAAAAACUACCAUGAGAAAAGCCUCUAAUUUGAGAAUUCCUAAGGUAGUAAAAUAAAAUUAUAUUUUCUUCUCUACAAGCGAUCGCCAUCGUCUCGCCUAUACACGACAUCUACGAACGGUUGGCUCCUCCGGCGUUGUUGUAGCUCCAAGAAAGCGUCACUGCUGGUGAACCUACUCCCUGUCCACCAAGGUAAGCCCCAAUCAAAAACACAAACAGCUCGGUUUUAGAUUAAAAAUACGUUUUCACUAUUUACAGAAUUGCCACUGACUUUCUUCUGGCCAUAAAAUAUUCAUCUUAACACCGUUUUGACCCAUUCAAAUUGCGUUGUAUUCGUAUUAAUGAGCUCUACAUGUUAGUAACAUUGUUUUAUCAGUUUGAAACUUUUUAUUUUCGUGACCCUAAUUAAUUAAUUACUUUUCUAUAUAAAAUCUUAUAAAAUUCAUAACUUCUCUGUUUUAGCUCCGAUUUUCGUGAUCUUUACGUCUAUGAUAUCAUAGCGAUGCGUAGAAUCAUUUCACAAACUUUUCAUACUGUUUUUAUAUGAUUGUUGUACUGUUCUAAUUGUAGUCUUGUUUGCUUCGUGUAUGUUGUCUUCGAUUAUUUGUGUGUUGAUGAUCGAUGAUCGAGUUUAGUCGGUGAACAAUUCGUGGUGAACAAGAGUACUUCAGUGAUCAAGAUCUGAGCCUUGGACAACUAGUGAGACCAACAGGAUAAGCAAGAGCAAUUGGAUUAAGGCAAGUAUAGCAUUUGGGUUUUAUUUCUGUGACCAUGAUCUUGUGACUAGAUUAAUGUUAAGUAAUAAAUGAUAAAAAUUAAUUUUUAGCCACUUGAUGAUUUAUCUGUAAGUGAUAACCGGGAUAACAGUGCAACCAUGAGGGCUAUAAUGGCUCUGGCUUUAGCUCAGUAUGAGGACCUUUUUCUAGCUUGUUAGCGGUUACCUUAAAUGGCGUAAGAAUGGCUAGACACGUUGGGUAUAGUGUGGCCUCUAUCCGUGUGUAUAGGCUGCGGGUUAUGUGCCAUGGAAGGGGGGCUCUAUAUCUGCCUGCCGAGUGAAUCUAAUGGCCCUAACUUGUUAGACGAAACCUUUGAAAGGCUUCAUAUUGAUCCCUGCCGACCUCCCUAGGAAGGGAGUUAAGAGAUUAGCUACCUCGAGCGAAAGGGUAAAUCAUGACUCAUAGGUAAAGAUGUACAACCUCUGCGGAGUGUUAAAACUAGUAUACUAGCCGUGCUCACGGUCAAGAGCGGCCUUGGGGAUUCUUACACCAAUGAUGAUGAUUCUUGUUGUGUUAAAAUACUCAUUGUUUAUUGUUUAAUGCUCUACAUUAUUUAUGUCACAUUGAUCAUGAGAUUGUGGGAGCUAUACAAUCUAGUUGCUAUACUUGUGGAGUUCGACAUGGACUCACUCUUGCUAUUUCCCCCAUACCUCAGGGGAAGUGUUAGGCUUGUGAUCAACCAGUCAGUUGGAUCCUGUUGAGUGAAGUUAAUACCCGAAGUUUGGAGUUAUCUAUCCACUGUUUGCUAUCAAAGGUCAUAUCUUUUAUACUGAGUACGUUAUAUAUUUAGGCAUUGUCUUUGAUAUUACUCCUUAUUUGUAGCUAUAUGUGAGAUUUGACUUCUAAAACUCACAUAUGGUUUUCUGAUUUUGUCCUUAAAAUCGGGUAUUACAAAUUGGUAUCAAAGCAAUGCUGACUGUAGGACGCAAGCCUAGUUAGAAAUUUGCCGUCUUAAGGUUUUGGAAUUGUCAUAAAAUCCUUGCUCUAUAAACCUUGGUAUUUUCAUCUAUACUAUAUCCCUAUCCUUGCUCUAUUUGUCUCUACCUUGUUGCUUAUUUUAAAAGUACAUGUUCUCACCUUCAAUCCUUGAUUUGGUAUGCUAUUAGAACCUUUUCUUCCCUCUUCUUGCGUCUUUGAAAUAUAAGUUUUAGGAUCUCUACCCUUACUAUGAAGAGAACGAUAGUAUCGCAAGUUGAGUGAAGUGUGAAGCUUCAGUGCUUAAUUGGUUGUUAUUAUGUUUAUGCUUAAUUUGGAUAUUUGUAAUGAUUGCAAUGAUCUUGUGGAACUACUUCACAAUUUCAAUAGUUCAUAGGCCUAAGGCAUAAGGAGUAAUGAAAUAAGUAGUUGGGCAUGGUUAUAUCUGUUUCUGUCCUUUGCUGAUUUCUAGAGCAGUCUGCAAUUGUUCUAGUGUAUCUCAAGAUCUGAUCGUGCAAAGUUUGUCAACUUUUUCUGAGAACAAAUAGACUUCAAGAUCUUUCUCUGACCACAAGAAUCACCCUCAUAUCUAUUAUGGUUUGGAAGUUACAAAAAUCACAAGAUGAUACAGAUGUGCUGUCCAGAAUCUGGACCAGUUUCGGGAACUUGCUGUUUGAGACAAAUAUAACUAUAGAAUUUGGAAAAGUGUUCUAUAGAAAAGUUAUAGACGACUUGCUAAGAUUUCCAACGGUAUAAGCUGGAACUUAUUUGGCUAAGUAGAACCUGAGAUAUGAUAUUUACAAUUGGAUGUUUCUGUUCUGUAACAAAGUCUGGACAGUUUUGGUAUUCCCUAUUUCCGGCCAAGUUAAAAACAGAAUCUGGGAAAACAUGGUAUACGAAAGUUGUAGAGGAUUUACUAAGCUUUUCAAAAAUGUAAGGAUCAUCUCCAGAUGAGUUAAGUAGCUCAAUAUAUAAUUUCUGGAAAUUACUGCACCUUUGCUGAGACAUUAUCAGGAAGGAUAUUAUGUUUGGUUAUUUUACCUAUGCUUAAAAACAGAACCUAAGGAGGACUUCUACAUGAAAGUUGUAGGGAAUUUCAUAAGUUUUCUAAUGAUAUAAUCUGCAACUCUAUUGGAUUAACAGAAUAAGAGUUAUACCUGUUUUACUGCACUGGUAUUUUUCAUAUCGCGAGAAAAUUUCAGGAUACCUGUUUACUCCACUGCACAUAAGUUCUUUGGGAUGUUAGAAGUUCUCAAUAUUAACUUGUCUGGAAAGUAUGCAAGCUACUUCUUGGUCCCCUAGUUGACUUUUCUUAAGGGGGGUAGCCCAAUUAAAGAACUACAAGGAGAAGAAGUGGUUAAUGACGCACAUCUACAAGGACAUCAAGUGCUUGGUAUGUUGGUUUGUUUCAAGAUAUCAUUCUAUUUGGAGUGUGCUAAUACCAAUGGAGGUUUAUGUCAUUAGUGAUACUCAUGGAUUAAGAGUUGUGUAUGAGGAUCAGAUGACACCAAAGUCUACAGAGUUGUAUGUAUAGUGUGAGAGUAAAGCAAUUUAACUGUGAUAAAGGUACCGAUAUUUGGAACUUAGUGAUGAAACUAACCUUGGAUCAAGAGACUAGGUACAGCAAAUUUAAAAGACUAUAUGAUGUGUAGUGUCUAAAAAGGAUAGGAGAAAUAAGUUUAAAGAAGGAUCGUACCUACUACACUAGGUGUCUCGUCAAUAUUUUAGAGGCUACUUGGAGUAAGAGAGUGGAAUCAUUGCUAUGAAGAUAUAACUACUCAAGAAAGUGAAAAAGAUUCAAAAUCUACAUCUCUUUGAUAACUGUCUUCCGAAUCUCGAGGACGAGAUUCAUCUUAAGGGGUAGAACAUAACACCCUAAAAUUUACUCCUUUUGAAAUAUAGAUAAAAUUAUUUAAUUUUGUAUUUUUUGUGCUCAUGAAAAUAUAGGAAAAAUAAUAUUUUUCAUUAAAUUAAAAUUUAUCAUAAGGCUUAGCAAUAUUAUUAUGCAUACAUGCUGGUGCAUAUGUUUUGAUGUGAUGCUUGCUUGUUGCUUCUUUAUGUGUUGAGUGAGCAAAGUUUUUAAAAUGCGUUUAGAAAAUCGAUCUUCCUUGACCAGUACGUCUUUAUCUUUAUCUAUAACCAGAUUCCUUGUUUCUCAGCUCAAGUUUUUAUUAGGAGCUUCCUAAAAUAUUUUCUUUGUUAUCCAAAUCACUUCUUUUAGUUCUUGGUCCAUCAAGCAAUCUCUAUAAACUUCUCGAGAAUUUUUCUAGCCUUUUCCGUGGAGCAUAAUCUAAUUUUAGAUGCUCCAAAUUAUCUUAUCAUGAGCUCUAAAUACUUUAUUUUGGUUCUUCAUGUUUCAUAAUGUCUCCGAGAUUUUUUCCUUGAAUUUUUGAGCAUUUGGAGUAUUUUUCAUGACUUAAAUAAUAAUUCUGGAUUUUUUUGAGGAUUAUUUUAUUUGCCAAAUUAAUUAAUUUUGAAAAUAAUAAAAUCUUUCAUUUUAUCCCACGCUCAAGCCCAUAAUCUCAAUGGUCAAUGUCUUUAUUUACUAAUGGGCUUUAAUAAUUAAUUAGGCCUAUUAGUAAAGAUAAAUGUUGCAAAUCAAUUAGUACCAUAUCGCUAGUUGACGUCGAGGUGGGGAGUUUCUCUUCCUAUAUAUAUGUACCAACCGCUUAGGCAAAGCACACCAAAAACUACCAUGAGGGAAGCUUCUAAUUUGAGAAUUCCUAAGGUAGUAAAAUAAAAUUAUAUUUUCUUCUCUACAAGUGAUCGCCAUCGUCUCGCCUAUACACGACAUCUACGAACGGUUGGCUGCUCCGGCGUUGUUGUAGCUCCAAGAAAGCGUCACUGUCGAUGAACCUACUCCCUGUCCACCAAUGUAAGCCCCAAUCACUUUGUCUUUCAGUUUGGAAAACACAAACAGCUCGGUUUUAGAUUAAAAAUAAGUUUUCACUAUUUACAGAAUUGCCGCUGACUUUCUUUUGACCAUAAAAUAUUCAUCUUAACUCUGUUUUGACCCAUUCAAAUUGCGUUGUAUUCGUAUUAAUGAGCUCUACAUGUUAGUAACAUUGUUUUCUCAGUUUGAAACUUUUUAUUUUCGUGACCCUAAUUAAUUAAUUACUUUUCUAUAUAAAAUCUUAGAAAAUUCAUAACUUUUCCGUUUUAGCUCCGAUUUUUGUGAUCUUUACGUCUAUGAUAUCGUAGCGAUGCGUAGAAUCAUUUCACAAACUUUUUAUACUGUUUUUAUAUGAUUGUUGUACUGUUCUAAUUGUAGUCUUGUUUGCUUCGUGUAUGUUGUCUCCGAUUAUUUGUGUGUUGAUGAUCGAUGAUCGAGUUUAGUCGGUGAACAAUUCGUGGUGAACAAGAAUACUUCAGUGAUCAAGAUCUGAGCCUUAGACAACUAGUGAGACCAACAGGAUAAACAAGAGCAAUUGGAUUAAGGCAAGUAUAGCAUUUGGGUUCUAUUUCUGUGACCAUGAUCUUGUGACUAGAUUAAUGUUAAGUAAUAAAUGAUAAAAAUGAAUUUUUAGCCACUUGAUGAUUUAUCUGUAAGUGAUAACCGGGAUAACAGUGCAACCAUGAGGGCUAUAAUGGCUCUGGCUUUAGCUCAGUAUGAGGACCUAUUUCUAGCUUGUUAGCGGUUACCUUAAAUGGCGUAAGAAUGGCUAGACACGUUGGGUAUAGUGUGGCAUCUGUCCGUGUGUAUAGGCUACGGGUUAUGUGCCAUGGAAGGUGGGCUCUAUAUCUGCCUGCCGAGUGAAUCUAAUGGCCCUAACUUGUUAGACGAAACCUUUAAAAGGCUUCAUAGUGAUCCCUGCCGACCUCCCUAGGAAGGGGGUUAAGAGAUUAGCUACCUCGGGCGAAAGGGUAAAUCAUGACUCAUGGGUAAAGAUGUACAACCUCUGCAGAGUGUUAAAACUAGUAUACUAGCCGUGCUCACGGUCAAGAGCGGCCUUAGGGAUUCUUACACCAAUGAUGAUGAUUCUUGUUGUGUUAAAAUACUCAUUGUUUAUUGUUUAAUGCUCUACAUUAUUUAUGUCACAUUGAUCAUGAGAUUGUGGGAGCUAUACAAUCUAGUUGCUAUACUUGUGGAGUUCGACAUGGACUAACUCUUGUUAUUUCCCCCAUACCUCAGGAGAAGUGUUAGGCUUGUGAUCAACCAGUCAGUUGGAUCCUGUUGAGUGAAGUUAAUACCCGAAGUUUGGAGUUAUCUAUCCACUGUUUGCUAUCAAAAGUCAUAUCUUUUAUACUGAGUAUGUUAUAUAUUUAUGCAUUGUCUUUGAUAUUACUCCUUAUUUGUAGCUAUAUGUGAGAUUUGACUUCUAAAACUCACAUAUGGUGCAUAUCUGAUUUUGUCCUUAAAAUCGGGUAUUACAUACAUGUAACAAGGAUGGUCCCAAGUGGCCUGCUGGUCGUCAAAAGUUUGAUCUUGCUCACCAACGUACGACUCACCGUCUAUCCCCAACAUCAAUCAACAAUCGGAGUUCAAAUGAAUAUUUUAUAGCCAAAAGAAAAUUAGUGGCAAACUUGUAAUUUGCUAAAAACGUAUUUUGAACCAACCCGGGGUGGAUUACGCUUUCAACGUCAGAUUGCGUAUUUUAUAAAAGACGUUAUGGUGUGCGGGGUUUAAUUAAGAAAAAGGCAGCGUCUCUUUAGAGAAAUUUACCCCAAAGGGGUAUCUUCUAAUGUGGGCCCUUGAUCUUGAUCUGGGCGGGUCAGGUUAGAUCAGGGCUUGGGGAAAGAGGGCGCCGGCGGUUACUGUAGCCCGACGGCGGCGCCAUCGCCGGAGGCUCGCCGGAGUUGGGCGAGAAAGCGCUCUAGUGCACCAAACUUGAAUCUGAAGGCAUGGGGAGAAAGAAGAGAGCAAGAGGAAACCACCCACGGGGUUAUCGAGGCUCAGGCGAUCUCGGGGAGGCACGCAACGCAAAACCGCGGACGGCUCUUCCUGUGCAGGUUCGGCGCCGAUGUGAGAACAAACGAUCGUGGUAGAAAGUUAGGGAAGGAGCUUGGAAGCUUCGUUACCUCGACGUGAAGCUUGGCAGGGGAUCCAAUUCGGUGCAAUGGCAGCGAAACACGAACUCCCCGACGGCGGCCGUGUCCAAGCUCGGCGAGAUCCUGUUCUUGGUAUCUAUGGCGGCUAGGGUCUCCAGUGUCGCAACAAGAGAGAACGGGGCGUGGAGCGAUAUCACAGAGCUUAAUUGGGCAACUCGGCUCGCUCCCACGUGACGAAUCCCGCAAGAAUCGGGAUCAUGAGGAUUUGUUUACCGUGAUGAAGUCCGGCUUGAGCACGACCAAGGGGAGAAGACGGAAGGGGAAGGGGAAGGGGAACGCUGACAGGUGGGGACCGGCUGGCAGAGAGAAAAGGAGAAAGGGGUGGCGCGGGGCUUGUCCCAGCUGGGCUGUGCUACAGCAUACUGGGCCGGUUGCGCAAGAUGGCCAAUGGGCCGAGGAAGAGAGGUGGGGAGGGGGAUGGCGUGGGCUCGUUGCACAGGCUGGCCACUGGGCCGAGGGGGAAGAAGCCAGGCCUUCGGGCCAGAAAGCACAUGAGAAAGUUUUCUUUUUUUUCUUUUCUUUUGUUUUCUUUUUUUGUUUCUUUUUUAUUUCAAAGCCAUUUCAAAAUCAAAUUUGAAAAUCAUUUUAAAAUCAGUUUGACUUACCUUGAAUUUUUAAUUAAAUCCACACAAUACAAUAAAACAAAUGCCCCAAAAAUGAAUGCACAAUCAUGUUGCUAAAUUCUAUAAUAAAUUUUAAUUUAAUGAAUAUUAUUAUUUUCUCUAUAUUUCAUGAGCACAAAUAUAUAAAAUUAAAUCAAUUUUCACCUAUUUUAAAAGGAACAAAUUUUAGGGUGUUACAAGCCCUCAUCCGCCUUUUGGUAAUAGCUCGGAAUGCCUAUAUCUCUCUAGAAUAUAUAUUAACAAGACAUCUACAGAAAGGAUUGGCUGUCCAGCGGACGGAAAUUUAAAGCAUGCUCCGGUGCUAAUACGUUUGUUAUUAUGCACGCUUUCGUACCAAAAGAAAUAUAUAUUAGUAGAAGGAAGAAAAAUAGGUGAGGACGGCAGGACAAAACUGUCAAAAUCGAGCAAAACUUUCACGGAGCCGUCGGCAAAAUUGACACAUACACAUGGCUUGAAAGUGAAGUGUCGGAGCUAAGUUUAACAUCAUGGUCAUGCUACGUGGAGGCUCCGGUCCAGAAAUAUACUCCGUCCCGUCCUCCUGCAAGAAAAUCGUAGGCUGCACGCAAACAAGGGAGUAAUACAAAGCCAUGAAUAAUGAUAUAUUGAUGCACAUGACAACUUUUGAACAUUCCCAAUUAAUAAAUUGCAAGUCUAUAUAUAUCAUCAUCACUAUGUAACAACGCUACUGAUCACUCCAUAAUCGCCACUGUCUCCGUCAAUCAGUCAUAUCAAGAAAGUUUGUAUAUAUGCACGUGUUGACUACAUAUUGAAUGGAUCGUGUAAUUAUUACAAAUUAGCGAAGGCAACCGAAUUAAAGAUAUCAUGGCAGGCCUCUAUAUUUAGGAUAUGUUUGGUUGAGGUGUAACUUUGGGGUUUCUUAAGAGGUGGCUAUCUGACUUUUAGCUUCUAUUUUUUUUUUGGCUAUUCGUUUUUUUAUAAAUUUUAAGCUUUUUAGCACAUCAAAACCUAGAAAACCUCAUAUGUUUUUCAGCCUUUAGUCCAUUUCCUCAUAAGCGAACUUUUCAAAAGUCAUCUCAAUAACUAGGGUCUAUUUGGCAAAGUUCCCAGAGCUUCUCAGCUGAAUCUUAGGGAGUCUACUAAAGAGUUUUUUUUACUAAGAAAGUGAUUAUGUGAAGUGUAGUUCUCAAAAGGAACUAGGAGAGACUAGAGGCUAUAAAAUGUAGCUUAUCCUGAAUCACUCCACACAUAGAAUUAUUAUAGAGUUGUUUAUCCUAGAGAAUUAUAUAUAGAGAAUCAAUUUCAGUUAGAGAAUCACUUGUCACAAAGAAUCGGUUUCUAUGGAGAAUCUAGAGCAGCAGGAGCUAUGUCAAAUAAGUCCUUAGGUUUGUUUUAGCUUCUAUCUUCUGACUAACAAAAGUAAGACAAAAUAAAAGCUAAAACAAACAUGACCUUAGAACUCCAUGAGUUUUAUGCACCAUCCAACUCACCUAAAAUUCAGAUCUAGUCAGACAUGAUAAAUUUUACAAAACCAACAUGAAUUCAUAUAUAGCCCAUUUAUUAGUUAUAAUACAAUAUAAUCGCGAUUCAUAAUGGAAAAGUGUAAGAAUCUAGGAGUAAUCAGGAAUGGAUACUCUGGAUAACGACGCCUGAUUUGAGGCCGGGUGAUGAGAUGCAGGCCGAGCUUACGCGUAAUGAUUUUUGCUUUCCGAUGAAGUCAGAAGAGACAUGGAUCGGAUGUGAAAGCAAGCAGGUACAUGAACGAAGCAACAUUUGGUGUCUUUUUUCUUGUGCGUAGAUCUAGUGUAACGAUGGAUGGAUAGAUAGAUUGUACUUUAGGUGAAAGCCGCUUUAGCUGAAAGGUCCCUCCUCCGGCCCUGCUUUUGCUCCUCGCGGCUUUUGAGAUCUUGGCUUACAUGAACCCACACACUUGUCGCGAGCAUGGACGAUUCCAUGAUUCCAUCCUCCUUAAGCCCCUGGUGUCUGCUUGUUCUUCAUAUAUAGGCCAAUCCAGUUCUGAUUGCAUCUAGAGUAGAAGCUCAUGGGCUAUAGUAUGUACAUGUUUAGACGUGUUUGUUUGUGUUUUGUUUAUUUCACGAAGAUAACUUUUAAAGGCAGCUGUAAAUAAAAGGCCAACUUUCGAAAAUCCGAAGAGAAGCUUUGCGUUGACUUUUAAUUGAAUGUAAUGUGUACAAUACAUGUAGUAGGUACCCACCGUUACAGAUACAUGCUUUUUGCUUUUGAUACAAACACAUCUUUCACUUCUCAUCGCAAGCUAAUUUCAAAAGCUUCAGCAGAACAAAAUAGACCUCUUAGUCUUUGAAAUAAAAGGAUGUGCUACUAUAUAAUUACUACGUAUCUAGAAAAGUCAAAACGUCUUAAUUUGGAACCGAUGGAAUAUUAUUGCAGCAUCCAUGCUCCUACAUAGAAACUGCUCAUUUGAUUAGAACAAUGUAACUUAACCAAAUACUAUAUUCAAUUCCUAUCGUUUUCCAUUUGUGUCUAUGGGUGAAAAGACACUUGUAUUUAGCUGCUGCUUGGGCAAGAACCUUUUUAGAAAGGAGAAUAUAUUUAAUAUCUCAGUUUCUGCAUCAAUCAAUAUGUAUAGCUAUUCUUUAUUAUAAAUAGAACUAAAACGGUCUACGAAAUCUCAAAAACAAAAUUUUGCACCAUAAAAGAAAACAAAACAAAAGCCAAAAACCGAGUCUAUUGCUAAAACUCUAGCAGUGCCUUGCAAACAAUUCUAUCGCGACUAUCUCAAUGGUCUUGCAGUCCAUCUUCAUCAAAUAGCCAUCCUCCUUCUGUAACAGAGACUAGAACCUGGUCCGGUAAAUCCCGUGAAGAUAGCAUGCAAGUAUGAUGGUGCUACAACCUUGUCAAACACGAUGCCAUUUCAGGUUAACCAAAUCGCCCAACAAAUUGCGCCUGCACCCAUAAAAAUCUGAGAUUUCAGUUUCUUAAUUAUUCCAUCCAACCAGCCUGCACAAGAUCCUAAGUGUGUUUCCAAGCAACUUUGAUCCCCCAUCGUUUUUGUGUUUGCGCCGCCUUUUUAGAUCAAGGUAACUACAGUAAUCUUUGGUUGGUACAUGCUUCUUUUGUAGCAGCUAUAUAUAUAUAUAUAUAUAUAUAUAUAAAAGCAAAUAUGCUCAUGCGUUGUACUGGGAGAAAAAAAUAUUAUCACACAUAUCUGCAAUGGUCACAACAACUUAAUUUGUAUAGAUGCUAGUUUUUAUAUUGUGAUUGUUGCAGCAAUUGAACAGACUCAUUAAUUGAAACAACGAUGGCAAUGUUAGAUAUCUAUUUAUUUUUUACCCUUUCUAUAAAAUUUUAAAGCUAUACUUUACUUUAUGAUAAUCCUAGUAUCCAUAAUAUGACACUGUCUUAUUAAUUCUAUAUUGAAACAACCUUGAUAAUUUUUUUCUUUUGUUGUAAUGCACAAGAAUAUUUACUUGCAAAUGAUCACACCUUUACUUUUCGUACUAUGUGGUGGUCAAGUUCCAUGGGUUCUUUUGAGAAUCCAUAAAUUUUGUUAUAAUUUUAAUAUAUAUGUUAUUAAAGUCAGCAAGGGGUAAGUCAUCAUAGUGUCUCAAUUUUCAUAUGUUAGCCUUGUAGAGAGUUGCACUGGUAUACAUGGACAGCUUAGAUAUUUGCAUUAUGCAGAUAAUUUGGAGAAACAUUUUUUAUUAGGUUGAUGACAAACCAUUUAGUUUACGGUUUAAUUAGUUAGGACAUUCAUGCUAUAAUAAUAUAAUAUAACAAUAUAUCUGUCAAUAAAACUAACAUCUGAGUAAUAGAAAUAUUUAUUUAUUAGGAGCCAAAGUUAUAAAGAACUAUAAUACAAUAUUUAUUAUUUAUCUCUGUCUUUACAAGAAAAGGCAUGGUCACUUCAUCAGGAAAGAAAAAAUUAAAAAAAAAACACAAAAGGGAUAGAAAAGUCACGUAAUUCUGUAUUGAAUUGAAAGACAAACAUAAAGUGUUUCUUUUGUUGUAAGGCACAAGAAUAUUUAUUUGCAAAUGAUCAUAACCACUGCUGCAUGAUCGGGCAUUAGCUCCGGUCGGGAAGGGCCUGUUGCCCCGGUUCCCGAGCCGGUGCUGCCCUUCCGGGACUAAAGGCCCACCCUUUAACACCGGUUGGUGUUACCAACCGGUGUUAAAGGGUUUCUUUUUCUUUUUUUUUAGUUCACUUCUUCGGUUCUGUUUAUUGUUUAUAUAUAAUAUAUAAUAAUAGGUUUUUCAAUACAUGUUUUGCUGAUACAAUAAUAUAUUUAUAUUACACGCAUAUUAAGCAUAUAUAAAUGAAAAUUAUAGGCUAAGCUUAAUAGUUAAGCUUUGCCUAUAAUAAAAUGAAUAGACCACAUCAAAAAUUAAAUAGAUAUGUAAAAAGCUUUAUAUAUAUAUAGUUUUAUAUGUACAAAAUUCGUAACACAUAUAUACAUAGAGUUUGUUCUCCCAAUGUCUACAAACGAUACAAAUGAUCAUCGUUGUUUGGUAUAAGAGUUUCGUUGCCGUUGAAGUGAAACUCGCCGUUUGGAUUGAUCACUUGGUCGCGGAGAAAUCGUGCUAUCGUCUCUUGGAUAGCUUUGAUUCGGUCUUGUUGUAGGACCUUUUCCCUCAGCCAUUCCGUCUUUAAUUUGAAAUAAAUAAAAAAGGUAUUAGUUAUCUAAGUUAUUCAAUAUAAUUCAGGAGAUAAUGAAAAGAGACAUGUAACGUACUCUGAGCGUCUCUGUGGGUGUUUGAUUGACUUGUGCCAUCAUGAAUUUGCACACGUAAUAUGCACAUAGAUUGUUCCCUCCUUCUUGUCUUAAACACCACUGUACGAUGUAUAUAUAUAUAAAAAUAUUCAUAACCACGACAAUAAGAAGGCUAAAAGUUAGCGAAAGUUUGUUAGCUAGUAGAACUUACUUGUGGAUGUAUUAUGUUAAGCGGCGCUNNNNNNNNNNNNNNNNNNNNNNNNNNNNNNNNNNNNNNNNNNNNNNNNNNNNNNNNNNNNNNNNNNNNNNNNNNNNNNNNNNNNNNNNNNNNNNNNNNNNNNNNNNNNNNNNNNNNNNNNNNNNNNNNNNNNNNNNNNNNNNNNNNNNNNNNNNNNNNNNNNNNNNNNNNNNNNNNNNNNNNNNNNNNNNNNNNNNNNNNNNNNNNNNNNNNNNNNNNNNNNNNNNNNNNNNNNNNNNNNNNNNNNNNNNNNNNNNNNNNNNNNNNNNNNNNNNNNNNNNNNNNNNNNNNNNNNNNNNNNNNNNNNNNNNNNNNNNNNNNNNNNNNNNNNNNNNNNNNNNNNNNNNNNNNNNNNNNNNNNNNNNNNNNNNNNNNNNNNNNNNNNNNNNNNNNNNNNNNNNNNNNNNNNNNNNNNNNNNNNNNNNNNNNNNNNNNNNNNNNNNNNNNNNNNNNNNNNNNNNNNNNNNNNNNNNNNNNNNNNNNNNNNNNNNNNNNNNNNNNNNNNNNNNNNNNNNNNNNNNNNNNNNNNNNNNNNNNNNNNNNNNNNNNNNNNNNNNNNNNNNNNNNNNNNNNNNNNNNNNNNNNNNNNNNNNNNNNNNNNNNNNNNNNNNNNNNNNNNNNNNNNNNNNNNNNNNNNNNNNNNNNNNNNNNNNNNNNNNNNNNNNNNNNNNNNNNNNNNNNNNNNNNNNNNNNNNNNNNNNNNNNNNNNNNNNNNNNNNNNNNNNNNNNNNNNNNNNNNNNNNNNNNNNNNNNNNNNNNNNNNNNNNNNNNNNNNNNNNNNNNNNNNNNNNNNNNNNNNNNNNNNNNNNNNNNNNNNNNNNNNNNNNNNNNNNNNNNNNNNNNNNNNNNNNNNNNNNNNNNNNNNNNNNNNNNNNNNNNNNNNNNNNNNNNNNNNNNNNNNNNNNNNNNNNNNNNNNNNNNNNNNNNNNNNNNNNNNNNNNNNNNNNNNNNNNNNNNNNNNNNNNNNNNNNNNNNNNNNNNNNNNNNNNNNNNNNNNNNNNNNNNNNNNNNNNNNNNNNNNNNNNNNNNNNNNNNNNNNNNNNNNNNNNNNNNNNNNNNNNNNNNNNNNNNNNNNNNNNNNNNNNNNNNNNNNNNNNNNNNNNNNNNNNNNNNNNNNNNNNNNNNNNNNNNNNNNNNNNNNNNNNNNNNNNNNNNNNNNNNNNNNNNNNNNNNNNNNNNNNNNNNNNNNNNNNNNNNNNNNNNNNNNNNNNNNNNNNNNNNNNNNNNNNNNNNNNNNNNNNNNNNNNNNNNNNNNNNNNNNNNNNNNNNNNNNNNNNNNNNNNNNNNNNNNNNNNNNNNNNNNNNNNNNNNNNNNNNNNNNNNNNNNNNNNNNNNNNNNNNNNNNNNNNNNNNNNNNNNNNNNNNNNNNNNNNNNNNNNNNNNNNNNNNNNNNNNNNNNNNNNNNNNNNNNNNNNNNNNNNNNNNNNNNNNNNNNNNNNNNNNNNNNNNNNNNNNNNNNNNNNNNNNNNNNNNNNNNNNNNNNNNNNNNNNNNNNNNNNNNNNNNNNNNNNNNNNNNNNNNNNNNNNNNNNNNNNNNNNNNNNNNNNNNNNNNNNNNNNNNNNNNNNNNNNNNNNNNNNNNNNNNNNNNNNNNNNNNNNNNNNNNNNNNNNNNNNNNNNNNNNNNNNNNNNNNNNNNNNNNNNNNNNNNNNNNNNNNNNNNNNNNNNNNNNNNNNNNNNNNNNNNNNNNNNNNNNNNNNNNNNNNNNNNNNNNNNNNNNNNNNNNNNNNNNNNNNNNNNNNNNNNNNNNNNNNNNNNNNNNNNNNNNNNNNNNNNNNNNNNNNNNNNNNNNNNNNNNNNNNNNNNNNNNNNNNNNNNNNNNNNNNNNNNNNNNNNNNNNNNNNNNNNNNNNNNNNNNNNNNNNNNNNNNNNNNNNNNNNNNNNNNNNNNNNNNNNNNNNNNNNNNNNNNNNNNNNNNNNNNNNNNNNNNNNNNNNNNNNNNNNNNNNNNNNNNNNNNNNNNNNNNNNNNNNNNNNNNNNNNNNNNNNNNNNNNNNNNNNNNNNNNNNNNNNNCAUCCCAUCUGGUACAUGCAGCUCACAGGUAGUAAAAGCCUCUGUGACAUCAUCCACGGGGAAGUGUAGCUUCGUGUCAUCCUGAAUGGUUGGUACUUCCGUGGAUGCGCAGCUGCUUUUCAACUGGCCUGGGGGGCUAACAUUGACCUCAGGCUGUGAUGUACCUUGCCCUUUCGUCAUUUGACUAAGUGCUGCUUGCACUUGCCUUUGAAUCUCUGCCUGCAUCCAUUCUUCACGAGCUUUCUCGCGCUCUUGUGACUGCAGAACAAAAGCUUCCAGGCGGCGGAUCCGCUCUGCCUCCUCAUCCUUCUUUCUCUGGCGGCUUCUGUAGGUAUCUUGAUCGGCUUGGAAUGAUUGCAGCCACGGAACUGCCCCAUAGCCUCUCGUACGCCCACCGUGCUCAGGAUUUUCAAGCGCAUAGGUGAGUUCAUCCUUCUCCCUGUUAGGCCUGAACUCACCAGACUGAACCGCCUCACGUGCACGGACUAGUCUCUCUGCUGCUCUAGAGAUUUCUUGGCCCCAAACUAGCGCCCCGGUGUCUGGGUCCACGCUUCCCCCAUGACCGUAGAACCAAUGCUUGGAGCGCUCGCUCCAAUUCUUUGCUAUUGUCUCGGGUGUGACCCCCCUAGCAAGCAUCUCCUGUUCCAUUCAGUCCCACUUGGGAGCAGCACUCUUAUAACCACCUGAUCCCAUAUGAUGGUGGUAUGCCUUUUUACUGGCAUUCUCUUUGUUUCUAUUGGCUCGUUCCUCGCCCUCUUCUGAUGUUUUGUACUGCACAAAGUCAUCCCAGAAGGCCCUCAGCUUUACAUAUUGCUUGAGGUUGAAAUCUGGAGUCUCGUUUUUCUUGACAUAUUUAUUGUACAAAGACUUCUUCCAAUUCUGGAAGAGUACUGCCAUCUUCUUCAUAGUCCAGUCAUAAAUUCGCACCUUCAACUCUUCAUCGUUGGUGUCGAAGGUGAAAACGUCUGUGACGGCUUUCCAAACUAACUCCUUGUCACGAUCAGAGACAAAACUGAUCUCAGGAGCACCUCGCUUCUCUCUCCAUUCACGACAACUGAUCGGUAUUUGAUCUCUCACAAGAUAUCCACAGUGAUUAACAUAUUUAUUUGCAUGCUCACCAAGUGGUCUGCCUGUAGCUAUCUCAAACUCAGAGAUUACAUAGCGGCCCUCCAACGGCUUCUUUGGUCCUCGUGGAGGUACGCUUCUCCCCGUAGAGGUCGAUCCAGAAGGCUACACGUACAUAUAGAAACAAAAAUACUAAAUUAAUAACCAAGUAAUAAGUCUAAAACCUAAUGUAAGAGAUGCAUUAUUUAUAUAUGUUUACAUUUACAUACCUCGCCAGUAUUUUCUUCUUGUUGCACGACAAGUUGUUGCUCAGGGGCAUUGCCCUCUUGUUGCUCAGGGGCAUUGCCCUCUUGUUGCUCAGUACGAUUGCCUUGCAUGAUGUCGUGGUAAUCAACAAAGUACUGACUACCGUCGUCGAUCAUAUUUUGAAUGGCAGCUUCCAUAUAAUCAGGAUCAUCAUGAGGACGGUCAGCCAUUUCUAUGUCUGCAACCAUACAUAUAUAUAUUCUAUAUAAGAUAAGAAAUACACUAAUACUACUACAAAUGAAAGUGUUGGAGUGCUCUAAAAAUAAUACUAGGAUCUUUUAAGCCAAGUAAUACAUUAAUAAGAAAUACACUACAAUUCAUAAUACACUACAAUUCAAAACACUACAAUUCAUAAUAUACUAGAAUAACAUACUAAAAAGUCUUUUAAGCCAAGUAAUAUACUAGAAUAAUAUACUAAAAUAUAAUACUAAAAAAUAAUACUAUAAUAAUAGUAUAAACUAAUAGUAUAUGUUUUAAGCCAAGUAAUACACUUGCACAUAGAAUAAUGUACUAAAAAAUUCAUACUACUACAAAUUGAUACAAGAAUAAUAUAAGUGCAUAUAUAUACAUAAUAAGAAAUACACUAGAAUAAUAGAAGUGCUAGAGUGCUCCAAACUAAAAAGUAAUACUAAAAAAAUAAUACAGACAAUAACACUAGAAUAAUAUACUAGCACACAAUAUAUUUCAUAAUAAUUCAAAACACUAGCACAAAAUAUAUUUCAUAACAAUUCAAAACACUACAAUUCAUAAUAUACUAGAAUAACAUACUACAAAGUCUUUUAAGCCAAGUAAUAUACUAGAAUAAUAUACUAAAAUAUAAUACUAAAAAAUAAUACUAAAAUAAUAGUAUAUAAACUAAUACACACUUGCACAUAGAAUAAUGUACUAAAAAAUUAAUAAUACUACAAAAUGAUACAAGAAUAAUAUAAGUGCAUAUAUAUACAUAAUAAUACAAAAUAAUAGUAUAUAAACUAUUCGGUAUGAAAUAUAAGUGCAUAUAUAAUGAUACAAAAUAAUAGUACAUAAUUAAGUGCANNNNNNNNNNNNNNNNNNNNNNNNNNNNNNNNNNNNNNNNNNNNNNNNNNNNNNNNNNNNNNNNNNNNNNNNNNNNNNNNNNNNNNNNNNNNNNNNNNNNNNNNNNNNNNNNNNNNNNNNNNNNNNNNNNNNNNNNNNNNNNNNNNNNNNNNNNNNNNNNNNNNNNNNNNNNNNNNNNNNNNNNNNNNNNNNNNNNNNNNNNNNNNNNNNNNNNNNNNNNNNNNNNNNNNNNNNNNNNNNNNNNNNNNNNNNNNNNNNNNNNNNNNNNNNNNNNNNNNNNNNNNNNNNNNNNNNNNNNNNNNNNNNNNNNNNNNNNNNNNNNNNNNNNNNNNNNNNNNNNNNNNNNNNNNNNNNNNNNNNNNNNNNNNNNNNNNNNNNNNNNNNNNNNNNNNNNNNNNNNNNNNNNNNNNNNNNNNNNNNNNNNNNNNNNNNNNNNNNNNNNNNNNNNNNNNNNNNNNNNNNNNNNNNNNNNNNNNNNNNNNNNNNNNNNNNNNNNNNNNNNNNNNNNNNNNNNNNNNNNNNNNNNNNNNNNNNNNNNNNNNNNNNNNNNNNNNNNNNNNNNNNNNNNNNNNNNNNNNNNNNNNNNNNNNNNNNNNNNNNNNNNNNNNNNNNNNNNNNNNNNNNNNNNNNNNNNNNNNNNNNNNNNNNNNNNNNNNNNNNNNNNNNNNNNNNNNNNNNNNNNNNNNNNNNNNNNNNNNNNNNNNNNNNNNNNNNNNNNNNNNNNNNNNNNNNNNNNNNNNNNNNNNNNNNNNNNNNNNNNNNNNNNNNNNNNNNNNNNNNNNNNNNNNNNNNNNNNNNNNNNNNNNNNNNNNNNNNNNNNNNNNNNNNNNNNNNNNNNNNNNNNNNNNNNNNNNNNNNNNNNNNNNNNNNNNNNNNNNNNNNNNNNNNNNNNNNNNNNNNNNNNNNNNNNNNNNNNNNNNNNNNNNNNNNNNNNNNNNNNNNNNNNNNNNNNNNNNNNNNNNNNNNNNNNNNNNNNNNNNNNNNNNNNNNNNNNNNNNNNNNNNNNNNNNNNNNNNNNNNNNNNNNNNNNNNNNNNNNNNNNNNNNNNNNNNNNNNNNNNNNNNNNNNNNNNNNNNNNNNNNNNNNNNNNNNNNNNNNNNNNNNNNNNNNNNNNNNNNNNNNNNNNNNNNNNNNNNNNNNNNNNNNNNNNNNNNNNNNNNNNNNNNNNNNNNNNNNNNNNNNNNNNNNNNNNNNNNNNNNNNNNNNNNNNNNNNNNNNNNNNNNNNNNNNNNNNNNNNNNNNNNNNNNNNNNNNNNNNNNNNNNNNNNNNNNNNNNNNNNNNNNNNNNNNNNNNNNNNNNNNNNNNNNNNNNNNNNNNNNNNNNNNNNNNNNNNNNNNNNNNNNNNNNNNNNNNNNNNNNNNNNNNNNNNNNNNNNNNNNNNNNNNNNNNNNNNNNNNNNNNNNNNNNNNNNNNNNNNNNNNNNNNNNNNNNNNNNNNNNNNNNNNNNNNNNNNNNNNNNNNNNNNNNNNNNNNNNNNNNNNNNNNNNNNNNNNNNNNNNNNNNNNNNNNNNNNNNNNNNNNNNNNNNNNNNNNNNNNNNNNNNNNNNNNNNNNNNNNNNNNNNNNNNNNNNNNNNNNNNNNNNNNNNNNNNNNNNNNNNNNNNNNNNNNNNNNNNNNNNNNNNNNNNNNNNNNNNNNNNNNNNNNNNNNNNNNNNNNNNNNNNNNNNNNNNNNNNNNNNNNNNNNNNNNNNNNNNNNNNNNNNNNNNNNNNNNNNNNNNNNNNNNNNNNNNNNNNNNNNNNNNNNNNNNNNNNNNNNNNNNNNNNNNNNNNNNNNNNNNNNNNNNNNNNNNNNNNNNNNNNNNNNNNNNNNNNNNNNNNNNNNNNNNNNNNNNNNNNNNNNNNNNNNNNNNNNNNNNNNNNNNNNNNNNNNNNNNNNNNNNNNNNNNNNNNNNNNNNNNNNNNNNNNNNNNNNNNNNNNNNNNNNNNNNNNNNNNNNNNNNNNNNNNNNNNNNNNNNNNNNNNNNNNNNNNNNNNNNNNNNNNNNNNNNNNNNNNNNNNNNNNNNNNNNNNNNNNNNNNNNNNNNNNNNNNNNNNNNNNNNNNNNNNNNNNNNNNNNNNNNNNNNNNNNNNNNNNNNNNNNNNNNNNNNNNNNNNNNNNNNNNNNNNNNNNNNNNNNNNNNNNNNNNNNNNNNNNNNNNNNNNNNNNNNNNNNNNNNNNNNNNNNNNNNNNNNNNNNNNNNNNNNNNNNNNNNNNNNNNNNNNNNNNNNNNNNNNNNNNNNNNNNNNNNNNNNNNNNNNNNNNNNNNNNNNNNNNNNNNNNNNNNNNNNNNNNNNNNNNNNNNNNNNNNNNNNNNNNNNNNNNNNNNNNNNNNNNNNNNNNNNNNNNNNNNNNNNNNNNNNNNNNNNNNNNNNNNNNNNNNNNNNNNNNNNNNNNNNNNNNNNNNNNNNNNNNNNNNNNNNNNNNNNNNNNNNNNNNNNNNNNNNNNNNNNNNNNNNNNNNNNNNNNNNNNNNNNNNNNNNNNNNNNNNNNNNNNNNNNNNNNNNNNNNNNNNNNNNNNNNNNNNNNNNNNNNNNNNNNNNNNNNNNNNNNNNNNNNNNNNNNNNNNNNNNNNNNNNNNNNNNNNNNNNNNNNNNNNNNNNNNNNNNNNNNNNNNNNNNNNNNNNNNNNNNNNNNNNNNNNNNNNNNNNNNNNNNNNNNNNNNNNNNNNNNNNNNNNNNNNNNNNNNNNNNNNNNNNNNNNNNNNNNNNNNNNNNNNNNNNNNNNNNNNNNNNNNNNNNNNNNNNNNNNNNNNNNNNNNNNNNNNNNNNNNNNNNNNNNNNNNNNNNNNNNNNNNNNNNNNNNNNNNNNNNNNNNNNNNNNNNNNNNNNNNNNNNNNNNNNNNNNNNNNNNNNNNNNNNNNNNNNNNNNNNNNNNNNNNNNNNNNNNNNNNNNNNNNNNNNNNNNNNNNNNNNNNNNNNNNNNNNNNNNNNNNNNNNNNNNNNNNNNNNNNNNNNNNNNNNNNNNNNNNNNNNNNNNNNNNNNNNNNNNNNNNNNNNNNNNNNNNNNNNNNNNNNNNNNNNNNNNNNNNNNNNNNNNNNNNNNNNNNNNNNNNNNNNNNNNNNNNNNNNNNNNNNNNNNNNNNNNNNNNNNNNNNNNNNNNNNNNNNNNNNNNNNNNNNNNNNNNNNNNNNNNNNNNNNNNNNNNNNNNNNNNNNNNNNNNNNNNNNNNNNNNNNNNNNNNNNNNNNNNNNNNNNNNNNNNNNNNNNNNNNNNNNNNNNNNNNNNNNNNNNNNNNNNNNNNNNNNNNNNNNNNNNNNNNNNNNNNNNNNNNNNNNNNNNNNNNNNNNNNNNNNNNNNNNNNNNNNNNNNNNNNNNNNNNNNNNNNNNNNNNNNNNNNNNNNNNNNNNNNNNNNNNNNNNNNNNNNNNNNNNNNNNNNNNNNNNNNNNNNNNNNNNNNNNNNNNNNNNNNNNNNNNNNNNNNNNNNNNNNNNNNNNNNNNNNNNNNNNNNNNNNNNNNNNNNNNNNNNNNNNNNNNNNNNNNNNNNNNNNNNNNNNNNNNNNNNNNNNNNNNNNNNNNNNNNNNNNNNNNNNNNNNNNNNNNNNNNNNNNNNNNNNNNNNNNNNNNNNNNNNNNNNNNNNNNNNNNNNNNNNNNNNNNNNNNNNNNNNNNNNNNNNNNNNNNNNNNNNNNNNNNNNNNNNNNNNNNNNNNNNNNNNNNNNNNNNNACUUUGUAUCAAACUUUUUUCAUUUCAAGUCAUCAAAUGGGCUAUUUGACCAAGUUUGACCAAAGUCAAAGCAUUGGUUUUUACAAACACACCCUUUGACCGAACCCUAGAUUGUCCCAAAUGGAAAAGUCAUGAAUACAAAGUUUGCUACACUCAUCAAGUUCUACAUUUUGUCUAAUGGUCAUGUUUUUAUUUGAAAAAGUUUGAACCACUGAAUUUUGAAUUUUCAUAGAACUCAUAGCCACGCAGCGGUUUCGGAACCCUACAUGGUCUCGAAUGGAAAAGUCAUGAAUACCAAUAUUGUUCCACUCAUCAAAAUCUACAUUUCAUAUAUAGACCAUUUUUGCAUUUGACAAAGUUUUGGGAAGGUGUAGUUGAAAAUCCACAAUUGACACAUAUAGUUUCAUAUAGUUUGUGUGAGAACUUAGAAUUGGUGGGUAUUGUUAACUUAGAUUUUCUCAAAUGGAAAAGUUGUGUAUAUAAAAAGUUUAGAUCUUGAAGAUAUCUAACAACUUGGUAUUCAAAAUAUUUUCAUUUGAAGUAAUUUAGUUUGUCAUUUGACCAAGUUUGACCGAAACCCGUCUUGGAUUUUAUAGAAAUGUAACUAGAAUUGGCUCAAAAUUAUCCAAAUGGAAAAAUGGACAAUAUAUAAAAUAUAGAUUUUGAUGAUCUCUAACAACUUUGUAUUCAAACUUUUUUCAUUUCAAGUCAUCAAAUGGGCUAUUUGACCAAGUUUGACCAAAGUCAAAGCAUUGGUUUUUACAAACACACCCUUUGACCGAACCCUAGAUUGUCCCAAAUGGAACAGUCAAGCCGACACAACAGUGAACUUCUUCUUGACGUAUGACCCUUGGUUAUGAUCCUGCCGUAACCAUGGAGUAUCCUCAUUGUUUAACAAAAUGCUUGGGUCUUUGUUGACUAUGAAGGGCGGAAUUCGAUCAUCCCUUUCGUAAUCGCCUGACAUGUCUGACUUGUCCUCAAUUCCGACAAUGUUUCUUUUCCCAGAAAGGACAAUGUGGCGCUUUGGCUCAUUGAUGAUUGAGUGGUCAUCAUUUUUUCCUCUCUUUGGUUUCGUAGACAUAUCUUUGACAUAGAACACCUGACUCACGUCUGCAGCAAGGACGAAUGGUUCGUCUUUGAACCCACUAUUGUUAAGGUCCACGGUUGUCAUCCCAUACUCCUUGUCGACUGUUACCCCACCUCCGGUCAUCUUCACCCAUUGGCACCGGAACAAAGGAACUUUAAAAUUAGCUGCAUAGACUAGUUCCCAUAUGUCUUCUAUGCGUCCAUAAUAUGUUUGCCUGUUCCCAUUUGGAUCCGUGGCAUCCACGCGUACACCACUAUUUUGGUUGGUGCUCCUUUUAUCUUGGCCAACUGUGUAAAAUGUGUUACCAUUUAUCUCGUACCCUUUGUAUGUGAGGACAUGCCAUGAUGGUUGCCUGGCCAGCAAAUAAAGCUGCUCAUCAAUGUUUUCAUCACCUUGACAUUUUUUGCGCAACCAAUCGCCAAAAGUUUCCAUGUGCUGACGCAUUAUCCAAGCUUCAUUCUUCCCGGGCCACUGGGACCGUAGGUAAUCUUUGUGUACCUCAACAUAUGGUUCCACCAAUGAGGAGUUCUGGAGAACUGUGUAGUGUGCUUUAUUGAAGUAAUCGUUUCCCGUACCAAUAUAUGUUUUCUUCCCAAGUGUUCCCUUUCCGCUGAGUCUGCCCUCGUGUCGAGAUUCAGGAAUGCCAAUUGGGUCAAGGUCUGGAAUAAAGUCAACACAGAACUCUAUGACCUCCUCUGUUCCGUAGCCCUUGGCAAUGCUUCCUUCUGGCCGGGAACGACUAUGGACAUAUUUCUUUAGGACACCCAUGAAUCUCUCGAAGGGGAACAUGUUGUGUAGGAACACGGGACCGAGAAUACGAAUCUCUUUGACCAGAUGAACUAGGAGGUGUGUCAUGAUAUCGAAGAAGGAUGGAGGGAACACCAACUCAAAGCUGACGAGACAUUGAACGACAUCAUUCUGCAGAGUAGCUAGUUGCUCUGGAUUGAUUGCCUUCUGAGAAAUUGCAUUGAGGAAUGCACAUAGCUUUACGGUGGCUAGACGUACGUGUGGAGGUAGAAUUCCUCUUAAAACGACCGGCAGCAAUUGCGUCAUUAGAACGUGACAGUCAUGGGACUUCAAGUUCAGGAAUUUCUUCUCUGGCACAUUAAUUAUUCCCUUGAUAUUGGAGGAGAAUCCAGAUGGGACCUUGAUGCUGCUAAGACAUUCAAACAUGCUUUCCUUCUCUUCUUUGCUCAGAGUGUAGCUAGCAGGGCUUAAGUAAUGACGUCCAUCAUCUGUCUUUUCUGGAUGCAGGUUGUCUCGUUCUUUCAUGCGCUGCAAGUCUUGUCGUGCUUCAAGUGAAUCCUUAGACUUCCCGUAGACACCCAUGAUCCGAGAAAGGGUGGGNNNNNNNNNNNNNNNNNNNNNNNNNNNNNNNNNNNNNNNNNNNNNNNNNNNNNNNNNNNNNNNNNNNNNNNNNNNNNNNNNNNNNNNNNNNNNNNNNNNNNNNNNNNNNNNNNNNNNNNNNNNNNNNNNNNNNNNNNNNNNNNNNNNNNNNNNNNNNNNNNNNNNNNNNNNNNNNNNNNNNNNNNNNNNNNNNNNNNNNNNNNNNNNNNNNNNNNNNNNNNNNNNNNNNNNNNNNNNNNNNNNNNNNNNNNNNNNNNNNNNNNNNNNNNNNNNNNNNNNNNNNNNNNNNNNNNNNNNNNNNNNNNNNNNNNNNNNNNNNNNNNNNNNNNNNNNNNNNNNNNNNNNNNNNNNNNNNNNNNNNNNNNNNNNNNNNNNNNNNNNNNNNNNNNNNNNNNNNNNNNNNNNNNNNNNNNNNNNNNNNNNNNNNNNNNNNNNNNNNNNNNNNNNNNNNNNNNNNNNNNNNNNNNNNNNNNNNNNNNNNNNNNNNNNNNNNNNNNNNNNNNNNNNNNNNNNNNNNNNNNNNNNNNNNNNNNNNNNNNNNNNNNNNNNNNNNNNNNNNNNNNNNNNNNNNNNNNNNNNNNNNNNNNNNNNNNNNNNNNNNNNNNNNNNNNNNNNNNNNNNNNNNNNNNNNNNNNNNNNNNNNNNNNNNNNNNNNNNNNNNNNNNNNNNNNNNNNNNNNNNNNNNNNNNNNNNNNNNNNNNNNNNNNNNNNNNNNNNNNNNNNNNNNNNNNNNNNNNNNNNNNNNNNNNNNNNNNNNNNNNNNNNNNNNNNNNNNNNNNNNNNNNNNNNNNNNNNNNNNNNNNNNNNNNNNNNNNNNNNNNNNNNNNNNNNNNNNNNNNNNNNNNNNNNNNNNNNNNNNNNNNNNNNNNNNNNNNNNNNNNNNNNNNNNNNNNNNNNNNNNNNNNNNNNNNNNNNNNNNNNNNNNNNNNNNNNNNNNNNNNNNNNNNNNNNNNNNNNNNNNNNNNNNNNNNNNNNNNNNNNNNNNNNNNNNNNNNNNNNNNNNNNNNNNNNNNNNNNNNNNNNNNNNNNNNNNNNNNNNNNNNNNNNNNNNNNNNNNNNNNNNNNNNNNNNNNNNNNNNNNNNNNNNNNNNNNNNNNNNNNNNNNNNNNNNNNNNNNNNNNNNNNNNNNNNNNNNNNNNNNNNNNNNNNNNNNNNNNNNNNNNNNNNNNNNNNNNNNNNNNNNNNNNNNNNNNNNNNNNNNNNNNNNNNNNNNNNNNNNNNNNNNNNNNNNNNNNNNNNNNNNNNNNNNNNNNNNNNNNNNNNNNNNNNNNNNNNNNNNNNNNNNNNNNNNNNNNNNNNNNNNNNNNNNNNNNNNNNNNNNNNNNNNNNNNNNNNNNNNNNNNNNNNNNNNNNNNNNNNNNNNNNNNNNNNNNNNNNNNNNNNNNNNNNNNNNNNNNNNNNNNNNNNNNNNNNNNNNNNNNNNNNNNNNNNNNNNNNNNNNNNNNNNNNNNNNNNNNNNNNNNNNNNNNNNNNNNNNNNNNNNNNNNNNNNNNNNNNNNNNNNNNNNNNNNNNNNNNNNNNNNNNNNNNNNNNNNNNNNNNNNNNNNNNNNNNNNNNNNNNNNNNNNNNNNNNNNNNNNNNNNNNNNNNNNNNNNNNNNNNNNNNNNNNNNNNNNNNNNNNNNNNNNNNNNNNNNNNNNNNNNNNNNNNNNNNNNNNNNNNNNNNNNNNNNNNNNNNNNNNNNNNNNNNNNNNNNNNNNNNNNNNNNNNNNNNNNNNNNNNNNNNNNNNNNNNNNNNNNNNNNNNNNNNNNNNNNNNNNNNNNNNNNNNNNNNNNNNNNNNNNNNNNNNNNNNNNNNNNNNNNNNNNNNNNNNNNNNNNNNNNNNNNNNNNNNNNNNNNNNNNNNNNNNNNNNNNNNNNNNNNNNNNNNNNNNNNNNNNNNNNNNNNNNNNNNNNNNNNNNNNNNNNNNNNNNNNNNNNNNNNNNNNNNNNNNNNNNNNNNNNNNNNNNNNNNNNNNNNNNNNNNNNNNNNNNNNNNNNNNNNNNNNNNNNNNNNNNNNNNNNNNNNNNNNNNNNNNNNNNNNNNNNNNNNNNNNNNNNNNNNNNNNNNNNNNNNNNNNNNNNNNNNNNNNNNNNNNNNNNNNNNNNNNNNNNNNNNNNNNNNNNNNNNNNNNNNNNNNNNNNNNNNNNNNNNNNNNNNNNNNNNNNNNNNNNNNNNNNNNNNNNNNNNNNNNNNNNNNNNNNNNNNNNNNNNNNNNNNNNNNNNNNNNNNNNNNNNNNNNNNNNNNNNNNNNNNNNNNNNNNNNNNNNNNNNNNNNNNNNNNNNNNNNNNNNNNNNNNNNNNNNNNNNNNNNNNNNNNNNNNNNNNNNNNNNNNNNNNNNNNNNNNNNNNNNNNNNNNNNNNNNNNNNNNNNNNNNNNNNNNNNNNNNNNNNNNNNNNNNNNNNNNNNNNNNNNNNNNNNNNNNNNNNNNNNNNNNNNNNNNNNNNNNNNNNNNNNNNNNNNNNNNNNNNNNNNNNNNNNNNNNNNNNNNNNNNNNNNNNNNNNNNNNNNNNNNNNNNNNNNNNNNNNNNNNNNNNNNNNNNNNNNNNNNNNNNNNNNNNNNNNNNNNNNNNNNNNNNNNNNNNNNNNNNNNNNNNNNNNNNNNNNNNNNNNNNNNNNNNNNNNNNNNNNNNNNNNNNNNNNNNNNNNNNNNNNNNNNNNNNNNNNNNNNNNNNNNNNNNNNNNNNNNNNNNNNNNNNNNNNNNNNNNNNNNNNNNNNNNNNNNNNNNNNNNNNNNNNNNNNNNNNNNNNNNNNNNNNNNNNNNNNNNNNNNNNNNNNNNNNNNNNNNNNNNNNNNNNNNNNNNNNNNNNNNNNNNNNNNNNNNNNNNNNNNNNNNNNNNNNNNNNNNNNNNNNNNNNNNNNNNNNNNNNNNNNNNNNNNNNNNNNNNNNNNNNNNNNNNNNNNNNNNNNNNNNNNNNNNNNNNNNNNNNNNNNNNNNNNNNNNNNNNNNNNNNNNNNNNNNNNNNNNNNNNNNNNNNNNNNNNNNNNNNNNNNNNNNNNNNNNNNNNNNNNNNNNNNNNNNNNNNNNNNNNNNNNNNNNNNNNNNNNNNNNNNNNNNNNNNNNNNNNNNNNNNNNNNNNNNNNNNNNNNNNNNNNNNNNNNNNNNNNNNNNNNNNNNNNNNNNNNNNNNNNNNNNNNNNNNNNNNNNNNNNNNNNNNNNNNNNNNNNNNNNNNNNNNNNNNNNNNNNNNNNNNNNNNNNNNNNNNNNNNNNNNNNNNNNNNNNNNNNNNNNNNNNNNNNNNNNNNNNNNNNNNNNNNNNNNNNNNNNNNNNNNNNNNNNNNNNNNNNNNNNNNNNNNNNNNNNNNNNNNNNNNNNNNNNNNNNNNNNNNNNNNNNNNNNNUUUGGCCAUUUGGGCAUCGACCAAUGCCUCAUUCUGUAGUAGUGAACUUAACUUUUUAUACUAUCUAUGUGUUGGUUAAGUUUCGUGGCUUUUUUUGAAAAUCUAAUAAAAUUAUGUAUAUUUCUACUUAAUGAAAAAUGUACCUUUUCACAUGGUCAGUCUUGUAGAGAGUUAUACUUGUAUGUGCGGAGAACUUAGAGAUUUGAACGUGGGAAUAGCUUGGAGAAAUAUUUAUUUUGAUUAGAUUGAUGACAACCUGCAGUUUGAUCAGUUAGGCCAUUCAUGUAGUAGUAGUAUUAGUAGUAGUAGUAAUUUAAUCCUAAUUAAAACUAACAACCUAGUAAUAGAAAAAUAUGUAUUAGGAAUAUUUUUUAUUAAGUAAUAAUAAGAAUUAAAGUUUUAAAGAACUACAAUGUUGUAUUUAUUAUUCAUCUUUAUUCAUAUAAGAAAAGAUAUAGUUACUUCAAAGAGAAAAAAAGUCAAAGACACCACCAAAGGGGGGGGGCGACCCUUUUAGACCCAGGUAUGCAGCACCUAUGAGCCACAGAAAAAAAUAAAGACUUAGGUAAUCAUGCUGAACUCAGACAUAACAUUGGUGAUUGGCUGCACGAAAAAAUUUUAUAAGCUCCCUGCUGGCAUGUGGUGCACGCUUUCCCGAGAAGAAACUUCAUCUACGUACUAAUCAUUCAACGCACCUUAACACAUAGGUAGAUAUAUAUAUAGCUAUAGAUAAUUGUAAAUAUUUGCUGCGUUGUCGGCCCUUAUAAUUAAUGAUUGGCUUAAACUAGACGCCAGUUGAAGACAAAGAAACCCCAGAUUAUAAAGCAUGAUUGGUAAAAAUCAAGCAUAAAGUAAACGUUUCCAGCGUGUAUAUAUAAAGAUAUAUACACACAACAAAUGCGUGGGGCAUAAGAGGCCGAUGCACAACACCAGCUAGUAUAUGGUGUACAGGAGUAGUAGCCAACUAGCUCUUACCCUCCACAGGCCAAAUAUGCAUUAAGGUUGCUUACAAAAUCUUUUAAAGGUAUUCCAUCGACAAAUAUGAUGACUUUAAUUCGCAUAAAAAAAAGGAUGACUUUUGAUGUUCAAAUAGUUCUUAGAAAUGUAAGGAUUUCCCCCAAUUUCUGACUAUGUUCAUUCGUUCAAGAAUUUGUUUACUCGAUGUCAUUCCUUUUAACCUCUUAUUUUUAUAAAAAUAUUUAGGAAAAAUAAUAUAUAUAUAGAUAUAUAUAUAUGUAUAUAUAUAUAUACUUUUAUGAAAGUAUUUUCAAGACAAAUCUAUUUAUAUAAUUUUUAGAUUUUCAAACUCAACAAUUUAAAAAUUAUUAAUGAUUUAUAUUCUCAAUGUUUGUCAAAUCUGUCCAAAACGACUUCUAAAUCCUAUACGGAGGGAGUAGCGCCAAUUAUGAGCUCAGCUUCUUGCUUCAAAGGGACAUGAAAAUCUUUUUCCUCCCUAUUGAUUUGUCCUAAAAUUCAUACCCUACCCCAGCGGCCGGCACCAUUGGGCCAUCGCCGCUUCAAGCAAAUUACCAUUGUGUGACAUGAAAUAUCUCUGGUGAUCUUAUAAUAAGGAUGCGUCAAUAUAAUACACUAAAAAAUGCUUCUUCAUUUCUCCCAGCACACGACCGCCCGGUUAUCCCUGGAGCGUCGGUUCUGGAUCGAAGGGCCAGCAUGGUUUCGCUCAAAGUCACCAUGCAUUGCCACAUAAAGUGGAAACAAGCAGCAAGCAAGGUAGAGAGGCUCAACUUCCAUCGAAAAAAAGGGUAAGAGAGGCUCAACUCUCACUCCUCGAUCCUCGUUGUGCUUCCAAACAUUCUUACAUCGAUCGGCGUAAUAAUAAGCAAAAGAAGAAGCUUUGGCAGAUAGUACUAUAAUUGCAUAGAACGUAGAGCCAUUGAUGUGCCCGUAAUUGGGCGCCUGUUUUCUCGUGGCGGUGCCGACCCAUCAUUGAUCAUACUCCAUAAACAAAGCAUGCAUGGUUGGUGACUAACCGUAUCAAGUACUACUCCUAGUAGUUAACGCCUUGUUUAGUUCACCCAAAAAUCAAAAACUUUUCAAAAUUCUCCGUCACAUCAAAUCUUAAGGCACAUACAUGAAGCAUUAGAUAUAGACGAAAACAAAAAUUAAUUACACAGUUUGCCUAUAAAUCACGAGAUGAAUCUUUUGAGCCUAGUUAGUCAAUAAUUAGAUAAUGUUUGUCAAAUAAAAACGAAAAUACUACGGUAUCGAAAUUCAAAUUUUUUUCAAAACUAAACAAGGCCAAAACUUUAUAAGAUUCCCCGUCACAUCGAAUCUUACGGCACAUGCAUGAAGUAUUAAAUAUAGAUAAAAAGAAUAACUAAUUGCACAGUUUACUUGUAAAUCACGAGAUGAAUCUUUUAAGCUUAGUUACUCUAUAAUUAGAUAAUGUUUGUCAAAUAAAAACAAAAAAUGCUACAGUGUCAAAAUUCCAAAAUUUUUUUGCAUCUAAACAAGGCCUUAAGUAUACUAGUACUAUAUAGGAAUUCGUGGCGCCGUACGCUGCUGCGAGCAAAAUCUUUGUCGGGCAAGGGUUCUUUUCGUCCAAAGGGGAACCCAUCUUUUCCUGCUUCGGCUUCGUUGAAACCAUCCUUAUACAUGCAUGCAUCGAUGAUCAAUCUACAGCCUACUACAUACACUCCGGCCCCGCUGAGCUUGUUUAAUCUCUCAUAUAUAUACUCCAAUAUAUAUAAAUUCACUAUGAUGACCGCCCUAUCGAGGAGGGAAUCUUGAGCUGCUGAAGCGCUUUUCCUUUGGUUUUGUCAUGUUUCUUCAAGCUAUAUUCUCCUCCCCGGACGGAGACGAGCUGGGCCGCCCGGCCGGCCAGGUACCUUGGCUCGCUCCUACGUCAGUCGUCACUCACUCAGUCACUCACACGUCACAAUCCAAGCGCAGGAAUCUCGAAUACAGGAAUUGAAGGUGGGGUUGCUACUCCAGCGCUACACCGGACAUAUAGUCUCGACACUACUUCAGGUUUAUUAGAAGUUAUAGGAUCCUCUACUAGCCUCGAGCUAUAUAUAUAUAUAAGGACAGGGACUGUAUAUAUACUGGCAUCUAUCUGGAGCUAGAUAAUUGUUGCUCAACAAAUCAUCCCUGUGGGUCCAUUCCUGCUGGGUAUGCUGGAACUGAUAGUGAUCCAAGUUUACUUGCACCUAAGGCUUGAUACAUUUUGUAAAACUUCCUUCCACUUAAAUUGCUUGCUUGAAUCCACUCUUGUUCAAGCUAAGGAUUGUGUUCGCCCCUAUACACUAGCAUAGAAAAGCUCUCUAUGCAGGCAGUGGGGGUCUAAUUUACACUACUACAAUAUUUUUAACCAAGGUGGGCAAAUUAGGUAACCGUGGCGGGCAAGCCAACCGUCUCGGAUCAAAGGUCACAGUUAAUCGUGGCCUUAAUCGAGGCGGUUGGUCAACCAGACCGUCUUGGUUAAUAUAUUAACCUAAGUGGUUUUGCUAAGAUGCCCGCCUCGGUUAAUACGUUAACCGAGGCAGUCUUUUUUAUUUUCUCGUCUCCUUUAAGUGUAUCCAGAUUAAAAAAACUUUUUUAAUUUAUUUUUGAAUUCGAAACCGAAAUUUGUUAGAUUGAAACAUAUACAAAGCAAAUACAUACGUACAAAGGAUAACCACAUAUAUUACAUCCAUUCAUAUAUCGUCUUUAUCAUUAAACGGUACAUGUCACACACUAAGUUCAUAUUACAUGAAUGUACACAAUGUUCAUAAAAAGCACAUCUAAAUAAUGUUCACUAAAAAAUAUCCGGCAACUUAUAGUUGUUCAUAUCUCAAUCGUUGGUUCUCCAGUUGCGUAGCUUUUUGAACUUCUUCUCUCUCACUAGCUCGCUCCUGGUAUAGAAGAACUGUCCGUCCACAUGACAACAUUGAUCCGUGACAAACUUACAAAUGUCAGCUACCGUGACUCUUUGAUGAAUCGUUUUCUUUUCCCACCAACUUUGGGAUUUCUGCAGUUGCCGCUAGCUAUUGUUGAAUUUCCCGCAAGCCCUGAGGUACUCACAAGCAUAGUACCAACACAGGACUGAGCCAUCAGGUUGCUUAGCGCACUGCAUGCGUGGGGUGUAAUUUAAGCUGUUUCAAUUAUCGAGCGCCAGUGUAAAGGAAACGGCCGCCCCGACUCUAGAAACGUCAACUGCCUGUGGAAAUCGAUUUCCACUCCUGUAAAAUUUGGAAAGAUCCAUUUCCACUAGUCCCUAACAAUGGCAGUUCUAAGAAACACUUGUAGAAAUAGCUUACAAGCCACCUGUACAAAGCUUCAUUGUACUAUGAUGUUUACAAGAUCACCAAUUGUCCACCUUCCCCCGUAUUUAGAAUAUAGACAUAUAAACACUCCUCGUGGAUCCUUGAACUCCUCAUUUGACAUUGCUGCCAACUUAUUAACACCUUUCUAUUGUCACCAAUGUUGGGUAUUCUUAACAUCAUUACCAAAAGUAGACUAAGUUUUCUAAAUCUAGUAACGGUGUCAAAAAUGCCAAACCUAUCCCUCACACCACUUAAGCCAAGUUGUCAUCCCCAGCAUGACAUGAGAGACGCGGUAUUGAAAUAUGAAAUUGCUCUUCUAAAUAAAUAAUGAAUGGGAUCUGCAAGCGCACAGAUUAAUACCGAUGUAGCAUUUUAACCGGGAAGUAUUCCAGGUAUCGUUAUUUAUAUUUUUACCACUGGGAAGGGAUUAGCAAUCAUCACUAUUGAUUACAGAAUAGAAUAUGAGAUUGAGCAUCUAUCAUUGCAUGUAUAAUUGAGAACAUUAUAUCUAACUCUUCAUACAGGGAUAAGUGUCACAUAAAAGAUAUAUGAAAUAAUAAUAGUGACAAGGAUAACUUAUCUGAUCUAGCCACAUAAUAAAUAUGAUAAGCACCUCAAUUAGAUACUCUAGAAAGUCAUUAGCAUGGUAUUAGAACGAACUACAAGAAUAUUCCCUAAGUUAUUCUCAACUAUAUAGUCUAGCAUUAUCAUAGUUAGUGCAAGCAUACUUAGCAAUCAUUGCGAGACAAGACUACGCCCAUGCAUAGUGAUAUUAGCAAGGAAUAUGAGAAACAUAGCAAUCACUCCCCUGUAAUAAUGUUGCUCUGCCAGCCCAAUACACGAGAGGAGGACUAUAUAAGAAUCAAUGAAGCUGUCACUAUCACGAACCACCCCACGAUCUGGCAUAUUGGGUACAAUCGCAGAUAAAUACGGUAUAAGCACCACGCCUACACAAUAUCUAUCAUUUACCCAUGGAUCUGAUGGAUAAACGCUAUACGAUCCUAAGCAUGUAUAUAGAUCGAAUCUAAUUAAGCCAAGUACAUAACUAUGAUAAACUAAGAACAAUAUAAUCUUGAAUAUAAGCAAGUAGAGCAAAGUCAUAAGCAAUAUAUUAAAGUAGAACAAAGUCAUAUUCAUAAUAUUGAAGAACAAAGAUAAUUAGAAAGUAAUUAGAAGCACAAUUAGAGAAUUACCAAGAAUCCGCCUGACAGAUCCGGAAACCAAUCGAAGAUUGACUCCUUCUAGUUCUAAUCCUAUGUAGCUAUGCUAAUCUAGAUAUCUAAUUGAUGUGGUGGCUCUAAUCUUGAUCAGAGGCUUCUUCUCCCUUGAUGGAACAAUGAAUUAGGGUUGAGAGGCUCUCUCCUCCAGGGGCCAGGGGGUCUGGUUUUAUAGUCCCUUCAAGUGAAUAUGGGCCCUUGGAUCAAACCGACAUAGAUUGUAUGGUUUAGAUUCAUCCUUUAGGUCGGUGGAAAUCUCUCGCGAAGCAGAGUCCUGAUUGGACUCAGGAGGUGGGCGGGCGCCCAGGGUCAGGCCCCGUUUCGCCUCCGCUUCGGUCUCGUGGCUUCUGGAGUCUUCUAGAUGUAAGAUUAUUGCGCGGCACGUUAAUAUCUUUACGUAAUCCCGACAUGUGGGCCUUUCUUCCAUAUUUCCUGAUAACCCCCUGCAGAAAUAGACAAACACCAAAACUCGUGGAAUUCUGUCAGAUAAAACCCUAAGUCUGGAUGUUGAUUUCAUUUGGAUCCUUUUCUUUAUUUAUUUGAUAAUUAAAUUUGAUACUUAAGGACCGUCAACAAACUCCCCCAAGCUUACCUCUUGCUCGUCCCUGAGCAAGGAUAGACUCAGCUAUGGAUCAUAAGUUGUUGCAAUUUCUUUAAAAAUUUGACGGUACACAUACUUUUAAAUAAGAUCUCAUCUCUGAGUUAGAGUAAACUGUCAAGACUUAAAACUUACUUACUUUACCUUCCACCAUGGGACUUGUAACCGUCACUUCCAUCUUGAGUGGUUAAAAGAUAGAACAGUCUAGCCAAGUGCCAUGUCUCUUAUUCUUGAUCAGCUGUAGCUCUAGAGUUUUUGCAGAUUUUCAAAUAAAACUCAGAGAUUCCUUGUAUGACUCUCUCAAAUCUCUCUUUUGUGGUAUUUCUGGAUCCUUACCAAGGCAGUGAUGGUAUAUUCCUUCUCUCAAUAUAUGUAGUAUUUGUGGUAUAAGGCAUAGUGACAUUGCCUUCUCUCUCACCCUACUCUAAUAAGGCUUUAAUAUCUGGAGCUCAUAGGUGGGAGAUAAAAUAUACAUACUUACAAGACAUUUAUUGCAUAGUCAAACCAUGGAUCCAAAGAAAUAAAUCAAUAAGCCAAAUCAAGAUGUGCAUGUGUGGCGAAUGAAUGAUGUAUGGUGGUGAUGGUGAUAACAAUGGUGAAAACAAUGGUGGUGGAAGUCUAAUUCUACUUUUGCUCUUUGAGGGGAUACAUACCUUCCUUGCUUUUCGAAACUUUAUGAGGAGAAUGAGAUGCUCUUCUUUUUCUUUUCUCUCAGGUGGGUAUCUCGUACCCCUAAUUCUACUGUCGGACACUUGUCCAUUUUUACCUCUCAUCUCACUUUUUCUUUUUCUUUUGAGGUUCCGAGCACUUGCUCCUUUUUAUUUCCUCGUAUCUUUUUUUUUCUUUUUUUUUCAGAGCAUUCAUCUCUUGAGAUAAUAUAGCAAGUGGUAGUAACAAGAUAACUUGAGCAUUUAUUUCACUAGGGAAAACAGAAAUAUUUUUGGUUAUUCUCUCCCAGAUUAGGAGUAGAAUAUUUUUGGGAGAUUCUGGAGAUGGAAAUGGAUGGAUAUAUGUGGAUGGUACUUCCGGAGUAGAAGUAGCAUAUAUGAGUGAACGUGCAAGUGAAAUCUUGAUUUAACCACAUGACAAGCUCCUAAGGGUCUACACACCUUGACCACACUCAAUGCUCAUAAGAAAUAAAAAGUAAAUGUGUGGCUCAAAGUCUAGCAAGCAUGUAUAUAUGGCUUUGGUAGGAAUUUAAACUCUCAUCAUACUGAAACUCAUCAUGCAACAUUUUGAAACUUUUCAAAGAUAAAAUUCUCUAGAAUUCUAGCAUCUCUAGGAACAGAUAAACAGCAGCUCAACCUUCCCAUAUCAUAUCCGUUAACAACUUAGACUUCAGAUCAAGUUUUGAUCCCACAAGUUUAGGUGUAGAGCAAGCUUUAAAUUAUAACAGUUAUAUCUAAACUUGAGAGAGAACUUAAAAUGUGCAAAUUAGGCAGAGCAACUAUUCAUCAUAUCCAUGCUUAAGUUUUAUUUAGAUACAGAUUAGCAUAGCCACUUUAUUUAUUUAUUAAACACACUAAGCAAAAGAUAAAUAAGCACGAAAUCUUUAUUUGGUUUUUCCUAGUUUAUGUAUUUUAAUAUUCUAAUAUAAUAUAAGUAUGAAGAUAGAUAGAAAUACUUAUCGGGAUAAAUAGGGGUGCUCUCCCCCAAGCUGAAUUUUGACGUAAUUUCUCUUGAUGUAGCUAGCAGGUGGCAGAUGUGUAUUUGAAAGUCAGCAGCAUUCUGACAGCGAUUAGAAUGUCCUCCGUCUGCUAGUCUUCUUGAUUCCUAAAUUCUGUGGAGCUCAAAUAGACAACAAAGCUUGUGGAACUGAUUAAGUGUUAGCAUAAAUAUCUAGCCUUUAUCAUGUUGAGACUCCUUAAUAAAUAUUACUCCCUGUUUUUAUAUUUUUAUUUUAUAAAGCAGAAAAAUAUAUAUUUAUUUUAUUUUUAUGCCACCACAGUGAAUGUACUUAUGGGUUUUAUGCCACUCGUCUACUCACAUGGGGCUUACUGUUUUUUCACAUUUUUAUUUUCUUUUUAGAAUAGCACGAACAUGAUUAACUAAGUAAACUAGUUGGAAUAAUUUGAAAUAAUUGAAAGGGAAAGGAUAACUACCAAGUUUACCUCUUGGCAAGGCGUUCGGUGUUUUUAAGUCCUCCGAACGGGACUCUCCAUUUUCUUAAUUGUCCUGAGGUUCGUUGGGUGGCGUAGUCGGUACUUCCGGCAGCGCCUCCUCUUCUUGUAUAGCUAUCUUCAUUUUCCAUACCUAACUCGGUGCUUCAAUCUCCUCUGGAUAAUUCUGUUUAAAUUCGACGUCUUCUGAUCUUACAACUUCUCCUUCAUAGUCUGCCCAUCCGUCCUUGAUGAUCUGCCUCCUCUGGUUGCUGUUGCGUCUCUUUCUGACCUGCUUAGAUUCUUCAACAAUAUAGUCAGGGUCAAUAAAAUAACGGCGUACCUUCUCUGAGGGGAAGUGCAUAUGGACUUCUCCGGUUCCAAUGUAGAUAAUUGCUUUAACGGUGCUGAGGAACGGUCUUCCAAGGAUGAUGGGUGGAUCAUACUCGUCUUCUCCCAUGUCAAUAACUUGAAAGUCUGUGUAGACAAAGUGAUCGUCUAUUUUGACUGGGACAUCAGUUACUAUUCCUUUAGCUUCUCGAAAUGUCUGAUCUGCCAUCUGGAGCUGAAUGUAUGUUGGUCUUAGUGGCAUGGUUCCGAACAAGAGCCGAUAGGUGACUGCGGCCAUUAUGUUGACGCCCGAUCCGGUGUCGCAAAUUGUCUUGUAGAAGCUGUAUCCAUGUAUAGAGCAGUAGAUGCUUGGCAUUCCUGGGUCAUCCUUCUUGGUCAAAAACGGUGACUUAAGUUGGUGAUCUUGACCUCCAUGAACUACAGUGACCAUCUUAGCUGACUUGGUCCACACUUGCUUGUUCCUGUUUCUCCUGUUGGUCCUUUUCCUUGAUUUACGUCUGGAUUGAUCUGGAAUUUGUGUAGUCUUGUUCUUGAAGAAAAAUGUCUCCUUCUUCCCUUUGACAUAGAAACUGAUCUUGGCAGCACUGGCGUAGAUGAUAGCUCCCGUGGUGUUCAAGAAUGGCCUCCCUAAGAUGAUGGAUGCUCUCUCAUCAUUUCCGGUCUCUACCACUACGAAGUCUGCUGGGGCAUAUAAGGUACCAACUCGGACACAAAGGUUCUUCACUAUUCCUUUUGGAAAAGUUAUCGUCUGAUCUGCAAACUGCAAACACAUGGUUGUCUCUAAUAAAGGAUAUGUAAAGAAUUUUUCAUAGAGUACCCUGGGUAUAAUGUUGACGCUGGAGCCAAAGUCACAGAGUGCUUCUGGAACGUCCACCAUGCCGAUGGAGAUCGGGAUGACGGGGCGUCCUGGAUCUCCUCUCUUGACCGGCAGAAGGUCAGUAGAGAAUUCAGUAAUGGGGUUACUCCAAUUACCUGCAUCAAACAUGUCUACAAGAUUUGCAGAUUCUAAUCCUUCCGGUUGUGAUGGUAUACCGGGGUUAGUAGUAGGAACAACAGCAGCUAUUUGAUUUAACUGAGAUUCAAUCAUUUUAUUAAAGCUAAUUUGAUUCUUGAUGGCAGUAGAGAAAUUAUCCAUUCUAUUAUUUAUAUUUUCUAGCAUUUUAUCAUUAGAUGCCAAUUUCUUAGAUAGGUUAUCCAUUAGCUUUCCUUGAUUAGACACUAACUCUCUCAAAGGUGGAAAAUUAUUAUUAUUGUUGUAAGAAUUGUUACCUUGAUAAUUACCUGAGUAGUUAGGCCUCUGUUGAUUCCAACCUUGAUUUUGUUGAGGACGGUUGUAGUAGUAGUUGUAGUUGUUGUUGAUGUAGUUCACAUCCUCAAGCAUCUCAGGGCAGUGGUUGCCUGAGUGUCCAGUGUCUCCACACUCCUCACAAGUCAUGUGAGAGUCGUAGAUGUGCAUAACUUCUUUCUUGUCUCCAGCUCUAUCGUCGAGCUUCUUCAUGAGCAGGUCUAGCUUUGCAGACAGCAUGUCUACCUCCUUCACCUGAUGCAUACCUCCACCUCACUUGCGUGUCUGGGUCCUCUCUUCAUUCCAGCUUUGAUUGGACGCCAUCUUCUCCACAAGAGCUGUGGCUUGUGGUAUAGUAAGUGAUAAGAAUGCUCCUCCAGCUGCAGCAUCCAUGGUCUCUCGGGCACUGUUGCCGAGCCCAUGAUAAAAUGUCUGCAUCAGUAGCCAACUCUCCGUUCCAUGAUGGGGACAUUCUAGGAUGUAGUCUUGAAAGCGCUCCCAUGCUUCUGGAACAGAUUCAUCAUUUUGUUGCUGAAAACUUGUAAUCUUCCCACGGAGAGCAUUGGUCUUGCCCAUGGGAAAGAACUUAGCCAGGAAGUUUGUUGAGCAGAGUGCCCACGUAGUAUUCUUCUCCUUUGUAGCGUAGAACCACUGCUUCGCUCUUCCUAACAGUGAGAAUGGGAAGAGGCGAAGUAGUAUAUCAUCUUUGGAAACUCCUGAUAUGGUGAAUGUGUUGCAAAUCUCCAGGAAGUGUUGUAAAUGAGCACUAGCAUCUUCGUGUGCCUUCCCACAGAACUGAUUGGAUUGCACCAUGUUGAUAAGUCCAGGCCUGAGCUCAAAGUUUCCAUCGAUCUCUGCAGCAGGUCCAGUGCGGAUGUUGUCCGUAGUGGGAGCUGAGAACUCGCGGAUCGAUUUGUUCGCCAUGGCUUCGAACUCUGAAGACAAGUUCCGGUGAUCUUCUUGAUUGGAUGAAGCUUCUUGCUGAAGUGUUGAUGAUUUCUUUAGCUUGGCUCUCGUCUUCUUGAAUAAUGCUUCGGGAUUGUCAACAAAAUUUCCUGGAAGAUGUCUUCUAUUCAUACAUUCCCCUGCAUAAGAUAAAAUAGAAAAAUAUCGGGGUAAAACUGUAUAAGAGAAUAGAUAAGCUCAAUCAUAUUAGUGAUGCGAAUGAUAACUCAAAAUCUUUUAUUCCAUUCCUUAUUAGUAAUCAACCUUCCCCGGCAACGGCGCCAAAAAUGCUUGUUGGGUAUUCUUAACAUCAUUACCAAAAGUAGACUAAGUUUUCUAAAUCUAGUAACGGUGCCAAAAAUGCCAAACUAUCCCUCACACCACUUAAGCCAAGUUAUCAUCCCCAGCAUGACAUGAGAGACACGGUAUUGAAAUAUACAAUUGCUCUUCUAAAUAAAUAAUGAAUGGGAUCUGCAAGCACACAGAUUAAUACCGAUGUAGCAUUUUAACCGGGAAGUAUUCCAAGUAUCGUUAUUUAUAUUUUUACCACUGGAAAGGGAUUAUCAAUCAUCACUAUUGAUUACAGAAUAGAAUAUGAGAUUGAGCAUCUAUCAUUGCAUGUAUAAUUGAGAACAUUAUAUCUAACUCUUCAUACAGGGAUAAGUGUCACAUAAAAGAUAUAUGAAAUAAUAAUAGUGACAAGGAUAACUAAUCUGAUCUAGCCACAUAAUAAAUAUGAUAAGCACCUCAAUUAGAUACUCUAGAAAGUCAUUAGCAUAGUAUUAGAACGAACUACAAGAAUAUUCCCUAAGUUAUUCUCAACUAUAUAGUCUAGCAUUAUCAUAGUUAGUGCAAGCAUACUUAGCAAUUAUUGCGAGACAAGACUACGCCCAUGCAUAGUGAUAUUAGCAAGGAAUAUGAGAAACAUAGCAAUCACUCCCCUGUAAUAAUGUUGCUCUGCCAGCCCAAUACACGAGAGGGGGACUAUAUAAGAAUCAAUGAAGCUGUCACUAUCACGAACCACCCCACGAUCUGGCAUAUUGGGUACAAUCACAGAUAAAUAUGGUAUAAGCACCACGCCUACACAAUAUCUAUCAUUUACCUAUGGAUCCGAUGGAUAAACGCUAUACGAUCCUAAGCAUGUAUAUAGAUCGAAUCUAACUAAGCCAAGUACAUAACUAUGAUAAACUAAGAACAAUAUGAUCUUGAAUAUAAGCAAGUAGAGCAAAGUCAUAAGCAAUAUAUUGAAGUAGAACAAAGUCAUAUUCAUAAUAUUGAAGAACAAAGAUAAUUAGAAAGUAAUUAGAAGCACAAUUAGAGAAUUACCAAGAAUCCUCCUGACAGAUCCGGAAACCAAUCGAAGAUUGACUCCUUCUAGUUCUAAUCCUUUGUAGCUAUGCUAAUCUAGAUAUCUAAUUGAUGUGGUGGCUCUAAUCUUGAUCAGAGGCUUCUUCUCCCUUGAUGGAACAAUGAAUUAGGGUUGAGAGGCUCUCUCCUCCAAGGGCCAGGGGGUCUGGUUUUAUAGUCCCUUCAAGUGGAUAUGGGCCCUUGGAUCAAACCGACAUAGAUUGUAUGGUUUAGAUUCAUCCUUUAGGUCGGUGGAAAUCUCCCGCGAAGCAGAGUCCUGAUUGGACUCAGGAGGUGGGCGGGCGCCCUGACCAACUGGGCGGGCGCCCAGGGUCAGGCCCCGUUUCGCCUCCGCUUCGGUCUCGUGGCUUCUGGAGUCUUCUAGAUGUAAGAUAAUUGCGCGGCACGUUAAUAUCUUUACGUAAUCCCGACAUGUGGGCCUUUCUUCCAUAUUUCCUGAUAACCCCCUGCAGAAAUAGAAAAACACCAAAACUCAUGGAAUUCUGUCAGAUAAAACCCUAAGUCUGGAUGUUGAUUUCAUUUGGAUCCUUGUCUUUAUUUAUUUGAUAAUUAAAUUUGAUACUUAAGGACCGUCAACAACCAAGACUUGAUCUCCUCCAACUUUAGCAUUAUAGGGGGAUAUGCUCCACUUACUGGUCGCUUGAUAUUGGAAUGUUUCUUUAUUGAAGAAGCAUUUUAUUAACUCAAGAUAAUUACAUCGAGAUAUUGACGCGGAUGGGGAGGUAGAGCAAAAGACACCUUCCCCAACUCAUUUGUGAAGAGGGAAAGAUAAGGAUGGGGGCUGAAUGGAAGGAGACCCGAGAACGUGGUGGUGUCAAGAGGUAGUGUGGUACUGUGUAACAAUGUGGAGAGCAAGUGUGCCACUAACCCUAUGCACACUGCCUUUACGUCUAGUAGCCAAGACCCAUGUUGGUUGCUUGUUUCUCAUGGAGCAAUAAUUUAUCUAUCACUUGUACAAAAACACUAAGCAAUAAUUUAUCUAUCACACAUAGAAAAUUAAAAAUUUUCUUGUGUGUCCCAUCGAUAUCGAUAGGAAAUUUCAUUUUUGUUCUCAGGUACUAUUGUUUUCUUGUGUGUUUUGUGAAAACUGAUAAGGAAAUUUUUCAUUUUCCUAUUGGUUUGGUUAUAACUAUGCAUUAAAAAAUCAUCGCCCAAAGGGAUAUUUCAGUUUCCAAUAGUUUACGACCUAUCUGUUUACGCAUGCUCUUUUUACUUGUCAUCAACUAAAGUAUGUCUAGGUCAUAGGUCAUGUGCUAAACUAGAGAGGUUGUAGAACUAGAUAGUGAUUUUUUGCUACUUGCCAAAGGAGUUUAGCAUAGGUACAAUAAAAAAAGAGGUGCCUAAUUGUUUCAUCUAUACAACAAAACACACAUGAUUUGUUCCCUCUCUAAUUCAUUCAUGCUAACUUAUCCUUGCUUAAAAUCACUCUUCAAGAACCACUAAAACAAUAUUUAAUUUCCAAAAGGUAUACUUAAAUGCUAGGUUUUCUGUGAGAUGAUGAUGCCCAUAUUGAUAAGUGUUUGUAAAUGGAAUUUAUUGUGAAUGAACCAUUGCUUUUCAAUUGACAAAAAAGUAUCCCUUUCAACUUGUAAACUAAUGUUUGCAAUUUAUUCUACAAGAUUAUUCCACUUUAACAACUUCCACCCUAUUAAUGCCCAUCUGAAUGAAACAUUAAGAGAAUAAAAUAGUAUUAAGAGGUGAAGCCAAUUUAGUUUGUUUUUGUCACACAAUAUGCUUUUUUUGGAUGUCUUCCCAACCAGGUGUCCUUUAGUAACCUAGUUUGAGAACCAUCAUCUAGUUAAAAUUUUUGUAACUUUAUGGAUUUUGCUUGGUUUAUAAAUUUCCUAGCUUUACGAAUUGGUACUUCACGUCAUUAAACUCAUCCAAAAAUAAGAACCACAAGCUCUUUUUGGAAAACCUUGUUAGGCAACCUACCUGUGGAUACAAAAAUGCCUACACAUGAGUUAUUCUCAAUAUGAGCCAUUGUCAAAUUGUGUCAACAUUCUUGCGGUCUGAACAUUCAGAUCGGAGCAACAUGCUAGCAAGCGCCCUCCACAUGUUGGUGAGUAGGCAUGAAUUGGCCCAGUAUAGCCUAGAGGCUCAUCAACGCAGCUGUUGGUAGCUCUCCCUCCCUCCGACAUCUCUCUCCCUCCCUCAUCUCCAACUCUCGCAGCUCACGCCCUCCCUCAUCUCAAUCUAUGAUGGGCAUAGAAGGAAGAGGAUCAUGGAAGGGAGGCCAACCAGGCAGUGAGGAUAGUGUAUGGGCGGUUAGGGGCCCUAGUGUUAGUGGAGGCGCAGCGGCUAGUCUAGGUCAGGGCGAGGGUGUCGCUACGGUGGUCAUCGCUGAGCAUGGCCAUGGAGGCAGUGGCGAGAGUGGGGGCAGGGAGGGGAAGGAGGAGGCCACGGUUGUGGAGCUCCAGUGAGACCCUACCUUGCCGUGGCUAGGCGGAGGGCAGUUGCAGAGCCAAGAGGAGAAAGAAAAACGAUAAUGAGGGGCGGGGGCGAGAGGUGGGAGAAAAAUAGUAAUAGCGACAGGUGGACCAUGUGCGAGGUGGGACACGAGGGAAGGGGUGGGCCGAGCGCGAUUGCCUACAAGCAUCUCUCAUCUCAUGGGCCCGUGUAUAACAUGCCCCAAAUUGUGUCGGAGGCCGUUGUGCUUGGAUAAUUAGUUCCAUAAUGUCGAGGAUGUCAAUAGGGGGUACCCCAGCCAGCGCUAGGAAUGUAAAGACCCACAAAUAAAUUUGAGGCUCAAGCUCGAUGCUCCGACAUAAAUAUGGGAUCACCAGGGCAUUGUAUCGACCAUAGCCUCGAACACAGAGACAAGGUUGUGCGAAUCGACAAGGGCUCGAUAUCAACAACCGUCGACUACGGAGAUAGCCUCGAGCGAAUCGAUAGGCCUCGAGCGCAAAAGCGCUCCCCCACUGCCUGUCUCGGGUACGGAAGCCAGGGCAUUUAAUGCGACUGCCAUGCUCCCACCUAACCUGACAGUCACAGGAAGCGCGAUAGGGGAACAAGAACCCGUCAAAAUCUUCACUUUUUCUAGCUUUAUCCCCAAGGUUGGAUAAAGGUACGACUCGGCACAGUGCUGCAAGUGUAAUAUCCCAUCGUGGCACCCCUUGAGACACACAAAGUCAACGCUCCCACGUGACAAGGCCGCCUGUGUCGUCCGACCCUCGAGCAGACACGUUCCUUCCCAGGAAAGGAUCGGGCAACGGAAGUCAGCGCUUCAACAACCCUAGACGUGACUACCGCCAUGACAUACAAGCGUGCUCGCGCCUAAGCCAAUACCAGACGAUGUACAGGAGAUGAAUUCAAGAAACGUACGCACCAUCAUCACCAAAGUACCCCGUAACAAGACGACUCAAGGCCACGCCGGUACGGAAGCCUCGAGUAGGCUGAUGCUAUACCCCUAUUGAGGCUUAUUCUAAUGCCUACACCCUGUAACCUAGGUCUCCCCUUGGAACUAUAAAAGGGGACACUCAGGACGACAUUUGGGAGGGGACACAACGCAUAGAACAUGAUUCUCAUACCACCUGCACCACCGGCUAGGACUUAGAACUCUUAACCACAUCCACUUGCAUAUACCCCUGUACAAGCACUUAGGUGCAAGAUAAUACAAAGUCUCCCCCUGCUGGACGUAGGGCCUUCUUUUGCCCAAACUAGGAUAAAUCUUUGUGUCACUCUUUUAUCACCAUCCGAAAAAGGGAGCACGCACACAAAUUCACUCGUUGGUGUCACCCCCAGGGUCAAAACACCGACAGUUAGCGCGCCAGGUAGGGGUCCUGCGUGUUACCGCCGAUUUCCCAUCUCUUUCUAGAUGGCCACUCAUGUCUCACCAAUCCCACGCUCCACGGUGAUCUGGUUUGGGAGUCUUGAGUUCAUGUCCACCGGCUUCGACUACGACAUGAUCCUGCUCUUAGUCAAAGGACCAGGAGGGGCUCGCAUCAUGCCCACGCGAUCAAAGGCCCCGCGACGGCCUCACCACCACGCAUCCCCAACCAAGAGGAGGCGUGAUCAGCAUCGCCACCGCCCCACCACUGCUGCACGAUCGCCGCCACGUAAGGAACAAGCAACGAUGGAGGGGCCCACAGCUCCACGCGCCGAGACCACAGUCACGACGGUCAGAUGACAGAGCGGCCACGCGACGGUCUCAGGGGGCAGCAUACCCCGCGCACCCUCGCUACCAUCCACAUUGCUACCACAUGGUCUGUUCGCCACAAGGUAGAUGCUCCCAUUCGGCUUGGACAACGCUGCGAUGUCGCUCGCUAGGACAAUAUGUCCAGGUGCCGGGACGUGCGUGGAGUGACCACUGGUCUUCUCGUGCAACACAAAGACGCAGCAGCAAACUCAGCAAGUGGUCGAGCAGUUAGGUUUUCCCUAGAUACGCAGUCCUCGACGCCUGGGACCUAGGCGAUACACCAUCACCACGCUCAGACAGUAGUUAGUGGAGGAGGGGCACGGAUGUUUCUACACCGCCGAGCCAGACCCCGACUCUGAAUACGACUGCUACGACCGUACAAGGGAGUGCUUCAACAUUGAUGGGGCCGUGGCUACCACGGAUGACACGAAGGACGUCACCGCCGGUGCUCGAGCUCCCGCCGCCAGAGAAGAUCCCAGGACACCUGAGAACGAUGGGUAGGCGGACCCACCGCCUCAGGACGACAAAGCUGCGCAACUUGCACAGCUACGAGAGCUCAAAGCUAAGCUAGACGAGGAUCGCGAGUGCCUCAGCUAGCUUGAGUGAGCCCUUGAGCGAGACCAACCGCACCCGCACGGCGAGGGCGCGCGUGGUCGUGCUCGGGAUGUGUACCAAUAGAUCAUCGAGGACGAGGAGCCUGAGCCGCUCGUAAGCCGUUUCCCUCGAGCUGGUCAAAACAUCAAGGCAGCAGCCAUGAUGCUAUGCAACAUGCCUAAGCCCUCAAACUCUUAGGCACGGCGCAUUCGAGAUGAGGUGCAAGGCCAGCUCCACAUGGCAGCAGCCCAGCAAGCUGAGAGGUCUGCUUCUCGACAUCGAGGGGCAGCCACAGAAAAGCGCCCUAAGCCAGCCUGAAAUGAGAGGGAGGUAUCGAUUCAUCAGGAGUCGCCACCUCGAGGCAAGAAAAUAGCGCCCGUCCAGGAGCGCCUCGUUGAAAAUCGAGGACAACAUGACGCUCGACGUGACAUCAAUGAGCAUUGACACCGCAGACACGGGGACACUGAGGAGCGGGGCCAUAAUAUCUCCUCGGUCCUAUGAAGCUUCGACGCUACCACGACAAGCACGUGCGCAAGAGAGACCUGAACGUGGGCGACCUCGUCCUACAUCGACGGCAAAGCAAUCAAGGACGCUACAAGCUGACUCCACCCUGGGAGGGCCCAUAUGUGGUGGCCGAGGUCUUGAAGCCAGGAACGUACAAGCUCGUGGACGAAAAAGGGGCGGUCUUCACCAACGCAUGGAAGAUCGAACAGCUACAUCGCUUCUACCCCUAGAGCUUCGAGGCUUUAUAUUUUCAUGCGCAUCUUGUAACAUCAAGGCCCUCUAAAUAUGUGAAUAAACGAAAGUACUUUUUCAAGUAAGGCGCAUUAUUACCAGUUAGAUCUCAACGUUAGGAGGAAGUCUCAACUAUGACCCAUCAUAGUCAACACUCCCUCGGGGGCUAGCAGGGGGGAACCCCCCCAUAGGCUCCUAAAAAUCGAACGAUUUUUCAAAAAGCUCAACGUUGUCUCUUCCCUUUCAAUCCCUAAGGAAACCCCGCACGAUCGAGUAGUAAAGGCGCCUCGAGCCCCUUAAGGGCCGAGGGACGUCGAGCCUGAGAACCCCUACGCCACCGGGCUAUGGUAACUCUACUCACUCCCUUAUCCUCGAGGCAAUCGAAGUCGUCCUAAUGAAAGAUCGAUUGAGGAACACGAACUUAGGCAGCAAAGGAAAUAAAGGAAACUCGAGCAUAAAAGUAAGAAGAAUAUAUAGAAACCACGAAUCUUAAGGCCACAUAGGCCACAAUGUUUAGUGCUAAGUAUAUUACAAUGGGUCUAAGUACCCAGAUUUGGCUUGUAGGCCUCAGUCUUCAUCUCUACCCUCACCACCGUCUUUCGUGCCCAUGCCGGUCUUGGGAGGGAGUACCUCUGGCUCGAACAGCUUCGCCAGCCUUUCGCCAGGAACCUCUGCAUCAUCGAUCAAGGCAUGGAGCCUCUCCUUGUUCUCAGCAUCGGUCUUGGAAAUAUCGGUGACGAAACCGUGGGACACUACCUCCAUAUCAUAGGAGAAGCCCGAGCAGACAACCACCAUAGCCCGCUUCCCCCCAGUGUGGAGUGCGUCCCGCACUCCGUCCCUCAAAGUGGCGCCAAGGUAGCACAACUGGUCGACCAGGGCUUCGCCUCAAGCCGCCUCCCCCGCCUCAUCUGCCGGCUCGAGCUCCCAGGAGCUCGAGAGGUCGUUGAUCGCCGUCCUUAGUCGACCAGUCAAGGCAACCUCCCCCUCGAGCCGAGACUUAAAAGACUGGGCAUCAACCUAGGCGGCCAGUAGAUCAUCCUUAAGCCCUAUAGAGAUCGAGACAGGAAAUCAGAUGAUAGAAAAUAAAAUGAGAUCCAACAAAGAAAACACAAUGGCAUGGAAGACUUACCGCGGAUCUUCGCCUCGAGAGCUGUAUUCUCACCAAACAGGUCGGUGUUGGCCCUCUUGAUCUUCUUAUAGGAACGAGCCAACUCUGUCUUAUCGACCCGCAGGUCCUCGAUCAUCUUGCCCGAUUGUAGGAUAGCUUCUCCUUUCUCUCGCAGCGCUGUCUUUCAACGAUCAACGUCAUUAGAAAGGCCACGAGAGUAGGCCUGCUCUGCCUCGAGAUCCUCACGGGCCUUCUUCUCAGCCUUUUCCACGGUGCCUCGAGCCAUCUCGCUGUUCAAAAGUGCCUCCUUCAGCCCAGCAUAACCGCUCCGGGCGGUGGCAAGGUUGGACUCAAUGAGCCUUUUUCUUUGUCCAACUCGACGGCCUCACCCUUAUACCGCGCAGCCUCCUCCCAAGCCUUAGUGGCUGCCUCCUCGGCCACAAUGGCUGCUCGCUCGACCGAGCGGCUUCCUCCUUUGCUUUCUCCGCAUCCUCUCGAGCGGCAUGGGCAUCUUCGUCCACCCGGGAGACCCCUGCCAUUCAUACUAGUUAGGGUCUUCCGAGCGUUGGUCAGAGCGGCCUCCUUCUCCCGCUUCUCCUCCAGGGCCACAGUAAGAUCCUUGUACACCUUAAGGAGCUUUUCCUAUGACUCGAGGAGCUAAUCCUUGAGAAGAGGAAGCUACUCCUAGCCACCCCUUGUUGCAUGAAUAAAGCCCGAUUUCAGCCGGGAGGUCUCUUUCAAGUCCUGCGAUAAAGCACGAGGCGGUAAACGCGCUAGUUCAAUGAAAAAACUAAAAAAUAACGAAGAUCGAGGGGUACUUACAAAGAAGGCUUGGCCUAGGCCAUUAUUGAUGAUGUUGGACAUGAGGCCCACAACGUGCUUCAUCCAAAGAUGAAGCUCCUUGAGGUCCUCCCAUUUCUCGACCUCCUUCCGAUCGUCCACUAUGAUGUUAGGCUCGUUCGGGGAUGUGGAGGCUCGAAGGUGGAUCCUUCCUGGACCCCAGUGCUCGAGCUCCUCCUCCGUAGGCGCCUUGAUGCCUCGGAUAAGUUCCUGCACCGUCUUCAGUGAACCCCCAUGGCACAGAAAUAGAUCGAUAAGAGAGGGGAAUGGCCCAUCGUCAUCGAUGGACUUCCAGGUUCCGGUCUCGUCCGCCUCGCCACUACCAGAGGUCCCAGCCUUGUCUUCCCCUCCAGCGCCGGAAGUCCUGGCCACCUCUAGCCAUGGCCGUCAACCCUCUAAGAAGCCCAGGGCGAUCCCCUCGAUGCCAUAGAGGGUGCCUUUGCUCUCAGAACUUGGAUCAGCCAGAGUGCGCAUGGCGAGCGCCAAUGCCACGACUCCGUCCUCCCGCCGUGGCUCAACCUGGGAUGAUGGUGGCCCCCCAGGACGAAGACACGUGGGAGUCGCGUGGCCAUAAACUGGCAGCUCCUCCUUCCCCGCCACGAGCCUCUGCUCUUCCUCGUGCUGCUGCUGCUGCAGUGGUUGCUGCUCAUGUAGCCCCUGUGGUUGCUGCUGCUGGAGCAGUUCCUCUAACUAUUGCUGCUGCUGCUAUUGCUGUAGUUGCAGCUCCUGCAGCUCAUGCAGCCAGUGCUGCUCCAGUUGUUCCUCUAACGAUGCUGCUUUUCCUCUUCCCUCCUCCUCCUUUGCUCCUCCUCCUCAUUCUUCCUCUUCUUCUCCUCCUCGAUGGAAUGAAGCCCAAUGGGCCACGGCAUCCGCCCCUCGAAACGGGGAGCCUCGGCCCUCUCGUCCGUGGUAUGAUCGCUUGUCGAGUGCGAACCGCCCCCGGAUUCAUCACUAAUAGUGAUCGGGUCGCCCUCACCUCCCAACUUGGGCAGCUCGGGGGCUCCAUCCCAACCUUGGGGGCGAGACGUUUCAUCUCGGCUAGGGGACGACAAGACGGUUUUUGAGCCAUCGCCCCCCUCCGACGAAUGAGGCGGGGUCUCGCCACCACCAGCAGGCAGUCGGGGGUUAGAAGAACCUGCAUACACCCCAAAACCACACGUCAAUCACAAGGAAUCUCUGCGCUAAGCAGAGCCAACCCUAAAACCACAAGAAAGAGGCCAUUCGCUUACCCGGAGCCUGGGAGCUCGCCCCGCCUUGAGCCUCUUGACGAUCGAGGGCUGGGCCUUCUCGAGCUGCCUCUUCAGCCUGAGCGGGAAAGAGACUGACACCAGUUGAUCAGCGUCAACAAAUAAAUGAAACAACAAAGACAGAAUUGAGGUUUUUUACAAUCUUACCCCACAUUGAGAACGACCCUCCUACCAGUCCUGUGGCCAGCAGGUUUCGAGCUGCCGCGAGUCGAGGCCCUCGGUUUCUCCAAGACAGGAGUGGGCCUCGGUUCAACUCCUCCCGUCUAACGGUCCUCGGGACUAGCACUCCUUCGACGCCCUCCUCCCUGGCUCGAGGCCACCGUGGCAGCACGGGCCCGAGUCAACGGCCCCGCUGCUAACGUUUUGACCCUAUGGCCCGGGCCAGGUGUUUGGGGUGGUCAUGGCGGGAGAGCGCCCCGACCUUGGGUAGCGGCGGGAGGCAUGUCGGCACACGAGCGGCGAGGUGAUGCCUCUUUUUUGUGCCCAUCACGAUCCCCGCCUUGCGGCCCCCUCGAGGCUUCCGCGUGCGACGAGGAACUAUCGGUCAGCGGAAGGCCCUGUAGGACCCAGAUGAGGCAGGCCGCCAUCCCCUCGGAGUCGCGUCGUCAUCGUCGUCAUCACCCUCGUCUUCAUCGGGGGAUUCCUCCUCCGGCUCCCCCUCACACCUCUGCUUGGACGAUCGUACCUCGAGCGCCUGACGCUCGAGGUUCUCCCUCUUCUUCUUCUCCACUGUGUCUUUUACAUAUUUCUGCUUCUCCGCGGAGACGCACUGUUGACGGUCCUUAAGUAUCAAAUUUAAUUAUCAAAUAAAUAAAGAAAAGGAUCCAAAUGAAAUCAACAUCCAGACUUAGGGUUUUAUCUGACAGAAUUCCAUGAGUUUUGGUGUUUGUUUAUUUCUGCAGGGGGUUAUCAGGAAAUACGAAUGAAAGGCCCACACGUCGGGAUUACAUAGAGAUAUUAACGUGUCGCGCAAUUAUCUUACAUCUAGAAGACUCCAGAAGCCACGGGAACGAAGCGGAGGCGAAACGGGGCCUGGCCCUGGGCGCCCGCCUAGGAGACCAGGGCGCCCGCGCCCCUAUAGAGUCCAAUCAGAACUCUCUUUCGGGAUCAAGCUCCAUAGACCUAAAGGAUCAAGGAUAACCAUUCAAUCAAUGUCAGUUUGAUCCGACGGCCCAUAUUCACUUUGAGGGACUAUAAAACCAGACCCCCUGGCCCCUGGAGGAGAGAGCCUCUCAACCCUAAUUCAUUAUUCCUCAAGGGAGAAGAAGCCUCUGAUCAAGCCUAGAGCCGCCACAUCAAUUAGACAUCUAGAUUAGCAUAGCUACAUAGGAUUAGAACUAGAAGGAGUCAAUCUUCGAUUGGUUUCCGGAUCUGUCAAGAGGAUUCUUGGUAAUUCUCUAAUUGUUCUUCUAAUUGUUCAUCUUUGUUCUUCAAUAUUAUGAAUAUGACUUUGUUCUACUUCAAUAUAUUGCUUAUGACUUUGCUCUACUUGUUUAUAUUCGCAAUUAUAUUAUUCUUAGUUUAUCAUAGUUAUAUACUUGGCUUAGUUAGAUUGGAAUUAUAUACAUGUUUAGGAUCGUAUAGCGUUUAUCCAUCGGAUCCAUGGGUAAAUGAUAGAUAUUGUGUAGGCGUGGUGCUUAUACCGUAUUUAUCUGCGAUUGUACCCAAUAUGCCAGAUCGCGGGGUAGUUCGUGAUAGUGACAGCUUCAUUGAUUCUUAUAUAGUCCCCCUCUCGUGUAUAGGGCUGGCAGAGCAACAUUAUUACAGGGGAGUGAUUGCUAUGUUUCUCAUAUUCCUUGAUAAUAUCACUAUGUAUGGGUGUAAUCCUGUCUCGCAAUGAUUGCUAAGUAUACUUGCACUAACUAUGAUAAUGCUAGACUGUAUAGUUGAGAAUAACUUAGGAAAUAUUCUUGUAGUUUGUUCUAAUUCCAUGCUAAUGACUUGCUAGAAUAUCUAAUUGAGGUGCUUAUCAUAUUUAUAUGUGGCUAAGUUAUGCUGAUCAGAUUAAUUAUCUUUGUCACUAUUCAUUACUUUAUAUAUAUCUUUUAUGUGACACUUAUCCCUGUAUGAAAGAGUUAGAUAAAUAUUCUCAAUUAUACAUGCAAUGAUAGAUACUCAAUCUUAUAUUCCAUUCUAUAAUCAACAUUGAUGAUUACUAAUCCGUUCCCAGUGGUAAAAAUAUAAAUAACAAUAACUAGAAUACUUCUCGGUUAAAAUGCUACAUCAGUAUUAAUCUGUGCACUUGCAGAUCCCAUUCAUUAUUUAUUUAAGAUGAGCAAUUGCAUAUUUCAAUACCGCGUCUCUCAUGUCAUGCUUGGAAUGACAACUUGGCUUAAGUGGUAUGAGGGAUAGGUUUGGCAUUUUUGGCACCGUUAUCAGAAUUAGAAAACUAAGUCUACUUUUGGUAGUGAUGUUUAGAAUACCCAACAAGCACUUUUGGCGCCGUUGCUGGGGAAGGUUGAUUACUAAUCAGGAAUGAAUAUAAGAUUUUGAGUCAUCAUUCGCAUCACUAAUAUGAUUGAGCUUAUCAAUUCUCUCAUACAGUUUUACCUCGAUAUUUUCCUAUUUUAUCUUAUGCAGGGUAAUGUAUGAAUAGAAGACAUCUUCCAGGAAAUUUUGUUGACAAUCCCGAAGUGUUAUUUAGAAAAACAAGAGCCAAGCUCAAGAAGAGAUCAUCAACACUUCAGCAAGAAACUCCAUCCAAUCAAGAAGAUCACCGGAACUUGUCUUCAGAAUUCAAAGCCAUGGCGAACAAAUCGAUCUGUGAGUUCUCAGCUCCCACUACGGACAACAUCCGCACUGGACCUGCUGCAGAGAUCGAUGGCAACUUUGAGCUCAAGCCUGGACUUAUCAACAUGGUGCAAUCCAAACAGUUCUGUGGGAAGGCACACAAAUAUGCUAGUGCUCAUCUCCAACACUUUGUGGAGAUAUGCAGCACAUUCACCAUAUUAGGAGUCCCCAGAGAUGCUAUACUACUUCGCCUCUUCCCAUUCUCAUUGUUAGGAACAGUGAAGCCAUGGUUCUACGCUACAAAGGAGAAGAAUACUACGUGGGCACUCUGCUCCACGAACUUUCUGACUAAGUUCUUUCCGAUGGGCAAGACCAAUGCUCUCCGUGGAAAAAUUAUAAGUUUUCAGCAACAACAUGAUGAAUCUGUUCCAGAAGCAUGGGAGCGCUUCCAAGACUACAUCCUAGAAUGUCCCCAUCAUGGAAUGGAGAGUUGGCUACUGAUGCAGACGUUUUAUCAUGGGCUCGGCAAUAGUGCCCGAGAAACCAUAGAUGCUACAGCUGGAGGAGCAUUCUUAUCACUCACCAUACCACAAGCCACAGCUCUUGUGGAGAAGAUGGCGUCCAACCAAAGCUGGAAUGAAGAGAGGACCCAGACACGCAAGAGAGGUGGAGGUAUGCAUCAGCUCAAGGAGGUAGACAUGUUGUCUACAAAGCUAGACCUGCUCAUGAAGAAGCUCGAUGAUAGAGCUAAAGAUAAGAAAGAAGUUAUGCACAUCUACGACUCUCACAUGACUUGUGAGGAGUGUGGAGAUACUGGACACUCAGGCAAUCACUGCCCUGAGAUGCUUGAGGAUGUGAACUACAUCAACAACUACUACUACUACUACAACCGUCCUCAACAAAAACAAGGCUGGAAUCAACAGAGGCCUAACUACUCAGGUAAUUAUCAAGGUAACAAUUCUUACAACAAUACUAAUAAUUUUCCACGUCUGAGAGAGUUGGUGUCUAAUCAAGGAAAGCUAAUGGAUAACCUAUCUAAGAAAUUGGCAUAUAAUGAUAAAAUGCUAGAAAAUAUAAAUAAUAGAAUGGAUAAUUUCUCUACUGCCAUCAAGAAUCAAAUUAGCUUUAAUAAAAUGAUUGAAUCUCAGUUAAAUCAAAUAGUUUCUGCUGUUCCUACUACUAACCCUGGUAUACCAUCACAACCGGAAGGAUUAGAAUCUGCAAAUCUUGUAGCCAUGUUUGAUGUAGGUAACUGGAGUAACCCCAUCACUGAAGUUACUACUGACCUUCUGCCGGUCAAGAGAGGCGAUCGAGGACGCUCCGUCAUCCCGAUCUCCAUCGGCAUGGUGGACUUCCCACAAGCACUCUGCGAGUUUGGCUCCAGCGUCAACAUUAUGCCCAGGGUACUCUAUGAAAUUUUUUUUACAUAUCCGUUAUUAGAAACAACCAUGUGUUUGCCAUUUGCAGAUUGGACGUUAAGUUUUCCAAAGGGAAUAUUGAAGAACCUCGGUGUCCGACACUACAAGAAAAAGUGGCAGUAACGACGGGAUAUGUGGUCGUUAAAAGUUGAUAUGUGGUCGUUAAAAGUUUUUAACGACCACAAAAAUGUGGUCGUCCAUGGUCGUUAAAGGCUCGGUCGUUAAUACAAUUAACGACCACAUAUAAUUUCCCGUCGUUAACUUUUCAACGACGGGAUAAUAUUUGGUCGUUGAUACUAUAGCAUUAACGACCACGUUUACAGUAACAACGACCAUGUUUGUCACCGUUAAUAUCAUAGUGCCAUCUUGCAUAAUGCAUUAACCACCACAUUUGUGGUCGCAAAUUGUUUCUAGAAGGUAAUGUAGCGGGUAUUAGUGACCACUUCUAUAGCAUCAACAACCACAUAUUUAUCACUAAUAAUUUUAUAUCGGAAUGGCACCUAUAUAGCACCAGCAACCAUUAUGCAACAUAACAAUGGCAUGUUUCACACAAUAGGCAAUAAAUGAAUUAAUUUUCAACAUUUCACAAAUUCAACUUCACAAUGGUCCUGGAUAGUUCAUGUGACCAAGGAAAAAACACAAUUGAAAUCAUGAAACUAAUAGUGGCUAACAUAAGGUAGUACUAAGCUAUGCUUGAAGGGAUCCACCCAUCAAAUGCCUUCUGAUGAACAACUGUGAGAUCAUGCUAGAAACGAUGCUCUUCAUCUUGCUCCCUGCAAUAUGUAAAUUUCAUAUCAGCAACAAAUAAAUAAAUCAAGAGAUCAUGUAUAAAUAAUCUUUGUAGAUGUAGAUGCUUACAAAUAAUCACUCUUUAUCCACGAGUUAAACUAGCACUCAUAUUGCUCUUUAAUUCUGCUCAUUCUUCUUCCAUUCGGCUAACACGACUAGUAAUCAUCCGAUUUUCCUCGUGAAGUGUUUGAUUAUCUUCUUGAAGUUCUUUCUUUUCCUGUUCAGACUGUGUAAGUUUUUCUAUUAGUUCAGCUUUGGUAACAGUCGGACUCCGUAUGUCUCUUGCUCUUAUUCCACCACCAUAACCAACAACAUGGUCACGCCUAUUAGAUUCAAAGCACUUGUCCAUAAGUUCCACGUUAGAAAGGGUAGGGUUCAAUAGCCUUUCCACCUCAAUCUCUGCCUGUGAACAAAGCAAUUGGAAUUAGGUGCUUCUACCAACACAAGUGUAUUUAUUCUUGUGUAACUAAUCUACAAUAAUGUCCAGCAAAAUGAAUUCAAAUGCAACUAUAAACUUACGUGCUUGGUAGAGGUUUCAGAAUCCACAAAGGUGCCAUCCUUCAUAUGAGUGAGAGAAAAUAAUUUAUCCAAAGUUGGAGGAUUGUUUUCCUUGCCACCCUAUUAAAGGUACAACAUUAGAACACAAGUACUGAGAGGUAAUAACUGAAAAAAGUGAGCACAGAAUACUAUACAUACAUUGUCCCAUAUGAUCUGUCUGUAUGGUUUGCUACCACUGUGAUGAAGAAUUUUCAAGUUGGAUCUAUUUUUGGAGUUUCUCUUGCUCCUAUCCUAAAGUUCCAUGAAAUACAAUGGUCACUAGGGAUAAAUCGUGCAGCACACAAGUUGUCAGUAUGUAACUGAGAAGAUUUAUACUUACUAUGAAAUCCUUGCUGUAGAAAUGUUCCUUGACAAGCCACUCCCAAUCAGGUUGUUUAAUCCCUUUAGGGCAAUUCUUAAUAGCUUGCUGCAUAUUCCUUGCUGGCUUAACAAAUUGCCGAUUCAAGUCUCCACGCCAAUUAUUCCAUAGAUCUCUAGCGUGCUCCAUGAUCUCAGCUUUGUAUACAUCAAUUUCAAUAUCCGGAUUUGCAUUUUCAAACUUGUCCUGCAUAUAUAGGUAUUAAACCAAUAUUUCAAUACGAGUACAAGAUUCUUGAAGGAAAAAACUGAGUAUGCUGGACUUAAUAUGUAAGGAAGCGUGUACCUUAAUUGCAUCAAAAAUAUGUUUUUGAGCUGCUGGACUUAUAUCAGUCCAUUUCUUCACUCUAAUUGGAGUAAUGUUAGAAUCACGGACUAUUCUACCCAACUGCCUUGGGAAUGUUUUAGAUAAAGCCCGAUUGUUGUAGAACACUACUUUAAUUUUCUCGCCUGCCUUGAGUUUUGCAACCUUCUUACAUUUGUUUCUUCCACGGCCUUGCCGUUUCUGUACUGUUUUGCCACCUAAAACAUAUAUAGAAAAAGAGUCAAAUUCAAUUUGGUGAAGAAAAGUAUUUUUUUACUUGGUUGAGUGUCCAGACCAUUUGAUGUAUCCACAGGCCGCUGCUGCUCUUGUAAGUCCUCAGUUUCCAUGUUGUCAUUAUGCGAUAAUUCAUCUAAAAGUAAAUGGUCCAAAUGGAGUAUCUUUCAGUAAAUGAGUAUUGUAACAUGUGCACUAAUAAACAAUUAUUCCUGAUUAUAUUAUUAGCACCUCAUUAUGAUUUCUCAUUAUCCACGAUUGGUAGUUUUUGUUGCAACAUGCACUUUCAAAAAAAUAAAUGUUUAUCUACAAAGUGUUUCACAUAAGUAUUUAUUUCCAUACCAUCCUGCAUUGAAUAUGUAGAACUCUGUGGAAUCCAUCUCCUUUCGGCAUGCGUAUUUUCUUGAUCAAUGGCCCUGUGAUCAUUGCUGCUCCGUUCAGCACGUGCCCUGUACUGAUCAAUAGGCCUGCUGUCAUCUCUGCUCCUUCCAGCAAAUAUCCUAUCUUCAUCAACAACCCUAUAGUCAUCUCUAAUGAAGGUGGCUGCAACACAUAAGUGCUAACUGUAAAUAAUGAAAAAUAGUUUGAUAUAGAUUUUCUACUCAUUUAAGAUGCCAGAGUCUAACAUUUGAACUUUUUUGUUUUCCUGUUCCAUCCAUGCCAUUCAUCUGUUGCUUCUUCGUCAUCUGAAUUUUCGCUAGCAUCUGAAGAACAUGGCUGACUUGCAUAUUUGGAUUUCUUUGCUUUUACUGGCCUAUCAAACAAAGUAUCUAAUGCACCUCCAUGUUCUGAGUCAUCUACAAGAAUACAAAGAAGAGUGAAACAACAGGUUAUGUAAACUAUUUAUAAGACAUACAUUGUCAUGAACUUCUAGUUAAAUAGAGAGAACUUAGAUAUAGCAUCUUUAACCUGGUUCUGGUGAUGCAUGGACAUUAUUGGUGUCUUCAUUUAGACUGUUGUGGAUUGUUCUGUCAUUACUAAUGUUUGGGUAGGUUCGCCUCACUUGCUGUUGACGAAGCAAUCCAGGACUUAUGAAUUUUGAUCUCCUCAAUGCUGUGGCUGUGAGAUUUCCAUACCUACCCGGUUGCAUCGUGAGGACCUGCACAAAUAGCAACCAUAUCAGUUAAUUUAUAAGUGUGUGAGUACAAGAGUAACAUCAAUGUGGUAAGCACUGAACUCUGCAAUUGCACUGAAAGUUGAAGAAGAUUAUGGGAACAAAUAAAUCACUAAAUAUUAUAAUAGUUGUUGUCUAACUCGACUAGUAAAAGUUCCAAAACUAAUGUAAAUGUGACAAAUGCUCCUAUGUCUAGUCUAGAAAUGUAAAACAUUGGAUCAUCGUUUUCUCUUUCCACAGGACAAUAUGGCUGAGGCAUCUUCAGGCAUGUCCUCUUCAUCAUCUCCAUCAUUAUCCUCAGGUUCAGCACCUUCAUCAUCUGAAUCUCCAGGGGGUACAUCAUAAGUGUCACGUGGAUGCAUUUUGGAGACCAUGUGCCAUCCUUUGAUUAGAUUGUCCUUAGCAUAAAAUACUUGGGAGGCUUGGCUAGCUAAGACAAAUGGCUCAUCUGUUUGAAGUAAACAUUUGAAGUUUACACUAACAAGCCCAUAAACAUUUGUCUUUAUCCCUCGGGUUUUAUUAAAUAUGUCAACCCACUUGCAGCGAAAUAAUGGCACUCGCCUUCCACCUAAAAACUGAAGCUCAAGUAUCUCUGUCAAGACACCAUAGUAGUCUACAUGGUCACCAUCCAUAUUUUCCUCUGAAAUAACAGCCACCCCACUAUUCUGUGUGCAGCGAUUUCUAUCAAGACUUUCAAUGCGAAAUCUAUAUCCAUGCGUGUCAAAGCCAGAAAAAGAUGUUAUAUUUGUCAUAGGGCCCCGUGAUAGUGAUAAUAGGUCUUCCAUUUGUUGACUUUUAUCACUUUCAUGUAACUGAUGUACCUGCAAAUUGAUAAUAAAUCAUGUAAAGCUCCUGAAAUAAAUUUACACAACUUUUGUUUUAAAAACAAAAACACUGUCAUGUACCUUAUCUUUAAACCACAUAAUAAAAUUUUGAUUCCAGCUGGGUGUAAAUGGCGGCAACUUAGAGCCCUCUUGACUGCUGUUGUACUCACUGCAAUUCAACAUAAUAAUGAGAGUAGGUAGAUAAACAGUAUGUUAGAAUAAGAAUGACAGCAAAAAUAAUACCUUAUAAAUGGUUGGACCUCAUCACAAUUCCUGAGUACAUAAAUAUGAGCCUGUUGUAACUCAAGCAUAUCAAGAUCCCGUGUUUUGUGAGCACCAAGUGGUCGUCCAGUAGAAGAGAAUAUUGAUAAAUAGAAGUUUUCUAGGUCUGAUGUAUCAUUGAUUCGUCCAUCACGAUUGUGCAUUGUCUCUACAUCAUCCAAGUACCUCGAACUCAGGUUUAUAAAUUCAUAUGCAAUGUAUCCCUCUGCUAUCGAACCCUCAGGGUGUGCAAAGUUGCGAAUUAGAGAUUUUAGAAAUUUUAUUUGUCUCUCAAAUUGAUACAUCCAACGAUAUGCUGUAGGUCCACCAAUCAAAGCUUCAUUAGCCAAAUGGACAGGCAAAUGCACCAUUGGAUCAAAAAAAGAAGGAGGAAACUCCAUUUCAAGCUUACAUAAUGUUCUUGCUAUUAGAGAGUCAAGUUGCUUCAACUGUUCAACUGAUAAUGCUUUGGAGUUCAAUGUGCAGAAGAAUUGGGAAAGCUCUACCAAAGGUUCGUAAAUACUUGUUGGUAAAAGUCCUCGUAAGGCCAAAGGAAGUAUAUGAUUCAAGAUGACAUGGCAAUCAUGGCUCUUUAAUCCAGAAAGCUUUUGCUCCUUCAAAUUAACGCAUCGACUAAGAUUGGAAGAAAAGCUAUCUGGAACUUUCAGUUCUUUGAAGAACUGUAAUAGUAUUGACUUCUUUUCUGGAGGAAGAACAUAAGGUGCUGGUGGAAAAUUAGUCUUGCCACCAUCUUCAAUAGGAUGCAGAUGUGGUUUUAAAUUCAUUUGUUGCAAAUCAAGACGACUAUUAGCAUUAUCUUUUGUCUUUCCCAUUAUGUUGAGAAGAGUUCCAAGAAUACUCUCACAAAUAUUCUUUUCUAUAUGCAUCACAUCUAGAUUAUGACGCAGCAAAAGUGUGUUGAAAUAAGGUAAACGGAAAAAUAUGCUUUUCUUUAACCAAUUAUCUCCUCUUUCACUAUGUGAUAUCUUGGUCUUCUUACUAGGAUCUUUUGAUAACACUAUCCCUUCUAGAUUGUUCACCUGCUGUAGCACCUCAUCUCCAGUUAAUGGCUCUGGUGGGUCACGAGCCUCUUUGUUACCAUCAAAAGAUGCUUUAUUUUUUCUCCAUUUAUGAUCUUUAGGAAGAAAUCGUCGAUGGCCCAUGUAGCAAAAUUUUUUACCCUUUGAUAACCAUAAGGAACAAGUUUUGUUUUGACAAACAGGACAAGCCAGUCGACCCUUAGUGCUAUGUCCAGAUAGAUUUCCAUAUGCUGGGAAGUCAUGAACCAUCCAAAGAAGGGCUGCUCGAAGCUUGAAAUUAGUCUUUGUAGAUGCAUCAUAGGUGUCAACACCGUCCUCCCAUAACACAAUCAAUUCAUGAAUCAAUGGUUGCAGGUAAAUAUCAAUUGCAUCUCCCGGACCAUCUGGCCCAGAAAUCAACAUAGAAAGCAAUACAUUUUGCUGCUUUGUGCACAGCCAAGGUGGCAAAUUGAGAGGAACAAGGAAUAUAGGCCAAAUGCUAUAUGAGCUUUUAGUGGUAGAAAAUGGUUGGAAACCAUCACCGGCAAGGCAUAGCCUUAAAUUGCGAGGUUCAGAUUUAAAAUCGGGAUGAGUCUCGUCAAAAUGUUUCCAUGCUUUAGAAUCAGCAGGAUGACGCAUCACACCAUCAUCAACCCUGCCAUCUAUAUGCCAUCUACAGAAAAAUGCAAUUUUCCUACACAUAUAUAGUCGCUGAAGUCUUGGUGUAAUAGGAAAAUAUCGCAUAAUAUGUUCUGCAAUCUUCUUCCCUUUGGUUGACACUAUGUCCUCACCAGAGUGCUUACUUUUCUUCCAUCUUGAUCUUUCACAUACUUUGCAGAACUGAGCACCUAUAUCUUCUCCCAAGUACAGCAUGCAAUCAUUUUUGCAAGCAUCGAUUUUCUGGUAGCUUAGUCCUAGGUCCUUCAUGAUUUUUUUUGCUUCGUAAUAAGAAUUUGGCAAAGUAGAGUUUUCUGGUAGGAAGUCCUUACAGAUUAAUUCCACUAACAUGGUAUAGGACUUGUUACUCCACUUUCCCAAAUUCUUUGUAUUAAGCAAUUUAACUAUACCAGAUAGUUUGGAAGUACGAGACCCUUCGUGGAGAGGCUGGUUCAAGUCAUCAAGGAGUUUAUAGAACUUUUGCGCUUCAUCAUUUGGCUGUUCUUCAAAUGCUUCAUUUGGUGAUGAUGUACCUUCAUUGAUUGGCUGGUUAAUUUGCUGAGGAAAUAAAUCCAUUAGCAGCUCCUCCAUUCCAUUAUAACCUUCCUCAGUUGCUCCCUGGGAAUCAGGAUGCUCUUCGACAUCUGAAUCUGACUCAGCCUCACCCGAAACUUCUCCAUGAUGAUACCAAAAUCUAUAGUUUCCUAUUAUUCCAAAUAUUUUAAGAUGAGAAUACACUACUUCACGAGACCUAGAGUAUGUAUUGCAGCAUCUGACACACGGACAUUUGAUUUCAACAUCCCCACCAGUCCUACUGAAGGCAUAAUCCAGGAACUUUUUAACACCCGCUAAAUAAAUAUCUUUUUUUGAGGUGUUUCCAUCUAAACAGUCAUCACUAAUACGAUCAUCAACUAGGUCCAUCCAUGCUUUACUUGGUGCCAUAUAGCAUAUAUAUGAUUGACUAUAAAACUACCUGUGAGAGUAAAUAUGGAGUCAAAAUAGAGGUAUCUAGCAGCCUGAGUGAAUGGAAAUCAGCCACUAGGCAACAGAUUACACAUUCUUUCAAAUUUUUCACAGUAAAUAUGUUUUGAUAAUAAAGAGCAAAUACGUACUGCCUUUUUAGGAUCAGAGGAUGCACUCCCUUUGAUAACACACUACAGCCUUCUCAACUACAGGAAAAAAACAAAGAACUAUGAGUAAUCAAAAUGUGCCCUCAAUUACAAUCCCUGUAUCCAUGACUUUUUAACACAAAUGCGUUAGAAUCCUUGAAUCAAUAUGUAUACUUGUUUAGAUGAUCUUAGAUCGAUACAACAAAAGUAAACAAAUGAAAUUGUGAAAUGAUAUUGAGUCAAAACAGAGCCAUCUAUCAUCUUUGUUUGGAUCAGUUAAGCCUACAUUACUGUCAAAGCUUAGCAAAAGGCAAAAAAAAUGAAGAACAAUGAAUCAGGUAAUAAAGAAAGAAUACAUGCUGCCUUGUUUAGGACCACCGGAUGCAAUGUCCACAACAACCUUCUCUAUACACAACUGCAGCUUAAAAGAAAAGAACUAUAAUCAAGAAAAACCUGUAAUUUUAGAUCUCUGUAACACUAAUUUCAAGUGAACAAAGGGGCAUCAGAUCCUAAGGUGCAGAGUUUUAUAUCAUAUCAAUGCAGAGAAAUAGGAUUGAGGAGAUGGUAUUGAAGCUAACUGACCUACAGGGCACAGGUGGACAACGAUGGGGAGGCCACUGCAGUACGAGUAGAGAAGGGCUCCUCUGGGCUGGUGCAGGGAAGCAGUAUGGACUGCCCACGGUCGGAGGGGCGGCGAGGACGGCCGUCGCAAGAAGGGCUGGUGAGGCGGCGGCUCCACGAUCCGCGUCAGGAGGAGAUGACGGUAGGAGGAGGUGUAGGGAAGCUGUGGACUGCUGCGGCAGGAGGCGCACAGAUGGAAGGGCAGCCAGAGGACGGACGCCGCAGGAGGGCGAGGGUCUUGUGAGGCGGCGGCUCGAUGAUCCACGCCGCCGUAGAAACCGUCCUUGCGGAUACGCUAGAGUUCAGCGGUGGCAAAGGUUGGAUAGAUAUGAGAUUUCUUGUUUAUGUACCUAAAAAAAAUAUUUGCGCCAACAAGUGAAGAGAUAAUUCCACAUUUUUUAGCGCCAAAACAGAAUGGAUCAGCAUCCCGCAUUAUUUUAGCGCCAAAAAAGAAGUGCAUACUAUUUUUUGACGGAGACCAAAAUAUACGAGGGGAAAGUUUUCAUAAUAUAACAAAAUAUGUGUACAAAGAAUUUCUUUUGUUAAAAUCUCACUUCAUAUAUUCAAAUACAUAAAUCAUAGUAUAUGAAAAUUAUUGUACUCCCUUCAUCCCAUUGAAACUGACAUUUUGGACUCCGGAUCUUCUUGUUUGACCAUUCGUCUUAUUCUAAAAUUUUGUAUAAAUAUUAUUUAGUUUGUUAUGACAUAUUUUAUCAUUAGAGAUACUUUAAUAACUAUUUAUUUUAUAAUAUUAUUUUUUUAAUAAGACAAAUGGCCAAACACAGUAUUCAAAAAGUCAAAAACGACACUUUUAAUGGAACGAAGGGAGUAAGAUUGAAUUUAGUCUUCUUGGGGUUUGCCCGGGUGCCAUGUUCCUCUACUCCUCCCUCUGUUGUUCGUGGUGUUGUUGGCGAGCAUACAUGCAGUGGGCCACGCUAGCGCAUGGCGGCGAGCCAUGGCUGGCUCCUCAGUGGGCGACGCUGAACGACAAGUGGGGUGGCAGCGAGCCGUGGGUGGCGCCUGGCAUUGGACGAUGACGUCUGUGUGACCACGUCGAUGCAGAAUUAGGGGUUUAGCAAGUUGAGCGCGAAAGUCAAACGAUGUUGGAGGAUUGUGGAUUUGGCGAGCCAAAGUGGGCCCUUUGUUUGCCUCUUGUGCUAACCUUAAGUAACAAAAAAAAGGCUCAAUUCCCACUAUUUAGCUAAACCAACCGGUCAUCAUCUUCUUUGCUACUUUUGGUACUUACGGCUCGCUCUCACUCGGCACCAUGUUGGCUUGUCACGGUGGCUUGGCCUCUGCUUAACAGCUCGGUAGCCGGAGCUAAGGAAGAAGAGGGGGGCCAGGGGUCUUGAAAGACGCUACUAGUAGCUAGGGUGGAGAUAUCGAGCACGAAUAUAGCUUGGAGGUGUGCAAGUGCGACUUCGAGAAGCUCAGACUCGUGAUCAUGGAGUCGAUGAGGCUGAAGUUUAGGGUGGGGCAAUGUCAGCAGCAAUGGCCAUGACGUGGGGAUGAAGCUGUGGAGGACUAGCUGAUUUAGAUUUUCGUUCUUAUGGAGCUACUAGAUCAAGCUUUAAUUAAACUUAAUAUCACUUCUAAAUUUCGUGUAUAAAAUAAUCUACAUUCCUACAUUAAGUCAAACGUGGAAACACCCAAGUGGUUAAGCUCGCAAUGGCUAUUCGAGAGGUAACCAGUUCGAUCCCAUUUGCUUCUUCUUUAAACUUUUUUAUAUAUAUUUUUAUUAAUUCAUGUCCUCCUACUUCACUCCGUGAAAAAUGACUGCGAUGAAACACAAGACAUUGUAUAUGAAAACCAGAGGCAAAAACCAUCGCGGGAAACUAAAAAAAGUGCGGGAAAAUAAAAAAAGUGCCAAGGCUCACGCGAUAACGACCACAUUCGAUGUCUGGACAACGACCACCAAGAUUGUGGUCGUCGGGCAACAUCUAAAGUCCGUAGGAAACCAGCUAAGGGCAUCCGACGACCACAUAUUAUAUGUGGUCGUUAGAGUCUAGUCGUUGAUGUUUGGUUUUCUUGUAGUGUUAGUUCCAAAAAUUUUUGGAAAAUAGACAUUGUAGCACUUUCGUUUGUAUUUGACAAAUAUUGUCCAAUCAUGAACUACCUAGACUUAAAAGAUUCGUCUCGUCAGUUCCGACCAAACUAUGUAAUUAAUUUUUAUUUUCAUCUAUAUUUAAUACUCUAUGCAUGUGUCUAAAGAUUCGAUGUGACGGAAAAUCUGAAAAAUUUUGCAAAAUUUUUCAGGAACUAAACAAGGCCUUAGUAGAUUUGACACAUAAGUUGAAGCCAAUGACCAGCUAGACAUGACCACUCCUGCAUACACGCUAUCUCUGCCCACCCAUACGCUACCUCUGUCACCUGCCAGCGAAAUUAGCACGCCCUUUCUUUUCAUCCCACCCAAGUGCGAAGCCGAGCCCAUCCGUCCGCGCCAUCGUAGUGGUGGCGCCGAUCGAUCCCUUCGGCGCGAAGCCGAGGCGAGAGCCCGCUGGAGGAAUUUUUAAUUUGCAAGGCGGAAACGAUACGUCGCGCGGCUCACCGCCGUUGCGUCCAAAACUUGGGUUUCGGAGCUCCCUCCAGCAGACCCCGCUCGAGGGAAACAGGCGGUGUAGUAUAGGAGAAGGGAAGGAGAGGGAGAAGUUUGAUAGAAUCUGCUGUGCGUACACCAGAGUUUACCACAGGUAGUAAUUUCUCAGCAUUUCCUGCUUUAUUAAUUUUGGACCAAAAAAUUAGCAGGUACUAAUUUCUCAAUAUUUCCUGCUUCAUUAAUUUUUGAACGAAGAAAUGCAGUACUAGCGCUGCUUAUUUGAGCUUUGCAUGCUUAUCUUGGCAAAAGGGUGUAUGUCUCUUUUUUUAUGAGGAACUGUAAUGUCGUGAGCUCUGACUAAAUGAUUUUGGCAAAAGGGUGCAUAGCUUCAAAAUCAUGUAAUCCAAAAGUUAUUGGAUUUUUUUUUGGAUUUAGUUGAUGUAGCAUUUUCGUUUGUUUUUGACAAUUAUUGUCCAAUCAUAGACUAGCUAGAUUCAAAAGAUUCGUCUCGUAAACUACAGAUAAAUUAUAUAAUUAGUUAUUUUUUUAUUUAUAUUUAAAUGCUCUAUGUGCGCCACAAUAUUUAAUGUAACAAAAAAUAUUGAUUUUUUUAGAUUUUAAAUGUAACUAAACAAGACCGAGUCACCGCUGCCUUCGGUCGAGGGCUACUGCUGUAAAUCGCGAGACGAAUCUUUUGAUCCUAGUUAGUCCAUAAUUGGACAAUAUUUGCCACAAACAAACGAAAGUACUACAGUAGCGAAAUCUAAAAUCUUUUCGCAUCUAAACAAGCCUUAGUUUAUGAAGUAUUUUGUAAAAAAAAAACUAAAAUCCAAAACCUUGAGCAACCCACCAAAUUCUAACACCAAUUUUUUUGGGUUUUGAUGUUUACUUUCCAAAAAGUUUUGCAAAAUUUUUUAAUUAUCUGUCACAUCGAAUCUUACGGCACAUGUAUAAAGCAUUAAAUAUAGAUAAAAAAUAACUAAUUGCACAAUUUAUAUAUAAUUUGUGAGACAAAUCUUUUGAGCCUAAUUAUUCUAUUAUUGGACAAUAUUUGUCAAUUACAAACGAAAGUGUUACAAUGUCCAUUUUGCAAAAAAAAAAAAAACAGAACUAAACAAGGCCUUAAUGUCCCUAUUUAAUUUUCCAUAAAAUUUAGGACCGAAAUAUUUUAGGUAUGUUUACUUUCAAAAUACAAAAUAUCAAAGAAAUUUUAUAUUUAGCACAAAAUAUUUUGGAACUAAACAAAGCCCUAGACUCGUCGUUUGGGCGGCUGGCCGGAAGAGAUCCUCCUCCACAAUCCAGAGUGCAUGGUAGCCAGUUGGCCAGGGAGACGAAGGCUGAGGCGUUUGGCUAAUAAGCCAUGACACUGAUGGUUGAUUUGUUGUGGAAGAAAAAAAACAUUAUUGAAUGACUGACAAAUUUAAUAGAGGCCUUGUUUAGUUGGCUUGGUGAAAAAAGUUUAGGUAUUGUCGUACUUCUGUUUCUAUUUGAUAAUUAUUAUCUAAUUAUGGACUAACUCGGCUCAAAAGAUUCGUAUCACAAAUUAAAGAUAAACUGUGUAAUUAGUUAUUUUUUAUCUAUAUUUUAAUGUUUAAUGCAUCUGCCAUAAGAUUCGAUGUGCCGCAAGAUUCUAGUCUUCCAACAUCCUACCAAACAUUCAACGUAACAUCUAAAAAAUUUUCGUACUCCAAACUAAACAAGCCCUGAGAUGGACCGCCUCUAGUUUUUUUAACUGCUGUAAAUAUUGGAAAAAAAAAUCCAAGGAGAAGUCUUGCUGAGGAAGGAAAGACCACGACCGGCCGGCCAGCUAGGGAGCUUCCUAGGAUUUCAGCACAUGACCUCGCACAAGCCACUCACCAGUAUACAUCACUCCAAGCAGGGCUCUCUCUCCAUUCCAAACAGGGCUUUCUCUAGCGUUGCCUGCCAGCCACCGCGCGCCGCCACUCCAAGCAGGUCUCCUCUCCUCAGCUACUUCCUGAAAUCGACGGCGGAAGGAACCUCAAUAGGAGGCGGAGCAGUAAGCUGAGGCGGGACGGGGCCACGGGGCUCCGUGGUUGAGGAUGCCUGUGCUGCGUAGCACAACGCGAAGGGACCGAGAGGCGCAGGGGAGUCCGGCGGCGGCCGCAGCAGCACAGGNNNNNNNNNNNNNNNNNNNNNNNNNNNNNNNNNNNNNNNNNNNNNNNNNNNNNNNNNNNNNNNNNNNNNNNNNNNNNNNNNNNNNNNNNNNNNNNNNNNNUGUAGAUAGCUGCCCAGUCCGUGUUACUCUACUCCGGAAGUACGCAUCCACAUAUAUCCACCCAUUUCUACCUCUAGAACUACCCAAAAAUAUUCUACUCCUAAUCCAAGAGAGAAUAGCCAAAAAUAUUUCUGUUUUUCCCCUGUGAAAUAAAUGCUCAAGUUAUCUUGGUUACUACCACUUGCUAUAUUAUCUCAUGAGAUGAGUGCUCUAAAAAAGAGAUACGAGGAAAUAAAAAGGGGCAAGUGCCCGGAAGCUCGAAAGAAAAGAAUAAGUGAGACGGGAGGUAAAAAUGGACAAGUGUCCGACAAUAGAAUUAGGGUUACAAAAUACCCACCCGAGAGAAAAGAAAAAGAAAAUACAGAGCAUCUCAUUCUCCUCAAAAAGUUUCAAAAGAGCAAGGAAGAUAUAUAUCCCCUCAAAAGAGAAAAUGUAGAAUUAGACUUUCACCAUUGUUAUCACCAUCAUCACCAUACACCAUUCAUUCACCACACAUGCACAUCUUGAUUCGACUUAUUGACUUGUUUCUUUGGAUCCAUGGUUUGACUAUGCAAUAAAUGUUUUGUAAGUAUGUAUACUUUAUCUCCCACCUAUGAGCUCCAGAUAUCAAAAGCUUUAUUAGAGUAGGGUGAGAGAGAAGGCAAUGUUACUAUGCCUUAUACCACAAAUACUACAUUUUGAGAGAAGGCAUAUACCAUCACUGCCUUGGUAAGAAUCCAAAAAUACCACAAAAGAGAGAUAUGAGAGAGUCAUACAAGGAAUCUCUGAGUUUUAUUUGAAAAUCUGCAAAAACUCCAGAUCUAUAGCUGAUCAAGAAUAAGAGACAUGUGAAAGCCCAAGUUUGGUUUUGGUAAUUAAUGACACCAAGUUGCUAAUGCCUCGUGUUUAAGUGAUUUGAGUUAUGCAUAGCAACACAUGUGAUGAAGGUAAAUGGUGGCACGGAAAGGUGGCCACAUGAUCACAAAGGGAUGAAGCAUGAAGUAAAGAUCAUGGUGAUAGACGAGGAGCAAAGUGAUCAAGGCAAAGGUAUAAACAUAGGGUUUUACAUUUGUCAAUCUAAGAUGAGUAGAGAAGUGAUUGACCGGGUUUAGGAUAGAUAGCCGACUAUCAAGAGGGGAAAUCACGGUUAUCUCUCGAAUCAAGUGCUACUAGGUCUACAUCUUGAGCAUAUGCAUUAGGAUCUAGUAAAGUGCUAACUUAACUGCUUUGGGAAAAUGUUUGUGAAAAGCUAACACACAUGCACUUUGGUGGUGGACACUUGUUGGUGUUAGCACUUGUGCAAAGGAGGUGGAGUUCCUACGGUUGAGAGGGGUUUGGGUUCCUCUCUCUCUAUGUUCUAUUGGCGCUUUUGAGAAAAAUAAGUGUUUAUUUUCUAUUGCGCCGGUGGGAAAUUUGGAAAAGUCGCGAGAGUGUUUUUCUCACUGAGAAACACUCACCGGACGCUGAGUGCGGAGGCACCGGACGCUGGCCUCAGAGUCCGGUGUGCUUGACCCUGCUAGGGUUGAGCACCGGACGCACUCUGAGAGCGUCCGGUGGUUCGCGUCCGGUGUGUGGGCAUUUUGCGACCCUCUCUGCGCAUGGGUCCGGUGAGCACCGGACGCUACCGGUGCUUAGCGUCCAGAGACCCGUAGGAUUGCGGAACUCUCUGCGCAUAAUUUCGGUGUGCACCGGACGCGUCCGGUGUGGACCUGCAGAGUGUCCGGUGAUCCGCAGGUGACCGUUGGAGACUGACGCGCGAGAUUCAAAGAGGACACGUGGCCAACCCCUGAGCACCGGACGCUGGAGGCCGAGCGUCCGGAGAUCACUUGGUAGCGUCCGGUGCCCCCGUUUUGAGCCCAAUGAAAGUGGCCAACGGCUAGUUCCUUGAGGGGCUUAUAAAUAGAAGGUGGCCGGCUUUGGGAGGCUCACUCUUGCACAUUUGAAUACUUGAGGCAUACAUUGAGCUAGAGAACAGUCCCUCCACUCAUCUCCUUGCUUGAUUGCUAAUCCUAGUGAGAUUGAGUGACAUUCAAGUGCAUUGCUUUGAGAGUUGCAUUUAGUGGCACUUGAUUCUUGAGUUUGCUGCCGAUUUCUUGUUACUCUUGGGUGUUUCCCGAUGCCCUAGAUGGCUUGGAGCAGCGGUGGUGUUGAGCUCGUGAUUGGAGAUUGUUUCGAGCCUCACCAAGUGAUUUGUGAGGGGUUCUUGAGCCUUCCCCACUGGAGAUCGCAAUUGGCUACUCUAGUGGAUUGCUCGUGGCUUGUAGGAUCCCCAUCUUGUGAGUGGAUGUGCGGCACCCGCUGAGGGUUUGGCUUGUAGGAUCCCCAUCUUGGUGGCAUGGAAGCAAGUGAACCUCGGUAAAAAAUCUUGUGUCGUCACUUGCCGAGGAUUCUCUUUGUGAUUGUGAGUGAUGGGUUGGAUAUAUCUCUACUCUACAACGUUGGUAUAACAAUCACUCCCCUCUCCUUUACUUAUCUAUAUACCUUGCUAGUUGUUUAGCUUGUUUAGUUUAGUCUUCUUGUUUAGGAGUGUAGCAAGCUUCUAGUUGUGCUUUCUUGUUGUAACUAGUGUUUAGCUUUCUUGCUAGACUUGUGAUGGUGGCUUGCAUAAGUUAGUUGUGCUAGUGCUAGAAUAGCUUCGCCUUUUGUUUUACUAAUCAACUUGUCUAGUUGAAGUUUGUAGAAUUUUUAAAUGGGCUAUUGACCCCCCCUCUAGCCAUUUGGACCUUUCAAGUGGUAUCAGAGCCGAGGCACCGUUUAUUUGAGGCUUAACAUCCUACGGUGAAGAAAUAGCUCUAAGUUUUCAUAUCAACAACACCAAGAAGGCACCUUUCUUGGAUGGCACAAAUUAUGCAUAUUGGAAGGUCAAGAUGACAGCACAUCUUAAGUCAAUCAAUAGAGAGGUUUGGAAGGUGAGCAAAACAAAGUUUGAGGUUGCAAAUGAGAAUGCACCAACAUCGGUUGAAGAAAAGAAGCUUCAAUGCAAUGACAUUGCAAUUAGUGCUCUUCAUGAAGCUCUUGAUGACAAGACCUUUGAGAAAAUCAAGAACAUUGAGGUUGCUCAUGAUGCAUGGGCAAAAUUAGAAGAAACAUUUGAAGGCACUAAAGGUACCAAGACCGCCAAAGCUUACAUCCUCCAAGAAAAGUUCUCAAGCUUCAAGAUGCAAGAAGAUGAAAGUGUGCCGGAGAUGUUUCACCGGUUGCAAGUCAUUGUGAAUGAACUCAAGGCACUUGGGGAAGAAGUAAAAGAUAGUCAAUUCUCUAUGAAGUUCUUGAGAAGCUUGCCUAAGAGAUUUGACACAUUGAUCACCGUGCUAGUCAAGACAACACUUAGUGAUUCAACUCCCCAACAAGUCUUCCAAGAGGUGAUGACCGAUGAUGCUUAUAGGGAAGAUGAUGAGAAGGAUGAGUUGAUCAAGAAGAAGAAGAAGGAUGGUGAGAAGAAAGAUGAUGAGAAGAAGAAAAGUGUGGCAUUCAAGGCCUCCUCAUCCAAGGGCAAAGCCAAGAUAGAGUCAUCAAGUGAAGAAGAAGCAAGCUCUUGUGAUAGUGAUGAAGAUGAGGAGAUGGCUCUUCUUGUCAAAAGAUUUGGCAAGUUUAUGAAGAAGAAGGGUUAUCGGGCAAGAAGAAAGAAGAGCUCCUCCAAGAAGAAUGAUCAUUCCAUGAGGUUCUUUAGAUGCCAUAGCAAGGAUCAUCUCAUCGCCAAGUGUCCUUAUGAUAGUGAUGAUGAAGAUGCUAUCAAGAAGGAAAGAAAGAAGCAAAAGAAGAAGCAAGAAAAGAAGGAAGGCUGAAACAAGAAGAAGGGUGAUGCCCAUGUUGCAACUUGGGAUAGUGAUGACUCCUCAAGUGAUGAUGAGAGCACCAAGAAGAAGGCGCAUGCUAGCAUUGCAAUUCAAGGAAAGAGCUCCAUCUUCGACACUCCAUCAUGCUUCAUGGCUAAGGCCACUAAGGUAUCAUCCGAUGAUGAGAGUGACCAAGAUAGUGAUAGUGAUAGUGAUGAUGAUGAACCAACGAAAAAUGAACUAAUCACUAUGCUAGAAGAUUGCACUCAUCACUAUAAAGAAACUAGAAAGGAGUGCAAGGCCUUGCUUAAGGAUAAGAAAAUCCUUGAGCACAAACUUGAUGAGCUUAGAGCAUCUUAUGAGAGUCUAAAGGAAGACCAUAAGAAGCUUCAAAAGGCUCACACUAAGCUUGAAGAAGCUCAUUCCUCUCUAGUUAACAAAUGUGAAAAUGAGCCAACUAAAAUGGAGAAAGCUAAAACUUGCAACAUAGGGCUAACAUGUGAUAUCUUAAGUAAGCCUAUUGUUGUUGCUUCUACUAACCAUUCAUGUAGCAUAUCUACAUCAUCCUCAUCUAGUAGUGAUGGUUUCACUUGUGACACCACACUAAAAGUUGAGAAUGAAAUUCUCAAGAAGGAGGUGAAAGAGCUCAAUCACACCUUAGCCAAGGCUUAUGGUGGUGAGGACCGCUUGCUUGUGUGCUUGGGUAGCCAAAGAGCUUCUCUCUAUAAAGAGGGAUUCGGCUAUAACCCCAAGAAAGGCAAGGCCGCCUUUGCUCCUCACAAGACUAGUUUUGUGAAGAACAAUGGCCGGUAUUGCAAAGCUUGCAAGCAAGUUGGUCACUUAGAGCAAUAAUGCAUGAACAAGAAACCCAAAGCUAAUGUAUCCUCAAUUAAGCUUAAUUCUUUCCAUGUACUUACCAAGGAUACAAAAGGUGUUCAUGCUAAGUUCAUUGGUGCACCAUGGAUGGGCUCAAAGAAGAAAGCCAUAUGGGUACCAAAGAGCUUAGUUGCUAACCUUGGAGGACCCAAUCAAGUUUGGGUACCUAAAAAGAAUUGAUCUUGUCUUGUAGGUCAAUUACAAAGCCAGAGGAAGGCAUUGGGUCCUUGAUAGUGGGUGCACUCAACAUAUGACUGGAGAAUCUUGUAUGUUCAAAUCAAUUGAUACAAAUCAAAAUGGUGGCUUUGAUUCUAUCACAUUUGGCAACAACAUGAAAGGCAAGGUCAAAGGGUUUGGUAAAAUUGCUAUCUCAAAUGACAUGAGCAUAUCAAAUGUGUUGGUAGUUGAGAGCCUUGAUUUCAAUCUCUUGUCAAUUGCACAACUUUGUGACCUUGGUUUCAAGUGCAUCUUUGGUAGUUGAUGGAUCAAACUUGAUAUUCAAAGGAUUUAGGCAUGGUAGCUUAUACUUGGUUGAUUUCAAUGAUAGUGACACUCAAUUGACAUCUUGCCUAAUUAGCAAAUCAUGUUUGGGAUAGUUGUGGCAUAGAAGGCUUGGUCAUGUUGGAAUGAAACAAUUGAAUAAACUAUUGAGGCAUGACUUAGUUAGAGGCUUGAAGGAUGUCACCUUUGAGAAGGAUAAACCAUGUAGUGCUUGUCAAGCCGGAAAGCAAGUUGGAAAUGCACAUCCUAAGAAAAGUGAAAUGAGCACAUCAAAGGCAUUUGAGCUAUUGCACAUGGAUUUAUUUGGGCUAACAACAUACACUAGCAUUGGUGGCAACAAGUAUGGUUUUGUGAUAGUAGAUGACUACACUAGAUACACUUGGGUGUUCUUUCUCUAUGACAAGAGUGAUGUUUGUGAUCUAUUCAAGUCUUUUGUCAGGAGGGUGCAAAAUGAGUUUGAAACCACUAUCAAGAAGAUUAGAAGUGACAAUGGUAGUGAAUUCAAGAACACAAGAAUUGAGGAAUUAUGUGAUGAUCUUGGCAUUGGACAUCAAUUCUCUCCAACAUACACUCCUCAAUCAAAUGGUGUAGUUGAAAGGAAGAAUAGAACCUUGAUUGAUAUGGCUAGAUCAAUGCUUAGUGAAUACAAUGUUAGCCAUUCAUUUUGGAGUGAAGCUAUCAACACGGCUUGCUAUUGUAGCAACCGUCUCUAUUGCCAUGGGAAGCUUGGGAAGACACCAUAUGAGCUAUUAAAUGGAAGAAAGCCCAACAUUGCAUACUUUAGAGUGUUUGGUUGCAAAUGCUACAUUCUCAAGAAAGGCACUAGAUUGAGCAUGUUUGAUAAGAAAUGUGAUGAAGGGUUCUUACUUGGUUAUUCCACUGCAAGCAAGGCAUAUAGAGUUUGGAACUUGGCAAGUGGCACAUUGGAAGAAGUCCAUGAUGUUGAGUUUGAUGAAACCAAGGGAUCUCAAAAUGAAGCUCAAAAUCUUGAUGAUGUGAGAGGAGAUCAAUUGGCAAAUGCAAUGAAGAACAUGGAUGUUGGUGACAUAAGGCCAAUGCAAGUUGAUGAUGAUAAUGACAUUCACAUGAUCAAUCAAGAAGUGCAAAUUGAUACAAAUCAAGCUAGUACUAGUGGCUCUCAUGAAGAUGAUCAAAAUCAAAAUCAAGCAAGUGGAAGCAAUCAACUCCCAAUACUCCAACCUACAAGCAUAGCAAGAGAUCAUCCAUUGGAUCAAGUCAUUGGUGGUAUUCAAAGUGGUGUACAAACAAGAUCAAGGCUAGCAUCCUUUUGUGAGCACUACUCAUUUGUCUCAUUUGAGGAGCCAAAGAAAAUAGAAGAUGCAUUGAAGGAUUCCGAUUGGGUAAAUGCCAUGCAUGAAGAAUUGAACAACUUCACAAGAAAUCAAGUGUGGGAGCUUGUUGAGAGGCGAAAGAACUACAAUGUGAUUGGUACCAAGUGGGUAUUUAGAAACAAGCAAGAUCAAGAUGGUGUGGUUGUGAGAAACAAAGCAAGACUAGUAGCACAAGGUUACACUCAAGUUGAAGGUCUUGACUUUGGAGAAACAUAUGCACCGGUGGCAAAAUUAGAGGCAAUUAGAAUAUUAUUAGCAUAUGCUUGUGCCCACAACAUCAAGCUCUAUCAAAUGGAUGUCAAGAGUGAAUUUCUCAAUGGAUACAUAAAUGAGUUAGUUUAUGUUGAACAACCUCCCGGUUUUGAAGAUGACAAGAAACCCACCCAUGUUUACAAGCUCAAGAAGGCAUUGUAUGGUUUGAAGCAAGCACCUAGAGUAUGGUAUGAGAGAUUGAGAGAUUUCCUUCUCUCCAAAGGAUUCAAGAUGAGAAAGGUUGACACUAUCCUGUUCACCAAGAAGUUAGGCUAUGACUUGUUUGUGUUGCAAAUCUAUGUUGAUGAUAUCAUCUUUGGAACAACCAAUCAAGACUGUUGUGAAGAGUUUGGAAGAAUGAUGGCAAAAGAGUUUGAGAUGUCCAUGACUGGAGAACUUAGUUACUUCCUUGGACUUCAAAUCAAGCAAAUGAAGGAUGGCACUUUUGUAAGUCAAGGCAAGUACAUCAAGGACAUGAUCAAGAAGUUUGGGUUGCAAGAAGCUAAACCAAUGAGCACACCUAUGGGCACAAAUGAUCAAUUAGGUAGUGAUGCAAGUGGCAACAUGGUAGAUCAAAAGCUAUACCGGUCCAUGAUUGGAAGUUUGCUCUAUGUCACCGCAUCAAGGCCGGAUGUGAUGUUUAGUGUGUGCAAAUGUGCAAGAUAUCAAGCUUCACCAAGAGAGAUUCACUUGAAGGCAACCAAGAGGAUAUUGAGGUAUCUUAAGGGCACUCAUGAUGUUGGAUUAUGGUAUCCCAAGGGGUCUAUCUUUGAAUUGAUUGGAUAUUCGAACUCCGACUAUGGUGGAUGCAAGAUUAAUAGAAUGAGCACAAGUGGUACUUGUCAAUUGCUAGGAAGGUCUCUAGUUUCAUGGUCAUCAAAGAAACAAAAUAGUGUUGCACUAUCAACCGCCGAGGCCGAAUACAUUAGUGCCGGUAGUUGUCGUGCACAAUUGCUUUGGAUGAAAGCUACCUUGAAUGACUUUGGAAUCAAAUUCAAGAAUGUGCCUUUGCUAUGUGACAAUGAGAGUGCAAUCAAGAUGACACAAAAUCUGGUUCAACAUUCAAGAACCAAGCACAUUGACAUAAGGCACCAUUUCAUAAGGGACCAUCAACAAAAGGGUGAUAUUAGCAUUGAAAGCAUUGGCACCGAAGAUCAACUAGCCGACAUCUUCACAAAGCCACUUGAUGAGAAGAGAUUUUGCAAGUUGAGAAAUGAAUUGAACAUACUUGACUUCUCCAACUUGAGAUGAGUGCACCCCCACAUUUAUAUAUGACAUGCCUCUCCUCCAACAAAGCAAGGUAAAGUGGGUUGACAUAGCAUUCAUACUUUGCUAAGGACAUGAUUAGAACAAAUAGACAUAUUUGCAUGACAAUAGGCUCAUUCAUGAAAAUCAAAAGAAUUUGAUGUAUGUAUGGUACCACUAUUGUUUCUAUGAUUGAUUGAUCUAGUGGUAGCAUAUGACAUGUUUGUGAGCUUGUAAGCCUAGUGUUGAAUCUAGAAUAUGAGCUUAUGAUGUGUAAUUCAACAUGGUCAAGAUAACCCUUAUACUUCAUGAGGUGUGAAAAAGCUUGUCCUUGGAUCAAACCGAAUUACAUGUUUUAGGCAAGUGAUCUAGAUUGAACCAUAAUUUUUUACCCUCACAUUGAUUGACUUAAUUCUCACUAAAAUUUGAACCUUUGUGGUCAUUGAUGACAAAGGGGGAGAGAAACAAAGAUAAAGUCAAAAAGAGGGAAGAGAAACAAAGAUAGGGAUAGAAAACACCUUUAAACUUGAGCACACAAAUAGGUGGAGCAAGCUCAUGAACCAUUUGUUGCAUUUGAAUGUGCAUUAACAUAAUAAGGUGUUGCAUUGCAAGUUUCAAUUCACUACUCUGGAUUGAUUGGUGCUUGCUAGAAAUAGAACUUGAAUGAUGCUUUGUUUUCUAGCAUAGAGUUUUAUUUUCAUGUGGUAUCUAGACAUAUAAUGUGAUCUCACGAGGUAUCUUGAGCUUUUAAUGUAUGUCUAGCUACUUUGGUGCUAAGGAUGGUAUAUUGGCAACUCCGAUUGGUAUCACGCUUCAAAGGUCCAUUCUAUAUACCUUAGCAUCAUUUUGGUAGUAAUAAAUCUCCCAAAAUUCCAAAUUAUGCAUAUGUGCAAACUUGAACCAAACUCAUGGAAGCACAUAUGUAGGGGGAGCUAGUACUACCAAAACCGAAAUUGAAAUGUUUGUCCAACCUUGUCUCAUGAUUAAAAAGCUUUGGACAAGCAAUUCAAGUUCAUUAUGAUUUCAUUUCAUAUCUUUGUGAUGGUUGUCAUCAAUUACCAAAAAGGGGGAGAUUGAAAGCCCAAGUUUGGUUUUGGUAAUUAAUGACACCAAGUUGCUAAUGCCUCGUGUUUAAGUGAUUUGAGUUAGGCAUAGCAACACAUGUGAUGAAGGUACAUGGUGGCAUGGAAAGGUGGCCACAUGAUCACAAAGGGAUGAAGCAGGAAGUAAAGAUCAUGGUGAUAGACGAGGAGCAAAGUGAUCAAGGCAAAGGUAUAAACAUAGAGUUUUACUUUUGCCGGUCUAAGAUGAGUAGAGAAGUGAUUGACCGAGUUUAGGAUAGAUAGCUGACUAUCAAGAGGGGAAAUCACGGUUAUCUCUCGAAUCAAGUGCUACUAGGUCUACAUCUUGAGCAUGUGCAUUAGGAUCUAGUAAAGUGCUAACUUAACUCCUUUGGGAAAAUGUUUGUGAAAAGCUAACACACAUGCACUUUGGUGGUGGACACUUGUUGGUGUUAGCACUUUUGCAAAGGAGGUGGAGUUCCUAGGGUUGAGAGGGGUUUGGGUUCAUGAAGGUCAAGAUCAUCGACUUAAGUCGCCGUUUCUGACCAAGAAGGAUGACCCAGGAAUGCCAAGCAUCUAAUUCUCCAUAAAUGGAUACAACUUCUACAAGACGUUUUGCAACACCGGAUCGGGCGUCAACAUAAUGGCCGCAGUCACCUAUCGGCUCUUGUUCGGAACCAUGCCCUUAAAACCAACAUACAUUCAGCUCGAGAUGGCAGAUCAGACAUUUCGAGAGGUUAAAGGUACAGUAACUAAUGUACCUGUCAAAAUAGAUGAUCAUUUUGUCUACACAGACUUUCCGGUUAUUGACAUGGGAGAAGACGAAUACGAUCCAUCCAUCAUCCUUGGAAGACCAUUCCUCAGCACCGUUAAAGCAAUCAUCUACAUUGGAACUGGAGAAGUCCAUAUGCACUUACCCUCAGAGAAGGUACGCCGCUAUUUUACUGACCCUAACUAUAUUGUUGAAGACUCUAAGCAGGUUAGGACAAGAAGAAGACGACGCAACCACAACUAGAGGAGGCAAAUCAUCAAGGACGGAUGGGCAGACUAUGAAGGAGAAGUUAUAACAUCUGAGGACAUACAGCUUGAACAGUAUUAUCCUCAGGAGACCGUAGCACCGAGUCAGGUGUGGAGAGAGAAGAUAACUAUACAUGAAGAGGAGGCGCCACUGGAAGUACCGACUGCGCCACCCAAUGAAUCCCACGACAAUUGAGAAAACAGAGAGUCCCGUUCGGAGGACUUAAAAACACCGAACGCCUUGCCAAGAGGUAAACUUUGUAGUUAUCCUUUCCCUUUCAAUUAUUUCAAACAGUUUACCUAGUUAAUCAUGUUCGUACUAUCCUAAAAAGAAAAAUAAAAAUGUUAAAAAAUAGUAAGCCCCAUGUGAGUAUACGAGUGGCAUGAAACCCAUAAGUACAUUCACUGUGGUGGCAUAAAAAUAAAAUAAAUAUUUCUUUUCUGCCUUAUAAAAUGAAAAUAUAAAAAUAGGGAGUAAUAUUUAUGGAGGAAGCUCAACAUGAAAAAGGCUAGAUAUUUAUGCUAACACUUAAUUAGUUCCACAAAGCUCUGUUGUCUAUUUGAGCUCCACAAAAUUUAAGAAUCAAGAAGACUAGCAGACGGAGGACAUUCUAAUCGCUGUCAGGAUACUGCCGACUUUCAAAUACACCUCUGCCACCUGCUAGCUACAUCAAGAAAAAUUACGUCAAAAUUCAGGUUGGGGGAGAGCACCCCCAUUUAUCCCGCAAGUAUCUCUAUCUGUCUUUAUACUAUAUGGAUAUACAUAACUAUGAAAAACCAAAUAAAGAUUUGGUGCUUAUAUAUAUAUAUAUCUUUUGCUUAGUGUUCUUAAUAAAUAAAUAAAGUGGCUAUGCUAAACUAAAUCUUAAUAAUAAAACUAUAGCAUGGAUAUGAUGAAUACUUGCUCUGCCUAAUUUUCAAAUUUAAGUUCUCUCUCAAGUUUAGACAUAACUGUUAUAAUUUAAAGCUUGCUCUAGACCUAAACUUGUGGGAAGAAAACUUGAUCUAAAGUCUAAGUUGUUAACAGAUAUGAUAUGGGAAGGUUGAGCUGCUGUUUAUCUGUUACUAGAGAUGCUAGAAUUCUGGAGAAUUUUAUCUUUGAAAAUCUUUAAAAUACUACAUGAUGAGUUCCUGUAUGAUGAGAGUUUAAAUUCCUACCACACCCAUAUAUACAUGCUUGCUAGACUUUGAGGCACACAUUUACUUUUUACUUCUUAUGAGCAUUGAGUGUGGUCAAGCUGUGUAGACCCUUAGGAGCUUGUCAUGUGGUUAAAAUCAAGAUUCACUUGCACGUUCACUCACAUAUGCUGCUUCAACUCCGGAAGUACGCAUCCACAUAUAUCCACCCAUUUCCACCUCCAUAACUACCCAAAAAUAUUCUACUCCUAAUCCGAGAGAGAAUAGCCAAAAAUAUUUCUGUUUUUCCCCUGUGAAAUAAAUGCUCAAGUUAUCUUGGUUACUACCACUUGCUAUAUUAUCUCAUGAGAUGAGUGCUCUAAAAAAAAGAGAUACGAGGAAAUAAAAAGGGUCAAGUGCCCGGAAGCUCGAAAGAAAAGAAAAAGUGAGACGAGAGGUAAAAAUGGACAAGUGUCCGACAAUAGAAUUAGGGGUACAAAAUACCCACCUGAGAGAAAAGAAAAAGAAAAUACAGAGCAUCUCAUUCUCUUCAAAAAGUUUCAAAAGAGCAAGGAAGAUAUAUAUCCCCUCAAAAGAGCAAAACUAGAAUUAGACUUUCACCAUUGUGAUCACCAUCAUCACCAUACACCAUUCAUUCGCCACACAUGCACAUCAUGAUUCGACUAAUUGACUUGUUUCUUUUGAUCCAUGGUUUGACUAUGCAAUAAAUGUCUUGUAAGUAUGUAUACUUUAUCUCCCACCUAUGAGCUCUAGAUAUCAAAAGCUUUAUUAGAGUAGGGUGAGAGAGAAGGCAAUGUUACUAUGCCUUAUACCACAAAUACUACAUUUUGAGAGAAGGCAUAUACCAUCACUGCCUUGGUAAGGAUCCAGAAAUACCACAAAAGAGAGAUAUGAGAGAGUCAUACAAGGAAUCUAUGAGUUUUAUUUGAAAAUCUACAAAAACUCCAGAUCUAUAGCUGAUCAAGAAUAAGAGACAUGUGAAAGCCCAAGUUUGGUUUUGGUAAUUAAUGACACCAAGUUGCUAAUGACUCGUGUUUAAGUGAUUUGAGUUAGGCAUAGGAACACAUGUGAUGAAGGUACAUGGUGGCAUGGAAAGGUGGCCACAUGAUCACAAAGGGAUGAAGCAUGAAGUAAAGAUCAUGGUGAUAGACGAGGCGCAAAGUGAUCAAGGCAAAGGUAUAAACAUAGGGUUUUACUUUUGCCGGUCUAAGAGUAGUAGAGAAGUGAUUGACUGAGUUUAGGAUAGAUAGCCGACUAUCAAGAGGGGAAAUCACGGUUAUCUCUUGAAUCAAGUGCUACUAGGUCUACAUCUUGAGCAUAUGCAUUAGGAUCUAGUAAAGUGCUAACUUAACUCCUUUGGGAAAAUGUUUGUGAAAAGCUAACACACAUGCACUUUGGUGGUGGACACUUGUUGGUGUUAGCACUUUUGCAAAGGAGGUGGAGUUCCUAGGGUUGAGAGGGGUUUGGAGAAAAAUAAGUGUUUAUUUUCUAAUGCACCGGUGGGAAAUUUGGAGAAGUCACGGGAGUGUUUUUCUUACUGAGAAACACUCACUGGACGCUGAGUGCGGAGGCACCGGACGCUGGCCUCAGAGUCCUGUGUGCUUGACCCUGCUAGGGUUGAGCACCGGACGCAUUCUGAGAGCGUCCGGUGUGCGGGUGUUUUGCGAUCCUCUCUGCGCAUGGGUCCGGUGAGCACCGGACGCUACCGGUGCUUAGCGUCCGGUGACCCGCAGGAUUGCGGAACUCUCUGCGCAUGAGUCCGCUAUGCACUGGACGCGUCCGGUGUGGACCUGCAGAGCGUCCGGUGACCCGCAGGUGACUGUUGGAGACUGACGCGCGAGAUUCAAAGAGGACACAUGGCCUACCCCUGAGCACCGAACGCUGGAGGUCAAGUGUCUGGAGAUCACUUGGUAGCGUCCGGUGCCCCCGUUUUGAGCCAAGUGAAAGUGGCCAACGGCUAGUUCCUUGAGGGGCUUAUAAAUAGAAGGUGGCCGGCUUUGGGAGGCUCACUCUUGCACACUUGAAUACUUGAGGCAUACAUUGAGCUAGAGAACGCUCCCUCCACUCAUCUUCUUGCUUGAUUGCUAAUCCUAGUGAGAUUGACUGAGAUUCAAGUGCAUUGCUUUAAGAGUUGCAUUUAGUGGCACUUGAUUCUUGAGUUUGCUGUCGAUUUCUUGUUACUCUUGGGUGUUUCCCGACGCCCUAGACGGCUUGGAGCAGCGGUGGUGUUGAACUCGUGAUUGGAGAUUGUUUCGAGCCUCACCAAGUGAUUUGUGAGGGGUUCUUGAGCCUUCCCCGCGGGAGAUCGCAAUUAGCUACUCUAGUGGAUUGCUCGUGGCUUGUAGGAUCCCCAUCUUGUGAGUGGAUGUGCGGCACCCGCUGAGGGUUUGGCUUUGGAUUGCCAAUAAGCUCGUGAUCCAUCAAGUGGGUGUAUCGCCACAACGAGGACUAGCUUGCUGGGAAGCAAGUGAACCUCGGUAAAAAAUCUUGUGCCAUCACUUGCCGAGGAUUCUCUUUGUGAUUGUGAGUGAUUGGUUGGAUAUAUCUCUACUCUACAACGUUGGUAUAACAAUCACUCCCCUCUCCUUUACUUAUCUGUAUACCUUGCUAGUUGUUUAGCUUGUUUAGUUUAGUCUUCUUGUUUAGGAGUGUAGCAAGCUUCUAGUUGUGCUUUCUUGUUGUAACUAGUGUUUAGCUUUCUUGCUAGACUUGUGUAGGUGGCUUGCAUAACUUAGUUGUGCUAGUGCUAGAAUAGCUUCGCCUUUUGUUUUACUAAUCAACUUGUCUAGUUGAAGUUUGUAGAAUUUUUAAAUAGGCUGUUCACCCCCCUCUAGCCAUUUGGACCUUUCAACAUGACACUUGAUUAGACCGUUCUAUCUUUUAACUACUCAAGACAGAAGUGACGGUUACAAGUCCCAUGGUGAAAGGUAGCUAAGUAAGUUUUAAGUCUUGACAGUUUACUCUAACUCAGAGAUGAGAUCUUAUUUAAAAGCAUGUGUACCGUCAAUUUUCAAAAGUAUUGCAGCAACUUCUGAUCCAUCGCUGAGAUUAUCCUUGCUCAGGGAUGAGCAAGAGGUAAGCUUGGGGGAGUUUGUUGACGGUCCUUAAGUAUCAAAUUUAAUUAUCAAAUAAAUAAAGAAAAGGAUCCAAAUGAAAUCAACAUCCAGACUUAGGGUUUUAUCUGACAAAAUUCCACAAGUUUUGGUGUUUGUCUAUUUCUGCAGGGGGUUAUCAGGAAAUACGGAAGAAAGGCCCACAUGUCGGGAUUACAUAGAGAUAUUAACGUGCCGCGCAAUUAUCUUACAUCUAGAAGACUCUAGAAGCCACGGGAACGAAGCGGAGGCGAAACGGGGCCUGGCCCUGGGCGCCCGCCCCCUGUAGAGUCCAAUCAGAACUCUCUUAUGGGAUCAAGCUCCACCGACCUAAAGGAUCAAGGAUAACCGUUCAAUCAAUGUCGGUUUGAUCCGAUGGCCCAUAUUCACUUGGAGGGACUAUGAAACCAGACCCCCUAGCCCCUGGAGGAGAGAGCCUCUCAACCCUAAUUCAUUAUUCCUCAAGGGAGAAGAAGCCUCUGAUCAAGCCUAGAGCCACCACAUCAAUUAGACAUCUAAAUUAGCAUAGCUACAUAGGAUUAGAACUAGAAGGAGUCAAUCUUCGAUUGGUUUCUGGAUCUAUCAAGAGGAUUCUUGGUAAUUCUCUAAUUGUUCUUCUAAUUGUUCAUCUUUGUUCUUCAAUAUUAUGAAUAUGACUUUGUUCUACUUCAAUAUAUUGCUUAUGACUUUGCUCUACUUGUUUAUAUUCGUAAUUAUAUUGUUCUUAGUUUAUCAUAGUUAUAUACUUGGCUUAGUUAGAUUGGAAUUAUAUACAUGUUUAGGAUCGUAUAGCGUUUGUCCAUAGGAUCCAUGGGUAAAUGAUAGAUAUUGUGUAGGCGUGGUGCUUAUACCGUAUUUAUCUGCGAUUGUACCCAAUAUGCCAGAUCGCGGGGUAGUUCGUGAUAGUGACAGCUUCAUUGAUUCUUAUAUAGUCCCCCUCUCGUGUAUAGGGCUGGCAGAGCAACAUUAUUAUAGGGGAGUGAUUGCUAUGUUUCUCAUAUUCUUUAAUAAUAUCACUAUGCAUGGGUGUAAUCCUGUCUCGCAAUGAUUGGUAAGUAUACUUGCACUAACUAUGAUAAUGCUAGACUGUAUAGUUGAGAAUAACAUAGGAAAUAUUCUUGUAGUUCAUUCUAAUUCCAUGCUAAUGACUUGCUAGAAUAUCUAAUUGAGGUGCUUAUCAUAUUUAUAUGUGGCUAAGUUAUGCUGAUUAGAUUAAUUAUCUUUGUCACUAUUCAUUACUUUAUAUAAAUCUUUUAUGUGACACUUAUCCCUGUAUGAAAGAGUUAGAUAAAUGUUCUCAAUUAUACAUGCAAUGAUAGAUACUCAAUCUUAUAUUCCAUUCUAUAAUCAACAUUGAUGAUUACUAAUCCCUUCCCAGUGGUAAAAAUAUAAAUAACGAUACCUGGAAUACUUCUCGGUUAAAAUGCUACAUCGGUAUUAAUCUGUGCGCUUGCAGAUCCCACUCAUUAUUUAUUUAAGAUGAGCAAUUGCAUAUUUCAAUAUCGUGUCUCUCAUGUCAUGCUGGGGAUGACAACUUGGCUUAAGUGGUAUGAGGGACAGGUUUGGCAUUUUUGGCACCGUUAUCAGAAUUAGAAAACUAAGUCUACUUUUGGUAGUGAUGUUAAGAAUACCCAACACGCACCUCUUCUCGCGCUCAACGUCAUCCUCCUUCACCGGAGGCCUAGAGGACCGGGCGUCGAUCGCCCCCUAACAAGAUAGGCACGAGUCUAAGAAAAAAUUAGAAAGAAGGAGACCGACAACAAGGGUCAAGAGACAAUAACUCGAGGGACUUACCAAAUCAUAGUAACCUUCCUCUAGCUUCAUGGGAAAGCUGUUCACCUGUUCUGGCUGGAAGUCGCCUGCGACGGCCGCCCUAACCCUGGCGGCAACCUCCUCAUCUGGAGGCGCCUUGUUAGACAUUCGGCAUGCCUCGAGGUCCCGCAGCGGAACGCCGGGGCCCAUCUCAUCCAUUCUCAGCAGUUGAGACAUCAACGGGAGCACCCGUCGAUGAUGGACCGCUGAGAGAACGAGUGUGGCGGUCAUGCCCUGCUCACGCAGCUUCUUCAGGGCAUCGAGAAGGGGGCGAAGCCGGCCUGGAGAGUCUUGACAACACCAUAGUUCCAGUUCUCUGGGCGCUCUGAGAUCAACUGCCCAGUGUAGGCGGGGAAGAGGUCGUCGUCAUUGCGGAGAUAGAACCACUGAGAAUCCCACUGGGAGUGGUUGGACGUCAGCCCAAUAGGAAUGUACUCUCGAGGCUCCUCUACGUGGCCUGUCUUUUGGACUAAGUUGAGGCAGUCAGCCCGCACCGGCUUCCUCACCCCAGCGGUCCCACCGGGAGCACGAAAUAGCUCGCCCCGGUAGUGGUGGAGCCACAAGUCCCAGUGCAGCAUCACCCCCAAGUAGCCCUCACACACCGUGGCAAAGAUCGCCGCGGCGGUGAUAGCAUUGGGGGAGAAGUGCUGGAGCUCGACACCGUAGUGGUGGCAGAGCGCCCUCAUGAAGCGGCUCGGAGGGGAUCCGAGCCUGUGGUGGUGGAACUUGGCGAAGGAGACGACGUAGCCCUUCGGCGGGUUUGACUCCUGGUGAUCCGCCGGCGGCAAGAUCCACUCAGGCCGCGUCGAAGAAGCACGGGGGCGUAGGAACCCCUCCUCCAAGUCACGCAGCCGGCGCUCCAUCAUGGUCGACGGGCGCCAAUCGUCGGCGGUGAUGAGUCUCACCAGCAUCUCGUCAGGAGGUGGAGGGCGACUCUACAAAUCUCUCCGCUCGAGGGAGUGUGGUGCUUCAGGCACGCAAGAAAAUGCAGAGGAAGCAAGGGCGAGAGCAAUGGUAGGAGACGGAAGAGACGACAGCCGGACGACCCCUCGAUAUUUAUAGACACCCCCAGCGGGCGGAUCCGACAAAUGUGGUAACUUCCUCAAUAAAUGCGCCUCCUAACGGUUCUAUUUCUCUCUGGCAGGGCAUUGCAGACUCUGCCAACGGACCAGCGCUGCAACGGCUCCCUCCUAAAAAGGUGCUUCCAACGGGCAAGAAAGCAAACUGCCACAACUCUUCCUUCCGUCGCAAGGUAAGAUGGGCGCACGCCACCAUAGGAACCUCGAGGGAGCGUAGACCGGCCCACUGGAUGGGUUCGACGAUCGCCCUUGAGUACCCGAGUCAGGGGCACCUAGCGAGGUGUCGAAAUGAGGGAAACCUCGAGAACUCGCUGGGAGUAUCCAAGGCAGAGGCAAGAAGGUCGAGAGGAAUCCCCACGGAGGGAGGCGUCGAGCCGCUGGACUCUAUCGAAUGAGACCAGUAUCCUCGACUGCGCUAGCCUAGCUUUAAUGAGGAUGCCUCCGGGCUGCAGCCAACCCCAUCGAAUGGGGCAUGGAUUCUCGCUUGGAUUACCCGAUAAAAGCUCACCCAGGUCGAUGACGCUCGCUCCAUCGGCAGUACGUUGCGCUCCUAGCCUCGAAAAGGUAAAAACGGCCCAUGAGGGUUGAGGGCUCCCUUCCAGAAUGAACGCCCUGUAGAGGAAAGAAAUUUUGAGAGAGGACACAUCGGAAAAAGCGAUACAGCCCUCGAAGGAGUUCAAUAAUCCUUCAAGGUCUCGGGGGCUACCCCCACGGAAACUCAACCAUCAGAAGAACCCCUGCUCGAACACAAGUACUCGAACAAGGGCUCGGGGGCUACUGUCGAGGAUGUCAAUAGGGGGUACCCCAGCCAACGCUCGGAAUGUAAGGACCCACAAAUAAAAUUGAGGCUCAAGCUCGACGCUCCGACAUAAAUACAGGAUCACCAGGCAUGGUAUCGACCAUAGCCUCGAACCCAGAGACAAGGUCGUGCGAAUCGACAAGGGCUCGAUACCGGCAACCGUCGACUAUGGAGAUAGCGUCGAGCGAAUCGACAGGCCUCGAGCGCAAAAGCGCUCCCCCGCCGCCUGUCGCGGGUACGGAAGCCAGGGCUUUUGAUGCGACUGCCAUGCUCCCACCUAACCCGACAGUCACGGGAAGCAUGAUAGGGGAACAAGCACCCAUCGAAAUAUUCACUUUUUCCAGCUUUAUCCCCAAGGUUGGAUAAAGGUACGACUCGGCACAGUGCUGCAGGCAUAAUAUCCCAUCGCGGCACCCCUCGAGACGCACAAAGUCAACGCUCCCACGUGACAAGGCCGCCCGUGCCGUCCGACCCUCGAGCAGACACGUUCCUUCCCAGGAAAGGAUCGUGCGACGGAAGUCAGCGCUUCAACCACCCCAGACGUGACUACCGCCACGACGUACAAGCGUGCUCGCGCCUAAGCCAAUACCAGACGAUGUACAUGAGAUGAAUUCAGGAAACGUACGCACCAUCAUCACCAAAGUACCUCGUAACAUGACGGCUCGAGGCCACACCGGUACGAAAGCCUCGAGUAGGCUGACGCUAUACCCCUAUCGAGGCUUAUUCUAAUGCCUACACCCUGUAACCUAGGUCUCCCCUUGGAACUAUAAAAGGGGACACCAUGGACGACAUUCGGGAGGGGACACAACGCAUAGAACACGAUUCUCAUACCACCUCCACCAUCGGCUAGGACAUAGAACUCUUAACCACAUCCACUUGUAUUCACCCCGGUACAAGCACUUAGGUGCAAGAUAAUAUAAAGUCUCCCCCCUCGCUGGACGUAUGGUCUUCUUUUACUCGAACCAGGAUAAAUCUUUGUGUCACUCUUGUAUCACCAUCCGGAAAAGGGAGCACGUACACAAAUUCACUCGUUGGUGUCAGCCCCAGGGUCAAAACACUGACACAUAAUUUGAAAUGAGGAGGCAAGGGAACAAACUAAACUCUAAGGUAACAUGAUUGGUAGGUGGCAUAAGCGUGCAUGUGUGCUUUCCAUCAGAAAGCUACUAUGGCACCACUCUAUAACACUAUGUAAUAUUCUUGCGCAUCACAGCAGAUAAGUCAAAUUGUUAUGCACAACGGUAGGUGGUAAUAACGACCUUUUGUCCUACAUAUAUUCGUUCUCUUUACGCUUGCCGUAUGUUGCAUGCAUGCGCGUAUAUGGUGGUCUGGAUAACUGUAACUGAUUCCGCAGGGGCCCCGCUGAUGGAUCAUCAUUGAGUACUGCCUUUGCAAUGUAUUGAAAGGUCAACAACAACAACGUACACGUGGAUCAUUGUCGUCGUAAAGCCGUACGUACGUAUAUACAAACCACACAAUAUUAAUGCAAACAUGCAUAUAUUCCCCAUGCAGUUACAUACCCAAAACUUUACGCGUGUGACCCGACGCGUCCCUUCGUUACUCUAUGAUUUGGCACCGAGAGACAAAUCUUAAAAAUACAUCGGGAGCAACCAAUGCUUGUCACCAAAUAUAUGGAACAUGUGUGUAAACUAGUAGCACUACUACAACUUCGCCUUCAUGCAUGUGGGGGUACUUGUGCAUUACUGGUUUGCCGGUAAGUGGGACCAGCACAAAAGAAUUGAAACCCUAGCCAGACAGAGCUAGCUACGUGUUUCGACGUACCAUCAUGCGGGCGUUACAUGGGCCAUGGCAAUGCAACGAGAAGAAGCAAUGUCAGCUUGCUGGUCUGGUAUACAUGCAUGGAUGCAUCUAUCGGUGAUGGAUCUCUAUAUAUCUGCAUGUGUCUGCCACCGCAAAUAAUUGCUACCACUCGAAUGCAUCUCGAUCUGUGUAUUAGUAACAGUAAUAUACAUGUUGUGGAUAUAGCUAGCUAGCUUCAGGAGUAUAUUAUCUUGUGCCCUGAAGUGACUUGGCAGCAAAGCUCCGCCUCCGGUGAUGUCAUGAGAGCUGCUAGGUGUCUAUAUACCCCCUCUCUAGCUUAGCUUGUUGUUAUCUCGGCUCGUCGAAACGGCGACCGGCGGUCAGGUCGAAAGAGUUGUUGGCGUGUGUUUGUUUUCAUGGUCGAAUGAUUAAUCUGACUGGACAAGAAGAAUAUAAUCCGGUAUGGUACUAGACUAGAUUGCUUCUGUAACAGCUAGAGAGCGCUGGUAUAUAUAUUGUGUCUCUGUUUGGUGGUGUUGGACGAUAAGGUGGCAGCUUUGUUUGCAUUGUACUUCUACUCAUCAGGACCGGUAUGCGUGCCCCGAUUUAGGAUGGAGUAAUUCAGAGGAACACUUCACACAUGGUUGGGCUUGGGCAUUAGAAGACAUGCAUGAAACUCAUUCGUGCAAGGGAAUGGGGAGACCGAACUUUCUGAAUAAAAUCUAACAACUUAAAAAUGAUUAAUAAGCAAUUUGUAAUCCUUAGAUUGGGUUUAAUAAUAUACAAUAUCAAAAGAUCAUUCAACAUUCAAAUUAGUUAACUAGUGCUUGAAAUUUAUUGGAAAAUUUUCAAACAUGUUGUUAUUUGGGUGAUUGAAGAAGCCGGACGAUGGGCUUGGGCCGAAACCUAGGUUACGCGGCGGCCGCCCCCCACUCCGUGCCGCUGGCCGCCUCGCCGACAACGACGGCCCCCUCCACUGCCUUGCCACCCUUGCAGAACCUGCAUCCUCCUGCUACUCCGCCAAUUCUGCGAUGGGACGCCACUGCUCAACCUCGUCGCUGCUGGACUUCGGUCCGGCGCCAUCGACCCCUCCUCACCUCCCCCUCUCCGUUCCUCUGAUGGGGUUGGAUCUCUCGUGCUCCGGCAAGGCACUGGCAAAAAUGCGGCUCGGGGGAGGACCACUACUACAGAAAUAUUUAACCGUGGCGGGCAAAACAGGUUAACAGAGGUGGCUGUUUUAAAGCAACCGCUUCCGUUAAUAUGGUAACCGAGAUGGUUUUUUAAAACUGCUUUGUUAAUGUAUUAAUAGAGGCGGUUUUUGCAACUUGCCCGCCUCCUUUAAGUGUAUCCAGAUUAAAAAAACCUCAUUUCAGUUUAUUUUUAAAUUUGAAACAAAAAUUUGUUAGGUUGAAACAUAUAUAAAGCAAAAUACAUAUGUAUAAAGGAUGACCACAUUGAAUCCGAAAUUUGCAAAAGAUUGAAACAUAUACAGAGCAAAAGACAUAAGGAUAAGCACAUAUAUUACAUCCAUCAUAUACAGAGCAAAAGACAUAAGGAUAAGCACAUAUAUUACAUCCAUAUAUGUCAUCUUUAUCGACGGUCCAUGCAUGUCACAAACUAUGUUCAUAUUACAUCAAUGUACAUAAUGUUCAUAAAAAGCACAUCUAAAAUAAUGUUCACUCAAAAAUACCCGACAACCUAUAGUCGUUCAUAUCUAAACUGUUGGUUCUCCAGUUGCGUAGCUUCUCGAACUUCUCUUCUCUCGCUAGCUCGCUCCCGGUAUAGAAGAACUGUCCGUCAACGUGACAACAUUGAUCCGUGACAGACUUACAAAUGUCAGCUACAGUUUGUGUGAUGGUCCUUUGAUCAAUUGUUUCGUUUUCCUACAAACUUUGGAAUUUCUGCAAUUGCCGCUAGCUAUUGUUGAAUUUCCCGCAAGCCCUGAGGUACUCACAAGCAUAGUACCCACACAGAACUGAGCCUUCAAGUUGUUUAGCGCACUGCAUGCAUGAUGAAGGUAACACAUGAAAAUUAUGACUGGUAGAAGUAUCCCUACAAGACAACUAUAAGUAGUAGUAGAACUAAAGGCAGGCAGAGUAAGUACCAGGAAGUCUCGCCUCACUAACAAUUUGUGGCCAUACUUUUGCUUGUCUUUCUCAGACCUCCGAUCAUUGCAGCUGGGGUCGUCCACGUACUUUUGGUAAGCACUGUAUGAAAACUACUAGUGUUAACAACAGAUUUCAUACGUAUUUGAGUGCAUGAGGUGUGUCGUCACUUACCAUCGCAGGAUACUUUCGAAAUGCUUGUAUCCUUCUUUGUUCGAGUGUCGCAAGGAGUCGAAUACGACAGCCUUCCCAUCCUGAGGAUAGAUCAUAAAUACAAUCUAGGGGCCCAUGACGCCUAAGCUGUACCAUUGAAAUAAUAUUGAUCUCAAAUCUUCAAAUAUAAAAAGUGACAAACCUAGUAGCUAUUGUAAGUAUCAUUUUGACAAUAGCCCUUUGUGUUUGCAGAUCAGUUUUGCAUCAACACAUGUUUUGGUACGCCCGGUGGGACAGAUUCAAGAUCAAGAUCGACAUGGCGAAUACCGAGUUCGAUUUGGAGAACGUCAUCCCUGUGACGGAAGCCAAUCUCAGAGAUGAGCAAAAGCAAGCUAUUGCAAAAGCCAUGGAGGACUACAAGCAGCAAUGUUUGAAAUCCUUCAGCAUCAACAGGAGUGGCGAAGUAAUCUAGAAAGAAGCAUUGCCGGCACCUCGGCAGGUUACUUUUGAAGCCAAUCCUGGUAAACUUCAAUACAUGGUUGAUAAUGCUAUUAAUCGUACCUUAAUCAAUCAAGCUGGUGUGCUGUCCAAUACGGUUUUCAGUGCCGUGGCUAGAACUUUCAAAGAAGGACAAUUGCCACCAAAUUAUGUGGGCCCUGUCUAUCAUCAGCCAAGAUCACCAGUGGUUACAGCUCCAUCGGCUACUACAGCCGCUGCGGGUUUAGAGGUUACUUCUCCUCCAAGUACGUUAGGAGUCACUAAUGCACAAUCUACACCGAUGACGACCAAUCCAUCAACAUCGGACGAGCAAAUCAAGCUUGCCACAGAUCUAUUGGCAUCGGCAAUGUCAGGAUCUGUUCCUCCUAACUGGUGGGGUUAUGGUAUGCCCCCAGAGAUGAUGUUGAAGACUCCUGGAACGUCUCAAGUGGCUGACUUGACGGGCAAGGCUCCUAUGACAUCGGCACCUCCAAAUCUGCCGAUGAAUCAGAGUCCCCAGUAUACUACAACUACUACUGCAAGACCUUACACUGGGAAUUCUCAAUUUCCAACGUUCCAAAUGCCUAUGCAUCGGCAGAUUCAAUGCCGACGCAGCAAAGGUUUAUGACACAGCCAGGGUACGUCAGUUCAAUGAUGAUGCCCAAUCACCAGUCAUCAGCAGGGUUUAUGCUAAUGAAUGCUAACAGUGGAUGGAAUAGACAGCUAGUCUUUCCAGAGAUGCAUCAGCAGAAUCAUCAGACUGCAGGGUUUCAACAGGGACAAAUCCAACCUGGGUUUCAGAAUCAAGGGUUCGCCAACCAACCGAUGAACCUCGGUUAGCAGAUUGGUGGUUAGAUGAUCAACCCCAUGUUCCAUGCAGAUCGUGCACCCCAGAGACACGUGGAAGCAUAUCAGCAGGUGCCAGAUCCGCAACCACCUCAUAGGCAAGAUGCCGAUGCCUACUGGGCCGAUAAGAUAGUUGAAGUAAUGAGAGACCAAUUCGGGAUAAAACCCAAAGUCAAUACUUACUCUUAUCGGACACCAUAUCCUCCUGCAUAUGACCUGAUUCCACUUCCAAAUCGGUACAAGGUACCAGACUUCACUAAGUUUUCUGGACAGGAUGAUACAUCGACUAUGGAGCAUGUCAACAGGUUUAUCAUUUAAUGUGGCGAGCUGCUACAGAGAUGAGUUAAGGGUUCGACUGUUCUCAUCAUCUUUAUCUAGAUCGGCUUUCACUUGGUUUAUUUCGUUACCUCCUAACUCGGUGAUCACUUGGGUCGAUCUAGAGAAGCAGUUCCACAAGUACUUCUUCUCUGGAGUUCAUGAGAAGAAAAUUACCGAUUUAGUCAGGUUGAAGCAACGCAAUGAUGAAUCGGUUGAAUGUUUUGUGCAGAGAUUGCGGGAGGUCAAGAAUAAAUGCUAUAGUCUGGGUCUAGAUGAUCGGCAGCUAGCCGAUUUGGCUUUCCAGGGUUUAUUGCCACACAUCAGGGACAAAUAUGCUUCUCAAGAGUUCAAGAGCCUGAGUCACUUGGUGCAGAGGAUUUCGAUCAGGAUAUCAAACCCUUUGAACCUAAGAGAGCUUGGAACAAAAAGUGUCAUUUGUUGAUGAAGCAGCAAGCUCAGAUUCUGAUGAAGAGCUAGUGAUCGGCUUGGCAGAAUGGGUGAAGAAUAAAAAGCCGAUGUCUUGCCCUUUUGGGCAUAAGGAGCCAGAAAAGUUUGCAUUUGAUAUUACCAAGGCUGAUAGGAUAUUUGACUUUCUACUUCAAGAAGGGCAAAUCAAAUUGUCGCCCAAUCAUGUAAUUCCAUCAGCUGAGGAAUUAAAGAAGAUGAAAUAUUGCAAGUGGCAUAAUGCGACAUCUCACAGCACGAAUGAGUGCAAGGUUUUCAGGCAACAGCUGCAAUCGGCUAUAGAAUCUGGGAGGAUCAAGUUCGAUAGUUCCAAACGUCAGAUGCCAAUGAAAAUUGAUCAACAUCCUUUCUCGACAAAUAUGCUGGAUGCUAAGGGAAAAACCAAGGUCUUGACGUCAGAAGCAGCUGAGAAGUGUGCACCGGUAGAUCCUCAGCAUCAGAUUACUGCUACAGAUGCAAAGGGAAAGGGUUUGAUCCAGGAAGGAACUAGCUCAGGAAGGCCGCCCCGAUCUGGCAUUGUGAUAACUCAUAGGAGGCAUCGGGAGACUUGGCAGCAACGAGAAGAUUGGUAUCGGCGUCAGUAGGAGGAUUACCGUCGGGAAGAAGAAAGACGUCGACACGAGUGGAAUCGGCACAAGGACCACUGGAACUGCCCGUUCUUUAUCCAUUGCUGAGAACAGAACAUCAAAUUGCCCACUGUUAGGGACUGCCCUGAGUGCAAUGGUUAUGAUCGGUAUGACAGACCUAAUCGGCAGUAUCAGAAUGAUGAUCGGCGGUUUAAUGGGCCGAUUAGGGGGAGAGCGUCAGUUCAUGAUUGACUGGGGGACAGACUCAGUGUGCAUGACAGACUUGGUGAUCGUGUCGAGUAUUUUCCUAGGAACCAAGAGAAACUUGAGGAGAUGGCCAAUGCACGAGUUCCCGAUGAGUUCAUAUUUUGCAGAGACGCCAAUACCUAUCGAGUGGAGUCAAGGGAAAAUCGUCGCCCAUCGGUGAGGCAGUCACAGGUUCCUCCAUGGUGUCCAGAGGGGUUGACUAGGACACAGAAAAGGAGGCUGCAGCGCGAAAGGCGAGAAGUGCUAAACAAAGGCGAGAAUUCUGGCCAAUCUGGAGAUCAGCAGCAACCGGAUCCUAAGGGAAAAGGGCCAUCGGCAGAUAUUAACAUGGUAUUUAUGUUGCCGAUGGAGUUUCUUGCGCCAUCCAGAGAUGAUGAGGAGCUGGGUUUUUCCGACCAAAUAGCUCAGUUGGCGCUGGAUCCGAUGACAACUAUCUUUGAAAAGCCUACUAAAAAUGAAAGGCAGCAUCUUAAGGCUUUAUUCGUCAAGGGACAGGUUGAUGGGCAGCCGAUGACCAAGAUAUUAGUCGAUGGUGGGGCCGCCAUCAAUAUUAUGCCAUAUGCAGUCUAUCGGAAGCUUGAAAAGGGGAAUUAAGAUUUCACCAAGACCGAUAUGAUGCUCAAGGACUUUGAAGGAAAUGUGUCUCUAGUUAAGGGGGCGAUAUGCGUCAAGUUGACAAUUGGCAGCAAGAUUUUGCCGACAACUUUCUUCGUGAUCAGUGGAAAGGGUGCUUACAAUCUGUUGCUAGGGAGAGAUUGGAUCCAUGCCAAUUGUUGCAUCCCAUCGACAAUGCACCAAUGCUUUGUUCAGUGGGUAGGUGACAAGAUUGAGAUUGUCCUGGGAGAUUCUUCUUAUAUCAUUGCAUCGGCAGAAGCGAACACUUAUAAAAGGACUAGGUGUAUCUCGGGAGAGAUCUGGGAAAAGGAUUUCCUCAAAGUUGCCGAUUAUGAAAUUCCACCGAUCCAAGCAGUCGGUUCUGAUGAGGAGUUUUAAUGGAUAGGUUUGCCGAUGAUGGAAAAUUAGGCCAGGGGUUUACAUCGGCUGAUGAUUUAGUAGAGGUAGAUAUAGGUAAUGGAGAUAAGCCUAGACCUACUUUUAUUAGCGCUAAGUUAGAUUCUGAGUGUAAGCAACAGUUAACCGAUUUGUUAAAGGAAUAUAAAGAUUACUUUGCUUGGGAUUAUACUGAGAUGCCUGGUUUAGACCGAUCGAUUGUUGAACAUCGGUUACCGAUCAAGUCUAGAUUUCGGCCACAUCAGCAGCCAGCUCGCCGAUGUAAUCCUAAUAUUCUUUCUGAUAUCAAGGCCGAAAUAACCAAACUUAUCGAAGCUAAAUUUAUUCAGCAAUGUCGGUAUGCCGAGUGGAUUUCCAAUGUUGUUCUAGACUAGAAGAAAAAUGGGAAGCUUCAAGUUUGCAUUGAUUUCAGGAAUCUUAAUAAAGCUAUGCCGAUGGAUGGUUACCCGAUGCCGGUUGCUGACUUACUAGUUGAUGCUGCGGCCGGGCAUCGGAUCAUAAGCUUUAUGGAUGGCAAUGCAGGAUAUAAUCAAAUAUUCAUGGCUGAAGAAGAUAUUCCAAAGACUCCUGGUCAUGUUGGGUUGUUUGAAUGGAUAGUCAUGACCUUUGGGUUGAAAAAUGCUGGUGCUACCUAUCAAAGGGCUAUGAAUUUUAUCUUUCACGAGUUCAUCGGCAAGCUGGUAGAAAUUUACAUUGAUGAUGUGGUGGUUAAGUCUGAGGAUUUCACAAAGCAUCUUGCCGAUCUGCGAAAAGUAUUGGAGUGCACCAGAAAACAUGGUUUGAAGAUGAAUCCUAAUAAAUGUGCAUUUGGUGUAUCGGCACGGCAAUUUCUUGGUUUCAUGGUGCAUCAUAGAGGAAUUGAAAUUAGUAGACGAUCUAUUGAUGCUAUCAGCAAAAAAGUUGCUCCUACCAACAAAACUGAGCUCCAAUCUCUGAUCGGCAAAGUAAAUUUUAUCAGGCGGUUUAUCUCCAAUUUAUCUGGUAAAAUUCAUGCUUUUAGUCCUUUACUUAAAUUAAAAGCCGAUCAGGAAUUUAUAUGGGGAGAAGAGCAACAGUUGGCCUUAGAUGAAAUCAAGGGAUAUUUGACAAAUCCUCCAGUAUUAAUUCCACCUCAGCAAGGAAAGCCUUUCAGAUUAUAUUUGUCUACCGAUGGGAUGGUCAUCGGUUCGGCUUUAAUUCAAGAAUUUGAUACUAUUUAAGCAGAAGACUGAUUGAUGCUGAGACCAGGUAUUCGGCUAUUGAGAAAUUAUGUUUAUGCAUAUAUUUCUCAUGCAUUAAGUUGAGGCACUAUUUGCUGUCGGCCGAAUGCACUGUUAUAUGCAAAGAUGAUGUAGUCCGAUAUAUGCUGUCUAUGCCGAUUAUGAGUGGCAGGAUCGGUAAGUGGAUUUUGGCGUUGUCAGAAUUCGAUCUGCGUUACGAGUCGGCUAAAGCGGUUAAAGGGCAAAUUAUGGCCGAUUUUGUGACUCAACAUUGCGGUGUAGUGGAAACUUUCGAAAUUGUACCUUGGACGCUCUUCUUUGAUGGAUCCACGUGCGACGGGGGGCAGGAAUCGGCAUAGUGUUAAAUUCCCCUCAGGGAAGGAAGUAUGAGUUUUCUUUGCCGAUUGUUGCCACGUCAACAAAUAAUCAAGCCGAAUAUCAAGCUUUGAUCAAAGGGUUGGAAUUGUUAAAAGAAGUUCAUGCUGACGCUGUUGAAAUCUUCAGAGAUUCUAUGCUGGUUACAAAUCAAUUCGCUGGAAGCUAUGAAUGCCGAAGCGAAGUCCUGGUAACUUAUUACAAAAAGAGUAUGCGACUAUUAAGGGAAUUCAAAGAUGUCCGAUUAGAGCAUGUUCCUCGGUUAUAUAAUGAGGAGGCUAAUCGGUUGGCUCAGCAUGCCUCAGGGUAUCAACCCAUAUUGAACACAUUAUCGGCAAUCAGUGCCAAUGAUUGGAGAAAAGAAAUCAUUGAUUAUUUAAAGGAUCCAUCUAAGAAGGUUGAGAGGCGGAUUCGGUCUCAAGCUACCAAGUAUGUGCUCCUUGAAGAUGAAUUAUAUUAUCGAACAAUUGAUGAAGUUCUUCUCAAGUGCUUAGGUGAGGAUGAAGCUAAAGUUUGAUGGGAGAGCUCCAUGAAGGAGUGUGUGGAGCACAUCAGUCUGCUUUCAAGAUGAAAUGGAUGAUCAGGAGAAAUGGGUAUUAUUGGCCAACUAUACUUGAGGAUUGUUUUAAGUAUUUGAAAGGGUGUCAAGAAUGUCAGAAAUUUGGCAAUAUUCAAAGGGCGCCCGCAUCGGCCAUGAAUCCCAUUAUUAAAUCUUGGCCGUUCCGUGGAUGGACUAUUGAUCUAAUCGGCCAGAUUUACCCGCCAUCAAGCAAAGGGCAUAAAUUCAUCUUGGUUGCCACCGAUUAUUUCACCAAGUGGGUUGAAGCUAUUCCUUUGAAGAAAGUCACAUCAGCCAAUAUGAUUGAUUUUGUGAAAGAGCAUAUUAUUUACCGAUUUGGUAUUCCUCAAACAAUUACUACUGAUCAGGGUACUAUGUUUACAUCGGGGGAGUUUGAUGAGUUUGCAAUCGGUAUGGGAAUUAAAGUGUUAAAUUCUUCUCCUUAUUAUGCUCAAGCUAAUGGGCAGGCCGAGGCAUCUAACAAAGGAAUUAUCAAACUUAUUAAACGGAAGAUUGAAAAGAAUCCUAGGAGGUGGCAUACAUUGUUGAAUGAAGCUUUAUGGUCAUAUCGGAUGGCUUGUCAUGAGUCGACCAAAGUUUCACCUUAUCAGUUGGUGUAUGGACAUGAUGCAGUGCUACCUUGGGAAAUUAAGACUGGAUCUAGGCGACUAUCUUUUCAGGAUCAAUUGACUACCGAUGACUAUGCUACUUUGAUGACAGACGAGUUGGAUGAUUUAGCAGGGCAUCGGCUGAGGGCUUUGAUGAGUAUAGAAGAAAAUAAAAAGAGAGUUGCCAGAUGGUAUGAUAAGAAGAUAAAGGCUAAAGAGUUUUCCCAUGGAGAUUUAGUAUGGAAACUAAUCUUACCGAUCAGGACUAAAAGUUCAAAAUUUGGGAAGUGGUCUCCCAACUGGGAGGGUCCCUAUUGGAUAAAUCGAUCUACUCCUGGCAAUUCUUAUAUUUUAGAAACUCUCGAAGGAGUUGAAUUUCCCAGAGCAUUGAAUGGCAAAUACUUAAAGAAAUAUUAUCCUAGCAUAUGGCUUGAUGCAUAAAAAUUAAAGUGCCGAUAACAUUCCUAUCGGCUGGAUUAAAGUGUAUCUGGGACUGGACUCAAUGUUUUAAGGGUGCAGAUAACAGUCCUAUCAGCUAGACCAAAAUAAUCAGGAGUGUUUUAAAAGGAAGAAGCAAGACACGCCGCUGAUGAAGAGUUCAUAUGUUUAGCAGAGCCUGGAUCGUCGAUAUGGCGCGUAGACGAAUCUGAUUGGCUUCUUCUAUCUCCUUCAUGUCUUCAUCGACAGAGCCCUCCACUGGCUUCAGUUUCUUCUUCAUCUAUAGUGCCUUGCGAGCUUGGAUGUUUCGCUCCUGUUCCAGGGUCUUGAUUGCUUCAGGGAGCUGGCUUUCUUCCUGUUGAGCUUGGGACAGAGCUUCUUCCACUUGUUUGAGUUCUGCCAACAGGGCUUCUCUCUUUGCCGAUAGAUCAGAGAUCUUUUCCUUCAGCACAUAUCCUGAGGAUUUCAAAAUGCCGAUGCUCUUAUGCUUUUCAUCAGUAAGGAGCUUUACUUUCAUCAUCUCUUCUGAGAGCUGGGCGUGAGUAGCUCUAUCGGCAAGGCGCUGAGCAGCCUUUUAAUACGGAAGCUGUCGACUCUCCAAGUGAGCAGCCUUGAAGAGGAUCUCCUCGGCAUCAGCAGGAAUUUGGCCUCUGAGAGCCUUGAACAGGGCCUUGGCCGGAUCGGAGUCAUCAACCAACUGGGUCGUGUCUUGAUGAAGGAGGGCUGACAAAUCUUCCAACUUUGCUCUAAUCUCUGCCGAUGAGAUUCCAACCGCUCGAGAAGAACUUGCCUCCUCGCCUUCAUCCUCAGAGAUUUCGAUGGCGAAGGAGAACAAGUUGUCACGAUAAUCCUGUUCCUAAAAAGGAAGAUAAAAUAAGUUAUUUUAUGAUCAAGUAGUGGUGAUGAUAAAAUAGAGAUCGGCUAACUUACUUGUUUCAGAGCUAUCUAUCGCCUCUGACUAGUUGAGGCCGAUGGAACCACAGGUUGAUCGGCUGGAAUUGCCGAUGGGGCUAUGUCAGGUGAAAGAUUGACAUAAGUGAUUAAUAAAGUGGAAAGAUGGGUCCAUUGGCAGUGGUUUCACGGAUAGUAUUUUACCUUGAGGGGGUGCGGUACUUGUCUGAAUUAAGGAAACUACCGAUGCUAUGAUUAGGCUUGCUGGAUCGGUGGUAUGCUCGUGUACAUCAGCCGAUGUUUCUUCUAGAUGAGGUUCUUCUGGCUGGGGCUCUUCUUGUGAUUGAGGGGGAGAUGGUGCUUGCUGUGUCUGGGCUUCUGGAGAAGAAGGGGAUAAUUCUACUGGGAUCAGAGACCUUGGAGGAGGAGGAGGCGUUGCUGUUCUCUGGCGCUUUGCUUGUGAUCUGGUACUCUUGGAACCUUUUCUCUUCGGUUGACUGGACUGGGGGGCAUCGGCAGUCGUACUUCUGGUCUUUGCCGAUGUGCCGGUAUGCUGAUACAACAAUGAAAAGUUUAUGAGUACAAGUGUAACAGGGUAUUGAUGGAGUUCUGAUUAAAAUAAUCAAAGUUACCGAUGAAAUUCCCAUGUAAGCAUAAAAAUGGAAUCGGUAUAAGUUGAAGAAUUCGAUAGUUUACCUUGAAGGCUUGUGCCAAAGUGGUGUCAGCUACCGACGGGGAUGUUUUCAUUCGCUUGGUGGUGAUUUUCUUGAGACGCACACCCCGGUGCAUUAAAGCAGCCAAGGUUGGAGCGUUGUUGCCGAUCAAAGAGAUCGGGCCCGAUGGAAGGAGUUCGAUCGGCUUGCCACUUCUGCUAACUGAUGGUGGCGUAUCAUCGACCUGAAUGAAACAAAGAAAGUGAGUUGCCGAUAGAAAGUGAAAGGAUUGAAACAUCGGUUAAAAUACUUACAGUAUUAUCGGGGACCUUGUAUUUGGGGUCGAUCAUACCAUGAUAUGUCGGUGUUUUCCCCCUGGAGGGUAACACCAACGAGUAAAACUACUGCGUGCUCCCCUUUCCAGAUAGUGAUGCAAGAAAAGACACAAAAAUUUAUCCUGGUUCGGGCAAGAGAAGGCCCUACGUCCAGCGGGAGGGAGAGUGUUUGUAUUAUCUUGCACCUAAGUGCUUGUAUAGGGGUGAAUACAGGCGUGGGAUGGAUGGAGAUGGAGUAUGGGUGCUCUACUACGUAUGUCUUCCCCUUCGUAUCUGCUCCUGAGCUUCCCCUAGGUUACAUGCAUAGGCAAUAGAGUAGGGGUCGAUAGGGGUGCGGCGCGCUAACCUACUCGGGGCUCCCGUACCGGCAUGGCCUCGAACCGUCUUGUCUCGGUACCCUGAUGAUGAUUACGCGUGCCCCUGAAUCCUGCUCCUGUGCGCCGUCCUGGACCGGUUUAUCUGUUGCAUGCUUGUACGUCGCGACUGCGGCCGUGUCAGAAUGGUUGAGGUGUCGUCCUUCGCUGCCCGACCCUUCUCUGGGAAGGAACAUGCCUGCUCGAGGGUAAAACGUCGCUUAAAGCCUUGUUGAGCGAAGCGCUGACUUUGGAUGUCUCGAGGGGGGUCUUAACGGGACGUUUCGACUACCUCGCUGCUCCCGGCCACGCUCUGGCUCGUUCGGUGGGCAAGGCUGCAAAAAGAACGAUUGGACGGGUGCUGGUUUCCUAUCACGCUUCCCGCGACUCACGGGUUAGGUGAGAACGCGGCAGGCGCAUUAAAUGCCCUGGUUCCCGUGCCCGCAUCAGGUGGCGGGCGGCAUCCUUGCGCUCGAGGCCUUUUGAUUCGUACGAGCCUGUUUCCGUAUUCGACGGUAGCCGACGCUUGAGCCCCAGUCGAUUUGCAUGAUGCUCUUUCCGCGUUCGAGGCUACGGGCGUUGGUAACUGUGCGCGCGACCGGGGGGCGUCGAGUCAGGGGUCCUUGAUUUGCGUACGGGUGCUCUCGUCAUGUGCAUCAGUUAGGGUACCCCUUACUGAUACCCUCGACAGUAGCCCCCAAGUCUCUGCUCCAGCGCUUGCGCUCGAGUAGAGGCUCUUCUCAUUGGUCGAGGUUCCGUGGGGGUAGCCCCCGAGCCCUUGGAGGAGUUUUGACUCCUUCGAGGGUUAUGUUGCCCAAUCUGCGGAAGCGCUCUUGAUGUUCAUUGCGGAAGGUGGGUUAGAGGCUUAGAUUAGUUGACGCUCCCCGUGAUGCCCUUGAUGUUCGCGUUAGGGUUGUGACGUACUCCCGAUGGAGCGAGCGCCAUCUACCCUAGAUUGAGCUCCUAGCAGGUGAUCCAAGUGAGAACCUGUGCCCCGUUCGAGGGGGUCAGCUGUAGCCCGGAGGCGUUCUCAUAAAGCGGGGUCGACGUCGUCGGGGUUACUGGUCUCGUUCGAUAGAGUCCAGCGGCUCGAUGCCUCCCCUCGGGGGGAUUCCUCUCGACCGUCUCGUCCUCGCCUUGGACAUCCCCAGCGAGUCCUCGAGGCUGGCCUCGUUUUUCGACCGCUCGCUGGGCAUCCCUAUCUUGGGUACUCGAGAUCGGCUGUCGAACCCGUUCGGUGGGUUAGCCUGCGACCUCUCGAGAUUCUCAUUAUCAUGAGUACAUACCUGGGCUUAGAGGGGAAGGAAAGGAUCGCGGCGGUUCGCCUUUUUGCCCGUUGGGCGUGCCUUUUUAGGCGGGAGCCGUUGCGACACUGUACCGGCGCAGGAUUCGUAGCGUCCCGUCUGUGAGAGAGAGAAGGACCAUUAGGCCAGCCGUCUAUAAAUAUCCCUAAGUCUCCUGAUCGUUACUCCUUCUGUCUUUUGCCUUCAGCCUUUGCUCUUUCCUCUGCCUCCUUACCAUCUCACGCACGCAUGCACCCUCGAGCAGUAGCUCAAUUGUUCUUCUUCCUCCUCAAGAUGCCGGUGAGACUCAUCGCCGCCGAUGACUAGCGUCCGUCGUUGAUGACGGAGCGCCGGCUGUUGGAGCUCAAGAGGGAGGGGCUCCUGCGUCCCCACGUUUCGUCGUCGAGGCCAGAGUGGAUCUCGCCGGGACAAGGGCUACGUGGUCUCCUUCGCCAAGUUCCACCACCACGGCCUGGGCUCCCCUCCAAGUCGUUUCAUGCGGGCGCUCUGCCACCACUACGGGGUGGAGCUCCAGCAUUUUUCGCCGAAUGCCAUCACCGUCGCGGUGUGUGAAGGCUACCUCGGGAUGAUGCCACACUGGGACCUGUGGCUCCACUUGUACUGGGGCGAGCUCUUCCAUGCCCCCAGUGGAACCAUAGGGGUGAGGAAGCCGGUGCGGGCCGGGUGCCUCAACCUGGUGCUGAAGACCGACAAGGCGGAGAAACCACGUGAGUACAUCCCGGUGGGGUUGACGUCGAACCACGCCGGGUGGGACUCCCAAUGGUUCUUCCUGUGGAACGACGACGACCUCCUCCCUGCCUACACCGGGCGCUUGAUCUCGGAGUGCUCGGACCACUGGAGGUAUGGUGUUGUCCAGGCCCACCAACCAAGGCUCGACCCCAUCCUCGACGCCCUGAAGAAGCUGCGUGAGGAGGGCCUGACGGCCGCACUCGUCCUUUCCGCCGUUCAUCACCGACGGGUGCUCCCGUUGAUGUCUCGGCUGUUGAGGAUGGACGAAAUGGGCCCUGGCAUCUCGUCUCGCGUUUUCGAGGCUUGCUGGAUGUCUAAUGAAGCGCUUGCAGACGAUGAGGUUGCUACCAGAGUCAGGGCAGCCGUUGCAGGUGACUUUCAGCCUGAGCACGUCAACGGCUUCCCUAUGAGGCCCGAUCAGGGGUCGAUUGACCUGGUAAGUUAUUUUCCUAUUUAUGGUUCUGAUUCUCGAUUUUCUUCGAUCUUCUUUAAGACUUAUCUUUGCUCAUGCAGGGAUCGAUCGAUGCUCGAUCCUCGAAGCCUCCAGUGAAGGAGGAUGACGUGGAUCGCGACAAGAGGCGCGAGUCCGCGAAGAAGCUAAAGUCCACAAAGGACUUGGAAAAGAAGAAGGAAAAGAAGAAGAAUCUUGCGCGACAAGCAUUGGAGAAUCGUCGAGCGAAGUCCAGCUAGAGGGGGAGCCUGAGGAGGAAUCCCCCGAUGAGGAUGAUUGCGUCGAUGGUGACGACGACAGCGACGACUCCGAGGGGAUGGCGUCCCGUCUCGAUAGGAUCCUUGAGGAUCCGCCUCAGACCGGCGUCGACGUCCCGCGGACGAGAGUCCCUAAGGGGGCGCCAAGCGGGCCUCGUGAGAGUCAACAGAGGGAGUCAUCUCCACGCCGCUCUCGCGCCGACACUCCCCCAGCGCCUGCGCAAGGUCGGACCGUCCCCCGCCCCCAACCUCCUCCCGCAUCUAAGGUGGGCCACCGGGUUAAGUCUCUGGCGACGGGGUCGUUGACCUGUGGCCGCGCCGCGGCCUCGAGUAAGGGGGAAACGGGUCAUGGGAGUACUAGUCUAGUCGCUGGCCAGGCAGAAGACGCCGAGCCGAGACUUGCGCCCGUUCGUGAGGGGCCCGGAGCCUCGACGCGGGGUAGCUCGAGGCCUGCUAGUCGAAGCGCUGGUAGGUGGGUCGCUCUUCCUGUGGGGUGAGAUCUUCGACAUCAUGAUUCUUACCUUCCGAUGUCUUUGCAUUUUCUCGGGUAACGGCUUUUCUUACGCUUACUCCUCUUUCCUUAGGUUGAAGCGGCCGCUCGAACAGGCCCAGCCCUCGAUGGCCAAGAGGCUUAAGGUGGCAGCGGCUUCCAAAGACUUAGGUUAGCAAUUCAUUCCCGAUAUCAUGGGAGUUGUGUUACCCGAAAGUCAAUCAUCAUGGCGACUGACUUUUUGCUUUUGAGCGCUUACAUGCUCUUCCGAUCCUCGGCCGUCGACGGGUGUCGAGAGCACCCCGCCUCGUCCAUCGGUGGGGGAGUCCACCCCGCCAUCGCCGAAGCGGGUCGAGGCGCCUCGCUCCCAAGAGCAGGAGGGAGCCCCCAAGCCUCCCCGUUCUGGGGUCGAGGGGGAUCCUAUCACUAUAAGUGGCUGGUCCGGUGGCGACAGGCUUUCGAAGGACGCCCGCUCCACGGACGAGGAGGUCGAGGCUUCCCCUGUCACGAAGCGGACGCCUUGGACCAUCGGGCUCCACUCCGUCGAGGAGAAGAGGAAGCAGGAAGAGGAAGAGCGUGAGCGGGAGACGCAGCAACGACUGCAGGAGGGGCAGCAACAGCCGCACCAGGGAGGAGAAGAAGAAAAAGAAGGGCGGCGACAACAAGGGGACCAGCUCGAGGAGCUGCUAGAGCAGGAUCGGCAGCAGGAGCUACGGGAGCUCUAGAGGCAGCAGCGGCAGAAGAGUCAGCAGUUAGAAGAACUGCUCAAGCCACUGCCACGCAGCCUGUCAUAGCCAGUGCCGCCGUCGCCACAGCGGCCUGAGACCGGGGAGGAAGGUCUGCCGGUCUAUGGUCCGCCAACCCCUACGUGGCUCCGUCCGGGAGCGCCCGUUUCUAUCCCGGCUGAGACAGGGCGGGCAGAUGGCGUGGUGGCGCUAACUUGCAUGAUGCGCACCCCGGUGGACCCUCAGUCUGAGAUCAAGGGCACGAUCUACGGCAUCGAGGGGAUCGCUCCCAGAUUUCUUCGAGAACGACGGCCGUGGGAGUAUCAUAAACCCGCCGAGGAAGAUGAAGCCGGGACAUCGGGUGGUGGCGCUACCGACGAGACCGGGACCUAGAAGAUAGUGGAUGAUGACGGGGGAUUCCCCUCCCUUAUUGUGGGGGUAUAGACCCCUAUACCCUUACGGCUAGACUUGGGCCAGGAGGCUUGGCCCAUAAUGAAGACAGUCUGAGGCUUGAUCCAACUGCUCGGAGUUUCGCACAAGGAAACAAGGCGUGGAAAUCAAGCCGGAUUCUAGUCGGAUAGAAUAGGAAUUGAUAUUGUACUAUCUCUGGCAAUUGUAACCGACUAGGAUUAGUUUCCAGAUUUGUAACCCUGCCCUCCGGAGUAUAUAAGGAGGGGCAAGGGACCCCCUAGGACACAUUAUCUCUCAACACAAAUCAAUACAACCAGACACAGGAUGUAGGUAUUAUGCCCACACGGCGGCCGAACCUAGAUAAAAAGCUUGUCCGUAUCUUGCGUCACCAUCGAGUUUGUAGCUUGUGCUCUGUCUACCGAUAAACUACUACCGUGGGUAUACCCCAAGGUAGACUGCCGACCAGCUUUCAUCGACAGUGGCGCGCCAGGUAGGUGGUGUGCGUACAGCUCUCUUGUUGAACAAGAUGGUCAUCGUUCCAGCUUUCACGACCGUGCCUGAAGGCCUCACGUUCACCGUCGGCCAGAUCACGUGGACGACCCAUGGUGGCGGCCUCACGACCACGACUUCGGAAGAAACCCAAAUCCGAUCUGGGACGACAGCGGCAUCGACUCCGAUCACGCCGACACCGAGCACUCGACCUCCGCUCCCUCGUUAGAAGGGAAAGAAGGUCGAUGACUCGGAUCUUUUCCGAGCCCUUGAUUGUGCUGAUCUCAGGCUCCUCGAAGCUUCCCGACUGGUAGAUGGGAUCUCGCAUUGAUCUGAUCAAGCCACGCCGACAGACUCUUUUGACUCCAACCGACCAACUCGUGUCGUCACACACGAACAGCUAGGGACGUCUCUGACAAUAACGUCCACCCCCACGGGGCGGUCCGUUGAGAUCAAGGCAGACCCAGACCGAUGUCCUCCCUACGGACUAAACAAUACAGCCGUUCACUACUCACGGCACAUCCAAUCCCUUUUCAACAGGGUGGGCUGUUCGCCGAGACAGAGCAGCCGAGCAGCUCGCCAUUAUGUCAACAUGGUGUCAAUCCAAGUACUGCCGAACGAUCAGGCUUUCAGUACAAACUCUAGCACAGGGUCUGUCCCUACCGAGGUUAUAAAUUCUGAGGACGAAUAUUACGACCUGGAUUUACCACCGCAUCCUCUGGGUUUUUCUCGAUUCCCUGUCUUUCCGCCUCGACGGGGAGAUCUUAUCUUCAAUUUCAGCAAUGACGAACCGGUUGUCGACAGAGAAACAGAUGAGCAGAAGCAGCUCCGUGAACAGCGCAACGCCGACCGCGCUUGACGGCGCGCAGACGAGGAACGGCAACUUGCACCGUAUAACCUCAGUGAUGCUUUCGACAUGGUCGGAGAUCAGCAAGUCUACAAAACAUCGAGUGCUAACGUGGCUGUUGCUAUGGCAAACCUAGACCGACUCCCUGAUACUCCUGAGUGCCAAGGUGUCCGAUCCAGUGUACGCGCACACCUGAUCGCCGUGAUGCGACAGUCAGCCACCUUACUCAAAAGGGUCCAAGCUAUCUCCUACACAGAGGUCUCUUCCGACCAGAUUCAUCGCAGCCGAACUUCACCUCAACCCAGCGAGCGCCACCGUAGCCGCUCUCCCAACAAUUGCAGGAAGGAUGUGGGGCGCGACAACCGUGGUCAGGACGGUGGCGGCUACCGUGAGCAGAAGCGUGGGCGUGGUCAGGAAGUAAACCAGGACAGGGAUCUAUGAUACAACAUCCCUCCCAAGGACGCCCGGGAUUGCAUCAACAGGCGCGCCACGGAAAGAGCGGUGCACGAAAACCUACGGCGCAUUGAGUACGAUGUCGCGCACGGCCCCCCCGGCCUAAGACAGUUUUCUUCACACCUUUGCUAAGUCGUAUGGCCCCGCAACUUUAAACUCGAGAAGCUCAAAAAAUACGACGGCAAGGAAAACCCAGAAAAUUGGAUCACUCUCUACGAGAUUGCAGUCCAGUCAACAGCAGGAGAUGAGCAUGUCAUGGCUAACUACUUCCUAGUUGUCCUCGACCAGGCUGGUCAUCAGUGGCUCCUUGGCCUGCCCAAGGACUCUUUCGACUCUUGGGAAGAACUGCGCCAGGCGUUUAUUGACAAUUUCAUCGCUACCUACGAACAGCCUGGGAACAAGUACGACCUCGAGAGAAUAAGGGACUGGAAAAACGAACCUCUGCGCGAUUACAUCCGACGAUUCUCGGAUAUGCGUCUUAAAAUUCUGAAAAUUUCUCAUGAAGAGGCCAUUUCGGCUUUCAUCAAAGGGCUACGCUUCCACGAAGCGUUGAGGAACAAGCUACUGUGCAAAAGGCCGACCACGAUGGCCGAGCUCCUUGCCACGGCAAAAAACUACGCUGACGCAGAUGACACAGAAAAGCUCAUCCGAGAGGAUGAGAGAGGUCCCGACCAACCUACUCGACGGGACGACAGUCGUGGUCAUUUUGACAACAGGAACCACCAUCGCCCUGACAACCGCGACCAUAGAGAAGGUUGGGAUAGGUGGCGUGACAAUCGCGAUGACUUCAGGGGCAAGCGCCCUCGCGACCACGACCAUGAGGUGAAUACGGUCAAGCGCCCCAAGGGGCGGCGAGACUACUAGGAAGAUUACAACAAGACGUGGAAGGGACCGUGACAACUCCACCCCAAGUCUAAUCACACGAUGGAAGAAUGCCGUGUCCUCAAAAGCAUCUACAUGCAGCGGGCUGCUCAAGACGAUUCUGCCAAGAAAAACGGGAAGCAGGACGGGCGUGGUCACGAAGAUGAAGACGACGACCAGGAUAGAGACCCACGACACCAGUACGUCAGUCCCACCGAUGUGGUCCACUCCAUCUUCGGAGGUAAAGUUUUCAUCAAGUCUAAGCGAGAAAGAAAGCUCCUGAAGAGAGCCUGCCUCAACGUGGACAGCACAGACAGUCUUAUCGCCGAUCCAAAAUUUCCUCCCUGGUCGCACAGGGAGAUCUCCUUUAGCAGGAAGGAUCAAUGGGCCGCCAUCCCGGAGCCAGGACGUUUCCCUCUAAUCCUGGAUCCUUGCAUCAACAGCGUCAGAUUCGAGCGCGUGCUCGUUGACGGGGGAAGCUCCAUCAACAUCCUCUUUCACAACAGCUUACCUGCUCUCAAGAUAACCCAGGCACAGCUAAAGUAGUAUGACGCUCAAUUCUGGGGAGUUCUGCCUGGUCAAAGUUCAGUACCCCUCGGACAGAUAACAUUGCCUGUCCAAUUUGGAACACCUGACCACUUUCGAACAGAGUUUGUCAACUUUGUGGUUGCCGAUUUUUAUGGCACUUACCAUGCAAUUCUAGGCCGACCAUCGCUGACAAAGCUCAUGGCAGUUCCACACUACUCAUACCUGGUCCUCAAAAUGCCAACAGAGAAGGGCGUCCUAACUGUAGAGGCAAUGUCUAUACCGCAUAUACUUACGAGGAGGAAAGCUUCAAGAUCACCGAGGUAAUUGACCUCUCGAUCCGCAUGGCAGAAACCAUAGCCCAAGCCGCGCAGCUUCCACCCGACCAGCUUCGACCACCCGAGCAGGAGACUCCGAGGAAAAAUUCAAAGUCCAAAGAGCACAAGGAGGUACAGCUGGUCGACGGCAGCCCCAAGAAGACGACCCUCAUCGGGGCCAACCUGGAUCCUAAAUAGGAAGACGCGCUCGUCAGGUUUCUUAGGGACAACAUGAGAGCUUUCGCAUGGAAACCCGCAGACAUGCUCAGCGUCCCACGAAAUCUUAUCAAGCACUCCUUAAACGUCUCGAACACCGCAAAACCCAUCAAGCAAAAGCUAUGACGGUUCGCUCGUGACAAAAAGGAGGCUAUUAGGACAGAAAUAACGCGGCUUCUAGCAGCCGGAUUCAUUAAAGAAGUGUAUCGUCCCGAUUGGCUUGCCACUCCGGUUCUUGUAAGAAAAAAGAACAAUGAAUGGAGAAUGUGCGUUGAUUACACUGAUCUCAAUAAACACUGUCCUAAAGAUCCUUUUGGUCUCCCUCGCAUCGACGAGGUGGUCGACUCAACGGCCGGAUGCGAACUCCUCUCUUUAUUAGAUUGCUACUCUGGUUAUCACCAGAUCUCACUAAAAGACGACGACCAGAUCAAAACAUCUUUUAUCACCCCUUUCGGUGCGUAUUGCUACACAACCAUGUCCUUCGGACUCAAAAAUGCUGGAGCUACUUAUCAACGAGCCAUUCAGCAAUGCCUCCACGACGAGAUUCGUGAUGACCUCGUCGAGGCUUAUGUAGAUGAUGUUGUCGUCAAAACAAGGGACGCGAGCACUCUAAUCGACAACCUAGACCGAACCUUCAAGGCACUAAAUAAAUACAAGUGGAAGAUUAACCCCAAAAAAUGUAUCUUUGGGGCCCCCUUGGGACUACUACUCGGCAACGUCGUCAGCCGCGACGGCAUACGGCCGAAUCCCUGAAAAGUAAAGGCAGUACUCGACAUGCGACCACCAAAGAAUGUCAAGGACAUUCAAAAGCUCACCGGUUGUAUGGCUGCUCUCAGCCGUUUUAUCUCUAUACUGGAAGAAAAAGGCCUCCCCUUCUUCAAACUUCUAAAGGCGUCGGAAAAAUUCUCCUGGACGGAGGAAGCUGACGCUGCGUUCACCCAGCUCAAAACUUUCCUCACUUCAGCACCUGUUCUCACAGCACCUCAACCUAAUGAGGACCUACUCCUUUACAUAGCAGCAACAGAUAGGGUUGUCUCCAUGGCAAUGGUGGUCGAGCGGGACGAGCCAGGCCACGUAUACAAAGUCCAGAGACCAGUUUACUUCAUAAGUGAUGUCUUAAAUGAGUCCAAGACUAGGUACCCUCAGAUACAAAAGCUCAUCUACGCCAUCUUAAUAACUUCAAGGAAGCUGAAGCAUUACUUCGAUGGUCAUCGAGUCUUGGUAACCACUAGUUUCCCUCUGGGGGACAUUUUGCGCAACAAAGAUGCCAAGGGCAGAAUUGUAAAAUGGGCAAUGGAAUUAUGCCCAUUCUCCCUGGAUUUCUAGAGCCGCACUACCAUCAAGUCCAAGGCCCUAGUCGAUUUCUUCGCAGAAUGGACGGACCUCAACGAGCCCCCCUUUUCCGACACUUCCGACCACUGGUCAAUGUUCUUCGACGGUUCCCUAAACAUCAAUGGUGCCGGCGCCUGAAUACUCUUCGUAUCGCCGACAAACUACGCUACGUCCUUAGGAUCCUCUUUCCGGCGUUGAACAACAUCGCCGAAUAUGAGGCAUGCCUACAUGGCAUACGACUGGCUGUUGAACUGGGAGUCAAACGCCUCUACGUCCAUGGCGACUCUGCCCAGGUCAUCAACCAGUUAAAUAAGGAAUGGGACACAACCCACGAAAAGAUGGACCUCUACUGUAAAGGAUUUCGCAAAUGGGAAUCCAAUUUCUACGGCAUAGAAUACAUCCAUGUGGUCCAGGAUAGGAACCAGGCAGUAGAUACGUUGUCAAAGAUAGGAUCAUGCCGGGCCCAGAUUCCGCAAGGCGUUUUCGUUCAGGACAUCCACGCGCCAAGUGUGGGUACAGACCUGGUCGAAAAACAACCCGAUGAGGCAAUGCUCAUAAACGACACUAUUCCGACAACUAACAGCCAUGAUUGGCAUGCCCCCUUCAUCAGGUAUAUAUCGGAUGGAUCAGGUUUUCAAGAUAAAACAGAAAAUGAGCGCCUCAUCCGGCGGUCCAAGAAUUACAUACUGGUCGAUGGUAAACUUAUGCGAAAAAAUGCAAGCUCCGAAGUAUUGCUCAAAUGCAUAUCCCAAGAUGAUGGCGUCAAGCUCUUAGAUGACAUACACGCCGGGUCCUGCGGCAACCACGCUGCCUCCAGAACACUGGUCGGGAAGGCCUUCCGAGCAGGCUUCUACUGGCCAACCGCAGUUGCCGACGCCGAGAAACUGGUCCAACAUUGCGAAGGAUGCCAGUUCUUUGCCAAGAGGACUCACAUGCCUGCUCACGAGAUUCAAACUAUUCCGUCAUCCUGGGCUUUCGCCUGUUGGGGCCUUGACAUGAUCGGGCCAUUUAAGCCGGCCCCCGGUAACUUCAAGUUCGUCUUCGUGUUAAUCGACAAAUUCUCGAAGUGGAUCGAGUACAUGCCACUGGUCAAAGCAACCUCCGAGAAGGCUGUGGAAUUCCUCAAUCAAAUCAUACACAGAUAUGGGGUUCCCAACUGCAUAAUUACUGACCUAGGCACUCAGUUCACUGGCACUACAUUUUGGGACUUCUGCGAUGACAGGGGCAUAGUCAUAAAGUAUGUGUCAGUAGCUCACCCACGGGCCAAAGGUCAAGUAGAGCGAGCGAAUGGAAUGAUUAUUGAUGCUCUAAAGAAAAGGCUGUACACCGAGAACGACAGAGCACCAGGACGAUGGAUAAAGGAGUUACCGGCUGUGGUCUGGGGUCUCCGAACACAGGCUAGUCACAAUACAGGUGUAUCACCCUACUUCAUGGUUUACGGCGUCGAAGCAGUGCUUCCGUCCGACGUAACCUUUGGAUCUCCAAGAGUCGAAAAUUUCGACCAGUCUUCGGCUGACAUCGCCAGGGAGCUUGAAAUCAACUGCAUGGAAGAAAAGCGCCUAAUCUCAUGCCUUCGAACAGCAAAGUAUCUCAAAGCCACUAGGCGGUAUCACACACAGGAACAUCAAAGACCGAUCCUUCGUCGUCAGUGAUUUGGUACUCAAGUGGAAAACAAGCCAAGAAGGAACACACAAGUUAUCCACACCUUGGGAAGGACCCUUUGUGGUCGCCGAAGUCACACACCCUACAUCUUACAGACUGGCGUACCCAGACGGAACACGCCUGCCCAAUUCUUGACACAUAGACAAACUGCACCGUUUCUAUCCAUAAGUUCCAGUACUUUUUCGGUUGUAAAUUUCUUAUGAUUAGCAAUAAUAAAGUCUUUUCUUUUUCGCUAUAUACUUUUCUACACGCAGAACUUUCGACAAGUGCAACAAUCUCCUUCUAGGACCAAGAUCCUUAAGGAUUAUUAACCCGAUUCAGUGAUACAUCACUCAGACAACAUUGCAGCGCUCAAAACCAUGGUUGCGACAAAUCAAUCUUUAUUACAAACUUUAUAUACAAAGUUUACAAUAAACAACCCUCUGGGCGGUCCCUAGUCUAUUCCUACAGACUACUCUACAGGUCUACUGAUCGGGCUGAUCACCCGCACGGCCUUGCCGCCCAGUCGAAGCGUUCGGGGCCGCCGGCGCCUGGCUGGUCGAGACCGCAGGCGUCGACCGCCCAUCUCCGGCAAUGGACGCUCCCGACAUCUCCCUGGCUAACCUAUCUGACCCGUGCUGGUCGGGGGGAGUUGCUGUCUCGUAGAGGUUGAUGUCGCCGAUCACUGUCGACGACAGAUCAAGCAGACCACACGAAGGUUGUCUGCCUCCUGUGGACCAACCUCCUUGGGGUACCCCCUCUCCAGUCGGGACAGGUCGACCAGAGGAUAGUGGGCGCGCACCAAGCUGAGGACGUGCGCACCGGCGAAUUCCCCGGUGUCCUUAACAAACUGCUGGAGCCAGUCCCAUGCCCGUUGCGCCGUCUCGACCGGAGUCAGCUUCGGUGCGCGGGGCUGGUCCACAGGGAGCUCGGGGCUGAUCAAAUCAAGAACCGGGGCCACUCCUUUCAAAAGCUUGAUGCAGUUGGCCUUCGAGGAGUCCCGGUCCUUGUUCAGUUUGUCGAGGUGCUUUUUAGUAUUUACUUUGAGCACUGUGAACCAAUCAGGACGUCAGUGCACACACCAGACAAGGAACGUUGAGUAGUCAAAUAAGAGGGUAACACGGUUUUUACCAGUCAACUCCCGACUCUUGUUGCUUAACUCCUCACCAGCUCGCCGCCCGGCCUCCAGCGCGCUGGCAUGCUCCUGGUCGAGCGUUUCCUUUUCUUAUCGGAGGCGCGCAACCUCCUCCUCCAAGUCUGUAGGAGCAAUUCCUGGUCAACAAAAAUGACUACGCCGUUAUAUACAACCGCUCGGAAUACACGACUGACCUUUCCUUUCCCGAUCUUUGUCGGCCAACUACCGAUUGAGAUCGAGCAGGCGCUCUUCCUGAGCACCCAUCUCGGCCAUCUUCUCCUCGGCCUCCGACCGAAGACGGUCUACCUCCGCGGACAUGGCCUUGUUCUCGGCCACAAUCCCCUCAAUCUGGUCGAAGCACCUUUUUUGGUACUUCACCGUUUUCAUUGCGCCCUACAGGAAUCACGCAUUAAAGUAAGCAACAGUGCAUAUACAUCUCGGGCAGAGUGCAAGACCACUUACCUUAACCUCGUCAACAAGACGCUUGGCUGCACGCUCCACCCUCACGGCCUCCUCCGUCUCCGCGAGUUCUUCAUGACUAAUGAAAUGGUCCCCGUGUUGGCGCCACACGUAAACGUGUUGGCGACCAUCAUGGGGAUGGCCUUGGAUCUCUUCUACCUCGUCGUCGGAGGCUGCCCGGGUCUCUUCGCCUUUCGCGCUACCCCCAGCCGCGGUCACAGGUAUUACCGGACCCUGAUCUCGGCUAGGGGAGCCCUUUGGUGAAGAGGCCUCUUCUCGGGGUGGAGUCGGGACCCUCCUCCCUUCAGAAGGCGGAGUAGUCGGAGCUCUGUUUUCCUCCUCCACGACACUGCUCGGGGGAGGCAUCCUCGCAGUCUCAUCACCCCUUGCAAGGGUGCUCGCUCGGGUCCUCGUCGGAGCUGGAUGCUCCUCGGCACUCCCAGCCGCGAUCACCGCCGCGGGCAGCUCCUCAGGUUGCUCCUGGGCGGCUUGCUACGCUACGUCCUCAAUGACAGCCGCCGGUUCGGCCAUCCUCUAGCCAGCGACGUUGUCGGGAUCAACGAUAGACACCGCACUAACAGAAAUACGGCAUUUUACCAAUGUCAAAAUGCUGUAGUAACAAACGCAGAAACAAUAAUAAUGAUAGGAGAAUGUGUCAAGACGAGAUUGUUCUACUUACAGAUCGGAGCGCCUAUGCGUCGCUAUAAAGACCCUCCUCCUGGUCCUACCGGCCGCCGCUGCCGCCUCUGUCGCCCCAAGACGCGUCGGCUCGGUGUGAGGGGCAGGGGGGUCACUAGUCGCCCGAUCGCCAGUGAUCGAUGCGACAUCCGGAUGACUACGCGGCCUUCGGACCAAAGAAGGCAUGGCCUCCUCUUCCUCAUCAUCAUCGUCGAUGAUCCUGACGAGCCGACGACGCUCCGGAGCUUGGCUGCUCUCUACUGGCAGCGCCUCUGCAGGGGACGGAUCUACCACCAGUGGCCUUUUCCCCGCUACCGUGUCCUCGGUGGUCGGGGCAGGGCGGUUCUGCUCCUCCUCACGGCUGGUGUAUUGAGGACACCGAGCAACGUCACCCUCUGGCGGGUCCAUCCCCACAGGAUUUUCGAUACCAGGUGCCAGUGACACAUACACUGCGCACCGGUGAACGUCUACAAUCUGCGAUAGAACCAAUGACAUGUCAUCAACUAGUAGUCAACAAUAUUCAUAUAACAAUACUAGUCAAUAACAAUAUUUAUUUACAUUAGGAGCUAGUUGUCCCAGCUUGAAGGCGUGCAUCCAAUCACUGCUUCGAACAAAGUUGUCAUCUGUUAAGUUGAACAGCUCGUUCAUCAGUUGUUGCACCUCUGCCUUCUCCAGACCAUCGGGGCUCAUCCUGGUCGGGUCCUGGCUGCCCGCAUACUCGUACGCUGAAUGUACCCUCCAUUGGCAGGGUAUCACACGACGCACAAUGAAGUUCCCGACCACUCUAGGCCCGUCUAGGCGGGGCCAGUCGAUCAGGCUCAUCAGGUCUGCUACCUGCCUAGCGAAUUCUGGGCGGUCUGUCCAACUGACCCUCUUCUCGGGGAUGUAGCCCACAUCACAGAACGUGGCGCUGCCCGGCUCCUCCCUGAUGUAGAACCACUUCUUGUACCAUUCGGUCAAAGAGGUGUUCCAUGGGCAGCUGAGAUACCGGUUCUUCAUCCCAUCACACAGAUUGAGGUAUACUCCACCUGCAAUCUUGGAGCCUCCAACUGCCCCCUUCUUUCUCAGACAAAAUAGAUAACGAAAAAGGUCGAAGUGCGGCUCUAUUCCAACAUAAGCCUCGCACAAAUGAAUGAAGGUGGAGAUGAGAAGAAUAGAGUUUGGGUGCAGGUUGCAGAUCCCGAUCUCAUAGUAAAGAAGAAGGCCCUGGAGGAAAGGGUGGACAGGAAUCCCAAAGCCCCUCUUGAAAAAAUCUUCAAAAACUACAAUCUCACCGGCACGGGGGUCGGGGUAGCUUUCCCCAUCCGGCGCCCUCCAGCCGCCGAGCUCUUGGUUGUGAAGUAGCCCCAUUCCGACAAGGUCGUUGAGGGACCUCGUGCUACUUCGAGACUUCUUCCACUCCUUCGCCAUCAUAUCGGCCCUUUCUUCGAGUCACUCUUCGCCAUUGACGCUGUAGAAACGACUACGAGCUGGACGAUUAAAGAUGGAGGUUGCACGAGGCAGGAAUGGCAAGAACAGAAGGUUCGAAGGCAAAGGCGGGGUAAAUAUUACGAGCGCUGUGUUGAGCCUUUUAUAACAACAGCUCCACCCUUCCACUUCCUGCAUUCUAGGGAAGUGGGCAGGCCCUGCGGCGGAUGCGACGUUUUGGUUUUCAAUAGUUACCAGCAGUUAAUAUGGUGGAUUUUUUCGCAUAAUUGGUGGUUUCCUUUUUCUUGAACCACGCAAAGAGCGGCUGCACAGUUACCAGGCGCACCUUUUUACGCAACUGUCUGACAAUACGCCUGGAUGCCUUGUCAUAUCGCCCAUUAAUGUGGCAAGAUGCUUUUUCCAAACGACAUGUAGAUUUGAUGGAGGACUGUGUAUGACAUUCCUGGGGACUGUACUGACCAAUCCGAGCACUAUACGCUCGGGGACUGGUCGACCAGCCCACCAAUUUUAGAACAUGGAGACUGUACCGAUCAAUCCGAGCACUAUAUGCUUGGGGACUGGUCAACCAGCCAACCAAUUUGAGAGUUUGGGAACUGCACCAACCACCGAGCACUAUACGUUCGGGGACUCGUCGACCAGCCCACCAAUUUGAGAAUUCGGGGACUGUACCGACCACCGAGCGUUAUAUGCUCGGGGACUGGUCGAUUAGUCUAUUCAAUUGCAGACGAGCAUGAUAUGCUCGGGGACUAGUAAAUUCAAUUUUUUAGACCUUGCUACAAGGCUCAUACUUCGCCUUCCAGCAAGCUCGGGGACUACAUCGGUACGAUGCAUCUGGCGAUGCAUCUCAGUUUUAUAAUUUCUAUGAAGACUUUUUUGACCCUAGCACCACAUGUCUAUGCCACCUACUACCAGGCUCGGAGACUAAGUGGGCACACUUCACCUUGCGGUGAACAUGCUUGCUUUUUGAGGUGUGUACUUUUUAGGAAAGUAAAGUGGGCACACUUCACCAGGGGAAAGAAUAUUUUUUCUCAAGAGCACCAUGCAUUCUUUGAACAACCAACUUCUUCGACAUUGAUGUUGGUCAACUGAUUUUCAAGUUGGUCAAAAUACCGUUGCAACUGUCUUGGUGACUUUCCUGGUCGUCAAAAAUCUCAAUUCUUGCUGGUCGAAGAAGCUCAAGACGGCGUGUUACAUCACAAUACAUGGUGCUCGAGGACUAGCUGUGGGGGUGUAGACACCUAUACCCUUACAGCUAGACUUGGGCUAGGAGGCUUGGCCCAUCAUGAAGACAGUCCAAGGCUUGAUCCAACUGCUCGGAGUUUCGCACAAGGAAACAAGGCGUGGAGAUCAAGCCAGAUUCUAGUCGGAUAGAAUAGGAAUUGAUAUUGUACUAUCUCUUGCAAUUGUAACCGACUAGGAUUAGUUUCCAGAUCUGUAACCCUGCCCUCCGGACUAUAUAAGGAGGGGCAAGGGACCCCCUAGGACACAUUAUCUCUCAACACAAAUAAAAAACAACCAGACGCAGGACGUAGGUAUUACGCCCACACGGCGGCCGAACCUGGAUAAAAAGCUUGUCCGUGUCUUGCGUCACCAUCGAGUUCGUAGCUUGCGCACCGUCUACCGAUAAACUACUACCGUGGGUAUACCCCAAGGUAGACUGCCGACCAGCUUUCGUCGACAUUUAUCGACCUAUUUUUACGUCAUGGGGGGUCACUCGAGACUGUCCAAGAGCUCAUCUGGGGUGUCAAGGCGUGCACGGAGGAGGAGAUGGAAAACUAGUGCCCCGACCGGAUCCGCAUUCGGGCCUCCACUGACCCAUCCGAGCCUAACAUCUUUAUGGAUGAUCGGAAGGAGGCCGAAAAGUGGGAACAUCUCGAGGAGCUUCGCCUCUGGAUGAAGCACGUGGUGGGGCUCCUGUCUGACAUUAUCAAUAGCAGGCUCGGUCCAGCUUACUUGGUAAGUGUCGUUGGGUAUUAGUUACCGUAGGACGUUUUGGUUUUGUGUUCUUACUGUUCCAUUGCUGGCUCGCAGGAUCUGAAAGAGACCUCUCGCAUAAAGUCGAGUUUUAUCCACGCGACGAGGGGCGGCUGGGAGCAACUCCCUCUUCUCAAGGACCAACUCCUGGAGUCGCAGGAGAAGCUCCUCAAGGCCUACAAAUAGCUUUUGGCGCUCGAAGAGGAGAAAAAGGAGAGGGAGGUCGCUCUGGCCGAGGCUCGGGAGACCUCGAGGAAGGCGGUGGAAGAGACUACGCGGCUGAGGGAGCGGACCAUGAUGGUCGAGUAGGCUGCAUCCAAGGACCAGGAAGAGGCCGCAUUCUAUAAGGAAGUCACCGCCGAUCUUGACAAGGAAAAGGUCCGUAUCAAGGCUGACCUCGCCUCUACCCGAGAAGCCUUCCAAGAGAUGAAGCUGGAGUGUGUGAAGGGCGAGAUUGCCCGGAGCGCCACAGAGGAGGCCAAGAAGAAGGCCCUCGAGGAUCUCGAGGCGGAGCGGGUUCGAUCUCGCAGCCUCUCUGAUGACGUCGAUCGUUUGAAGAGGGUGUUACUGGAAAAAGAUGGAGCUGUCGUGCAGGUGGGCAAGGCGAUCGAGGACUUGCGGGUUGCCAACACCGACCUUGCCCGCUCUCACAAGGAGAUCGAGAGGGCCAAUACCGAUUUGGUUGGUCAAAACACUGCUCUGGAGGAGAGGAUUCAUGGUAGGCUUCUCUAUACCUCUUUUUCCAAGGUAUUUUUUUGGUGUCGUCUAAUUUCCAUGUAUCGGUCUCCAUAGGGCUUAAGGACGAGCUUUUGCCUGCUCAGGUCGAGGCUCGCUCUACCAAGGAUCAGCUCGAGGGGGAGGUUGCAUUGAACGGUCGAUUAAGGACCGCGAUAAAUGACCUCUCGGCCUCCUAGGAGCUCGAGCCUAUGGACGAGUCAAAGGAGGAGGUUCGAGGCGAUGUGCUGGUCGAUCAGCUGUGCUACCUAGGCGCGACGCUGAGGGAUCAGUGCGGGACGCUCUUCAUACCGGGGUGAAGCGGGCAAUGGCGGUUGUCUGCUCAGGAUUUUCUUAUGAUAUGGAGGUGGUGUCCCAUGGCUUUGUCACUGACAUCUCCAAGACCGACAUAGAGAACGAGGAGAGGCUCCACGCCUUGAUCGACGAUGCGGAGGCCCCUAGGGAAAGGUUGGCGAAGUUGUUCGAGCCAGAAGUCCUUUCUCCCGAGAUUAGCUCAGGCGCGGACGAUGGUGGUGAGGGUCGAGACACAGCCUGAGGCCUGCGAGCCUAUUCUAGGUGCUGAGGCCCCUUGUAUAGUACUUUUUAUCUUAGGGAAAUGUUAUGUCUUUAAGUCGUUUAUGAGAUCUGUGAAUAUCUGCUAACUUUUGUGCUUGGAACUCCUUUGCUUCCUCGUUUGGUUUUUUGUUAAGGCGUCCUUGAGUUCCUCGAGGGUGAGGGAGUGAGUAGAGUUACUGUAGCUCGGGGGCGUAGGUGUUCUUAGGCUCGUCAUCUCUCGGUCUUUAAGGGGCUCGGGGUGCCUUUACUACUCGACCGUGUGAGGCAUACUUUAAAGGGAGAAAUCGUUCGGUUUUUAGGAACCUGGGGGGUCCCCCCUGCUAGCCCUCGAGGGGGUAUUGACUAUGAUGGGUCAUAGUUGGUACUCCCUUCUAACAUUGAGAUUUUGACCAAUAGAAAAGUAAAUUACUCGAGGGAAAGAUCUCAUUUAUUCAUGCAUUCAUUCAUAAGGUCUCGAUACAGAAUGUACAUGAGAACAUAAAGCUUUUAAACUCUAGGGGUAGAAUCGAAGUAGCGGUUCAAUGUUUCACGCAUUAGUGAAGACUGCCCCUUUUUUCUCCGCGAGCUUGUAUGUCCCUGGCUUCAGGACCUCGGCCACCACGUAUGGGCCCUCCCAGGGUGGAGUCAGCUUGUGGCGCCCUUGGUUGCAUUGUCGCCGCCGUAGGACAAGAUCGGCCACGUUCAGAUCCCUUUUGCGCACGUGCUUGUCGUGGUAGCGUCUAAGCUUCUGCUGGUAUCUGGCGGAGUUGAGGAGGGCCAUGUCUCGAGCUUCCUCGAGCUGGUCGACCGCGUUCUCUCGAGUCUCCUUAUUUGACCGCUCGUUGUAGGCUUUGAGUCGAGGGGAUCCAUACUCAAGGUCUAUUGGAAGCACGGCCUCGGAGCCGUAGACCAUGAAGAAUGGGGUGUAUUUCGUGGCCCUGCUAGGCGUCGUCCUUAAGCUCCAUAGGACCGAAGAGAUCUCUUCGACCCAUUUCUUGCCGAAUUUCUUCAACCGGUUGUAGAUUCUUGGUUUUAGCCCCUGCAAUAUCAUGUCGUUGGCACGCUCGACCUGGCCGUUAGUUUGGGGGUGGGCCACUGUGGACCAGUUCACACGGAUGUGAUACCGGUCACUGAAGUCCAAGACGUUUUGUCGGUGAACUGGGUGCCGUUGUCGGUGAUGAUGACGUUGGGAAUCCCAAACCGGUGGGUGAUGUCGGUGAAGAAGAGGACGACCUGCUCAGAGCAGAUGUUCGUCAUGGGUCGAGCCUCGAUCCAUUUGGAGAAUUUAUCGACGGCCACCAGCAAAUGGAUGUAUCCUCCUACUGCUUUCUGUAGAGGCCCUACUAGGUCGAGACCCCACACCGCGAAUGGCCACGUGAUAGGGAUCAUUUGGAGGGCAUGAGCGGGGAGAUGCGUGUGCUUGGCAUAAAAUUGGCACCCAUGGCAUGAGCGUACGAGCUCUAUGGCGUCAGCUACGGCCGUUGGCCAGUAGAAGCCUUGUCGGAAAGCGUUCCCUACGAGGGUCCGCGGAGCGGCGUGGUGGCCACAAGCCCCAGAGUGUAGAUCCUCUAGGUGCUUUCGGCCUUCUUCUAUGGUGAUGCAGCGCUGCAAAAUUCCCGUCGGGCUUAGUCGGUAUAGUUUGUUAUUUUCACCAUAGAUUACAUAUGAUUUGGCCCGUCGAGUGAUACGGCGGGCCUUGGAUCGAUCCUCUGGUAACUCGCAUCGGAUUAGGCAAUCGAGGAACGGUGUGCGCCAGUCGAACGGUCGACCGGGCCGCUGUUCCACCUCCAUUACUUUGGCUGCCGCCAGUAGUGCUUUGAUGGUGUCAGUUUGUUGGGGGGUGGUUGUUUCGACAUCAACCCCCGAGCCUAAGUUGACGGAUGGCUCAUGCAGAUCUCUUGAGAACGGGCGGGACCGUGCCUCGAGUCGAGGCGAUCUUGGCGAGUUCAUCGGCCGCCUCGUUCUAGCGUCGGGCGAUGUGGACGAGCUCGAGGCCGUGGAACUUGUCCUCGAGCCUACGUACUUCCUUGCAAUAUGCCUCCAUUUUCGAGUCGUGGCAAUUGGAGGCCUUCAUUACUUGGUCGAUGAUGAGUUGGGAGUCGCCUCGAACGUCGAGGCGCCGAACUCCUAGCUCGAUGGCAAUCUUUAGCCCAUUGACAAUGGCCUCGUACUCCGCGAUGUUGUUGGAUGCGGCAAAAUGUAUUCUGAUGACAUACCUCAUAUGGACGCCGAGGGGUGAGAUGAACAGCAGACCUGCCCCAGCCCCCGUCUUCAUGAGAGACCCGUCGAAGUACAUCGUCCACAACUCCGCUUGAACUUGGGUCGGGGGGAGCUGGGAGUCCGUCCAUUCCGCGACGAAAUCCACCAGAGCUUGAGACUUGAUGGCUUUGCGGGGCGCGUAAGUGAGGGUUUCACCCAUGAGCUCGACCGACCACUUGGCGAUUCCUCCCGUGGCCUCCCAAUUUUGGAUGAUCUCUCCCAAGGGGAACGACGAGACCACCGUGGUAGGGUGGGCGAGGAUGUAGUGUUGCAGCUUGUGUCGGGCGAGGAUCACCGCGUAGAUUAGCUUCUCGAUCUGUGGAUACCGUGCCUUAGUUUCUGAGAGUACCUCACUGACCAAGUAGACCGGCCUCUGGACCGGUAGCGCAUGUCCUUCUUCCUGCCUCUCGACCACCACCGCCGCACUGACCACUUGGGUCGUCAAGGCGACGUACAGAAGCAGAGCUUCUGCGGGCUGAGGUGAGACCAAGACCGGGGCAGAGGUAAGCAUUUUCCUUAGGUUGUUGAGGGCUUCUUCAGCUUUAGGGGUCCAAGAAAAACGCUUGGCUUUUUUCAGGAGCCGAUACAGUGGCAAUGCUUUCUCCCCCAAUCUCAAGAUAGAACGACUUAGCACCGCCAAACAUCCCGUGACUUUUUGCACUCCCUUGAUGUCUCGGAUCGGCCCCAUUCUCGUAAUGGCCGAGACUUUCUCGGGAUUGGCCUCGAUGCCACGUUGGGAAACUAUGUAACCCAAGAGCAUGCCUCGAGGUAUGCCAAAGACGCACUUCUCGGGGUUGAGCUUGAUCUUGUUGGCGCGUAAGUGUUGUCGGUUCUUAAGUAUCAAUUUUAAUUAUCAAAUAAACAAGAGAAAGGACCAAUAUGCAACCAUCACCUAGAAUUAGGGUUUGAUCUGACAGAAUUCCACGAGUUUUGUUGUUUAUCUAUUUCUGCAGGGGGUUAUCAGGAAAUAAGGAAGAAAGGCCCACAUGUCGGGAUUACAUAGAGAUAUCAACGCACCACGUAAUUUUACAUCAUCUAGAAGACUCCAGAAGCCACGAGACCGAAGCGGAGGCAAAGCUGGGCCAGGCCCAGGGCGCCCGCCCUGGUAGCCUGGGCGCCCGCCCCCCUCUGGAGCCAGAUGAGGACUCUCUUCGCUCGGGAUAUUCCACCGACCUAUUGGAUCAAGAAAAACAUAGUACCACCUCGCCUAUCGACCCAAAAACACAUAGAAGAGGAGGACUAUAUAAGCAAGGCCCCCUGGCCCCUGGAGAAGACAUGAAGAAAUUAUCAUAGAGACUGAGGGGUGCCCUCGAAGGAAAACCUCUUCUCUAAUUAAUAUUUCUUUUUAGGCUUAGCAAUCAAUGUAAGGUAGAAAUAGAUCUUCUAGUUUCUACUAGAUUGAGAGAGAUAGAGUGGAGGUGAAGAGUGGAGGAAGCCCGGCCUGUCGGUGUCUACUCCAAGCUUGUACCUGCGGGAUCAAGUUCUCCUAACCCGAAGCUUGCUCCUAGGAUUCUUCAGUAAUUCGACUUCUAAAUUCUAAUAAGUUCUUGUUUUAUUGUUCUUAUGGUUUAUGAGUUUACUUUAAUCUCUUCGCGUACAGUUUAGAGUAAUCAUUGCUGGCGUAAACGUGGUGUUUAGGCUGGGGUACUCAUAGAUAUUCCCUGACUAGCUGGACCAUGGUAGUAGUGAGGAACGUGACAAUUCCAAGCUACCUUUGUAGAUCACAUCUCGUUAGCAGGAAGGAUAGGGUUUAUAGGUGCGGGUUGAACAUCCUUUGUGGUGUCUAGAUUCCGUUAGCCUCCCCAUCAGAACAGUAGAUCAUCCUUACCAAGGUUAGAAGGAGACUACGGUUGCAGUCUUCUCUAUUUAUCACUCACAUCGAAAGACAUUCUUUGUGCCUAAAGGUUAGUAGUAAUAGACCGGUUAGUCAGAUGCACUCUUUCUCCUAGUGGUAAAAAAAUAAAUACGAUACUCUGGAUAACCUCCCGGGUGAAGUGCUCACCGAUAUCCGUGCGCUUGCGGAUCAAUUCCUUAUUGCGUUCCCAAAUAUCAACAAGCAUUUCUAGCGCCGUUGCCGGGGAGAAAGACGGUUGCUGAGAUAACCUGUGUCUUGCUACUAGCUUGUAUCUAUACUUUUAUCUUUUCUUAUCUUUUAUAUUCUUUAUUUAUUUUCUUUAUUCUUACCUUAUGGAAAACUAAAAUUCUAAAUCGAUCCAUGAGUCUGCAAUCCCGUUAGCAAUUGACCUUUUACCAUGGGAAUCAUCACAGCCUAUCCAAACAUCCCAGUAUAAGUUAAUUUCUAGGUUGAUUGCCAUGAUUCAAAACCUAUCUUUUUCGGGAAAGGAAGACAAAAACCCUUACCUUCAUAUUAGAGAUUUUGAGCAAACAUGUGAUUUUCUUCGCAUUGAAGGCAUUUCUAAUAAGACUUUACGUUGGAAGCUUUUUCCUUUUUCUCUAAGGGGAGAAGCUAGACAAUGGUACAGUCAGAAGGUAAGUCAACAACAAGGUGAAUGGGGAGUUUUACGAGCCAACUUUUGUCUAGAUUUCUAUUCCCUUGACCGUAUAGCCGACCUUAGACUCGAAGUCCUAUCUUUUAAACAAAAAGAUAAUGAAACUUUGGGAAAAUCCUGGAAACGUUUUUCUGAUCUUUUAGAAUCUGGUCCAAACCUUAAUCUUGAAGACCCUGUUCUUUUAUUUCACUUUUUUUGAGGUCUUCAUAAAAAUCACAAACAAAUGGUUCACACAAUGUCUAGAGGUUCUUUCUUUUGCAUCCCUGCUGAUAAAGCAAGAGUGAUCCUAGAUAGAAUCCUAGAAGCUGAGAUGGAUAAUACCCUUCAUGAUGAAACCUACGAAGCCGAAGUAGACACUCUGCCAAAUUCUUCAUCUACUUUAGCUAUUCCAAGUUUUGAGCCACAAGAGGAAGAAAUUCCACUACCGGACUUCAUGCUGGAUAUAGAAUCCGAUCUUUUUGUCGAUUUUGGAAAUAUUACAAACUACCAUUCUAUUGACAAACCCCAAAACGGCCAGUUUAGCAUUUAUUUACCAAGUGAAUAUCAAUUGAGAGAGCUUAUCUCAGUAAUGAGUAGCGAAUGGCUGGAGGAAUCAGAGCUUUCCUCUGAUGUGAUCCGUUUGGACACACCCUCUAUAACUAUACGCUGUGCUUAUAAUUCUGAUCGAUUUAAUGCUCUUUAUAAUCCUGUUGUGGGGAUCAACAUCAUGUCCGAAUCUUUUGCACUUAAACUAUUUAAAAAUCUUGUCUUAACCCCCACAACAAAGGUCAUAAAGGAAUCUUCGGGACGAUUAGUCCCCAGUCUUGGAAUUAUUAAUGUCCUACCUCUUACGGUAGAAGGCUCCAUGGUUCAUUUGAACUUCUAUAUCUUUGAUACAUGGGACUUCGACCUGUUGAUAGGACAACCUUUUAGAAGACUCCUUUAUGAAGGUCAUACUGGAAAGCUACACAUUUCUUUUGGAAAAACUUUUAAAUUCCCAAUAAUAAUUUCUCACUCCUUAAAUAAUAAGGCCGAGUCAUAUCUUUUGCCUGAUCCUAUGGAGGAAGUAAAGGCUGCAUCUCUAGAGCUUUUAGAUGAACCAGACUUAGAAGACGAAACUCCUUUCUUGACAGAAGAAGAAGACGAACCUUCUGAGCCUGAACCCUUAGAUGAGUUUGCAGAAACACCUAGACCCCCCAUAGAACUUAAAACUUUACCACCCGGUCUUACCUAUGCUUUCCUAAACAAUAAUCCAGAGUUCCCUGUGAUCAUUAGCGAUAAACUCACUCAGGAUCAAACUCUGCGAUUAAUGACCAUUCUUGAGAAACAUCACUCAGUUUUCGGCUACUCACUUCAAGAUCUUACAGGAAUCAGUCCUAUGAUUUGUACCCAUCUUAUUCCAACAGAUCCUUCUGUUACACCCUCUCGAGAACCCCAACGUAGACUUAACAACACUAUGAGAGAGGUAGUUAAAAAGGAAGUUAUAAAGUUGCUGCAUGCAGGGAUUAUAUAUCCUGUGCCGCACAGUGAGUGGGUGAGCCCAGUGCAAGUUGUGCCCAAAAAGGGAGGCAUGACAGUUAUUAUGAAUGAAAAGAAUGAGCUAAUUCCACAACGCACCGUCAUAGGAUGGCGGAUGUGCAUAGAUUAUAGAAAACUAAACAAAGCCACGAGAAAGGAUCACUUUCCUUUACCUUUUAUAGAUGAGAUGCUAGAGCAAUUAGCAAACCAUUCAUUCUUUUGUUUCUUAGAUGGAUAUUCAGGAUAUCACCAAAUCCCGAUCCAUCCUGAUGAUCAAAGCAAAACCACUUUUACAUGCCCAUAUGGAACUUAUGCUUACCGUAGAAUGUCUUUUGGGUUAUGUACUGCACCAGCUUCUUUUCAAAGAUGCAUGAUGUCUAUAUUUUCUGAUAUGAUUGAAGAGAUUAUGGAAGUUUUCAUGGAUGAUUUCUCUGUUUAUGGAAAAACUUUUGAUAGUUGUCUUGAAAACUUAGACAAGGUUUUGCAAAGAUGUGAAGAAAAGCACUUAAUCCUUAAUUGGGAAAAAUGUCAUUUUAUGGUUAGGGAAGGAAUAGUGCUAGGACACUUAGUGUCUGAAAGAGGUAUUGAGGUAGACAAAGCUAAAAUUGAAGUAAUUGAACAACUACCUCCACCUGUAAAUAUAAAAGGAAUUCGAAGCUUUCUUGGCCAUGCUGGUUUUUAUCGUAGAUUCAUAAAAGAUUUUUCAUUUAUUGCUAGACCACUUACUCUUUUGCUAGCCAAGGAUGCUCCUUUCGAAUUUGAUGAUGCAUGUUUAACAUCUUUUAAUUUAUUAAAGAAAGCACUCAUCUCUGCACCAAUCAUUCAACCCCCUGAUUGGUCGUUGCCUUUUGAAAUUAUGUGUGAUGCUAGUGAUUAUGCUGUGGGGGCAGUAUUGGGACAAACUAAAGAUAAGAAGCAUCAUGCAAUUGCUUAUGCCAGUAAAACUUUGACAGGAGCUCAACUUAACUAUGCAACCACUGAAAAAGAGCUUCUGGCUGUUGUCUUUGCCAUUGAUAAAUUUAGAUCUUAUUUAGUUGGAGCUAAAAUAAUUGUUUACACUGAUCAUGCUGCACUAAAAUAUUUGCUCACUAAAAAAGAUGCUAAACCUCGCCUGAUUAGAUGGAUCUUAUUACUCCAAGAAUUUGACUUAGAAAUAAAAGAUAAAAAGGGAGUAGAAAAUUCUGUUGUUGAUCACUUGUCUAGAAUGUAUUUUAAGAGUCCACGGGAAACUCCCAUCAAUGAUUCACUCCGGGACGACAUGCUCUACGGGAUUAACAGGUCCGACCCCUGGUAUGCAGAUAUUGUUAAUUUUAUGGUUUCAGGGUAUGUACCACCAGGAGGAAACAAGAAGAAGCUUAUUCAAGAAAGUCGUUCACAUAUAUGGGAUGAGCCAUACCUCUUCCGAGUAUGCUCUGAUGGCUUACUUAGGAGAUGUGUGACCACUGAGGAAGGAUGGAAGAUCAUCGACAGAUGUCAUUCAUCACCAUAUGGAGGUCACUAUGGAGCAUUCCGUACACAUUCAAAGAUCUGGCAAUGUGGAUUCUAUUGGCCUACAAUGUAUGAAGACACGAAGCAAUAUAUCAGAAGAUGUGGGCCAUGUCAAAGGCACGGAAACAUAAAUACAAGGGAUGCAAUGCCACUCACCAACAACCUUUAGAUUGAGCUCUUUGAUGUCUGGGGAAUAGACUACAUAGGUCCAUUUCCUCCAUCAAAGAAGUGUGAGUACAUCUUGGUGGCAGUUGACUAUGUCUCCAAGUGGGUAGAAGCAUUACCAUGCAAGCAUGCCGACAACGUCAGUUCAAAGAGGAUGUUUGAAGAAAUAAUAUUUCCAAGAUUUGGAGUCCCCAGAGUAGUGAUAAGUGAUGGAGGAGCACACUUCAUCGACAAACGCUUCAAGCAAUAUCUAUCAAGACAUGGAAUCCGUCACAACGUUGCUAGCCCUUAUCAUCCUCAGACAAGUGGCCAAGCAGAGACUUCCAACAAACAAAUCAAGAAUAUUCUUCAGAAGACAAUAAAUGAAAUGGGAAUGGCGUGGAAAGACAAGUAACCUAAUGCGCUCUGGGCAUACCGGACAGCAUACAAGACCCCAAUUGGAAUGUCUCCAUACCAAUUGGUGUACGGGAAGACUUGCCAUCUACCUGUUGAACUAGAGUGCAAAGCACACUGGGCCAUAAAGAGAUGGAAUAUGGACCUAGAUGUUGCUGGAGAUUAUAGAAGAAUGCAACUAUCAGAAUUGGAAGAAUGGCGAGAGAAGGCAUAUCACAAUUCAAAAAUCUACAAAGAAAGAGUCAAAAGGUGGCAUGACAAGAGAAUCAAGAAGAAGGAGUUCACACCCGGAGAUAAGGUAUUACUUUUUAAUUCCAGGGUAAAGCUUUUCGGGCAUGGAAAACUCCGGAGCAAAUGGGAAGGACCAUUCAAGGUAAUUAAUUCAUCAUCCCACGGAGCUAUCACACUUCAAAAUAGCGAAGGUAUGUUAUUCAAGGUAAAUGGUCAACGUCUUAAAUUAUUUUUAGAGCCCAAUGAGGAAUUUGAAGAAAUAGACGUAGUCCAUUUUUACCUUCCCAUGGAGAAUUAGAGCCCAACACUUUUGGUCUGAUGGUUUUGGGUCAUAUAUAUAUUUUUCUAAAUAAUUUCGCAUCUAGAAACACGCUCGGAAAAGUGGGCCCACAGAGGGGCCAGAGAGAGGGCGGGCGCCCAGGUCAAGUGGGCGGGCGCCCAGCCCCUGCUCCCCCUCGGUCCCGACUUUCUCUGUUAUGGAAAAUGCACUUAGGGUGAUCCGAAUAAUCCCUCGGAUGGAAAGUUUCGUACGCACGUCGACGGGAGCAACCCGAACAACCCAUAGAGGCACCCUUUUGACUCCUAUAUAAACAGACCCCUGACCUCAGUUUUCAAACACCAAGCCACCAAGCCUUCUCUCCUUCAAUUAGAGCUUGAUUAGCUCUCCUUCAAUUAAAAUUUUAUUAGUUCCUUGCUACUCCAAUGGCCGAGAAGUACCAUGAUGAUUGGGAAGUCAUCCCCUUCAACCUCAACAUGGAGCCUGUGGAAGACGCCGCUGCCCGUGCUCUCGUCCCGGCCAACACAGAGCGUCAGCUAGAAGCCAUGCCAUUACGCCAACGCAGCUCCGCCCAAUCUUACCAUGCUCAACCAGUUCUCACCGCACCACAACAACCCCUACUCCUCACAGGAUCAUCAUCCAAGACGAAGACCACUAUCAAGGUGCCAAUCGGCACAAGGAUCCUUCCACCUAGACCCAAUGAGAGGGUCGUUGGAGUCAAGACCAACUGGAGCGGCGAGAUCAGCAGCGUACGCUACACUACAGAGGAGGAAAGGCCUUACUUCGAAGGGAUUAGAGCAGCCAAAGUCCAUUUCAUCCCUCCAAAGGCAGCCCCGAAGCACGCUCUCAAUGCUUUUGAGACACCUCCCAAGCGUCGCAAGACUAUAAUGGAUAUUGAUGAGGAAGUUCGCAGGCUAGAUAGAAUUAUCAUAGACCUCCAGUCCUCGAUUAAUUCCCUCACUAGGCAGUUCUCUAACCACAACACCAUUAUACUAGGCCUUAGGCAGGAUCUUGCCAGUGCCAACAAGAAGAUUAAGGAAUUAGAGCGCCGCUAAGUUCUCUAGAUUAGACCUUGAGGCAAUGCAUCUUAGUUAUCUAUCUUUAAAUUCAGUUUAGGUUUACUAUUAUUAUCAGUUUGCUAUCAGUUUGUUAUCAGUCUUUUGUAAUAAAUGCCUCAAGAUUAAUAAAGAAUAUUAUUAUUAUUAUUAUGUCUUGUGUGUCUCUACUUUAUUUUUUGUAAGAAAGCAGAAAACAAGUAUGGGGGAGAUUCCUCGACAUGUCAAACGCACUCCAACUACACCACUCCACCACUCAGGUACACACUUUGCACACUUUACUUCAUACAUACAUUUAUUCUGGAUUAUGCAGAUUACUGUUCCCGAAUGAUAAAUUAAAAAAAGAUUAAAAUAUUUCUAAUCAUGAUUAAUCUCAAUCUGUGAUAUUUCCUGAAAAGUUGCAAUUAUUAUAAAAUCAUUUUAAAACCCUGUGUUACUUAAGUCAAUAUGGAAUAUGUGAUGAUAGAGUAUGAGUUUCUUAUUCUUGAUAUCAUUGUUGCUUGGAGAAUUUAUUUCAAAAUAUUCAAAUUUCUAGCUACCAUCCUCAGUGUUUUAUAUGCCUGAUAAAACUGAAAAUAUUAAUUAUGAUUAUAAAAGCUAUCUGCUCUGUAUUGAGUUUGUUCAAAAUGAGUUAGACCCUUGUUGAGAGAUUUAUCAUGCUCCCAAGAUCAAGACAUUAUUUCAGUAAGAUUCACUCUUCCGAAGUAUUAUUGCAUUAGAGGCAUGGGCUAUGCAAAAAUAGAAUUAUUUUUGACGAAAUAAAAAGGAGCAAGUGCUCGACAACCUCGCAGAAAAAAUGGACAAGUGUCCGGCAGUAGAAUUAGGGGUACCUCAGUAUCCACUUAAAAAAAAGAAAAGAGAAAAAAAAUGAUAGCCCAUGGUCCCUCUAAUAAGCAAUAUGCCAGCAAGAGUUGACAAAGUUUUUAAUUUUCAAAGUCUUUGAUCUAAGAGUAUGACAUUCUCAUCCUCGGAUCCCGUUUUGAUCAGGCAAUAAAUGCAAAGUAAGUAUGCUUGAGAAUUUUUUUUGCAAAAAUAAAACAACCUCAGUGAGAUAUAUAUAAAAGAUAAUGAGUGAUCUGAGAGAACCUAUGAGGAUAAAAAGGUAUGCUAACUUUCUCUCAAAAAUACACAAAAACUCCAAGUGGCAGGAUUGAGAAGAAAGGAUCUUUACUCUUAACCAUAUACAUCCCUGACUAUGGUACACAGUGGAUUUUUAACACCCUGCAAUUAUAAAGAGAAUGUUUUAAAAUGUUUACCCCAAAUAUUUUUCUUAACCAUCCUUUUCUCGAGGACGAGUAAAGGCCUAAGUAUGGGGGUAUUUGUUGACGGUUCUUAAGUAUCAAUUUUAAUUAUCAAAUAAACAAGAGAAAGGACCAAUAUGCAACCAUCACCUAGAAUUAGGGUUUGAUCUGACAGAAUUCCACGAGUUUUGUUGUUUAUCUAUUUCUGCAGGGGGUUAUCAGGAAAUAAGGAAGAAAGGCGCACAGGUCGGGAUUACAUAGAGAUAUCAACGCACCGCGUAAAUUACAUCAUCUAGAAGACUCCAGAAGCCACGAGACCGAAGCGGAGGCAAAGCUGGGCCAGGCCCAGGGCGCCCGCCCCUCUGGAGCCAGAUCAGGACUCUCUUCGCUCGGGAUAUUCCACCGACCUAUUGGAUCAAGAAAAACAUAGUACCACCUCGCCUAUCGACCCAAAAACGCAUAGAAGAGGAGGACUAUAUAAGCAAGGCCCCCUGGCCCCUGGAGAAGACAUGAAGAAAUUAUCAUAGAGACUGAGGGGUGCCCUCGAAGGAAAACCUCUUCUCUAAUUAAUAUUUCUUUUUAGGCUUAGCAAUCAAUGUAAGGUAGAAAUAGAUCUUCUAGUUUCUACUAGAUUGAGAGAGAUAGAGUGGAGGUGAAGAGUGGAGGAAGCCCGGCCUGUCGGUGUCUACACCAAGCUUGUACCUGCGGGAUCAAGUUCUCCUAACCCGAAGCUUGCUCCUAGGAUUCUUCAGUAAUUCGACUUCUAAAUUCUAGUAAGUUCUUGUUUUAUUGUUCUUAUGGUUUAUGAGUUUACUUUAAUCUCUUCGCGUAGAGUUUAGAGUAAUCAUUGCUAGCGUAAACUUGGUGUUUAGGCUGGGGUACUCAUAGAUAUUCCCUGACUAGCUGGACCGUGGUAGUAGUGAGGAACGUGACAAUUCUGAGCUACCUUUGUAGAUCACAUCUCGUUAGCAGGAAGGAUAGGGUUUAUAGGUGCGGGUUGAACAUCCUUUGUGGUGUCUAGAUUCCGUUAGCCUCCCCAUCAGAACAGUAGAUCAUCCUUACCAAGGUUAGAAGGAGACUACGGUUGCAGUCUUCUCUAUUUAUCACUCACAUCGAAAGACAUUCUUCGUGCCUAAAGGUUAGUAGUAAUAGACCGGUUAGUCAGAUGCACUCUUUCUCCUAGUGGUAAAAAAAUAAAUACGAUACUCUAGAUAACCUCCCGG